AUGUGCUAGAAAAGUUUGAAAAACAUCCUUUGCUGGGAAUUUCCCCUUCAAGUCUAUUGAAAGACACAUUAAAAUACUUUAGAUAUAAAAGCUUUUCCAAAGGUUUGGGAAUGACUCCGGAGAGAUUGUUAUUGCAUAAAUCCAAGAAUUCCAAACUAAUCAACCCAUCAAAUGAUUUAGGGAUAUGACCAUGUAGUAUAUUAUUUGAUAAAUCUAAUGAAACCAAAGUUUGAAGAACCCCAAAAGUGGAUAAGAUAUCGCCCGUGAGAAGAUUCCUUGAUAAAUUUAGUUUCAGUAGACUCCUCAAAUUUCCAACAUCAAUAGCAUGCGAAUUGUGAAGAUGGUUUGAUGAUAAAUCUAUUUCUAAGAUAUCUUUAAGAUUCCACAAAUUUGAAGGUAUUGCGGAACUCAAUUUGUUGGAAUUUAAGUAAAGAUAUCCCAAAGAAGUAAUAUUACCCAAACAAGAGGGUAUGGGUCCAUGCAGCUUAUUCAACCCUAAAUACAUCUUGUAUAGUCUCUCCAAACCACAGAGGCUUUCUGAGAUAGGCCCUCCUAAUUUAUUAGAGGAAAGAAAUAGACCUUGGAGAUUUCUCAUUCCUCCUAUUGAUGCUGGAAUCAAUCCACUUAAUUUAUUAUACCCAAGAUCUAAAAGCAAUAGGUUGGUUAAGUUACCUAUUUCCAUAGGAAUAAUGCCUUGAAGCUCACAAUUAUAGGCAUAAAAGAAUUGAAGGGAUUUUGAAAGGUUCCCGAUAUAAGUAGGAAGAACGCCACUCAAUGGAUUUCCUGAAACAUCUAUUGUUCUCAAAUUCCUACAAUUCGUCAAAGAAGAAAGAAAGCUCCACUCAUGAUCAGUAGCAGAUCCUGUGAUCAAAUUAUUGUCAGAGAUUUGGAACCAUUCAAGGUGUCUUAAGUUGCCAAGCAUUUUAGGGAUUGGGCCAGAGAAUAAGUUUUGUGACAAGGAUAGAAUCUUAAGCAUGGAAGCAUUGGAGAUAGAGUUGGGAAUGUUUCCGCUAAGUUUAUUUCCCCACAGUAAAAUAGUCUCAAGCUUUGGAGCAUUGGUAAUGGGUGGUAAAUUACCUGUAAAAUAGCAUCUUUUAGAAUACAUAUUCAUUGAAUACCAAAUUCACAAAAUAUAUAAUACAUUAAAAUAAAAACGGUAAAACUUUAAAUCAAUUAAGAAUAAAAUUUUGGUAUGGAAAAAUGUGAUGAAAUCAAUUAGAACGUUGAGACAUAAUAAGAAGUUUUGAGUAGUAAUUAGUCCUUCUGACUUGAAAAACUUGAAAAACUUGAAAAACAUAUAAUACAUUAAUAAUUUUUUAAAAUAUUGUAAAACUUGAAAUAAAAUAAAAAUAAAAGUUUGGCAUGAGAAUGUGCCAUCUAAUCAAUCUUAAAAAUGAGACUGACACUGAAUAAUAAUUAGUUAUGAUUUGAGAAACAAAAAUGUUAAAGUCAUUGUUUUUAAUGUAAACUGGUAUGAUUUUGAUCUAUUAGGUUAAUUAUUUAUUUUUAUUAAAUUAUAGUGUAAAAUUUAAAGAUUAUUAUUUGCUCAAAAUUUUUGUGUUUUUCGUAUAUUUGAAAUUAAUCUUUAUACUUUUUAUUUCCUGUGAUUUAGUCUCUCUACUUUUUGAAUUAAAAAUUUUAGGUUCAUUUAUUAACACUGUUAAAAAUUUUUUUGUGUUAGUAUGGCAUUUUGAAAAAUAAAAUAAACUUGAUAUCUAUGUUUUUAAUUAUUCUAAAUAUUGUUUACUAUUUCAAGAUAAAUUAUUUGUGUCUAGACCAAUAUCUUAAGAACUAUAAUUAUUCUAAAGAAUUGUUGAUUGAGUCUUAGCUGAAUUCUCCUAUUUAUGAAUUGAGGAGUUGGUAAAAUACUAAAUUUUGAUAUAUUUUAAAAUAUUAAAAAUUUAUUAAAAUAUUUUUAUAAAAAUUGAUUGUACCACAAUAUACAGUUUUAAUAUCAAAUUUUAAAUUUUUUUAAAAAUAUUAGCGAAUAUAUACUUUAUUUCAAGUUACACAAUUUUUACUAGUUUUUAAAUUUUUUAAAAAUUUUUAUCGUCUGUUAUAAUUUCUAAUAAUUUUUUAUAAUUUUUUACAAUAUUUACAAUUUCUAACAAUUUUUAAUAAUUUUAUUAUUUAUUACAAAUUUAAAAAUUAACAAAUUUUUAUUUUUUAAAACAAUUAUAUAUAUAAUGUAGUUAUUUUUUUAUAAUUUUAUUUGAAAUUUUAAAUAUUUUUUUGGUUUUUUAGAUGAUGAUGCCAUCAUGAUGUCAUCAUAUGUCACAUGGCAAUUUAUAAUUAGUUGAAUAUCUCAAUCUAUUUUUUUAACGUGCAAUGGACUAAAACAAGAACACCUGAUAAUGUUAGAGACUACACUAGGAAUGUUUGAUAAUAUUAGGUACUAAAGUGGGCAAAAAAAAUUAGGGACUAUAUUAAAAAUAUAUCUAUAAUAUAUAUAAAUGCAUGGAUUUUGAGAAACUUUUGAAAUGAUAAUUAUAUAGUCUUUGUUUUUUUUUCUAUAUUAUUGAAUUUUUUAUUUUAAAUAUUUUUUUAUUACUUUUAAGAUUUAUCAUAUGUAUGGAUAAGAAUUUUGGUUUUACUAAAAUAUUUGGUUAAAUAAAUUCACUUCAUAAGAAAAUUUAGGAUCCUUAUAAAUAACAAUUUUGAUUCUAUUAAAAAUAUUAUUUUAAAAAAUAUAUAAUAAAAAUUUAAAAUUUAUAUUGAAUUACUUUAUACUUAAAUUAUUAUUAAAAACUUUAUCAGACACAUACGUAUAUGAGAACCACGUAUUUAGAACAUAAAUUUGUGUUUUAAAAUAACUUAUGAUAAAUAAUGAAAUGUAUAAUUUGAAACUAUUUAAUAAUAACACAUGGCAUAUCUACCAUAUUAAAAUAAAAAUAGAUUAAAUUGUAAGUAAAACAUAAUUUAAACAAAUGAAUACAUCGAAUUAAGAAUACUAAAUGAAUACAGUUAUUUAUGAUGAUGUUGUUGUCAAUUCUUAAGUUGCUGUCGAGUUAAUUUGUGACAUCAUAAAUUUAAGUGAUAAAUUUAAGGUUUUAUGUAUUGAUGUGGAUUAAAAUAUCACCAUAAUUUUUAUUAAAAAUAAAAAACUAAAGUACCCUCAAAUAAUAUAACUUAUAUUAAAUAUGAAAGGGUAUUUUUAUAAUUUCUCUAACUGAGUUGAUGCCCGGUUGACUCAUGACACCAACUCAAUCAAAAGCUUCAAUAAUAAUAUAGAUAUUCACGUUAAAAAAAACCAAAAAAAGUACUUUAGUUCCAAAUAAUUAUAUAAUAAGUAAAUUUAUAAUUGAUGAAUAAAUUUAUAAAUAAUAUAUUUAUAUGAUCUAAUAUAUUAUAUUUAUAUUAAUUAUAUAUCAUCUACAAACUUUGAAGAUCAAUUUAUUAAGAAAAAAUGAAAUUGAAUUAACACUAAAUCGAUUUUUAGAUUUUGUCCAGAUGAUUUAAUGAUGAUAAAAAAAUUAUUAGCAGUAUUUUUGAAUUAACAAAAAAUUAGUGAUAUAUUUUAAUUAUAUUUAUUAUUUAUUAGUUUUAAUAAUGUUUUUUUAAUUAUAUGAAGUAAAAUUAUAUCGUAUACUAAAUAUGGUACAUAUACUUUAAUUAUAACUUGAAAAAUUAUUAUAUAAAUUAAUAUAUUUUAAUUAUAUUCAACCAUUUGAAUAACAAAAUUAAAAAAAAAACUAAUUAGAAUUAUUUACUUUUUAAAGUUUAAUGGAAAUUAAAAAUAAAAAAUAAAUCAAUUCAUAUAAAUCUUAUUGUUUAUUAUCAGAUUAAAAUGAUAAAAGUAUAUGACAUACAUAGAAGAAACAAAUUCAACACAAUGUUUUUGGAGUUUGGAAAAAAUUAAAGUGAAAAACAUACCUUCUAAUUUGUUGUUAAAUAGAUCUAUUUCUUCGAGCGUAGUUGAAUUAAAAAUACUUGAUGGAAUCUGACCUGCACACAUAGUCGAAAAUUGAAGUGAAAUCAAACUCUUUUGUGAAAAAAAUAUUACCAGAUAAUUCAUUCCAACCCAGGUAAAGCCCUUCAAGCUUGGGAAGAUGUUGACACAUAUCAUUAAGCAAACUACCUGAUAGGCUAUUGUUGGAGAGAUCAAUGGUCUUCAGAGAAGAAAUGUUGAAGAUCGAAGUUGGAAUCUGACCUGUAAGGCCUUUAAUUGCUUUAAUACUAAGCAUCUCCAAACCAAGAAGAUUACCGAUUUCCUCGGGAAUUUGACCUGCACACAUAGUCAAAAAAUCAAGGUGUCAAACUAUCUAUUUUGUUAGCAUAAGUCAAAGAGGUUUUCUUUUCUGUUCUACAGUAAUUUGGAGAUGUUAGAUUUUAAUAUAUUUAUGUUUUUCAUCAAAUGAAAUAAAAAGUUUUUACUUUUGUUAUCUAUUAAAAAUUACUCUUUUAUAAAAAAAAACUUUAAAUUCAAGAAAUCAAGGAAAUUGAUUACCUUCUAGAUUAUUAAACCCCAAAUAUAAUUCCUGGAGUCGUGUUAGAUUUCCAAUACUUCUUGGAAUGAUCCCCAUAAAUUGAUUAUAGGACAACAACAAAAUUUUAAGGUUGUUGCAUUUGCCCAUGCCAAAUGGAAUGUUACCAAAUAAUUCAUUCCAACUCAGGUGAAGCCCUUCAAGCUUGGGAAGAUAUUGACGCAUAUCAUUAGGCAAACUACCUGAUAGGCUAUUGCUGGAGAGAUCAAUAAUCUUCAGAGGAGAAAUCUUGAAGAUGGAAGAUGGAACCUGACCAGAUAAUUGAUUGAAUCCCAAGUUCAAGAUCUCUAGAUUAGACAUGUUAAUAAGUGUUUCAGGGAUUGUGCCUGUAAAGUUAUUAUUUUUCAUUUGCAGCCUUCGAACUCUCUGUAAGUUCCCAAGCCAUGAUGGAAUUUCCCCAUUCAGACGGUCGUAGCUUAAUUGAAGGAUCCUCAAACGAUGCAAUUGGCCCAAUUCUUUAGGGAGAUGGCCAUAGAAAUGGUUGCUACUCAAGUCGAGAGAGAGUAGAAAUGAAAGAUUUCCAAGGUGUGGAGGGAUAGUACCCCUAAGAUUCAUGCUUGUAAGAUUCAAAGCUAUAACUCUUUUAUGGAGGAUGCCACAAGAAACACCAAUCCAAUUGCAAACAAAGGUUGAGGUCGUCCAAUUGUUUGCCAAGACAUUUUGAGGACCGGCAAUGUGAUCCUUAAACUCAAGAAGUACAAACUGAUCGGAGUUGAGAUUGCUGACAGUCAUAGCCAAGCAAAGUACGGAACAUGGUAUGAAUAAAGCUAAAAGAAGAUGAAAGCAAGUGUUGUAGUUCAUGAUUGCAAGACGGAAUUAGCCAAGAAAAUAAAAAAAGUAGGAAAAGGGAAGUUGAGUUAAUAAAAUAAUUUGGAUGAUGAAGAAAAGCCCAGAGAGCAUGCUUUAAUAUGUUUCAACCCUCGCACACUUGAUAAACUUGAUAAAUUUAAGAAAUUUUGAAGAAAUUUCAAAAUAAAUGCCAAGUCUUCUUUAAAAAAUACGUACAAAGAAGCGAAUUUUCAAAAUUUCUCCUAAAUUUUCUUCACAUUACUCCACAUAAUCCACUAAAAAAACUUAAAAAAUAUAUUUUAAUAAUUACUAUAUAUUCUUUUAUUUUCAGAAUAAUAAAUUGUUUAAAAUAUGCUAUUAGUCCCUGUAAUUUAAAAGUUAAAAAAAUCCAAUCCUCCUAUUUUUUUAAUUUAAAAAUUCUAGUCCAAUCAUUUUUAAUUCCAUUAAAAAAAUUCAGCUUAAUAGAUUUUUUAUUAUCAAUCAUAUGCAACAUUAUAUGAAGGCAGUCUACUCAGUAUAUAUCCAAGUUUACAAAUUUUAAUAGAAAAUACUUACAAUCCUAAUGAAAGGACUAAUUUUUUUAAACUAGAAAAGUAAAAAAACUUAAUUUUUAACUUUUUUAAGUACAAGGAUUAAAUUUUAAAUGUUGUCAAAGUACAAGCACUAACAAAAUAUUGUGAUCUAAUAAAUGUAAAAAGCAUUUUAAACCAAAGAAGGUUGAAAUAAUCUAUUUGUCCUUAUACUUUGAUAAAAUUUGAGAUACCAUAAAAUUUGUAUCUUUUUUCGAAUUAUUUAAUGCCAUUUCAACAUUUUCAUUAAAAAAAAUAUCAUUUUGAAUUUGAUUUUUUCAAGAUGAAAAUAUUGAAAUGAUGUUAAAUUAUUGGAAAGAGAUACAAGUUUCAUGGUAUCUCUCUAAGAAAGCUGAUGUAAGAUAUUAAUGACAUCAUUUGAACAAAAUUUUAGGUCAAACUAUUCAUCUAGUCCUUGUAAUUGUUCUUUAAGUUGAAUUUCAUUAUUAUUCUUUUAUUUUCUUUGGCUUAAAUACACAUUUACCCCUAAUUUUAUCACAUUCUCCUUAAUUGGUAUUUAUAGUUUAGAAAAUUUUACAAAUAUAUUAUUUUUUAAGAAAUUAUAAGAAGAUUACAAAAAUUCCAAAAUAAUAUAAAAAAGCUAAGAAAAACCUAGAAAUUCAAAAAACAAAAAAAAAAAAAAUCAUGUUUUUACAAAUUGGGGUAUGCAAUCAAUUUUAAGAUGGUUUUUGGAGUUACAUCUCACUUUAGCAUUGACUUACUUUUCUACAGAUAGUCUUCUCCAACAAGUUAAAUAUUUCAAUUUUAACAACAUUGACAGGUCUUUGGGGUAGGGUCGAGCAAAACUCAAUAGAAAUAGAUGAUAUAGGUUGAGUUGGCUCGGCCAAGUCGAGUCGACUUCUUCAAAUUUGUUAAAUUAGUAAAUUUUAGGGUGCAGUUAGAAUUUUUUGUUUCGAGAUGCUAAGAUUAAAAGAUUUGAGUUUUGAAAACUUUGACUCCCUUUUUCUUUGAGAGUUGAUUUGAAGAGAAAAGAGCUUGAAGGUGCUUUUGUAGAAUUAGGACAAAUUUUAAAAUAAGGGCUAAAUUGGAAAAAAAGUUUUGGGGUUGGGCUAAUUUGAAAAUUUGACACUUUUGUGGGAUAAAAAUAGAAAAAUAUUUUGGUUGAAUACACACAAGGAGUUACAAACUUGAGACCUAUAGGUAGACUAAGGCCUUACCACUGAACCAACAAGCUCAUUCUUAUUAUCUUUUAACACAUAAAUUUUAAGGUAUACUAAGGGCUUGUUUAGCAUUGUUAUGAAGAAGCACUUUUGGCUUAAAAAACACUUUUGAGAGAAAAGUUGUUCUAAGCUAGUAACUUUUGGCUAAGAUUUUGGCUUUUCAAAAGCACUUUUGGCCAAAUGGAGAAGCUAAAAUUUUUAGCUUUUCUUACCCAAAAGCACUUUUGAGUGCUUAAUUACUAAUUCAUCCCUCCAAGAACACAUUUUAAAAUAAAAUAAUACAAAUAUGUUACUAUUUAAUUACAAAUAUUUAAUGGUUAUAUUUAAAUAUUUAAAAUAUAAUUUAUAUAUUCUAAUUAAAUUUUAUAAAUUAUUAAUAUUUGCUGCUUAAAAAUAUUUAAAAUUUAUAUUUUAUAUAUUAAAAUAUUAACAACAAAUUAUAAUAAAUUAUUUUUUAUAUUCUUACUAAAAUAUCAUAAUAUUAAUUCAUUUUAAUAUUAUUUAAAUGUAUAUUUGUUACUUUAUAAUAUCAUGUCUAAAAUUGACGUUUUAUUUCUCAAAAGCACUUUUUGACAUGAAUACUAAACACUUAAAUCUUAAACUAAACUUCUCAAAGAUACUUUUCUACAACACUUUUUAAAAGCACUUUCCAAAAUCAAUGCUCAACUAUCUCAAACUCUCUUACCUUACACUUUAAAAGAGAAAAAAGAUUUUAAAUUUUAUCCCUAUUUCUUUUAACCCAAUUUUUAGGAUGUCAAACAUUUAUAAAUAAAAUAAGAAAAAGGAAAACAAAAGCAUAGACUUUAUUUUUAUCUCAGGUAAAAGUUUUUAUGGAGAGGAUCAUGUAAAAUUAUGAUCUGAAUAAUUUUAAACAUUUCAUCAUUGCAAAAAUGAAAUAAUAGAAAAGAAUGACUAUUCGAAUUUGCAUUUGUGUUCUUUCUUUCAAUAUUGACUUUCAAAACUGUGGGAAAAUUUUAAAUUUGAUGAAAUUUUAUAAAUUUUAUGAAUUUGGGCUAGCCAUUUUAUUUAUAAUUUUCUGUGUUUUUCUUCUUUGCUGACAUUUUUAAUGUCAUUUUCUAUCAUGAAAGAAAAUUAAAGAUUCACUAUGUAUUUCUCAACCACUAUGAAAUUACUUGACUAUGGGGGUAGAAUUUUUUCACCAAUUUUCUAACAUGAGAUUUUUUGAAUGGGACAAAUAUUUCAAUUUUAACACAAACAUAUCUUUAGUUAUUGAGAGCGUUUCCCGUAAUGAGUCACCCCUAUUUGUGAGUGAUUUGGGGAUAAAAGCUUAAAACAUUUCUGGAUCACAUUGCAUUUAAGACGGGUGUUUGGAGUUAUAUGAAAUUUUAACAUAGACUGGCUUUUCUAUAAAGAGUACUCCUUGCUUUACUAUUGUCAUGAUACGAGGAGAUACUGAAAAUUAUUGUACUAUGAAAUUUUAAUUCACUCGAAAAAUAAGUGUUUUAUUUCAAGGGAUUAAUAUUAGCUUUCUCUUUUUUAAAUUUUGAAUUUUUUUUGACAACUGCGUAAUUAAGAAUAUAUCAAUUUUGGGUGUUAUAGGGAUGUUUUAUGUAUAAUCGACUCUUGAACGUUUUUUUUUUCUUUAGAAUUCAACACAUUCCUCAAAUUUUUCUUUUUAAAAGAUUUUUAAAAUCUCUUUAUAAAAUAUUAUCACACUUAACAAAGAUGAUCAGUGACGACUUUUCUUUAAUAAAAUAUUACGUUUUUCCAAAGACCAAAAUUUUCAUAUUUUUCAAGAAUUCCUCAAUCUAAUUUUCUUUUUGAAUUUUUAUUUUCAAGAGGAAAAUGAUCCCUACAAUUAAUAUUUAUUUUCUCCAUUUUUAAUGUUUUCUUAAGGGAGAUCAAUAGUGGAAUGACAAUUUUUAGUUAAGGUAAAGUAAAUUUAAUUAUCCACAACCUUCAACUAUUAAUUUUUUCGAUUUAAUUACACAAUUUUUUGAAAUUAACACUCUUUUAUUAGUUGUCGCUAGGUGAUGGACGAAAAGUUGAUUUGGACUUUUUGUUGACCUAAUAACAAAUUUAGAUAUUCAAAGUUUACUUAUUCUAUCAAUUUAAUGCUAAAUUUAAAAAAUUCAACAAAUCCUAUCAAAAAACAAUUGGACCUUGAGUACAUAGGCUGUGAGAUUUUCACAUGGCUGUGUCUACGCUGCACUCUAUUUUAUCAAAUUCAGACAAAGAGUUACACAGGCUGUUCACAAGGGCGUGUGCCCCCUUCACGUGGGGCGUGUAGACCUCCACACAGCUUAGGAACUUCCACAUGGCUGGGGCACGCGGUCAUGUGGCCUUGUUUUGUAGAUUUUUGUUCUGUGUCAAAUUUUGACUCGUUUUCUGCCUCUGUGUAUUCUGACCCCAGUUAAGACUUAGUAAGAAUGUUUAGGACUCUGAUUAGUUCGAAUUUUUGCAUUUGUUCGUAACUAAUGUGUUAAUUUAUUAGUUUGUGAUGUUAUUAACUAAUAGUUACAAACCUAAUUGAUUCUAAAUCUAAUUGAUUGAACUUGUGUGUUUUGUUUUUUGUAUGAAUGUUUGUAUGUUGUGUGCAUUUUGCAAUCGCAUAAAAAUUUUACGAUUGACUGACUGAAUAUGAGCUUCUAUAUCUGUGACACUAUUAGUGUUUGAUGUGCAUUCAUACAUAUGCAUAAAAUUGGGGUUUUGGUUAUGAAGAGAAAGGAGCCUGUUUCGGUAGUUCAACUGCAAUAUUUCUGAACAGUGGUUUACCACGUGAUUCUAUAUAUAUGUCAGCUCAGCUGCAUAUUAUGAUUUCGAGUGGCUUAGUUUCCACAUUGUAGUGUGUAGGGUGGAUGAAUCUUUUAUAGUUCUUGUAGUAGGCCCAAUUUGUUCGGGCCCAACAAACUAAGUUACAAACCCAAAAUAAACAUUACAAGCCCAAAAAUUAAAAAAAAACCUAACGGCCCAAGUAGCCCAAAACCUAACCCUCUUCAGCCGCCACUCCUCCCACGUGCCACCAUGUCAGCACCUCUGUACCCUCCACGCUCUCUCUGCCACCAUAGCAUGCGUCCUUGCCCCGUACCUGUAGACCAAGCAAAAGAGAGCACAACAGUAAAUAGAAAAACAUUGUAUUUUUCGGCUAUAAAAGCCAUGAACAAAUCAAUGUAAAUUUUUUACGACAAAAAUCAAUACAAAAAAGGCAAUUGAAAACAAAAAAGGUGGUUCUUUUGUUUUUUGUUUUUAUUUCUUUUCUACUUAUAUUUCUACUAGUUUUUAAGAAAAAUAAAAAAGAAUGGAGUCGAAUCUUACCCUUUUCUCGCAUUUGCACCGUUGUGGGGGGCCGAGGUUCGUCGUUUCCUAUGAAAAAUGAAGUUUUUUGAGUUGAGGAAGUCGAAAAGUCAAAAAAUGGCCUUCUUUGGAUUUUUUGGCCACCAUGGAGGGCAGCGCCAUCACCGCCGACUAGCGGUCGCCAUGGCAAUCCGUCGGUUAGAGCCAUGGUCUUAGAGGGGAGUUCAGAGAGAGGGGGAGAGUGAUUCGAGGUUUUUUUCAUAGAAUGAGGAGAAAGGAAAAUUUUUUAAAAAAUUGGUUUUUAUAAAGGAUUGAAACGGCGCCAUUUUGGGCCUUAACCCUAAUGGCCAAAACGACGUUGUUUCACCCCUUUAACCGGCGUGUGGACCCGACCUGCAAGAGGAUCCGUGUGUUUUUGUGGAAGGGUCUAUUUGCGCAUUAGACCCUUCCGCAUUUUUCAAUUGUCUUAAUCCAGUCCUUUUUUUAUUUUCUAAUUUGUACUUCAAAUUUUAUUUCAUUUUCGAUUUGGUCCUAGCAAAACGACGCGUUUCAGAGGGCGAGGAUAUUUCCCCAGUUGGUCCCUCUAAGUUAUUCGCGCCUUUUAAAUUAGUCCUCUACCUUAUUCUUAUUCUCAAUUUUUACCCAGUUUUUUGAUUAAACUUCAAUUUAGUCCUUCUGCGUCUAUUUUAUUAUAAUUUUAGCCCCUUUUAUAUUCAUAAACUUAUUUUAUUAGGAUUUGGACUCUUAAUUUUAGUUCAAUGUCAAUUUAAUCCCCUUUUAUCUCUGUCUAGGUUUUAUUUUCUUUUUUUUGCUGUGUUUUAUUUAUUUUAUUUAUUUGCUUAUCAUUUCUUUUUUAUUUUGAUUUUCAUAUUUAAUGAUGCUUUUAUUUUAUUCUUGAGUUUCAUUGUUGUUGUUGUUGUUGUUAUUUUUAUGGUUUUUUAUUAUUUCAUUUAUUUACAUAUUUUAUUCCAAAUUGUGUCUCUAAAUUUCGUUUAUAUUUUAAUUCGGUUCUUUACUUUCAAUACUUUUUAUAAACUAUUUUCCCUUAAAGUAUUUAUGUAUUUUUUGUUAAGUUGCUAUUGUCCUUUUAUGUGCAUACUUUGGCAUUAUUACCAUUGUUAUUAUUUAUUUUAUUUAUCUUUUGAUUAUUCUUAUUAAUGUUAAAGUAGUGUAUAGUAUAUGAUUCUCGUAAAUUGUCUUUAUUAUAUUCAUUAUUGUUAUUUAUUAAUGCAACAUUUCAUUCAUGUAUUAUUUUAAAUAUUACACAUUUUUACCCAAAUUUGUAAAAAUAUAAAAAUUAGAAAAUAAGCAAUAUUUCAUAUUUUGAAAUUUGAAAAGUCAUUCCCUAACUUACGGGGUUUCGAUUUUUUUGAUAAAUCCAAAUAUACGAACCAUUUUUUCAAAACACAUUUUUAAAAUUAUCUCGGGAAUUAAAAAGAUCGUUUUCCAACUUACGAAAUAUGAUUUCUUUUCUAAACUGAGAUAAUAAAAAAUUUCUAAAAAUAAAUAAAAUUUUUGGUGUUUAUUCUCGUUUCGAGAUUUAAGGUUAUAUCCUAACUCACAGGGUAUAAUUCUUUUUCUUGGUUGACGUAAAAUAUGCCCUUUUUUAAAUUCUUUUAGGUAAUUUUAAUAAAAGGAUCGUAUUUUAAGUCUAUUCAAAUUUUCAGCUUUCAACAUUAAGACAUUAAUUAAUCAAUUAGGUAUCAAUUUUGAGCGUGACGAAGGUGCUAAUCCUUCCUCGCACGUAACCGACUCCCGAAUUCAUUUUUCUUGAAUUUCGUAGACCAAAAUCAUUGUUUUAGUAAAAUCAAAAUGUUUUGUUAAAACGAUUGAAUUGCAAGGUGAUCCGAUCACACCUCAAAAAAAAUAUCGGUGGCGACUCCAGUUUUUUUUGUUUUUAUUUUUAAUAUAAAAGUCGACCCCUUUUUUAUUAAAAAAAUGGCUUCGACAGUUCUAUGUGGUGUGCAGGGUAAACGUGCCUUCUAUAGCCCUAAUGUGGUGUGCAGGGUGGUCGAAGUGGUGUUCAGAUGGUUGGGUGGGUUUUUGACUUAUUGCAUACGGUUUGCAUUAGGCAUAUGUGUCUGAUUAUGAUUCUCUUUAAUAUUAUUUGCAAAUGUUUGUACUAAUUUGAUUAUUACAUGUGUUUGAGACAUUGCUUAUGUAGUUUGGUACUGUAUAUUGACUUAUCGAUGUAAGAUUUUCGUAAGUGACCAUCAUAUAGUGCUUGUCUAAAAUAUUUAUGGUGUUAUCCCCUCUUUUACCGACUGUUGUGUUUUGGACUCACACUGAGCUCGCGUAGCUCACCCCCUUAGUUUUCUCCCUUUUAGGUACUCUCGUGUUCUGUAGCUAGACUCAACAUAUUAGAAGACUCAGACGGAAGAUAUGAAUUUGAUUUAAUAAAGUGUUUCGAUUCAAUUUUAGUUUUUCUAACUUGUUGGGACUAUAAGUGUUAAUAGGGACUGUGGUAUAAGUUUUACUUCUGGAUUUUCGUAAAUUUUUAUUUUGGGACUGAACUUUUGAAACUGCGGAAUUAUACUUUCUAAUGUUUUUAACGUAAUUUAAAAUUUUUGUUUGAAUCCUGAAUGGUUAAAUGACUUAGUUUGAUUUUAGCAAAAAUGAGUUAUAAAUGAGAUGUUAACAAUUAAUUUUGUAAAAUUAUUUUUAGAUCACUUCGGUGUUCAAAGUAACCUCUGAGAUUCGAUCCAUACUUCUAGGCCGAGUUUUGGGGUGUUACAUUAGUUUUCAAGAGGAGAUUGGUGAUGUACUUGAAGAGAGAUUGAUUUUGAAAACUUUGACUCCUUUUUGCUUUGAGAGUUGAUUUGAAGAGAAAAGAGCUUGAAGGUGCUUUUGUAGAAUUAGGACAAAUUUUAAAAUAAGGACUAAAUUGGAAAAAAAAGUUUUUGGGUUGGGCUAAUUUAAAAAUUUGACACUUUUGUGGGAUAAAAAUAGAAAAAUAUUUUGGUUGAAUACACACAAGGAGUUACGAACUUGAUACCUAUAGGUAGACUAAAGCCUUACCACUGAACCAACAAGCUCAUUCUUUUUAUCUUUUAACACAAAUAAAUUUUAAGGCAUACUAAGGGCUUGUUUAGCAUUGCUGUGAAGAAGCACUUUUGGCUUAAAAAACGCUUUUGAGAGAAAAGUUGUUCUAAGCUAGUAACAUUUGGCUAAGAUUUUGGCUUUUCAAAAGCACUUUUGGCCAAAUGGAGAAGCUAAAAUUUUUAGCUUUUCUUACCCAAAAGCACUUUUGAGUGCUUAAUUACUAAUUCAUCCCUCCAAGAACACAUUUUAAAAUAAAAUAAUACAAAUAUGUUAAUAUUUAAUUACAAAUAUUUAAUGGUUAUAUUUAAAUACUUAAAAUAUAAUUUAUAUAUUCUAAUUAAAUUUUAUAAAUAAUUAAUAUUUGUUGCUUAAAAAUAUUUAAAAUUUAUAUUCCAUAUAUUAAAAUAUUAACAACAAAUUAUAAUAAAUUAUUUUUUAUAUUCUUACUAAAAUAUCAUAAUAUUAAUUAAUUUUAAUAUUAUUUAAAUUCAUAUUUGUUACUUUAUAACAUCAUGUCUAAAAUUGACGUUUUAUUUCUCAAAAAUACUUUUUGACAUGAAUACUAAACACUUAAAUCUUAAACUAAACUUCUCAAAGAUACUUUUCUACAACACUUUUUAAAAGCACUUUCCAAAAUCAAUGCUCAACUAUCUCAAACUCUCUUACCUUAUACUUUAAAAGAGAAGAAAAGAUUUUAAAUUUUAUCCCUAUUUCUUUUAACCCAAUUUUUAGGAUGUCAAACAUUUAUAAUUUUCUGUGUUUUUCUUCUUUGCUGACUUUUUUAAUGUCAUUUUCUAUCAUGAAAGAAAAUUAAAGAUUCACUAUUUAUUUCUCAACCACUAUGAAAUUGCUUGACUAUGGGGGUAGAAUUUUCUCACCAAUUUUCUAACAUGAGAUUUUUUGAAUGAGACAAAUAUUUCAAUUUUAACACAAACAUAUCUUUAGGGUUAUAGUUUAGUUAUUGAGAGCGUUUCCCAUAAUUAGUCACCCCUAUUUGUGUGUGAUUAGGGAAAAUUUUAUUCAAAAUUAAUUAAUUUAAAAAUAAUAAAUAAUAAAUAAAUUUAUAUUGAAUUUUAUAUAUAUUUAUAACAAAAUAUAUUAAUUUUGGGGUUAUACUUCACUUCAGUCCACUGACUUUUCCACAAUUGGUUUAAAAGUUUAUCCCACCAAUGCCAAAUUGGUGCUUUAUCUCUUCUCUUAUUUAAUUUCUUUUAUAAUCAGAUUUGUUUUACUAUUAACUAAUAAUAAAUCAAUUCAAUUAGUAUUUAAUCAUUUUUAGGCUUCCUAAAUCCUUUGAGGAUGAUUUUAAAGUUUCUAAAGAUGAUUUUAAGUAGUCCCAAAAACCACUGGAUUUUUUAGUGACAUCCAAUUUUUCUUUUCCUGCAGUAUUGUUGAAAGUUAAUUUUCAGAACAAAAGUUUGCCUUACCAAAGAUGAUUUACCAAGACAUGCAUGUAGCAUGCAAAUAUGAAACAAUAAGAAAUAACUAAAAAAAAUGAUCCUUCAAAAUUAAAAAAGAAAGAAAGAAAGAAAGAGAGUGAGAUAAAUCUAAAAUUGCUUAAUAAGUCAUUUGAUAUUUGAAUUUGAUAUUUUUUAAAUAUUAUUUUCUUGUUUAGUGAGUUAUUUAUAUUUGAUAAAAGUUAUACAUCUUGGUAUCUAAAGUUAACAAUGUUAACAUUUUAGUGUUUAAUGUAGGUUUUAUGGUAGCGAUUUGAUGAAAAUUUCACUGUAAACUAAUAUUAUUAGCAAUUAACUUUCAACAAAUCUAUAACAAUCCCAAAUCCAGCCUAGACGCUAUGGUCAAACCUGGAAGGUUACAUCAGUACGUAGAAAAUUUUGUUCUUCCAAAUGUGUUUUGUUACUAAAUUAAGUCAUCCCAGGUUGCCCAAAAACGAUGACUCGCCACCAUGAGAUGCCCGACAACGAUGGCUUAUCAAUACGCAAUUAAACUGUUAGAUCAGAUAUUUGUGGUCAUGCCAUUGAAUUGCAACUCAGCUACCGAAACAAAAAUAUGUGGUGAAACCACUAUAUUGUAUCCAAGCUGCCAAAUAAAAAUAUGUGGAUAAACCAACAGAUAGUGCAGACCAUUAAACUGCCAAAAAUUCCUCCCUUUCAUAUUAUCCCAACCCCAUGCAAUGUGACAUGGCAUGCAUUUACAUAAUCAAAACGACAAGCAUGUAAGACAUGUAGUCGUACCAUAACAGAACUUAGAAAGCAUGGCAUUCUCACAAAUUCAACAAAAGCAAGUUGGUAUGCUAUAAAGUCACAUGCAUGAUCACAUAGCAGAAUCAGAAACAUAAAAAUAACGUAACCAAACCUCAUACCCAUAUACAAACAUAACAAUACAAAUCACGCUACCAGAUUCAUUAGAAAACAGUUCAUGCACACGAAUUUCACAUACCUUAUUCAUAUCACCUACAAUGUCAAAUUAUCAGACGUUACAUUUUCAAAGUCAGUUUUACACAGUACGAACCCUACAAAAUGGCUAAACAUGACUCACGAAUCAAAACGGGCCUAAACGAAAAUUUUUAGAAAAUGGGCCAACAUGGCCCAAUUAACCUAGGCCGUAUGGCGUCGACAGUCCAAUUUUCGACUUUCAGCAGUUCAUUAUUUUUUGAGUUUUUCGAUAUACAGCUUACUAUUUUCCGAAGCAAAAUCAUGGCAAGAAUUCCAAAACCUAAAAUCCAUAUUCAACCCACUCAAAUUAGUAAUGAAACCCAAAACUAAAUCGUUAAACAACCAAAACUGCUACCAAUAAACCUUAUCAAACCAGGAAUCAACCUUUUGGCAUCUGACUACUAACCCAGAAUAGUAGCAGCAGUACUAAAAAUCUCUCAAUUCACCGGAAGACUAUUUGUUACAGAAACGUCACCUAAACCAAAGAUUUCAGAGUAAUCAAAAUCGCGUCACACAAAGAAGGAAACAAAUUAACCCCAAAAUCGUGAAACUCAACAAAGUACGAAUCUUUUCACAUAUUCCUUACCACCAACCGUCAAGAUUGCUCAAAAACCACUAAUGACACCGACCUUCGCAAGGUUAAAUUGAAACCAAAAGGCAACUAAAGAUGGAACAAAGGUUGUUAUAAAAAAAUAUUAACAAAGACUUAUUGGAGCAAAAAUGGCGAAAAAUCAAGAAUAGGGAGAUUGGAAAAAAAAAAAAACAAUGAAACGGCAAAGAGAAGGAGUGGGAAAGCGACGACAGUUUGUGGAGAGAUUUUGGGUAAAUAAAAAGUAACUCACCACUCAACCUAUUAAAUCUGAUUACCCUCUAAACAGAUUCCCUUAAAGUUUAAAUUCAACCCAAAUACCACUACAUAGGCGGCAUAGUGUAAGGAAACAAAAAUAUUUCUACUUUGCACACACGGGGUCUUGAACACGAAACCUUAGGAUAAUUUGAAGUCUUGCCACUAAAUUAGUAGACUCAUCCUUGAAAUUAAUUGAAUGAAAAUAUUAUUUAUGUCAGAUGAUCAGGGAUAGAGUUUAAGACCAAAGAUGACAAAAAUUCAAAGGAAAGAUUUAAACCUAGAACCUCACACACACAAGCAUAACACCUAUCCACUGAACCAGAUUUCCUCCAUUGACAUAAUUUUCACAAUAUUAACUAAAAAUUCAGAAUAUGGUCACUCUUGGUUUCACUUAUCCAAUUUCUUCUAACCCGAUUUUUUUGGUGUGACAACUCUCACCUCUUUAAAAGAUUUCAUCCUCGAAAUUCCUGCUGUGACACCAUACACUUAACCACAAAUCUAAAAUUCCCUAGUCCAAAUCGACCACCAGGCUAUCAUUGUACAACUCUAAUAUCCAUUCAAGUCCGAUCCAGACAAUAUUUUAGAGGAAUUUCCUAUUCACUACCUCGGAUUACCUCAAUAAGCUUUCCACGGAAACAUAACUAAUGAUCCUUUGCCCCAAACUCUAAAAAACAUCAUUACCACAAAAUACAGCUACAAACUGUUGACACUAUUUUUUUGAUAAAACGGGGUCGACUUGGUUUUUGAAAAUGAAAACGAACACGGGAGUUGCCACUAGUCUUUUUUGAUGAGGUGUGAUCGGGCCACCUCAAAAAGUUGUUGUUUUUAAUAAACAAUUUGAUUUUAUUAAAACAAUACUUUUGGUCUGCGAAAUUCAAAAAAACAGGUUUGGGAGUCGGUUACAUACGAGGAAGGAUUAGCACCCUUGUAACGCCCAAAAAUUGGUACCUAGUUGAUUAAUUAGUGUCUUAGUGUCGAAGAUUGAAAACUUUGAAGAGUUUUUAAAAAUACGAUCCUAAAAAAAAACUCGAAUAACAUGGAUUGAAAUUUAAGAUUCUCUUGUUCUGAAGGAAUAUCACAUCCAGCACGUUAGGACACGAUACUUUAAAUCGUCGAAACCAAGAUCACUUUAUGAUUUCAAAAAACCAUACUUUGAAGUUUUAAGAGGAUAUUUGGCUAUUUGGUCAAACGAGAAAUCGAAACCCAGCACGUUAGGGCACGCUUUCUCGAAUUUCCAAAUGUAAAAUAUUGCCUUUAUUAUUUUUUAGAGAAAUCCUCAUAUCGAGAAAACAACAUGUCAUAUCCAAUGUGUUAGGACACAACGUAUUGAAUUCCCGAUACGAGAGUACAUGCCAAAAAUUUGCUUAUUUAAAAGAUAUUUAGCUAUCUAGGGUUUAAAAAAAAAGGGUUCAUGCCUAGUAAGUUAGGACACAAUCUUUUCUUAAUUCCCGAGAUCGUUUAAAACUUUUGCUUGAAAAUAUUCAUGUACUUUGAUUUAUUGAGAAAAUUGAAACCCCGUAAGUUAAGGCACGAUUUCUCAAAAUUUCGAGCAUGAAAUAUCACUUUUUUUUGAAAUUAUCAUUUUUGCGUAUUUGGAUAAAAAUUAAUGCAAUAAUCAUGCAAUGCACAUUACUUUUAAUACUAACUAAUAAUCAAAGACGAAUGAAAUAAAAUUAUAUAACAACAAUUUAAAGUAAGUAAUAAAAUUUAAAAAUGAAUAAUACAAAAGAUUCAAAGUACACAAUGUAAAAAAUUAAACAUAAAUAAAACAUAGAAUAGUUUGAAAUGAACAAUUUUAAGCAAUUUAAAAUAACAUUACAUAGAAUAGUUUAAAAUGAAUGCUAUAUCAAAAUAAAUAAUAUAUAUAAAAGUUUAGGAUAAAAUAACAUAGAAGGCAAUCCAAAAUAAAUAAUGUAUACGAAAAAAUUUAAAAUAGAUAAUAUCGAACAAUUUAAUGUAAAUAAUACAUAUAAUUUAAAAUAAAUAAAAUAUAAACCAUUAAAAAUAAUAAUAUAUAAGAAUUUAAACAAAAUAAAUAACUAACAAGCUAAAGAAUUAAAAUCUGGCAGAUUAGGGGACCAAAUCAUAACAAAAUGAAAUUUAAAAGUAAAAAUGACAACAAAAUAAAUAAAUGAGGAAUAAAAGACAAAAACGCUAAAAGGCCGAGGGUCAAAUGGGUAAAAUCCAAACCCGGACACAUGUCCAUUUUCAGUGCAUCAAUGGGUCAGGGAUCCGAUUGAAAACCACACAAAAUUGCAGGGUCAAAUUUAAAAGAGUGAAAAUAAACAAAAAAAGGGAGUAAAUUGAAAGGGGCAUGAACGUGAGGGGCCAGGGUUGCAAAUAACCAUUCAUGAAAACGCACGGAUCCUCCCUAGAGCGGGUCGGGUCGUGCGCGGGUGGCCCUAUACGGUGCCGUUUUGGGGCCACUAAAACAGGCCCCAAACGACGCCAUUUUGCGUCUCUUAUAAAAGCUAAACCUUUUUUUUUAACUCAUUUCUUCCAUUCUGUUUAAAAAAAAACCUCAUUCUCUCAACCCUCUCCCUUCCCCGAAUUUGGCAAAGAGCUCCGGCCGAUGGCCACUGUGGCUCCACCGCAGGUGGUGGUCAGAGCCACCAAAAAAUUAGGUUUUUAACCCCCUUUUUAAACCCCGUUCGAAGGCCGAGCCCUCUUGGCCUAAAAUACCGAAGGAAAAUGACCUCCUAUGCUCUUUCUCCGUCUGAUUUAGUCGACCGAAGGGACUCCCGAAGGCAGCCGCGGGAUCUGCCAGGUGAGCCCUUUCUCUUCCUUUUUAUUUUCGUUUACAAAAAUAAAAAAAUAAUAAAAAUAAAGACAAAAGAAAUAGAAAGAUUGAAAUAAAAAACGAGAAAUCACCUUGAAUUUUUUUUGGUUUUUAUUUACUCAAAUAUUCAUAAAAAAGGAAGAAGCGUAUUACAAGGGUGAGAUUUAGUUUUAUAGCCGAAAUACAAAACUAUUUUUCUCUAUUUUUAUUUGUUUACGAUUUUGUUGUUUGCUUGUUAUAUUCUCCUCUUGCGUGUGUGGUUUGCUCUUUGCAGGUAAUUGAUGUGACGCGGUAGACACGUGAGGCUGGCGAUUGGGGAGCAGCGGCGGUGGAGUUUGAUGCUAGAGCUUGCGGCUCUGGACGCUGACCAUGGGGCUAGGGUUUUUCUUUUUGCUGAAAUUUUUAGUUUGUGGGCUGUUAGGUUUGGGCUUAGGGUUAUUAAUUGGGCUUGGGUUGUUGUUUGGUCUGGGGUAUUUUAUUAGGUUUAUUUGGUUGUAAUGGGUAGGGGUUUUGGGUUUAUGUUUGGUUUCAGGCCCCGGGUCAAACUUGGGCUUGUACACAAACAAUUCUUAUCAAUGCAAGUACAUUUGAAACAUAUCAUAAAAGUACCUAUAUCAUUGUCAGAUGCAUCACAGCUCGCUCGAUACCUAGUUGCAUAUCCCCAUCUCAAAUUUUGUUUCUAUGCUGAAGCUUGUACCCCACUAAAAUAGUGUCGUGAGCAAUCCCAAACUCGAUGCUCAACGGACCCACAUGUGAAACACGGUCCUAUUUUCCUCCAACAAUCGUCCGAAUGGUGCCUAUCACAGUAAGUACAAAUCAGAACCUCAACCGCAUUCACAAUUGCCUCACCCCGUUGAAGCUUGUCUAUUUUAGCCCGUUUCCUUGGUCAUGGAUUCAAGUCAAUAGAACCAUCACUCAUCUUAUUUCGCGGUUUAUUCAUUACUUAUUCUCUCCCUUCGAGUAAUUACUCUAUACCGCUAACUUGACUUGAUACGCUUGAGAUGACUCAAUCAUAGACUCUUGUCCCAUAUAUCCAAAUUGGGUUCCAUCGACCUUUUGCAAAUCUCUAAACACCUCUUGGAACACUGAAACAUCCCCUACUUCUAAACUGCCCUCAAAUUUGGGCGUCAUAACAAACUUAUUUAUUUUCAAAUUGGGCUUACUGCCCCAAGAAGAGAACUCGGCUCGAGUCACCUGGCUAUGUUCACCACAGCCUCACACAUCAUGGCCUCGAGUACUCAUUAUACUAAUCUAUAGUUUGAGAAAUUUUAUAAAUUAGCUUAGGUUUAUUAAAAAUCAUAAGUCUAGAGUUUUAUCAAAGUUUCUUACAUAAUUACCAUAGUCUUUAGCUAGAGUAGAGUAAUCCUAGCACUUAAGUUUUGCUAGUUUGUCUAGUAUAGGUAAAGUAAAGAUACUUACAGGAUCGACGAUGUAGUUUUGGAUUCUCUUUUUAUAGAAUCAAAUAUAAAAAUAAUCAAAAUCUAUUAGAGACCCAAAGUAUCAAAAUUAAUCAGAAAUUCAAUUUAUUUAAAGCAUAUUUAAUGGAGAUUUUCGAACCCAAAAAUCACAACCCGAGUUUUGUUACCUUGAUCUGAUACCACUAAAUGUAACACCCUAAACUUGGCCUAGACGUUAUGGCCAAAUCUGGAAGGUUACACCAGUAUGAAAAAAAAUUAUUUUUCCAAAGUGUGUUUUGUUACGAAAUUGAAAACCAAAAUUUAGGUAAGUUUGUCAUGAUUCCCCGAUAGCAAAAUUUGUAAAUUAUCAAAACGUAAAUGUGAACAUAUUAAUUAUUAACUUAAAAAAAACCUAGCCUUAUACAAUCAAAAUGCUAAAAUCAUUUGCUUUGUAAAACUUGUAAUUUUGACUAAAAUUUUUGCAACGAAAAUUCCAAACUAAUAUUCGUAAAUUGUAAUUUCGUCAAGUAAAAAUGUUUUAUUUAGCCGAUUGGGCAUAUUUUAAAUUUACGUUAUUAAAUUUUGUAAAAUCUCAAUUCGUAUUUUUGUGGCAAAAAAAUCUUGGCUCGUAUAAUUUUGAAAACCCAACAUUGAUUGUUGAGUAACACAAAACAUACAGAACAAAAAACUUUAACUAAGCCAAAGAAACCUAAAGCAAAAUUAAAUUUGAGAAAUUAAACCAAAAUCCAAAAGUCCAGUAAAUCCAUUUAUUAACCAUAGUAAACCGUUUAAUUAGAGAAUCAAUUCGAGCUUCCGCACACUACCUGAUUCUAACUUAUCGAUUAUCUGGAACAUCAGAAAUAAAACAAAUGGAUGAGCUAUAAAGCUUAGUGCAUAACUAAAACUCAAGCCGAGAUCACACACAAUACAAUAUACCACUACACCAAAACAGGCCUUUAGCGGCGCUUUUUUAGGCCUUUAGCGACGCUAUUUAGCGUCGCAGCUACUUUUAGCGGCGCUUUGGAAAGCGCCGCAACAGAUGCCGCUAAUGAAUGCGCCGCUAACUUUAGCGGCAUUUUCAGAAAUAAACGCCGUUAAAGGUGUUGGUCUUUAGCGGCGCUUCUAGCACAAACGCCGCUGAAGAAUAAGACCUUUAGCGGCGUUUUUAGGAUAAGCGCCGCUAAAGAUCAGGGUCUUUAGCAACGUUUUUUCCUAAAACGCUGCAAAAGACCCUAAUCUUUAGCGGCGCUUUGACCAAAAACGCCAUUAAAUUUGGCAGAUUUGUAAAAUAAAAUUUUUUAUAUUUUCAGCCCUCCUGUAAAAACAAAUCAGAAGAAAUCAUAUCUAAACCAACCAAAAGCAAUAAAUCUAUAUAUUAAACAAAUAAUAUAAUAAAUAUCAAUAAAUAAAAUAAAAUUCGUAUUAUUCUUACAAAAAUGUUAAAAGUUAAAAUGAUAAUUAAAAGUCAAAAUUGAAGUAUAUUUACACGAUAAUCUAAGACGGCGGCGGUUGCGAUGCUGAAACAUCUUCAUCAUACUCUGAAGCUGCUACUGGAGUUCAUCGAACUUUUGACGCUGCUCUGCUUCCCUCGCUGCAGCCUCUACUUCCCUCGCUUUAGCCUCUGCUUCCCUCGCUGUAGCCUGUUCUUCUCUCGCUGCCGCCUCUGUUUCUCUUGCCGCCGCCUCUGCUCUAAGCUGCUACUGGAGUUCUUCAUACUUUCGUUGAACCUCAGCUUCUCUCGCUGCUGCAUCUGCUUUAAGUUGUAGCUGGAGUUCUUCAUAUCUUUUUUGAACCUCAGCUUCUCUCGAUGUUACCUCUGCUUUAAGUUGUGUAAUUUGCUCAGUUGUUGUCGCUUGCAUCUGAGCCAUCUGGUCUCUUAACCUCUGAACCUCAGCUUCAGCUCGACUCCCCGAAGGCAUAUAUUGUUACGAGCUAGAUCCAAAAUAUUGGGAUGGGUUAACAAAAGAUCCUUGAAAUCGAACCCGACCAUACCUUCAGGACCCAAAACUUCAGUGAUAAUCCGGUUAUCAAUGUCGUCAAUAUGAACAGAACUAUCACUGGAAACAAUCGCUUCGUACUCCGCCUUUUUAUCCUUUAAUUUUUCCUAAAAAAUAAAUCAAAUAGUUAGGAACGCAAUAUAUAUUAAAAAACCCAAUGCAACAUAACUUAACAAUAUUUGCAUUACAAUAAAUGAAAUAAAUCAUUAGAAAAUAAACACUAUAAAUAAUUAAAACAAGUGAAAUUGUAUUAAGCAAAGGUACCAUAAUUUCUGCAGCUUCAGGAGUCAUAGGGUUUCCAUCUUUCUUCCUAUGUGUAAUGUCAAAAAGUUGAAGGCGUCCAACUUUUGACCGGACGACAGUUCCUACAAUACAAUAGUAAAAAUAUUAAUGUAAGUAAUAAAUAUCUGCCAAUAUUAAAAAAUUGAAAAUACCUCUGCAUGAGCUACACACGUAAAACUUUUCGACCCAGCUGUGUGAGUGAAUUUUUGUUGCUGCCUACUUUUUUUUUUCAACUUCUUCACGAUCCUACAUUAUGAAAUUAUUAGUAUGUUAAUUAGGAAAUACCAUAUACCAAAAUAAUUACAAAAUUUUAUAAGCUACACAUACCUCUCCUUUCUUCGAAGUCCAAAAUCUAACGACCUCUUCCCACUGGUACCUCAGCAUUCCCGGCGGGACAUUUUGUAAUCUCUCGUCGAGUUUUGUUUUUAUCUUAAAAUAGUCUUUCUUUAAAGUGCUCUUAUGGUCUCUCCAUCUUUUUCCCAAUGCCUUCUUUACAUAAGCAUCGAAGACCUCUAGAGCAAAUCUCGCCUACAAAAAACACAACUUAAGAAAGUAAAUGUAAACGAAACUUAAACCCAAGUAUUAUAAAUGACAUACACAUUUUGUUACCUUAAUGUUAUCGAGAGCUUGGUUCUUGUUACUCUCGGGCACUUUAUGCCAUGACUCGAAGUUAAUUGUCAACAUAUUUGCAUUCCAUGCUAGAAUGCCCAUGUAUCCUGCUAAAAGGCGAGCUUCUGAUUCAACAGGCUGACCAAAGCUAUUACUGGAUACUUGGACACGCUCGGCUGGAUCUAGGUCGUAUAAAUCGCUCAGUACCGUACAUCCGCGACCUCUCCGCGUCCCACCAGUUUCAUCUGAAAAAUAAAAGUAUUGUAAUAUACGAAAUUUAAAAAAACACAAAAAAGAAGUCAACACACAUGUAAAUUAAAUGUUAAAUUACUUUGAACUUCUAUAGGUUCCUCAGGUGUAACCGGAACAUUCGAAGAUCCAACAGCAGUCUGUUGUUCAGUGCUGUUUGUUUCCGCCGAGUUUGGAGUACCUUGAACAAUGCAGUGCGAUCGUACUUUUCUUCUAGGCAUUUUAUCUGCAAUACAAAUAAAUUAGUUAAAAACUUAGUAUACAAUUAGAACAAUAAUAUCACAUAUAAAAUAGUUGAAAUAUCAUCAUUCGUAAAUGUAAUUAGAUAAUCGUAAAAGCUUACUACAUUAUAAUUCGUAAAUCUCUUCAUUCGUAUCCUGGCGGACCCAUUGAAAUUGUGUACUAGUACUAGGGAUGUUUUCGUUUAAGUUCUGUUCUGGAAAUGGCAAAGUUUGUGUUCUGUCGUCAAUGUCAUCUCUACUUCCACUGCCCAUGUCAAACAAGUCUCUAGGGAUGUUACGGAGUACAACGUACCAACCCUCAUCAGUUGGGUCUUUUGAGUAAAAAACUUGUUUGACUUGAGAAGAAAAUACAUACGGCUCAUCAAUCAAUUGUUGUCCUGUGUGAAUCAAUUGAGCGAAGUUUACCAUUGUGAAACCAAAUUGAUCUUGCUUGAUUCCACGUGCAGUAUUAACAUCGGCCCAAUCACCUCGAAAUAAGACAACUUUCCAUUUGCCGUAGUAAUCCAACUCAAUUAUGUCAGUAAGAAGUCCAAAAUAUUCCACAUUUCCCUCCAUAGGAUUAUUGUCCCUAGCACUAGCAUAACUUGUAAUUGAGGAAUUAACCACUAUUCCACAAUUUUGCGUUCUCCUCAAUCUCUCGCGGUAUUUUGUAUAAAAUCUGAAUCCAUUUAUGAGGAACGCACUAUAUCUUUUAACCACCCGAUUUGGACCUUGGGAAAGCCAUUUAACAUCGUCCUUGACAUUCUUCCCACUCCAAACCUAUUGAAUGGAAAGUAAACUAACUGAGUAAUUAAAAAGUUUCUGUAAACAACUUAUUGAUAUCUCGAUGUUGUGUUCUUCGGGAGCGCGAACGAGAUCUAAAUAUUUGUUUGUACUCACUAUGUUAAAAAUAUGUUCAGUUUGUUAGACUAUAAACAAUUUUAAAAUCUUGAAUAUUUAUCAAAUUUCUAGAACUUACUUGCGUAAAGGUUUCAUUGCUUCGUGGUGAAACAGAACAUAUCGAUGUGCUUGAACCCACGAUAAAUCAUCUAAUUUUGCAAUUUCAACUUUACCAAUUGGUUCUCCAAAACUUUGGAACAAAUAAUUAUCGGCAAAGUUAUGAUCCGUGAGUCCAGCAUUUCUAUUUGGUCUGUUGAACCUCGUUUCAACAUCUUUAAAAUAUCUUGAACAGAAGGUCAUACAUUCCUCUGCCAAGUAGCCUUCAGCAAUCGAUCCUUCUGGAUAACGCUUAUUGCGGCAAUAAGACUUUAAUUUGGAUAGGAACCUAAACACGGUAUACAACAUUAUCAAAAGUUGUAACUAAAGGCAUAUAGGUGAAUGAAGGAAAAUUUUAAAAAUACUUCUUUAACACCUUUCUAUGGGAUACAUCCAUCGAUAGAAAACGGGUCCGCCAAGAAUUGCUUCGUGCGGGAGAUGAAUUAUCAAGUGAACCAUAAUGGUGAAGAAGGAAGGUGGGAAGAUUUUCUCCAUGUUGCAUAAGGUCAAAGCGGCUCGAUCCUGUACCUUCUGAAGUUCUUGAACAUCCAAAACUUUGCCACAAAUGACUUUCAUUAUGUUGGAUAGUUCAAUGAUACAAGACGUCACCUUCUUGGACAUACAACAUCGUAGAGCAACUGGCAUUAAAUCUUGCAUCAAGAUGUGAUAGUCAUGUGAUUUCAGCGAAUAUAAUCUUCGAUCUUUAACACUAACACAUCGAGAUAUAUUUGAUGCAUACGCAUCUGGAACCUUUAUAUCCUUCAACACCAUGCAAAACAGUUCUUUCUCCAUCUUGGACAUUGAGAAAAUAGAAGGCGGCAACCGAUAUUUCCCAUUCGGAAGUGGAUUGGGAUGAAGUUCAGGCUGAAUUCCCAUUUGGACUAAAUCAAGUCGACUCUGAAGAUUGUCUUUUGAUUUUCCAUCGACGUUCAAAAUUGUACCCACAAUGUUCUCGCAGACAUUUUUCUCAAUGUGCAUAACAUCAAGAUUGUGUCGUAAAAUGUGGUGCUCCCAAUAAGGCAACUCAAAAAAAUACUUCUUUUUUUCCACAAGUCUGCCUCAUUAGGAUCAUCCUCUUCAUCGGAGUUGUCAUCAGCUUCAUCAUUUGAUAUUCUAUUUCUUUGCGUGUUUGCCGGUUGAUUCAUCUUUCCAUAAAUGAAAUUCAUAUCUUCCAACAUUAACAAGAUUUCAGAUCCACUUGUCUGCGAAGGAGCUUCUCUGAACUCUUCAGUACCGUCAAAUGCUGAACUAUGAGAUCUAAAUCUAUGAUUUUUCGGUAACCACCGACGAUGCCCCAUGUAAGAGAACUUCUUCCCAUUGUAUAACCAUUGCGAACAUGUUUGUGCAGCACAACAAGGGCACGCAUAACGACCCUUGGUACUCCAACCAGAUAAAUUGGCAUAAGCGGGGAAGUCAUUAAUGGUCCACAUCAAAGCUGCACGUAAAUUAAAGUUCUCAUUUCUCAGCACAUCGUAUGUCUCGACACCAGCCCAUAAUUGUUUUAACUCUUCAAUAAGUGGCUGUAAAUAAAUGUCGAUAUCAUUCCCGGGCCCUUUCUCUCCAGGGAUAAUCAUAGAUAAGAUAAGGGAAUAUUGCUUCAUGCAAAUCCACGGAGGCAGAUUGUAAGGAACAAGCACUACUGGCCAAGUACUGUAUGCAGUACUCAUAAUCUUGUAAGGAUUAAAUCCAUCAGAUGCUAGGCCAAGCCUCACACUCUUGGGAUAGCUUGCAAAGCUUGGAAAUUUAUUGUCAAACGAUUUCCAAGCUAAAGAAUCUGCCGGAUGCCUUAAUAGUCCAUCAUCGGUUCGUCCUUCAUGGUUCCACGUCAUUGACUCCGUUGUCUUCAACGACAUGAAAAGCCUUUGAAGCCUUGGUAUCAGUGGAAAAUACCGCAAAAUAUUUACCGGCUUCUUUCUUGGCUGUGCAUAAUUUUCAUCGUUGUUCCCAUCUUCUAUGUUUCUAUUCAUCCAACGGGAUUCGCCGCAUACAUGACAGCACUGUUGGUUUCUCCGAUCGCCCCAGUACAACAUGCAAUCAUUUGGGCAACUAUGGAUUUUGUUGUACCCAAUACCUAAGUCUUUUAUCAUUUUCUUCAUAUCUUUGCAUGACUGAGAGAUUUUUGCAAACGGAAACAUUUCUCUCAAAAACUCUAACAGCAUUGUCAAUGAGUUCCCGGUCCACCCUCCCAAACAUUUUAACUGGAAAAGAUGAAUGCAGAAAGACAUUUUAAAAAAUUUCGAUCCCUCAUAUAGUUCUUUGUUCAUCUCAUUAAGUAGCGCGUAGAACUUUGCCGCUUCUUCAUUCGGCUCUUCAUGAUGUUGGUUUCUUCUGGGUUCGGUAAAAGCAUUUCCACCGAGAUUACAAUCAUCAAAUGGCACAAAGUCGGGUGGGAACGACUGUAAACCAUGACUGUAAAUAUUAAAUGCUUCCCGCAACAUCCCUUCCAUGUCAUCCCCUCUAACAGACUGAUGGUAAGCAGUAGUAUCAUAAGAUACAUCCUUCCUUGAAGAGGAAGUACUAGGUGGGCAUUCUCCAUGAAAAAACCAUUGUUUAUAACCACGAACAAACCCAUCAACAAUUAGAUGCUCGUAUACAACUUCACGAUAAUGCCAGUUUAUGUUGACACACUUCUUACACGGGCAAAGAAUCAUGUUCUCUUGGCUUGCAUAUUGAAAUGCAAAAUUUAGAAAAGUUUGUACUCCAUUUCGAUAACCGAUGCUUACCCUUGACAAUUUCAUCCAAGACCGGUCCAUUUCUUAUUUCUUGAAGCCUAAUCUCCUGUAUAAAUUGCACGGGUUUAGGAUUUAGGAAUAAGUAUAGUUAAGCUAUGUAAGUAUUUCCUAAUUAUGUAAGUUAUUUAUUACCCAAACUAUGUAAGUUGUGUAUUAUGAAAAUUAUGCUAGGUAAGUUAUGUAAGUCACAUAAGUUAUGUAAGAAGUUAUUUAUGUAAGUUAUUUAUUAUGAAAAUUAAGUAAGUUAUGUAAUUUACGAAUAAUUAAAAAAAUGUAAGUUAUGUAAGUUGUAAGUUAUGUAUAAUAUUAAUUAACUAACUUAUGUAAUUUAAGUAUAAUAUUAAUGUAAGUUAUGUAAGUUGUAAGUUAUGUAAGUUAUGUAUCGAAGUUAACUAACUAACUUAUGUAAUUUAAGUAUAAUAUUAAUGUAAGUUAUGUAUAAUAUUAAUGUAAUUAGUUAUGUAAUUUAUGUAUUUUAAUUAACUAACUUAUGUAAUUUAAGUAUUAUUUUAAGCAAUUUAAUAAUUAAUAGCAUGUGUAAGCUUACACAUUCUGUCAAUGAUCUAAUGUAAAGUCUAAUACAAAAAAUUGCUUGCCAAGGCUUACUGAUUUGAAACUGUUCAUCAUUGCGGAAUUUGGUACUUCGGAUUAGAGUCAAAUUUAUACUUUCACUAUAUUUAAAUAUGGAAUUUUGCUACUGCACAUUCCAUUUCAUUGAUUUAUAAAUAAAAGAAUUAAGAGGAUUAGAAUAUUUCAUGGAACAAUUUGUUAAUGUUCAAUAAUGAUUUAUGUUCACUAACACAAACUUAAUGAAAUAUUCAGAUUAUUAGUUUGAAUUGAUUGAUUUAAUUAGUGAAAUAAGGUGAUUCUAGAAUUAAUAAUAUCAUUUUCAUUAUUAUGAUUGGUGGUCUGCAAAUUAUUCACUCUGACAAUUAAAUUAUUUUGACAAAACUUACUAUUUCCCUCUAAAUCAUGUAUAUUCAUGAAUCUUGAAUUUGAUCCCAGUGGAGGAAAAUUUUCAUUUUAUGGCUAUGAAUUUGGAAGAGUUGAAGUUCAUCUUCAUCAAAGAGAUGACAAAGCUAUUACCUUGUCACAGAGGAAGGUAGAUCAAUUUGCCGUGAAGAAAUUUGUCAAAAUUUAAAUCAAGUUAAUGGCUUAACAAUUGAAGUAACGAAUGAUACAGAAGCAGAGACAAAUGAUGUAGAGGCAGAGACAAAUUUCAUGAUUGAAGUAGAAUGCUCAAGUUAGGUUUACGGGUUCAAAAAUUACACUCUAUCACAUUCAACUAUAGAACCAAAAGGGGGAAAGGGAAGAAAAACAAUAAGGCAGAAAAUAAGGAAUGAGAAAUUGAACCAAAAGGCAUAAAAUAUAGAAAUAGAAGGAAUGCAAUAAGAGAUUCCAGAAAAAGAGAAAAACAGAUUUGCAAAGAACUAUUUGAAAAUGAAAGUAUAACCGCAAAACUGAAAUGAUUUGAAAUCCAACCACAAACUUCAGACAAUUUCACAUGAACUGAAUCAAAAGGAAGUUGCAAACGUAAAAUCAAAUUACAAAAAGUAAAAGAAGUUUCUAAUUAAAUGAUAAAAUCAAAUCACAACAACAGAAAAGGUUGGCUCAGUUCGAUGUCAGAGAAGAAACGGAAAGCUUACCGUAGUUUCUGUUCGCCGGCUUCUAACGAUUGGGCUUUCUCAGUUAGAAGAAAAGGGGAAGUUCUGAAAAGUGAAAUCUCGUAAAAAUCAGAAAUAAUUAGAAUGAAAAAAAACGUGGCUAAUUUUUAUGACAGAAAUAAUCAGAAAUCUCGCAAAUUGCCCAUUCCCAAUCGAUUCAUCGAAUAAACAAUUUUUUAUGACAGAAUCAGUUUAUUCGAAACCCUGGAUCCCAAAAAAACAAAACUCUAAAAUUUUAAUCUUAAUCGGCCAUCGACAGAAACGACUUACCUGGGAUACAAAUCUCGCAGCUUUGCCCAACAAUGGAGUAAAGAUUGAUUCCAAACGAAGUUGAUUCCUGAGAUGUCGGCUCCUACAACUUAGUUGCUAAUUUUUUUUCUUUCCUCUCGAAUCGCUGCUGUUACUCUACAAAAAUUUAGAAAAUUUUGGUAAAGGAGACGGAGGGGAGGGAUGAAGUAAAAAUGUCCUCUUAGGAAACGGCACCGUUUAAGGUAAUUUUAAGUCUCAUUUGCAGCGUUUUUAAAACAAACGCCUCUAUUGUAUUCACAUUUGCGGCGUUUUAGACAGAAACGCCACUAAUAUUUUAAAGCAUGUAAAGAAACGGCGUCGUUUUAAUAAAUUAUAGUGCCUGUUGUGGCAUUUUCUGAAAAAACGCCACAAAAAUUAAUUACCUGAAUUGAACCGGCGCCGUUUUUACAAACACUUAUAUAUCCUUGCGGCAUUUUCAAUAAAACGCCAGUAAUAGAUUCUAUACUUCAACUGAAACGGUGCCGUUUUCCUAAAUUUUAAAAUUUAUCCAUAAACUGAAACGACGUCGUAUCAAAACAGCUUGGAAUUUUUUUGUGGCGUUUUUUUAUAAAAACGCCGGUAAUGUCUACCUUUAGCGGCGUUUUUGGCAAAACCGCCACCAAGGAAUUUAAAUUCUUUUACCAAAUCGGUGCCGUUUUGGAAAAUUUGUAUAUAUAUUAGCGGCGUUUUUUCUAAAAAUGCCACUAAAUUUCACAUUAUUUAUUUAUUUAUUGUAUUUUCAUUAAAAUUUUUGGUAAAUAAUUAUUAAGUUUAAAGUAAUCUUUAAAAGUUUUUGAUAAAAUUAACAUUAUUAGUUUUUUUAUUUCCUUUUUAUAUUUUUUUAUUUUUUCUUAUAUUUUGGUUCAAAUUAAAUAAUUAAUUACAUAUAUAUAUUCAUAUAAAAAUAUCAAAUUGUUAAGGCUAAAUAUUUUUCAGACAUUUUAGUAUUAAUUAAUUGUCUCAUUUAACAAGUCUCAAAUAUAAUUGUAUCAAUUAGUAUGGUAGUGACGAAAAAUUGGGGAAACAAAACCGCGCGGCCGGGCGGUCAAUAUAUAAAUUAAUAUAUUUUAGAAAUAUAUACUCAUAAUUUAAAUAUAUUUAUUUUAUUAUUAAGAACAUAUUUAAUAUAUAAAUUAAUAAAACUAAUUAAUCUGAGCUUAAACCUUAAUAUGAUCUAAACCUUAAAUCACUAACUGUUAACCCUAAACCCCAAACCCCCCCAAACCCCAAACCAUAAACCCCUAAACCCUAAACAUUAUUUAAUAUAUAAGUUAUAAAACAUUAAUCAAUCUAAAUCCUAAACCCUAACUCGACCUCGAAUCACUAACCCCAAACCCCUAAACAUUAUUUAUUAAUAUAUAAAUUAAAAAAACACUAAUUAAUCUAAAUCCUAAACCCUAACUCGACCCCGAAUCACUAACCCCUAACCCCUAAAAAUUAUUUAAUAUAUCAAUUAAAAAACACUAAUUAAUCUAAAUCCUAAACCCUAACCCUAAAUCCCUAACCCCUAAACAUUAUUUAAUAUUAUAUAAUUUAAAAUAUAUAUUACUUAGUCUAAACCCUAAACUCUAACCUAACACCGAAUCCAUAAACCCUAAACUUCUAACCUUUAAAGGUUAAAUUUAGCCUCUAACCCCUAACCCCUAACCAAUAAACCCUAAUUCCAUAUUCUAUAAACCUUAAAAUUGUAACUCUUAAACCGGCCCUAAAUCCUAAAUUAACCAUAUAUAUACCCUAAACUAUAAUGAUAAUUAAAUUAAAUAUUUUAAAAUUAAUACUAUCGUAUCUUUUACAAUUAUAUUUGAAAUUAUUUAAUAUAUAAUUUAAAAAUCAAUCAAUUAUGUACCCAAAAAAUUUUAAAAUUAUUUUAAAUAAUAGUAUUGUAAUUUCUCCAUUUGUAACAAAUAUUUUUAUAUGUUUUUUUUAUUUCAAAUUAUUUCUACGUGUCAUUAUUUCAAAUUUAUUCAUUUUUAACAAAUAUUCAAUUAAAAAUAAAUUGGAUUUUAAUUAAUAUAAAUAAACAAAUUACAUAGCAAAUAGAUAGAUAAAAUGUUUUUGCGGCGCUUUUUAAAAAACGCCGCUAAAGACCUGAGCAUUAGCGGCGCUUAUUCAGAAACGCCGCUGAAGACCCCAAAAACUCAGAAAACGGUGCCGUUGGGCUUAGGCUUUUUGCGGCGCUCUUAGAAAAACGCCGCUAAAGACCUGACCAUUAACGGCGCUUUACAGAAACGCCGCUAAAAGACCUGAGAAUUAGCGGCGCAUUACAGAAACGCCGUGAAAGACCCCAAAAACUCAGAAAACAGUGCCGUUGGGUUUAGGCUAUUUGCGGCGCUUUGAAAAAAACGCCGCUAAAGACCUGAGCAUUAGCGACGCAUUACAGAAAUGCCGCUAAAGACCCCAAAAACUCAGAAAACGGUGCCGUUGGGUUUAGGCUUUUUGCGGCGCUUUUAAAAAAACGCCGCUAAAGACCCCCAAAAACUCAGAAAACGGUACCGUUUAGCUUAGGUUUUUUGCGGCGCUUUCAAAUAAAUGCCGCUAAUGCUUAUUUUUAGCAGCGAUUUUUAAAAAAAUGCCGCUAAUAAUCGACCUGUAGCGGCGUUUUCCUAGAAGCGCCGCUAAUGCUUGAUUUUUAGUGGCGUUUUUUGUCUAAUCGCCGCUAAAAGCGCCGCUAAAAGCCUUUUUUGGUGUAGUGUACAAAUCAUAAAAUCAUAGGAAAUUUCAUAACAAUCAGUCAAACAGAAUUGAGCAUACAUGAUUAUGCCAAUGCGGUGGUUUUCAGAAAAUCAUAAUGCAAUUUUUUUCAGAAAACAUCCUACCCAACACCACUACACACCCGAAUAUAGUUCCCCAAAACUCAUCCAUCUAAAAACACACCAAUUAAGUCAUCUCAGGUUGCCCGAAAACGAUGACCUACCACCUCGAGUUAGUCGGCAAUGAUGACUUAUCAAUUUGCAGUUAAACUACCAGAUUAGAUAUUUGUGAUCAAGCAAUUGUAUUGCAGCUCAGCUACCAGAUCAAAUGUUCCUAGUGUAGUCCCUAACAUUAUUAGGUGUUCUCGGCUCAGUCCUUUGGACUUUAAAAAAAUAGAUUUGGAUAUCCAAUUAAUCAUAAAUUGCCAGGUGGUAUAUGCUGAAGUCACGAUAACAUCAUCAUCAAGAAAAAACCAAAAAAAUCUUUAAAAAAUAUCAUAAAAUUCAAAUAAACUUAUAUAAAAUUAACUACAUUAUAAAUAUAUAAUUUUUCAAAAAAAUAAAAAUUCUUAAUUUUUUUAAAAUUUGUAAAAAAUAAUAAAAUUAUUAGAAAUUGUUAAAUAUUGUAAAAACAUUAUAAAAAUUAUUAGAAUCAUAAAAGACGGUAAAAAAUAAAAAGUUAAAAUACUAGUAAAAAUUGUCUAACUUGAAAUAAAGUAUACAUUUGGUAAUCAAAUUUAAAAUAUUGAAAAUUUGUAAUACAAUCAAUUUUUAUAAAAAAAUAUUUUAAAAUAUUUUAAUAAAAAUCAAAUAAAUUUUAUAUCAGUUUUUUAAUAUUUUAAAAUACAUCAAUUUUUAGUACUUUACCAACGUUACUGGCAGCAAGUUUUUUCUACUCGACUCCCUAUUUAUUGUCUUAAAUAGCUUCCUGCAUCCACCAUUUUGCACAUGGUUUUUCUAUUUUAUACCAAAGCUCUUUAGAAUAGUUAAACAUUCAACAAUAGUUCUUAAGAUAUAAGUUUAGAGACAAAUAAUUAUCUUGAGAUAGUAAAACAAAAUUGAAAUAAUUAAAUAUAUUAUUUACUUGAAAUAAUAUUAUUUUUCAUUAUUUAAAUUAUUUGAGAAAAAAACUUAUUCAAGUUUAUCACGUAAAAAGAUCUACCAAUUAUAAAUUCUGAUUAGUUGAACCAUAAGACAAUUGUUAUAGGUAAUAUCCUUCCAAGAGACAAUUAUCACAUGUUCAAACUCUAGUCAAUGUGAUUUAUAAAAUUUUAAAAAUAUUAAAAUAUCUAAUAUAUAUUUGAAAAUUAUGUAAAUUUUUAUAUUUUACAUAGUUUUUUUUGUAUUUUUCUGAUUUUAGAUUUUUUCUAUUUUUAAAUAAUUUUGAUAAUUUUGUAAUUUUUCGUUUAUAAUUUUUGUCAUUUUUGAAGAUUUUUUAAGGGUUUUUGUUGAUGAUGUCAUUAUGAUAGCAUCAUAUGACAUGUGGUAGUAUAUGAUUUGUUGAAUAUCCCAACGAAUUUUUUAUUGUCCAAUGAACUAAACUGAAAAUUUUUAAUAUGAUUAGGGACUGAAGUGGAUAAAAAUAUUUUAAAAACUAAAGUAUAAAUUUUUAAAAACAAUAUUUUAUAUUGUGAAUUUGGUGUGCAAUGAAUAUGUAUACUAAAAGAUGCUAUUUUACAGGUAAUUUACCACCCAUCACCAGUGCUCCAAAGCUUGAGAUUCUUUUAUUGUGGGGAAAUAAACUUUUCGUGUUUCAGAGUAAUCAAAAUCGCGUCACACAAAGAAGGAAACAAAUUAACCCCAAAUCAUGAAACUUAACAAAGUACGAAUCUUUUCACAUAUUUCUUCCCACCAACCGUCAAGAUUGCUCAAAAACCACUAAUGACAUCGACCUUCGCAAGGUUAAAUUGAAACCAAAAGGCAACUAAAGAUGGAACAAAGGUUGUUAUAAAAAAAUAUUAACAAAGACUUAUUGGAGGAAAAAUGGCGAAAAAUCAAGAAUAGGGAGAUUGGAAAAAAAAAAACAAUGAAACGACAAAGAGAAGGAGUGGGAAAGUGACGGCAGUUUGUGGAGAGAUUUUGGGUAAAUAAAAAGUAACUCACCACUCAACCCAUUAAAUCUGAUUACCCUCUAAACAUAUACCCUUAGAGUUUAAAUUCAACCCAAAUACCGAAACCUUAGGGUAAUUUGAAGCCUUACCACUAAAUUAGUAGGCUCAUCCUUGAAAUUAAUUGAAUGAAAAUAUUAUUUAUGUCAGAUGAUCAGGGAUAGAGGUUAAGACCAAAGAUGACAAAAAUUCAAAGGAAAGAUUUAAACCUAGAACCUCACACACACAAGCAUAACACCUAUCCACUGAACUAGAUUUACUCCAUUGACAUAAUUUUCACAAUAUUAACUAAAAAUUCAGAAUACGGCCACUCUUGGUUUCACUUACCCAAUUUCUUCUAACCUGAUUUUUGUGAUGUGACAACUCUCUCCUCCUUAAAAGAAUUUCAUCCUCGAAAUUCCCGUUAUGGCACCAUACACUUAACCACAAAAUUUAAAAUUCCCUAGUCCAAACCAACCACCAGGCUAUCAUUGUACAACUCUAAUCUCCAUUCAAGUCCAAUCCAGACAAUAUUUCAGAGGAAUUUCCUAUUCACUACCUCGAAUUACCUCAAUAAGCUUUCCACAGAAACAUCACUAAUGAUCCUUUACCCCAGACUUUAAAAAACAUCACUUUCCACAAAAUACAAGUACAAACAAUUCUUAUCAAUGCAUAGUACAUUUGGAACAUUUCAUAAAAGUGCCUGUAUCAUUGUCAAAUGCAUCACGGCUCACUUGAUACCUAGUUGCAUAUCCCCAUCUCGAAUUUUGUUUUUAUGCCGAAGCUUGUACCCAACUAAAACAGUGUCGUGAGCAAUCCCAAACUUGAUGCUCAACGAACCCACAUCUGAAACACGCUCCCAUUUUCCUCCAACAAUCGUCUGAAUGGUGCCUAUCACAGUAAGUAUAAAUCAGAACCUCAACCGCAUUCACAAUUGCGUCACCCGGCUGAAGCCUGUCUAUUUUAGCCCGUUUCCUUGGUCAUGGAUUCAAGUCAAUAGAACCAUCACUCAUCUUAUUUUGCACUUUAUUCAUUACUUAUUCUCUCCCUCCGAGCAAUUACUCUCUACCGCUAACUUGACUUAAUACGCUUGAGGUCACUCAAUCACAGACUCUUGUCCCAUAUAUCCAAAUUGGGUUCCAUCGACCCUUUGCAAAUCUCUAAACACCUCUUGGAACACUGAAACAUCCCUACUUCUAAACUGCCCUCAGAUUUGGGUGUCAUAGCAAACUUAUUUAUUUUCAAAUUGGGCUUACUGCCCUGAGAAGAGAACUCGGCUCAAGUCACCCGACUAUGUCCACCACGCCCUCGCACAUCAUGACCUCGAGUAUUCAUUAUACUAAUCUGCAGUUUGAGAAAUUUUAUGAAUUAUCUUAGGUUUAUUAAAAAUCAUAAGUCUAGAGUUUUAUCAAAGUUUCUUACAUAAUUACCAUAGUCUUUAGCUAGAGUAGAGUAAUCCUAGCACUUAAGUUUUGCUAGUUUGUCUAGUAUAGGUAAAGUAAAGAUACUUACAGGAUCGACGAUGUAGUUUUGGAUUCUCUUUUUAUAGAAUCAAAUAUAAAAAUAAUCAAAAUCUAAAUACCCAUUUUAGAAACCCAAAGUAUCAAAAUUAAUUAGAAAUUCAAUUUAUUUAAAGCAUAUUUAAUGGAGAUUUUCAAACCUAGAAAUCACAGCCCGAGUUUUGUUACCUUGCUCUGAUACCACUAAAUGUAACACUCCAAACUUGGCUUAGACGUUAUGGCCAAAUCUGGAAGGUUACAUCAGUACGAAAAAAAAUUAUUUUUCUAAAGUGUGGUUUGUUACGAAAUUGAAAACCAAAUUUUAUGUAAGUUCGUCAUGAUUCCCUAAUAGGAAAAUUUGUAAAUUAUCAAAAUGUAAAUGUGAACAUAUUAAUUAUUAACUUAAAAAAAACAAAACCUAGCCUUAUACAAUCAAAAUGCUAAAAUCAUUUGCUUUAUAAAACUUGUAAUUUUGACUAAAAUUUUUGCAACGAAAAUUCCAAACUAAUAUUCGUAAAUUGUAAUUUUGUCAAGUAAAAACGUUUUAUUUAGCCGAUUGGGCAUAUUUUAAAUUUACGUUAUUAAAUUUUGUAAAAUCUCAAUUCGUAUUUUUGUGGCAAAAAAAUCUUGGCUCGUAUAAUUUUGAAAACCCAACAUUGAUUGUUGAGUAACACAAAACAUACAGAACAAAAGACUUUAACUAAGCCAAAGAAACCCAAAGCAAAAUUAAAUUUGAGAAAUUAAACCAAAAUCCAAAAGUCCAAUAAAUCCAUUUAUUAACCAGAGUAAACCAUUUAAUUAGAGAAUCAAUUCAAGCUUCCGCACACUGUCCGAUUCUAACUUAUCGAUUAUUUGAAACAUCAGAAAUAAAACAAAUGGGUAAGCUAUAGAGCUUAGUGCAUAACUAAAACUCAAGCCGAGAUCACACACAAUACAAUAUACAAAUCAUAAAAUCAUAGGAAAUUUCAUAACAAUCAGUCAAACAAAAUUGAGCAUACAUGAUUAUGCCAAUGCGGUAGUUUUCAGAAAAUCAUAAUGCAAAUUUUUUCAGAAAACAUCCUACCCAACACCACUACACACCCGAAUAUAGUUCCCCAAAACUCGUCCAUCUAAAAACACACCAAUUAAGUCAUCUCAGGUUGCCCGAAAACGAUAACCUAUGACCUCGAGUUAGUCGGCAAUGAUGACUUAUCAAUUUACAGUUAAACUACCAGAUCAGAUAUUUGUGGUCAAGCGAUUGUAUUGCAGCUCAGCUGCCAGAUCAAAUGUUCCUAGUGUAGUCCCUAACAUUAUCAUCAAUUAAUCAUAAAUUGCCAGGUGGUAUAUGCUGAAGUCACGAUAACAUCAUCAUCAAGAAAAAAACCAAAAAAAUCUUUAAAAAAUAUCAUAAAAUUCAAAUAAACUUAUACAAAAUUAACUACAUUAUAAAUAUAUAAUUGUUCAAAAAAUAAAAAUUCUUAAAUUUUUUAAAAUUUGUAAAAAAAUAAUAAAAUUAUUAGAAAUUGUUAAAUAUUGUAAAAACAUUAUAAAAAUUGUUAGAAUCAUAAAAGACGGUAAAAAAUAAAAAGUUAAAAUACUAGUAAAAAUUGUCUAACUUGAAAUAAAGUAUACAUUUGGUAAUCAAAUUUAAAAUAUUGAAAAUUUGAUAUUAAAGUUGUAUAUAGUAAGACAAUCAAUUUUUAUAAUUUUUUUUUAAAAAUUUUAAAAUAUUUUAAUAAAAAUUGAAUAAAUUUUAUAUCAAUUUUUUAAUAUUUUAAAAUACAUCAAUUUUCAGUACUUUACCAAUGUUACUGGCAAUGAGUUUUUUCGACUUGACUCCCUAUUUAUUGUCUUAAGUAGCUUCCUGCAUCCACCAUUUUGCACAUGGUUUUUCUAUUUUAUACCAAAGCUCUUUAAAAUAGUUAAACAUUCGACAAUAGUUCUUAAGAUAUUAGUUUAGAGACAAAUAAUUAUCUUGAGAUAGUAAAAAAAAAUGAAAUAAUUAAAUAUAUUAUUUACUUGAAAUAAUAUUAUUUUUCAUUAUUUAAAUUAUUUGAGAAAAAAACUUAUUCAAGUUUAUCACGUAAAAAGAUCUACCAAUUAUAAAUUUUGAUUAGUUGAAGCAUAAGACAAUUGUUAUAGGUAGUAUCCUUCCAAUAGACAAUUAUCACAUGUUCAAACUCUAGUCAAUGUGAUUUAUAAAAUUUUAAAAAUAUUAAAAUAUCUAAUAUAUAUUUGAAAAUUAUGUAAAUUUUUAUAUUUUACAUAGUUUUUUUUGUAUUUUCUGAUUUUAGAUUUUUUCUAUUUAUAAAUAAUUUUGAUAUUUUUGUAAUUUUUCUUUUAUAAUUUUUGUCAUUUUUGAAGAUUUUUUUAAGGUUUUUGUUGAUGAUGUCAUUAUGAUAUCAUCAUACGACAUGUGGUAGUAUAUAAUUUGUUGAAUAUCCCAAUGAAUUUUUUAUUGUCCAAUGAACUAAACUGAAAAUUUUUAAUAUCAUUAGGGACUGAAGUGAAUAAAAAUAUUUUAAAAACUAGUGUUAAAAAAGUGAUAUACUUCAGGGACACAGCAUUAACAUUUUCUAAAAGAUGGAAGUGUUUUUGUUUUUUAAGGGAAUAGAAUUUUUUUGAGUGAAUAUGGUUUUGUGAGGGAGUAGUAAUAUUAUUAUUAGAGACAAGGCAUUUGAUUUUUAUAUAACUUUUUAAUUAAGUCAAUAUCACUCAUUGAGUAAAACCCAACAUAUUAAGCACAUUAUUAUACUAAUUUAGAUUAAUAGGAAUGAUCAAAUUUACAAUUAAGGAUUAUAAAUUUAUUUAAUUCCAAUCUUCUACCUUUUUUUAAGUUAUAAGAAUGGUUUUGCCUUAUAUUUUCUCCAAAUUGAGAUUUAAUUUAUAAUUUUAAUUUUGAUAUAAUUUAGUUUCUCAAUUUUUAUAAUGCAAUUAAUUAGUUUAAAUACUUUAUUUUAAUCAAAAUGAUUAUAUUAAUUUUAAAGCAUUGUUAUCACUAUUAAAAUUCUUUACUAACAAUUAUUUAAAAUUAAGGUCUAUUGCUUUUGUUUUAGCUUACAUAUAGAUGUUUACAAUAUAAAUUUCUUUGUAAUUUUCAAUACAUAUUACUUAAAUAAAUAGAAAAUAGAGUUUUAAUAAUGCACAACCAAAUAAAUUUUAUUGAUGUUCUAUUAUUUUGAUUUCUUAGACUUGUAUAUAGGGAAAAUAAAGGACUAUUGCCAUUUAAUCGCUUUAAAACAAUUUUAAUGAGCUCUAGUCAUGCAAGAUUACCAUUAAAUAGAAUACUCAUAUAGAAGGAUUUACUAUUUUUGUUUCUCAAAUCACAACUAAUAAUUGUUCAUAAUUUCUUAUUUAGUGUCAUUUUUAAGAUUUAUUAGAUGACAAUUUUUCAUGCCAAUGUUUUAUUUUUAUUUCAUUUAAAGUUUCACAAUAUUUAAAAAUUAUAUAUUUUGUAAAUUUGAUAUUCAAUCAAUUUUAGAUCUAAAAAGUAAUAAUGAUUUCAACCCCAGGCCUGAUCUAAGAAUAGUUUUAGUUUGGAGUACAAUAUAUAUAUACUAAAAGAUGGAAUUUUUACAAAUAACUUACAAAUCUAUCAUUAAAUCUAAUAUGAUUUCCUCAUUUUUUUAGAGUCACAAAGAAGCCGUUCAAUUCAGAUAUCGUACUUUCCUUUACUACGACCAGCUUACUACCAUAUACGCAAGAGAUCGAGCAACUGGGAAAGAUGCUCAAACAGCUGCUGAUGUUCUUGAAGAAAUAAAUGCUGAGGAUGUACGUACUACAGGUAUGGAUGAAGAAAGGAGCUCAUUCUAUGACUGCGAAGCUGACAUCUCUUUGGAUGACAUGGAUGUUUCUGCUGCGGAGCCACAAGAGAUAGAGACCAAGGGGGUUCCUCAUCUUCAAACAAGAGAAAGAAGAAAUCUGAUGCUCGUGAUAUGUCUUCUUCAUUUGAUGAGGCUGCCACUUUAUUGGCCGAAAACAUCAAGGUCGUUGGCGAUCAAAUCAGUAGGAGUAUUGCCUCCGAGGUGGUAAUUCAGCAGAAGUCAGAAGAAUAUCAAAAGAUGGAAGAGAAAGCUUCAAAUUUAUAUUCAGCCUUAUGGUCAAUUGAAGGUUUAACCGACUAUCAGCGGUAUGAAGCUUUGAGUAAAAUUCCAGAUCAUCCAACUCAAAUGAUCGUUUUCUUUAGUUUACCUUCUGUUGCCCGAUUGGAAUGGGUCAGAAGAUUUCUUUCUUACCAUUAAAUAUCAAUGUUCAAACUUUUUGAUGUUGUAAAACUAUAUAACAUAUGGAUUAUGAUGUAGAAUUUCAUUUUCAUCUAACCUUUUCUUAAUAUAAGUUAAUUAUGUUUAUGCAGAAUAUAAUUCUCAAGUUAUAUAUUGAUUUUAGUAAAUUCAUAUAAGAACGUUUUAUUAUUAAGAAUUUUAUGAAAUUAUAUAUCAUUAUUAAAUUAUAUUUAAUAUUAAUUAUUUUAAAUUGUAUAAAUUCAUAUAAGAAAAUUUAUUAUCAAGAAUUUUAUGAAAUUAUAUAUUAUUAUUAAAUUAUAUGUAAUAAUUAUUAUUUUAAAUUAUACAAAUUCAUAUAAUAUAAUUUAUUAGUUAUAAUUAUUUUAAAUUUUAUUAAAUCAUAUAUUUUAAUUAAAAUAUAUUUGAAAUAUUAUUUCAAAUUAUAGUAUCAUAUAUUAUGAUUUGAGUGAAUUCAUAUAAGAAUAUUAAUUAUUAAGAAUUUUAUUAAAUUAUAUAUUUUAAUUAUAAUAUAUUUAAUAAUAAUUAUGUUUAAAUAUGAUUAAAUUAUUUAUUAUUGAUAUUAAUAAUCUUAUUAAAAUUUAAAUAACAAUAACAAUAAUCAUUUACCAAAACAAAUUUAUGCUAAGGGUAUUCUAGUCAUUUUAGUUUUUUCCAUUAUGCUAUUACACCUCUAUUACAUUCAACCAAACACAAGAAUACUAUUAAGCCUCUAUUCCAUUACAUUCAACCAAACAAUUGAUUUGCUAUUACACAUCUAAUCCAUUACACCUCUAUUUCAAUACAGCGAACCAAACGUGCUCUAAAUGUAACACCCCAGACUUGGCCUAGACGUUAUGGCCAAAUCUAGAAGGUUACACCAGUAUGAAAAAAAAUUAUUUUUCCAAAGUCUGUUUUGUUACGAAAGUGAAAACCAAAAUUUACGUAAGUUUGUCAUGAUUCCACGAUAGGAAAAUUUGUAAAUUAUCAAAACGUAAAUGUGAACAUAUUAAUUAUUAACUUAAAAAAAAACCUAGCCUUAUACAAUCAAAAUGCUAAAAUCAUUUUCUUUGUAAAACCUGUAAUUUUGACUAAAAUUUUUGCAACGAAAAUUCCAAACUAAUAUUCGUAAAUUGUAAUUUCGUCAAGUAAAAACGUUUUAUUUAGCCGAUUGGGCAUAUUUUAAAUUUACGUUAUUAAAUUUUGUAAAAUCUCAAUUCGUAUUUUUGUGGCAAAAAAUCUUGGCUCGUAUAAUUUUGAAAACCCAACAUUGAUUGUUGAGUAACACAAAACAUACAGAACAAAAAACUUUAACUAAGCCAAAGAAACCCAAAGCAAAAUUAAAUUUGAGAAAUUAAACCAAAAUCCAAAAGUCCAGUAAAUCCAUUUAUUAACCAGAGUAAACCAUUUAAUUAGAGAAUCAAUUCGAGCUUCCGCACACUACCUGAUUCUAACUUAUCGAUUAUCUGAAACAUCAGAAAUAAAACAAAUGGAUGAGCUAUAAAGCUUAGUGCAUAACUAAAACUCAAGCCGAGAUCACACACAAUACAAUAUACAAAUCAUAAAAUCAUAGGAAAUUUCAUAACAAUCAGUCAAACAGAAUUGAGCAUACAUGAUUAUGCCAAUGCGGUGGUUUUCAGAAAAUUAUAAUGCAAUUCUUUUCAGAAAACAUCCUACCCAACACCACUACACACCCGAUUAUAGUUCCCCAAAACUCAUCCAUCUAAAAACACACCAAUUAAGUCAUCUCAGGUUGCCCGAAAACGAUGACCUACCACCUCGAGUUAGUCGGCAAUGAUGACUUAUCAAUAUGCAGUUAAACUACCAGAUUAGAUAUUUGUGAUCAAGCGAUUGUAUUGCAGCUCAGCUGCUAGAUCAAAUGUUCCUAGUGUAGUCCCUAACAUUAUUAGGUGUUCUUGGCUCAGUCCUUUGGACUUUAAAAAAAUAGAUUUGGAUAUCCAAUUAAUCAUAAAUUGCCAGGUGGUAUAUGCUGAAGUCACGAUAACAUCAUCAUCAAGAAAAAACCAAAAAAAUCUUUAAAAAAUAUCAUAAAAUUCAAAUAAACUUAUAUAAAAUUAACUACAUUAUAAAUAUAUAAUUUUUCAAAAAAUAAAAAUUCUUAAUUUUUUUAAAAUUUGUAAAAAAUAAUAAAAUUAUUAGAAAUUGUUAAAUAUUGUAAAAACAUUAUAAAAAUUAUUAGAAUCAUAAAAGACGGUAAAAAAUAAAAAGUUAAAAUACUAGUAAAAAUUGUCUAACUUGAAAUAAAGUAUACAUUUGGUAAUCAAAUUUAAAAUAUUGAAAAUUUGGUAUUAAAGUUGUAUAUAGUAAUACAAUCAAUUUUUAUAAAAAAAUAUUUUAAAAUAUUUUAAUAAAAAUCAAAUAAAUUUUAUAUCAAUUUUUUAAUAUUUUAAAAUACAUCAAUUUUUAGUACUUUACCAACGUUACUGGCAGCAAGUUUUUUCUACUCGACUCCCUAUUUAUUGUCUUAAAUAGCUUCCUGCAUCCACCAUUUUGCACAUGGUUUUUCUAUUUUAUACCAAAGCUCUUUAGAAUAGUUAAACAUUCAACAAUAGUUCUUAAGAUAUAAGUUUAGAGACAAAUAAUUAUCUUGAGAUAGUAAAACAAAAUUGAAAUAAUUAAAUAUAUUAUUUACUUGAAAUAAUAUUAUUUUUCAUUAUUUAAAUUAUUUGAGAAAAAAACUUAUUCAAGUUUAUCACGUAAAAAGAUCUACCAAUUAUAAAUUCUGAUUAGUUGAACCAUAAGACAAUUGUUAUAGGUAAUAUCCUUCCAAGAGACAAUUAUCACAUGUUCAAACUCUAGUCAAUGUGAUUUAUAAAAUUUUAAAAAUAUUAAAAUAUCUAAUAUAUAUUUGAAAAUUAUGUAAAUUUUUAUAUUUUACAUAGUUUUUUUUGUAUUUUUCUGAUUUUAGAUUUUUUCUAUUUUUAAAUAAUUUUGAUAAUUUUGUAAUUUUUCUUUUAUAAUUUUUGUCAUUUUUGAAGAUUUUUAAGGGUUUUUGUUGAUGAUGUCAUUAUGAUAGCAUCAUAUGACAUGUGGUAGUAUAUGAUUUGUUGAAUAUCCCAACGAAUUUUUUAUUGUCCAAUGAACUAAACUGAAAAUUUUUAAUAUGAUUAGGGACUGAAGUGGAUAAAAAUAUUUUAAAAACUAAAGUAUAAAUUUUUAAAAACAAUAUUUUAUAUUGUGAAUUUGGUGUGCAAUGAAUAUGUAUACUAAAAGAUGCUAUUUUACAGGUAAUUUACCACCCAUCACCAGUGCUCCAAAGCUUGAGAUUCUUUUAUUGUGGGGAAAUAAACUUGGCGGAAACAUUCUCAAUUCUAUCUCCAAUGCUUCCAUGCUUAAGAAACUAGACUUGGCACAUAACUUAUUCUCUGGCCCAAUCCCUAAAACAUUUGACAACUUAAGACACCUUGAAUGGUUCCAAAUUUCAAACAAUAAUUUGAUCAAAGGACCUGCUACUGAUCAUGAGUGGACCUUUCUUUCUUCUUUGGCAAAUUGCAAGCACUUGAGAAUAAUAGAUGUUUCAAGAAAUCCAUUGAGUGACGUUCUUCCAACUUAUAUUGGGAACCUUUCAAAAUCCCUUCAAUACUUUUAUGCCUCUAAUUGUGAGAUUACAGACAAUAUUCCUAUGUAAAUAGGUAGCUUAAGCAACCUAUUGCUUUUACAACUUGGCUAUAAUAAAUUAAGCUUUAUUCCAACACCGAUAGGACCAACUUUCCUCUAAUAAAUUAGAGGGGCCUAUAUCAGAAAGCCUUUGUGGUUUGGAGAGAUUAUACUACUUGUAUUUAAGGCUGAUUAGGUUGCAUGGAUCCAUACCCUCUUGUAUGGGUAAUAUUUCUUCUUUGAGAUAUCUUUACUUAGAUUCCAACACAUUGAGUUCUACAAUACCCUCAACUUUGUGGAAUCUUAAAGAUAUCUUAAAAAUAGAUUUAUCAUCAAACUAUCUUUACAAUUCACAUGCUAUAUUGAUGGUGGAGAUUUGAGGAGUCUACUAAAACUAAAUUUACCAAGGAAUCUUCUCACGGGCAAUAUCUUAUCCACAUUUAGGGGUCUUCCAACUUUGAUUUCAAUAGAUUUAUUAAAUAAUAUACUACAUGGUCAUAUCCCUGGAUCAUUAGGUGGUUUGAUUAGUUUGGAAUUCUUGAAUUUAUGCAAUAACAAUCUCUCUGGAGCCAUUCCCAAAUCUUUGGAAAAGCUUUUAGAUCUAAAGUAUUUUAUUGUGCCUUUCAAUAGACUUGAAGAGGAAAUUCCCACCGAGGGAUGUUUUUCAAACUUCUCUAGCACAUCAUUCAGGAAGAAUUUUGCACUUUGUGGUCCACCUAGAUUGCUACUCCCACCUUGCAAAAACGACAUCCAAGAAAACUCCCAAAUGAAUAUAUUGCAUGCUUUAAGGUAUGGUUUACCAACAAUUGGUAUUGUCGUAGUACUAAUAGUCUUAACUAUUAUGUACAGAAGAUGCCAAAGUAGGAGUACAACUCUACCAAUUAAGGAUGAUUUGUUUUCUUUGAAAACGCUGAGAAGAAUUUCACAUGCUGAACUUUCACAAGCAAUUAAUGGAUUUGAGGAAAACAAUAUGCUUGGUUCAAGGAGUUUUGGAUAUGUAUAUAAAGAGAAGCUUUCAGAUGGAAUGGAAGUUGCAAUAAAAAUUUUCAAUUUGCAAACAGAAGAAGCAUUUAGGAGUUUUGACAUUGAAUGCGAUGCUAUGCGUAAUAUAGAUCAUUGUAAUAUUGUGAAGGUCACUACUUGCUGCUCAAGUGUUGACUUCAAAGCCUUGGUGCUUGAUUACAUGUCUAAUGGAAAUAUUGAGAAAUGGUUAUAUUAUUAAAACUAUUUCCUUGAUAUCAUACAAAGGGUUGACAUGAUGAUAGAUGUUGCGUCAGCGAUAGAACAUCUCCACAACGGGCAUCCAACACCUAUAAUUCAUUGUGACUUAAAACCAAGCAAUAUUUUACUAGAUGAAGACAUAGUUGCACAUGUGGGAGAUUUUGGCGUUGCCAAAUUGUUGGGAGAAUGUGAUGUAAUGAAGCAGACCAUGACUAUUGCAACAAUCGGGUAUAUGGCACCAGGUGAAUUUUUUUAUUUAUGUAUUAUUAUUUUUCUAAUAUGGAUUUUAUAUUUUGUUUGGAUAUAUAUUUGAAUAAUCAUUUUAGAAACAAUUAAAGAUUAACGAUGCUCUAAUUAUACUUGAAAUGCAAAAUUUGGAUCAACAGGAAUUGUUUCUAUAAAGUGUGACAUCUAUAGUUAUGAGAUUGUCCUUAUACAAACUUUCACAAAGAAAAAGUCAACUGAUAAUUUUUUGCUGAAGAAGUGACUAUAAAGCAUUGGAUGGAAAGUUCAUUGCCAAAGGAGCAUGAAAAUCCCCAAAACCCUAAAUUCUCUCCUUCUAGCAAUGAAGAGAUGGUGAGAGGAAAGGAAAAAAAAUCACGUCAAAUGAAAAGAAAAGAAAAAGAAAUUGAACAAAAUUAAAUUUAUGUGGAAAUUGUUUUAAUACUUUUAAUUUGAGUUGGAAAAGGUUGAUGAUGGGGCAUAAAAUAAUUGGAUAGGACCAUAUUUGAGGUAGUGGGAAAGGUCCAAUAUGGAAUAAUUUUUCUAUGUUAUCAAAUAGAUGAAUGAUAGUAAUUGGGAUCAAACUAAUGAUUUGGAUGAUGUUAAUGGUUAAUUUGGUGGAGAGGGUGGAAAAGAAACAAAUAAUUCAUUAUAUGUAAUAUAUAGUAAGUUUCAUACAUAAAAGUUUCAUACAAGGUUCAAAGGCAACUAAAUGACUUGUAAGUUAGUUGAACUUCUUUGAAAGGCGCAAAGGCAAUUGAACAUUUACAAAAUAGUCUGUAAAUACUGUAGACACAAAUCAAAUCCAUGGGAGCAUUACAAUUGGUUAAAUUGAGCAUUGGCAGAAAUUCCAUCAUAGGAAAUAUUGGCAAAAUCGUCUAUUGAAUUAGAAAAACAACAUAAUCCAUGAAACAUAGAUAGCCCAAUACAAACGUCAUCGAGAAAAAAAAGUCUUUUUGUUUUAUAGCACAUGAUAGUAAAGCAUGCGAAGUUUCAUUCUUCUUAUUGGCCUCCUUUAGUUUUCCUUGAUCAACAACCACUAGCCAAAAACACAAUUAGAUUAGAUUAUAAAUGAAACAUUCAAUUAUGAUAAUUUAAAUAGAAAACACCCUAAAUAACUCUAAAUAAAUGAAAAGUAGCAAAUUACCUGGUGAGGCAGGCUAGCUCAAUUAAGAGCACCGUUGUGUUAGACUUGUCUAUGCAUUAAACAAUCUAAAAGAAAAUGAAGAAAAAGACUUAGAAAACACUUGAAAAUUGACAAAAUUUUUAUGCCAUUGACUGGUUAAACUAUGAUCACCCAUAACAGAUCUUGUAUUUGAGUUUUUGUUGAGGGAGAUCAAGUCCUUCAAGAAAAGUUUUCUAAGUGCUGUCUGUUAGGUAAUCGCUGCUAUCCUCAACAAAAGAUAUUGUCCCCAUGUCAAGAUUUUAUCCUCAGCCUUCAUGGAAUAAUCAUGGAGAUUACAUGUGCAAGGAUUCAAACCACCAACCAAUACAUAUGUAGCAUUUACCUUGGAACCAUCUCCGUGAAUCCACAAGGUUCUUCACGGAAUCAAGAGACAAAACCUCAACACAAGAAUAAUACCAUCUAUUGAGGGGUCCUUUAACACAACAAAUGAAAUUCAUUCAUUUUUUUAAUCAAAGUAAAUAUCAUAUUUAAUUGGGGAAAAGCAACAAAAAAUCUAACAAUAAAAUCCUUAGCAAAAGAUUAAAACACAUUUAUAUCGUAAAUGACAUAAGAAACUCCAAUCUAACAAAGAAAAUAACUUGAUGCUCCAAAGCUACCAUAUACUGUAAUUCAUGGGAAGGUCUGAUGCUCAUUUUAUUGGUUUCCAUCUUGAUUUUGCAAAAGAAGUUUGAAUUCUGAAGAGAGCAAAUGAUUGAGCGAAAGAAAAAAAUUUAGUUUAUUAAUUUUCACAAUUUAUAAGACAAACCUUAUGGAGACAAAUAAUGACAUAUUAGAUAUUUGUGAUUAAAAGUCUAGAAUAGAUUAAAAAUGUUGAAUUAAUGAUAAAAUUAAUAGUGAAUUAAUAACAACAAGCGUACUGAUUACUUAGCUUCUUUGUUAAACAUUUUUGAUGUUGUUUAACAGCCUUCUUUUGAUUUUCUUUAGCUCAACGACAAAAUCUUUCAUAUCUUUUCUUUCUUCUGGUAACUCAGCUGAACAAUUCAAAGCCAACUCCAUGAUGGAUGAAAUACAAUUUGCUUUAACAACAAUGUACUCAUCCUCUCUUCUUAGUAAAUUAACAUCUGCAAUUUCUAUCGCUCCUUUAGGCAAUGAACUUUCCAUCCAAUGCCUUAUAGUCACUUCUUCAGCAAAAAAAAAUUAUCAGUUGGCUUUUUCUUUGUAAAAGUUUCUAUAAGGAUGAUCCCAUAACUAUAGACGUCACAUUUUAUACAAACAAUUCCUGUUGAUCCAAAUUCUGCAUUUCAAGUAUAAUUAGAACGUCAUCAAUCCUUAAUUUUUUCUAAAAUGCUUAUUCAAAUAUAUAUCCAUAUACGCAUGAAACAAAAGUAUAAAAUGCAAAUUAGGAAAAUAAUCAUACAAAAAAAAACAAGUAAUGACCUUUACAAUAUUACUAUGAACAAUAUUACGCAUAGCAUCACAUUCAAUGUCAAUACUCCUAAAUGCUCCCUCUGUUUGCAAAUUAAAAACUUUUAUUGCAACUUCCAUUCCAUCUGAAAGCCUCUCUUUAUAUACAUAUCCAAAACUCCUUGAACCAAGCAUAUUGUUUUCCUCAAAUCCAUUAGUUACUUGUGAAAGUUCAGCAUGUGAAAUUCUUCUCAGCGUUUUCAAAGACAACAAAUCAUCCUUAAUUGGUAGAGUUGUACUCCUACUUUGGCAUCUUCUAUACAUAAUAGUUAAGACUAUUGGUAAUACGACAAUACCAAUUGUUGGUAAACCAUACCUUAAAGCAUGCAAUAUAUUCAUUUGGGACUAGCAAUCUCGGUGGACCACAAAGUGCAAAAUUCUUCAUGAAUGAUGUGCUAGAAAAGUUUGAAAAACAUCCUUCGGUGGGAAUUUCCCCUUCAAGGCUAUUGAAAGACACAAUAAAUACUUUAGAUCUAACAGCUUUUCCAAAGAGUUGGGAAUGGCUCCAGAGAGAUUGUUAUUGCAUAAAUUCAAGAAUUCUAAAUUAACUAAUCAAACCACCUAAUGAUCCAGGGAUAUGACCAUGUAGUUUAGUACUUAAUAAAUCUAAUGAAAUCAAAGUUUGAAGACUCCCAAAUGUGGAUAAGAUAUCGCCUGUGAGAAUAUUCCUUGAUAAAUUUAGUUUCAAUAAACUCCUCAAAUUUCCAACAUCAAUAACAUGUGAAUUGUGAAGAUGGUUUGAUGAUAAAUCUAUUUCUAAGGUAUCUUUAAGAUUCCACAAAGUUGAGGGUAUUGCAGAACUCAAUUUGUUGGAAUUUAAGUAAAGAUAUCUCAAAGAAGUAAUAUAACCCAAACAAGAGGGUAUGGAUCCAUGCAAGUUAUUCAACCCUAAAUACAUCUCGUAUAGUCUCUCCAAACCACAAAGGCUUUUUGAGAUAGGUCCUCCUAAUUUAUUCGAGUGAAAAGUUAGACUUUGGAGAUUUCUCAUUCCUCCUAUUGAUGCUGGAAUAAAUCCACUUAAUUGAUUAUACCCAAGUUGUAAAAGCAAUAGGUUGUUUAAGUUACCUAUUUCCAUAGGAAUAUUUCCUUUAAGCUCACAAUUAUUGGCAAAAAAGUAUUGAAGGGAUUUUGAAAGGUUCCCGAUAUAAGUAGGAAGAACAUCACUCAAUGGAUUUCCUGAAACAACUAUUCUUCUCAAGUGCCUGCAAUUUGCCAAAGAAGAAAGAAAGGUCUACUCAUGAUCAAUAGCAGAUCCUGUGUGUUAGUCAUAUAGUUUAAUUUAAUUUUAGUUAGUUAGUUAGCAGUUAUGUUUCUGUUAUUUUCUUACUGUUAUUUCAUUUCCAAUUUGUAUAUAACAACACCUUUACAUCAAAUAUAAUUUGAGCAAUUUUCUUUUACUCUUAUUCUACAUGGUGUUAGAUGUAAAAUUCUUCUAUUCUCUAGCAUUUUCUUGCAGUUAUAAUUUUCCUACACUUUCUUGCUUCCCAAACACUCUGUCUCUUUGAUUUUUUUCCCUACGAUGUCACUCCAUGAUCCUAUGCUACCUUCUUGUCCUUAUUAUCUUCAUCCCAAUGAAAAUCCAACCUUAAUUCUUGUUUCUCCUGUCCUAUCUAGCUCAAAUUAUCAUUCUUGAUCUCGAGCAAUGACAAUGGCGCUUUUGUCCAAGAACAAGCUUUAGUUCGUUGAUGGCACCAUCACAGUUUUGCUCCCAACAGAUCCUCUUUAUUUAGCCUGGGAACGGUGUAAUACUAUGGUGCUUUCUUGGCUGCAUCACUCCAUCUCGCCUUCGAUCAUGAACAGUAUUCUUUGGCUCGAUUUUGCUAUGCUGUUUGGUACGAUCUCUGUGAACGUUUUUCUCAAGGAGAUGUGUUCCACAUUCUAAUCUCCAAGAAGAGAUCAAUGCUUUCAAGCAAGAUGACCGCUCGGUCACUGAUUACUUUACUGAGUUGAAGAUUCUCUGGGAUGAGUUGAUGAAUUUUCGACCGAUUCCCAUCUGUUCUUGUCCAACAUCUUGUUCUUGUGGUGUUUUUGCUACUCUUCAGAAAUAUCAUGAUAAUGAUUAUGUUAUUCAAUUUCUUAAAGGCCUUCAUGAUUGUUUUGCUGUUGUUCACUCUCAAAUUAUGAUCUUUGAUACGUUGUCUCUGAUCAAUAAAGCUUUUUCUUUGGUCAUUCAACAGGAACGCCAUCUUACUACUGGAUCUUCUCAAGUGUUUGUUACUAACACACUGCGCCAACACUCUUCUUCCAAGAAAUCUCAAGCAAAAUCGUUUCCUGACUCAUGGUAGUGCACCUUUUGUGAUAAAUCUAGGCAUACUGUUGAUACCUGCUAUGAGAAACAUUGUUAUCCACCUAGUUAUAAGUCUUGUGGUCGGGUUUCUCAUGCACACACAGUGCUUAAUGAUGGUGCUACACAACACUUGAACUCUUCACAGUCUAUUGCUAUCUUGCCAUAUGAUUUUUCUGUUACUUUGACACAAGACCAAUUACAAUAGCUGCUUUGAUUGCUUCCAUCUUCCAACUCUCCCUCCCCACCUCAUGUUACCAACACUAUCUCUUCCUUACAUCAAAUGCCUUCUACAUCCUCAAGUAACCUCUUUUCCUUUCAAUCCCACUAUUGGAUCAUAGACACUGGUGUGACUGAUCACAUUACACACUCUUUAUCCUUCUUUGCCUCUUUUCAUUCAAUUAAACCUGUAUAUAUCACUCUUCCAAAUGGCACCAAAGUCUGUGCUCGAAUUUCUGGUACAGUCAUUUUCAGUGAUAGCCUUUAUAUUACAAAUGUUCUUUAUGUUCCUCAAUUUACUUUCAACCUCUUAUCUGUCACUAAACUUACUGCUACAUUACCUUGUUCAUUUACUUUUCACAAACUUAUUGCUCCUUACAGGCCCUUCCCUCUUUGAAGAUGAUUGGUACAGCUAAAUUUUUUCAUGGUCUUUAUAUUUUGGACUCCCCAGCUCAAACCUUCUCCAUUCCCUGUUGGUGCUGUAACUGAAACUAACAGAUUCAGUACAGACUUGUCGAGCAAUUCUCGAGACUUGCUGAGCAAAUAAGAGAAUUCGAGCAAGAGAAAGGAAGAAAAGCUAAGAGAAAAUGAAGAGAAAAAUUGAUGAACAAACUGAACUUCAUUCAUAAAAUUGACUAAUGGCAUAAUGCCAAUACAUAAACCAAGCACUAAGCUUGUCAAAAACAGCAAAUAAUUACCUAAACAUCACCUACUCCCACUAAUUACAUGGAAACUUGAAAUUUUAGCUUGUAAACCUAUACAAAGUUGUGUUUACAGCUCAUACAUAAGCUAAUUACAUCAGUCAACAACCUAACUUAGUUAGAAAUGAACUAAGAUUACAUUUCAUUGACUAGAAAUUACAAAAUAAAUAAAAUAAGCUUGCAUCAGCAGCUCCUGCAUGUCUUGGUCUUCAUGGCCUGCAUGCUGUCGAGUUUGCUGCAUGCUGAACCAACUUCAUCACUCCUCCUUGGUUUGCAUGGAGCAAACACCUAACUUCUUCCUUAGACAUUCGAACCUUGUGACACUAAGGGCUUUCGUUAAAAUGUCUGCAAGUUGAUCCUCUGAAUUACAGUGGAUCAGCUUUACUUCUUGAGCUUGCUCCAUUUCUCGAACAACAUGUAACUUGAUGCUAAAAUGCUUUGUUCUUCCAUGGAACAUUGGAUUUUUAGCAAUUGCUACUGCAGAUUGGUUGUCACAGAAGAUCUCAGUAGCUUCCUCUUGAUGCACAUUCAAGUUAGCCAAUAUUUUCCUUAGCGAUAUGGCUUGGUUGACAGCACUUGCUGUUGCCACAUACUCUGCUUCAGCAGUAGAUUGAGCCACUAGACUUUGCUUCUUCGAGCUCCAGCAAAACAUGGCUGAACCAUGGUUAAAAGCAUACCCUGAGGUGCUUUUCAUGUCAUCUAUCGAGCCAGCCCAGUCACUAUCAGUGUAGCCAACCAGCUUCAGAUUUCCUUCUUUGCUGUACUUCAAACCAUAGUUUAAAGUGCCUUUGACAUAUCUCAGCACUCUCUUUGCAGCUUGGAAAUGCUUCUCAUUGCAGCAAUGCAAGAACCUUGAGAGCAAUCCUACAGCAUACAUGAUGUCUGGUCUAGUGGCAGUCAAGUAUAGCAAGCAACCAACUAGACUCCUGUAGGUUGUUUCACAUACUUUCUCAAAAUCACCUUGGCUCGAUAGUUUUUCUCCAACAGCAAUAGGUGUUUUAGUUGCCUUGCUGUUUUGCAUGGAGAACUUGGUCAGAAUCUUUGAGGCAAAGCUUCUCUGGCUUAGAAAUAUCUCAUUCUGUACUUGAGACACCUCCAUUCCAAGAAAAUAGGACAUCUCCCCAAGAUUAGACAUUUCAAACACUUCCUGCAUCCUGGUCUUGAAAUCAGCCAGCACUACUCGAUUUCCUCCUGUCACCAGAAGGUCAUCAACAUACAGGGACACAAUGAGUUGUAUUUGUGUCCCUUGUUUCUUGACAUAUAGUGUUGGCUCACUCUUGCUUCGAUCGAAUCCCAGAUCAGUCAAGUAGCCAUCGAUUCUGCUGUACCAAGCCCUUGGAGCCUGUUUUAAUCCAUAUAGGGCCUUCUUCAGUUUGUAGACCAUAUGCUCUCUGCCAGCUAUUUCAAACCCUUGUGGUUGUUCAACAUAGAUGUCUUCAUCUAAGAAACCAUUCAGAAAGGCUGAUUUCACAUCAAGUUGAUGGAUUUUCCAUUCGAGCUGUGCUGCUAAGGCAAUCAGCAGUCUGAUGGUGUCGAGCCUGCCCACUGGUGCAAAGGUCUCCAGGUAGUCCAGGCCGUACCUCUGACUGAACCCCUUGACAACUAGCCUUACUUUCAGUUUGUUCAAGGUUCUAUCAGCAUUGUGCUUGACUUUGUACACCCAUUUCACCCCAAUCACCUUCUUUUUGACUGGCCUUUCAACCAAUUCUCAGGUCUGGUUCUUCUCAAUCAUGCUGAUCUCCUCAGCCAUUGCCUGCUUCCACCCUUGCUGAGCCUCAGCCUCUUCAAAGUUGCUUGGUUCAGCUAUGGCUACAUGAGCCCUUUCAUAAAUCUCAGUCAAUGGCCUUGUUCCUCUAACUGGUUCAUCAUCAAUGUCCAUUUCUGGAACAUUUUGGUCUGGCUCAGCUUGGUCUGUUGCUAGUUCUUCAGAAACUUCUUCAGGUUCAUGUCUUUCCUAGUUCCAACAUGACCUUUCAUCAAAUACCACAUCCCUUCUAAUUGACACCUUAUUUGUUGAAGGAUCCAAGAUCCUAUAGCCCUUCUUAACAGUGCUGUAGCCCACCAGUACACCAGGUUGAGCCCUUUCAGACAAUUUGUCCCUUUUAACAGCAGGUACAUGUGCAUAACAGAUGCAUCCAAAGACCUUCAGAUGAGCCAGUGAUGGCUUGAAGCUAAACCAGGCCUCGAAUGGAGUCUUCUGAUCCAAAGCCUUGGUUGGAAGUCUAUUUUGAAUGUAUGUUGCGGUGUUAACUGCUUCUGCCCAUAGUGCUUUAGGUAGAUUCUUCUGAAUCAUCAAGCACCUAGCCAUAUCCAUCAAACUCCUAUUCUUCCUUUCACUUACACCAUUCUGCUGAGGUGUAUAUGUGUUGGUAAGUUGAUGUUUGAUGCCUGCCUUAUCACAGAAGGCUUGGAACUGAGCUGAGGUGUACUCAGUCCCAUUAUCAGACCUUAUGGUCUUCAGCUUGCAGCCUGUUUCAGUCUCAGAAGUAGUCUUGAACUUCCAAAACACUGAGGCCACUUCAGAUUUUUGUUUUAAGAAGUAAAUCCAGCAAUAUCUUGAAAAAUCAUCAAUGAACAGUAUAAAAUACCUGUUUCCACUUAAUGACUCAGUCUUCAUAGGGCCACACACAUCAGUAUGCACCAGUUGGAGUUUUUCAGAGGCUCUCCAGGCUUGAUUCGAGGGAAAUAGGAGUCUGGCCUGUUUUCCUAAUUGACAUGCUUUACAUACAUCAUCAUGGUCCACUGAGUUGAUGAAAUUUUCAGCCAGGUCCUCUCUGACCAUUCGGGCCAUCGAUCUGAAGUUGGCAUGUCCCAGUCUUUGAUGCCACAGCUUGGAUUCAUCUGAAGUGGCUGUGUAGGCAAUGUCUGACUUUUUUGUCCAGUCAACCACAAAGCUCUUAUCAGCCAUAGGGACUGCCAUCAGUUUGGAUCCACUUGGAUCACUGAUUUGGCACUGGUGGUCUUUAAACACAACUGAAUAACCUUUUUCCAGCAAUUGAGCUAUGCUGAGCAGGUUUCUGUCAAUUUCAGGCACCAACAGCACAUUUGAAAUCACUUUGGUACCUGUAAGGGUGCAUAUCAGAACAUCAACCUUGCCUUCAGCUUGAAUAAAAUGACCAUUUCCUAUCUUGACUUUAGUUCUGUAGCUUCUGUCUAAAGACUUGAAGAUUGCAGCAUCAGGUGUCAUGUGGUUGGUGCAUCCACUGUCUAGGAGCCAACCAGAUGAGGACCUUUCCUGAGCAGCUGAGCAUGACACAGCAAAGACUUGCUCCUCUUGAUCACUGUCCUCCUUAGCUACUCGAGCCUCAACUUUCAUCUGUUGAAACUGAUUCUGCCUCGAUUUGGUCUUACUCUUACAGACUCUCUCAACAUGACCCUUCUUCUUACAAUACUGACAUACAGCUUCUAGAUUAAACCAGCACUUUUCUUCUGGAUGACCAACCCUUCUGCAGUGCUUGGCAUCAUUCUUUGGUUUGUCUCUCCAGGCCUUCUUGCCUUUGUAAGCAGUAUUUGUUCUUGCCUGAAAGGCACAUUCUUGGUGCUCCUCCAGUCUGCUUGCUCUCCUCUACUCUUGAGCAUAUAGAGCAUUGAUCAACUCUAUCAGGGAGAUGGUGGACAGAUCUCUUGAGUCCUCGAGAGAUGAGAUUUUUGCCUCAUACCUCUCAGGCAGAGUUGCUAUAACCUUCUCCACUAUCCUAGCUUCAUUGAACUGCUCUCCAAGGAGCCUGAUGCUGUUAACCACAGCCAUAAUCCUGUCAGAAUAUUGCUUGAUAGUUUCUUCUUCCUUCAUCUUCAAAUUCUCGAAAUCUCUCCUCAAGUUUAACAACUGUUGCUGCCUUGUCCUCUCUGUCCCUUGAAACUCUUCCUGCAACUUGUCCCAGGCCUGUUUUGGUGAUUCACAGGCCAUAAUCCUUGUGAAAAUCACAUCAAACACUGAAUUCUGGAUGCAAGACAUGGCUUUGUGCCUCUUGGUCCUCUCAUCAGCAUACUGCCUGAUCUGAGCCACUGUUGGAUUGCCUCUAAGUGGUUCUGGUUCAACAUCUAAGUUGACCACCUCCCACAGAUCGUAUGCCUACAGGUAGGUCUUCAUUUUGACCACCCAUAUGUGAUAGCCUUCUCCAUUGAAGACUUGAGGUACAGCUGGUGAAAAGCUUGAUGAAGCCAUGUAUUUGUAUAACAGAUCCCUUAAGAAAUAGGCUCUAGAUACCAAUUGUUGGUGCUGUAACUGAAACUAACAGAUUCAGUACAGACUUGUCGAGCAAGUCUCGAGACUUGCUGAGCAAACAAGAGAAUUCGAGCAAGAGAAAGGAAGAAAAGCUAAGAGAAAAUGAAGAGAAAAAUUGAUGAACAAACUGAACUUCAUUCAUAAAAUUGAAUAAUGGCAUAAUGCCAAUACAUAAACCAAGCACUAAGCUUGUCAAAAAUAGCAAAUAAUUACCUAAACAUCACCUACUCCCACUAAUUACAUGGAAACUUGAAAUUUUAGCUUGUAAACCUAUACAAAGUUGUGUUUACAGCUUAUACAUAAGCUAAUUACAUCAGUCAACAACCUAACUUAGUUAGAAAUGAAAUAAGAUUACAUUUCAUUGACUAGAAAUUACAAAAUAAAUAAAAUAAGCUUGCAUCAGCAGCUCCUGCAUGUCUUGGUCUUCAUGGCCUGCAUGCUGUCGAGUUUGCUGCAUGCUGAACCAACUUCAUCAUUCCCAUUCCCACUACCUUGUCAGCUACCACCCCUUCAUGUUCCCUUUGGCAUCAUCAUCUCGGUCACCUUUCUGAUUCUAGAUUGAAGCUACUUUCCCCUUACAUUCCUUCUUUGUCUAUGAUAAAUAAUGCAAAUUGUACAGCAUGUCAUUUGGCAAAACAAAAGAAAAUACCUUUCCAUGUAAGCACUUUUGUUUCCAAUAAAAUAUUUGAACUUGUUCAUAUUGAUAUUUGGGGCCCGACUGAAGUUGUUUCUAUCACUGUUCAUCAUUAUUUUUUAACCAUUGUUGAUGAUUUCAGUCAUUUUACUUGGAUCAUUUUAUUGAAAGCAAAAUCUGAAGCUCGUACUCAUAUUCAAAAUUUUUCCACACUUAUUGAAACUCAAUUUUCCUCCAAAAUUAAAGUCAUUCAAACUGAUAAUGGCUGUGAGUUUGCUAUUCCAGCUUUUUAUGCUUCAAAAGGUAUUAUUCUUUGAACCUCAUGUGUUGAAACUCCACAACAAAACGUUCUUGUUGAACAUAAGCACCAACACAUUCUUAAUGUGUCACGGGCUCUCUUAUUUCAUUCUGGUCUACUUAAGCAUUUUUGGGGACAUGCUAUUCUUCAUUCUAUUUUUCUUAUUAAUCGCACCCCAACUUCUCUUUUGGCUAACCUUACACCUUUCGAGAAACUAUACCAAACUAAGCCUAAUUUUUAGCAUGUAUGUGUCUUUUGUUGUCUUUGUUUUGCUACAACCCUUACUGCUCAUCAUCACAAAUUUGAUCCUCGAGCACGUGAGUGUGUUUUUCUUGGAUUUCCACCACAUGUUAAAGGUUAUAUUCUUUUUGACCUGUCAUCUCAUGCCAUAUUUGUCUCAAGAAAUGUCAUCUUUCAUGAGCCAGUCUUUCGUUUUUCUCAUCCACCAUCUCCUUCCUCCACCCCACGAUUGACCUUUGACCCCUCCAUUACUUAUGAUUUGCCACCUCAACCACAAGUCCCACCUCUUGCUCCCUUCGUCUUAGGAAACCACCUUCUUAUUUAGACCAAUAUCAUUAUUUUUUAAGCAAUGCUACUACCAAUCAUCCUCGAUGCCUUACACCCUUUACUCUUGCCAUUAAUGCUUCUUCUAUACCUACUACAUAUUUACAAGCUAGUAAAAUUUCCCAUUGGCGAGAAGCAAUGCAAGUUGAAAUUUUUGCUCUUGAACAAAAUAACACUUGGAUCAUUAUGGACUUACCUUUAGGCAAGACUGCAAUCGGUUGUAAAUGGGUUUAUCGAGUGAAAUACCGAGCUAAUGGUUCUAUUGAACGUUACAAGGCCUGUUUGGUUGCUAAGGGGUUCACACAAAUCGAGGGUGUCGAUUAUUUUGAUAAUUUUUCCCUGUCGCAAAGCUUACCACCGUUCACUUGUUACUUGCUAUUGUUGCUUCUAAAAAUUGGCUUUUGCACUAGCUUAAUGUUAACAAUGUGUUUUUGCAUGGAGAUUUGACUGAAGAGGUUUAUAUGCUUCUACCUCCUGGUUUUGAUUCAUCAACUCUCAAUAGGGUUUGUAAGUUGCAAAAAUCCUUAUAUGGUCUAAAGCAAGCAAGUUGACAGUGGUUUGCUAAACUCACAUCAGCUCUUACUUCUCUUGGUUAUAUUCAAUCCAGUUCUGAUUUCUCCUUAUUUGUUAAAAAGGAUGACAUUUAUUUUAUUGCAUUAUUAGUUUAUGUUGGUGAUGUUAUUCUAGCUGGUGAUCAUUUCGAUGAAAUAUCAAGAGUUAAAGCCUUUUUGGAUUCUACAUUUAGCAUCAAAGACUUGAGUGAUCUAAAGUAUUUUCUUAGCCUUGAGGUUGCUCGCAGCUCUGCUAGUAUUCAUCUUUGUCAACGAAAAUAUGCCAUAGACAUACUAUCUAACUUUGGUUUCUCAGAUUGCAAGCCUGGUAAGACUCCAAUGGCCACCAAAAUUCCUCGAGAUGCCUCUGCAGAUUUGCUUCCUAACAACACUCUUUUCAGGAAACUUAUUAGUCGCCUCUUGUAUCUGGUUUCCACUAGACCUGAUCUUGCUUUUGCAAUUCAACAGUUGAGUCAAUUCUUGGACUGACCUACAGUCAUUCAUCUCCAAGCUACUCAUCGAGUUCUUCGCUAUCUGAAUGGCUGCCUUGAUUUUGGUCUCUUCUUUUCUACUUCUUCAUCACCUGUACUGAAGGCUUUUAGUGAUUCUGACUGGGUUGGUUGUCCUCUCACAUGCCGUUCUGUGACUGGUUAUUGCCUGUUUUAUGGUGAUUCCCUUGUUAGUUGGAAAGCCAAUAAGUAAAGCACUGUGUCCCAUUCUUCCUCAGAGGCAGAAUAUCGUGCCCUUGCCUCUAUUAUUUGUGAAAUUCAGUGGCUUCGAUUUCUUUUAUGUGAUUUGCACUUGUCUAUUUCUGGUCCUACUACCUUGUUUUGUGACAAUAAUUCUGCUCUUCAGAUUGCUGCAAAUCCUACGUUUCAUGAAUGUACUAAACAUAUCAAAAUCGACUGUCAUCUUGUUCGUGAAAAGGUGCAGUCCGGUGUCGUUAAACUGCUUCCUUGUUCUUCCAAGGAUCAACUUGCUGAAAUCUUCACUAAAGCUCUUGCUACUGUUCCUUUUCAGCUUAUAUUGUCCAAGUUGGGAUUGUUUCCCAUACACUCUCCAGCUUGAGAGGGGCUGUUAGUCAUAUAGUUUAAUUUAAUUUUAGUUAGUUAGUUAGCAGUUAUGUUUCUGUUAUUUUCUUGUUGUUAUUUCAUUUCUAAUUUGUAUAUAACAACACCUUUACAUCAAAUAUAAUUUAAGCAGUUUUCUUUUACUCUUAUUCAGCACUGUGAUCAAAUUAUUAUUUAUGAUUCGGAGCACUUCAAGGUGUCUUAAGUUGCCAAGCGUUUUAGGAAUUGGGCUAGAGAAUAAGUUAUCUUCCAAGGCUAGAUUCUUAAGCAUGAAAGCAUUGGAGAUAGAGUUGGUAAUUGAUACGAGUCACAAAAGCCCAAAUUCUUGAAGGCGAGGCCCAAUAAGCAAAUUCCCAGCCCAAUCAAGAAAUCCAUACAUACUUAGUUGAAAAUCUGGCCAAAUUAUCAAAGUGGCCCAAGUUGUAAUUUAUGUAAAUAUUCAGUCCAAGAGUCCCAAAUAAAGACCUUUGACCGAAUUUCCAUAUUAAAAUAAUUAGGAGUUUUUUUAUUUUAGUUUUCUAAUUAGAUUAGGACUAGUUAUAAGGCCUAUUUAAAGGCAUGGCUGACCACCUUGUAAAGAACUUCUCAAUGAUAUCAAAAAUAUCAGAUUUGUUUAAGUGCAGAAUUCUCUUUGAGUUUUUCUCCAAGAAUCCUCUCUUGAGUUUUCUUUAGAAGUUGUUUUAACAAUCUUUUGAUUGUGGGAGCCAUCUUCAGCCUUCUUCUUGCCAUUGACAUUCUUUGGAGGGGAGAUUAGAGCCGUUUGAAGGGAGUUGUGAGAUCUUUCGGGAUUUCAAGGCUUCUUAGGACUUAUCUUUUAAUUUCUUGUUGUCAAUUCUUUCUUUAUUUCUGCUUGUGCUGAAUCUGUAUCUAAUUUAUUUUCUGUUCUUAUUGUGUUUUCAGCCUUUUUUCUAUCUUAAGGAAUCACCCCAAAAAUCCCCAAUUUCCAGGGUUCUUCCAUACUCUUUUUGAGUGAAAUUAGAUUGUCAAAAUUUGGGGAAAAACUAUCUUGGUGUUCAAUUGGGCAGAAUCGCAAUCUCCUUUAGGGUUUCAAGAACCCUUAUUAACACUUAUUUCUAUUUUCAAUUUGAUUCUUUGCUAAUUUGGGGAUUUUAUUUCAGAUCUGGAAAUUCAAAAUUCUAAUCUUUUAAUUUUCUGUUUCGUUUCAGAUCUGAUUGUUUAGAGCUUUCAUAGGAGUUUCCCGUGACUUGACGACUCGAUCUUGGUCCGCGCGCAACCCCCGUAUCAGUAAUAUUUCAGCUAAAUUUAUUUCCCCACAAUACAAGGUUCUCAAGUUUUGGAGCAUUGGUAAGGGUGGUAGAGUACCUGCAAAAUAGCAUUUUAAUAUACAUAGUCAUUGGAUACCAAAUUCACAAAAUAUAUAAUACAUUAAAAUACAUUUUUUUUAAAAAAAAUUGUAAAAAUUUAAAUCAAAUAAAAAUAAAAUUUUGGCCUGGAAAAAUGUGAUCAAAUCAAUUAGUCCCUUGUGAUUUGUAUAAAAAAAAUAAAAUAAAACCAUUCCAUACCAGUAUUGUAUUUGAUUUAAUGAUAGAGUUGUAAGUUACUUGUAAAAAUUACAUGCUUUAGUAUAUAAAUUUUGUCCAAGCCUUGGGUUGAAAUCAUGGUUACUUUUUAGAUCUAAAAUUGAUUGAAUAUCAAAUUUGUAAAAUAUUGUAAAAUUUUGAAUCAAAUAAAAACAAAACUUUGGCAUGAAAAUGUGGCAUCUAAUCAAUUUUAAAAAUGACAUUGACACUGAAUACGAAAUUAUGAAUAAAAAUUAGUUAUGAUUUGGGAAACAAAAAUAUUAAAUUAUUCUGUAUGAUUUAGUAUUAGUUAUUAUUUUGAAUGAUAUUAUUGAUUUUUAAUUACAUGAAGUAAAACUAUGUAUGUUCAAUAUGGUUUUAAUUAUUGCUUUAAAUUUUAUUAUUAUAUUUCAACUACUAUAUAAUAUUUUAAUUACGUUUAGCCAUUUGAAUAGCAAACUAAAAAAGUAAUUAAAAACUAAUUACUUCUUUAAGUAUAAUGGAAAUUAAAAAUUUUAAAAAUAAAUCAAUUCAUAUAAAUUUUAUUGUUCAUUAUCAAAUUAAUACAUUUUAAUAGAUGAUAAAAUAUAUGAGCAAAAAAGAAGAAACAAAUUAAAGAGAAUGUUUUUGGAGUUUGGAAAAAAUUAAAGUGAAAAACAUACCUUCUAAUUUGUUGUCACAUAGAUCUAUUUCUUCGAGCGUAGUUGAAUUAAAAAACACUUUUCGGAAUCAGCCCACUGAAUUGAUUUGCUGCUAAAUCCGAAUUCUGAAGCUUGUAACAUUCACUUAUACUUGAUGGAAUGUUACAGAUAAUUCAUUUGUAUCCAAGUAAAGCCCCUCAAACUUGGGAAGAUGUUGACACAUAUCAUUAAGUAAACUACCUGAUAGGCUAUUGCAGGAGAGAUUAAUAGUCUUCAAAGAAGAAAUAUUGAAGAUAGAAGACGAAAUCUGACCUGUAAGGUAUUUAAUUACUGUAAUACUAAGCAUUUCAAACAUUACUAAUAUAAACAAAUUAUGGAAGUAAGAAAGUGUGCAUAAUAAAAUCAAAUUGUAUAAAAUAUUUAAAACAAAAUUUUGAUUAACUGAUAAAUUUAAGAUUUUAUGUAUUGAAGUUGUUCAAAUCUCACUAUUAUUUUUUGUUUUGUUUUUUAAAUAAAAAGACUAGAGUAUCUCAAAUAGUAUAACUUAUUUUAAAUAGGAAAGGAUAUUUUUUAAAUUUCUCUAAUCAAGUUGGUGCUCAUUGACUCGUAACACCAACUUCAUCCGAUACUUAAAUAACAAUAUAGAUAUUCACAUUCACCAAAAAAGUAAAAAAAAUGUUACUUUAGUUUCAAAUAACAAAUUUUAAUUAUUUAUAUAAUCUAAUCUAUCAUAUUUAUAUUAAUUAUAUAUCAUUUACAAACUUUUCACAUAAAUUUAUUGACUAUUAAGAAAAGAAAAAAUGAAAUUAAAUAAUGAAUAACUUAAUUGACAAUAUAUCAAUUUUUAUAUUUUCUACAUAUGCUUUAAUGAUGAUCAAAUUUUUUUUAUUAGCACUAUUUUUGAAUUAAAAGAACUUAUUAAUAUAAUUUAAUUAUAUUUUGAAUAAUGUUACUCUUUUUUAAUUACAUGAACUAAAAUCAUAUUAUAUAUUAAAGAGGGUACAUAUGCUUUAAUUAUAGCUUGAAAUUUUAUUAUUACAUUUGAGUUAUUAAAUAAAUUAAUAUAUUUUAAUUAUAUUCAACCAUUUGAAUAACUAAUUAGAAUAAUUUUAAAAAACAUUAUUUAAAAGCUAUGUAUAUAAAUGUCUAUGUAUAUAUAUGGUUGUUUCAUUUUUUAAAAAUAAAUAUAUUUUCAAUGUUGGUUUCUUUUCUUCCACACACAAAGUAUUUCUAAUGUGUUUUUUUUUUAAUAACUUUUACUUAUAUAAAAUAGAUUAGUUAAUGCAAUAACAAAUUAAUUUCUUUUUUAAGUUUAAUGGAAAUUAAAAUAAAUAAAUUCAUAUAAAUCUUAUUGUUUAUUAUCAAAUUAAUAGAUGAUAAAGUAAAUGACAAAAAGAAAAGGACGAAUUAAAUUCAAUAGAACGUUUUUGGACUUGUGGAAAAUUUUAAAGUGAAAAACAUACCUUCUAAAUUGUUGUCAAAUAGAUAUAUUUCUUCGAGAAUAGUUGAAUUAAAAAUACUUUUUGGAAUCAGCCCACUGAAUUGAGUUGUUGCUAAAUUCAAAACCUGAAGCUUGUUACAUUCGCCUAAACUUAAUGGAAUCUGACCACCACACGUACUUAACAUAAGUUAAAGAGGUUUUCUUUUCUAUAAUUUGGAGAUGUUAUAUUUUAAUGUAUUUAAUCAUAUUUUUCAUCAAAUUAACUAUUUUGAUUUUAAUGAAAUAAAAAGCUUUUACUUUUUUUUUUAUAAAAAAUACUUUAAAUUAAAGAAACCAAAGAAAUUUAGUACCUUCUAGAUUAUUAAACCCCAAAUAUAAAUGUCUAAGUCGCGUCAGGUUUCUAAUACCUCUUGGAAUGAUCCCUGUGAAUUGAUUAAUGGACAAUGACAAAAUUUGAAGGUUGUUGCAUUUGCCUAUACUUAAUGGAAUGUUACCAGAUAAUUCAUUCACACUCAAGUGAAGCCCUUCAAGCUUAGGAAGAUGUUGACACAUAUCAUCAGAUAAACUACCUGAUAGGCUAUUGCUGGAGAGAUCAAUAGCCUUCAAAGAAGAAAUGUUGAAGAUGGAAGAUGGAACCUGGACAGGUAAUUGAUUGAAUUCCAAGUUCAAGGUCUCUAGAUUGGACAUGUUAACAAGUGUUUGAUGGAUUGUGUCUGUAAAGUUAUUAUUUUUCAUUUUCAGCCUUUGAACUCUGUGUAAGUUCCCAAGCCAUGAUGGAAUUUCCCCAUUAGACCAUUGUAGCUUAAUUGGGUGAUCCUCAAACGGUGCAAUUGGCCCAAUUCUUUAGGCAGAUGGCCAUAGAAAUUGUUGAGUAGAAAUGAAAGAUUUCCAAGGUGUGGAGGGAUAGUUCCUCGAAGAUUCAUGUUUGUAAGAUUCAAAGCUACAACUCUUUCAUGGAUGAUGCCACAAGAAACACCAAUCCACCUGCAAACAGAGCUAGAGGCUGUCCAAUUGUUUUUCAAGACAUUGUGAGGAUCGACUAUUCAAACUCGAGGAGUUCAAACAAAGUAGGGAACAUGGUAGGAAUAGAGCUAAAAGAAGAUGAAAGCAAGUGGUGUAGUUUAUGAUUGUAAGACGGAAUAAGGCAAGAAAAUAAAAAAGUAGGAAAAGGGAAAUUGAAAUGAUAAAAUAGUUGGGCGAUGAAGAAAAGCCCAGAGAGCCUGCUUUAAUAUGUUUCAUUAAAUUCACUCGGCUGGGGUUACAGCAUUAAUUUUCAAAAUAAAUGUCAAGUCUUCUUUUAAAACACAUACAAAGAAGCGAAUUUUCUCCAAAAUUUCUUCACAUUACUCCACAUAAUCCAUAACAAAAUUAAUAAAACAUAAUUUUUUAAUUACUAUAUUUUUUUUCACAAUAAUAAAUUGGUUAAAUAUGCUAUUAAUCCCUGUACAUUUCAGAAUUUGAGAUUUAGUCCUUGUACUUUAAAAGUUAAAAAUCUAAUCCUGCUAGUUUUUCAAUUUAAAAAUUCUAGUCCAGCCAUUAUCAUUGUUGGUAAUUCCAUUAAAAUUUGUUAACUCAAUAUGUUUAUUUUCUAUCAAUCAUAUGCAGCAUCAUAUGAAGAAAACCUAAUCAACAUAUAUACCAAGUUGACAGUUUUUAUAGAAAAUACUAAUAGUGUUAAUGGCAGGACCAAAUUUUUUAAAUAAGAAAUGUAAGAGGAGUUGUUUUUUAACCUUUUAAGUAUAAGGACUAAAUUUUAAAUAUUGUCAAAGUACAAGCACUAACAACAUAUUUUGAAUUAAUAAAUAUAAAAAAAUUAAGGUUAAAAUAUGCUAUUAGUCCUUAUACUUUGAUAAAAUUUGAGAUUUAAUCAUUAUACUAAAAAUUUUAAAAAUAAAAUUCUAUUAUUUUUAUUUAAAGAUCUUAGUCCUAUCAUUAAUAUUGUUAGUAUUUUUUUUGUCAAAAUUUGUCAACUUGACAUAUUAAUUAGGUUUGCUCAUAUGACGUGGUAUAUGAUUGAAAAAAUAAUCAUGUUAAAUUGACAAAUUUUAACAAAAAAUUACCAGCAAUGAUAAUGAUAAGACUAAAAUAUUUAAAUUGAAAAUUGUAGGGGAUUGAAUUUAACUUUUAAAAUAUUAGGAUUGAAUAUCAGAUUUUAUAGAAAUAUAAGGACUAACAAUAUAUUUUAAACAUAAAAUAAUAUAUAUAAUUCUCAGUUAAAACUACAUUGUACUUAAUUGGCUAAGGGUUAAUAUAUCAUUUGGUAUAUGAGUUUCACCCCUUUUUUAUAAUGUUGUACUUUUGGUUUUUGUUCAAUGUGUUACAUGUAUUUGGCAAAAAGUUAUAUAUUUUGGUACUUAAAGGUAACAAUGUUAACUUUUUAGUGUUUGAUCUGAGUUUUAGAGUUAUUUUAAUGAACAUUAAUUUCUAAUAUUAUUAUGUUUGAAUUUUCUAUGAUUUUGUUAACAAAAUAAAUUUUAUGUUAAUUUUUAUUAUUAUUUAUUUUAGGAUAUAUUUGAUGAAAGUUAAUUACUAAUUUUAUUAGCUAAUUAUGUCUUUUCAUCAAAUCAAAUUAUAACCCGAAUCAUAUAUCAUAUAUAAUUUAAUAUAACAAAGUAUAUACACUAAAUUUGCACACUCUAAUUUUUUAUAUUUUUAGUUUUAGUUUUUAAUUAUCCAUUAAAUUUAUUUCUUUGUAAUAAAUUAAACUAUAAAAAUAUAAUUAAAAUUUUAAAUAAAAAUAAUUCAAAACAAUCUAACUUUUAAAAAACUUCCUAAAAUUUAAAACUAUUGUUAUAGAUAUAUCAUUAAAUUAUACAGAAUUUAAAUUUUUUUCGAAUAUUGCUAAAAAGUUAACUAGGAAAGAGAAUAUAAUACGUAUAAAUAAAAUUUUUAAAAAUAAAUAUUCUUUAAUUAGUUAAUUAAAAAAUCAAUAUUGUUUAAAAAAUAUCAUAAUCAAACAUUAGAUUUUAUAAUAAUUCAUAAUUCUAAAAAAAACAUGACAAUGUUUAAAAAAUUUGUUAAAAAGGUUUUAGAAUUUAUAUAAAAUUUUAAAAAAUAAAAAAGACUAAAAACAUUUUAAAAAAUUAAUAUUAUUUAAUUAGUCAUUUAAUUUUUUAAAUAUUUUUAUGUAUUCUAAUUAUUUAUAAAUACUAUUAAAAAUUUUAAAAACAAAAUUGAAUACUAGUUAAAAACAUUAUUAAAAAUUAAAUAUAUAUAUAUCAAAUUUAAAAUUAUCUAAAAAUAUUUUAAAAAAUUAAAUGCUUUAUAAAAUAUUUAAAAUUGCUUAAAUGUUUGACAUUUGAAUUUUUAUUUGAAGUUUAAAUGUUUAAAAAUUAUAAUAAUGUUAGAAACUUGAAAAAAUUAUAUUUACUAAUUACAUACUCUUUAUAUUUUUUCCUAACAUAUCAUUAUUUGCAACUUACUCCAUUAAAGAAUUGAAGAUUUAUUUGUCGAUUGAGCUUUAGCUCGAUUGGCAUGGGCAUUGUUCCUAGUGUAGGAGGACAUGGGUUCGAGUGUGCUAAAACACAUUAUCCUCCUAUAUAUGGGUUGGGGAGGGGCUAUAGGUAAUUCUAAGCAUUAUGUCAAAAAGAGUAGAUACAAUCAAAAUAUUACAAUACAUUAGUUAUCAUAUAGCAAAACAAAAACUUAUAGUUCGCUGCACUCUACAGUAAGAGUUCCCUAGAAAUCUUAUAUCCCAGACACUUCAGUUUGUGGAUAAACUACUAAUGCUUGUAGGUUAAUACGAUGCUAGUAGUUGUGAAUACACAACGGGUUUGCAAAUAAAAAAUGACAGUAAUUUGUGGACAAACCAUUAGUGUUUGUAGUAAAAAUUAUUAGUACUUCAUCCUUUCAUAGCCAUCUCGCCCCAUCCAAUGCAGUAUGACAUGCAAACAUCAAUACAAUAGAGAAACAAUAGACAUGUUUAACAUGCAUUUUGUCACAUCCAAAAAAUAGGGCUAGAAGAAAUAGGGAUAAAAUUUAGAUUUUAAUUUUUUUAAGCAUAGGGAAAGAGAAUUUUGAAUGUCUUACAAAUUAUUUUUUUAUAAUAAAUAGACAAGAAUGAGUCGUUGGUUUAGUGGUAAAACCUUAGUUUACCCUUAGGUCCACAAUUUGAAACCCUUGUGCACCUUUCAACUAAAAUAUUUUCUUUUCUUUUCUUUUUACCCCAUAAAAGUGCAGAAUAUUCACACUAGCCCAACCUAAAAACUAUAUUUUUAAAAAAUUAGUCCUUAAUUUAAAAUAAUCCUAGUUCUAUAUGAAUUCCUAAAACCUAUUUCAAUUAGGGGAAAAGAGAUAAAUAGCCAAUUUUGUUCAAACCCUAGAAUUUUUUACUAGAGAAUUUUUCAAAAAAAAAAUACCAAAGAUCUUCAUGUUUUCUCCUCCAUUGUCGAGUCCAUUUUCAACCGAGGAUUUUAAAGGUUUUCAAAAUCAUCCUUCUCCUCCCAUUAGAUCGUCGAGCUCCUCAUCCAAACUAAGGUUUUUGUGUUUUCAAAUUAGGAGUGGGAUCUAAACUUAAAAUAUUGUGUAUAACUAAUUGAUGUAGUAGAAAGUAAGUAGUCACUAUAUGCAAACCCCUAUGGGUGAACCCUUGUAUGCGAACUACUAUAGGCAAACCCCUAUACGCGAGCCCAUGUAAGGGAACCCCCUAUAUCUAUGAACCUAGAUGCUAAACCUUAUUUGAUUUAAUAUGUGACCUAUUAGUACAUUCAUGUGAACCCUAUUUGUUAUUACAUACGAACCCCAUAUAUGUAUAUGCGAAUCUUACAUGCCGUAAUAUACAAACCCCUACAUACAUUGAUAUACAUGUGAACCCUACUAUAAGUGGAUACAAAAAAUGUAGUUUAUAUAUAUGUGAACAUUAUAUUCAUGCGAAACCUAUUAUGUAAGCUGUAGCUAAUAUAUGCGAACCCAUAUUCACACCUUUAUAUGACCACUUACUAUAUAUUAUGUGAACCCUAUAUGUUUUACGUACAAACCGUAUAUGUGUUAUCACGCGGACCCUAGAUGUUUUAUUAUGCAAACCCUUAAGGAAUGUUAUGCGAACUUUUGAUGGUUAUUAUGCAAACCUAUAUCAACAAGUUAUACGAACCUAUGUGAAUUACUAUGCAAACUCUAUGCGCAAACCCUAUGUAUGAACACUAUAUAAGUGAACCCUAUGUUUGAACCCUACGUGUGAACCCUAUGUGCAAACUCUGUAUGUGUGAACCCUAUGUGCAAACCCUAUAGGAAAGCCAUAUGUGCGAACCUUAUAUGUGAACCUGUUAUGCAUGUGUUAGCUGAACUAGCAUGAUAAAUAAUCUAAUAUCAAUAUAUUGUUACAAGAUUUAGUUUUUAUGAACAAAUUGUCUAUGUCAAAUUGAUAUGAAUGAAUGCAUGAAUACAUGCCAUUAAAUGAUAGUAUGAAAUAAUAAAUGUGUUUGACAAGUAUAACACUGAUUGUUGAUAAAUAGCAUGAUAUGCUGAGUUUAUGUGCAUGAUUACAUGAAAUUGGGUAUGAUGGACAGAGGAGUUCCAUAGGCGAGUGGCAAUUUAAGUUUACACCGAAAGUUAGUAUUGCACGAAGUAGGAAAAAAUGCCAUCGAAAUCGGGUAAAACUGAGAUGAUAGUUUAAAAAGCCAUCAAAAUCGGACAACUGGGAUGGUAAGUUAUUUUAGCAAAAGUCAUUCACCGAUGACAAGUAAACGACCAUCAUCACCAGGAAAUCCGAGAUGGUCUAUUAUUGAUAUGGGUUUUGGAUAUCGAGUGAUGCUCAAGGGCAAAUAGGAUGGAUGGGUGGGAAAUUAGAAUUUGCAUUUGCAUCAUGAACUUAACCUAUACAUGCAUUGAUUACUGAAUGUUCCAUAUAUUACGCUUAAAUUACUAGGAUACCAUAAAUUGAAUGCUUUAUUGUUUGAAUAAUUAUAUAUUGUUUGAAGAAUUAUCACUCGGUGAUCAUUGCUUGUUUGUUCAUUGAAGCUUUGUCACUAACACGACAUUUUGUCAUUUUGUUCAAUCAAUGUUUGGACAACAAAAUUCGAAAGGAUGGUUCUUAGACAUUUCAAUCUUUAAACUUGGUAUGUUCUAAAUAAUAGUCCUGUUUUAGGUUACUGUAUUAUUUAAAAACUUUUAGAGUAAUAUGCAAAACUUCCUUUGUAAAAGUUUUAUUAGUCCAUUAAUCAUUAUUCCAAUGCGACAUGCUUGCAAAAGAUCAUGACAAUGAUAAAAAUAGAAUUGAUUUGGGAGCAUGGCUCAAAAUGAAUAAAUUAUCAAUGAUAGUAAAAAUAAAAGAGGAAUGGAUUGGGAACACGUAUCUUGAAAAAGAAUGAAGUAUUCCAAGAACAAGAAAUUCAAUCUAAAAAGUAUGAAGACUAGGUGCCCAAGAAAUCGCAGCUUGAAAUUCUCUGUACAAACUUUCUGAAGACCAUUCUGAGUUUGACAUGUGUUUAGGAGAUCUAUAGUACUUUGUCGAUGCCUCAAGAUGUCGCCUACCCUUUCCUGUUGAUUCAAGUAUAGCAAGAUCACCAUAUGCCCCAAUCUGAUCAAAAUUUGAGCUGCUCUGAUCACCUCAUACCCUAUUCUAAUCUAAAAUUUGAGUAGCCCCUUUUGAGUUUUCAACUCAAAUCCUCUUUGGUCUCAAGGCGCCCUUUGCGGGUUUUCACCUUAGCCUCUCUUUUUUCUUUUUUUUCUCUUUUUUUUGACUCAAAACGCCCAUUGCAGGUUUUUACCUUGGUCUCUUUUUUUUUAAGACUAAAGGCGGCCUUUGUGGGUUUUUACCUUGGUGCUUUCUUCUUUUUUAGGUGAAGUAUUUCUUGACUAAAUUUGAGUUUACAAGAUUUGGCAAGUUUUUACCAUCCAUCUCACUUAAAAUCAAUGCUUCUCCAGAAAAGGCCUUCUUUACAGCAUAAGAUCCUUCCAAAUUUGGCAUUCAUUUCCCUCUAAAAUCCUUUUGUAGAGGAAGAAUUUUUUUCAACACCAGGUCCCUCUUGUGGAAUUCUCUGGGAUGAACCUCUUUGUCGUAAGCUCACAUCAUCUGACUAUGAUGGAUAGCUUUUAACAUUCCAUAAACCAAUGGGCCAGGUGUUGCUCCGGUAAAGGUGCUGGCCGACGUUUGAUGAGCAUAGAGGGUAAAUGGUAACUUCCUUAUGCCAAUCUUUACAAGUCUCGGUCAUCUUUCCCACAAUCCUUAUUUUAUUUUCCUUUUUUUGGCUGCCUACGGCGUCUGAUCUUUGAACAGACUACAAACUUUUGACAUUGUCCUUUUUGGCAUUCUUUAUCGGUGCCUGAUUUUUUUUUGAAAUUGGAAUUUAAUGACUUUGACCUUGUAACAUUGGUAUAUGAAGCAGCUUCUGCCCACUUAGUGAAGUAAUUGACGACCAAAAGAUAACUCGAUGACCUGCCAGAAGCUUUUGGCGAGAUCGGCCCAAUGUCAUCCAUUCCCCAUAUAGAGAAAGUAUAUGAAAAAGUCAACAUGAAGAGAUAAAGGAAGCACAUAAAUCUUGACUCCUUAAAUUUGACACUUAUGGUAUUUCUUGGUAUAACUGAUGCAAUCCCCUUACAUGGUGGACCAGCAGUACCCAAAUCUCAUGAUUUACUUAGUCAUUGCAAAAUCAUUAGCAUGUGUUCCUCAGACACCCUUAUAGACGUCUUCCAAGAUUUUCUUAGCUUCAACAGCAUCCACACGUCUCAGUAGCUUAGGCAUAUCUCGAUACGAUCAUGCGAAAACAUCUUUGAAUUCUUAGAGUAACUCAAUGACGUCUCGCAAAACAUCUUUGAAUUCUUGGUGUAACUCAAUGACGUCUCGCUUUGAUACAGGCUCUGAUCUUCACCUCUUUCUCUUCUCUUAAGCUCACAAUUCCCACUGAUUCUUUGUAAGGUAGGAUCUGUUUCCCGACUUGUUUUACCAUCCUUAACAAAUCAGGAGAUAAGCUACAGCUUCGGUCAUCUUCAAAGUCAUGAGAUCCCUCUAAACACAUAUCUCACUCAAAAAGAGACUCUGAGUCUGUAUCAGCGUCACUCAUGUCAUUGAUAUCUAGAGACCUAUUGUAGGUACCAAAAAAUAUACAAAGAAUGUAUGAAUUUAUGAAUACUUAUUUGUACAGUAUGGCUAUGAAUGAAUGAAAGGAUGAUUUGGAAGAAAAUCUAAAAGAAUAAAAAAAUCAAAAAUGAUUAUUCAUAAAUGAUGAAAGAAUAUUGGCUCAAAAAUGAUCAUAAAGAUGUAUUAAAAUAAUGACGUUUAGACAUAAGCCUAUUUCACAAAGGAGUUCUUAUUGCCUUUAGGCUGAAAACAACAAGUGUGUUCUGAAAAUAAUUCUAAAUAAGCUCUAGAUACUACAGAGAUUUCUUCUAUAGUCCGAUUAUUUAGAACACUCCCAAGUUUAUAAGGGUGGAUAUCUUAACAAGGUCCCCUUUUCAGUUGUCUUCAUAUAUGGCAUUUUUGUGAAUGUUUCCCUUUUUUUUUAAACUUCUUCACAAAGCUCCAUCUCUUUAUUGUCUAUAAUAUUUAGUUGGAUCUUGGCUAACCGCUCCUGCACUUGCAGUUGUAGUUGGCCUUGCCUUCCCCUUUGGAGUUGUUCAAGUUUUUCCAAUCUUUGGUCCAUGUCUUUUUACCGGGUACUGAAACGGUGUUUAGUCGAUAGAUUUUUUUUUAGUUCCCAGGUUAACUGAAAUAAUUUUACCUAAUUAGAGUCAUUUUGUGAAAAUCUAAUUCAUAUGAUGCAAUGUAAUGCAAAUGCAUAGAAUGAAUGCAAAAGAAAAGAGAGGCAUUGAUUCUGAAUUCAAUUACAUUAGAACAACUUUUCUAUAAAACAAAUUUCUUUACAUAAAACAAAUUACAUACGCGGCUUUGCCCUCAUAUUCUAGGCAAAGACAUCGAUCUUUUUCUUCAUAUCUGGAUGCUAGGAUCAAAGUUUGCAAAUUUUCCAAAAUCUGUACCUACUAUCUCCUUUUUGUUUGAUCCAGGCCGUGACUCAUUGCUCACUCAUCCUCAAAAUGCUCGUUAUCUUUUUUAAAAAGGUCAGGACAUUGAUGACUCUCGAAUAAUCUUUAUCAACUUGAAUUUCCAGGCGACGAAGCAAAGUCGUGUAGUUCUCCAUUAGACUAUCAUCCCUCUCUUAUCACGUUUUCUUGGACCAUAUUUGAAAAACCGUAUUGUUUUCCACUUUAUCGAGAAAUCCAUUUUCCAUGGCAAGCUCUCUAUUUAGCAACUAAACAUGAAUCAACACCUCUUUUCUAUUAUGAAAAUGCAAUGUAAUCAUAACCAAAACAAAAGAGAACAUGUUAGUACAAAGCAAAACCAAGCAAGAAAGAAACAAAUAGAGCACCUAUUCAAGUGACCACUAGGGGUUUAGAGUGGUUCUACCUAGGGUAGGCUCUUAGGGCUCACUACAUGUGGUUCGGCUCUAAAGUAAAGGGUACCUAAACCGAUAGAUUCCUCGAUCCUCACCCAUUUUUUUUAUAAAAACGCUACUAUUGCUUAUCUAUUGCGGCAUUUUUUAUAAAAACGCCACUAUUGCUUUUCAUUUGGAAUAAAACGACACUGUUUUGCUAUGCUAAAAGGGUGCCCUUUUUUAAAGUAAGAUUAUUUUUUGUGGCGUUUUUUAUAAAAAUGCCGUUACGCCGCAAAAAAUUAUUUCAUUUGGAAUAAAACGACACUGCUUUGCUAUGCUAAAAAUCUUUUAUUUUGUCUGUUAAAAAUUAUUAGUUAAGUGAUUUUAUAAAACAUUUAUUAUUAUUUUUUAUAAAUUGAAUUUUUAUAAAAAAAUCAAGUACUCUCAAAAUAAAUAUCAUAUAUUUUAAUAAGAAAAAAAAUGAUUAAAAGGCUGUAAUUAAUUAUUAAGUUAGAAUUAUCCAAUGUAAGCAAUUAAUCUCUCACAUAUCAAAUUUCUAUUAAAGAUUGAGACGUUAAUCAUUAUUUUAUAUUAUUCAUUUCUGAUCUAAUCUCCAUUUUAUUAGAGAUUUUUCUUCCUAACUAAAAUAUAACUAUUUUGCUCGAUGUUCAAUGUGGAAUGAUUUUAGUUUUUGUAUUUUAUUUUUAUUUGUUAUAAUUUGGUCCUAUAUAUCCAAAAUAGAUAGUUACCUAUCCGUAUCAAUUUGUUACAUUUUUUUAUUAAUUUUUUUAAAUCUAAUAUUUCAAUAUAUCAAAUGGUUUAGAUUAAUAAUCUUUACAAUUUAUUAUUAUCUCUUUUACAACUAUAUAAGAACUUAUUUAAUAUAUAAAUUAAAAAUACUAAUUAAUCUAAACCUUAAACCCUAACCCGACCCUAAAUCUCUAAACCCUAAAUCACUAACUCUUAACCCCAAACCCCAAACCCCUAAACAUUAACCCCUAAACCUUAUUUAAUAUAUAAAUUAAAAAACACUAAUUAAUCUAAAUCCUAAACCCUAACCUGACCCCAAAUCCCUAAUCCCUAACCCUUAAACAUUAUUUAAUACAUAUAUUAAAACACACUAAUUAAUCUAAACCUUAAAUCCUAACCUAGCAUCGAAUCUAUAAACCCUAAAUCCCUAACUCUUAACCUUUAACCCCUAACCCAUAAACCUUAAUCACAACCCUUAAAUCAGAAUCCCUAAUCCCUAAUCCCUAAUCCCUAAUUCCUAAUUCCAUAAUCUAUAAACCUUAAAAUUGUAACUCUUAAACCGGCCCUAAAUCCUAAAUUAACCAUAGAUAUACUCUAAACCAUAUAUAUUAAACCCUAAACUAUAAUGAUAAUUAAAUUAAAUAUUUUAAAAUUAAUACUAUCGUAUCUUUUACAAUUAUAUUUGAAAUUCUUUAAUAUAUAAAUUAAAAAUCAAUCAAUUAUGUACCCAAAAAAUUUUAAAAUUAUUUUAAAUAAUAGUAUUUUAAUUUCUCCAUUUUUAACAAAUAUUUUUCUAUAUUUUUUAUUUCAAAUUAUUUCUACGUGUCAUUAUUUCAAAUUUAUCCAUUUUAACAAAUAUUCAAUUAAAAAUAAAUUGAAUUUUAAUUAAUAUAAAUAAACAAAUUAAAUAGUAAAUUGACAGCUAAAAUGUUUUUGUGGCGCUUUUUCAAAAACGCCGCUAAAGAUCUGAGCAUUAGCGGUACUUUUUCAAAAAUGCCGCUAAAGAUCUGAGCAUUAGCGGCGCUUUUUCAAAAACACCACUAAAGAUCUGAGCAUUAGCGGCGCUUUUUUUAAAAACGCCGUUAAAGCCCCGAAAGGUAGAAAACGAUGUCGUUGGGCUUAGGUUUUUUGCGGCGUUUUUUCAAAAAAUGCCGCUAACGCUCAUUUUCAGCGGCGCUUUUGCAAAUGCUCAAUUUUUUAGCGGUGUUUUAAGUAAUGCGCUGCUAAUGAUCAAUUUUUAGCGGCAUUUUGACAAAAACAUGAUAAUAUAAGCCUGUUUUGGUGUAGUGUUAGAUUCUUUUACAUGAUAAUAUGCAGUGGAACCAAAAAUAUGUAAAGAAUCAUAAUCAGUAGCAGGUUUACCAGUCCACAUCUCCAUAGGAGUUUAUUCAUUUAUUGCAGCUGAUGGUAACCGGUUAAUUAGAUGGCACGCAUAUGUAACUGCCUCAGCCCAAAAUUCCUUGCCAAACCCAGCAUUAGACAACAUAUAUCGAAUUUUCUCCAGUAUAGUCUAAUUCAUACGUUCUGCCACCCCAUUCUGUUGUGGUGUAUCUCGAGCAGUGAAGUAUCGCACAAUGCCCUCAUCUUGACAUACUUGUAGAAAUGGAUCAUUUUUGUACUCAGUACCAUUAUCUGAUCGAAGUCGUUUAACCUUUCGACCAGUCUGAAUCUCCACCAUCUUCUUCCAUUUUAGAAAUGCAUCCAAAACUUCACUUUUUCUUUUCAUUAGAUACACCCAUAUUUUUCUUGAAUAAUCAUCAACAAAAGUAACAAAAUAGUGCAUACCUCCCAAAGAAGCCACUUUGGUAGGUCCCCACACGUCACUGUAAACAUAGUCCAGAAUUCCUUUCGUAUUGUGAAUUGCUGAACCAAAUUUUACCCUCGUCUGCUUGCCCAGAACACAAUGUUCACAGAAUUCCAAUUUGCAAGAAUUUACACCUUUCAACAAGCUUUGCUUCGCCAAAGUCUGCAAAGCUUUUUCACCAACAUGUCCUAAUCGCAUAUGCCAUAACCUGGUAGCCUCUGAAUUUGCAUCUUUCACAGAAACUAUUGAUGUUGAUCCAAUAACUGUACUUCAAUAUAUAUAGUACAACUUAUUUCUUUUAGUUCCUUUUAUCACCGUCAAUACCCCAGCUACUACCUUUAGUAAUCCAUCUCUCAAGGUGAUUGUGAGCCCUUUAGAUUCUAGGGACCCUAAUGAGAUGAUAUUUUUCUUCAAGCUAGGUACAUAGUGAAUAUCUGUCAGGACUUGGAUUGAGUCGUCGUGAUUCUUCAAUUUGAUUGUACCUACUCCCAUUGUCUUACAGGCACUGUCAUUGCCCAUAAAAAUAACUCCACCUUCUAGUUCUUUGAGACUAGAAAACCAGUCCUUAUUAGGACACAUAUGGUAAGUACAUCCCGAAUCCAAAAUCCACUCAUCACUAUGACAUGUCAUUGCCAUGCCAACCAAGCUAAAGUCUGACUCCUCAUCAUGCUCCGCUACACAUGCAUCAGAAAUAGCCUUGCCCUUUUGUAACUUAGGACAAUUCUUUUUCCAAUGCCCUUUCUCACGACAAAAAGCACAUUCAUUUUUGGCGAGCCUCCCUUUGGACUUACCCCUUCUACCAGGUUUGUUACUGUGUGAACGUCCUCUUACUGUUAAGACUUCUACAGUUGAAUCUCUGUGAUCUCUUUUAUCUUUCUUUCGAGUCUCAGAUCUAUACAACGCGCUACAGACUGCAUCAAAUGUGAUCGUAUCCUUCCCAUGAAGCAAUGUAGUGGUAAGAUGUGUAGUGACCUAAAAAUUUUAGCACGGGUACUAAUUGAAGUGAUUAUUGAAAAUUUGAAAACAGAAUCUCGAUUUUAUUUGAAAAAAAAGGAGUCGCCACCGAUCUUUUUUCUAGGUGUGAUCGGACACCUAAUAAAAUCUCUUUUUAGAAGAAAAAAAUUAUUUUAAAUUUUUCUAAAAAAGAGGUGACUUUAGGUCUACGUAAAAAUCCAGCGAAAAUUAAAGUUCGGGAGUCGGUUACGCGCGAGGAAGGUAUUAGCACCCUCGCGACGCCCAAAAUUGGUAUCUCAUUAAACGCAUGUUGUCUUAAUUUUCAAAAAAUACGAAUUCAAUUUAAUAUUUACUCGUGAUCCGAUUGAAACAUGAGAAUUUUUUUUAAACACGGGAAUUUUGAAGAACGAAUUUUUUAAAAAAAGCAAAAGUUUUUGAAACACGAGAAUUUUUGAAAACACGAAAAUUUUUGAAACAAGAAAAUUUUAAAAACACAAAUUUUUUUAAAAACACGACAAUUUUUGAAACACGAGAAUUUUUUUUAAACAUAAAAAUUUUAAAACACGAAAAUUUUGAAAACACGAAAAUUUUUGAAAACAUGAAAAUUUUUGAUACACGGAAAUUUUUAGAAAACACGAAAAAUUUUUGAAAACACAAAAAUUUUUGAAAACACAAGAAUUUUUGAAAUCAUGAAAAUUUUGAAACACCGGAAUUUUUUUAAAACACGAAUUUUUUGAUUUUUUGUUAAGCACGUAUCAUAUUUAACACAAACCAAUGAUAUUCACUCAACAUAGCAAUGAAAUCAACGAAUUAGUGUCAAAUCGAUUCGUUGCCUUAUUUUUUUGAAUACGCGAAUAUUUUUUUUGAAAUACGAUUUUUUUUGAAGACACGAAAAUUACGAAACACGGAAAAUUUGUUUUGAAAACAUGAAAUUUUUUUGAAUAUUUACAAUUCUUAAAAGGGCGUAUCGUGUUUAACAUAAACCGGUGAUAUUCACCCAAGAUAGCGAUGAAAUCAACGAUUUAAUUUUAAAUCGAUUCGUUGCCUUAUUUAUUAAAAUAAUUUAAAAUAAAAUAAAAUUGAAAUUGAAUUAAGUUAAAAAUAUAAAUACAAAAAUAUAAAAAUGCAUAAAGUACUAAAAAUAUUAAAACGAAAUAGCAUAAAAAUACGAGCAUUAAAUUAAAAGUGAAAUAAACAAACUUACCGAAAAAAAUCCAAAACACAAGCUUGGCCGAAUGGGUUACAGAAAUUAAACCCCCUUUUUUUUCCUUCUCCUUUUCUUUUUCUUUCUUUUUUUUUCUUUAUUUCUCUUCCUUUUUUUGGCCUGUUGGGUCGGCCUGCUGGGCCUGCUUGAAGUGCUGCUGGGCUGAUGGGGACUACGCUGCUGUAGGCCUGCUGUUGGGCUGCUAUUGGGCUUGCUAAAGAUGGCCUGCUUUCUUUUUUUUUGCUUUCUUCUUCUUUUUUUCUUUUUGGGCUGCUGUCGGGUCGGGUCACGGGUCAUACGGGUCGGCUCGGGCCGGGCUGGCCCGACUAUAAAAAUUUCUUUAAUUUUUUCUUUUUUUCCCUUUUUCUUCUUCUUCUUCCUUCUUUCUUUCUCUUUUUUUCCUUCUUUUUUCUUCUUUUUCUUCUCCGUUCGGUCUCCUUGGCCACCGUCGACGCUGCUGCUCGUGCUGCUACCGUCACCUCCGCCGGUGGUUUGCCGAUGGCCGGCCUCUCCUCCCCUCCCCUCUCUUUUUUCCUUUUCUUUUUCUUUUUUUCUUCAAAGCUCUUUUUUUUCUCUCUUUUUCUUUGAAAUUUUUUUUAUGAUCGGGGUCCCUUUCUUGGGGUUUUUUAAACCCAUUUAUAGAUGUUUUUCUCUUCUUUUUGCAGGGAUUAGGUGGCUAGGGGAGAGGGAGGCCAUGCCUUAGGCUGGUGGCCGGAAAUCACGGGGGUAGGUGUGCAAGUUGCUGCCAGAAGGACUAAACUGCAAUUACAGUAAAACUUUUAGGGCUAAAAUGUAAUUUCGAGGAAGUUUAGUGGUCAAAAUGUAAUUUUGAGAAAGUUUAGGGGUCAAAAUGUAAUUUAGAAAAGUUUAUGGGUCAAAAUGUAAUUUUAAAAAAGUUUAGGGGUUAAAAUAUAAUCUUAGGAAAAUUUAAGGGUCAAAAUGCAAUUUUAUAAAGUUUAGGGGCCAAAAUGUAAUUUUUUUAUUUUUUGUAUUUUUUUUGAAUUUUUUAAAAAAACACAAAAUCGAGCCGAACAAAAUUCAGUGAUUACAGCUGCCCCUCUUUGAUCAUCACUGUGAAACAGGGAUAGAGCAAAGACUUAAAAGCAUUGAAUUUUAUUCGACUAUCCAAAAUUUUUCUAUUUAUUUGAAAAAUAAAAAAUAAAAAUUGAAAAUACAUCGGCGUGUGGCUCAACUCACCUCUAGCAUUAUGAGUUGAUUUUUUUUUGAAAAACAGAAAUAUAAAAGAAAUACCUCGGCAUGUGUCCAAUGUUCAACUCACUUCUCGCAAUAUGAGUCGAUUUUAAAAAAAAACAGAAAUUGAAAAUACCUUAGAGUGACCCGUGGCUUAACUCACCUCUCGCAAUAUGAGUUGAUUUUUGAAAAACAGAAAUAUAAAAGAAAUACCUCGGCAUGUGAUCGAGGCUCAACUCACUUCUCGCAAUAUGAGUUGAUUUUUAAAAAACAGAAAUUUAAAAGAAAUACCUCGGCAUGACCCGAAGCUCAACUCACCUCUCGCAUUAUGAGUUGAUUUUAAAAAGACAGAAAUUUAAAAGAAAUACCUCGGCAUGUGUCCGAGGCUCAACUCACCUCUCGCAAUAUGAGUUGAUUUUUGGAAAACAGAAAUAUAAAAGAAAUACCUCGGCAUGUGACCGAGGCUCAACUCACUUCUCGCAAUAUGAGUUGAUUUUUGAAAACAAAAAUUUAAAAGAAAUACUUCGGCAUGACCCGAGGCUCAACUCACCUCUCGCAUUAUGAAUCGAUUUUUGAAAAAUAGAAAUUGAAAAUACCUCGGCAUAUGACUCGAGGCUCAGCUCACCUCUCGUAAUAUGAGUUGAUUUUUGAAAAAUAGAAACUUAAAAUACCUCAGCGUGCGACCUGAGGCUCAACUCACCUCUCGCAAUAUGAGUUGAUUUUUGAAAAAUAGAAAUUUUAAAAUACCUCAACGUGCGACCCGAGGCUCAACUCACCUCUUGCAAUAUGAGUUGAUUUUUAAAAAACAGAAACUUAAAAUACCUCGGCAUGCGACCCGAGGCUCAACUCACCUCUCGCAAUAUGAGUUGAUUUUUGAAAAACAGAAAUUUUAAAAUACCUCAGCGUACGACCCGAGGCUCAACUCACCUCUUGCAAUAUGAGUUGAUUUUUAAAAACAGCAAAUAAAAAUUUUGAAAAAUAAUUCUCGAAAGAAACAGGGUUUAAAAAACAUCAGGUAAAACUGAAAGCCUCUUUUUUUUUUACUAAUUCUGUACAGCUUUCUCCCAAACUUCCUGGCUCUACUGGGAUACCUGUAUAUGUCAUGUAUGGUGUUAUUAUGAUAUGGACAUGUUUGUCCUAAAUGUUUUUGUGUCUACAUGAUCAUGCCAUGCACCCUGGGCUGUUUGUCACAUGCCCCACUUUUGAUUUUCGUGAGGGUCCGCAUUCAUCUCCUCAAUUCUUGACUUUUCUCUCCAGUUUUGUACUCAUCCUAAAGUUCUGUGAGUAAUCCACAUCUUCGUAUACCACCUUCCUGCCCUCUUGUUGAACUUUGUUCUUGCUUUAGGGUCCUUGUAUUUAUCAAAUUCUAAUCCAGGUAAGGCUCAAUAUUCCUUUUGUUUAGAGUAUAUCAUCUUACUAUUUAUCAUUUAAAUGAAUCAAACACGAGAUGCAUGAAAAAUGGCAAAGUAGGCAUGAAAGAAAGACCUCACAUUCAAUUUUUUCAGAAGAAACAAAUCAAAGAAAAAUGACAUGGAAGUUCCAAUAAAGAAAGCAACAUAAAGAAAGGAAAGUGAAUUCAAUGGCCAGAAAUGCUCUAGAUAUCCAAUGCAUGAACUUCUCUGCAUUUCUUCAUCCUGGAUCCUUUCGAGCACGGCUUCUUGUAUAGAAGAUUUCGAACUUCUGAGAAUGCUUCAAAUAUUGGGACUUCGUCAUUCAACUCCCCAUUCAAGUCAUUUUGCUCUUUUAAGCCUGAGUCCACCUUAUUAGGACGCCCUUUUGGGUUUUCAUCCUAAUCCUUUUUGUUUAACAAGACGCCCUUUUUGGGUUUUCAUCUUGAUUUUUCUUUUUAUUUUCUUUUUCAUUUUUUAGGUUUUUUUAGGCGUAAUAUUUCUUCACAGCAUCUGAGUUCACUGGAUUAGGUAAUUCUUUUCCGUCUAUUUUAGUGAGAAUUAGAGCCCCUCCUGAGAAUGCCUUUUUUACAACGUAUGGCCCUUCCCAAUUUGGUGACCAUUUUCCUCGAAAGUCCUUUUGUAUCGGGAGGAUCUUUCUUAAAACGAGCUCCCCUUCACGAAAUUCUCUUGGUCGCACCUUUUUAUCAUGGGCUGUGAUCAUUCUCUUCUGGUAUAUCUGUCCAUGACAAAUUGCCUUCAAGCGUUUCCCUUCAAUAAGGUUUAGCUGAUCAUAUCGAGCUCGAACCCACUCUGAUUCUUCUAACUUUGUCUCCAUCAAGACGCGCAGGGAUGGGAUCUCUACUUCGAUAGGCAGAACGGCCUCUAUCCCAUAGACCAGUGAAAAAGGAGUUGCCCUAGUAGAAGUCCGUACAGAGGUGCGAUAUGCAUACAAAGCGAAUGGUAGCUUCUCGUGCCAGUCUUUAUAUGUCUCAGUCAUUUUUUUGAGAAUCCUCUUAAUGUUCUUAUUAGCCGCUUCUACAGCUCCGCUCAUCUUUGGGCGAUAGGGCGAAGAAUUAUGAUGCUUUAUCUGAAAUUGCUCACAUACUUCUUUCAUCAUCUUAUUGUUCAAAUUUAAAGCAUUAUCUGAAAUGAUUCUUUCAGGCAAACCAUAUCGACAUAUGAUCUCCUUUUUUAAGAACCUACAGACUGCAGCCUUUGUCACAUUAGCAAACAAAGUGGCUUCUACCCAUUUUGUGAAGUAGUCUAUAACCACAAAGAUGAAUCAAUGUCUAUUGGAGGCUUUCGGGGAAAUUGGCCCUAUAACAUCCAUGCCCCACAUAGAAAAAGGCCACGGAGAAGUCAUGACAUGAAGGGGCGAUGGAGCUGCAUGAAUUUUAUCGCCAUAAAUUUGACAUUUGGGGCACUUUCUUGCGUAGCCAAUGCAAUUGCUUUCCAUCGUCAGCCAAUAAUAACCAAGUCUCAUAAUCUGCCUGGCCAUAGUGAAACCACUGGCAUGCGUUUCACAAAUUCCUUCAUGAACCUCCUCAAGUAUCUUUCUGGCUUCAACAACGUCCACGCAUCUCAAGAGCACUUGAUCUUUUCCUCUUUUAUAUAGAAUAUCCCCAUCAAGAACAAAUCCAAUCGCUAUUCUCCUGAUUGUUCUUUUGUCAUUCUCGUUCGCUUGCUCGGGGUACCUUUGAUUCUUGAUAUACUACAAGAUAUCAUGGAACCAUGGCUGUCCAUCUGACUCCUCCUCAAUGCUAAAACAAUGCGCGGGGGUCUCAUAUAUGCUUAUUUGGAUGGACAUUAUCUCAGUUUCUCUGUUUGCUUUAAACAUCGAAGCCAAUGUGGCUAGAGCAUCAGCCAAUUGAUUCUCUUCUCGUGGAAAGUAGUUAAAAGUCACUUCUUUGAAUUCUUUGACCAAUUUAGCCACGAGAUCGUGAUACUUAACUAAUUUUGGGUCUCUUACUUCCCAAUCUCCACAAAUUUGAUAAAUGACUAAUGCUGAGUCCCCUUGUACCUCUAAAAUUUUGAUUUUCCUCCUGAUAGCUGCACGAAGUCCCAUGAUGCAAGCUUCAUACUCCGCUAUAUUAUUGGUACAGAAGAAAUUCAAUCUGGCAAUGAGUGGGUAAUGGUUCCCUUCAGGUGACACUAAGACUGCACUGAUCCAAUGCCCCAAUGCAUUUGAUGCACCAUUAAAGCUCAUUUUCUAUGAUUUCUCUUUUGAUGGCUCGCCCUGUUUUUCUGAAAUACACAUCAAAUCUUCAUCUGGGAAAUCAAAUCUCAAAGGCUCAUAUUCCUCCGUUGUUCGACUUGCCAAGAAGUCAGCUAUUGCGCUUCCUUUUAUCGACUUUUGGCUCACAUAUACAAUGUCAUACUCAGUCAAUAGGAUCUGCCAUCGUGUCAUUCUCCCUGAGAGUGCAGGUGACUCCAUCAUGUACUUUAUUGGGUCCAAUUUCGAAAUUAACCAUGUCGUAUGAUACAACAUGUAUUGUCUGAGCCUUCAAACCGUCCAAAUCAAUGCACAACAAAAAUUUUCAAUCGAAGGGUACUUUGCUUCAUACUCUAUGAACUUAUUGCUAAGCUAGUAAAUUGUAUUUUCUCUUUUCCCCGAUUCAUCAUGUUGUCCAGUACGUAACCCAUUGAGUUUUCGAACACGGUCAGGUACAAUAUUAAAGGUUUUUCAGGAGUCGGCGGUACUAGUACUGGAGGAUUAGACAUAUACUAUUUUAUCUUGUCGAAAGCCACUUGGCACUCUUCAUUCCACUCUCCUGGAUUAUGUUUUCGAAUGAGUCAAAAAAUUGGAUCACACUGGUUGGUAAGUUGAGAAAUGAAUCGAGCAAUAUAGUUCAACCUUCCCAAAAAUCCCCUGACUUCUUUUUAUGUACGCGGAGGUGGCAGUUCUUAUAUGGCCUUUAUCUUGUCUGGAUCAACCUCAAUACCUCUCUCACUGACAAUGAAACCUAGCAAUUUUCCCGAGGUAGCCCCAAAUGUACACUUGGCUGGGUUAAGUUUCAACUGAAACUUUCUUAAUCUUUCAAACAGCUUUCUGAGGUUCACAACAUGCUCUUCUUCUCCCCGGGACUUGGCAAUCAUAUCAUCGACAUAAACUUCUAUUUCUUUGUGCAUCAUGUCAUGGAACAGCAUCACCAUGGCUCUCUGAUAUGUUGCCCCAGCAUUCUUCAAUCCGAAUGGCAUCACUUUGUAGCAGAAUGUUCCCCACAUUGUCAUGAAUGUGGUUUUCUCCAUAUCUUCGGAAGCCAUCUUUAUCUGAUUAUAACCUGAGAAACCAUCCAUGAAAGAAAAUAAAGAAUGUUUAGCCGUGUUAUCCACCAGUGUAUCGAUGUGUGGCAAGGGAAAAUUAUCCUUAGGGCUUGCUCUAUUUAGAUCAUGAUAAUCCACGCAUAUUUGUACCUUGCCUUCUUUCUUCGGUAUUGGGACUAUGUUAGCUACCCAUUUCAGAUAUUUAGAGAACUGUAAAAAGCCAUCAUCAUAUUGUUUCUUAACCUUUUCUUUUUUCUUAACAGCAUUUCAGGUCUCAUCCUUCUUAAUUUCUGCUGAACGGGCUUGCAUUCUGGUUUUAAUGGGAGCCUGUGGACCACCACAUCCUCAUUCAACCCUGGCAUAUCCUUAUAUGACCAGGCAAAUACAUCUUUGUACUCACAGAGUAAGGCGAUCAAAUUCUGUUUGGUGUUCUCUGAAAUGGAAGUCCCCAUCUUCACCUCUUUUUUUUCUUCACUUCCUAAGUUCACCGUCUCAACAGAUUCUUGAUGGGGUAGAAUCUAUUUCUCUUCUUGUUCUACCAUUCUCAAUAAGUAAGAAGACGAGACAAAAUCUUCAGCAUCUUCUUCGGCUUCAAAUUCUCCUAAACAAACAGCCUUCUCGAAAUCGAUUUCAGGACUUAUAACGAGAUUGUUCAUACCAUGGAUAUCUGAGCACCUGAAAGGUGAAUGAGAAAUAAAACUAUAGAGGAGCAUCAAAGUAUUAGAAUCAACACACACAAUGUUAUGGAGUGAUAUGAUAUAUGUGUAGGAAAAAGCUAUGAGAAGCGGGAAUAAUUGCAACACUAAUUGAAAUGAAAAGACCAUGACAAAAUGCAUUUUCAUUAAUGUUCAUUGAAAUGAUAAAGAGCAAACAUAAGCUCUUACAAAAGGAAUCCCAUUAUUUAGGAACACACAAAAUAAUGGAGAAUUAACAUUGGGCAUUACUCUGGAGAUGACUGAGAAACUACAAGGAGGUCCAUAGCAGUCCAAUUGUUCAAAACAUAUCCUGGAGGACAGGGGUGUAUCAUUGCAACAUCCUCAAUUGUAUUACUCUCGUUGAGCUCAGCAUCCAUAACUCUAGCUCUUAGAUGCGUUUUAUAAGAAUGGCGUGAUUCCAGACUCGUAGUGUAACAACUGUGAAUUAGACAGUUUUAGCCUUAGUGAAUGGUUAGGGUGAUAUGUACAUGCAAUGAAUGAAUGAAUGAAUGAAUGAAUGAAUGACCAAUAGAUGUUAGUCAUGCAUAAAUGUGAAAAAAAUAGUGUUUAUUUCAAGAUAGCCUCAUAUUUUGGCGUUUCAUUAAUCAAAAGAGCCCAUUACAAAACAUUUUUCCAUCUUGGACUUAACAGUUACACAAAUUCCCUGGCCACAUCGCCUUGUUUCUUCACUCGUCCUAGGAACUUCGACAUUCUUGAUCUUUAGCUUAGAAAGAAUUGCCAACUGAGAGCAUCGGCCUCAUCUGAUAAUUGUACAAUUUGCACAGCUGCCCUGCGAAUUUCAUUGACUAAACUUCAACCCAUAUAUCAAUCAUCCCUGUCAACUUCAUUAGCUUUUUCUUGAAGGUUAUCAGUUUAGACUCCUUCACAUAUAUCUUGUUGAGUUGCACAUUCUUAAUGCGAAGCAGGGCAGCAUACUCUUCUAUGGUCGGAGCCAUGUCUUCUUGAUUGAAAGUAAAACACUGAUAAGUUGGGUCCCAGAAUCGAACCAUAGCUUGAAUCAACUGCUCAUCUACAUUGAUUGCGAUCAAGUGAGCUAUAUCCACGUACUUUUCGGUGAAGAUGCCUCUAGUAUCUGAAUCCUAUUGUCCCUAGAUCCUAGUCAAGUCUUCGAGGUUAUUCUGACGAGCAUUCAAAGUCACGCGCUCGAGAAGAUCAAAAAUGUAACCUUCCUUUAAACUGUCCCUUUUUACUUUUUGGGUUCUCAAAGACCAGUCUAGAUCUAUAGCAUUUUUCUCGGUUACUUGUGUAAUUGACUCCUCCAUCAGAAACCCAUUUUGGCAACCAAUCUUUAACCAACACCUUCCUAAUGAGAUGUCUACGAUGCAUGAUGAAAAAUAAAAUGAAGAACAAAUAACCUUGGUUAGAGAUCACAACAAAUAUAAACAGAAGAAAGAAAAAAAAAUAAAGACUGGAAAAUUUAACGAAUUAAGCUAUUCAAUCAUGCAAUUUGGAGGAACAGACCUGCAUUUUUUUUGCCCCAACAUGCUUUACAAAAACCUACCCCAUAUACCAUCAGACAAUCUAUCAGACCCAAUUUAUUAAAUAGGCUCAAUUCAUUUGCAAACAAGUGUAAAUGUAAAAGAAAUAAAAGGUAAGAGACGUUUCUCCCGUGUACUUAUUUUGGUAACUAUCAAACGGACAGAGGUUCGGCAUGGAUUUAAUUAGGUGGCUCGUACGGUUUACUAUAUGUGGUUUUGGUUCUAGAAAGGAACUCGAAUUGUCCAUACUAUCACCUACUAAGGUUAGUAUGGAGCCUCGGUCAUCACCCAUCACAGGCUUACGAGCUCAAUUAGAGGGAUUACAUUUACUUAUGCCUAUGCGGAGGGACGAGUUAACUCAUGAAAGCAUAAGUCAUAUGUAACCCAGAAGUAUUUCACUAGCCUAUGCGGAGGGACGAGUUAACUCACAAAGGCGUAGCGUUUACUCCCACUUAAACGGACGGAGCCCGGGUAAAGAGCUCAUGUUAUAUAAGAAUGCAAGUGCACGGUGUGUGGGGAGAAACUCACAAACCUUUUUAUUUUUUAUUUUUACUAAAACAAAAACUUUAAAACUAUAAAACUUAAAGCUGAGAAAAAAAACAGAAAAAUAAAACGAGAUAGAAAAAUAUUAAUUUGAAAACCGGAUGCAGAUGCAUGACUUUCUUUUUUAAGAAUAAAAUUCAAAGAUCACAAUUAAAAAUUAAUUUGAACAAGAAAUUUUGAAAAUUUUGACAACACGCAUUUAACAUCAGACUCGACUCUCAAAAAAGUCCCCAGCGGAGUCGCCAGCUGUAGCGACCUAAAAAUUUUAGCACGGGCACUAAUUGAAGUGAUUAUUGAAAAUUUGAAAACAGAAUCUCGAUUUUAUUUGAAAAAAAAGGAGUCGCCACCGAUCUUUUUUCUAGGUGUGAUCGGACACCUAAUAAAAUCUCUUUUUAGAAGAAAAACAUUAUUUUUAAAUUUUUCUAAAAAAGAGGUGACUUUAGGUCUACGUAAAAAUCUAGAGAAAAUUAAAGUUUGGGAGUCGGUUACGCGCGAGGAAGGUAUUAGCACCCUCGAGACGCCCAAAAUUGGAAUCUCAUUAAACGCAUGUUGUCUUAAUUUUCAAAAAAUACGAAUUCAAUUUAAUAUUUACUCGUGAUCCGAUUGAAACAUGAGAAUUUUUGAAAACAUGAAAUUUUUUGAUUCACGGAAAUUUUUAGAAAACACGAAAAAUUUUUGAAAACACGAGAAUUUUUGAAAUCAUGAAAAUUUUAAAACACCGGGAAUUAUUUUAAAACACGAAUUUUUUGAUUUUUUAUUAAGCACGUAUCAUAUUUAACACAAACCAAUGAUAUUCACUCAACAUAGCAAUGAAAUCAACAAAUUAGUGUCAAAUCGAUUCGUUGCCUUUUUUUUGAAAGCGCGAAUAUUUUUUUUGAAAUACGAUUUUUUUUGAAGACAUGAAAAUUUUGAAACACGGAAAAUAUUUUUUGAAAACACGAAAUUUUUUUGAAUAUUUACAAUUUUUAAAAGGGCGUAUCGUGUUUAACAUAAACCAGUGAUAUUCACCCAAGAUAGCGAUGAAAUCAACGAUUUAAUUUUAAAUCGAUUCGUUGCCUUAUUUAUUAAAAUAAUUUAAAAUAAAAUAAAAUUGAAAUUGUAUUAAGUUAAAAAUAUAAAUACAAAAAUAUAAAAAUGCAUAAAGUACUAAAAAUAUUAAAACGAAAUAGCAUAAAAAUACGAGCAUUAAAUUAAAAGUGAAAUAAACGAAAUUACCGAAAAAAAUCCAAAACACGAGCUUGGCCGAACGGGUUACACAAAUUAAACCCCUUUUUUCUUCUCUUUUUCUUUUUCUUUCUUUUUUCUUUUCUUUAUUUCUCUUCCUUUUUUUGGCCUAUUGGGCCGGCCUGCUGGCCUGCUUGAAGUGCUGCUGGGCUGAUGGGGGCUGUGCUACUGUAGGCCUGCUGUUGGGCUGCUAUUGGGCUUGCUAAAGAUGGCCUGCUUUCUUUUUUUUGCUUUCUUCUUUUUUUUUUCUUUUUGGGCUGCUAUUUGGGCUGUUGGGCUGCUACUGUGGCCUGCUAAGCUGCCGGUGCUGUCGAGUCGGGUCACGGGUCAUACGGGUCGGGUUGGGCCGGUCUAUAAAAAAUUUCUUUAAUUUUUUCUUUUUUUCCCUUUUUUCUUCUUCUUCCUUCUUUCUUUCUCUUUUUUUCCUUCUUUUUUCUUCUUCUUCUUCUCCGUUCGGUCUCCUUGGCCACCGUCUACGUUGCUGCUCGUGCUUCUACCGUCACCUCCGCCGGUGGUUCGCCGAUGGCCGGCCUCUCCUCCCCUCCCCUCCCCUCUCUUUUUCCUUUUCUUUUUCUUUUUUUCUUCAAAGCUCUUUUUUUUCUCUCUUUUUCUUUGAAAUUUUUUUUUUAUGAUCGGGAUCCCUUUCUUGGGGUUUUUUAGACCCAGUUAUAGAUGUUUUUCUCUUCUUUUUGUAGGGAUUAGGUGGCUAGGGGAGAGGGAGGCCAUGCCUUAGGCAGGUGGCCGGAAAUCACGGGGGUAGGUGUGCAAGUUGCUGCUAGAAGGACUAAAUUGCAAUUGCAGUAAAACUUUUGGGGCCAAAACAUAAUUUUGAGGAAGUUUAGUGGUCAAAAUGUAAUUUUGAGAAAGUUUAGGGGUAAAAUGUAAUUUAAAAAAGUUUAUGGGUCAAAAUGUAAUUUCAAAAAAGUUUAGGGGUUAAAAUAUAAUUUUAGGAAAAUUUAAGGGUCAAAAUGCAAUUUUAUAAAGUUUAGGGCCAAAAUGUAAUUUUUUAUUUUUUGUAUUUUUUUGAAAUUUUUUUAAAAAAACACGAAAUCGAGCCAGACAAAACUCAGUGAUUACAAGAUGAUCAUAUUCAUCAGGAAGAGAAUUCAACAACAAUAAUGCCUUGUCUUCAUAUUCAAAUUUCUCAUCCAAAUUUAGCAAGUCUGCUAAAAUUUUAUUGAAUGAGUUAGCAUGGUCAUUCAUCGACAUAUCAGGUGCAUACGUGAAUCGAUAAAGUUUCUUUUUCAUAUAAAACCUAUUUUCAUGACUUUUCGUUAGAAACUUUUCAUCCAGUGUAUCCCACAACUUCUUCGCUGAUGUCUCCCUCAUGACAGAGUACUUCUGCUCUUUGGCCAAACAUAGGCGGAUUGUACCACGCAUCUGUCUAUUGAUCUUGGCCCACUCCUUGUCAUCCAUCUUGUCAGGUUUUUCUUCAAGGGCUAUAUCCAACUCUUGUUGACAUAAGACAUCCAGGAUCUGACAUUGCCACAUACCAAAAUUAUUGGUACCAUCAAAUUUCUCUACUUUAAAUUUUGCAUUAGUCAUGGUAGUCUUUGUUGAUGACGAUGCCUCUGCCAUUUUUCUCCUCAAUCCCAACUACUAUAUACGUGAACAGUACCGUUUACGUAAAUAGUGCCGUGGAUGAACAAUACCGUAUACGUAAAUAGUAUCAUAAACGGUCGUAUUCCCCAAGUACGAAUCUAGCUCUGAUACCAAUUGUUGCGCGGAAGCAUGUAAAAGAUUAAAAUUAUUGUACUAAAAAAUCACACUAAGUUCAAUUCCCAUGAAAGAGAGGUGGAUCACGAGGAUCACUUAAGUACCAGGUCUUUCCUAGCCUGAAUAUCCCUCUAUCGUAAUUUAAUAGCACAAUAAAUCACUACAAUCACACUCGCAAAAUAUGCAAAAUAAACAAUAAAUAACACUAGAAUUUUAACGAGGUUCAACAAAUUUUGCCUACGCCCUCGGGCACUACCAAAUAUAUUUCACUCCAAAAUACAAGUGAAAAUUUACAAAUAAGGAGAGGGAACAAUGCCUUAAGUAGAGAAUGGCAUAUAUCGGAUUUGGAAAAUGAGAAAUAGUUAGGCCUAUUUAUAGUUGAAGUUCAAGGAUCAACUUGCAAAGUCCCUAUACAAUUAAGGACCAAAAUUGCAAUUAUCCCAUGCCAAAUUUCAACCCAAUUUUCGAUGCCUUAAAUGCUUAGAUUUUCUGUGCCAAUUUUCUGACACCAAUAUCUUUGAAAAGUCAAAGAUGGUUGCCAAUAGUUUUCUUACAGUUUUCCUUGCGAUAAUCAUUCGAAAACUUGCGAUAACACCCAAGUUAGUCGUACAUUUUGUAUCUUUUGGUUGUUUUGUGUUUUUCUUGUUCACAUUGUAAAAGUCAACAAUCCCGUGAGUAGAAGUCACACGGAAAAGUGCAACCGCUUCUUUAGUUACAAUAACCAUAAAUAUAAAUCAAUGGGAAAAUUUAAUUAUGCUUCUUUAGUAUCUUAUAGACGUAAUAAUGGGCGGGCUAGGUUUGGGUCAGGUUAAGUAAAAAUUUAAGCCCGUUUGUCAUUAGGCCUGGCAUGAAAAUGAGCCUAAAAAUUUAUCCAAAUUUAAUCCGGAUAAAAAUGUUAAAAUUUGGACCCAAUUCGGCCCACCCAUAUUAAUUUUUAUACUAUUUUAUUUUUACAUAAUUUUUAAAUAUAUAUAAUAUAUCAAAAAUAUUAAAAACAUAAAAAUAAAUAUUUUUGAACAAAUUGAAAAUAAAUUUUAAACAAUAUGUAUACUUAAAUAAUACUAAGAUAGAUGCAACUUAACAAGAAAAAAAAUCUUUAAAAUAAUAACAAACAAGUGUUAUAUAAUAUCCAAACAAUGACAACAAAAUAGUAGUAAUAUGAUAGUGAAAUAGUAGCAAAAUAGGGAGAAAACAAUAAGAAAAAAUCAUUAAAAUAACAAAAAAGCAUAUUUUUAUUGGCAUUUAGUGAAUUCGAGCCGGGCUCAGGCAAAAAUGUCUUACCCAAAGCCUAACCCAUUUUUAAAAUGAACAUUAUUUUUUUAUCCAAGCCCAUUUUUCGGACCUAUAUUUUUGUCCAAACCCUUCUAUUUUUCAAUCAGACCUCUGGGCUAGGUGACCCAACCCAUGAGCAGAUCUAAUAUCUUAGGGCUUUUUUUGUCAGUUUCAAAAUAGCCACCGAACCGGUUUGUUUUCUUUUAUCUAUUUCUGUUAAAUAUUUAACAGAAAGGUGAGAUGACAGUUCAAAUAUUAAUAUAAAACAAAUUUAGUAUACAAUUUUUACAUAUUAUGUCAAUUUAGUCAUAAAUUAAAAUAAUUAACUCUUAACAUUUACAUAUUAUCUUAAUUUGGUCCUAAUUCUAAAAAGUUAAAAAAAUUAUAAAUAUACAUAAAUAUUUAAAAUAUAUAAUAAAUUUAAAAAUAUAUAAAUAAUAAAUUUAAGAUCAAGAAAAAAAAAACUAGGAGAAAAAGUAAGAACAAAGUCGAAUUCCAAGUUUUUAUAGAUUUCUUCACUAAGUUCUCUUUUGUAGAUUUUAAAAUAAAGAGAAAAUCUUAUAAAAGUAUGAUAUUUGACUUUAUUCAUUCUUUCUCUCCAAGUUUUCUUUUUUAGAUCUUGAUUUUAUCUGGUAUAUAUUUUUAAAUUUAUUAUAAUUUUUGAAAAUAGAGUUAUAAUCAAAUUGAAAUAAUUUAUAAUGUCGAGGGUUAUUUUUAAAAAUUGUAAUCAAAUUGGCAUAAAAUCUAAAAGUUUUAAGGUUAAAUUUAUUAUUAUAUCCCCUUUUAAAUUUUCAUCUCACACUAAAAAAACUUGAUUAGUUGGGUCACCUCAGUGUUUCUGGGUGUGCUAGAAUUAGAUCCCUCAAAUUCUUCCAAGGAAUACAUUUGCUAUCCCCUUUCUGCUUGAUCCGUGUUGCAACCCAUUGCUCGCUCAUCCCAGUAAUAUUUAUCAACUUUUUCAAAAAGUUUGGGACAUUGACAGCUCUCGAGUAAACUCUAUCUGCUUGAAUCUUUGAGCAACGAAGUAAAGCCAUGUACUCCUCCACUGUAGGUACCAGAUCACCUUCCCCAAAAGUGAAACAACUGUAAGCAGGAUUCCAGAACUGGGCGAGGGCACGAAACAAGUGUUUGCCCACCUUUAUGUCAAGCAGAUAAGGCAUAUCUCCAUAGCUAGAAUAAAAAGGCUGCUUGACCUCAUCAUUCCACUGAUCCCAGAUUUCCUUUAAUUCCUGCAGACUAUUCCGGGUUACACUAAUACGAGUGAAGUCCCACAACUCUGAUACAUAUCCUUUGGCCAAACUAUCACCUCUUUCCCGCUGUAUUGCCUCAGACCAGGUUUGGACAACAGAAUUAUCCUCCACUUUAUCAAGAAAUCCAUUUUCCAUGAUAAGCUCUCUAUCUAGUAACUGAAUAUGAACCGACGCCUUUUAGGAUGAAAUGCUAUGCAGCCAAAAUGCCAUGCAAUCAAAGCAACACACACAAAAGUUAGUAUCAUGUAAUAAAAAAUAGAAUUCAACGCAAACAAAAAAUAAUAAAGCACCUAUUCAGGAAUCUACUAGGGUUUGGUAUAGUUCUACCUAGGGCAAGUUCCUAAGGUUCACUAUAUGAGGUUUUAGCUUCUAGAGCGAAGGUACCCGAACCAGCAGAUUCCUCGAUCCUCACCCAUUAUAGGCUCAUAUGGACCAAGUUCAGUUCAGGGGAAUACAUUUCCCUAUGGCUGCACAGAUUUGAAAAUCUCACGAAGACAUAGGUACGGAUGUAUUCUGAAAGCGGUCCACUAUCCUGCACAGAGGUGAAAACCUCACGAAGGACUAGCUUUUCACUCCCACUUAAAGGGGUAAAAUCACUAAAUGUGAGAUGCAAAUAUUUAAACCAAUCGAUGAAGCAUACCAUGAAGAAAACAAAUAAAUGCAAAGGGGAAAUCAUAAAUUUUAAAGCAGAAUUUGACUUUUCGACCAUAAGACAAAAAAAUUAAUUAAUUUAUGGCUCGACUCUCUUAAAAAGAAGAUCCCUAGUGGAGUUGCCAAGCUGUCGAGACCGCUUUUUGAAAACAAAAAAUUUUAGCUUCGACUUAAAAAUGAAAAUUAGAGUCACCACCAAUCUUUUAUUGAGGUGUGAUUGGAUCACCUAAAAAUGAUUUUGGUCUACGAGUUUUAAAAAAACGGGUUCGGGAGUCAGUUACGUACGAGGAAGGAUUAGCACCCUCGUAACGCCCAGAGUUGGUACCAAAUUAAUUAUUUAAUAUCUUAAGGUUGAAUGGAUAAUUUGCCUUUGUUUUAAAAGAAUCUCGUCUCGAGAUAACAAAAUGUCGCAUCUAGUGAGUUAGGACACAACCCUUUGAAUUCUCGAGAGUAAAUUUAAAUCUUGAAACGUUUACAAUUUUAUUGAAAAAGGAUACUCAGCUAUUUAAAUUCAACGAAAAAAACUGAAGCCCAGUAAGUUAGGGCACAAUCUCCUCGAGAAUUUCGAACGCUGAAUAUUUUGAAAACUCACGUAUAAAACAAUUUCAGUAAUUUAAACAAAUCAGUAAUAUAUCUAAAGAAUAAAAGUAUUUUAAUAUAAAUUGCACAUGUAUAUAUAAAACAAUAUUAUAUAAAAAUACUUUCAUAUAAAUCUUUAAACAUAAAAAAUAUAUAAAAUGAAUUUUUAAAGAAACAUAUACCACAAAAUAAAAAGCAUCAAAAUAUAUGCAUUAUACUGGAUUUUAAAAAGAAAUAAAAUAAUACAUUAUAAGAUAAAAUAAUAAUAUAUGACAGUGAUAUAAAUAGAAUAAAAUUAUGCAUGCAAAAAAAGGUUAGAUAAAUUGUUAUAAGAAAUAUAAUAAUAAUAGUAAUAAUAAUAUUAUUAAUAAUAGUAAUAGUAAUAAUGAAGUCCAAGAAUAAAAAUAAAAUAGAACAAAAUAAAAAAAAUCACAAAGAAAUGUAAAAAAAAGAGUAAAUAAAAAAUAAACAAAACACAAAGCAAAAUUAAAAACACGACAGAGACAAAAAAAACUAGAUUGUCCAUGAAAUAAAAGAUAUUUAAAAUGAGAUAGGGGCUGAAAUUAUAAAUAAAAAAAUAAGUGCAAAAGGACUAAAUUGAAGUUUAAUAAAAAAUCGGGGUAAAAAUUGUAAGUAAAAAUGAAGGAAAGGGCCCAAUUGAAAGGCGCAAAUAAUUUAUAAGGACCCAUCGGGGAAAUAUCCCCCAUCCUUUGAAACGCCAUUUGCUAGGGUCAAAUUGAAACUGAAGUAAAAUUAUAAGUAUAAAUUUAAAAUAAAAAAUAAAAAAAAGACUGAAUUGAAACAACUGAAAAAUACAGAAGGGUCUAACGCGCAAAUAGACCAUCAAAGCAAAACACGCGGAUCCUUCCCCUAGGUCAGGUCACCACGCGGGUCAAGGGAGUGAAACGACGUCGUUCUGGGCAUCAGAAGCCAAGCCCCAAAACGACGCCGUUUUAGGGUGUCUAUAUAAGUAAAAAAAAACCCUAAAAAUCAUUUGAAGCCUCCUUUUAGAAAAAAACUCUCUUUUCUCUCAACUCUCUCUCAGCCUUUCAAACUUUUCUAGAAUCUGGCUAUGGCUCCGGCGCCGGACCACUGUGGCGGCCGCCGGUCGCCGGCGACGGCGCCGUUGUCCACGGUGGCCGGAAAAUUUUAAAAAUAUUUUUUUUUGGUUUUUCCAACUCUCGGACUCCAAAAACACUGAUUUUCAUCGGAAUCGGCACCUCCUCCUCACAAAGGUACGAUUUUUCAUUUUUUAUUUACAUUUUUGUUUUUAAAAAAAUAAAUAAAUAAAUAAAAAAUAAAAAGGCACUACUACCUUUGAAAACGGUUUGCACUUGAAUUGAUUUUUCUCUAUUUUCUUGUCAUUCAUUCGUGUGUGUGUAAAAUAUACAUAGAUUCGGGUCUUUAUAUAGCCCCAAAAUUUCCUAUUUUCUCUAUUUUUUACACUGUUUGUGUUGUUGUUGGACUCUCCUAGUUUAUUUUGCAGGCGAACGUGGCGGCACACGCGGAGAAAACGGCGCAGACGGGGGCUGCCGUUUGGGGGCGACGGCUGCUUUUUUUUUUCUGCCUGGGGUUUCUCUGCUGUUAGGUUUAGGUUAUUUUGGGCUAGGGUUAGUUAGUUAGUUAGUUAAUUUUUGCCUUCCGUUCGUGCGACUGGUUGAUUGGCUUGCUUGCCUUAUCCCAGUUCUUCCCAACAUUGCUUUCCCUUUGAUGCGGGAACCCAGGUCCCAGAAAAUUGGAAUUUAAGUGAUGAAAUAAAGAUGUAAAAAGAAAAAGAAGGCAUAAAACAACAAAAAGGCCUAGAGAUGCAUUAAUUGGCGAAGGGAUGAGACUGUUGCGCUGAAUUGAAUACAAGUCCAAACUGAAUGGAUUCGAUUUUGGAAAAUUAGAGUAAAUUAAUUUUAGGAAAAUGAUUUCAAUGAUUUUCUAAAAUAUUGGUAUUUUCCAAUAUUUGGAUUAUUCAAGCUAAAAUAUUUUUAGCUGUUUGGUAAAUUUUGUUAGAAUUUUAAUUAAUUUGACACUUAAUUGAUUAUUUUCUUUGUAGAUACAAUUAUUAUCCAAUGUGUCAAUGAUUUGUACAAUAAAUUUGACACAAAAAUUCGACUUGACGCGCAAAACAAAUAUUGUAAGAUUAUUUUAUUAUUAUCUCUACUAAACUUUUUGUAUUUUAAGCUUAUCUCUUUUUAUUUUAGGAUUUUAUUAAUUUCAAUUAUUAUAAUAUAUAUAUAUAUAUAUAUAUAUAUAAUGUAUAAUUACCGGGCAGCACAUGACAACCAACCCUUAUACUUAUUAAUAUGGGCGGAGUCAAAGAGGUUGAUAAAAUUCCCAUCCUCCUAAAAUUGAAAAUUUCACUUUUAAUUUUUUAUAUUUAAAAGUUUAAAUUAAUAUAUGAUAAAACAGCAUUUAACUCUUAAAAAUAACCUUUUAAAAAUCAUAAAAUUAUAAAAUUAUAAAAUUAUAAAAUUUCAUUUAUACCAUCAUAAAAACAUACAAUUUAAUUCCGAUCUCUUUUAAAAAAAUUUUGACUUCGCACCUUCUUAUUAAGUUUUAUCUUAUUAUCAGUUAUGUGCGAACUGACUUUUUAUGGUGUGUAUGUAUACAUGCUCUUUGUAAAGUAAUUACGUGCGAGCUCCUUGUAAAGUGUCUAAGUGCGAGCUAGUCUAUAAAGUAGUAAAAUGUGUGUUAUGUAAUCUAUGAGUUGUAUUGACAUGCGAACUAUGUUAAUACGCGAGCUGCGUCAACUUGUGUGCCGUAGCAAAAGUACAAGUUAUACUGUGGUAUUAGUUAUAGCUCGGGUCUGGUGACUAGACCAGACGAGGGGUGUUACACAAGAGACAAAGAAUAAGUUAUAGGUGUCUUAAGUUGUCAAGCGUUUUAGGGAUUGGGCCAGAGAAUAAGUUAUCUACCAAGUCCAGAAACUUAAGCAUGGAAACAUUGGAGAUUGAAUUGGGAAUGUUUCCGCUAAGUUUAUUUCCCCUCAAUAUAAGAUACUCAAGCUUUAGAGCAUUGGUCAUAGAUGGUAAAUUACCUGUAAAAUUACAUUUUUAGUAUACAUAUUCAUUGAAUACCAAAUUCACAAAGUAUAUAAUACACUAAAAUACAUCUUUAAAAUAAAAAACUGUAAAACUUUAUAUCAAAUAAAAAUAAAAUUUUGGCAUGGAAAAUGUGAUCAAAUCAAUUUGAACAAUGGCAUAUAAUAAGAAUUUUUGAGUAGUAAUUAGUCCAUUGUGAUUUGUAUAUAAAAAAAAAAAACCAUUCCAUGCUUGUAAGUUACUUGAAAAAAUUGCAUGUUAUAAUAUAUAAAAUCUGUACUCCAAACUAAAAAUGGACUCCUCACUAUUCUUAGCCCAAGUCUUGCAUUGAAAUCAUCAUUAUCAAAUUUACAAAAAUAUAUAAUACAUUGUAAAACUUUAAAUCAAAUAAAAAUAAAACUUUGGCAUGAGAAUGUGGCAUCUAAUCAAUCUUAAAGAUGACACAGAAUAAGAGAUUAUGAAUAAUAAUUAAUUAUGAUUUGGAAAGCAAAAAUUUUAAAUCAUUCUGUAUGAGUAUUCGGUUUAAUGGUAAACUUGCAUCAAUAUAAGUCUAAGAAAUCAAAAUAAUAUAACAUCAAUAAAAUUAUUUCAAAUACAAUAUUGUUCUAAAGGUUAGAUGUUGGUUUAGCCCUUAAAGUUGUAUUUAAUUAUUAUUUUGGUACCUAAAAAAAUUAUUUGUACCAAUUUGAUAUUUAAAGUUGGAAGCAUUAAUAAAAUGGUACAAAAAUAUUAUUAUGAAAAAUUAAAAAAUUAAAAAUUCAGACUUUUUUUUAAAAAAAAUGUAGAAAAUGUUUUUAAAAAUUAUAAAAUAGGAAAGUAAAACAUACAUAAACAGUAAAAUAGACAUAGAGAAUACCAAAAAUUUAUAUAUAUAAAAAAGAAAAUAGGACAAAAAAUAAGAAAAACUUAAAAAGAAUCAACAAACCAUGGAGAAGGUGAGCUGUGGAAUUGAUAAGAUCAAUUAGAAAAUGGUUUCGAGCUUUCUGCUUAGUUAAAUCAAGUAAAUUAAAAUGCCAAAAAAGAGAAAGGAAAACCCCAAAUGUGGAAAUACGAUAUAAAGAUUAAGAGUGAAAUUUAAAAUCCAAGCUAUAUAUUCUAUAAGCUCCAAUUAAAAAUUUUGGUCUAAAAUAUUUGUGUUAAUGUAACAUUUUGAAAAAUAAAAUAAACUUAAUAUCAAUGUAAUCAAUAAAAUUUUAUAAUGGAUUUGAAUUUAAUAAAUAAUUUUAAUAGUGUUGACAAUUCAUUAAAAUUCACAUUAUCAUUUUUUUAAGAAUAAAUCAUUAAAUUAAUAAAUUACAUGUUAAGGGUUAAGAUGUUUGUUUCAAAUACAAUAUAACCAAAAGAAAUUAUAAUGGAUCUGAAUUCUGUAAAAAGAUUUAACGGUGUUAAUAAUUCUUUAAAAUUCAUAUAUUCGUUUUGUCCUAAAUAAAAUAUUUUAACGAAAUUAAACUUUUUUAUAAAAAAAUAUUUUAAAUUAAAGAAACCAGGGAAUUUUAAUACCUUCCAGGUUAUUUAACGCCAAAUAUAAUUCUUCAAGUUGUGUCAAAUUCCCGAUACUUCUUGGAAUGAUCCCCGUAAAUUUAUUAAUGGACAGUGACAAAAUUCUGAGGUUGUUGCAUUUGCCUUUACUUGAUGCAACGUUACCAGAUAAUUCAUUCGAAAUCAAGUCAAGCCCUUCAAGCUUGGGAAGGUGUUGACACAUAUCAUUAGGCAAACUAUCUAAUAGGCUAUUUUCGGAGAGACCAAUAGCUUUCAGAGAAGAAAUGUUGAAGAUGGGAGAUGGAAUCGGACCUUUAAGACCUUUAAUGGCUUGAAUACUAAGCAUUUCCAAACUAAGAAGAUUACCAAUUUCCUCCGGAAUUUGACCUGCAAAUUAACAUAGUUGAAAAAUCAAGGUGUAAAGCUAACUAUUUCGUAAGUGUAAAUCAAAGAGGCUUUUUCUUUAUUUUUUUUUCGUUAUGAAAUAAUAUGGAUAUGUUAGAUUCUAAUCAUAUUUAAGUAUAUUAGUUCAGCUAAUUAAGUAUUUUUCCUUGAAAGAAAAUGUUCUUAUUUUUUGUAUUUAUAUUACAAAUAAUUUUUUUACAAUUUAAAACAAAAGAGGUAAAAUGUGUUUAAAUUAAAGACAUCAAGGAAAAUGCAUACCUUCUAGGUUAUUAAACCCUAAAUAUAAUUCUUCAAGUCUUGACAGAUUUCCAAUACUUCUCGGAAUGAUUCCCACAAAUUGAUUAUAGGACAAUGACAAAUUUUUAAGAUUGUUGCAUUUGCCUAUACUUGAUGGAAUGUUACCAGAAAAUUCAUUCCAACUCAAGUAAAGCCCUUCAAGCUUGGGAAGAUGUUGACACAUAUCAUUAGGCAAACUACUUGGUAAGCUAUUACCGGAGAGAGCAAUAAUCGUCAGAGAAGAAAUAUUGAAGAUGGAAGAUGGAACCUGGCCAGAUAAUUGAUUAAAUAUCAAGUUAAAGAUCUCUAGAUUGGACAUGUUGACAAGUGUUUGAGGGAUUGUGCCUGUAAAAGUAUUAUUUGUCAUUUGCAACCUUUGAACUUUGUGUAAGUUCCCAAGCCAUGAUGGAAUUUCCCCAUUAAGACUGUUAAAGCUUAAUUGUAAGAUCUUCAAACGAUGCAAUUGACCCAAUUCUUUAGGUAGCAGGCCAUAGAAACUGUUGCGAUUCAAGUCGAGAGAGAGUAGAAAUGAAAGAUUUCCAAGGUAUGGAGGGAUAGUACCCCUAAGAUUCAUGCUUGAAAGAUUCAAAGCUAUAACUCUUUUAUGGAUGAUGCCACACGAAACACCAAUCCACCUGCAAACAGAGGUAGAGGCCGUCCAAUUGUUUGCCAAGACAUUUGAGGAUCGGCAAUGCGAUCCUUAAACUUCAGAAGCGCAAACUGAUCGGAGUUGAGAUUCCUGGCUGUCAUAGCCAAGCAAAGUACGGAACAUGGUAUGAAUAAAGCUAAAAGAAGAUGAAAGCAAGCGUUGUAGUUCAUGAUUUGAAGACGAAUUAAGGCAAGAAAAUAAAAAAAGUAGGAAAAGGGAAGUUGAAAUGAUAAAAUAGCCCAGAGAGCAUGCUUUAAUAUGUUUCAACCCUCGCACACUUCUCCCACAUUAAAUUCACUCGGCCGGGUUGGGCCGGGGGGGGGGUUACAACACUAAUCUAGAUUUUACUUUUUCAUUGGUAUCAAGUCUUCUUCACAUACAAAGAAAAUAUAAUUUCUCCUAAAUUUUCUUCACAUUACUCCACAUAAUCCGUAAAAAAAUACCUUAAUAAAAUAUAAUUUUUAAAUACUAUAUAUUCUUUUAUUUUUCUCACAAUAAUAUAUUGGUUAAAAUAUGCUAUUCCCCCUGUACUUUUUAUAAUUUGAGAUUUAGUCCAUGUACUUUAAAAGUUAAAAAAUCCAAUCCUCCUAAAUUCUCAAUUUAAAAAUUUUAGUCUAAUCAUUAUCAUUGUUGGUAAUUCUGUGAAAAUUUGUUAACUUAACAUGUUUAUUUUCUAUCAUAUGCAACGUCAUAUGAAGAUAGCCUAAUCAACAUAUAUACCAAUAUGAUAGAUUUUGACCAAAAAUACUAAUAGUAUUAAUGGUAGGAUCGGAUUAUUUAAAUAAGGAAAGUAAGAGGAGUUAUUUUUUAAGUACAAUGACUAAAUUUUAAAUGUUGUCCAAGUACAAGCAUUAACAACAUAUUUUGACCUAAAUUUUUUUAAAACUUUUAAAAUAGAAUAAGGUUAAAAUAUGCUAUUAGUGCUUAUACUUUCAUAAAAUUUGAGAUUUAGUCAUUGUACUUAAAAAGUUAAAAAUUAGGUCCUACCAUCUUUAUUUAAAAAUCUUAGUCCUAUCAUUAACAUUGUAACUAUUAUUUUGUCAAAAUUUGUCAACUUGACAUAUUAAUUAGGUUUCCCUUAUAUGACGUGAUAUAUGAUUGACAAGUAAUAAACAUGUUACGUUAACAAAUUUUGACAAAAAAUUACCAAUGAUGAUAAUGAUUUACUAAAAUUGUAAGGGAUUGAAUUUAUAACUUUUAAAGUAUAUUGACUAAAUCUUAAAUUUUAUAGAAAUACAGGGACUAACAACAUAUUUUAGACACAUAAUAAUAUAUAUAUAAUUUUCAAUUAAAACUACAUUGGACUUAAUUGGCUAAGGGUUAAUAUAUUAAUGGGUAUAUGAGUUUCACAAUUUUUUUUUAUAAUGCUGUAUUGUUGGUUUUUGUUCAAUGUGAUAAAUGUAUUUGGCAAAAAGUUAUAUAUUUUGGUUUCUUAAAGGUAACAAUGUUAGCUUAUUAGUGUUUGAUUUAAAUUUUAGAGUUGAUUUAAUGAACAUUAAUUGCUAAAAUUAUUAGUUAAUUAUGAGUUUUCGUCAAAUCAAAUUAAAACCUACUCAUAUAUAUAUAUAUAACAAGUUACGUCAUAUACUAAAUUUACAAGAAGUGACUCUCUCUCAAUUUUUUUUAUAUUUUUUAGUUUUUAAUUAUCCAUUAAAUUUGUUUUUUUCUAAUAAAAUUAAAUUAUAGAAUACCAUUAAAAUUCUAUAUAAAAAAUUAAAUAUUUAUUUAUUUUAUUUUUAUUUCAAAACCUAACAAUUUUACGUUCUUUUUCCCAAUUUUCUCUACACGUUCUUCCCUUCUUUUCCACCUUGUUCUUUGUAACUUUCUUUUCUUCUUCCAUUUUAUAGUUACUUGUUGUCUAUCAAGGGAGUCUUAUCAUCGUGUGUUUAUUUAAUCAGAAGAGAAGAAGGUAGGUUUUGUUUUUAGGGGUUAUUGAUAGAAUUUUUUUUGUUUUCUAUUUGUUAUUGAAUUGAAGGUUUCAUUAAUUGGUUUGUUAAACUAAGGUUUCUGAACAGUUUGGUGGAGCGAAUCGAAUGGUUCUUGGUGCUGGGAAUCGCGAUUAAGGUGUUUGUUCAGAAACUCUUCAAUUUUGUUAUCGAAUUUUUGAUUUGAUUCUGUGAAAUUUGACAUAUUUUGUAUGUUUUGAAAUUGACCAAUCGAAGUGUCGAUUGUUAUGGAAUUGUUUGAAAUUCUGUGUGUUUUUGGUGUAUUUCUAAGUUAUCGUGGGUUCGGGAACAUUUUGACAACAAAGGCACAUUUUACAGCCUAAUUCAGUGUGGUUUCAUGACCACAUGAGUGGCCAUACAGGCAUGUGCUGUACACGAGCAGUCCACAGAGCCGUGUGAAUUUGGGAAUUAGGGCUUUCGGGCCAAUUUUUGUGCCACACGGCCGUGUGGCUAAUAUUUGGGAAUUUUAGUCAAUAUUCACACGGGUGUGGGUUUUGGACACACGGUCGUGUCCCUAAGCCACACAGGCGUGUGAGAUUUUCACAUGGCUGUGUCUACGCUGCACUUUAUUUUAUCAAAUUUAGACAGAGAGUUACACAAGCUAUUUACACGGGCGUGUGCCUCCUUCACAUGGGGCGUGUAGACCUCCACACAGCUUAGGAACUUCCACAUGGUUGGGGCACACGGUCAUGUGGCCUUGUUUUGUAGAUUUUUGUUCUGUGUCAUAUUUUGACUCGUUUUGUGCUUCUGUGUAUUCUAACCCCAGUUAAGACUUAGUAAGAAUGUUUAGGACUCUGAUUAGUUAGAAUUUGUGCAUUUGUUCGUAACUAAUGUGUUAAUUUAUUAGUUUGAUUAAAUGUUAUGUGAUGUUAUUAGUAAAUAGUUACAAACCUAAUUGAUUCUAAAUUUGAUUGAUUGAACUUGUGUGUUUUGUUUUCUGUAUGAAUGUUUGUAUGUUGUGUGCAUUUUGCAAUCGCAUAAAAAUUUUACAAUUGACUGACUGAAUAUGAUGUGCAUUCAUACAUAUGCAUAAAAUUAGGGUUUUGGUUAUGAAGAGAAGGGAGCCUGUUUCGGUAGUUCAACUGUAAUAUUUCUGAACAGCAGUUUACCGCGUGAUUCUAUAUAUAUGUCAGCUCAGCUGCAUAUUAUGAUUUCGAGUGGCUUAGUUUCCACAUUGUAGUGUGUAGGGUGGAUGAACCUUUUAUAGUUCUUGUAAUAGGCCCAAUCUGCCCGGGCCCAACAAAAUAAGUUACAAACCCAAAAUAAACAUUACAAGUCCAAAAAUAAAAAAAAACUAACGGCUCAAGUGGCCCAAAACCUGACCCCUUUAGCUGCCGCUCCACCCACGCGCGCCAACCUCCUCACGCGUGCUACCAUGUCAGCACCUCCGUACCCUCCACGCUCUCUCUGCCACCAUAGCAUGCGUCCUUGCCCCAUACAUGCAGACCAAGCAAAAGAGAGCACAACAGUAAAUAGAAAAACAUUGUAUUUUUCGGCUAUAAAAGCCAUGGACAAAUCAAUGUAAAUUUUUUACGACAAAAAUCAAUACAAAAAAGGCAAUGAGAAACAAAAAAGGUGGUUCUUUUGUUUUUAUUUCUUUUCUACUUAUAUUUCUACUAGUUUUUAAGAAAAAUAAAAAAGAAAGGGGUCGAACCUUACCCUUUUCUCGCAUUUGCGCUGUCGUAGGGGGACGAGGUUCGUUGUUUCCGAUGAAAAACGACGUUUUUUGAGUCAAGGAAGUCGAAAAGUUAAAAAAUGGCCUUCUUUCAAUUUUUCAGCCACCGUGGAUGGUGACCGUCGCCAGCGACCGGAGAGGGUAUUUGAGAGAGAGGGGGAGAGUGAUAUGAGUUUUUUUUUUCAAAGAAUGGGGUGAAAUGAAUUUUUUUUUAAAAAAUUGGUUUUUAUAGAGGAUUGAAACGGCACCGUUUUGGGCAUUAACCCCAGUGGCCAAAACGACGUCGUUUCACCCCUUUAACCUGCGCGUGGAUUGGACCCGCAAAAGGAUCAGCGUGUUUUUGUGGAAGGGUCUAUUUGCGCGUUAGACCCUUCCGCAUUUUUCAAUUGUCUUAAUCCAAUCCUUUUUUUUAUUUUCUAAUUUGUACUUCAAAUUUUAUUUCAUUUUCGAUAUGGUCCUAGCAAAACGGCGCAUUUUAGAGGGCGGGGAUAUUUCCCCAGUUGGUCCCUCUGAGUUAUUCGCGCCUUUCAAAUGGGUCAUCUACCUUAUUUUCAUUCUCGAUUUUUACCCAAAUUUCUGAUUAAACUUCAAUUUAGUCCUUCUGCGUCUAUUUUGUUAUAGUUUUAGCCCCUCUUAUAUUCAUAAACUUAUUUUAUUAGGAUUUGGACUCUUAAUUUUAUUUCAAUGUCAAUUUAAUCCCCUUUUAUCUCUGUCUAGGUUUUAUUUUCUUUUUUUUGUUGUGUUUUAUUUAUUUUAUUUAUUUGCUUACCCUUUCUUUUUUUUAUUUUGAUUUUCGUAUUUAAUGAUGCUUUUAUUUUAUUUAUUUUAUUCUUGACUUUCAUUGUUAUUGUUGUUGUUGUUGUUGUAGUUGUUGUUGUUGUCGUCGUCGUCGUCGUUGUUAUUUUUAUGUUUUUUUAUUAUUUCAUUUAUUUACAUAUUUUAUUCCAAAUUGUGUCUUUAAAUUUCGUUUAUAUUUUAAUUUGGUUCUUUACUUUCAAUAUUUUUUAUAAACUAUUUUCCCUUACAUUAUUUAUGUAUUUAUUUUAUUUGUUUUUUUUAAAAGUUGGUAUUGUCCUUUUAUGUGCAUACUUUGGCAUUAUUACCAUUGUUAUUAUUUAUUUUAUUUAUCUUUUGAUUAUUCUUAUUAAUGUUAAAGUAGUGUAUAUUAUAUGAUUCUCGUAAAUUGUCUUUAUUAUAUUCAUUAUUGUUAUUUAUUAAUGCAACAUUUCAUUCAUGUAUUAUUUUAAAGAUUACACAUUUUUACCCAAAUUUGUAAAAAAAUAUAAAAAAAUUAGAAAAUAAGCAAUAUUUUGUAUUUUGGAAUUUGAAAAGUCGUUCCCUAACUUACGGGGUUUCAAAAUUUUUUGAUAAAUCCAAAUAUACGAAUCAUUUUUCAAAAACACAUUUUUAAAAUUAUCUCGAGAAUUAAAAAGAUCGUUUUCCAACUUAUGGAACAUGAUUUCUUUUCUAAAACUGAGAUAAUAAAAAAAUUCUAAAAAUAAAUAAAAUUUUCGGUGUUAUUCUCAUUUCGAGAUUUAAGGUUAUGUCCUAACUCACGGGGUAUAAUUCUUUUUCUCGGUUGACGUGAAAUAUGCCCUUUUUAAAAUUCUUUUAGGUAAUUUUAAUAAAAAGGAUCGUAUUUUAAGUCUCUUCAAAAUUUUCAACUUUCGACAUUAAGACAUUAAUUAAUCAAUUAGGUAUCAAUUUUGGGCAUGACAAGGGUGUUAAUCCUUCGUCGCACGUAACUGACUCCCGAAUCCGUUUUUCUCAAAUUUCGUAGACCAAAAUCAUUGUUUUAGUAAAAUCGAAACGUUUUGUUAAAACGAUUGAAUUGGAAGGUGAUCCGAUCACACCUCAAAAAAAAUAUCGGUGGCGACUCUAGUUUUUUUUUUCGUUUUUAUUUUCAAAAUAAAAGUUGACCCCUUUUUAUUAAAAAAAAGGCUUCGACAGUUCUAUGUGGUGUGCAGGGUGGACGGGCAUUCUUUUUAAAAUUAUUUGCAAAUGUUUGUACUAAUUUGAUUAUUACAUGUGUUUGAGACAUUGCUUAUGUAGUUUGGUACUAUAUAUUGACUUAUCGAUGUAAGAUUUUCGUAAGUGACCAUCAUAUAGUGCUUGUCUAAAAUAUUUAUGGUGUUAUCCCCUCUUUUACCGACUGUUGUGUUUUGGACUCACACUGAGCUCGCGUAGCUCACCCCCUUAGUUUUCUCCCUUUUAGGUACUCUCGUGUUCUGUAGCUAGACUCAACAUAUUAGAAGACUCAGACGGAAGAUAUGAAUUUGAUUUAAUAAAGUGUUUCGAUUCAAUUUUAGUUUUUCUAACUUGUUGGGACUAUAAGUGUUAAUAGGGACUGUGGUAUAAGUUUUACUUCUGGAUUUUCGUAAAUUUUUAUUUUGGGACUGAACUUUUGAAACUGCGGAAUUAUACUUUCUAAUGUUUUUAACGUAAUUUAAAAUUUUUGUUUGAAUCCUGAAUGGUUAAAUGACUUAGUUUGAUUUUAGCAAAAAUGAGUUAUAAAUGAGAUGUUAACAAUUAAUUUUGUAAAAUUAUUUUUAGAUCACUUCGGUGUUCAAAGUAACCUCUGAGAUUCGAUCCAUACUUCUAGGCCGAGUUUUGGGGUGUUACAUUAGUUUUCAAGAGGAGAUUGGUGAUGUACUUGAAGAGAGAUUGAUUUUGAAAACUUUGACUCCUUUUUGCUUUGAGAGUUGAUUUGAAGAGAAAAGAGCUUGAAGGUGCUUUUGUAGAAUUAGGACAAAUUUUAAAAUAAGGACUAAAUUGGAAAAAAAAGUUUUUGGGUUGGGCUAAUUUAAAAAUUUGACACUUUUGUGGGAUAAAAAUAGAAAAAUAUUUUGGUUGAAUACACACAAGGAGUUACGAACUUGAUACCUAUAGGUAGACUAAAGCCUUACCACUGAACCAACAAGCUCAUUCUUUUUAUCUUUUAACACAAAUAAAUUUUAAGGCAUACUAAGGGCUUGUUUAGCAUUGCUGUGAAGAAGCACUUUUGGCUUAAAAAACGCUUUUGAGAGAAAAGUUGUUCUAAGCUAGUAACAUUUGGCUAAGAUUUUGGCUUUUCAAAAGCACUUUUGGCCAAAUGGAGAAGCUAAAAUUUUUAGCUUUUCUUACCCAAAAGCACUUUUGAGUGCUUAAUUACUAAUUCAUCCCUCCAAGAACACAUUUUAAAAUAAAAUAAUACAAAUAUGUUAAUAUUUAAUUACAAAUAUUUAAUGGUUAUAUUUAAAUACUUAAAAUAUAAUUUAUAUAUUCUAAUUAAAUUUUAUAAAUAAUUAAUAUUUGUUGCUUAAAAAUAUUUAAAAUUUAUAUUCCAUAUAUUAAAAUAUUAACAACAAAUUAUAAUAAAUUAUUUUUUAUAUUCUUACUAAAAUAUCAUAAUAUUAAUUAAUUUUAAUAUUAUUUAAAUUCAUAUUUGUUACUUUAUAACAUCAUGUCUAAAAUUGACGUUUUAUUUCUCAAAAAUACUUUUUGACAUGAAUACUAAACACUUAAAUCUUAAACUAAACUUCUCAAAGAUACUUUUCUACAACACUUUUUAAAAGCACUUUCCAAAAUCAAUGCUCAACUAUCUCAAACUCUCUUACCUUAUACUUUAAAAGAGAAGAAAAGAUUUUAAAUUUUAUCCCUAUUUCUUUUAACCCAAUUUUUAGGAUGUCAAACAUUUAUAAUUUUCUGUGUUUUUCUUCUUUGCUGACUUUUUUAAUGUCAUUUUCUAUCAUGAAAGAAAAUUAAAGAUUCACUAUUUAUUUCUCAACCACUAUGAAAUUGCUUGACUAUGGGGGUAGAAUUUUCUCACCAAUUUUCUAACAUGAGAUUUUUUGAAUGAGACAAAUAUUUCAAUUUUAACACAAACAUAUCUUUAGGGUUAUAGUUUAGUUAUUGAGAGCGUUUCCCAUAAUUAGUCACCCCUAUUUGUGUGUGAUUAGGGAAAAUUUUAUUCAAAAUUAAUUAAUUUAAAAAUAAUAAAUAAUAAAUAAAUUUAUAUUGAAUUUUAUAUAUAUUUAUAACAAAAUAUAUUAAUUUUGGGGUUAUACUUCACUUCAGUCCACUGACUUUUCCACAAUUGGUUUAAAAGUUUAUCCCACCAAUGCCAAAUUGGUGCUUUAUCUCUUCUCUUAUUUAAUUUCUUUUAUAAUCAGAUUUGUUUUACUAUUAACUAAUAAUAAAUCAAUUCAAUUAGUAUUUAAUCAUUUUUAGGCUUCCUAAAUCCUUUGAGGAUGAUUUUAAAGUUUCUAAAGAUGAUUUUAAGUAGUCCCAAAAACCACUGGAUUUUUUAGUGACAUCCAAUUUUUCUUUUCCUGCAGUAUUGUUGAAAGUUAAUUUUCAGAACAAAAGUUUGCCUUACCAAAGAUGAUUUACCAAGACAUGCAUGUAGCAUGCAAAUAUGAAACAAUAAGAAAUAACUAAAAAAAAUGAUCCUUCAAAAUUAAAAAAGAAAGAAAGAAAGAAAGAGAGUGAGAUAAAUCUAAAAUUGCUUAAUAAGUCAUUUGAUAUUUGAAUUUGAUAUUUUUUAAAUAUUAUUUUCUUGUUUAGUGAGUUAUUUAUAUUUGAUAAAAGUUAUACAUCUUGGUAUCUAAAGUUAACAAUGUUAACAUUUUAGUGUUUAAUGUAGGUUUUAUGGUAGCGAUUUGAUGAAAAUUUCACUGUAAACUAAUAUUAUUAGCAAUUAACUUUCAACAAAUCUAUAACAAUCCCAAAUCCAGCCUAGACGCUAUGGUCAAACCUGGAAGGUUACAUCAGUACGUAGAAAAUUUUGUUCUUCCAAAUGUGUUUUGUUACUAAAUUAAGUCAUCCCAGGUUGCCCAAAAACGAUGACUCGCCACCAUGAGAUGCCCGACAACGAUGGCUUAUCAAUACGCAAUUAAACUGUUAGAUCAGAUAUUUGUGGUCAUGCCAUUGAAUUGCAACUCAGCUACCGAAACAAAAAUAUGUGGUGAAACCACUAUAUUGUAUCCAAGCUGCCAAAUAAAAAUAUGUGGAUAAACCAACAGAUAGUGCAGACCAUUAAACUGCCAAAAAUUCCUCCCUUUCAUAUUAUCCCAACCCCAUGCAAUGUGACAUGGCAUGCAUUUACAUAAUCAAAACGACAAGCAUGUAAGACAUGUAGUCGUACCAUAACAGAACUUAGAAAGCAUGGCAUUCUCACAAAUUCAACAAAAGCAAGUUGGUAUGCUAUAAAGUCACAUGCAUGAUCACAUAGCAGAAUCAGAAACAUAAAAAUAACGUAACCAAACCUCAUACCCAUAUACAAACAUAACAAUACAAAUCACGCUACCAGAUUCAUUAGAAAACAGUUCAUGCACACGAAUUUCACAUACCUUAUUCAUAUCACCUACAAUGUCAAAUUAUCAGACGUUACAUUUUCAAAGUCAGUUUUACACAGUACGAACCCUACAAAAUGGCUAAACAUGACUCACGAAUCAAAACGGGCCUAAACGAAAAUUUUUAGAAAAUGGGCCAACAUGGCCCAAUUAACCUAGGCCGUAUGGCGUCGACAGUCCAAUUUUCGACUUUCAGCAGUUCAUUAUUUUUUGAGUUUUUCGAUAUACAGCUUACUAUUUUCCGAAGCAAAAUCAUGGCAAGAAUUCCAAAACCUAAAAUCCAUAUUCAACCCACUCAAAUUAGUAAUGAAACCCAAAACUAAAUCGUUAAACAACCAAAACUGCUACCAAUAAACCUUAUCAAACCAGGAAUCAACCUUUUGGCAUCUGACUACUAACCCAGAAUAGUAGCAGCAGUACUAAAAAUCUCUCAAUUCACCGGAAGACUAUUUGUUACAGAAACGUCACCUAAACCAAAGAUUUCAGAGUAAUCAAAAUCGCGUCACACAAAGAAGGAAACAAAUUAACCCCAAAAUCGUGAAACUCAACAAAGUACGAAUCUUUUCACAUAUUCCUUACCACCAACCGUCAAGAUUGCUCAAAAACCACUAAUGACACCGACCUUCGCAAGGUUAAAUUGAAACCAAAAGGCAACUAAAGAUGGAACAAAGGUUGUUAUAAAAAAAUAUUAACAAAGACUUAUUGGAGCAAAAAUGGCGAAAAAUCAAGAAUAGGGAGAUUGGAAAAAAAAAAAAACAAUGAAACGGCAAAGAGAAGGAGUGGGAAAGCGACGACAGUUUGUGGAGAGAUUUUGGGUAAAUAAAAAGUAACUCACCACUCAACCUAUUAAAUCUGAUUACCCUCUAAACAGAUUCCCUUAAAGUUUAAAUUCAACCCAAAUACCACUACAUAGGCGGCAUAGUGUAAGGAAACAAAAAUAUUUCUACUUUGCACACACGGGGUCUUGAACACGAAACCUUAGGAUAAUUUGAAGUCUUGCCACUAAAUUAGUAGACUCAUCCUUGAAAUUAAUUGAAUGAAAAUAUUAUUUAUGUCAGAUGAUCACGGAUAGAGUUUAAGACCAAAGAUGACAAAAAUUCAAAGGAAAGAUUUAAACCUAGAACCUCACACACACAAGCAUAACACCUAUCCACUGAACCAGAUUUCCUCCAUUGACAUAAUUUUCACAAUAUUAACUAAAAAUUCAGAAUAUGGUCACUCUUGGUUUCACUUAUCCAAUUUCUUCUAACCCGAUUUUUUUGGUGUGACAACUCUCACCUCUUUAAAAGAUUUCAUCCUCGAAAUUCCUGCUGUGACACCAUACACUUAACCACAAAUCUAAAAUUCCCUAGUCCAAAUCGACCACCAGGCUAUCAUUGUACAACUCUAAUAUCCAUUCAAGUCCGAUCCAGACAAUAUUUUAGAGGAAUUUCCUAUUCACUACCUCGGAUUACCUCAAUAAGCUUUCCACGGAAACAUAACUAAUGAUCCUUUGCCCCAAACUCUAAAAAACAUCAUUACCACAAAAUACAGCUACAAACUGUUGACACUAUUUUUUUGAUAAAACGGGGUCGACUUGGUUUUUGAAAAUGAAAACGAACACGGGAGUUGCCACUAGUCUUUUUUGAUGAGGUGUGAUCGGGCCACCUCAAAAAGUUGUUGUUUUUAAUAAACAAUUUGAUUUUAUUAAAACAAUACUUUUGGUCUGCGAAAUUCAAAAAAACAGGUUUGGGAGUCGGUUACAUACGAGGAAGGAUUAGCACCCUUGUAACGCCCAAAAAUUGGUACCUAGUUGAUUAAUUAGUGUCUUAGUGUCGAAGAUUGAAAACUUUGAAGAGUUUUUAAAAAUACGAUCCUAAAAAAAAACUCGAAUAACAUGGAUUGAAAUUUAAGAUUCUCUUGUUCUGAAGGAAUAUCACAUCCAGCACGUUAGGACACGAUACUUUAAAUCGUCGAAACCAAGAUCACUUUAUGAUUUCAAAAAACCAUACUUUGAAGUUUUAAGAGGAUAUUUGGCUAUUUGGUCAAACGAGAAAUCGAAACCCAGCACGUUAGGGCACGCUUUCUCGAAUUUCCAAAUGUAAAAUAUUGCCUUUAUUAUUUUUUAGAGAAAUCCUCAUAUCGAGAAAACAACAUGUCAUAUCCAAUGUGUUAGGACACAACGUAUUGAAUUCCCGAUACGAGAGUACAUGCCAAAAAUUUGCUUAUUUAAAAGAUAUUUAGCUAUCUAGGGUUUAAAAAAAAAGGGUUCAUGCCUAGUAAGUUAGGACACAAUCUUUUCUUAAUUCCCGAGAUCGUUUAAAACUUUUGCUUGAAAAUAUUCAUGUACUUUGAUUUAUUGAGAAAAUUGAAACCCCGUAAGUUAAGGCACGAUUUCUCAAAAUUUCGAGCAUGAAAUAUCACUUUUUUUUGAAAUUAUCAUUUUUGCGUAUUUGGAUAAAAAUUAAUGCAAUAAUCAUGCAAUGCACAUUACUUUUAAUACUAACUAAUAAUCAAAGACGAAUGAAAUAAAAUUAUAUAACAACAAUUUAAAGUAAGUAAUAAAAUUUAAAAAUGAAUAAUACAAAAGAUUCAAAGUACACAAUGUAAAAAAUUAAACAUAAAUAAAACAUAGAAUAGUUUGAAAUGAACAAUUUUAAGCAAUUUAAAAUAACAUUACAUAGAAUAGUUUAAAAUGAAUGCUAUAUCAAAAUAAAUAAUAUAUAUAAAAGUUUAGGAUAAAAUAACAUAGAAGGCAAUCCAAAAUAAAUAAUGUAUACGAAAAAAUUUAAAAUAGAUAAUAUCGAACAAUUUAAUGUAAAUAAUACAUAUAAUUUAAAAUAAAUAAAAUAUAAACCAUUAAAAAUAAUAAUAUAUAAGAAUUUAAACAAAAUAAAUAACUAACAAGCUAAAGAAUUAAAAUCUGGCAGAUUAGGGGACCAAAUCAUAACAAAAUGAAAUUUAAAAGUAAAAAUGACAACAAAAUAAAUAAAUGAGGAAUAAAAGACAAAAACGCUAAAAGGCCGAGGGUCAAAUGGGUAAAAUCCAAACCCGGACACAUGUCCAUUUUCAGUGCAUCAAUGGGUCAGGGAUCCGAUUGAAAACCACACAAAAUUGCAGGGUCAAAUUUAAAAGAGUGAAAAUAAACAAAAAAAGGGAGUAAAUUGAAAGGGGCAUGAACGUGAGGGGCCAGGGUUGCAAAUAACCAUUCAUGAAAACGCACGGAUCCUCCCUAGAGCGGGUCGGGUCGUGCGCGGGUGGCCCUAUACGGUGCCGUUUUGGGGCCACUAAAACAGGCCCCAAACGACGCCAUUUUGCGUCUCUUAUAAAAGCUAAACCUUUUUUUUUAACUCAUUUCUUCCAUUCUGUUUAAAAAAAAACCUCAUUCUCUCAACCCUCUCCCUUCCCCGAAUUUGGCAAAGAGCUCCGGCCGAUGGCCACUGUGGCUCCACCGCAGGUGGUGGUCAGAGCCACCAAAAAAUUAGGUUUUUAACCCCCUUUUUAAACCCCGUUCGAAGGCCGAGCCCUCUUGGCCUAAAAUACCGAAGGAAAAUGACCUCCUAUGCUCUUUCUCCGUCUGAUUUAGUCGACCGAAGGGACUCCCGAAGGCAGCCGCGGGAUCUGCCAGGUGAGCCCUUUCUCUUCCUUUUUAUUUUCGUUUACAAAAAUAAAAAAAUAAUAAAAAUAAAGACAAAAGAAAUAGGGAGAUUGGAAAAAAAAACAAUGAAACGGCAAAGAGAAGGAGUGGGAAAGUGACGACAGUUUGUGGAGAGAUUUUGGGUAAAUAAAAAGUAACUCACCACUCAACCCAUUAAAUCUGAUUACCCUCUAAACAGAUUCCCUUAGAGUUUAAAUUCAACCCAAAUACCACUACAUGGGCGGCAUAGUGUAAGGAAAUAAAAAUACUUCUACUUUGCACACACGGGGUCUUGAACACGAAACCUUAGGGUAAUUUGAAGCCUUACAACUAAAUUAGUAGGCUCAUCUUUGAAAUUAAUUGAAUGAAAAUAUUAUUUAUGUCAGAUGAUCAGGGAUAGAGGUUAAGACCAAAGAUGACAAAAAUUCAAAGGAAAGAUUUAAACCUAGAACCUCACACACACAAGCAUAACACCUAUCCACUGAACCAGAUUUACUCCAUUGACAUAAUUUUCACAAUGUUAGGUACUACACUAUUACAAGAAUAGAUUUUAGAGAGAAAGAAUUUUUUUCUGAGAAAUUGCUUAGUAUUAUUAUCUACUUUAAUCAAUACACUAUCAAUGUUUAUAUACUUCAAUAUGAGUAACUGCUCCUAACCAACUAUACCAGACUAAUCAACUGAAUGAUAACAAACUAACAAAUCCUAUGUUAACAAUCUCUAUUCUUCUAACAUUGUCUAUUUAUGCUUUUGAAAUGCUGACUUGUACUACUAUUUCCUACCCUCUUUUCCUUUAUUUUUUUCAAGCCUUAUACUAUCCCUAAUCAGCCCUUAAAUUUCCCUGCUUGUGCCGCCCAAAGCAGCCCUCGUGUGUGCCAUCCAUGGUAAUGUGUGCCAUUUUAAACACCACUUUGGGGUUGCUGUUUUUCUCUCUUUAGCCGUAUCUUUCCAGAAAAUAAAAAUUGUUGUUCCACUCCUCUAAUCAAUAUUUAAUUGUGUCGUUUUCAGGUGUAUUCGAUUCUCUUCGUUCAAUGAUUUCGAAAUAGUUAACGGGUAGUGUAAGUGUGGAAGCUAGUGAGAUUUAGUGCCGUAUUAAUUUUGUUUAAAUAUGCUGAUUUGGCCGAUUAUUCUAAGGAGUUAUUAAUUGUUUUAGCUACUAAUUUUUGAUAUAAAAUUAUCGUAGGUGCUGAUUGUAACAUCCUGAUUCAACAGUAAGCCGAAACCUAUUCGCACCCUCGCUUGGCAUUAUUUCAGUAUCAACGUGAUUAAUUGUCCUUAGAUGCUCAUUUUUUAAAUUAUCAGAGAUAAUUUGCUCCAUUUUUUUUAGAGGAACCAAUUUGCUCUAUAUCAAGAUUAAGAGGCACAUAGAAGUGUUUUUACUAAUAAAAUCGAAACAUGGACAAAAAUCAUAUACCCAUAAAUAAUUUAAAGCAUUCAAGGUUGAUCUUUUAGGAAUUAAGACUAAAUUAACAAUAUAUAUUUUAAUUAUCUCUACAGUAUAUAUAUUUUAAAUAAUAUAGUAAAAUUUAUCAAUUUCAGUAAAUUUUAUAAUUUUUUUGAAUGUUUUAUAAUAUUUUUGAAAAUUUGAUAAAUUUUUAUUUAUAAUUUUUCUUUUAGAAUUAAAAUCAAAUUUACACCAUGUAUAAAUGUUGAAGGUUGAAUUUGUUGAAUUAAAAAAAAACUAAAUAAACAAAAUGGGUGAAUGCUGAAGACUAAAUUUGUUAUUAUUCCGAUAUUUCAUUUUGUGAUCAAAGGUAUUUUAAUAGUAGGAUGACUAUAAAUUGCAAUUGAUCUAAUGGGAGUGACUAAAAUAAUAAUAAUUUUUUUUUGUGACCAAUACAAAAAUACCUUAAAAUUUGGGUGACUAUAAGGAAAGUUUACCCAAAAUAAAACAUUGUAAGCUUUUACAAAUUCGGACUACUUCUACAGGCGUGAUUGUUCGUUGGCUUACAGUGUCCAACGAAUAACAGCCAACACAGAAUAUAAGAAAAUGUAGGAAUAGGUCGGGAGUUGUCGAGCGAUUGAAGUUUUUCAACCACGAGACCACCUUAAGCAAAUAUGUCAAUAAAUAAAUAAUCUAACUCCAUACAAUCAGAGACUUCAAACUCUUACUGUCCACCUCUGAUUACAUCUCUUGCGUUCCUCCUGUAUAUGUUUUUUUCUUUUUUAUUGCAGAAAUCUGGUUGAAUUCUAGAAUUGUUACUUUGUUUUGGCCGUUCAAAUAAAGGUUCUACAUCUGGGUAAACAUGGAGGGUUAUUCAUCAGAUGGAUCUAAUUCAUUUUUUGGCUCAAACAUACCCAACGAGCCACAACUUCCACACCAAACUGAUUCUUGGGGCGUAGUAGAUGGAUGGCCGGAGCUGCUUGGCAGAGACAAUUGGUUAGUACAGGACAACAUCGACUUCUCUGCUGUAGACUAUGGACCAACGAAUCAGCCUCUGCUAGACCAACACCAUCAAUUCAAUCAAGGAGAAACAUCCAAAGCUUCAUAUCAAACAGUAUCAGAAGGUGGGACUCGAUCUACACUCACUCCAGCUCAAAGAAAAGAAAACAAAAGACGAAGUGAUUACAAGUAUAGGCAAAAGCGCAAGGUAUAAGAUAAUCCAAUUGUUUUUCUCUCUCUCUAGAAUAUAGCCUCUAAUGGAAUUAGUUAUAAUCAAAAUGUUUACUUUAAAUGCCCUUUUCAACCCAUCAUAUUGAUAUGAUUGUAUUUUAACUAGAAUGGUCAAGUGGUGACCAAAUUAUGUAAAUUGAUUUCUUAGAUUUGUCUUGUUUGAUAUUAACAUUCUGCGGUGUAGGUAAAAGCAGAUGAACAGAUUGGGGAGAUUAAACGCUUGAAAGAGGAAAUUCAACGGCUCAACGAUGAGAAUGGACAGUUGACAGCACAACUUGGAUUGCCACUCUCUAAUGCGCAAUUCCAAGCAGCAGCUCAACAGAGACAGGAUGGUUACAUUACCCAGUCAUCCGGCAAGCAGCUUCACCCUCAUACUGUUACUGUCCAUGGAACAAACUCUGAAGCUGUUGGCAAGGUAUGGCAUAUUAAUUGUUCUACAUGUUUGAAAAAUCUAAUGCUUGAACUGGAAUUUAUGUUUGGAUUUCGAUACCUUGGAUUAAACCAUAUUUUCUCAUUAAGAUUCAAAUUCUGGAAUCCUGAUUUGUUUUCCCUCACAAUUCAUUGUCUCGGCUCUGCAACUUGGAGAUGAAUGAGAUACAAAAUCUACAGGGAACAGUUCCUGUAAAUGUAGUUGAUGGUAAUGACGGUAUAGAAAAUAAUCAGACGGGUUCUGAAGUUGAAACAUGCAGUAAUAAUGAAGCAGCCAUAACUGACAUUCUUAUGAAACUUGAAGCUGAUGACGAGAGCAGAGUGAAGUUCUCUGACUUCACCGGCUUACAUGGUGAGCGCAUAUCAGUAGGAAAAUAUAGUUUCCCACCGGCCCUGCAUCCGAUUGUGAACAACAUUAUCGAAGUCUACGGUGAUGUUUGAGAAACAAGUAAGAUGAACACAAGUAUUGCCGAGAUCGUUUAUAUCAUGUUCUGUGCUUCUGUCAAAGAGAUGAGCAAUCUACGACUGGAGCACGUCACCGAGGAUCUGAUAUUGAAGUGGAGGGAUGCAAUCAAAGAUGCUUUACGCAUCAAUUUCAAGGUGGAUUUCGCCAUGGAACAUUUGAAGAAAAUUGCUUGUGCAUACAUCGGUUUAAUGGAACGUCAAAAGCUGGAUAGUGCGGGUUUGAGGAUAUCCAAGUUAGAGGCUGCGUUGAGUACUGCGAAAGAGGAGCAUGCAAAGAUAUGCGAGCAGUCCAAGGUGUUUAUAGAUGCUGCAGAAGAGUUCAACGAUAAGCCUGUCAGCUCUGGUAUGUUCAAAAGACCUGGCCAGAUCAACAUUGAGCUAGAGCUAACAAAUGAACCGGAUUCGAGUACCCUAAUACUUUGAUUUGAGUAGCUAUCAAGUCCAAUCGAGUUUUUGAGUUUUUGUUGCUAAUUAUGCUCAUUUUAAUAAGGUAAAUUGACCUCAAACAUUAAAAGUGAAAGUUGAUAGAGCUAGACCGAGCUUGACCAAGCUUCUAAACUCUUCUACAGCAUCCAUAAACACCUUGGACCGUUCACAUAUCUUAGUAUGCUCUUCUUUCCCAGGAUUCAACUCAGACUCAAUUGGAUAUCCUCAAAGCCUUAUUAUCCAGCUUUCGACACUCCAUUAAACCGAUGUAAGCGCAAGCAAUUUUCUUCAAAUGUUCUACGGUGAAAUCCACCUUGAAAUUGAUGCCUACAGCAUCCUUUGUUGCAUCCCUCCACUUCAAUAUCCGACACUCAGUGAAGCAUAGAACGUGAUAUAGAUCGCCUCGAAAAUACUUGGGCUCAUCUUACUUGUUGCUGAAACACCUCCAUAGAAAUCAAUGAUGUCGUUUACAUUGGAUGUAGAGACGGUGGGAAACUACCGUCAACUACCACAUCGGCCUUUUAUAGUAGAAAAUGCGUGAAUAAAAACAGAGGAAGAAAUUCAUAUGUUAUGUAGAAUCAGAGUUUGGUUUUCUUACAGUUUUCCUUGCGAAAAUCGUUCGAAAACUUGCGAUAACACCCAAGUUAGUCGUACGUUUUGUAUCUGUUGGUUGUUUUGUGUUUUUCUUGUUCACAUUGUAAAGGUCAACAAUCCCGUGAGUAGAAGUCGCACGGAAAAGUGCAACCGCUUCUUUAGUUACAAUAACCAUAAAUAUAAACAAAUGGGUAAAUUUAAUUAUGCUUCUUUAGUAUCUUAUAGAGAUAAUAAUGGGCUGGCUAGGUUCGGGUCAGGUCAAGUAAAAAUUUAAGCGUAUUUGUUAGGUUUAGGCUUGGCAUGAAAAUGAGCCUAAAAAUUUACUCAAAUUCAGUCCGGAUAAAAAUAUUAAAAUUUGGACCCAAUUCGGCCCACCCAUAUUAAUUUUUUUAUAUUAUUUUAUUUUUACAUAAUUUUUAAAUAUAUAUAAUAUAUCAAAAAUAUUAAAAACAUAAAAAUAAAUAUUUUUGAGCAAAUUGAAAAUAAAUUUUAAACAAUAUGUAUACUUAAAUAAUACUAAGAUAGAUGCAACUUAACAAGAAAAAAAUCUUUAAAAUAAUAACAAAAUUAAUAAUAAAACAAGUGUUAUAUAAUAUCCAAACAAUGACAACAAAAUAGUAGUAAUAUAAUAGUGAAAUAGUAGCAAAAUAGGGAGAAAGCAAUAAGAAAAUAUCAUUAAAAUAACAAAAAAAAUAGCAGAUUUUUUUUUGGCAUUUAGUGAAUUCAGGCCGGGCUCAGGCAAAAAUGUCUUACCCAAGGCCUGACCCAUUUUUAAAAUGAACAUUAUUUUUUUGCCUAAGCCCAUUUUAUUUAAAUAUUCAAAAUAUAGUUUAUAUAUUCUAAUUAAAUUUUAUAAAUAAUUAAUAUUUGUUGCUUAAAAACAUUUAAAAUUUAUAUUUCAUAUAUUAAAAUAUUAACAACAAAUUAUAAUAAAUUAUUUUUUAUAUUUUUACUAAAAUAUCAUAAUAUUAAUUAAUAUUAUUAUUAUUAUUAAAAUGCAUAUUUGUUGCUUUUAAUAUCAUGUCUAAAAUUGACGUUUUAUUUUUCAAAAGCACUUUUUGAUAUUAAUACUAAACACUUAAAUCUUAAAUUAAACUUCUCAAAUGCACUUUUCUCUAGCACUUUCCAAAAUCAAUGCUCAACUAUCUCAAACUCUCUUACCUUAUACUUUAAAAGAAAAGAAAAAAUUAAAAUUUAUCCCUAUUUCUUUUAACCCCAUUUUUAGGAGGCCAUAUAUUUAUAAAUAAAAUAAGAAAAAAAGAAAAAAAAGCAUAUACAUAUUGAUGGGUUUUUUCAUGAUUAGACUUUAUUUUUUUUCCCAGGUAAAAGUAUUUAUGGAGAGGAUCAUGUAAAAUUAUGACCUGAAUAAUUUUAAACGUUUCAUCAUUGCAAAAAUGAGAUAAUAGAAAAGAAUGACUAUAUGAAUUUGCAUUUGUGUUCUUUUUUUCAAUAUUUGCUUUAAAAAAUGUGGGAAAUUUUUAAAUUUUAUGAAAUUUUAAAAUUGCACUUCAGUAAACUAUAAAUUUUAUGAAUAUGGACAAGCCAUUUUAUUUAUAAUUUUCUGUGUUUUUAUUCUUUGCUGAAUUUUUUAAUGUCAUUUUCUAUCAUGAAAGAAAAUUAAAGAUUCACUAUUUAUUUCUCAACCGCUAUGAAAUUACUUGACAAUGGGUGUAGAAUUUUCUCACCAAUUUUCUAACAUGAGAUUUUUUGAAUGAGACAAAUAUUCAAUUUUAACACAUUUCCCAUAAUGAGUCACCCCUAUUUGUGAGUGAUUUGGGGAUAAAAGCUUAAACAUUUCUGGAUCACAUUGGAUUUAAGACGGGUGUUUGGAGUUAUAUGAUAUUUUAACAUAUAAAGAGUCCUUGCUUUACUUUGGGUGGUCGUUGGUAUUACUCUCCAACAAUUAUUGUACUGUCAUCCUUAUUCCUACUCCACCUAGCAGAGAAGUUUCAUAAGUGUUUUAUUUCAAGGGAUUAAUAUUAGCAAAAGUACAAGCUAUACUGUGGUAGUAGUUAUAGCUCAGGUCCGGUGAUUGGACCAGGUGAGGGGUGUUAAACAAGAGACAAAAUCUCAACACGAGAAUAAUACCAUCUUUUGAGAGUUCCGUCAACGCAAUAAAUGAAAUUUAAAUGCACACUUUUUUUAAUGAAAGUAAAUAUCAUAUUAAUUAAAGAAAAGCAACUAAAAAUCCAAUAAUAAAAUCCUUAGCAAAAGAUUGAAACACAAUUAUAUUGUAAAUGAAGUAAGAAACUAAGAAAAUCCAAUCUAAUAAAGAAAAUAACUUGAUGCCCCAAAGCUACCAUAAAACUAAAUCAUGGUAAGGCCUGCUGCUCGUUUUAUUGGUUUCCAUCUUUAUUUUGCAAAAGAAGUCUGAAUUCCGAAUAGAGCCUAGUACAUGGGAGCAAAAGAAAGAAAAUUAGUAUAUUAAUUUCCACGAUUUUUAAAACAAACUUCAUGGAAACGAAUAUUGACAUAUUAGAUAUCUAUGAUUAUAAUGCUAAAAUAGAUUAAAAUUAUUAAAUUAAUGGUAAAAUUAAGAGUGAAUUAAUAACCGCAAGCGUACUCAUUACUCACCAUAUUUGUUAAACAUGUUUGAUGUUGUUUAGCAACCUUUGUUUGAUUUUCUUUAGCUCAACCACAACAUCUUUCAUGUCUUUUCUUUCUUCUGGUAACUCAGCUGAACAAUUCAGAGCCAACUCCAUGAUGGCUGAGAUACAAUUUGCUUUAACAACAAAGUACUCAUCCUCUUUUCUUAAUAAAUCAGCAUCUGCAAUUUCUAUUGCUCCUUUCGGCAAUGAACAUUCCAUCCAAUGCCUUAUAGUCACUUCUUCAGCAAAUAGAUUAUCAGUUGGCUUUUUCUUUGUGAAAGUUUCUAUAAGGAUGAUCCCAUAACUAUAUACAUCACAUUUUAUAGAAACAAUUCCAGUUGAUCCAAAUUCUGCAUUUCAAGUAUAAUUAGAGCAUCAUUAAUCCUUAAUUAUUUCUAAAAUGCUUAUUCAAAUAUAUAUCCACAGACGCAUGAAGCAAAAAUAUAAAAUGCAAAUCAAGAAAAUAAUCAUACAAAAAUAAAAAAAUUCACCUGGUGCCAUAUACCCGAUAGUUGCAAGAGUCAUGGUUUGCUUCAUUACAUCACCUUCUCCCAACAAUUUGGCAACAUGUUUAGACAAGCCAAGAGACCUUUGGGAUCAUACGGGUGAUUUUGAUGAUGUUAAUGGUUAUUUUGGUGGAGAGGGUGAAAAAGAAACGAAUGGUUCAUUAUAUAUAAUAUAAUUAUGAAAUUCAAGCCAUAUAUUGUAUGUUUCAUACAUAAAAAUUUCAUGGGAGGUCCAAAAGUAAUUAAAUGACUUAUAGGCUUGCUGAAUUUCAUCUUUUGAAUAGGUGGUAUUAGGUCCAAAAGUAAUUUAACAUUCACAAAAUAAUCUCUAAAUACUGUAAAGACAAAUCAAAUCCACAGCAGCAUUAGAGUCGAUCAAGCUAAGCAUUGGCAAAUAUUACUUUGAUUUUGCAUGCAAUAUUGGCAAAAUCCCCUCUUACAUUAGAAAAACAACACAAUCCAUUAAACAUUGAUAGCCCAAUACAAAUUUCAUCGAGAAAAAAGUUCCUUUGUUUUGUAGAACAUGAUAAUAAAGAUGUGGAGUUUCCUUUAGUUUUCCUUGAUCAACAACCACUUGCCAAAAACACAAUUAGAUUAGAUUAUGAAUGAUACUUUCAACUAUGACAAUAUUAAAUACCAAACACUCCAAAUAACUCUAAAUAACUGGAAAGCAGCAAAUUACCUGACGAGGCAAGCUAGCUCAAUUAAGACCAUUGUGUUAUACUUGUCUCUAAAUUGAAAAAUUUAGAAGACAAUAAAGAGAAAGAGUUAGCAAAUACUUGAAAACCGAUAAAACUUAUAUGUCAUUGAUUGGAUAAACUACGAUCACCCAUAAUAGCCUUUAUCUUGCAACCAUCUACAUGAACCUAUAGGGCUCUUAGCGGAAUCAAGAGACAAAACCUUAACAUGAGAAAAAUACCAUUUGUUGAGGGCUUUGUUAAUAGGGUCGUACCUAGGAGAGUUGGCAGGGGUCCCAACCCCCCUUAAAAUUAAAAAGUUUCCAUUUAGGCCCUUUAAAAUUUUUAAAAUUUUAAAUUAAUAAACGUAAAAUUGUACUUUGACCCCCCCAAAAAUGAUAAAACUUUGAUUUAAUCCUUUAAAAAAUAUAAAAAUAUAGGCUAUUAAAACGGUGAAAUUGCGUUUUUACCAUCGUAAAAAUUACAAUUUAGUUUCAACCCCUAAAAAGAUUUUCUGGCUUCGCCCCUAAUAAAACCUUUGGCAAAAGAUGAAAAUAAAUUUAUAUCGUAAAUAAAAAAAGAAACUAUGAAAAUCCAAUCUAACAAAGAAAAUAACUUGAUGUCGAAAUUUAAUGCAUUUUAUUGGUUUCCAUUUUGGUUUUGAAGAGAGCCUAGUACGUGAAAGCAAAAGAAAAAAAAUGGUUUAUUAAUUUUUACGAAUACCGACAUAUUAUAUAUAUGAUUAAAAUUCCAGAAUAACCACAAGUGUGAAUUAAAGAUAAAAUUAAGUGUGAAUUAAUAAUUAGAAGUGUACUCAUUACUCACCAUCUCUGUUAAAAAUGUUGGAUGUUGUUUAGCAACCUUUGUUUGAUUUUCUUCAGCUCAACCACAACAUCUUUCAUAUCUUUUCUUUCUUCUGGUAACUCAGCUGAACAAUUCAAAGCCAACUCCAUGAUAGAUGUAAUACAAUUUGCUUUAACAACAAUGUACUCAUCCUCUCUUUUUAAUAAAUCAACAUCUGCAAUUUCUAUCGCUCCUUUAGGCAAUGAACUUUCCAUCCAAUGCCUUAUAGUCUCUUCUUCAACAAAAACAUUAUCAGUCGGCUUUUUCUUUGUGAAAGUUUCUAUAAGGACGAUCCCAUAACUAUAGACGUCAGAUUUUAUAGAAACAAUUCCUGCUGUUCCAAAUUCUGCAUUUCAAGUAUAAUUAGAACAUCAUUCACCCUCAAUUAUUUCUAAAAUGCUUAUUCAAAUAUAUAUCCACAUACAUAUGAAACAAAAAUAUAAAAUGCAAAUUAGGAAAAUAAUCGUACAAAAAUAAAAAAAGAAUUCACCUGGUGCCAUAUACCCGGUAGUUGCAAGAGUCAUGGUUUGCUUCAUUACUUCACCCUCUCCCAACAAUUUGGCAACGCCAAAAUCUCCAACAUGUGCAACCAUGUCUUCAUCUAGUAAAAUAUUGCUUGGUUUUAUGUCACAAUGAAUUAUAGGUGUUGGAUGUCCAUUGUGGAGGUGUUCUAUAGCUACCGCAACAUCUAUCAUUAUGUCGACCCUUUGUAUGAUAUCAAGGAAACAAUUUUCAGAAUGUAACCAUUUCUCAAGGUUUCCAUUAGACAUGUAAUCUAGCACCAAGGCUUUGAAGUCAACACUUGAACAACAGGUAAUGACCUUCACAAUAUUACGAUGAACUAUAUUACGCAUAGCAUCACAUUCAAUGUCAAAACUCCUAAAUGCUCCCUCUGUUUGCAAAUUGAAAACUUUUAUUGCAACUUCCAUUCCAUCUGAAAGCCUCCCUUUAUAUACACAUCCAAAACUCCCUGAACCGAGCAUAUUGCUUUCCUCAAAUCCAUUAGUUGCUCGGGAAAGUUCAGCAUGUGAAAUUCUUCUCGGUGUUUUCAAAGACAACAAAUCAUCUUUAAUUGGUAGAGUUGCACUCCUCCUUUGGCAUCUUCUAUACAUAAUAGUUAAGACUAUUAGUACUACGACAGUACCAACUGUUGGUAAACCAUACCUGAAAGCAUGCAGUAUAAUCAUUUGGGAGUUUUUGUGGAUGUCGUUUUUGCAAGGUGGGACUAGCAACCUAGGUGGACCACAAAGUGCAUAAUUCUUCAUGAAUGAUGUGCUAGAAAAGUUUGAAAAACAUCCUUUGCUGGGAAUUUCCCCUUGAAGUCUAUUGAAAGACACAUUAAAAUACUUUAGAUAUAAAAGCUUUUCCAAAGAUUUGGGAAUGACUCCGGAGAGAUUGUUAUUGCAUAAAUCCAAGAAUUCCAAACUAAUCAACCCAUCAAAUGAUUCAGGGAUAUGACCAUGUAGUAUAUUAUUUGAUAAAUCUAAUGAAACCAAAGUUUGAAGAACCCCAAAUGUGGAUAAGAUAUCGCCCGUGAGAAGAUUCCUUGAUAAAUUUAGUUUCAGUAGAGUCCUCAAAUGUCCAACAUCAAUAGCAUGUGAAUAGAGAUGGUUUGAUGAUAAAUCUAUUUCUAAGAUAUCUUUAAGAUUCCACAAAUUUGAAGGUAUUGCGGAACUCAAUUUGUUGGAAUUUAAGUAAAGAUAUCCCAAAGAAGUAAUAUUACCCAAACAAGAGGGUAUGGGUCCAUGCAGCUUAUUCAACCCUAAAUUCAAGUUGUAUAGUCUCUCCAAACCACAGAGGCUUUCUGAGAUAGGCCCUCCUAAUUUAUUAGAGGAAAGAAAUAGACCUUGGAGAUUUCUCAUUCCUCCUAUUGAUGCUGGAAUCAAUCCACUUAAUUUAUUAUAGCCAAGUUGUAAAAGCAAAAGGUUGGUUAAGUUACCUAUUUCCAUAGGAAUAAUGCCUUGAAGCUCACAAUUAUGGGCAUUAAAGUAUUGAAGGGAUUUUGAAAGGUUCCCGAUAUAAGUAGGAAGAACGCCACUCAAUGGAUUUCCUGAAACCUCUAUUUUUCUCAAAUGCCUGCAAUUCGACAAAGAAGAAAGAAAGCUCCACUCAUGAUCAGUAGCAGAUCCUGUGAUGAAAUUAUUGUUUACGAUUCGGAACCGUUCAAGGUGUCUUAAGUUGCCAAGUGUUUUAGGGACUGGACCAGAGAAUAAGUUAUGUGACAACACUAGUUUCUUAAGCAUGGAAGCAUUUGAGAUAGAGUUGGGAAUGUUUCCGCUAAGUUUGUUUCCCCACAAAAAAAGAAUCUCAAGCUUUGGAGCACUGGUGAUGGGUGGUAAAUUACCUGUAAAAUAGCAUCUUUUAGUAUACAUAUUCAUUGAAUACCAAAUUCACAAAAUAUAUAAUACAUUAAAAUAAAAACUGUAAAACUUUAAAUCAAUUAAGAAUAAAAUUUUGGUAUGGAAAAAUGUGAUGAAAUCAAUUAGAAAGUUGAGACAUAAUAAGAAGUUUUGAGUAGUAAUUAAUCCUUGUGAUUUCUAUAGACAAAACAUAUAAAACACUAAUAAUUUUUUAAAAUAUUGUAAAACUUGAAAUAAAAUAAAAAUAAAAGUUUGGCAUGAGAAUGUGGCAUCUAAUCAAUCUUAAAAAUGAGACUGACACUGAAUAAUAAUUAGUUAUGAUUUGGGAAACAAAAAUGUUAAAGUCAUUGUUUUUAAUACUGGUAUGAUUUUGACCUAUUAGGUUAAUUAUUUAUUUUUAUUAAAUUAUAGUGUAAAAUUUAAAGAUUAUUAUUUGCUCAAAAUUUUUGUGUUUUUCGUAUAUUUGAAAGUUAAUCUUUAUAUUUUUUAUUUUUUGUGAUUUAGUCUCUCUACUUUUUGAAUUAAAAAUUUUAGGUUCAUUUAUUAACACUGGUAAAAAAGUUUUUGUGUUAGUAUGGCAUUUUGAAAAAUAAAAUAAACUUGAUAUCUAUGUUUUUAAUUAUUCCAAAUAUUGUUUUACUAUUUCAAGAUAAAUUAUUUGUGUCUAGACCAAUAUCUUAAGAACUAUUGUUGCAUGUUUAAUUAUUCUAAAGAAUUGUUGAUUGAGUCUUAGUUGAAGUGCACUAUUCUCCUAUUUAUGAAUUGGGGAGUUGGUAAAGUAUUAAAUUUUGAUAUAUUUUAAAAUAUUAAAAAUUUAUUAAAAUAUUUUUUUAUAGAAAUUGAUUGUACCACAAUAUACAAUUUUAAUAUCAAAUUUUUAAUUUUUUUUAAAAUAUUAGCGAAUAUAUACUUUCUUUCAAGUUACACAAUUUUUACUAGUUUUUAAAUUUUUUAAAAAAAUUUUAUCGUCUUUUAUAAUUUCUAAUAUUUUUUUAUAAUUUUUUACAAUAUUUACAAUUUCUAACCAUUUUUAAUAAUUUUAUUAUUUAUUACAAAUUUAAAAAUUAACAAAUUUUUAUUUUUUAAAACAAUUAUAUAUUUAUAAUGUAGUUAUUUUUUUUAUAAUUUUAUUUGAAAUUUUAAAGAUUUUUUUGGUUUUUUUAGAUGAUGAUGCCAUCAUGAUGUCAUCAUAUGUCACAUGGCAAUUUAUAAUUAGUUGAAUAUCUCAAUCUAUUUUUUUAACGUCCAAUGGACUAAAACAAGAACACCUGAUAAUGUUAGAGACUACACUAGGAAUGUUUGAUAAUAUUAGGUACUAAAGUGGGCAAAAAAAAUUAAGGACUAUAUUAAAAAUAUAUCUAUAAUAUAUAUAAAUGCAUGGAUUUUGAGAAACUUUUGAAAUGAUAAUUAUAUAGUCUUUGUUUUUUUUUCUAUAUUAUUGAAUUUUUUAUUUUAAAUAUUUUUUUAUUACUUUUAAGAUUUAUCAUAUGCAUGGAUAAGAAUUUUGGUUUUACUAAAAUAUUUGGUUAAAUAAAUUCACUUCAUAAGAAAAUUUAGGAUCCUUAUAAAUAACAAUUUUGAUUCUAUUAAAAAUAUUAUUUUAAAAAAUAUAUAAUAAAAAUUUAAAAUUUAUAUUGAAUUACUUUAUACUUAAAUUAUUAUUAGAAACUUUAUCAUACACAUACAUAUAUGAGAAGCACGUAUUUAGAACAUAAAUUUGUGUUUUAAAAUAACUUAUGAUAAAUAAUGAAAUGUAUAAUUUGAAACUAUUUAAUAAUAACACAUGGCAUAUCUACCAUAUUAAAAUAAAAAUAGAUUAAAUUGUAGGUAAAACAUAAUUUAAACAUAUGAAUACAUCAAAUUAAUAAUACUAAAUGAAUACAGUUAUUUAUGAUGAUGUUGUUGCCAAUUCUUAACUUGGUGUCGAGUUAAUUUGUGACAUCAUAAAUUUAAGUGGUAAAUUUAAGGUUUUAUGUAUUGAUGUGGAUUCAAAUAUCACCAUAAUUUUUUUUUUAAAAAUAAAAAACUAAAGUACCCUCAAACAAUAUAACUUAUAUUAAAUAUGAAAGGGUAUUUUUAUAAUUUCUUUAACCGAGUUGAUGCCCGGUUGACUCAUGACACCAACUCAAUCAAAAGCUUCAAUAAUAAUAUAGAUAUUCACGUUAAAAAAACCAAAAAAAGUACUUUAGUUCCAAAUAAUUAUAUAAUAAGUAAAUUUAUAAUUGAUGAAUAAAUUUAUAAAUAAUAUAUUUAUAUGAUCUAAUAUAUUAUAUAUAUUAAUUAUAUAUCAUCUACAAACUUUGAAGAUCAAUUUAUUAAGUAUCAAGAAAAGAAAAAAUGAAAUUGAAUUAACACUAAAUCGAUUUUUAGAUUUUGUCCAGAUGAUUUAAUGAUGAUAAAAAAAUUAUUAGCACUAUUUUUGAAUUAACAAAAAAUUAGUGAUAUAUUUUAAUUAUAUUUAUUAUUUAUUAGUUUUAAUAAUGUUUUUUUAAUUAUAUGAAGUAAAAUUUUAUCGUAUACUAAAUAUGGUACAUAUACUUUAAUUAUAACUUGAAAAAUUAUUAUAUAAAUUAAUAUAUUUUAAUUAUAUUCAACCAUUUGAAUAACAAAAUUAAAAAAAAAACUAAUUAGAAUUAUUUACUUUUUAAAGUUUAAUGGAAAUUAAAAAAUUAAAAAUAAAUCAAUUCAUAUAAAUCUUAUUGUUUAUUAUCAGAUUAAUAUGAUAAAAGUAUAUGACAUAAAUAGAAGAAAUAAAUUCAACACAAUGUUUUGAUGAAAUUUCAAAAUAAAUGUCAAGUAUUCUUCUUUUAGAAAUACGUAAAAAGAAGCGAAUUUUCAAAAUUUCUCCUAAAUUUUCUUCAGAUUACUCUACAUAAUCCAUUAAAAAAACUUAAAAAAUAUAUUUUAUUAAUUACUAUAUAUUCUUUUAUUUUCAGAAUAAUAAAUUGUUUAAAAUAUGCUAUUAGUCCCUGUAAUUUAAAAGUUAAAAAAAAAAUCCAAUCCUCCUAUUUUUUUAAUUUAAAAAUUCUAGUCCAAUCAUUUUUAAUUCCAUUAAAAAAUUUCAACUUAAUAGAUUUUUUAUUAUCAAUCAUAUGCAACAUUAUAUGAAGGCAGUCUACUCAGUAUAUAUCCAAGUUUACAGAUUUUAAUAGAAAAUACUUACAAUCCUAAUGAUAGGACUAAGUUUUUUAAACUAGAAAAGUAAAAAAAACUUAAAUUUUAACUUUUUUAAGUACAAGGAUUAAAUUUUAAAUGUUGUCAAAGUACAAGCACUAACAAAAUAUUGUGAUCUAAUAAAUGUAAAAAGCAUUUUAAACAAAAGAAGGUUGAAAUAAUCUAUUUGUCCUUAUACUUUGAUAAAAUUUGAGAUACCAUAAAAUUUGUAUCUUUUUUCGAAUUAUUUAAUGCCAUUUCAACAUUUUCAUUCAGAAAAAAAAAACAUAUCAUUUGCAUUUGAUCUUUUUCAAGAUGAAAAUAUUGAAAUGAUGUUAAAUUAUUGGAAAGAGAUACAAGUUUCAUGCUAUCCCAAAUUCAUUUAAUCUUAUCUCUCUAAGAAAGCUGAUGUAAGAUAUUAAUGACAUCAUUUGAACAAAGUUUUAGGUCAAAUUAUUCAUCUAGUCCUUGUAAUUAUUCUUUAAGGUGAAUUUCAUUAUUAUUCUUUUAUUUUCUUUGGCUUAAAUACACAUUUACCCCUAAUUUUAUCACAUUCUCCUUAAUUGGUAUUUAUAGUUUAGAAAAUUUUACAAAUAUAUUAUUUUUUAAGAAAUUAUAAGAAGAUUACAAAAAUUCCAAAAUAAUAUAAAAACGCUAAGAAAAACCUAGAAAUUCAAAAAAAAAAAUCAUGUUUUUACAAAUUGGGGUAUGCAAUCAAUUUUAAGAUGGUUUUUGGAGUUACAUCUCACUUUAGCAUUGACUUACUUUUCUACAGUUAGUCUUCUCCAACAAGUUAAAUAUUUCAAUUUUAACAACAUUGACAGGUCUUUGGGGUAGGGUCGAGCAAAACUCAAUAGAAAUAGAUGAUAUAGGUUGAGUUGGCUCGGCCAAGUCGAGUCGACUUCUUCAAAUUUGUUAAAUUAGUAAAUUUUAGGGUGCAGUUAGAAUUUUUUGUUUUGAGAUGCUAAGAUUAAAAAAAUUUGAGUUUUGAAAACUUUGACUCCUUUUUGCUUUGAGAGUUGAUUUGAAGAGAAAAGAGCUUGAAGGUGCUUUUGUAGAAAUAGGACAAAUUUUAAAAUAAGGAGUAAAUUGGAAAAAAAAAUUUGGGUUGGGCUAAUUUGAAAAUUUGACACUUUUGUGGGAUAAAAAUAGAAAAAUAUUUUGGUUGAAUACACAUAAUGAGUUACGAACUUGAGACUUAUAGGUAGACUAAGGCCUUACCACUUAACCAACAAGCUCAUUAUUAUUAUCUUUUAACACAAAUAAAUUUUAAGGCAUACUAAGGGCUUGUUUAGCAUUGCUGUGAAGAAGCAGUUUUGGCUUAAAAAACACUUUUGAGAGAAAAGUGGUUCUAAGCUAGUAACUUUUGGCUAAGAUUUUGGCUUUUCAAAAGCACUUUUGGCCAAAUGGAGAAGCUAAAAUUAUUAGCUUUUCUUACCCAAAAGCACUUUUGAGUACUUAAUUACUAAUUCAUCCCUCGAAAAACACAUUUUAAAAUAAAAUAAUACAAAUAUGUUAAUAUUUAAUUACAAAUAUUUAAUGGGUAUAUUUAAAUAUUUAAAAUAUAAUUUAUAUAUUCUAAUUAAAUUUUAUAAAUAAUUAAUAUUUGUUGCUUAAAAAUAUUUAAAAUUUAUAUUUUAUAUAUUAAAAUAUUAAAAAAUAUAUAAUAAAUUAUUUUUUAUAUUCUUACUAAAAUAUCAUAAUAUUAAAUAAUUUUAAUAUUAUUUAAAUGCAUAUUUGUUGCUUUAUAAUAUCAUGUCUAAUAUUGACGUUUUAUUUCUUAAAAGCACUUUUUAACAUUAAUAUUAAACACUUAAAUCUUAAACUAAACUUCUCAAAGAUAGUUUUCUACAACACUUUUUAAAAGCAGUUUCCAAAAUCAAUGCUCAACUAUUUCAAACUCUCUUACCUUAUACUUUAAAAGAGAAAAAAAAAUUUAAAUUUUAUCCCUAUUUCUUUUAACCCAAUUUUUAGGAUGUCAAACAUUUAUAAAUAAAAUAAAAAAAGGAAAAGAAAAAAAAAAGCAUAUACAUAUUGAUGGGUUUUUUUUAUUAUUAGACUUUAUUUUUAUCUCAGGUAAAAGUUUUUAUGGAGAGGAUCGUGUAAAAUUAUGAUUUGAAUCAUUUUAAACAUUUCAUCAUUGCAAAAAUGAAAUAAUAGGAAAGAAUGACUAUACAAAUUUGCAUUUGUGUUCUUUCUUUCAAUAUUUGCUUUCAAAACUGUGGGAAAAUUUUAAAUUUGAUGAAAUUUUAAAAUUGCACUUCAGACGUAAAAUAUAAAUUUUAUGAAUUUGGACUACCCAUUUUAUUUAUAAUUUUCUGUGUUUUUGUUCUUUGCUGACUUUUUUAAUGUCAUUUUCUAUCAUGAAAGAAAAUUAAAGAUUCACUAUUUAUUUCUCAACCACUAUGAAAUUACUUGACUAUGGGGGUAGAAUUUUCUCACCAAUUUUCUAACAUGAGAUUUUUUGAAUGAGACAAAUAUUCAAUUUUAACACAUUUCCCAUAAUUAGUUACCCCUAUUUGUGAGUGAUUUGGGGAUAAAAGCUUAAACAUUUCUGGAUCACAUUGCAUUUAAGACGGGUGUUUGGAGUUAUAUGAUAUUUUAACAUAUAAAGAGUCCUUGCUUUACUUUGGGUGGAUUCUUCCAAUUAGCGUGGUCGUUGGUAUUACUCUCCAACAAUUAUUGUACCGUCAUCGUUAUUCCUACUCCACCUAGCAGAGAAGUUUCAUAAGUGUUCUAUUUCAAGGGAUUAAUAUUAGCUCUCAUUUUUUUAAAUUCUGAAAUUUUUUUAGCAACUGCGUAAUUAACAAUGUAUCAUUUUUGAGUGCUAUAGAGGUGUUUUAAUCUUCCCUAUAUGUAAUUGAUUCCUAAACCUUUUUUUUUUAGAAUUCAACGCAUACCUCAAAUUUGUCUUUUUAAAAGAUUUUUAAAAUCUUUUUAUAAAAGAUGAUCACACUUAACAAAAAUGAUCAUGGACGACUUUUCUUUAAUAAAAUAUUAUGUUUUUGCAAAGACCAAAAUUUUCAUAUUUUUCAAGAAUUCCUCAAUCUAAUUUUCUUUUUGAAAUUUUAUUUUCAAGAGGAAAAUGAUCCCUACAAUUAAUAUUUAUUUUCCUUAUUUUUAAUUUCUUUUUAAGGGAGAUGAAUAGUGGAAUGAUAAUUUUUAGUUAAGGUAAAGUAUAUUUAAUUAUCCACAACCUUCAACUAUUAAUUUUUUCGAUUUAAUUACACAAUUUUUUGAAAUUAACACUCUUUUAUUAGUUGUCGCUAGUUGAGGGACCAAAAGUUGAUUUGGACUUUUUUAUUGACCUAAUAACAAAUUUAGAUAUUCAAAGUUUACUUAUUCUAUCAAUUUAAUGCUAAAUUUAAAAAAUUCAACAAAUGCUAUCAAAAAACAAUUGGACCUUGAGUACACAGGCUGUGAGAUUUUCACAUGGCUGUGUCUACGCUGCACUCUAUUUUAUCAAAUUCGGAUAGAGAGUUACAUAGGCAGUUCACACGGGCGUGUGCCUCCUUCACAUGGGGCGUGUAGACCUCCACACAGCUUAGGAACUUCCACAUGGCUGGGGCAUGGUCAUGUGGCCUUGUUUUGUAGAUUUUUGUUCUGUGUCAGAUUUUGACUCGUUUUGUGCCUCUGCGAUUUUUGACUCUAGUUAAGACUUGGUAAGAAUGUUUAGGACUCUGAUUAGUUCGAAUUUGUGCAUUUGUUCGUAACUAAUGUGUUAAUUUAUUAGUUUAAAAAUUUCACAUUAAACUAAUAAUAUUAGCAAUUAACUUUCAACAAAUCUGUAAAACCCCAAAUCCAGCCUAGACACUAUGGUCAAAUCUAAAAGGUUACAUCAGUACGUAGAAAAUUUUGUUCUUCUAAAUGUGUUUUGUAACGAAAUUGAAAACCAAAAUUUAUGUAAGUUAGUCAUGAUUCCUCAAUAGAAAAAUCUGUAAAUUAUCAAAACAUAAAUGUGAACAUAUUAAUUAUUAACUUAAAAAGAACCCAGCCUUAUACAAUCAAAAUGCUAAAAUCAUUUGCCUUGUGAAACUUGUAAUUUCACUAAAAUUUUUUCAGCAAAAACAUUUUAUUUAGCCUAUUGAGCAUAUUUUUAAAUUUACGUUAUUAACUUUCGUAAAAUCUCAAUUCGUAUUUUUGUGGCGGAAAAUUUUAUAAUUUUGAAAACCCAGCAUUGAUUGUUGGUUAACACAAAUCAUGCAGAAAAAAAAAACUUUAACUAAGCCAAAGAAAUCCAAAGCCAAAUUAAAUCGGAGAAAUUCAACCAAAAGCCAAAAGUCCAGUAAAUCAAUUUACUAACCAGAGCAAACAUUUAAUGAAAGAAUCAAUCCGAGCGCCCGCAAAUUUUAACUUACCGAUUACCUGAAACAUCAUAAAUAAAACAAAGGGGAGAGCUAUAAAGCUCAGUGCAUAACUAUAACUCAAGCUGAGAUCACACACAAUACAAUAUACAAAUCAUAAAAUCAUAGAAAAAUUCAUAAUAAUCAGUCAAAUAGAAUUGAGUAUACAUGAUUAUGCCAAUACGGUAUUUUUCAGAAAAUCUUAAUGCAGAUUUUUCAGAAAACGUCCUAGCCAAAUCCUGUACACACUUGAAUAGAGUUCUCUAGAACUUAUCCAUAAAAAAAAAACACACCAAUUAAGUCAUCCCAGGUUGCCCAAGAACGAUGACUCGCCACCAUGGGAUGCCCGACAACGAUGGCUUAUCAAUAUGCAAUUAAACUGUUAGAUCAGAUAUUUGUGUUCAAGCCAUUGAAUUGCAACUCAGCUACCGAAACAAAAAUAUGUGGUGAAGCCACUAUAUUGCAUCCAAGCUACCAAAUAAAAAUAUGUGGAUAAACCAUCAGAUAGUGCAGACCAUUAAACUACCAAAACUUCUUCCCUUCCAUAUUAUCCCAAUCCCAUGCAAUGUGACAUGGCAUGCAUUUACAUAAUCAAAACGACAAGCAUGUAAGGCAUGUAGUCGUACCGUAAUAGAAUUUAGAAAGCAUGGCAUUCCACACUUUUACAGAACAGAUGUAUCACAAAUUCAACAUAAGCAAGUUGGUAUGCUAUAAAGUCACAUGCAUGAUCACAUAGCAGAAUCAGAAACAUAAAAAUAACGUAACCAAACCUCAUAUAAUCAUAUACAAACAUAACAAUACAAAUCAUGCUACCAGAUUCAUUAGAAAACAGUUCAUGCACACGAAUUUCACAUACCUUAUUCAUAUCACCUACAAUAUCAAAUUAUCAGAUAUUACAUUUUCAAAGUCAAUUUUACACAGUACGAACCCUACAAAGUGGCUAAACAUGAUUCAUGAAUCAAAAUGGGCCUAAACGAAAUUUUUAGAAAAUGGGCCAACAGUCCAAUUUUUUAUUUUCAACAGUUCAUUAUUUUUUGAGUUUUUUGAUAUACACCUUACUAUUUUUCGAAGCAAAAUCAUGGCAAGAAUUCCAAAACCUAAAAUCCAUAUUCAACCCACUCAAAUUAGCAAUGAAACCCAAAACUAAAUCAUUAGACAACCAAAAUAGCUACCAAUAAACCUUAUCAAACCAGGAAUCAACCUUUUGGAAUCUGACUACUAACCCAGAAUAGUAGCAGCAGUACUAAAAAUCUCUCAAUUCACCAGAAGACUAUUUGUUACAGAAACGUCACCUAAACCAAAGAUUUCAGAGUAAUCAAAAUCGCGUCACACAAAGAAGGAAACAAAUUAACCCUAAAAUCGUGAAACUCAACAAAGUACGAAUCUUUUCACAUAUUCCUUACCACCAACUGUCAAGAUUGCUCAAAAACCACUAAUGACACCGACCUUCGCAAGGUUAAACUGAAACUAAAAGGUAACUAAUGAUGGAACAAAGGUUGUUAUAAAAAAAAUAUUAACAAAGACUUAUUGGAGCAAAAAUGGCAAAAAAUCAAGAAUAAGGAGAUUGGGAAAAAAAAAACAAUGAAUCGACAAAGAGGAGUGGGAAAGUGAUGACAGUUUGUGGAGAGAUUUUGGGUAACUAAAAAGUAACUCACCACUCAACCCAUUAAAUUUGGUUACCCUCUAAACAGAUUCCCUUAGAGUUUAAAUUCAACCCAAAUACCACUACAUGUGCGGCAUAGUGCAAGGAAAUAAAAAUAUUUCUACUUUGCACACACGGGGUCUUGAACACGAAAUCUUAGGGUAAUUUGAUGCCUUACCACUAAAUUAGUAGGCUUAUCCUUGAAAUUAAUUGAACGAAAAUAUUAUUUAUGUCAGAUGAUCAGGGAUAGAGGUUAAGACCAAAGAUGACAAAAAUUCAAAGGAAAGAUUUAAACCUAGAACCUCACACACACAAGCAUAACACCUAUCCAUUGAACCAGAUUUACUCCAUUGACAUAAUUUUCACAAUAUUAACUAAAAAUUCAGAAUAUGGUCACUCUUGGUUUCACUUACCCAAUUUCUUCUAACCCGAUUUUUGUGAUGUGAUAACUCUUCCCUCCUUAAAAGAAUUUCAUCCUCGAAAUUCCUGCUGCGGCACCAUACACUUAACCACAAAAUCUAAAAUUCCCUAGUCCAAAUCGACCACCAGGCUAUCAUUGUACAACUCUAAUCUCCAUUCAAGUUCGAUCUAGAUAAUAUUUUAGAGGAAUUUCCUAUUCACUACCUCGGAUUAUCUCAGUAAGCUUUCUAAUGAUCUUUUACCCCAGACUCUAAAAAACAUCAUUUACCACAAAAUACAGGUACAAACAAUUCUUAUCAAUGCACAGUACAUUUGGAACAUAUCAUAAAAGUACCUGUAUCAUUGUCAGAUGCAUCACGGCUCGCUUGAUACCUAGUUGCAUAUCCCUAUCUCAAAUUUUGUUUCUAUGCCGAAGCUUGUACCUGACUAAAAUAGUGUCGUGAGCAAUCCUAAACUCGAUGCUCAACGGACCCACAUCUGAAACACGCUCCCAUUUUCCUCCAACAAUCGUCUGAAUGGUGCCUAUCAUAGUAAGUACAAAUCAGAACCUCAACUGCAUUCACAAUUGCCCUACCCCGCUGAAGCCUGUCUAUUUUAGCCUGUUUCCUUGGUCAUGGAUUCAAGUCAAUAGAACCAUCACUCAUCUUAUUUCGCACUUUAUUCAUUACUUAUUCUUUCCCUCCGAGCAAUUACUCUCUACGGCUAACUUGACUUGAUACGCUUGAGGUCACUCAAUCACAGACUCUUGUCCCAUAUAUCCAAAUUGGGUUCCAUUGACCCUUUGCAAAUCUCUAAACACCUCUUGGAACACUGAAACAUCCCCUACUUCUAAACUGCCCUCAGAUUUGGGCAUCAUAGCAAACUUAUUUAUUUCAAAUUGGGCUUACUGCCCCAAGAAGAGAACUCAGCUCGAGUCACCCGACUAUGUCCACCACGCCCUCGCACAUCAUGAACUCGAGUACUCAUUAUACUAAUCUCCAGUUUGAGAAAUUUUAUGAAUUAGCUUAGGUUUAUUAAAAAUCAUAAGUCUAGAGUUUUAUCAAAGUUUCUUACAUAAUUACCAUAGUCUUUAGCUAGAGUAGAGUAAUCCUAGCACUUAAGUUUUGCUAGUUUGUCUAGUAUAGCUAAAGUAAAGAUACUUACAGGAUCAACGAUGUAGUUUUGGAUUCUCUUUUUAUAGAAUCAAAUAUAAAAAUAAUCAAAAUCUAAAUACCCAUUUUAGAAACCCAAGGUAUCAAAAUUAAUUAGAAAUUCAAUUUAUUUAAAGCAUAUUUAAUGGAGAUUUUCGAACCCAGAAAUCACAGCCCGAGUUUUGUUACCUUGCUCUAAUACUACUAAAUGUAACACCCCAAACUUGGCCUAGACGUUAUGGCCAAAUCUGAAAGGUUACAUCAGUACCAAAAAAAUUAUUUUUCUAAAGUGUGUUUUGUUACGAAAUUGAAGACCAAAGUUUAUGUAAGUCCGUCAUGAUUCCCCGAUAGGGAAAUUUGUAAAUUAUCAAAACGUAAAUGUGAACAUAUUAAUUAUUAACUUAAAAAAACCCUAGCCUUAUACAAUCAAGAUGCUAAAAUCAUUUGCUUUGUAAAACUUGUAAUUUUGACUAAAAUUUUUGCAACGAAAAUUCCAAACUAAUAUUUGUAAAUUGUAAUUUCGUCAAGUAAAAACGUUUUAUUUAGCUGAUUGGGCAUAUUUUAAAUUUAUGUUAUUAAAUUUUGUAAAAUCUCAAUUCGUAUUUUUGUGCUAAAAAAAUCUUAGCUCAUAUAAUUUUGAAAACGCAACAUUGAUUGUUGAGUAACACAAAACAUAUAGAACAAAAAACUUUAACUAAGCCAAAGAAACCCAAAGCAAAAUUAAAUUUGAGAAAUUAAACCAAAAUCCAAAAGUCCAGUAAAUCCAUUUAUUAACCAGAGUAAACCAUUUAAUUAGAGAAUCAAUUCGAGCUUCCGCACACAGCCCGAUUCUAACUUAUCGAUUAUCUGAAACAUCAGAAAUAAAACAAAUGGGUGAGCUAUAAAGCUUAGUGCAUAACUAAAACUAAAUCUGAGAUCACACACAAUACAUUAUACAAAUCAUAAAAUCAUAGGAAAUUUCAUAACAAUCAGUCAAACAGAAUUGAGCAUACAUGAUUAUUCCAAUGUGGUAGUUUUCAGAAAAUCAUAAUGCAAAUUUUUUCAGAAAGCAUCCUACCCAACACCACUAUACACCCGAAUAUAGUUCCCCAGAACUCGUCCAUCUAAAAACACACCAAUUAAGUCAUCUUGGGUUUCCCGAAAAUGAUGACCUACCACCUCGAGUUAGUCGGCACUAAUGACUUAUCAAUUUGCUGUUAAACUACGAAAUCAAAUAUUUGUGGUCAAGCGAUUGUAUUGCAGCUCAGCUGCCAGAUCAAAUGUUCCUAGUGUAGUCCCUAACAUUAUCAGGUGUUCUCGGCUCAGUCCUUUGGACAUUAAAAAAAAAAAGAUUUGGAUAUCCAAUUAAUCAUAAAUUGCCAGGUGGUAUAUGCUGAAGUCACGAUAACAUCAUCAUCAAGAAAAAAACCAAAAAAAUCUUUAAAAAAUAUCAUAAAAUUCAAAUAAACUUAUAUAAAAUUAACUACAUUAUAAAUAUAUAAUUGUUCAAAAAAAUAAAAAUUCUUAAUUUUUUUAAAGUUUGUAAAAAAUAAUAAAAUUAUUAGAAAUUGUUAAAUAUUGUAAAAACAUUAUAAAAAUUAUUAGAAUCAUAAAAGAUGGUAAAAAAUAAAAAGUUAAAAUACUAGUAAAAAUGGUCUAACUUAAAAUAAGGUAUACAUUUGGUAAUCAAAUUUAAAAUAUUGAAAAUUUGAUAUUAAAGUUGUAUAUAGUAAUACAACCAAUUUUUAUAAAAAAAUAUUUUAAAAUAUUUUAAUAAAAAUCGAAUAAAUUUUAUAUCAAUUUUUUAAUAUUUUAAUAUACAUCAAUUUUUAGUACUUUACCAACGUUACUGGCAGCAAGUUUUUUCGACUCGACUCCUUAUUUAUUGUCUUAAGUAGCUUCCUGCAUCCACCAUUUUGCACAUGGUUUUUUUCUAUUUUAUACCAAAGCUCUUUAGAAUAGUUAAACAUUUGACAAUAGUUCUUAAUAUAUUAGUUUAGAGACAAAUAAUUAUCUUGAGAUAGUAAAAAAAAUUGAAAUAAUUAAAUAUAUUAUUUACUUGAAAUAAUAUUAUUUUUCAUUAUUUAAAUUAUUUGAGAAAAAAACUUAUUCAAGUUUAUCACGUAAAAAGAUCUACCAAUUAUAAAUUCUGAUUAGUUGAACCAUAAGACAAUUGUUAUAGGUAGUAUCCUUCCAAGAGACAAUUAUCACAUGUUCAAACUCUAGUAAAUGUGAUUUAUAAAAUUUUAAAAAUAUUAAAAUAUCUAAUAUAUUUUUGAAAUUUAUGUAAAAUUUUAUAUUUUACAUAGUAUUUUUUUGUAUUUUUCUGAUUUUAGAUUUUUUCUAUUUUUAAAUAAUUUUGAUAAUUUUGUAAUUUUUCUUUUAUAAUUUUUGUCAUUUUUGAAUAUUUUUUAAGGGUUUUUGUUGAUGAUGUCAUUAUGAUAUCAUCAUACAACAUGUGGUAGUAUAUGAUUUGUUGAAUAUUCCAAUGAAUUUUUUAUUGUCCAAUGAACUAAACUGAAAAUUUUUAAUAACAUUAGGGGCUGAAGUGGAUAAAAAUAUUUUAAAAACGAAAUUUAAAAAAGUGAUAUACUUGCAUUAACAUUUUCUAAAAGAUGGAAGUGUUUUUGUUUUUUAAGGGAAUAGAAUUUUUUUGAGUGAAUAUAGAUUUGUGAGGGAGUAGUAAUAUUAUUAUUAGAGACAAGGCAUUUGAUUUUUAUAUAACUUUUUUAAUUAAGUCAAUAUCACUCAUUCGUAAAACCCAAAUAUUAAGCACAUUAUUAUACUAAUUUAGAUUAAUAGGAAUGCUCAAAUUUACAAUUAAGGAUUAUAAAUUUAUUUAAUUCCAAUCUUCUACCUUUUUUUAAGUUAUAAGAAUGGUUUUGCCUUAUAUUUUCUCCAAAUUGAGAUUUAAUUUAUAAUUUUAAUUUUGAUAUAAUUUAGUUUCUCAAUUUUUAUAAUACAAUUAAUUAGUUUAAAUACUUUAUUUUAAUCAAAAUGAUUAUAUUAAUUUUAAAGCAUUGUUUAUCACUAUUAAAAUUCUUUACUAACAAUUAUUUAAAAUUAAGGUCUAUUGCUUUUGUUUUAGCUUACAUAUAGAUGUUUACAAUAUAAAAUUCUUUGUAAUUUUCAAUACAUAUUGCUUAAAUAAAUAGAAAAAAGAGUUUUAAUAAUGCACAACCAAAUAAUUUUUAUUGAUGUUAUAUUAUUUUGAUUUCUUAGACUUGUAUAUAGGGGAAAUAAAGUACUAUUGCCAUUUAAUCACUUUAAAACAAUUUUAAUGGGCUCUAGUCAUGCAAGAUUACCAUUAAAUUGAAUACUCUUAUAGAAGGAUUUAAUAUUUUUGUUUCUCAAAUCACAACUAAUAAUUAUUCAUAAUUUCUUAUUCAGUGUCAUUUUUAAGAUUGAUUAGAUGACAAAUUUUCAUGCCAAAGUUUUAUUUUUAUUUGAUUUAAAGUUUUACAAUAUUUAAAAAAUUAUAUAUUUUGUAAAUUUGAUAUUCAAUCAAUUUUAGAUGAUUUUAACCCAAGGCCUGAGCUAAGAAUAGUUUUAGUUUGGAGUACAAUAUAUAUACUAAAAGAUGCAAUUUUUACAAAUAACUUACAAAUCUAUCAUUAAAUCAAAUACUGGUAUGAAAUGGUUUAAUUAUUUGAUCACAUUUUUCCAUGCCAAAAUUUUAUUUUUAUAUGAUUUAAAAUUUUACAAUUUUUAUAUUGUGAAUUUGGUGUGCAAUGAAUAUGUGUACUAAAAGAUGUAAUUUUACAGGUAAUUUAUCACCCAUCACCAGUGCUGCAAAGCUUGAGAUUCUUUUAUUGUGGGGAAAUAAACUUAGCGGAAACAUUCCCAACUCUAUCUCCAAUGCUUCCAUGCUUAAGAAACUAGACUUGGCACAUAACUUAUUCUCUGGCCCCAUCCCUAAAACGCUUGACAACUUAAGACACCUUGAAUGGUUCCAAAUUUCAAACAAUAAUUUGAUCAUAGGACCUGCUACUGAUCAUGAGUGGACCUUUCUUUCUUCUUUGGCAAAUUGCAAGCAUUUGAGAAUAAUAGAUGUUUCAAAAAAUCCAUUGUGUGACGUUCUUCCAACUUAUAUCGGAACCUUUCAAAAUCCCCUCAAUACUUUUAUGCCUCUAAUUGUGAGAUUACAGACAAUAUUCCUAUGUAAAUAGGUAGCUUAAGCAACCUAUUGUUUUGACAACUUGGCUAUAAUAAAUUAAGCGGAUUUAUUCCAACACCAAUAGGAGGACUGCGAAAUUUGCAAGGUUUACAACUUUCCUCUAAUAAAUUAGAGGGGCCUAUAUCAGAAAGCCUCAACACGAGAAUAAUACCAUCUUUUGAGAGUUCUGUCAACACAAUAAAUGAAAUUUAAAUGCAUACUUUUUUUAAUGAAAGUAAAUAUCAUAUUAAUUAAAGAAAAGCAACUAAAAAUCCAAUAAUAAAAUCCUUAGCAAAAGAUUGAAACACAAUUAUAUUGUAAAUGAAGUAAGAAACUAAGAAAAUCCAAUCUAAUAAAGAAAAUAACUUGAUGCCCCAAAGCAACCAUAAAACUAAAUCAUGGUAAGGCCUGCUGCUCGUUUUAUUGGUUUCCAUCUUUAUUUUGCAAAGGAAGUUUGAAUUUCGAAUAGAGCCUAGUACAUGGGAGCAAAAGAAAGAAAAUUAGUAUAUUAAUUUCCACGAUUUUUAAAACAAACUUCAUGGAAACGAAUAUUGACAUAUUAGAUAUCUAUGAUUAUAAUGCUAAAAUAGAUUAAAAUUAUUAAAUUAAUGGUAAAAUUAAGAGUGAAUUAAUAACCACAAGCGUACUCAUUACUCACCAUAUUUGUUAAACAUGUUGGAUGUUGUUUAGCAACCUUUGUUUGAUUUUCUUUAGCUCAACCACAACAUCUUUCAUGUAUUUUCUUUCUUCUGGUAACUCAGCUGAACAAUUCAGAGCCAACUCCAUGAUGGCUGAAAUACAAUUUGCUUUAACAACAAAGUACUCAUCCUCUUUUCUUAAUAAAUCAGCAUCUGCAAUUUCUAUUGCUCCUUUCGGCAAUGAACAUUCCAUCCAAUGCCUUAUAGUCACUUCUUCAGCAAAAAGAUUAUCAGUUGGCUUUUUCUUUGUGAAAGUUUCUAUAAGGAUGAUCCCAUAACUAUAUACAUCACAUUUAAUAGAAACAAUUCCAGUUGAUCCAAAUUCUGCAUUUCAAGUAUAAUUAGAGCAUCAUUAAUCCUUAAUUAUUUCUAAAAUGCUUAUUCAAAUAUAUAUCCACAGACGCAUGAAGCAAAAAUAUAAAAUGCAAAUCAAGAAAAUAAUCAUACAAAAAUAAAAAAAUUCACCUGGUGCCAUAUAUCCGAUAGUUGCAAGAGUCAUGGUUUGCUUCAUUACAUCACCUUCUCCCAACAAUUUGGCAAUGCCAAAAUCUCCUACAUGUGCAACCAUGUCUUCAUCCAGUAGAAUAUUGCUUGGUUUUAAGUCACAAUGAAUUAUAGGUGUUGGAUGUUCGUUGUGAAGAUGUUCUACUGCUGCCGCAACAUCUAUCAUUAUGUUGACCCUUUGUAUGAUAUCAAGGAAACAGUUAUUAGAAUGUAACCAUUUCUCAAGAUUUCCAUUACACAUGUAAUCAAACACCAAGGCUUUGAAGUCAACACUUGAGCAGCAAGUAAUGACCUUGACAAUAUUACGAUGAACUAUAUUACGCAUAGCAUCACAUUCAAUGUCAAAACUCCGAAAUGCUCCCUCUAUUUGCAAAUUGAAAACUUUUAUUGCAACUUCCAUUCCAUCUGAAAGCCUCCCUUUAUAUACAUAUCCAAAACUCCCAAAACCAAGCAUAUUACUUUCCUCAAACCCAUUAGUUGCUUGUGAAAGUUCAUAAUGUGAAAUUCUCCUCAGUGUUUUCAAAGACAACAAAUCAUCCUUAAUUGGUAGAGUUGUACCCCUACUUUGGCAUCUUCUGUACAUAAUAGUUAAGACUAUUAGUACUAUGACAAUACCAAUUGUUGGUAAACCAUACCUAAAAGCUUGCAAUAAAGUCAUUUUGGAAUUUUCGUGGAUGUCGUUUUUGCAAGGUGGGACUAGCAAUCUAGGUGGACCACAAAGUGCAUAAUUAUUCAUGAAUGAUGUGCUAGAAAAGUUUGAAAAACAUCCUUCGAUGGGAAUUUCCCCUUCAAGUCUAUUGAAAGACACAUUAAAAUACUUUAGAUAUAAAAGCUUUUCCAAAGACUUGGGAAUGACACCAGAGAGAUUGUUAUUGCAUAUAUCCAAGAAUUCCAAACUAAUCAAACCACCAAACGAUUCAGGGAUAUGACCAUGUAGUAUAUUAUUUGAUAAAUCCAAUGAAACCAAAGUUUUAAGACCCCCAAAUGUAGAUAAGAUAUCGCCCGUGAGAAUAUUCCUUGAUAAAUUUAGUUUCAGCAGACUUCUCAAAUCACCGACAUCAAGAGCAUGUGAAUUGUUAAGGUAAUUUGAUGAUAAAUCUACUUCUAAUAUAUCUUUAAGAUUCCACAGAGUCGAGGGUAUUGCAGAACUCAAUUUGUUGGAUUCUAUGUAAAGAUAUCUCAAAGAAGUAAUAUUACCCAAACAAGAGGGUAUGGAUCCAUACAACUUGUUCAACCCUAAAAACAAGUUGUAUAGUCUUUCCAAAUCACAAAGGCUUUUUGAGAUAGGCCCUUCUAAUUUAUUAGAGAAAAGACCCAGACCUUGGAGAUUUCUCAGUCCUCCUAUUGAUGUUGGAAUAAAUCCACUUAAUUUAUUAUAGCCAAGUUCAAAAACCAACAUGUUGCUUAAGUUACCUACUUCCAUUGGAAUAUUACCUUCAAGCUCACAAUGGUCAGCAUAAAAGCGUUGCAAGGAUGUCGAAAGGUUCCCAAUAUAAGUAGGAAGAACGCCACUCAGUGGAUUUCCUGAAACAACUAUUUUUCUCAAAUGCUUGCAAUUUGCCAAAGAAGAAAGAAAGGUCCACUCAUGAUCAGCAGGUCCUGUGAUCAAAUUAUUGUUCAUGAUUUGGAGCCGUUCAAGGUGUCUUAAGUUGCCAAGCGUUUUAGGGAUUGGGCCAGAGAAUAAGUUAUCUACCAAGUCUAGAAACUUAAGCAUGGAAACAUUGGAGAUUGAGUUGGGAAUGUUUCCGCUAAGUUUAUUUCCCCUCAAUAUAAGAUACUCAAGCUUUAGAGCAUUGGUCAUGGAUGGUAAAUUACCUGUAAAAUUACGUCUUUUAGUAUACAUAUUCAUUGAAUACCAAAUUCACAAAAUAUAUAAUACACUAAAAUACAUCUUUAAAAUAAAAAACUGUAAAACUUUAUAUCAAAUAAAAAUAAAAUUUUGGCAUGGAAAAAUGUGAUCAAAUCAAUUUUAACAAUGGCAUAUAAUAAGAAUUUUUGAGUAGUAAUUAGUCCAUUGUGAUUUGUAUAAAAAAAAAAUUAAACCAUUCCAUGCUUGUAAGUUGUAAAAAUUGCAUGUUAUAAUUUAUAAAUUCUGUACUCCAAACUAAAAAUGAACUCCUCACUAUUCUUAGCCCAAGUCUUGCAUUGAAAUCAUCAUUAUCAAAUUUACAAAAUAUAUAAUACACUAAUAAUUUUUUUAAAAUAUUGUAAAACUUUAAAUCAAAUAAAAAUAAAACUUUGGCAUGAGAAUGUGACAUCUAAUCAAUCUUGACACAGAAUAAGAAAUUAUGAAUAAUAAUUAAUUAUGAUUUGGAAAAUAAAAAUUUUAAAUCAUUCUGUAUGAGUAUUCGGUUUAAUGGUAAACUUGCAUCAAUACAAGUCUAAGAAAUCAAAAUAAUAUAACAUCAAUAAAAUUAUUUCAAAUAUAAUAUUGUUCUAAAGGUUAGAUGUUGGUUUAGCCCUUAAAGUUGUAUUUGAUUAUUAUUUUGGUACUUAAAAAUUUAUUUGUACCAAUUUGAUACUUAAAGUUGGAAUCAUUAAUCACGUGGUACAAAAAUUUUAUUAUGCAAAAUUAAAAAAAUUAAAAAUUUAGAAAGUUUUUCUAAUAAUGUAGGAAAUGUUUUUAAAAAUUAUAAAAUAAGAAAGAAAAUCGUACAUGAACAAAAAAAUGGACAUAGAAAAUACAAAAAUAUUGAAAAUUAUAAUAAUAUAAUUUUAAAAAUGAUUUUUAAAAAAAAAGAGAAAAUAGGACAAAAAAAUCAGAAAAACUUAAAAAGAAUCAACAAACCCUGGAGAAGGUGAGCUAUGGAAUUGAUAAGAUCAAUUAGAAAAUGGUUUCGAGCUUUCUGCUUAGUUAAAUCAAGUAAAUUAAAAUGCCAAAAAAGAGAAAGGAAAACCCCAAAGGUGGAAAUACGAUAUGAAGAUUAAAAGCGAAGGAAGUUUAAAGUCCAAGCUAUAUUCUAUAAGUUCCAAUUAAAAAUUUUGGUUUUAAAAUAUUUGUGUUAAUGUUACAUUUUGAAAAAUAAAAUAACCUUAAUAUCAAUGUAACCAAAAAAAAUUAUAACGGACCUAAAUUUAGUAAAUAAUUUUAACCGUGCUGACAACUCAUUAAAAUUCACAUUGUUAUUUUUUUAGAAUAAAUCAUUAAAUUAAUAAAAUACAUGUUAAGGGUUAAGAUGUUUGUUUCAAAUACAAUAUUGAUAUAAGGGUUAAAUGUAACAAAAAACAAUUAUAAUGAAUCUGAAUUCAAUGAAAAGAUUUAACGGUGCUAACAAUUCUUUAAAAUUCAUAUAUUCAUUUUGUUUUAAAUAAAAUAUUUUAGCGAAAUUAAACUUUUUUAUAAAAAAAUUUAAUACCUUCCAGAUUAUUUAACGCCAAAUAUAAUUCUUCGAGUUGUGUCAAAUUCCCGAUACUUCUUGGAAUGAUCCCCGUAAAUUUAUUAAUGGACAAUGACAAAAUUCUGAGGUUGUUGCAUUUGCCUAUACUUGAUGGAAUGUUACCAGAUAAUUCAUUCGAAUUCAUGGAAAGCCAUUCAAGCUGGGGAAGAUGUUGACACAUAUCAUUAGGCAAACUAUCUGAUAGGCUAGUGCUGGAGAGAUGAAUAGCUUGCAGAGAAGAAAUGUUGAAGAUAGAAGAUGGAAUCGGACCUGUAAGACCUUUAAUUGCUUGAACAUUAAGCAUUUCCAAACUAAGAAGAUUACCAAUUUCCUCCGGAAUUUGACCUGCAAAUUAACGUAGUUGAAAAAUCAAGGUGUUAAAGCUAACUAUUUUGUAAGUGUAAAUCAAAGAGGCUUUUUUUUUUGGUUAUGAAAUAAUAUGGAUUUGUUAGAUUCUAAUCAUAUUUAAGUAUAUUAGUUCAGCUAAUUAAGUAUUUUUCCUUGAAAGAAAUGUUUUUUUUUUUGUAUUUAUAUUACAAAUCUUUUUUUUUUAAUUUAAAAACAAAAGGGGCAAAAUGUGUUUAAGUUAAAUGCAUCAAGGAAAAUGCAUACCUUCUAGGUUAUUCACCCCCAAAUAUAAUUCUUUGAGUCGUGUCAGAUUUCCAAUACUUUUUGGAAUGAUACCCAUAAAUUGAUUACUGGACAACGCCAAAAUUUGAAGGUUGUUGCAUUUGCCUAUACUUGAUGGAAUGUUUCCAGAUAAUUCAUUCCGACUCAAGUAAAGCUCUUCAAGCUUGGGAAAAUGUUGACACAUAUCAUUAGGCAAACUACCUGAUAGACUAUUGCUGAAGAGAUUAAUUAUCUUUAGGGAAGAAAUCUUGAAGAUGGAAGAUGGAACUUGGCCAGAUAAUUGAUUGAAUCGCAAGUUCAAGAUCUCUAGAUUGAACAUGUUGACAAGUGUUUGAGGGAUUCUGCCUGUAAAAGUAUUAUUUGUCAUUUGCAACCUUUGAACUCUGUGUAAGUUCCCAAGCCAUGAUGGAAUUUCCCCAUUAAGACUGUUAAAGCUUAAUUGUAAGAUCUUCAAACGAUGCAAUUGACCCAAUUCUUUAGGUAGCAGGCCAUAGAAAUUGUUGCGACUCAAGUCGAGAGAGAGUAGAAAUGAAAGAUUUCCAAGGUAUGGAGGGAUCGUACCCCUAAGAUUCAUGCUUGUUAGAUUCAAAGCUAUAACUCUUUCAUGGAUGAUGCCACAAGAAACACCAAUCCACCUGCAAACAGAGGUAGAGGCCGUCCAAUUGUUUGCCAAGACAUUUUGAGGAUCGGCAAGGAGAUCCUUAAACUCGAGAAGUGCAAACUGAUCAGAGUUGAGAUUCCUGGCUGUCAUAGCCAAGCAAAGUACGGAACAUGAUAUGAAUAAAGCUAAACGAAGAUGAAAGCAAGUGUUGUAGUUCAUGAUUGGAAGACGAAAUAAGGCAAGAAAAUAAAAAAGUAGGAAAAGGGAAGUUGAAAUGAUAAAAUAGCCCAGAGAGCAUGCUUUAAUAUGUUUCAACCCUCGCAUACUUCUCCCACAUUAAAUUCACUCGGCGGGGGCCCGCGGGGGGCGGGGGGGGGGGUUACAACAUUAAUCCAGAUUUUACUUUUUGAUUGGUAUCAUAAGUCUGCUUCACAUACAAAGAAAAUAUAAUUUCUCCUAAAUUUUCUUCACAUUACUCCACAUAAUCCAUAAAAAGAACUUAAUAAAAUAUAAUUUUUUAAUUACUAUAUAUUCUUUUAUUUUUUUUCACAAUAAUAAACUGGUUAAAAUAUGCUAUUCAUCCCUGUACUUUUCAUAAUUUGAGAUUUAGUCCAUGUACUUUAAAAGUUUAAAAAUCCAAUCCUCCUAAUUUUUCAAUUUAAAAAUUUUAGUCCAAUCAUUAUCAUUGUCGGUAAUUCCGUUAAAAUUUGUUAACUUAACAUGUUUAUUUUCUAUCAUAUGCAACGUCAUAUGAAGACAGCCUAAUCAACAUAUAUACCAAGUUGACAGAUUUUGACAGAAAAUACUAAUAGUGUUAAUGGUAGGACCGAAUUAUUUAAAUAAGAAAAGUAAGAGGAGUUAUUUUUUAACCUUUUAAGUAUAAUGACUAAAUUUUAAAUGUUGUCCAAGUACAAGCAUUAACAGCAUAUUUUGACCUAAAAUUUUUUAAAACUUUUAAAAUAGAAUAAUGUUAAAAUAUGCUAAUACUGCUUAUACUUUCAUAAAAUUUGAGAUUUGGUCAUUGUACUUAAAAAGUUAAAAAUUAAGCCCUACCAUCUUUGUUUAAAAAGCUUAGUCCUAUCAUUAACAUUGUUACUAUUAUUUUGUCAAAAUUUGUCAACUUGACAUAUUAAUUAGGUUUCCCUUAUAUGACGUGGUAUAUGAUUGACAAGUAAUAAACAUGUUACGUUAACAAAUUUUGACAAAAAAAAACUACCAAUAAUAAUAAUGAUGGAACUAAAAUUUUAAAAUUGAAAAUUGUAAGGUAUUGAAUUUAUAACUUUUAAAGUAUAUUGACUAAAUCUUAAAUUUUAUAGAAAUACAGGGACUAACAACAUAUUUUAGACACAUAAUAAUAUAUAUAAUUUUCAAUUAAAACUGCAUUGGACUUAAUUGGGUAAGGGUUAAUAUAUUAAUCGGUAUAUGAGUUUCACACUUUUUUUUUAUAAUGUUGUAUUUUUUUUUUUGUUUUUGUUCAAUGUAAUUCAUGUAUUUGGUAAAAAAAAUUACAUAUUUUGGUACUUAAAGAUAACAAUGUUAACUUAUUAGUGUUUGAUCUAAAUUUUAGAGUUGAUUUAAUGAACAUUAAUAUCUAAUAUUAUUAGUUAACUAUGAAUUUUCGUCAAAUCAAAUUAAAACCUAACUCGUAUAUCGUAUAUCAUAUAUAUAUAUAAUAUAACAAGGUACAUAUAAUAAAUUUACAACAAGUGACUCUCUCUUUUUUUUUUUUUAUAUUUAUUAGUUUUUGAUUAUCCAUUAAAUUUUUUUUGUUCUAAUAAAAUUAAAUUAUAGAAUACCAUUAAAAUUCUAAAUAAAAAUAAUUUAUCCGUUAAAAAAUUCCCUAAAAUUUAAAACUAUUGUUAUAAAUAUAUAAUUAAAUUAUACAGAAUUUUAUUUUUUAAAAAUAUUGCUAAAAAGUUAAAAGGGAAAGAGAAAAUUUUAAAAAAAUAAAUAUUCUUUAAUUAGUUAAUUAAAAAAAUCAAUAGUACUUAGAAAAUAUCAAAUUGAAAUAUUAGAUUUUAUAAAAUUUCAUAAUUCAAAAAAAUUAUAUGACAAUGUUUAAAAAUUUUAUUAAAAAGUUUUAAAUUUUAUAUAAUUUUUUAUUAAAAACCUUUAAUAUUUAUAUUUAAUUUUAAAAAUAAACAAAUACUACAAAAAACUUUUUAAACACUAAAUUAAAUAUUAGUUAAUUAGUCAUUUGAUUUUUUUAAUAUUUAUAUGUAUCUUAAAUUUUUUAUAUUUACUAUUAAAAAUUUUAAAAACAAAAUUUAAUACUAUUAAAAACAUUAUUAAAAAAUUAAAAAUAUAUAUGAAAUUUAAAAUUGUCUAAAACAUUUUUUUAAAAAAUUAAAUACUAUAUAAAAUAUUUAAAAUUGUUUAAAAUUUUCUAACCCUAAAAAAUCAAUAAAAUAUUUUUCUCUAAAAAAUCAAUAAAAAAAUGUUUUUUAAGUGCAGUUCGAUUUCAGAAGAAAUAUUUCAUUUAUUAAAGCAUAAAGCUUUAAAAAUGUUAACUCCAUUAAACAACAAAUGAUAUUUUUUAAAACCAUAAAUAUUGACUUUAUUUCAAAUUGACCUUAUGUGAUUUUUUAAUAGUUUUUUUUUACUAAGCUUUACAUCAAUAUACUUGAUUUAUUUGUUGUUAUUAUUAUUUGUUUUUCCAUGACUAUGAUAUUAUAAUUUAAAAAAACUGAAAAGAGAUAAAUAUUAUAAACCCAUUAUUAGACUAUAAUCAUAAAUAUGUCUAUUAUCAUUCGAUAAAAAAAAUUAACAAGUGUUUAGUGCAGUGACAAUGCACAUAGCACUCUUAAUGAAAGAAUGAGAUUCGAACUUUUGAGAUGACAUUAUUGAAAGGAAUAAUCACAAAUUCCAGACAUGAACCGUAAAAUAGACAUGAAGUACCAUAAUAAAAACAUAUGUAUAGUAUCAAACUAGUAAUCCAUGCCAAACCUUAAAUUAACAAAAUUUACCAUGCACCCGUGUACACUAUUUAUAUAUAUAUAUAUACACACUAGAUUUAUUCUUGAUACACAUGUUUAUUAUAUUUAAAAUUUAAAAUAUAUGGCUGCCUGAGUUUUAGUUGAGUUAGGAUUGAAAUUAUUGUCAAUGCAAAAGGACAUAGGUCCAAUUGUGCUCAAAUGUAUUUUAUUUUCCAAUUUAAGGGUUAGGGAGGGGUUAUCGAUAGUAAAUUAUAUUAAUUUUUUAAAUAAUUAAAAAGGAUUUUGUAACACCCUGACCCGACCUAGGAGUUUCGGCUAAGUCGAAGGCAUUACAUUCGAUCACCGACGUGAUCCUAUAAAGUCAUUCUUUUUACUUGAGUUGAUUUGCAAGGAAAUCGCUCUUGUUUUUAGAAAACAUUACUCAUUAAUUUAAACUGACUUUACCUGGUAAUUUAGAGUUUUUAUCAAAACAUUUUAAGUGUUUAUAAAGUAGCGAAAAACUUUCAAGGUAAUGGUUUUCUAAAUCGAAAGGUAUACAAAUAUCAUAGUAAAAACCAAAAUGUCAUGCUUAAAAUAAAUAAGCUAUACAAUCCCAAAAAUGAAAUGAUUAAGGAAAUAUUUAAUGCAACUUUUAAAGAAAAGCAGAAAAAAGCUACUAAUCCAAGGUUCCUCCGAUGCCUUUUCGAGUACUAGAUCUUUACACUACAUGAGAGGUAAGGAAAAAGGGGAAUGAGCUUACAACAGUUCAUUAUGAGACUAACUGUAAACCAUUAUAUAUAAUUAUUCAAAGAGUGAAGUAUUUAAUUCAUAGAAUAAUAGCAUGGUAAACAUAAUGUAAAGAACAUUCAAUAUAUCAAUACAUGUAUAGUUUAUAUUCAUGAUGCAAUGCCAUUAAUGUUUUAAUUUCUCACACGUCCAUCUUAACUGCCCUCGAGUAUUGCUCGACACUCCAAAAACCCACUUCAAUAACUGAUCAUCUUGGGGUUGAUUUUUGAUGACAAUGGUUGUUCACUUGACAUUCAUGACGAUGUCUUUUACUACAAUAACUUACCAUCCCGGUUUGGUUCGGUUUUGAUGGUGUUUUAAACUAUUAUCCCGUCUUAUCCGAUUUAGAUGGCUUUUUACUACAAUAAUAUAUCAUCUCGAUUGUCUCGGUUUGGUAUAUUUUAGCCUACCAUCCCAACUUAUCUGCUUUUGAUGACAUUACCGCCUACGUCGUGCAGUAUUGACUUUUAGUGUAGACUUAAUUUGGCACUGUCUCCUACGGAACUCCUUCGUCCUCCAUACCCAAUUUCAUGUAAUUAUGCACAUAUUCGUAGAAUGUUUAUGUUCUUUUUUUAUCAUCAAUCGAGGUUAUACUUAUCAUGCAUAUUCAAUAUCUCAUACAAACAUUUAAUGGCAUGUACUCAUGCAUUCAUAUCAAUUUUGUAAUAGCCCAAUUUUGACCCUAAUCAGAACAGUGGUUUUGGGACCACAAAUCUGAGUCUGAAAAAUAUUUUAAUAUUAUUUUCUGUGUUAAUUAUGUGUGAAUUUAUAUGUGUGAAAGUUUUGUGAAUUUAUUUCAUUGUUUGUGUGCUUAAUUUGAGAAAAUGGCUUAAUCGCAUAAAAUGAAAAUUUAAUGGUUAAAUAUGAAAGUGCCUAUUUGUUGUUGUCUUUAUAAUUUAGAGGUUUUAUGAUGCAAUUAGCCCACUAUGUAAGUUAGUGGGUGGCAAAAGACUAAUGUAACCUUAAUACAUAUAUGUGUUUUGUUUAUUAAUAUAAAGGGUAAUUUAGGAACCUAAUAAUAAUGAUAAUAUAUGUUAAAAUAAAACAAAAAAAAUGGAAGCCAUUAUCAUCUAUUCUCACUUGCCGAAAGUAAAGAAAUAAAAAGGGAGAAACCUAGCUGAAUUCAGCCAUUGUUGAAAGCUUGAUUAAGGUUUGUUCUUUGUUCGGUUUUUGAUAAUUUUUACGUUUUUGUAAUCGUUGCUUCGUGUUCUUUAAAACCCAUGCUUCAAUUUUGUGAAUUGGUGAUGAUUUUCAAAUAUGCCAUUGAUAAAUUCAUGAGUUUUGUGAUAGUUGAAGGUGAAAUAUGAAAUAUGAAAUAUAUGUGUUAGAUUAACAUAGUUUGUUUUUGACUUUUUGAUGAAUUUGAGUAAAUUGGACUAAAUUGUGAAAAUAAAAUUGUGGGGGACUAAAAUGUGAAAUAAAUAAACUAUAUGGAUUUGUAUGGACUAGGGUGAUAUUCGGCCUAAGCAUAGUUUGUGUAAAUUUUGUGUAUUUUGUGUUUUAUACAAUAGGGACUAAAUUGCAUAAAGUUGAAAAUGUUAGGGGCAAAAUGGUAAUUUGCCCAUUUUUGUGUUUUUGGAUUAAAUUGAAUGAAUGUGUGAUUAAAUUAGUUAAAUUUGAACUUAUUUAGAUCAAGAACCAAAGAAAAUGGAAUUAGAUCGGGGGAAGUCGAAAGUAGUCAAUUAGUCGAUUUCGUCCGUCAAUAUCCAAGGUAAGUCGAUAAGCAUUUAAAUGUUGUUAAAUUCGAGAAUAUACAAAUGAUAUGUGAUAAACUGAAUUAUUUGAAUUGAUAUAUGCUUUGGCCGAAUGUUAACAUUGAGAUAGGGAUUAUGUUUCAAGUUCGAUUCGAUUGAUAAUCAAUAUUUGAAAGCCCCGUACGAACCCUAGGAAUAGAUAGGAUACAUAUGUCAUGACAUAGGAUCUCCGAUAUGUGUUUUUUUGUGUAAGACCACGUUUGGGACGUUGGCAUCGAUUUAUGUUUUCGUGUAAGACCACGUCUGGGACGUUGGCAUCGAUUUUUGUUUUCGUGUAAGACCCUAUUUGGGAUAGUGGCAUCGAUCUGUGAUUACAUGUAAGACCACAUCUAGGGCACUGGCAUUGUACGAGCCUUCUGACUAUCUGUGUAUCCUUUUUAAUUUCGAGCAGUUCAAUAGACAAUGUUAAGUGAAAACCGGAUGUGAAAUUGAAUUACAUGUUCAGGUAUGUGUUAGUUAAAUGUAUAUAUGGAAACAAGGUAAGUUGUUUCCUUGGAAUUAUUUAAGGUAUAUGAAUAUAAAUUUUGAAUUAACAUGUUUGGACAUAUAUAUAUAUGAUUUGGGCUAUGGUGUUAAUUAUGAUGUCAAAGGUGAAAGAUUAAUAUGUAUUUAUGAAAGGUUACAUUCGGCUAUAUAACUUGUAUAUGUGAUCAAAGUAUGACCUUGUAGUAAAUGAUAUCUUUAUAUUGUCAAUUAUGUGAAUUUAACCUUAAUAGUUAAAUGUUACUGGCCAUGAUUAAUAUGCAUGCUUAUGCUUAUGACUUACUAAGCUUUAAAUAGCUUACUGUGUGUGUGUAUUUGUUUACCUCUAUUUUAUGGAUUUUGAAGCCGUUACGAGCUCGGGGAUCAUCAGCAAAGCCUAUCACACUAUCGAUAGUUUCUUUUGGUAUUUUAGUAAGUAAACUUUGAGUAUAUGGCAUGUAUAGCAUAGCUAGAAUGUUGAUUUUGGAACAAUUAUAUGUAUAUGUAAUUAAUAGCCAUGCAAAAAAUGGCUUAUCUUCUUUUGAUGGAGUUUAUGCUUAUGCAUAUUUGAUUACGGUAUAAGCUUGUGAUAGGUAAAUAAAUGUGAUGCAUAUGGAUUUGGACUUGUUGAUUUGGCUAUGAGAAUAGUUAUUUGUUCGAAUGUGCAUGGAUUAGAUGUUAUUAAAUUGAAUGUGUAUAGGUUUGCUUAUGUUUUUGAUUAGUUUUGAAUCAUGUACAUAUAAAUAGCCAUAUGAAUAUGGCCUAACCCCCAUACUUGUGUUCGGUUUGUUUAGCAAUGGUUUAUUCAUUUUAGUUAAGUUUGGUCUUUAUGCUUUUGAUAAAUUUUGUUGAAAUGAUGUUUAGGAUUAUGCAUAUUCGGCUAUAAUAUGAGUUCAGGUUAGGCAUCAUGUUUCAUAGUUUAAGUGCAUAAUUUGCUUGUUAUAUAUGUAUAUUUAUGAUAUGUUUAGUAUGUUCAUCUAUGGUGAUUUGAUAUGAUAUAACUUAAGUAAAUUAGGUUUGAGUAAUGAAUGUAUUAAUUUGGUGUGUAUUCGGCUUUGUACUUAACUCAUUUUGGAUGGUAGGAUACAUGGUUUAAGAUGUAACAAAAUUUAUGAAUUUGUAUGCCCUGGGCUGAAAUUUAUGUGUUAAGUGAUACCUUGUAUAUUCAUAAGUAUAUGCUAUCAAAUUUAGUAUGUUUAGUCUCAUAAUUUGUUAUUCAAGUUAUAUAUAUGUUUUGGUGAAUUUCAUGAAGAUAUAAAUAGACUAUGGUUUGAGAGUUAUACAAUGACCGAAUAUGCUUUAAUUAGUUUUGUAGUGAUAAUGAAACAUGGAUAUUCGGAAAUGGUUAAUGGUAUAUAUAUAAAUAUAUGUGCAAGUUGGUAAAUGGAUAAAAUGCAUGUUUUUGGUUCUUUGAAAUGUUCAAUAUUGUAUAUGUUAUCUUUGAUCUUAGCCUUUAAGUUUUAAGUUAUGAUUUCUUUAAAAUGAUAAGAGUAAGUAUAUUCUUAAGUAUCAAGGUAUUUAUUAAAUUAUCAUUAUAUGUUUGAAUAAGCAUAGUGUACCUUCAUUUAGUUGUAAUGGCAAAAUGUGCAUUUUUAUUAUGCUUGAAUGGUUAGUAUAUGUACUUUGGAUUGAUUUUUAAGCAUGCAAAUUUGGUAUACUUGAUUUGUUUCAUUUAGUAUAUGUUUUUAAAAAUAAUAAUAAUACUAAUAAUAAAAUUAUAUAUAUAGUGCAUUAUUCGGUUUUGUAUUAUUAUAAAGGUUUCAUAUGUUAUGUUAAACUUGAAAUAUGUGUUAUGUUCGGUAAUGUCUCGUAACCCCAAUCUGACGACGGACACGGGUUAAAGGUGUUACGAAUUUCACAUAUACAAUCUUUUCAUGCAACAAGAACUUGUAACAAUAUAUUUAUAUUAGAUUCCUUAACAUGCUUACUCGGCUAGCACAUACAUAACUGGUUCAUACAUACACAUAUAAUUUGUGCGAGUUAAAAAAAAUAAAGUGUCACAUGUACAAGAUUUUUAUGUGAUUUAAUAGGCCUAGUUAUCUAGCACAUGUACCGGUUUGCAUAUAGGCUCGCAUGUACCUGAGGUUCACACAACAUGUAGGCUCACAUGUCCCUAGGGUUCGCAUAUUAAUUAUCUAGGGUUCGUAUAAUUAGCAUAAGAGGUUGCAUGUAUACAAUGUUAGCGUAAUAUUCCCUUAAGUGUUCAUGUAAUAAACAUAUAGGGUUUGCAUAUAUAACAUCCAGGGUUCGCAUGUAAACACAUAUAGGGUUUUUACAGUACAAAAUAUAGUGUUCGCAUAGUACAACAAUUCAUAGGGUUUGGCUAACAUGGUUCAAAUAUGAUGCAUACAGGGUUCACAUAUCAUGUCUCACUUAUGACGCAUACAAGGUUCACAUAUUACAAUCCAUAGGCUCCGCAUAACAUAAUCCUAAGGUUUGCAUGUAACAAGUUCAUAUGUCAUAACCUAAGGUUCACAUGUAAUAAACUAUAGUGUUCGCACAUAGGCUCGCACAUAUAGGGGGUUUGCACAUAUAGGUUCACACACAAGAGUUCCAACACCUAGUUGUCGUACAUAGGGGUUUCCACGUAUAGGUUCGCACAUAGGGGUUCACAUGGGGGUUCACAGACAUGUACCAAUGAUUCACUAUGUCACACUAUAAAAAUAGGGGUUCUCGAACUCUGUCAUACUAUAUAAUGUGAGGGCUCACAUACUACGUCCUUUUAUAUAACAUGGGUGUUCGCAUACUAUGUCAUACUAAAACAUAUAGGGUUCGCAUCUUUGCACUAAGGGAUGGCACAUAUAUUCCUCGUAAGGGUUCGCUUAAGGGUUCCAUGCAAGGCUCACAUAUAUGGGUUCACAUGAAAGAAAUUACUUGCUUUUAAUUUAACAAUUAAUGCAACACCUCAUACCCGGUCUAGAAGUUAUGACCCGAAUGUGAAGGUGACAUUGAUAAUUUUAAAACUUUAACUCUUUGCUAUUGUAACACAUCUUAUUUUGAAAAAUGAAUAUUCGGAAAAUGAAUAGUCAAAAAAUAAUAAUUUUUAGUUAAACCUUUCGUGCAAUCCUUAGAAGAUCUCACGCUCUAAAACACUUAAUUUAUAGUAAAAUCACAUAAUCAUUUUCUUAGUUUAGCAGUGGAAAAAUUUUCAAAGUUUUAGUUUGAAAACCGAAUUUUAAUUUGUUAACUAGUAUGAUUUUUUAGUUUUAAGUUAAAAAUACCAAAAAAAACCAAAAGAAAAACCAAAAACGAAGUCUAAAAAUAGAUUAAUAGCCCAAAAAUCUAGAAAAAGUUAAUAACAGAAAGCACCAUAAUAAAUUAAACAAGAAAAAUAAUCUAAGCUCCCGCACGUCGUCCGAUCCUAAAUUAGCUAAUUACCUGAAAAGGGUAAAUACAGAAGGGUGAGCUAUAAAUCUCAGUGUGUAACUAAACUCAAAUAGAGAACAAAAAUAACACAAUAAUCAGAUCAUAGAAUUGCAAAGAACUUAAUAACAAUCAAUUGAGCAAAACUCAAAACGCAUGCUUAUGCCAAUGCGAUAUUUUUCAGAAAAACAUAAUGCAAUUUUUUAGAAAACUUCCUACCCAACUUCGCUACACACCAAAAUAGAGUUCCCCAAAACUUAUCCAUCCAAAAACAAACCAACAGAUAAUUGUAGACAAUGCCACCAGAGUUGUAGUUAAAACUGCCAGAUUGGAUAUAUGUGGUCAAGCCACUGUAAUGUAACCAAGCUGCCAGAAUAGAUAUAUGUGGUCGAGCCACUAUAAUUAUAGACAAGUUGCCAGUCAGAAAUGUGAUUAAACCACUGGAUAGUGCAAAUCAUUAAACUGUCAAAACUUCCUCCUUACCAUAAUAUCCCAAACCCCAUGCAAUGUGUGUAACUCCCCGAAAAUAUGAACUCUCGAUUUGUUAAUUUAUGUCAUAAUUAAGUGUUUAUCUCAAUGGUUAAGGGCUUGAGGAUGUGUUUGAGGUCUUGGGUUCGAGUCUCUCUAGGAGCUUUGAGAGUUAUUUAUUUAUUUAUUCUAAAUGAUCUUUUGGGCUGUUCAAUUAGUAGAAUUUGGGUAAAAGUGGAAGACUGGGAACUUAGUUGGAUAAGAAUUGGGUUUGUUAGGAUGUUGGGGAUAUUGUUUUUCUUUUUCCCUUUAUUUUAUUUUACUAUAUUUUUUAACCCAUUUUUCUUUUAAGUUUUGAAUUUAAAAAGAAAAUACAAAAUAAAAAUCCCAAUUAUUACUCCACUAUUCACGUUCCACUUUUAUUCCCAAUUUCUGUAAUACCCAAAAAAAUUACUACAGUAAAAAGUAAGUUAAUAUCCUUGAUAUAGUAAAAUAAAGAAAUAAAGUGAUAAAAAGGGUAAUUUUGAGUUAUUUCAACAUUGGGAAGUAUAUUAUGACAUAUUAAUUCAAGAAAGGAUUAAAUCGCAAAAGUAAAAAAAGUUUUGUUGCCCAAGAGUAAAUACUCAAAAUUUAAGGGGUUAAAGUGUAAAUAUAAAAAAGUUGAACGACCAAUAGUGCACAUAUUUUAAGGGUGGAAUGAUCUAGAAACUAAGGAAAAUAAGAGAAAGUAAUGGGAAAUAUUAUAAAGAAAAUGAAUAAGGGAGUUAUAAACUUAGUAAUCAACAUCUUGCAUUAAAAUAGUUUUGGACAGCAGCAGUAGUCUAACUUUGAAAAUUCACAAAAAAUUGUAGGAAUCGAAUUAGAGAAUUAAUAGAAUAUAAAAUUAAAGAUUAUUGAGUCUAGUUUCUUAUAGAAGAAACUGUGUAAGUAAUAGAAUUUUAAAUCAUGAGAUAUGAUAAAUGUUGUGAGACAAUGUCAGAAUGAUUUCGGGUUCACCUGUUCUGACUUUGGAAAAUCAUCAAAAAUUAGAGAAAAAUAAUUAGGGGCUUAAAUUUAUCCUUAAUGAGUCUAUUUUGAAUAGAAACAAAUGGUAACAUCAUAUGAAUCCUGUACGAGGAGAUAAUUAAUUUUUAGUGAAGAAGGGUCAAAACUGUCAAACAGCAGAAUAAGGAUGACUUUAAAGAAUAAACUGUACUUGUUAGCUAAACCAAAAAUUCUUAAAAUUUUAUGGUAAGAAUAUAUGUGAGUCUAGUUUCGGAUAAAAUUAACGGAUCUCAAUUCGGAGUUCUGUAGCUUAAGAUAUAAUUAGUUUAGUGACCAUGACUCAAGUGAAUAGCUUGUUAUGAGUAAACAAGUAAAUAGUGGUAUUAUGUAUAUAUCAAGGAUAUGGAAUGGAGUGGAGGAGGAGGAAAAAAAUAUGUGUGAAUAUUUAGCUAAUAUGAGAUUAUUUUAAAAAAGCAAAUUUCCAUGUUUUAGGCUCAGGUACUAAAUUGAAUAAAAGUAAAACUUUAGGGAUAAUUUUGUAAAAAUGUCAAAAAUGAUCAAAUUGAAGUAAAUGAAUUGUUUUACUUUCUAUAUUAAUGUAUGGAAAUAAAUUAUAAAUAUCAAGUGGGUUUAGAACGUUAAUUUUAUUGUAUGAUGAAUUUAUAAAUAAUUUCAGUUUUGAACAAUAAUUGAUAUAAAUUAAUUGAAAUUGUUCUGAAAAAUUCGGUAAUACUCUAUAACCCUGUUUCGACGAUGGGCAUGGGUUAGGGGUGUUACAAUUUCCUUUCAAACAUGGUUUUCAUAUUGUACAGGAAGAUUUUGCUAAAAAAAAGUAUUCUUUUGUUUUUUCUUUUUUCCUCUCUAAACUUCUUGGCUUUCUUGAUCUUGGUCUCUUGGGUUACCAAAUUUCUAUAGUGCAUGCCUAAUUGAAUCAUUUGCAACUCAAAUCUGGUGUAAGUGCUAUCAAUUUCAUUCAUUCUAUGAUUGAAUUUUUAUGUCGUUAUCUUUGUCUAAGUUGGGAUUUUACUAGUUCUAUUUGCUUCGAUUUUCGUUGUUAAUCGUGUGGGAUUCUCUAGGUGAAGGUUGCAAACCAGGUUAUCCACUAAUGAAUUGAGGCUUGUUAGGGUACUAUCGUCACAUUAGGGUAAGUGAUUAAUGUUGUUUUUGGGUUGUAAGUUGCCGAAAUAGUUGGUUAGUGUCGAAUUCUUCAAUUGAUCGAUUUGGGUUGAUUAGAUUUUAGCUAAUAAUUCGUGUAAUUUAUCGAUUUAAGUAUUGUAUUGCGUGAUUAUUGAUUCUACGUCGGUUUUUCACUAGGUGUAUAACAAAACACACGAAAAAUAGCUAACCGUGAAAGUUAAAAAAUUGCUCAGUCGACGCCACACGGCUGUGUGCCAAGCCAUAUGGUAGGUCGUGUGUGACACAUAGCCAUGUGACAGAUCGUGUGCUAGACUAUAUGGGACACACGGUCUAGGCUAUUUGGGUCGUACAGGGCUAUGUGGGCCACAUGGGCUAGCCAGUUGGGCCAUGUGGGCCCAAAAUUUAGGAUUUUUCCCUAGGGCUAAAUACAUCACCUUGAUUGACUGUGGGCCUUCCGUAGGGUCGGUAUGUGAUUAAAUGUAUUGUAACAUAUGAAAUAUGGUCAUCUAGUAGUGUAAAUUAUGUUGUCUGUAAGUAUUUUUGAGAUGUCAUGUGAUAAGUAAACUCGAAAAUUGUUAUGUAUGUGAUUUGUAUCUUAUAUGUCAUGCAUAUAAAACUGUAGCAAGUAAGGAUUCUACUCUGAUUAUGUCUUUUUUCGGGAUGGGCUAUACUAUGUGUAGGAAGUGUUUCUGUGAAUGGUGAUACUCACCCAUUAUACUGGCAACAAGGUUGCAAAUAUUCUAUUAGUGUCUUAAUGACACUAAGUGAUGUGUAGGGUUGGAUCGGUGUUUCAUACCCCAUAUGGUGUGUUGGGAUGGUCAGAGAUGGUGUGUAGCGGAUGAGGGUAGGAAAUCUAUCUGUAUCUGUCUAAUAUUAAUUAUCUGUUUAAGAUAUUUGUUGCACACUGAGUUUCAAAAACUCAUUUUCUAUUUGAUUGUUAUUUUCAGGUAACCCUUAGACUUAGGCGGAUCGGUGCAUUCAGGAACUCGGUUAAUCAUUAUUUUUUAAAAUUUGACUUAUUUAAAUUUGGGUUUUAGAGUUAUGUAAAUUUUGGACUUUCUAGACAUUUUGGACUGUUUGGGUUUAGAACUUUACUUUCAUAUUUUACUUAAUAACGUUUAAAUGUUUAAUCGACAAUGUUCACUUUUCUGCAAAAUUAAUGGUUUUCAAACAACAAACAGUGUUUUCCAAAAUAUCACUUUUUAAGGAGUCUCCGCUACAAAAUUAUAAGUUUUUAGAAAAUGUAAUCAAACAAAAUUUUCAAUAAUAAAAUUUGGAUAAGAUAUAUUUUCGAAUAAUCUGAGUUUUUAAGAGUUUAUGACUAUUAUCAAGAUUUAAGAAAACUAAAAUUUUCAAUCAAAUUACGUAACACAUUAUGAUCUUGUUAUAACGUCUAAGCCAGGUUUGGAGUGUUAAAAUGUGACAUGGCAUGCAUAUAUAGAAUCAGAAUGAAAAGCAUGUAGGACAUGCAGUCGUACAAUAAUAAAGAUCAGAAGGCAUGGCAUUUGCGGAAUAGAUGUAUCACAAAUUCAACAUAAGCAAAUCAGAUUUGCCAUAACGUCACAUGCAUGGUCAUAUAGUAAAUUCAGAGAUAUACAAUACAUCAUAUAGAUACACAACAUAGCAAAAUGGAAACAUGUCAUCAAAAUUGAUAGAAAACAGAUCAUACAUAUAUAAUUCUUAUACCUUAAGCACAUCACAUCAAAAGCAUAUUAACAAAUAACUUAUUUUUUAGUCUUAUUAAGCAGUAUGGACCCUACAAAGAGUCUAAUUACAAACCAAAGAUCAAAAUGGCCCUAGGUGACAAUUUUCCAAAAAAUGGGGCCACACACCUAUUUGGCCCACACGACCCAAAUAGCUCUGACCGUUUGAUCCAUACAGCCAUGUGACAUCGACAAUGAGUUUUUCAGCAUUGCGUCAUUUUCUAUUUUUCAGGUUUUUCAUUACACACCUGAUCAUUUUUCGAUGUAAAUCCAACCACUAGAAUUCCAGAACCUAAAACAAGCAUUUAAGUGAUCAAUUUCAAUAAUGAAACACUAAUUCCAAAAACCAACUUGGCCACAACCGCUAACAUUAAACCUUAAUAAAAUGGAAACUAGCCUUCCGAUGUUCAAUCACUUACCCAAAACAGAAAUAGUAGCCUAAAAUAGUGCCUAAGUUGUCAAAAAGAUGUGGUACGCACCACUCUCUUCUCUUAUCAGAAACCAAAAUAAUUAAUAAUCGGAUAAUACAAACUACUAUAUCCCUAAUCAACAAGUGGAAAGAACUAGUUAAUCUUACCUUUAAGGAACACCCUUGCAAGACUUACUCGUCAGAAAAUAAAUGAUAGAGAAAUGACAAUAGAUUAGCAAAUACUGAUAUCAACAUUUUGGGUAGCCAACAAAGGAGAAAAGAGAGAACAACCAAAUUAGAAAAUGGGAAAAAAAUGGAAAAGAGAGACGAUAGAAAGUGUGAGGGAUUUUAGGAGAAUUUUUGGGAAAUUUAAAAUAAUAAAAAUAAACUACCCACUUCCCUCACUCAAAGAAAAAAAAUUCAAACCUAAAACCUCUCACACACAAGCACAACACUUAACCAUUGAACCAAAUUAAAUCACUUAACAUAAUUUUCACAACCUCAAUUCAAAAGCCGAACAUAACCCCUCUUGGUUUCACUGACUUGGUUUUCAGAUUAUGACAAUUAAUUGCAUAUAAUGACUUAAGUUUAGACCCCACACCUGAUUUGAAAACACCAAACCUUAGUUUUUGAGAGGAGAUUGACGAUCUACUUGAAGAGGGAUUGAUUUUGAAAACUUUGACUCAUUUUGCUUUGAGAGUUGAUUUGAAGAGAAAAGAGCUUGAGGGUGCUUUUCUUAAAAGUUUGCUAGAUAAAAUUCUAGGGUUUGCAUAAAAUUGAUUAUUUAUAAAACAUAUUUUUCCUUAAUUGAAAUAGGUUUUCCUAAUUCAUGUAAAAUUAGAAAAAAAAUUUAAAAUAAGGACUAAAUUGAAAAAAAUUGGGCUGGGCUAAUUUGAAAAUUUGACACUUUUGUGGGAUAAAAACAAAAAAUAUAUAUUGGUUGAAUACACACAAGGAAUUAUGAACUUGUCACCUAUAGGUAGACUAAGGCCUUACCACUAAACCAACAGACUCAUUCUUACUAUCUUUUAACACAAAUAAAAUUUAAGGCAUACUAAAGGCUUGUUUAGCAUUACUGUGAAGAAGCACUUUUGGCUUAAAAAGCACUUUUGAGAGAAAAGUUAUUCUAAACAAGUAAUUUUUGGCUAAGAUUUUUGACUUUUCAAAAGCACUUUUGGCCAAGUGGAGAAGUUAAAAUUUUUAGCUUUUCUUCCCCCAAGAGCACUUUUGAGUGCUUAAUUACUAUUCCAUCCCUCCAAGAACACAUUUUAAAAUAAAAUAAUAUAAAUGUGUUAAUAUUUAAUUACAAAUAUUUAAUGGUUUUAUUUAAAUAUUUAAAAUAUAGUUUAUUCUAAUUAAAUUUUAUAAAUAAUUAAUAUUUAUUACUUAAAAACAUUUAAAAUUUAUAUUUCAUAUAUUAAAAUAUUAAAAAAAUUGUAAUAAAUUAUUUUUUAUAUUCUUACUAAAAUAUCAUAAUAUUAAUUAAUUUUAAUAUUAUUUAAAUGCAUAUUUAUUACUUUAUAAUAUCAUGUCUAAAAUUGACAUUUUAUUUCUCAAAAGUACUUUUUGACAUUAAUACUAAACACUUAAAUCUUAAACUAAACUUCUCAAAGAUACUUUUCCACCACACUUUUUAAAAGCACUUUCCAAAAUCAAUGCUCAACUAUCUCAAACUCUCUUACCUUAUACUUUAAAAGAGAAAAAAAGAUUUUAAAUUUUAUCCCUAUUUCUUUUAACCCAAUUUUUAGGAUGUCAAACAUUUAUAAAUAAAAUAAGAAAAAGGAAAAAAAAGCAUCUACAUAUUGAUGGGUUUUUUUCAUUAGGAGACUUUAUUUUUAUCGCAGGUAAAAGUUUUUAUGGAGAGGAUCAUGUAAAAUUAUGAUUUUCUGUGUUUUCUUCUUUGCUGACUUUUUUAAUGUCAUUUUCUAUCAUGAAAGAAACUUAAAGAUUCACUAUGUAUUUCUCAACCACUAUGAAAUUACUUGACUAUGGGGGUAGAAUUUUCUCACCAAUUUUCUAACAUGAGAUUUUUUGAAUGAGACAAAUAUUCAAUUUUAACACAAACAUAUAUUUAGGGUUAUAGUUUAGUUAUUGAGAGCGUUUCCCAUAAUUAGUCACCCCUAUUUGUGAGUGAUUAGGGGAUAAAAGCUUAAACAUUUCUAGAUCACAUUGCAUUUAAGACGUGUGUUUGGAGUUAUAUGAUAUUUUAACAUAGACUGGCUUUUCUAUAAAGAGUCCUUGCUUUACUUUGGGGGGAUUCUUCCAUUUAGCGUGGUCGUUGUUAUUACUCACCAACAAUUAUUGUACUGUCAUCCUUAUUCCUACCCCACCUACAGAGAAGUUUCAUUCGAAGAUGUCCUUUUUUCUUUUAAUAUUUUUUAUAUUUUCAUGGAUAUGAGGAGAUACUCAAUAUUAUUAUAUUAUGAAAUUUUAAUUCACUCAAAAAGUAAGUGUUUUAUUUCAAGGGAUUAAUAUUAGCUCUCUCUUUUUUAAAUUUUGAAUUUUUUUUACAACUGCUUAAUUAACAAUGUAUGGUGUUAUAGGGGUGUUUUAACCUUUCCUAUGUAUAAUCGACUCCUGAACCUUUUUUCCUUUAGAAUUCAAUGCAUACCUCAAAUUUGUCUUUUUAAAAGAUUUUUAAAAUCUCUUUAUAAAAGAUGAUCACACUUAACAAAAAUGAUCCUGACCACUUUUCUUUAAUAAAAUAUUAUGUUUUUGCAAAGACCAAAAUUUUCAUAUUUUUCAAGAAUUCCUCAAUCUAAUUUUCUUUUUGAAUUUUUAUUUUCAAGAGGAAAAUGAUCCCUACAAUUAAUAUUUAUUUUCUUCAUUUUUAAAUUUUUUUUAAGGGAGAUGAAUAAUGGAAUGAUAAUUUUUAGUUAAGGUAAAGUAAAUUUAAUUAUGUACAACCUUCAACUAUUAAUUUUUUCAAUUUAAUUACAUAAUUUUUUAAAACUAACACUCUUUUAUUAGUUGUCACUAGUUGAGGGACGAAAAGUUGAUUUAGAUUUUUUUAUUGACCUAAUAACAAAUUUAAAUAUUCAAAGUUUACUUAUUCUAUCAAUUUAAUGCUAAAUUUAAAAAAUUCAACAAAUCCUAUCAAAAAACAAUUGGACCCUCUCUCACUCUUAGCAAUACACACUAUCAUACAUGACACAUCACCAUCUUCAACUCACCCGACCAUUGACACCGCUAACAAUCUCCACUCUACUUUUUUUUAAUGAAAAUUAAUGAAAAUAUAUAAAUAAUCACUCAACUAUAAGUGUAUUUAUAGUUUAGUCAUUUAAAUUUAAAAUUUUAAUUACAGUAUAAAAAUAAUUAUCUAACCAUUCGAUUUAUUCUAUUUUAAUCUAACUUUUCCACAAUUGUACAUCUCUGGGUGGGCACAAAAACUUGUACAUUUCUUGAUGACAUUUAAUUCAAUUGCAUUUAGGAUCACAUAAUUUUCUUUCAUCCUUUUCAUUAAUAAACUGUUUCAAAAACAAUACCACGUCGACAAUAAAUUUGCUAUUACACAUUCAAUUUUUGGACGUGUCGUUGAAAUAUUAAUUUCACUUAAGCUAUUGACAGACUUUUCAGUUUUUAGUCUCUUUCCGUAGAAAAAUUCAUAACAAUCAGUCAAAUAGAAUUGAGUAUACAUGAUUAUACCAAUGCGGUAUUUUUCAAAAAAUUUUAAUGCAGAUUUUUCAGAAAACGUCCUACCCAAAUCCUCUACACGCUUGAAUAGAGUUCUCCAGAACUUAUCCAUAAAAAAAAAACACACCAAUUGAGUCAUCUCAGGUUGCCCAAGAAUUGAUGACUCGCCACCAUGGGAUGCCCGACAACGAUGGCUUAUCACUAUGCAAUUAAACUGUUAGAUCAGAUAAUUGUGGUCAAGCCAUUGAAUUGCAUCUCAACUGCCAAAACAAAAAUAUGUGGUGAAGCCACUAUAUUCCAUCCAAGCUGCCAAAUAAAAAUAUGUGGAUAAACCAUUAGAUAGUGCAGACCAUUAAACUGCCAAAACUUCCUCCCUUCCAUAUUAUCCCAACCCCAUGCAAUGUGACAUAGCAUGCAUUUACAGAAUCAAAGCGGCAAGCAUAUAAGACAUGUAGUCGUACCGUAAUAGAAUUUAGAAAGCAUGGCAUUCCACUCUUUUACAGAACAGAUGUAUCACAAAUUCAACAUAAGCAAAUUGGUAUGCUAUAAAGUCACAUGCAUGAUCACAUAGCAAAAUCAGAAACAUAAAAAUAACGUAACCAAACCUUAUAUAAUCAUAUACAAACAUAACAAUGCAAAUCAUGCUACUAGAUUCAUUAGAAAAUAGUUCAUGCACACGAAUUUCACAUACCUUAUUCAUAUCACCUACAAUAUCAAAUUAUCAGAUAUUACAUUUUCAAAGUCAGUUUUACACUGUACGAACCUACAAAGUGGCUAAACAUGAUUCAUGAAUCAAAACGAGCCUAAACGAAAUUUUUUAGAAAAUGGGCCAACAUGGCCCAAUUAGCCUAGGCCGUAUGGCGUCGACUGUCCAAGUUUCGACUUUCAGCAGUUCAUUAUUUUUUGAGUUUUUCGAUAUACACCUUACUAUUUUCCGAAGCAAAAUCAUGGCAAGAAUUCCAAAACCUAAAAUCCAUAUUCAACCCACUCAAAUUAUCAAUGAAACCCAAUACUAAAUCGUUAAACAACCAAAAUUGCUACCAAUAAACCUUAUCAAACCAAGAAUCAACCUUUUGGCAUCUGACUACUUACCCAGAAUAGUAGCAGCAGUACUAAAAAUCUCUCAAUUCAUCGGAAGACUAUUUGUUACAGAAACAUCACCUAAACCAAAGAUUUCAGAGUAAUCAAAAUCGCGUCACACAAAGAAGGAAACAAAUUAACCCCAAAAUUGUGAAACUCAACAAAGUACGAAUCUUUUCACAUAUUCCUUACCACCAACCGUCAAGAUUGCUCAAAAACCACUAAUGACACUGACCUUCGCAAGGUUAAAUUGAAACCAAAAGGCAACUAAAGAUGGAACAAAGGUUGUUAUAAAAAAAAUAUUAACAAAGACUUAUUGGAGCAAAAAUGGUGAAAAAUCAAGAAUAGGGAGAUUGGAAAAAAAAUAAUGAAACGACAAAGAGAAGGAGCGGGAAAGUGACGGCAGUUUGCGGAGAGAUUUUGGGUAAAUAAAAAGUAACUCACCACUCAACCCAUUAAAUCUGAUUACCCUCUAAACAGAUUCCCUUAGCAUUUAAAUUCAACCCAAAUACCACUACUUGGGCAGCAUAGUGUAAGGAAAUAAAAAUAUUUCUACUUUGCACACAUGAGGUCUUGAACACGAAACCUUAGGGUAAUUUGAAGCCUUACCACUAAAUUAGUAGGCUCAUCCUUGAAAUUAAUUGAACGAAAAUAUUACUUAUGUCAGAUGAUCAGGGAUAGAGGUUAAGACCAAAGAUGACAAAAAUUCAAAGGAAAGAUUUAAACCUAGAACCUCACACACACAAGCAUAACACCUAUCCACUGAACCAUAUUUACUCCAUUGACAUAAUUUUCACAAUAUUAACUAAAAAUUCAGAAUAUGGUUACUCUUGGUUUCACUUACCCAGUUUCUUCUAACCCAAUUUUUGUGAUGUGACAACUCUCCCCUCCUUAAAAGAAUUUCAUCCUCGAAAUUCUUGCCGUGACACCAUACACUUAACUACAAAAUCUAAAAUUCCCUAGUCCAAACCUACCACCAGGCUAUCAUUGUACAACUCUAAUCUCCAUUCAAGUCCGAUCCAAACAAUAUUUCAGAGGAAUUUCCUAUUCACUACCUCGGAUUACCUUAAUAAGCUUUCCACAGAAACAUCACUAAUGAUCCUGUAAUAGGCCCAAUUUGUCCGGGCCCGCAUGCAUAAACCAAAUAAAAGAAUAAAUAAAGGCCAACAAUUCCAAAGUCCAUUUACAUUUGUCCAAAAGACCCAAAUUACAUCAGCCCAAAUACUAGAACCUAGCCCAAAUACAAUUUGACCCAAAACAAGCCUUCAGAAACCCUAGUAGCAGCACACGACCCCUAGCGCCGCAGCGGCCAGAAUUUCCUCCGCGCGAGUUGCGCCUUCACACGCGUGUGCACCUCCGUCCAUUGAUCCAGGCUGGCCUCCAAAUCUGCAAACAAACAAAAACAACAGAAAAGGCAACAAAAAUACGAGAAAAAGGGGAUAACAGAUUGGAUUUUGGAGGCAUUUUAUUUUGAGUUUUUCUGUAAUUCUGGCUAUAAAAAGCCAAUACGAAUACUGUAAGAGGGACGGAAGGAAAUAAAAGAAAUACUAAAAAUACAGAGGAAUUAGAAGGUGAAUCGCGUCUUUUUUUUUAUCUAUUCUCUGUUUCUUUACUUUUGAUUGUGUUUUACAAACAAAAUUAGAAAAGGAGGAAGGGGUUUUACCUUUGAAUCUUCGCCGUUGAAGCCCACACUCGCUUCGCUCCAAUCGGGAGCCUGGCGAAGGGCUAAGACCCGAAGCGCCUUUGAACGGUAGGCAAGUGGCGAUUUAGGGCGAAUGAUGAAACCCUAGCAGAGGGUGUUCUGCUUUCUUUUUAUUUAUUUUUCCUGUUGCAAGAAUGGUUUUUAGGAAAAAAAUUGUUUUAAAUAACAGUGGUGAAACGGCGCCGUUUAGGUGGUCAUGACCCGCGCAGUGACCCGACCUAGAGGGGAGGAUCCGCACGUUCUGGCUGAAGGUGAAAUUUGCGCAAUUGGUCCCUCCCUUUUGUAACGCGCUUCAAUCAAAUCUGUUUUGUUUUUUUUAAAUUGGACCACAUAUUUAAUUUUUUGUUUCAAUUUGGCCCAUCGCUGCGCAGCAUUUUGGAAGGCGGGGAUAAUUUCCUUUUUGGUCUUCCACUGUUGUGCUCGCAUUCAAUUUAGUCCUGUCUUCAAAUUUAUUUCAAAUCCACCCCACUUUUUUUCUUUUUAAUUCAAGCUAGUCCAUUUUUAGUUAUUUUUAUUAUUAUUUUUUAUGAUAUUAUCAUUAUACCAUUAUUAUUAUUACAUUAUUUACUAUCAUUAUUACUAUUGUACUUUCUAUACAUAUACAUACGCAUAUUUUAUAUAUAAUAUAUUCAUAUUUUUAACAUAGAUAUAUUUUUUUGAGCUUUUAUAAAUAUGCAUAUAUUUGAUAUAUACAUUUUUUUUAUUUUCCUAAUUUUUAUAUACUUUAUAUUUUAUCUAAUACAUAUACGUUUUAUAAUACACUUUCCGCAUUUUAUAAUUUAAAAUACACAUACGUUUUUUAAUAUUUUUAUGUACAUGUUUUUUAAAAAUCAUUAUAAAUAUUUUUAUUAUUUACAUAUUCUAUUAUUUUAUAUACAUAUUGUACAUAUAUACGUAUUUAAAUAUAUACGAAUGCGAAUUUUCAUGAUUUACCAAUACACUUAUACAUUUUUAUUUUUUAAAUAUAUAUAUACAUAUAUAUACUUUUUAUUUUAUUUUCACGAUUUUCAAAUACAUACCUGCAUUUUUUAUUAGUUUUUGAUUGAUACGUUCUAUUCCAUCUUUAUAUGCAUCAUUGUAUAUGUGUGUUAAAUAUAUGUGUACACAUGUUUGCAAAUUUACUUAUUGUACUUGUAUAUAUAUAUUCUAUAAAUAUUUAUUCAUAUAUGUUUUAAAUUGAGGUAUUUGUUUCAUAUUGUACAUUAACUUUUUAACAUACCUUUUAGGAAAUUUAUAUUUUGGUUUCAUCGAAACAUCAAAAUCAUUUUCUCUUGAUUUAAAGGUUUUUUUUUGAAAUAAAAGCAAUAUUCAAAGUUUGGGAUUUUCGAGGAAAUUGAGCCCUAACGUAUUGGGUUCCGAUUUUCUUUGUUAAUCUUAAAUAGCUGAGAGUAUUCUUUAUUCAAAAUGCAUGAGUAUAAAACUUGUCAUCGAGAAUUCAAUAUGUUGUGUCCUAACGUAUUGGAUGUGACACGUUGAUUUCUCGAGAUAAAGAUUUCUUUUUUAAAAAAAUAAAAUGAUAAAGGAAAUAUUGAAUGUUUGGGAUUUUAGGAAAUUGUGCCCUAACGUAUUGGGCUGCGAUUUCUUCAUAAAUUUUAAACAAUUAAAUAUUUUCUUAAGUUUUAUUACAUGAGUUUUUUUGGACCAACUCGUCUUGAAAAGAAUAAAAUAUUGCGCCCUAACGCAUUGGGUGUGAUAUUUACCUUUUUCAAAAUGAGAAAGUCUUAAUAAAUAAUUUAAUUUAACUAAGGAUCAUAUUUAUUAACUCUCGACAUUAAGACACUAAUUAAUCAAUUUGGUACCAAAUUUUGGGCAUUACGAGGGUGCUAAUCCUUCCUCGUACGUAACUGACCCCCGAACCUGUUUUUCUAAAACUCAUAGACCAAAAUCAUUUUAGGUUAUCCAAUCACACCUCAAUAAAAGAUUGGUGGCGACUCCCAAUUUUUGUUUUUUUUUUAAGUGGAGAACUAAAUUUUUGUUUUUUUUCUAAAAAUAAAAAAAUGGUUUCGACAGCUUGGCGACUCCACUGAGGACCUUUUUAAAAAAAAGAGUCGAGCCACAAAGUUGAUUAAUUCUUCUCUUAUGGUCAAAAAUUUCAUUUUUUUAAAUUCAUGGUAUCCUGUUGCAUUCAUUAUUUCUUGCUUAAUGGAUUUAAGUAUUGUUCGCAUUACACAUUACAUGAGUGGAAUAAUUUUACCCUUUUAAGUGGGAGCGAGAAACUAGUCCUUCGUGAGGUUUUCACCUCCGUGCAGGGUAGUGGACCUCUUCCGGAAUACAUCCGUACCGUACCAAUGUCUUCGUGAGAUUUUCAUCUCCGUGCAGCCAUAGGGAAAUGUAUUCCCCUGAACUGAACUUGGUCCAUAUGAGCCUAUAAUGGGUGACGAUUGAGGAAUCUGCUAGUUCGGGUACCUUUACUUUAGAACCAAAUCGCAUAUAAUGAACCUUAGGAACUUGCCCUAGGUAGAACUAUGCCAAACCCCUAGAGGUAACCCGAGUAGAUACUUUAUUUAUUUGCUUUUACUUUGUACUAACUUGUUUUUUAUGUUGUUUUUAUUAUGAUUGCAUUGCAUUUGCAUCUUAAAAAAGAGGUGUUGAUUCACGUUCAGUUGCUAAAUAGAGAGCUUGUCAUAAGAAAAUGGGUUUCUUGAUAAAGUGGGUGACAAUAUGGUUGUUCAAAUAGGGUCCAAGAACACGUGAUAAAAGAAGGAUGAUAAUUUAAUAGAGGACUACACGACUAUGGCUCCGUUGCCCAAGGAUUUAAGAUGACAAAGAUUAUUUGAGAGCUGCUGAACCUUCUUAAAGAGAAGCCAACGAGUAUCACGAGGAUGAGCGAGAAAUAAGUUACGGCCUGAAUCGAGCAAAAAGGAGAUAGAAGAGACGCUUUUUGAAGAGUUAGUGAGAUUUAUCUUAACGUUCGAAUGAAGAAGAGGAUUGAAUAUCUCCGCCUAUGAGGGCAAAGCCGUAUAAAUAUCCAUUUAUGUAAAGAGAUUUAUUUUCUAGUAAAGUUUUCUAAAUGGAAUUGAAUCAGAAUCAACAUCUUUUUAUGCAUUCAUUACAUGCAUUCACAUUGCAUGACAUCAUAAACAUUAAAGUCUACUAAAAGAGCCUAAUCGAUUAAAAUCAUUCCUCAGUUAAUCUGGAAGCCAACCAGCCUACUAAACACCACUACGAUACUCGAUCAAAAACUAAGGACAUGGAUCAAAUGAUGGAAAGGCUAGAACAGGUCUAAAAGGAAAUGCAGGAGAAGCUUCAACAGCAAAUGAAUGAGCAGCAAAAAAUGAUAGACAAAAUGAUGAAAUCUCAAGGGAGUAUGAUGGCUCAGUUAACUCAAUGGUUGAACAAGGGAGCUGAUAAAGGAAAAGGCUCUGUGCUCAAUGUUGAAGAAGGUGACAAUGAGGGACCAGGCUUGACCCCUCAGCAUGGGCAGACCCAAGUAGAGGUAUAUCCACACAAAUCCUCUGUCACUAUCAAGCCUCAGCAGUUUCAAGUCAGUGCUAUAACACCAAUGAAUUUUCAAGCUAGAUCAGACCCUAACCCCAGAGAUGACCUUGUUAAUCCUGAUAUCCCUGACUUUGACGAAACAGCUGAAAAAGAGAAAAUGAAUGGUGAAUUGCCAAAACAGCUCAAAGAAAAGUAUAAAUGGCUGGAGGAAAAACUUAGAGCGAUGGGAAGUACUGAGGGCUACCAUGGAAUUGACGCUAAAGAAUUGAGCUUGGUUCCGGAUUUAGUACUCCCUUAUAAAUUCAAAAUGCCUGAGUUUGAGAAGUACAAUGGAACUAGUAGCCCCGAAGCUCAUAUUACCAUGUUUUGUAGGCGGAUGACUGGGUAUGUUAAUAAUGACCAACUGCUGAUACAUUGUUUCCAGGAUAGCCUCGCAGGGGCAGCAUCCAAGUGGUACAACCAACUGAGCCGUACCAAGAUUAAUUCAUGGAGAGAUUUAGCACAGGCAUAUAUAAAGCAGUACAAUCAUGUAACUGACAUGGUACCUGAUAGAAUCACUCUACAGAACAUGGAAAAGAAGCCUAGUGAAAGUUUUAGGCAGUACGCACAGAGUUGGAGAGAGGUUGCUGUCCAAGUCUAGCCAUCUCUUCUAGAAAGAGAAAUGACAAUGCUAUUCAUAAAUAUAUUGAAAGCUCCGUUCAUCACACAUAUGUUAGGGAGUGCAACAAAAAGCUUUUCUGACAUAAUCAUGAAUGGUGAAAUGAUUGAAAGCACCAUAAAGAGCGGAAAGAUUGAUGCUGGAGGAAAUAACAGAAGGAAAGCCUCAAAAGAAAAGGAAAAUGAGGUGAACAGCGUGAAUACGUACGGAAAAUCGAUUGCUAAUCAACAGGAUUCAUCAAGGCAAGAAUUAGGUGUGAAGCCAGGUACUGAAAAGCUCCAGUUCACGCCUAUUCCAAUGUCGUACAAGGAGCUGUAUCAAAGCUUAUUCAAUGCGCAUGUUGUUUCUCCUUUACAUGUGAAGCCUCCAUAGCCCCCGUAUCCCAAAUGGUAUGAUGCAAGUGCACAAUGUGAUUAUCAUGUAGGAAUUACGGGGCAUUCUAUAGAAAAUUGCAUUACCUUUGAAAAAGUGGUUGAAAGGCUUAUCAGUAUGGGCGUUGUCAAAUUUGGCGAUUCAUCUAGUGUAGAAAAUCUGCUACCCAAUCACAUUUGAUAAUGGGGGUGAAUGAGAUGUAUGAAGAAAUGUUGAGAGGCGUUCACAUUAAUGCCAUUUUUGAAGACACAAUUUACAAGGGUCCUUGGAGAUAUUCGCCCUUAUCAACUUAGAGGUGUCCUAAGUAAUUGAACUGCGGAAGAAAUCUCUGUAGUUUUUAGAGCUUAUUUAGAGUAAUGUUCAGAACAAUUUUGUUGUUUUUAGCCUAAAAAUGAUAAAAAUUCCUUUGCGAAAUAGGCUCAUGUCUAAACGUCAUUAUUCUAAUAAAAUACAUCUUUGCAUUCAUUUUUGAGCCAAUAUUUUUUCAUUCUUUUUGAAAUAAUUAUUCUUUCAUUCUUUUGGAUUUUCUUCCACAUCAUUCUUUCAUUCAUAAUUAUAUUGUACAAAUAAUUAUUCGUAAAUUCACACAUUCUUUUUAUAUAUUCUUUUGCGCUUACUAUGGGUCCCCAAAUAUCAAUAACAUGAGUGACGCUGCUACUGACUCAGAAUCUUCUUCUGAGCGAGACAUGUGUUUAGAGGGAUCUCAUGACUUUGAAGAUGACAUAGAUCGUAGCCUAUUUCUGUACCUGUUAAGGAUGGUAGAACAAGUCGAGAAACGGAUCUUACCCUACAAAGAAUCACUGGGAUACAUAACUUCUCUUUAUGUGGGGCAUGAAGGUUAUUUGGUCAAUCUAGCCAAAAGAGUCUGACGAUCAUCGAUUCAUCUUUGUGGUCAUCAAUUACUUUACUAAAUGGGUGGAAGCUGCUUCAUAUGUCAAUGUCACAAAGUCGACAGUUAGCAAAUUCGUGAAGAAUCAGUAUGGAACGCCAAAAGGAUCACAUCUGACAAUGUACUAAAUUUGAACAACAGCACAAUAUCAAAAGUUUGCAAUCUGUUCAUGAUUAAUGCCAUAUCGCCAAAAAAAAAUCUAUACCGGGGCAAAGUUUUUCUCUUGGGUCCAUCGCGGUUUUGUCUAUUAAAGAUAAGAUUCUUUCUCUCUGAGUUUUUGGAUCCAAUUCCGAUUGAAGAUGAAUGUUCAAAGUUAUCCAUCAUAAUCAAAUGCGCCAAAAGCAAAUGAUGCGAGCUCACAAAAAGGUCCGCUUUAGAGAAUUCCUCGAGAGGGACCUGGUAUUGAAGAAGACCCUUCCCAUGCAAAAAGAACUUUAUCCCAAGCUGGGAAGGACCUUAUGUAGAAGGCCUUAUUUAGAAAAGUGUCAAUUUUGAUCAGAAGGGAUAACAAGGGCAUGCCUAAUCCUAUGAGUUCAGAUUAAAUCAAAAAAUAUUUCAAAAUAAUAGCAAAGAAAAAGAAAAAAACAAAGAAAAAGAAAAAAGGAGAGGACAAGGUGAAAAUCUGCAAAAGACGCCUUGAGACCAAAGGUGGAUUUGAGUUAAAAACCCGAAAAGGGCGGCUCAAAUAUUGAUCAGAAUGGGGCAUGAAGUGAUGAGAGCAACUUAAAUUUUGAUCAGAUUGGGGCAUAUGAUGAUAUUGCUAUACUUGAACCAAUAGGAAAGGGUAGGCGACAUCUUGGGGCAUCGACAAAGCGCUGUAGAUCUCCUAAACUCAUGUCAAACUCAGAAUGGUCUUCAAAAAAUUUGUACAGAGAAGCUCAAGCUACGAUAUCUGGGGCACCCAAUUUUCAAACUAUUUAUGUUGAAUUUGUUGUUAUGGGAAUACUUCAUUCUUUUCCAAGAUACACAUUCCCAAUCAAUUUCUUUGUUAUCCUUCUUUACUAUUUUUGAUAAUUUAUUCCUUUUGAGCUAUGCUCAGAACUAACUUUAUUCUUAUCCAUUGUUAUGACAUUUUUGCAAGCAUGUUGCAUUGGAAUAAUGAUUAAUGGACUAAUAAAACUUCCACAAGGGAGGUUUUGCAUAUUACUCUAGAAGUUUCUAAAUAAUACAGGAACCUGAAACAGGACUAUUGUUUAGAAAGCACCAAGUUUAAAGGUUGGAAAUCUGAGAAGGAAGAGUCUAAAUUAAGACUUUCUCUUGGGAUUUUAUUGUCAAAAACAUUGAUUGAACAACAUGACAAGAUGUUAGUUUGGUGACAAAGCUUAAAUGAAGAAGCAAGUAAUGAUCACCAGACAAUAGGAAGAGGUUACCUCAGAGAAGAGAGUCUUUAUUUGAGCAUGAGUCUUUGGUACAACGCCUUGGGAAUGGUGUAAAGGACCAGAAAGAUUUAGAUCCUGUAUCCUUGAAUUGUUAUAGGAAAUGAUUAAGGAAAAGCCACAUAUUUUUACCAUUGGAUUACAGUGGGAGAAUGAUGGUACAAAUUUUGCACCCCAAUGGAUUAAACUUGGAGGUUCACAGUGAGGGGCAACCUAGCUAAAUGUUUCUUCAGAAAAGCCAGCCAAGUAAGAAGGUGUUGUAGCACGUCAGUCACAAAGCCUUAAUAAACUUCGAGUAAUGACAACCUAAGCGGGAUCAUUCUCGAAAAAAAUAAAAUUUUGCAUUCAUGCAAACACCAUUCACACAUGUCUAGUUAGGAGUAUUUGAUGCUUUUUAUCAUGCCAUCCUAAUCAUUAGGCAUAAUUAGGUUCAUUAUACAGGUCAUGUUCCCCAAAGAACAAAUCAGUGAAAAUAGCAGAUCUUACCUUCCUGCAUCGACAGCAAAGUAGAUCAAAAACAAAGCUUUGCCUUCCUCAGUUGUAGUGGAGCAGGUUAAAGAUAGCAGAUCUUGCCUUCCUGCAUUGACAGUGGAGUAGAUCGAAGAUGGAGGAUUUUACCUCCCUGUGGUUAUAGUGGAGUACAUUGAAGCCAGUAAUUCUACUUCCCUGGGAAACAGUAGAAUAGAUUGAAGAUUUCAGAUCUUAUCUCCCUAAGCAGUAGUGGAGCAGAUCGAAGAUGGUGGAUUUUACCUCCCUAUGGUUACAGCGGAGUACAUUGAAGCCAGUAAUUCUAUUUCCCUGGGCAACAGUGGAAUAGAUUGAAGAUUUCAGAUCUUAUCUCCCUAAGCAGUAGUGGAGCAGAUCGAAGAUGGUGGAUUUUAGCUCCCUGUGGUUACAGUGGAGUACAUUAAAGCCAGUAAUUCUACUUCCCUGGGCAACAGUGUAAUAGAUUGAAGAUUUCAGAUCUUAUCUCCCUAAGUAGUAGUGGAGCAGAUCGAAGAUGGCAGAUUUUACCUCCCUGUGGUUACAGUGGAGUACAUUGAAGCCAGUAAUUCUACUUCCCUGGGCAAGAGUGGAAUAGAUUGAAGAUUUCAGAUCUUAUCUCCCUAAACAGUAGCAGAGCAGAUCGAAGAUGGCAGAUUUUACCUCCCUGUGGUUACAGUGGAGUACAUUGAAGCCAGUAAUUCUACUUCCCUGGGCAACAGUGGAAUAGAUUGAAGAUUUCAGAUCUUAUCUCCCUAAGCAGUAGCGGAGCAGAUCGAAGAUGGCAGAUUUUACCUCCCUGUGGUUACACUGGAGUACAUUGAAGCCAGUAAUUCUACUUCCUUGGGCAACAGUGGAAUAGAUUGAAGAUUUCAGAUCUUAUCUCCCUAAGCAGUAGCGGAGUAGAUCAAAGAUGGUAGAUUUUACCUCCCUGUGGUUAUAGUGGAGUACAUUAAAGCCAGUAAUUCUACUUCCCUGGACAAUAGUGGAAUAGAUUGAAGAUUUCAGAUCUUAUCUCCCAAGAAAUAGCGGAGCAGAUCAAAGAUGGUAGAUUUUACCUCCCUGUGGUUACAGCGGAGUACAUAGAAGCCAGUAAUUCUACUUCACUGGGCAAUAGUGGAAUAGAUUGAAGAUUGUGAAUCCUAUCUCCCUUGUCAAUAGUGGAAUAGGUUGAAGAUUGAGAAUCCUAUCUCCCUGGUCAGCAGUGGAAUAGGUUGAAAGUAAACAAAUCCUAUCUCCCUAAAGUUAUAGUGGAGCGGAUUAAAAUGAUGGAUCUUAUCUCUUUGAAAUUACAGUAGAGCAGAUCGCAUCAAAUCCAUCUUUAUGCUGCAGUAGAUCAAGUUGAAGCUAUAAGUCUUAUCUCCCUGAAUUUGCAGUGGAGCAGAUUAAAAAUAGCAAAUUUUGAGAAACUACAAUGUACAAAUCCUAUCUCCUUGACAUUGCAGUGGAGUAGAAGAUGCAAUAGGAGAGAAUGAGGCUACUUGAAGAAGAAGAGUACCAAGAUCCAGCACAACCGGGCAAAAUUGAGCAUUUUUAAGUCUUUGCUCUGUUCCCACUAUGCGACAACGAGCAAAGAGGGGCAGCUGUAAUAGGCCCAAAUUGCCCGGGCCCGCAUGUAUAAACCAAAUAAAAUAAUAAAUAAAGGCCAACAAUUCCAAAGUCCAUUUACAUUUGUCCAAAAGACCCAAAUUACAUCAGCCCAAAUACAAUGUAACCCAAAACAAGCCUUCAGAAACCCUAGUAGCAGCACACGACCCCUAGCGCCGCAGCGGCCAGAAUUUCCUCUGCGGGAGUUGGCCUUCACGCGCGUGUGCACCUCCGUCCGUUGCUCCAGGCUGGCCUCCAAAUCUGCAAACAAACAGAAACAGCAGAAAAAGGCAACAAAAAUACGAGAAAAGGGGGAUAACAGAUUGGAUUUUGGAGGCAUUUUAUUUUGAUUUUUUCUGUAAUUCUGGCUAUAAAAAGCCAAUACGAAUAUUGUAAGAGGGACCGAAGGAAAUAAAAGAAAUACUGAAAAUACAGAGGAAUUGGAAGGUGAAUCGCGUCUUUUUUUGAUCUAAUCUCUGUUUCUUUACUUUUGAUUAUGUUUUACAAACAAAAUUAGAAAAUGAGGAAGGGGUUUUACCUUUGAAGCUUCGCCGUUGAAGCCCACACUCGCUUCGCUCCAAUUAGGAGCCUGGUGAAGGGCUGAGACCCGAAGAGCCUUUGAACGGCAGGCAAGUGGCGAUUUAGGGCGAAUAAUGAAACCCUAGCAGAGGGUGUUCUGCUUUCUUUUUAUUUUUAUUUCCUGCUGCAAAAAUGGUUCUUAGGAAGAAAAUCGUUUUAAAUAACAGUGGUGAAACGGCGCCGUUUAGGUGGUCAUGACCCGCGCGGUGACCUGACCCGGAGGGGAGGAUCCGCGCGUUCUGGCUGAAGGGGAAAUUUGCGCAAUUGGUCCCUCCCUUUUGUAACGCGCUUCAAUCAAACCUGUUUUGUUUUUUUUAAAUUGGACCGCAUAUUUAAUUUUUUGUUUCAAUUUGGCCCAUCGCUGCACAGCAUUUUGGAAGGCGGGGAUAAUUUCCUUUUGGUCCUCCACUGUUGUGCUCGCAUUCAAUUUAGUCCUGUCUUCAAAUUUAUUUCAAAUCCGCCCCACUUUUUUCGUUUUAAUUCAAUUUAGUCCAUUUUUAGUUAUUUUUAUUAUUAUUUUUUUAUGAUAUUGUCAUUAUACCAUUAUUAUUAUUACAUUAUUUACUAUCAUUAUUACUAUUGUACUUUCUAUACAUAUACAUACGCAUAUUUUAUAUAUAAUAUAUUCAUAUUUUUAACAUAGAUAUAUUUUUUUGAGCUUUUAUAAAUAUGCAUAUAUUUUAUAUAUACAUAUUUUUUUUAUUUUCCUAAUUUUUAUAUACUUUAUAUUUUAUCUAAUACAUAUACGUUUUAUAAUACACUUUCCGCAUUUUAUAAUUUAAAAUACACAUACGUUUUUUAAUAUUUUUAUGUACAUGUUUUUUAAAAAUCAUUAUAAAUAUUUUUAUUAUUUACAUAUUCUAUUAUUUUAUAUACAUAUUGUACAUAUAUACGUAUUUAAAUAUAUACGAAUGCAAAUUUUCAUGAUUUACCAAUACACUUAUACAUUUUUAUUUUUUAAAUAUAUAUAUACAUAUAUAUACUUUUUAUUUUAUUUUCACGAUUUUCAAAUACAUACCUGCAUUUUUUAUUAGUUUUUGAUUGAUAUGUUCCAUUCCAUCUUUAUAUGCAUCAUUGUAUAUGUGUGUUAAAUAUAUGUGUACACAUGUAUGCAAAUUUACUUACUGUACUUGUAUAUGUAUAUUCUGUAAAUAUUUAUUCAUAUAUGUUUUAAAUUGAGGUAUUUGUUUCAUAUUGUACAUUAACUUUUUAACAUACCUUUUAGGAAAUUUAUAUUUUGGUUUCAUCGAAACAUCAAAAUCAUUUAUCUUGAUUUAAAGGUUUUUUUUGAAAUAAAAGCAAUAUUCAAAGUUUGGGAUUUUCGAGGAAAUUGAGCCCUAACGUAUUGGGUUCCGAUUUUCUUUGUUAAUCUUAAAUAGCUGAGAGUAUUCUUUAUUCAAAAUGCAUGAGUAUAAAACUUGUCAUCGGGAAUUCAAUAUGUUGUGUCCUAACGUAUUGGAUGUGACACGUUGAUUUCUCGAGAUAAAGAUUUCUUUUUAAAAAAAAUAAAAUGAUAAAGGAAAUAUUGAAUGUUUGGGAUUUUAGGAAAUUGUGCCCUAACGUAUUGGGCCGCGAUUUCUUCAUAAAUUUUAAAAAAUUAAAUAUUUUCUUAAGUUUUAUUACACAAGUUUUUUUGGACCAACUCGUCUUGAAAAUAAUAAAAUAUUGUGCCCUAACGCAUUGGGUGUGAUAUUUUCCUUUUUCAAAAUGAGAAAGUCUUAAUAAAUAAUUUAAUUUAACUAAGGAUCAUAUUUAUUAACUCUCGACAUUAAGACACUAAUUAAUCAAUUUGGUAUCAAAUUUUGGGCAUUACGAGGGUGCUAAUCCUUCCUCGUACGUAACUGACUCCCAAACCUAUUUUUCUAAAACUCGUAGUCCAAAAUCAAUUUAGGUGAUCCAAUCACACCUCAAUAAAAGAUUGGUGGCGACUCCCAAUUUUUGUUUUUUUAAGUCGACAACUAAAUUUUUAUUUUUUUCCAAAAAAAAAAAUUGUUUAAACAAAUCCUUUACCCCAGACUCUAAAAAACAUCACUUACCAGAAAAUACUGGUACAAACAAUUCUUAUCAAUGCACAGUACAUUUGGAACAUAUCAUAAAAGUACCUGUAUCAUUGUCAGAUGCAUCACGGCUCGCUUGAUACCUAGUUGCAUAUCCCCAUCUCGGAUUUUGUUUCUAUGCCGAAGCUUGUACCUAACUAAAAUAGUGUCGUGAGUAAUCCCAAACUCGAUACUCAACAGACCCACAUAUGAAACACGCUCCCAUUUUCCUCCAACAAUCGUCCGAAUGGUGCCUAUCACAGUAAGUACAAAUCAGAACCUCAACCGCAUUCACAAUUGCCUCACCCCGUUGAAGCCUGUCUAUUUUAGCCCGUUUCCUUGGUCAUGGAUUCAAGUAAAUAGAACCAUCACUCAUCUUAUUUCGCACUUUAUUCAUUACUUAUUCUCUCCCUCUGAGCAAUUACUCUCUACCGCUAACUUGACUUGAUACGCUUGAGGUCACUCAAUCACAGACUCUUGUCCCAUAUAUCCAAAUUGAGUUCCAUCGACCCUUUGCAAAUCUCUAAACACCUCUUGGAACACUGAAACAUCCCCUACUUCUAAACUGCCCUCAGAUUUGGGCGUCAUAGUAAACUUAUUUAUUUUCAAAUUGGGCUUACUGCCCUGAGAAGAGAACUUGGAUAGAGUCACCCGGCUAUGUCCACCACGCCCUCGCACAUCAUGACCUCGAGUACUUAUUAUACUAAUCUAGAGUUUGAGAAAUUUUAUGAAUUAGUUUAGGUUUAUUAAAAAUCAUAAGUCUAGAGUUUUAUCAAAGUUUCUUACAUAAUUACCAUAGUCUUUAGCUAGAGUAGAGUAAUCCUAGCACUAAAGUUUUGCUAGUUUGUCUAGUAUAGCUAAAGUAAAGAUACUUACAGGAUUGACGAUGUAGUUUUGGAUUCUCUUUUUAUAGAAUCAAAUAUAAAAAUAAUCAAAAUCUAGAUACCCAUUUUAGAAACCCAAAGUAUCAAAAUUAAUCAGAAAUUCAAUUUAUUUAAAGCAUAUUUAAUGGAGAUUUUUGAACCCAAAAAUCACAGCUCGAGUUUUGUUACCUUGCUCUGAUACCAGUAAAUGUAACAUCCCAAACUUGGCCUAGACGUUAUGGCCAAAUCUGGAAGGUUACAUCUGUACGAAAAAAAUUAUUUUUCCAAAGUGUGUUUUGUUACGAAAUUGAAAACCAAAGUUUAUGUAAGUUCGUCAUGAUUCCCCGAUAGGAAAAUUUGUAAAUUGUCAAAACGUAAAUGUGAACAUAUUAAUUAUUAACUUAAAAAAAACCUAGCCUUAUACAAUCAAAAUGCUAAAAUCAUUUGCUUUGUAAAACUUGUAAUUUUGACUAAAAUUUUUGCAACGACAAUUCCAAACUAAUAUUCAUAAAUUGUAAUUUCGUCAAGUAAAAAAGUUUUAUUUAGCUGAUUGGGCAUAUUUUAAAUUUACGUUAUUAAAUUUUGUAAAAUCUCAAUUCAUAUUUUUGUGGCAAAAAAAUCUUGGCUCGUAUAAUUUUGAAAACUCAACAUUGAUUGUUGAGUAACACAAAACAUACUGAACAAAAAACUUUAACUAAGCCAAAGAAACCCAAAGCAAAAUUAAAUUUGAGAAAUUAAACCAAAACCAAAAGUCCAGUAAAUCCAUUUAUUAACCAGAGUAAACCAUUUAAUUAGAGAAUCAAUUCGAGCUUCCGCACACUGCCCGAUUCUAACUUAUCGAUUAUCUAAAACAUCAGAAAUAAAACAAAUGGGUGAGCUAUAAAGCUUAGUGCAUAACUAAAACUCAAGCCGAGAUCACACACAAUACAAUAUACAAAUCAUAAAAUCAUAGGAAAUUUCAUAACAAUCAGUCAAACAGAAUUGAGCAUACAUGAUUAUGCCAAUGCGGUAGUUUUCAAAAAAUCAUAAUGCAAAUUUUUUCAGAAAACAUCCUACCCAACACCACUACACACCCGAAUAUAGUUCCCCAGAACUCGUCCAUCUAAAAACACACCAAUUAAGUCAUCUCAGGUUGCCCGAAAACGAUGACCUACCACCUCGAGUUAGUCGGCAAUGAUGACUUAUCAAUAUGCAGUUAAACUACCAUAUCAUAUAUUUGUGGUCAAGUGAUUGUAUUGCGGCUUAGCUGCCAGAUCAAAGGUUCCUAGUGUAGUCCCUAACAUUAUCAGGUGUUCUCGGCUCAGUCCUUUGGACGUUAAACAAAUAGAUUUGGAUAUCCAAUUAAUCAUAAAUUGCCAGGUGGUAUAUGCUGAAGUCACGAUAACAUCAUCAUCAAGAAAAAGCCAAAAAAAGCUUUAAAAAAUAUCAUAAAAUUCAAAUAAACUUAUAUAAAAUUAACUACAUUAUAAAUAUAUAAUUGUUCAAAAAAAUAAAAAUUCUUAUUUUUUUUUAAAUUUGUAAAAAAUAAUAAAAUUAUUAGAAAUUGUUAAAUAUUGUAAAACCAUUAUAAAAAUUAUUAGAAUCAUAAAAGACGGUAAAAAAUAAAAAGUUAAAAUACUAGUAAAAAUUGUCUAACUUGAAAUAAAGUAUACAUUUGGUAAUCAAAUUUAAAAUAUGGAAAAUUUGAUAUUAAAAAUGUAUAUAGUAAUACAAUCAAUUUUUAUAAAAAAAUAUUUUAAAAUAUUUUAAUAAAAAUCGAAUAAAUUUUAUAUCAAUUUUUUAAUAUUUUAAAAUACAUCAAUUUUUAGUACUUUACCAACGUUACUGGCAGCAAGUUUUUUUGACUCGAGUCCUUAUUUUUUGUCUUAAGUAGCUUCCUGCAUCUACCAUUUUGCACAUGGUUUUUCUAUUUUAUACCAAAGCUCUUUAGAAUAGUUAAACAUUCGACAAUAGUUCUUAAGAUAUUAGUUUAGAGACAAAUAAUUAUCUUGAGAUAGUAAAAAAAAUGAAAUAAUUAAAUAUAUUAUUUACUAGAAAUAAUAUUAUUUUUCAUUAUUUAAAUUAUUUGAGAAAAAAUUUAUUCAAGUUUAUCACGUAAAAGAUCUACCAAUUAUAAAUUCUGAUUAGUUGAACCAUAAGACAAUUGUUCUAGGUAGUAUCCUUCCAAGAGACAAUUAUCACAUGUUUAAACUCUAGUCAAUGUGAUUUAUAAAAUUUUAAAAAUAUUAAAAUAUCUAAUAUAUUUUUGAAAUUUAUGUAAUUUUUUAUAUUUUACAUAGUUUUUUUUGUAUUUUUUAAUUUUAGAUUUUUUCUAUUUUUAAAUAAUUUUGAUAAUUUUGUAAUUUUUCUUUUAUAAUUUUUGUCAUUUUUGAAGAUUUUUAAGGGUUUUUGUUGAUAAUGUCAUUAUGAUAUCAUCGUACGACAUGUGGUAGUAUAUGAUUGGUUGAAUAUCCCAAUGAAUUUUUUAUUGUCCAAUGAACUAAACUGAAAAUGUUUAAUAACAUUAGGGGCUGAAGUGGAUAAAAAUAUUUUAAAGACUAAAGUUAAAAAAGUGAUAUACUUGAGGGACACAGGAUCAACAUUUUCUAAAAGAUGGAAGUGUUUUUCAAUUUUUAAGGGAAUAGAAUUUUUUUGAGUGAAUAUAGAUUUGUGAGGGAGUAGUAAUAUUAUUAUUAGAGACAAGGCAUUUGAUUUUUAUAUAACUUUUUUAAUUAAGUCAAUAUCACUCAUUGAGUAAAACCCAACAUAUUAAGCACAUUAUUAUACUAAUUUAGAUUAAUAGGAAUGAUCAAAUUUACAAUUAAGGAUUAUAAAUUUAUUUAAUUCCAAUCUUCUACCUUUUUUUUAAGUUAUAAGAAUGGUUUUGCCUUAUAUUUUCUCCAAAUUGAGAUUUAAUUUAUAAUUUUAAUUUUGAUAUAAUUUAGUUUCUCAAUUUUUAUAAUACAAUUAAUUAGUUUAAAUACUUUAUUUUAAUCAAAAUGAUUAUAUUAAUUUUAAAGCAUUGUUAUCACUAUUAAAAUUCUUUACUAACAAUUAUUUAAAAUUAAGGUCUAUUGCUUUUGUUUUAGCUUACAUAUAGAUGUUUACAAUAUAAAAUUCUUUGUAAUUUUCAAUACAUAUUGCUUAAAUAAAUAGAAAAAGGAGUUUUAAUAAUGCACAACCAAAUAAUUUUUAUUGAUGUUAUAUUAUUUUGAUUUCUUAGACCUGUAUAUAGGGAAAAUAAAGUACUAUUGCCAUUUAAUCACUUUAAAACAAUUUUAAUGGGCUCUAGUCAUGCAAGAUUACCAUUAAAUUGAAUACUCAUAUAGAAGGAUUUAAUAUUUUUGUUUCUCAAAUCACAACUAAUAGUUAUUCAUAAUUUCUUAUUCAGUGUCAUUUUUAAGAUUGAUUAGAUGACAAAUUUUCAUGCCAAAGUUUUAUUUUUAUUUGAUUUAAAGUUUUACAAUAUUUAAAAAAUUAUAUAUUUUGUAAAUUUGAUAUUCAAUCAAUUUUAGAUGAUUUCAACCCAAGGCCUGAGCUAAGAAUAGUUUUAGUUUGGAGUACAAUAUAUAUACUAAAAGAUGCAAUUUUUACAAAUAACUUACAAAUCUAUGAUUAAAUCAAAUACUGGUAUGAAAUGGUUUAAUUAUUUGAUCAUAUUUUUCCAUGCUAAAAUUUUAUUUUUAUUUGAUUUAAAAUUUUACAAACUUUAUAUUGUGAAUUUGGUGUGCAAUGAAUAUGUGUACUAAAAGAUGUAAUUUUACAGGUAAUUUAUCACCCAUCACCAGUGCUGCAAAGCUUGAGAUUCUUUUAUUGUGGGGAAAUAAACUUAGCGGAAACAUUCCCAACUCUAUCUCCAAUGCUUCCAUGCUUAAGAAACUAGACUUGGCAGAUAAUUUAUUCUGUGGCCACAUCCCUAAAACGCUUGACAACUUAAGACACCUUGAAUGGUUCCAAAUUUCAAAUAAUAAUUUGAUCAGAGGACCUGCUACUGAUCAUGAGUGGACCUUUCUUUCUUCUUUGGCAAAUUGCAAGCAUUUGAGAAUAAUAGAUGUUUCAAGAAAUCCAUUGAGUGACGUUCUUCCAACUUAUAUCGGGAACUUUUCAAAAUCCCUUCAAUACUUUUAUGCCUCAAUUGUGAGAUUACAGACAAUAUUCCUAUGUAAAUAGGUAGCUUAAGCAACCUAUUGCUUUUACAACUUGGCUAUAAUAAAUUAAGCGGAUUUAUUCCAACACCAGUAGGAGGACUGCGAAUUUGCAAGGCUUACAACUUUCCUCUAAUAAAUUAGAGGGGCCUAUAUCAGAAAGCCUUUGUGGUUUGGAGAGAUUAUACUACUUGUAUUUAGGGCUGAUGGAUCCAUACCGUCUUGUUUGGGUAAUAUUUCUUCUUUGAGAUAUCUUUACUUAGAUUCCAACACACUGAGUUCUACAAUACCCUCAACUUUGUGGAAUCUUAAAGAUAUCUUAGAAAUAGAUUUAUCAUCAAACCAUCUUUACAAUUCACAUGCCAUUGAUGUUGGAGAUUUCAAAAGUCUACUAAAACUAAAUUUAUCAAGAAAUUUUAUCACUGGCGAUAUCUUAUCCACAUAUAGGGGUCUUCAAACUUUGAUUUCAAUAGAUUUAUUAAAUAAAAUACUACAUGGUCAUAUCCCUAGAUCAUUAGGUGGUUUGAUUAGUUUGGAAUUCUUGAAUUUAUGCAAUAACAAUCUCUCUGGAGCCAUUCCCAAAUCUUUGGAAAAGCUUUUAGAUCUAAAGUAUUUUAUUGUGUCUUUCAAUAGACUUGAAAGGGAAAUUCCCACCGAAGGAUGUUUUUCAAACUUUUCUAGCACAUCAUUCAUGAAGAAUUUUGCACUUUGUGGUCCACCUAGAUUGCUAGUCCCACCUUGAAAAAAUGACAUCCAAGAAAACUCCCAAAUGAAUAUAUUGCAUGCUUUAAGGUAUGGUUUACCAACAAUUGGUAUUGUCGCAGUGCUAAUACUCUUAACUAUUAUGUAUAGAAGAUGCCAAAGUAGGAGUACAACUCUACCAAUUCAGGAUGAUUUGUUGUCUUUGAAAACGUUGAGAAGAAUUUCACAUGCUGAACUUUCACAAGCAACUAAUGGAUUUGAGGAAAACAAUAUGCUUGGUUCAAGGAGUUUUGGAUAUGUAUAUAAAGAGAGAUUUUCAGAUGGAAUGGAAGUUGCAAUAAAAGUUUUCAAUUUGCAAACAGAAGAAGCAUUUAGGAGUUUUUACAUUGAUUGUGAUGCUAUGCGUAAUAUAGAUCAUCGUAAUAUUGUGAAGGUCACUACUUGCUGCUCAAGUGUUGACUUCAAAGCCUUGGUGCUUGAUUACAUGUCUAAUGGAAAUAUUGAGAAAUGGUUAUAUUAUUAAAACUAUUUCCUUGAUAUCAUACAAAGGGUUGACAUAAUGAUAGACGUUGCGGCAGCUAUAGAACAUCUCCACAACGGGCAUCCAACACCUAUAAUUCAUUGUGACUUAAAACCAAGCAAUAUUUUACUAGAUGAAGACAUAGUUGCACAUGUGGGAGAUUUUGGCGUUGCCAAAUUGUUGGGAGAAUGUGAUGUAAUGAAGCAGACCAUGACUCUUGCAACAAUCGGGUAUAUGGCACUAGGUGAAUUCUUUUAUUUUUGUAUGAUUAUUUUUCUAAUAUGCAUUUUAUAUUUUGUUUCAUGUGUAUGUGGAUAUAUAUUUGAAUAAUCAUUUUAGAAAUAACUAAAGAUUAAUGAUGCACUAAUUUUACUUGAAAUGCAAAAUUUGGAUCAACGGGAAUUGUUUCUAUAAAAUGUGACGUCUAUAGUUAUGAGAUUGUCCUUAUACAAACUUUCACAAAGAAAAAGUCAACUGAUAAUCUUUUUGCUGAAGAAGUGACUAUAAAGCAUUGGAUGGAAAGUUCAUUGCCAAAGGAGCAUGAAAAUCCCCAAAACCUAAAUUCUUUCCUUCUAGCAAUGAAGAGAUGGUGAGGGGAAGGGGACAAAAUCACGUCAAACGAAAAGAAAAAGAAAAGAAAAAGAACAAAAUUAAAUUUGACGUGAAAAUUGUUUUAAUACUUUUAAUUUGAGUUGGAAAAGGUUAAUGACGUGGCAUAAAAUAAUUGGAUAGGACCAUAUUUGAGGUAGUGGGAAAGGUCCAUGAAACAAAUUUUCUAUGUUAUCAAAUAUAUGAAUGAUAGUUAUUGGGAUCAAACUAAUGAUUUUGAGGAUGAUAAUGGUUAAUUUGGUGCUGAGGGUGGAAAAGAAACAAAUAAUUCAUUAUAUGUAAUAUAAUUAUGCAAUUCAAGUAAUAUAUAGUAAGUUUCAUACAAGGUUCAAAGGCAAUUAAAUGACUUGUAAGUUUGUUGAAUUUCUUUAAAACGCCCAAAGGCAAUUGAACAUUUACAAAAUAGUCUCUAAAUACUAUAGACACAAAUCAAAUCCAUGGGAGCAUUACAGUUGGUUAAAUUGAUUAAAUUGAGUAUUGGCAGAAAUUCCAUCAUAGGAAAUAUUGGCAAAAUCGUGUAUUGAAUUAGAAAAACAACAUAAUCCAUGAAACAUAGAUAGCCCAAUACAAAUGUCAUCGAGACAAAAAGUCUUUUUGUUUUAUAGCACAUGAUAGUAAAGCAUGCGAAGUUUCAUUUUCUUAUUGGCCUUCUUUAGUUUUCCUUGAUCAUCAACCACUAGCCAAAAACACAAUUAGAUUAGAUUAUAAAUGAAAUAUUCAAUUAUGAUAAAAUUAAAUAGAAAACGCCCUAAAUAACUCUAAAUAAAUGAAAAGUAGCAAAUUACCUGGUGAGACAAACUAGCUCAAUUAAAACCAUUGUGUUAGACUUGUCUAUGCAUUAAACAAUCUAAAAGGAAAUGAAGAAAAAGACUCAGAAAACACUUGAAAAUUGACAAAAUUUAUAUUCCAUUGACUGGUUAAACUAUGAUCACCCAUAACAGACCUUGUAUUUGAGUUUUUGUUGAGGGAGAUCAAGUCCUUCAAAAUAUGUCUUCUGAGUGCUGUUUGCUAGGUAAUCGCUGCUACCCUUAACAACUAAAGAUAUUAAUGUCCCCAUGUCAAGAUUUUAUCUCAGCCUUUACGGAAUAAUCAUGGAGAUUACAAGUGCAAGGAUUCAAACCACCAACCAAUGCAUAUGUAGCAUUUACCUUGGAUCCAUCUCCAUGAACCCACAAGGUUCUUCGUGGAAUCAAGAGACAAAACCCCAACACAAGAAUAAUACCAUCUAUUGAGGGUCCGUUAACACAACAAAUGAAAUUCAUACAUUUUUUUAAUCAAAGUAAAUAUCAUAUAUAAUUGGGGGAAAGCAACAAUAAAAUCCUUAGCAAAAGAUUAAAACACAGUUAUAUCGUAAAUGACAUAAGAAACCAAGAAAAUCCAAUCUAACAAAGAAAAUAACUUGAUACUCCAAAGCUACCAUAUACCGUAAUUCAUGGGAAGGUCUGAUGCUUAGUUUAUUGGUUUCCAUCUUGAUUUUGCAAAAGAUGUUUGAAUUCUGAAGAGAGCAAAUGAUUGAGCGAAAGAAAAAAAAAUAAGAAAAAAAAAUGAUUGAGCAAAUGAUUUUGCAGUCUCCUCGGUAGUGGUAUAAAAAUUUUGACUCCUUCAUGUUGAGUACUAUUUUUUCUCGAAUUAAGUAUGACAGUUAUGUUUACCUAUAAUGUCUUGAUGGUGGUUCUUUUAUAUAUUUGUUUCUUUAUGUUGAUGAUAUGUUAAUUGCAACUAAAAAUCCAUUUGAAAUUGAUCGUUUUAGAUCAUGCUUAGCUCUAAGUUCGAUAUAAAGGAUUUACGUGCAGCAAAGAAAAUUUUGGGGAUGGAAAAUUUGAGAGAUAGACAUUUUGGGAAAUUAUUUUUAUCGCAAUAAAAGUACAUCAUGAAGAUACCCAAGUGAUUCGAGAUGCAAGAUUAAAAACUGGUAAGUAAACCUUUAACUGCACACUUUAAACUCUCAAUUUCAGAUUCCCCACAGCAUGAAGAAGAUGAAAGGUACAUGUCAAAAGUACCUUAUUCAAGCACAGUUAGGAGUUUGAUGUAUGCAAUGGUAUGCACUCGUUCCAAUAUUUCAUAUUUUGUUAGUGUUGUUAGUCGAUACAUGGCCAAUCUCAGUACACUGACAUGUAGUUAACUAGAUUUUUAAAUAUUUGUGGGGUACUUCUAACAUGUGCUUAGAUUUCGAAAGAAAUCAAAAGGGUUUAGUCGGAUAUAUUGAUUCAGAUCAUGCAAGAGACUUAGAUCGAAAAAGGUCUCUCAUAAGUUACCUAUUUACUUUUGGGAAUUGUGUUGUUAGUUGGAAAGCUACACUACAAUCUAUAGUGGCUUUGUUAACCAUCGAAGUAGAAUACAUGGAAAUUAUUGAAUCAGUAAAAGAAGCAAUUUGGUUAAAUGACCUAUUUAAUGAACUAGUAAGUUAAAAAGGGGCAACUGUCGUAUAUGAUGAUAGUCAAAGUGUUAUUCAUCUCACCAAAGAUCAAAUGAUCAUGAAAGAAUGAAGCAAAUAGACAUUCGUUAUCACUUUGUUCAAUAGGCGAUAAUUUAAGGAAUGCUCAGAUUUUUAAAAUUGACACAAAAAAUAAUCCGACCGACAUAUUAACAAAAAGUCUUCCAAUUUCAAAGUCCAAGCAUUACUUGGACUUGGUAAGUAUUUGACGAAGAUUCAAGUAGGCCCGUAACAAGGCUUGGAAAAAGAGUUAAGUCAAAUACGAGUUAAGGUGGAGAUUUGUGGAGUUAUGCCUCACAUUUUUGGAUCAAACAGUGUGUGAUGUCGCAACGAGGAAGUGUUCUUCGUCUCAACAAACAGUUGACGUCACGACGAGAAGAGAGCUUUUGUCUUGAUGACACGAUGACCCUUCGUCUUGACAACACAAUGCCACAUCACGACGUGGCGACAUGUACCUCAAGUUUUUCGGCUUUCUUCUCCUAGUUAAACUCUAUUUUUAGUUUUCCAUUUAAACUUUGAUUAACCUAGGGUUGUUGUACUCAUAUAUACUACGAAUUUCAGCUUAUAAAUAGGCAUUAGUUACUCUAUGUUUUAUAUAACAAAAAUAUUUAAAUUGAAAGAAUUAUGUUCUUUGUUUUGUAAGGUUUAUUCUUGCGGGGCCUUUGGGUUUUCCUUUAACUCUCUCUAUCUUUUAUACUCUCCUUUAUUAUAGUGAAAUCUCCUUUUGCCUAUGGUUUUUUAUCCUCUUUUGAGGAGCUUUUCCACGUAAAAUUUGUGUGUUUGAUCUUUUAGAUAUUAUUUUUUUCACUUGUUCGUUGCAUACACGGGUUAAUUUUGAACAAAAUAUUUCACAUAUUAGUUAGUUUGUCUUUAAAUCUACUUCUUGGCAACUUAUUUUGGAUCAAUUUUUGCAUGUCCGUGAAAUAACCAAGAAUUUAGUGUUUGUUAGUAAAUUUGCUAGAGAUAAUUUGGUGUUUUUCGUGUUUUAUCCCACUCAUUUCUUUAUUAAGGAUGAGACUAUCGGUGAGGUUCUUCUUUGAGGUCUUGAAAAAGAUGGAUUGUGUACAAUUCUUACUGAUGAGUGCUAUCAUGAAGUUGUUUCUGAUUGCAGGUCUCUGUUACCUUUGGCAUCCACUCAACAAGUUUAUUAUACUCACACUAGCGAUCUUGAAGAUCAAUCUCGUGUUUCAAAAUACUAGUUGUGACAUUAAUGUCUCGACCAUCCAGCUAAACGUGUCUAGAGCGUGGUCUUAUCCUCUUGUAAUAAAAUUAUUCAUGAGAAUCAUGAAUGUUCUUUUUUGUACUGCUACCAUGUUGGCAAAAUUCAUAAAUUAUUUUUUCUUCAUCAAACGUUGAGUAUCAGAAACUCAGUUUACAGAAACAAGGUUUCGAGACCACUUUUUUUGAUAACUACUGAAAAUCGGGUCGUUACAAAAAAUACAAAAGAAGAAAAAACAUGUUUAGACAAGCCAAGAGCCUUUGGCUUUGCUCCAACAAUAGGAGACAUAAGAGUUGUGUUAUCAAAUAGAUGAAUGCCAAUCAUUGCGAUCAAACCAGUGAUUUUGAUGAUGUUAAUGGUUAUUUUGGUGGAGAGGUAGGAAAUUAAUCAUUAUAUAUAAUAUAAUUAUGCAAUUCAAGCCCUAUAUUGUAUGUUCACACAUAAAAAUUUCAUGGGAGGUCCAAAGUCAAUUAAAUGACUUGUAUGCUUGCUAAAAAUUUUUGAAAGGACCAAAGGCAAUUGAACAUUCAUAAAAUAGUCUCCAAAUACUAUAAAGACAAAUAAAAUCCACAUGAGCAUUAGAGUUGAUUAAGCUGCGCAUUAGCAGAACUUCCAUCAUAGGAAAUAUUACUUGGCACUUGGUAGUAUAUAUGUAGACUUUGACUUUGCAUUCAAUAUUGGCAAAAUCACCUCUUGAGUUAGAAAAACAACAUAAUCCAUGAAACAUUGAUAGCCCAAUACAAAUUUCAUGUAGAAAAAAGUCUUUGUUUUGUAGCGCAUAAUAGUAAAGCAUGCGAAGUUUUAUUCUUCUUAUUGGCCUCCUUUAGUUUUCCUUGAUCAACAACCACUAGCCAAAAACACAAUUAGAUUAGAUUAUAAAUGAUACCUUCAAUUAUGAUAAUAUUAAAUAGAACACACCCUAAAUAAAUCUAAAUAAAUGGAAAGUAGCAAAUUACCUGGCAAGGCAAGGUAGCUCAGUUAAGACCAAUGUGUUAGAAUUGUCCCUGCAUUGAACAAUUUAGAAGAAAAUGAAAAGAAACACUCAGAAAACUCUUGAAAACAGAUUAAACUUAUAUGUCAUUGCUUGGAUAAACUAUGAUUACCCAUAACAGACCUUGUAUUUGACUUUUUGUUAAGGGAGAUCAACUCUUCAAGAGAAGUCUUCUAAGUGUUAUCUGCCAGGUAGUUAACGUUGCCCUCAACAACAAAAGGUAUUGUCCCCAUGUCGAGAUUUUAUUCCUAGCCUCUAUAGAAAAAUCAUGAAGAAUAUGUGCUAAGGGAUUCACACCACCAACUAAUGUAUAUGUAACAUUUUCCUUGCAAUCAUCUCCGUAAACCCAUAGAAAUCUUUGUGGAAUCAAGAGACAAAACCCUAACACAAGAAUAAUACCAUUUGUUGAAGAGUCUGUCAAAAUAAUAAAUGAAAUUUAAAUACAUAGUUUUUUUAAUGAAAGAAAAUAACUUAUUUAAUUAGAGAAAAACAACAAAAGAUCCAACAAUAAAGUCCUUAGCAAAAGAUUAAAACAAAAUUAUACCGUAAUGAAAUAAGAAACUAAGAAAACCAAAUCUAACAAAGAAAAUAACUUGAUGUCCCAAAGCUACCAUAAACCGUAAUUCAUGGGAAGGCCUGCUACUCAUUUUAUUGGUUUCCAUCUUGAUUUUGCAAAUAAGUUUGAAUUCCGAAGAGAGCAAAUGAUUGAGCAAAAGAAAGAAAAUUAGUUUAUUAUUUUUCACUAUUUAUAAGACAAUCUUCAAGGAGACUGAUACCGACAUAUUUGAUAUCUAUAAUUAAACUGCUAGAAUAGAUUAAAAAUGUUGAUAAAAUUAAGUGUGAAUUAAUAACCACAAGUGUACUCAUUACUCACCAUCUUUGUUAAACAUGUUUGAUGUUGUUUAGCAACCUCUGUUUGAUCUUCUUUAGCUCAACCACAACAUCUUUCAUAUCUUUUCUUUCUUCUGGUAAUUCAGUUGAACAAUUCAAAGCCAACUCCAUGAUGGAUGAAAUACAAUUUGCUUUAACAAUAAAGAACUCAUCCUCUCUUUUUAAUAAAUCAACAUCUGCAAUUUCUACCGCUCCUUUAGGCAAUGAACUUUCCAUCCAAUGCCUUAUAGUCCUUUCUUCAGCAAAAAAAUUAUCAGUUGGCUUCUUCUUUGUGAAAGUUUCUAUAAGGACAAUCCCAUAACUAUAGACGUCACAUUUUACAGAAACAAUUCCUGCAGAUCCAAAUUCUGCAUUUCAAGUAGAAUUAGAGCAUCGUCAAUCCUUAAUUAUUUCUAAAGUGAUUAUUCAAAUAUAUAUCCACCUACGCAUGAAACAAAAAUAUAAAAUGCAAAUUAGAAAAAUAAUAAUACAAAAAUAAAAAAUUCACCUGGUGCCAUAUACCCAAUAGUUGCAAGAGUCAUGGUAUGCUUCAUUAAGUCACCUUCUCUCAACAAUUUGGCAAUGCCAAAAUCUCCCACAUGUGCAACCAUGUCUUCAUCUAGUAAAAUAUUGUUUGGUUUUAAGUCACAAUGAAUUAUAGGUGUUGGAUGUCCAUUGUGGAGAUGUUCUAUAGCUGAUGCAACAUCAAUCAUUAUGUCAACCCUUUGUAUGAUAUCGAGGAAAUGGUUUUUAGAAUGUAACCAAUUCUCAAGAUUUCCGUUAGACAUGUAAUCAAGCACCAAGGCUUUGAAGUCAACACUUGAGCAGCAGGUAAUGACCUUCACAAUAUUACGAUGAACUAUAUUACGCAUAGCAUCACAUUCAAUGUCAAAACUCCUAAAUGCUCCCUCUGUUUUCAAAUUGAAAACUUUUAUUGCAACUUCCAUUCCAUCUGGAAGCCUCCCUUUAUAUACAUAUCCAAAACUCCCUGAACCAAGCAUAUUUCUUUCCUCAAAUCCAUUAGUUGCUCGUGAAAGUUCAGCAUGUGAAAUUCUUCUCGGUGUUUUCAAAGACAACAAAUCAUCUUUAAUUGGUAGAGUUGUACUCCUUCUUUGGCAUCUUCUAUACAUAAUAGUUAACACUAUUAGUAGUACGACAACACCAAUUGUUGGUAAACCAUACCUUAAAGCAUGCAAUAUAAUCAUUUCAGAGUUUCCGUGGAUGUCGUUUUUGCAAGGUGGGACUAGCAAUCUAGGUGGACCACAAAGUGCAUAAUUCUUCAUGAAUGAUGUGCUAGAAAAGUUUGAAAAACUUCCUUCAGUAGGAAUUUCCCCUUCAAAUCUAUUGAAAGACACAUUAAAAUACUUUAGAUGUAAAAGCUUUUCCAACGAUUUGGAAAUGACUCCAGAGAGGUUGUUCUUACAUAAAUCCAGGGAUUCCAAAUUAAUCAAACCACCAAAUGAUUCAGGGAUAUGACCAUGUAGUUUAUUAUUUGAUAAAUCUAAUGUAACCAAAGUUUGAAGACUCCCAAAUGUGGAUAAAAUAUCGCCCAUGAGAAGAUUCCUUGAUAAAUUUAGUUUCCCUAGACUCCUCAAAUUUCCAACAUCAAUAGCAUGAGAAUUGUGAAGAUGGUUUGAUGAUAAAUCUAUUUCUAAGAUAUCUUUAAGAUUCCACAAAGUUGAGGGUAUUGCCGAACUCAAUUUGUUGGAAUUUAAGUAAAGAUAUCCCAAAGAAGUAAUAUUACCCAGACAAGAGGUUAUAGAUCCGUACAGCUUAUUCAACCCUAAAAACAAUUUGUAUAGACUCUCCAAAUCACAAAGGCUCUCUGAGAUAGGCCCUUCUAAUUUAUUAGAGGAAAGAUCUAGACCUUGGAGUUUUCGCAGUCCUCUUAUUGAUGUUGGAAUAAAUCCACUUAACUUAUUAUAGUCAAGUUCUAAACGCAACAUGUUGCUUAAGUUACCUAUUUCCAAUGGAAUAUUGCCCAUAAUCUCACAAUCAGAGGCCACAAAGUCUCGAAGGGAGUUUGAAAGGUUCCCGAUAUAAGUAGGAAGAACACCACUCAAUGGAUUUCCUGACACAAUUAUUCUUUUCAGAUGCUUGCAAUUCGCCAAAGAAUAAAGAAAGGUCCAGUCAUGAUCAAUAGCAGAUCCUGCAAUCAAAUUAUUGUUUUGGAUAUGAAGGCAUUCAAGGUAUCUUAAGUUGCCAAGCAUUUUAGGGAUUGGGCCAGAAAAUAAGUUAUUUCCCAAGUCUAGUUGCUUAAGCAUGGAAACAUUGGAGAUAGAGUUGGGAAUGUUUCCGCUAAGUUUAUUUCCCCACAAUAAAAGAUUCUCAAGCUUUGGAGCAUUGGUAAUGGGUGGUAAAUUACCUGUAAAAUAGCAUCAUACAUUAAAAAUGAACUCCUAAGUAUUGUUAGCCCAAGCCUUGUGUUGAAAUCAUCUUUACUUUCUAGAUUUAAAAUUGAUUGAAUAUCAAAUUUAAAAAUAUAUAAUACAUUAAUAAUUUUUUUAAAAUAUUGUAAAUCUUUAAAUCAAAGAAAAAUAAAAGUUUAAGAUGAAAAUGUGGCAUCUAAUCAAUAUUCCUUUAUUUUCCUUAUAUAAAACUUUUCUCUAUUUUUUAAUUAAUAUGUAUUGAAAAUAAAAAAAAAGAAUUUUAUAUUGCGCAGCUCAUUAAAAAAUUAAAAAAAUCAGAUUUUUUUUAUAAAAAUGUAAGAAAUGUUUUAAAAAAUUUAAAAAUAAGAAAAAAUACAUAAACCGUAAAAUAAAUAUAAAGAAUACUAAAAAAAUGUAAAAAAAAAUUCUCAGCUCUAUAAUAGUGCAGUUUUUAGAAAAUAAAAUGCAAAAAGAAAACCCGAAAAAAUAGGGAAAAUCAGAAAAACUUAAAAAGAAUCAACAAACUGCGAAGAAGGUGAGUUGUGGACUGAAAAGAUCAAUUUGAAAAAGGUUUCGGGCUUUCGGCUUAAUUAAAUAAAGUAAAUUAAAAUGCCAAAAAGCAGAGAAAGAAAAAUACUAUUCAUUGUUAAAGUCCAAGUUGGUAUAAUUAAUAUCUAAGUUUCGUGUUGGAUUAAUUAUUUAUUUUUUAAUUAAAUUAUAUUGUAAAUUUUAAAAGCUAGAAUUUACUUAAAAUUUUUGAACUCUUCAUGUGUUAGAAAUUUAAUUUCUGUACUUCUAUCUUUUAGAAUUUAGUCCCUUUAUUCUUUGAAUUUAAUUAAAAUUUUAAGUUCAUUUGUUAAUAAUGUUAAAUAGUUUUUGUAUUGGUAUGACAUUUUGAAAAGCUAAAAUGAAAAUGGAAAAAAUAAUAUAAAAUAUUUACAAAAUUAUUAAAAUUUUUAAAAAUAGAAAAAAUCUAAAAUUAUAAAAAUUAAAAGAAUAUACUAAAAAAUUAAAAAUAUAUUAGAUAUUUUAACAUUUUUGAAAUUUUUUAAAUGGCAAGAGUUUGAACAUGUGAUCAUUGUGUCUUGGAAGGAUACCACCUAUAACAAUUGUUUUUUUAAUUCAAUUAAUCAAAAUUUAUAAUUGGUACAUCUUAUUAGGUGAUAAAUUUGGAUUAGUCUUUUAUUUUCAAUUUAUUUAAAUAAUAAAAAUAAUAUUAUGUAAAAUAAAUAAUAUUUUAAAUUAUUCCAAAUAUUUUUUACUAGUUGAAGAUAGAUUGUUUGUCUCUAAACCAAUAUCUUAAGAACUAUUGUUGAAUGUUUGACUAUUCUAAAGAAUUUUGGUACAAAACAGAAAAAGCAUGUGCACGAAGGUGGAUGAAGAAAGCUUGCUCUAGAUAUUAAAUAGGGAGUCAAAUCAAAUAAACACGUUACUAGUAACACUAGUAAAACGCUAAAACUUGAUGUAGUUUAAAAUAUUAAAAUGUUGAUAUAAGAAUUUAUUAAAUAUUUUUUUAUAAAAAUUGGUUGUAUUAUAAAAAAACAGUUAUAAUAUCAAAUUUUUAAUAUUUUAAAUGUGAUUAACGAAUGUAUACUUUAUUUCAAGAUACACAAUUUUUACUAGUUUUUAAAAUUUUUUAUUUUUUAUAAUUUUUAACAAUUUCUAAUAAUUUUUAUAGUUUUUAAUAAUUUUAUUUUUUUACAAUUUUUUAAAAAAAUUAAAAAAUUUGUAAUUUUUAAAAAUUUAUAGAUUUAUAAUUUAGUUACUUUUUUAUAAUUUUAUUUGAAUAUAUAUAUAUAUAUAUAUAUAUUUAAAAUUUUUGGUUUCUUUUUUCUAAAUGAUGAUGCCAUCGUGACGUCGGGACGUGUAUCACAUGGCAAUUUAUGAUUGGUUGGAUAUCCCAACCAAAUUUUUUAAGGACCAAAGGAUUGUGUCGGAAACACCUGGUUAUGUUGGGGACUAUAUUAGAAAUGUUUGAUAAUGUUAGGGACUAAAAUGAGUCAAAAGACUUUAAGGACCAAAGUGAGAAAAGCAGCAUACUUUAGAGACUAAAGUGUGCAUUAAGCCUUUAAAAAUAUAUCUAUAAUAUAUAUAAAUUUAUGAGUUUUGAGAAGCUUUUGAUAUGAUAAUUAUAUAGUCUUUGUUGUUUAUUAUAUUACUGAUAUUUUAAACAUUUUUUAUUAUUUAUCAAAUUUAUAAAUAAGAAUUUUGGUUUUACUAAAAUAUUUGAUUAAAUAUAUUUAUGAAAAAUUUAGCAUCCUUAUAAAUAAAAAUUUCCAUUCUAUUAAAAAAAUUAUUAAAAAAUUUAUAUAAUAAAAAUUUAAAAUUCAUAUUGAAUUACUUUAUAUGUAAAUUAUUACUAGAAAUUCUAUCAUAAGUAUAUGCGUGUAAGAACAACGUGUUUCGAAAACAUAUUUGUGUUUUAAAAUAAUAUACAAUAAGUAAUCAAAUCACUGAUUAAUACUAAUAAUAAAUGACAUAUGUAAGAUAUUAAAAUAAAAAAUUGAUUAAAUUGCAAGUAAAACGAAAUUUAAACAUAUGAAUACGUCAUAUUAAUAAUACUAAUUGAAUACAAUUAUUUAUUAUGGUGUUGUUGUCAAUACUAAGUUGGGGUCUAGUUAAAUUGUGACAACUUUUAAUCAACAACAUUAAUGUAUAUAAUUCAUGGAGGUAAUAAAGUGUGCAUAAUAAUAAUAAAAUGUAUAAAAAAUUUAAAAUAAAAUUUUGGUUUUACGUAUUGAUGUGGGUUUAAAUCUCACCAUAAACAUUUUUAUUUUGUUUUUUUAAAUAAAAACUGAAGUACCCUCAAACAAUAUAACUUAUUUUAAAUAAGAAAUGAUAUUUUUGCAAUUUUUCUAACCGAGUUGAUACUCUAUUGACUUAUGACACCAACUCAACCAAAAGCUUAAAUAAUAUUAUAGUUGUUCAUUACUUUAAUUUUAAAGAGCAAAUUUUAAUUAUUUAUAUAACAAAUAACUUUAUAAUUCAUAUAUAAAUUUUAUAAGUAAUAUAUUUAUAUAUUUAUAUAUUUUAAUCAAAUUUAUUAUAUUUUUAUUAAGUAUAUAUCAUCUACAAAUUUUUAAGAUCAAUUUAUUGCCUAUCAAGAAAAGAAAAAAUUGAAAUUACAAAUAUAUCGAUUUUUAUAUUUUGUACGGAUGCUUUCAUGAUGAUAAAAAAAAUUUAUUAGCACUGUUUUUGAAUUAACAAAAAUAAAUUAUAUUUUUUAACUAUAUUUUGAACUAUAUUACUAUUUUUUAAUUACAUAAACUAAAAUUAUAUUAGAUAUUAAAUAUGGUGCAUAUGCUUUAAUUAUGACUUGAAAUUUUAUUAUUAUAUUUGAAAUAUUAAAUAAAUUAAUAUUUUAAUUAGAUUCAACCAUUUGAAUAAUAAAUUAAAAAUAAUAAUCAUAAUAAUUUAAACUUAAUUAAAAAUUAAAUGGUUAAAAUCAAGUGUCAAUCUAUAUAAAUGGGAAUUAAAAAUUUUAAGAUAAAUCAAUUCAUAUAAAACUUAUUGUUUAUUAUGAAAUUAAAAUGAUAAAGUAAUGACGAAAAAAGAAGAAACAAAUUAAACAGAAUGCAUUUUGGACUUUGGAAAAAAACAAAGUGAAACACAUACCUUCUAAACUGUUGUCAUUUAGAUAUAUUCCUUGGAGCAUAGUUGAAUUAAAAAUACUUUUUGGAAUCAGCCCACUGAAUUGAUUUGCUGCUAAAUCCAAAAUCUGAAGCUUGUAACAUUCACCCAUACGUGAUGGAAUAUUACCAGAUAAUUCAUUAUGUUCCAAGACAAGCCAUUCAAGCAUGGGACAAUGGUGACACAAACCAUUAGGUAAACUACUUGAUAGACUAUUGUUGGAGAGAAAAAUAGUCUUUAGAGAAGAAAUGUUGAAGAUUGGAGUCGGAAUCUGACCUGCAGACAUAAUCGAAAAAUCAAGGUGUUAAAACUGCCUAUUUUGUUAGCAUAAAUUACAGAGGUUUUCUUUUUCUGUUCUACAGUAAUUUGGAGAUGUUAGAUUUUAAUAUAAUUAAGCAUAUUUUUUUUAUCAAAUUAACUAUUUUGCUUUGAAUGAAAUAAAAAAAUCUCACUUCUGUAAUCCAUUACAAAUCAAACUCUUUUAUAAAAAAAAAUACUUUAAACUAAAGAAACCAAAGAAAUUCAGUACCUUCUAGGUUAUUCAUCUCCAAAUGUAAUUCUUCGAGUCGUGUCAGAUUUCCAAUACCUCUUGGAAUGAUCCCCGUAAAUUUAUUAUAGGACAAUGCCAAAAUUUGAAGGUUGUUGCAUUUGCCAAUACGUGAUGGAACGUUUCCAGAUAAUUCAUUCCGACUCAAGUAAAGCACUUCAAGCUUGGGUAAACGUUGACACAUAUCAUUAGGCAAACUACCUGAUAGGCUAUUGCUGAAGAGAGUAAUAAUCUUCAGGGAAGAAAUCCUGAAGAUUGAAUAUGGAACCUGGCCAGAUAAUUGAUUGAAUUGCAAGUUCAAGACCUCUAGAUUGGACAUGUUAACAAGUGUUUGAGGGAUUGUGCCUGUAAAGUUAUUGUUUUCCAUUUCCAGCCUUUGAACUCUUUGUAAGUUCCCAAGCCAUGCUGGGAUUUCCCCAUUAAGACUGUUGUAGCUUAACUGAAUGAUCCUCAAACGAUGCAAUUGGCCCAAUUCUUUAGGCAGAUAGCCAGAUAAAUUGUUGCUACUCAAGUCGAGAGAAAGUAGAAAUGAAAGAUUUCCAAGGUGUGGAGGGAUAGUACCCCUAAGAUUCAUGCUUGUAAGAUUCAAAGCUAUAACUCUUUUAUGGAUGAUGCCACAGGAAACACCAAUCCAAUUGCAAACAGAGGUAGAGGCCGUCCAAUUGUUUGCCAAGACAUUUUGAGGAUCGGCAAUGCGAUCCUUAAACUCGAGAAGCACAAACUGAUCGGAGUUGAGAUUCCUGGUUGUCAUAGCCAAGCAAACUACGGAACAUGGUAUGAAUAAACCUAAAAGAAGAUGGAAGCAAGUGUUGUAAUUCAUUAUUGCAAGACGAAAUGAGCCAAGAAAAUAAAAAAGUAGGGAAAGGGAACUUGAAUUGAUAAAGGGAAAAGUUGGAUGAUGAAGAAAAGCACUAAGGGCAUGCUUUAAUAUGCUUUAAUAUGAUGGAGACAACUACAAGCACUAAUAACAUAUUUUCACCUAAUAAAUUAUAAAAAAAUUAAAACAAAAUAAGGUUAAAAUUUUAACAUAUCUGUUAGAUAAAAUUUAAGAUUUAAUUAUUAAACUUGACAACUUAAAAAUUAAAUCUUAUUGUUUGAAUUUAAAAAUUUUAGUCCUACCAUAAAUAUUGUGAGCGUUUUUUUUUUAAUCAAAUUUUGUCAAGUUGACUUAUUAAUUAGGUUUCCCUCAUAUGAUGUGGUAUAUGAUUGAUAAAAAUAAACAUGUUAAGUUGAUAUAUUUUGACAAAAAACUACCAACGAUGAUAAUGAUUGGAUUAAAAUUUUUAAAUUAAAAAUUGUAGGGAUUAAAUUUAUAACUUUUAAAGUAUAAAGACUGAAUCUCAAAUUUUAUAGAAAUAUAGGGGCUAACAACAUUUUUUAGCCACCAAAUAAUAUCUACAAUUUUCACUUAAAACUACAUUGGACUUAAUUGGCUAAGGGUUAACAUAUCAAUUGAUUUAUGAGUUUCACACUUUUUUUUAUAAUGUUGUACUCUUGGUUUUUGUGCAAUGUGAUACACGUAUUUGGUAAAAAGUUAUAUAUUUUAAUACUUAAAAGAAAUUUUAGAGUUGAUUUAAUGGACAUUAAUUGUUAAUAUUAUUUUGAUAUUUAUAUGUAUUUUCAUUUUUAUAAAUACUAUUAAAAAUAUAUAUUUUUUAAAAUGAAUGCUAUUUAAAAACAUUAUUAAAAAAUAAUAUAUUAUAUGAAAGUUAAAAUGAUCUAAAAACAUAUUUUAAAAAUUUAAAUACUUUAUACAAUAUUUAAAACUGUUUAAAAAUUUCUAAACCCUAAAAAUCAAUAAAAUAUAAUUUUUCUAAAAAUUUAAAAAGAUAUAUAUUUAAAAUUUUAUAUGAAAUUUAAAUGAUUUUAACAGUAAUAUAUUUUAAAAAUGGUAGUAAUGUUAUAAACUUGAAAGAUUUUGUAAUUUAAUUACAUACAUUUUUAUAAAAAAAAUUUCUAACAUAUCAUUAUUUGCAUCUUGUUACAUUAAAGAAUUGAAGAUAUAUUUGAGUAGUUAGCCUUUUUUAGAGAACUAUACUUAGACAAUGCAGAUUAUUGAACUGUAUUAUAUCACUUGUUCAAGUAUUUAUUUAUAAAAUAAAAUAAUUAUAGCCUCUUAUAUUAACUGCAUGUAUCUAUUUUGCAUCUUUUAUUAUAAUAUGAUUUAAUAAUUAUAAUAUUUUUAUAGAAUAAUAUGCUUUAAAAUUUUUUUUACUCUUUAUAAAAUUUAUAAUAAACUUACAAAAUUAUUUAAUGAUAUUUAAUUAUCAACGGAAAAAUUAUAUCAUAUAUGUAAUAGGUCAAUUUAGCUCGGGCUCACAAAAAAAAUAAACCCAAAAUAAUAAAAUAAAGUCCAAGUCCAGUCCAAAAUUAUAUCAUUUGGCCCAAUCAGGAUGGCCCAUUACUUGAAAAGGUUGAAGGUCUAUCUACAAACUUGAUGCAUAUGGAAACAUAAUCUUCAAGGAUAUGCAAUCUUAGAUAUGAUAUGCAAUCUUAGAAGAUAUGAUUUUGUAAUCUUAGAGAAUUAAUUUGUAGAUACCCUUUAAUCUUAGCCGUUGAUGUAAUUGAUCUAUACCGUUGAAUUUGGGGAGGCUCAACUAUAUAUGAGGCCUUUCCCUUCAUUGUAAAACACUUCAUUGUAAAACACUUGAGUUUGGAGCAAUAAUAAUUCUUAAGAUCAUUCACUCAAAUUUCUACCUCUCUUGCGUCCUUAUUUUCUGUGGCUUGUUCUUAUUUUGUUCUUUGUUCAUCUUCUUUUCUUUUUAAGUUGCUUUCAUUUGAGUUGGAUUUUGGUGGAGGAAUUUCGUUGAGUCUUCAUGUUGUGAGAGUUAGCCUGACUUAAGCGUUUUUUAACCUUUUUUUAUUUAUCCAUUUAAUUUUUUAAUCAUUAAUUAUUCUUUUACUUUUAUUCAUUUAUUUAUCCAUCAACUUUCUUAUUUACAUAUUGUUCAUUCAUUUAACCAUUCUUAUCAUUCUUUUAUUUUCUUCCAUUAAUUAUAUAUUUUAUUUGUUUUUCAAAUUGCCCUUUUUUUAUCAAAGUUUUUAUGCAUCGUUUUAAUAUUGCGUCAAUUUUCCCCAAUUUUAAAAAAGAAAACUUUUAAAAAUAAGGCAAUAUUCGGUCUUUGGAGCUUUGAGAAAAUCGUGCCCUAACUUACUGGGUUUCAAUUUUUUUUCCACAUAACCGAAUAUCCUUUUUAAACUUUAAUGCAUGAGACAAGCUUAGUUUUGAGGGUUAAAAUGUCGUAUCCUAACUUACUGGAUGUGACAUCUUAUUACUUCGAGACAAAGAGGUCUUAACAUCAAUUCGAUUUAUUCAGGUUUUUAAAGAGGAUUGUAUUUUAAAAUCUUUUCAAAUUUUCGAUAUUAGGAAGUUAAUUAAUCAAUUAGGUACCAAUUUUUGGGCGUUACGAGGGUGCUAAUCCUUCGUCGUGCGUAACUGACUCCUGAGCUCGUUUUCUCGAAUUUUGUAGACCAAAAUUAUUAUUUUAAUAAAUCAAAAUGUUUUAUUAAAAUGAUUAAUCUCAAGGUGACCCGAUCACACCUCGAAAAAAGAUUGGUGGCGACUACAUUUUCGUUUUAAAAGUCGACCCCGUUUUUUAAAAUAAAAAAAUGGUUUCGACAGCUUGGUGACUCCUCUGAGGAUUGGUUUUGAGAGAGUAUCCACAAAUUGAUUAAUUUUUGUCUUUUUGUCGAAAAAUUAAAUUUUGUUUUAAAUUCACGAUUUAUCCUUUUGCAUUUUAUCUAUUAUUUUCAUGGUUUUAACCAUAGUGUCGUCCAAAUCUGUCAAUGUGUAUCUACAUUUUGCAUUGCAUUGGUUGGUCAAUUUUACCCCUCUAAGUGUGAGUGAGAAACUAGUUCUUCGUGAGGUUUUCACCUCCGUGCAGGAUAGUGGAUCACUUUCAGAAUACAUUUGUACCUAUGUCUUCGUGAGAUUUUCAUCUCCGUGCGGCCAUAGGGAAAUGUAUCCCCCUGAACUGAACUCGGUCUAUAUGAACCUAUAAUGGGUGAGGAUCAAGGAAUCUACUGGUUUGGAUACCUUUACCUUAGAAGCCAAACCUCAUAUAAUGAACUCUAGGAACUCACCUUAGGUAGAAUUACGUUGACCCUUAGUAGCUACCCGAGUAGGUGCUUGAUCAUUUCCUGUUUGUUUUUUAAUACCUGAUACUAACUUGUUGUGUUUCAUUUUGAUUGCAUGACAUUUUGACUGCACAACAUUUUGACUGCAUGACAUGCUCAUCAUAUGCAUAAAAAAGGUGUCGAUUCACAUUCAAUUACUAAAUAGAGAGCUUGCCAUGGAAAAUGAAUUUCUUGAUAAAAUGGAGGAUAAUACGACUCUCCUAAUAUGUUCUGAGAAAGCACAACGUGAGAAAGAUGAUAGACUGACAAAAGAGCAUACGACUUUGCUUUGUUGCGUGAGGAUACAAGUUGGUAAAAGUCAUCAAUAUCCCGACCCUUUUCUUAAAAGAAGCUAACAAGUAUCACGAUGAUGAGUGAGUAAUGAGUCGUGGCCCAGUUCGAGCAAAAAGAGCCAGUGAAGCAUCCGUUGGAAAAUUCGAAAGAUUUAUUUUAACAUUCGGAUGAAGAAAAAGGAUCGAUGUCCUCGCUUGGAGCAUGAGGGCAAAGCCGUAUAUAUAUCUGUUUUAUGUAAAGAAUUUUGUUUUCUAGUAAAGUUUUCUAAAUGGAAUUGAAUCAGAAUUGACACCUUUUUGCAUUCAUUUCAUGCAUUUGCAUUACAUGCAUUAAAGUCCACUAAAAGAGCCUAACUGAUCAAAAUUAUCUCAGUUAACCUGAAAACCAACCAACCAACCAAACACUGUUACGGUACUCGAGCAAGAACUAAAGACAUGGACCAGAGAUUGGAAAAACUUUAACAGUUCCAAAAGGAAAUGCAAGACUGACUUCAGCUACAAGUGCAAGAGCGGUUAGAUAAAAUUCAGCAAGAUAUGAUGGAAAAGAUGCUGGAGUCCCAAAGAAACGUGAUGACUUAAUUGACUCAAUUGUUGGCUGGGGAAACGAUAAGGGAAAGGGUCCUAUGGCUAAUACUGAAGAAGGAGAUGAUGAUGAACCUCUCUAUCCUCCAAGCUUCACUCCUCCACAUGUGCAGACCCAAGCUGAGAUGUACCCACACAAAUCCUCUGUCACAAUCAGGCCUCAGCAGUUUCAGGCUGGUGCAUCAAUGCUAAUGAACUUCCAAGUCAGAUCAGGCUCUAACCCUAGAGAGAACGCUAAUAAUCCUUCUAUCCCUGAUUUCGAUGAAGUGGCUGAAAAAUAAAAAAUAAAAGAGGAAUUACCAAAAUAGUUAGAGGAAAUGUGUAAAUGGCUUGAGGAAAAAUUUAGGGCAAUGGAAAGCACUGAGAACUACCAUGGGAUUAAUGCUAAAGACCUGAGCUUAGUCCUGGAUUUGGUACUCCCCUACAAGUUCAAAAUGCCAGAAUUUGAAAAAUACAAUGGGACCAAUUGCCCUGAAGUUCAUAUUACCAUGUUUUGUAGGCGGAUGGAUGGAUAUGUUAACAACGACCAACUGCUAAUACAUUGCUUCGAAGAUAGCCUCGCAGGGGCAGCAUCUAAGUGGUACAAUCAAUUGAGCCGUACCAGGAUUAGUUCAUGAAGGGAUUUAGCACAAGCAUUCAUAAAGCAGUACAGUCAUGUAACAGAUAUGGGUCCUAAUAGAAUCACCCUACAAAACAUGGGAAAGGAGCCAAACAAAAGUUUUAGGCAAUAUGCACAAAGGUGGAGGGAGGUUGCCGUCCAAGUUCAGCCACUACUCCUGGAAAAAGAAACUACGAUGCUCUUUAUUAACACACUAAAAGUCUUGUUCAUCACGCACAUGUUAGGAAGUGCCACAAAAAGUUUCUCAAAUAUAAUCAUGAAUGGCGAAAUGAUUGAAAAUGCCAUUAGAGGUGGAAGAAUAAACGAAGGAGAGAGUAACAAGAAGUCAGCCUCAGGGAGAAAAGAAAAUGAGGUGAAUAACACAGGUUACUCAAGAUCAGUUACUGUAAGCCAGCCAAGAAAGAUGGUUGCUAGUCAGCAAGCUCCAUCAAGGCAAGAUCUCGACACAAAGACUGAGAAGUUCCAGUUUACACCAUCUCAAUAUCGUAUAGGGAACUGUAUCAGAGUUUGUUUGAUGCACACGUUGUUUCUCCUUUUCACGUGAAACCUCUACAACCCCCAUACCCCAAAUGGUAUGAUGCAAGCGCCCAGUGUGAAUACCAUGCAGGAAUUACAGGGCACUCGAUAGAAAAUUGCACUGGCUUCAAAAAGCUAGUUGAAAGAUUCAUCAAUAUGGGCAUCGUCAAGUUCGAUGACUCAUCUAAUGCAAAAAAUUUGCUACCCAAUCAUAUGGAUAAUGGGGUGAAUGUGAUGUAUGAAGAAGUGUUGGGAAACAUUCACAUCAAUGCCAUAUAUGAAGACACAUUUGAAAAGGGGCCUUGUUAGAUAUCCACCCUUAUAAACUUGGGAGUGUUCUAAACAAUUGGACUGCAGAAGAAAUCCCUGUAGUAUUUAGAGCUUACUUAGAGUAAUAUUCAAAACACACUUGUUGCUUUAAAGCCUAGAGGCAAUAAGAACCCUGUUAUGAAAUAGGCUUGUGUUUAAAAUCUUUAUUUCAAUAAAAUGCAUCUUUUUGAGCAAACAUUCAUUCAUUCUUUUCAUUUAUAUAUUCUUUUUUUCCUUGGACUCUUUUAAAUAUUAUUUUAUUCUUCAUUCAUACAAAUAAUUGUCCUUAGACUUAUUUAUUCUAUAGAAUCAACCUUUGUACCUACAAUAAGUCUUCAAAUAUCAACAACAUGAGUGAUAUUGCUAUUGACUUAAAAUCUCCUUUCGAGUAAGAUAUGUGUCAGGGGAAUCUUAGGACUUUGAAUAUGACUGAGAUUGUAACCUAUCUCAUGAUUUGUUAAGAAUGGUAGAAAAAGAUGAAAAAUAGAUCCUACCUUACAAAAGUCAGUGGAUAGUGAGCGUAGGAGAAGAGAAAGAGAUUAGAGUUUGUCCAUCGAAAUAAAGCGAAACAUCACUAAAUUACUCCAAGAAUUCAAAAAUCUUUUCGCACGAUCAUACCAAGAUAUGUCUAGCUUACUAAGAAGUAUGGAUGCUGUUAAGGCUAAAAGGUCUAUAAAUGUGUCAGAAGAACACCUACUAAUGGUUUUACGAUAGCCACGUUAAUCACGAGGUUUCAGUACUGCUGGUCCACCAUAGAAGGGGAUCACAUCAGUUAUACCAUAAAUACCAAUUUGAGGAAGAUAAAACCUAUGUGCCUCUUCCAUUUCUUCACAAAUUUUCCAUAUGUAGGGCAUGGAUGUGAUUGGGCUAAUCUCGUCAAAAGUUUUUAGUCAAGAUCGAUUCAUCUUUGUGGUCUUCGAUUAUUUCGCUAAGAGGGUCGAAAUAGCUUUAUAUCCCAAUGUUACAAGGUCAAAGUCAUUAAAUUCUAAUUUCAAAAAAAAAGAAAAAGAUCCGACGCCGAUAAAGAAUGCCAAAAAGGACAAUGUCAAAAGUUUGUAGUCUAUUCAAAGAUUAGAUGCCAUAGGCAACCAAAAAAUAAAAAUAAAACAAGGAUUGUGGGAAAGAUGACCGAGACUUGUAAAGAUUGGUAUAAAGAAGUUACCAUCUACGCUCACCAAAUUCGACCAGGACCUUUCCUUGGGCAACACCUGGCCCAUUGGUUUGUGUAAUGUUGAACCCAAUCAAAGAAAAAAGGGUUAAAAGCUAUCCAUUACAGUCAGAUGAUGCGAGCUUACAACAAAGAGGUUCAUCUUAGAGAAUUCCAUGAGGGGGACCUAAUGUUAAAAAAGAUCCUUCUUAUAGAAAAGGAUUUUAAAGGAAAGUGGGUUCCAAAUUGGGAAGGGCCUUGUGUUGUAAAGAAGGCCUAUUUUGGAGGAGUAUUUUUAUUGACCGAGAUGGAUGCCAAAGACUUGCCCAAUUUAGUGAAUUCAAAUUCAGUCAGGAAGUAUUUUACCUGAAAGGGGAGAAGCCAAGGUGAAAACCUACAAAGGGCGCCUUGAGAAAAAAAUAAAAAAUCAAAAAAAAAGAGAAGAAAGAAAAAGAGGAGAGGCCAAGGCGAAAACCCGCAAAGGGCGCUUUGAGACCAAAGGGGUUUUGAGUUGAAACCUGAAAAGGGCAGCUUAAAUUUUGAACGAAAAUGGGGCAUGUGGUAGUCUUGCUAUGCCUGAAUUAACAAUAAGGAAGUAUGCUACAUCUUAGGGCAUUGACAAAGUACUCCAGAUCCCCUAAACACAUAUUAAGCUCAAAAUGGUCCUCAAAAAGUUCAUACAGAGAAGUUUAGGCUACAAUAUCUACGGCACCUAGUUUUCCAUCUUACCCAUUUUUGAAUUUGCUAUCUUUGAUUACCUUAUUCUUUUCAAGAUACGCCCCAAUCAAUUUCUUUUUAUUGCCUUGGUUAUCUUUGAUUAAUUUAAUUAUUUUGAGCUAUGCUCCUAAUUAAUUUUCUUCUUGUCCAUUAUUAUAAUAUUUUUUAAGCAUUUUAUAUUGAAAUAAUGAUUAAUGGACUAAUAAUACUUUCAUAAAAAGAGUUUUGCAUAUUACUCUGGAAGCUUCUAAAUAAUACGAGAAUUUGAAAUAGGACUAUUGUUUAGAACUCACUAAGCUUAAGGGUUGGAAAUAUUGAAAGAUGAUUAUCUCUUUGAAUAUUUUUGUUGAACAAAAAGACAAGACAUUUCGUCGGUGAUAUCAUCUCGACAAAUAACGAGCAAUGUCAACUCAAAUGUAAAAGGGGAUCAUUUUCGGGAAAAGAAAAAUGAUACUCUACAUUCAUGAAAAUUUCAAGCAUAUACAUUUGGUCAUUACACCCAGGGAAUGGUGUAACAGAUCAAUUUGACUGAAAAUGAUACAAAUUCUAUACCUCUGGGUGGCAGCAGGAUGGAUGGAAGAAACCAAAUAUUAUUCUUUUGAAGUUGCAGUGGGAGAUAAAAACUUUAUGUCCCAGACGGUACAGUGGAAGAGACUCUGAAAUUACAACAGGGCAAGCUUGUUGAGCAGAAUGUGAUUGUUUCUUCGAGUUUUCUAUUGAAAAAUACCAGUUGAAUAAGAUAGGAGUGUAAUAUGUCAGUGAUAAGACUCCUAAUGAAAAACAAAUGAUGACACCCUAAGCAUUAAAAAAGAGAUCAUUCUCAUUUUGCAUUCAUAGAUCAUUCAUAGCAUAUCUAAUUAAGAGCAUUUGACUUAUUUCAAUCAUGGCAUCCUAAUCAUUCAGCAUUAGCACAGACCCAUUCUAUAGGUUAUGUCCUCUAGAGGAUGAUGUAGUAAGGUAGAUUGAAGCUAUCAGUCUUGCCUCACUGAGUUUGCAGCAAAGCAUAUUGAAAGCAGCAGAUCUUGUCUUACUGUACUGGCAGUGAAGUAGAUCGAAAACAUCAGCCUUGCCUUUCUGAGUUUGCAGUGGAGUAGGUUGAAGAUUGUAGAUCCUGUCUCCCUAAGCAGUAGUGGAGUAGAUCAAAGACGGCGAAUCUUAUCUAUCCAAGGUAGUAGGGAAGCAAAUCUAAGCCACCAGUCCUAUCUCCCUGAGUAAUAGUGGAGUAGGUUGAAGAUUGUAAAUCCUGUCUCCCUAAGCAAUAGUAGAGCAAAUAAAAGAUGGCGAAUCUUAUUUUCCCAAGGUAGUAAGGAAGCAGAUUUAAGCCAUCAAUCCUAUCUCCCUGAGUAGCAGUGGAGUAGGUUAAAGAUAUAGAUCCUGUCUCCCUAAGCAGUAGUAGAGCAGAUUGAAGACGGUAAAUCUUAUCUUCUCGAGAUAGUAGGAAGCAGAUUUAAGCCACUAGUCUUAUCUCCCUAAGCAGUAGUGGAGUAGGUUGAAGAUUGUAUAUUCUAUCUCCCUAAGCAGUAGUAGAGCAGAUCAAAGACGGCAAGUCUUAUCUUUCCGAGGUAGUGAGGAAGCAGAUUUAAGCCACCAGCCUUAUCUCCCUGAAGUUGCAACGGAGCAGAAUGAAGAUAACAAAUCUUAUUUCCCUGAAGUUGCAGUGGAACAGAUUAAAGCUAUAAUCACAGAUUUAAUCUCUUUGAGGUUGCAGUAGAGUAGAUUAUGGCGAAUCUUAUCCUCCUAAAGUUGCAGUGGAGUAGAUUAAAGCCAAUAAUCCUAUCUCCCUAAAGUUAUAGUAGAGCGGAUUGAAACCACUAAUCCUAUCUCCCUGAAGUUGCAGUGGAGUGGAUUAAAGACACAAGUCUUAUCUCCUUGGCAUUAUAGUGGAAUAGAUUAAAGCUAAAGGUAGCAAAUCUUGUUCCCCUGGUGUUGUAGCAAUGCAGAUUAAAGUUGAAGGUAGCGAAUCUUAUCUCCUUGGCGUUAAGACUGAAGGAAGCAAAUCUUAUUUCCCUGGCAUUGCAGUGGAACAGAUUAAAGCUAAAGGUAGCGAAUCUUGUUUCCCUUGCAUUGUAGUGGAAUAGAUUAAAGCUGAAAUGGAGCAGAUUAAAGCUGAAGGUAGCAAAUCCUAUCUUUUUGGAGUUACAGUGGAACAGAUUAAAACUAAAGGUAGUGAAUCUUGUUUCCUUGGCGUUACAGUGGAGUAGAUUCAAGCUGAAGGUAGCCAAUCUUAUCUUUCUAGCGUUAAAGUUGUAGAAAGCAAGUCUUAUCCCCCUAAAGUUGCAGUGAGGCAGACUGAAGAUGACAAAUCUUAUCUCCCUAAAUUUGCAGUGGAGCAGAUUAAAGCCAAUAAUCCUAUCUCCCUAAAGUUGCAGUGGAGUGGAUUAAAAUUAGGUCUUAUCUCCCUGAAGUUGCAGUGGAGCAAACUGAAUAAACCAAUCUUAUCUCCCUGAAGUUGCAGUGGAGCAGAUUGAAGAAACCAAUUCUAUCUCCCUAAAGUUGCAAUGGAGCGGAUUAAAAUGAUGGAUCUUAUCUCUCUAAAGUUGCAGUAGAGCAGAUCACGUCAGGUCUUAUCUCCCUGAAGUUGCAGUGGAGCAUAUUGAAUAAACCAAUCUUAUCUCCCUGAAGUUGUAGUGGAGCAGAUUGAAGUUAUAAAUCCUGUCUCCUUGAAGUUGCAGCAGGACGGAUUAAAAUGAUAGAUCUUAUCUCUCUGAAGUUGCGGUAGAGUAGAUCGUAUCAAACCUUAUUUCCUAGAUAUUACAAUGAAACAAGUUGAAGCUACAAGUUUUAUCUCCCUGAAGUUAUAGUGGAGCAAACUGAAGAUAACAAAUGUUCCCUCAAAGAGCUACAAAUCCUAUCUCCUUGAUGUUAUAAUGGAGUGGAUUGAAGCACUAAUUCCUAUGCCCCUGAAGAUGCAGUGGGAUGGAAUGAGACUACUUGAAGAAGACGAGCACUCAAAGAAGUCAGAACUCGGCAAGACCGAGAAAAAUUGGCCCUUUUGUAGUCUUUGCUCCAUUCUCGUUACACGACAACGAGCAAAGAGGGACACUGUAAUAGGCCAAUUUAGCCCGGGCUCACAAAAAAAACCAAAAUAAUAAAACAAAGUCCAAGUCCAGUCCAAAAUUAUAUCAUUUGGCCCAAUCGAGAUGGCCCAUUACUUGAAAAGGUUGAAGGUCUAUCUACAAGCUUGACGCAUAUGGAAACAUAAUCUUUAAGGAUAUGUAAUCUUAGAUAUGAUAUGCAAUCUUAGAAGAUAUGAUUUUGUUUUAAUUUGUAGAUACCCUUUAAUCUUAGCCGUUGAUGUAAUUGAUUUGUACCGUUGAAUUUGGGGAGGCUCAACUAUAAAUAGAGGCCUCUCCCUUCAUUGUAAAACACUUGAGUUUGGAGCAAUAAUAAUUCUUAAGAGCAUUCACUCAAAUUUCUCCCUCUCUUGCGUUCUUAUUUUUUGAGGCUAGUUCUUAUUUUGUUCUUUGUUCAUCUUCUUUUCUUUUUAAGUUGCUUUCAUUUUUAGUUGGACUUUGGUGGAGGAAUUUCGUUGAGUCUUCAUAUUGUGAGAGUUAGGCUGACUUAAGUGUUUUUUUUAACUUUAUUUAUUUAUUCAUUUAAUUUUUUAAUCAUUAAUUAUUCUUUUACUUUAAUUCAUUUAUUUAUCCAUGAACUUUCUUAUUUACAUAUUGUUCAUUCAUUUAACCAUUCUUAUCAUUCUUUUAUUUUCUUCCAUUAAUUAUAUACUUUAUUUGUUUUUCAUAUUGCCCUUUUUUUUAAUCAAAGUUUUUAUGCAUCGUUUUAAUAUUGCGUCAAUUUUCCCCAAUUUUAAAAAAGAAAACUUUUAAAAAUAAGGCAAUAUUCUGUACUUUGGAGCUUUGAGAAAAUCGUGCCCUAACUUAUUGGCUUUCAAUUUUUUUUCCACAUAACCUGAAUAUCCUUUUUAAACUUUAAUGCAUGAGACAAGCUUAGUUUCGAGGGUUAAAAUGUUGUAUCCUAACUUACUGGAUGUGACAUCUUAUUACUUCGAGACAAGGAGGUCUUAACAUCAAAUUCAAUUUAUUCAGGUUUUUAAAGAGGAUCGUAUUUUAAAAUCUUUUCAAAUUUUUGACAUUAGGACGUUAAUUAAUCAAUUAGGUACCAAUUUUUGGGCGUUACGAGGGUGCUAAUACUUCGUCGUGCGUAACCGACUCCCGAGCCCGUUUUCUCGAAUUUUGUAGACCAAAAUUAUUAUUUUAAGAAAUCAAAAUGUUUUAUUAAAAUGAUUAAUCUCAAAGUGACCCAAUCACACCUCGAAAAAAGAUUGGUGACGACUCCAUUUUCGUUUUAAAAGUCGAUCCCAUUUUUCAAAAUAAAAAAAAUGGUUUCGACAAUAUAUAUUUUGUAUAUAUUAAGAUUUUGAAUCCUUAAUUAUAUAUCUAUAUAUUAUAAUAAUUUUAUAAUAUUAUAAAUAUAUUAUAUCAUAAAUAUUCUUUCAAAUAUUUUUUAAUGUUUAAUAAUAAGUUAAUUUAUAAAAUAUUCUUUCAAUAAAUUAACGUGAUGAGAUCGUUAGGUGCUUGGAUUUGGUGAUGGGGGAUGAAGAGAAAAGGGAUGGAAGUGAAGACAUAUGUUCAGAAAUGGAAACGGUUAGCAAGGGAAGCCGCCAUGAAAGGUGGCUCUAUGGAUAUGAACCUUCAAGCUUUUGUGGAUGAUGUUACUCAAAGGUUGUUGCAAGUAAAUUCAAAAAUGUUUUUUUUAAUUAAUUUUUUGUUAAAAAAUAUUUUUUAUUUUUCAUGUGGCAUGCCACAUUAUUAUACUAUCAUGUGAUUUCUGUCCGUAAGAUUAGUCAAAUCAACGGAUAAAUUGUUCAACUCACAAUUUUUGUUAAAUGAAGAGGUCAAUUAAUUUUUUUGGAAUCAUUGAGAACUCAAUUGGUGCAGUUUUUUCAUAAAGGCUAAAUUAAUUAUUUAAUUUGUUACUGUUGAGGGCUAUAGCAAUAAAAAAAUUUGAGGUAAAAUGAAAAAAAUUGUUAAAACUAAACUUGUGAUUAUGCCUAAUUUUAUCACAUUCUCCUUCGUUGGUAUUUAUGAUUUAGAAAAUUUUACAAAUAUAUUAUUUUUUAAGAAAUUAUAAGAAGAUUACAAAAAUUCCAAAAAUAUAUAAAAAAAGCUAAGAAAAACCUAGAAAUAAAAAAAAAAUCAUGUUUUUACAAAUUGGGAAAUACCUAAAUUUGUUUUCACCAAUUAAGAAAUUAAAAAAAUUGUUGAGAAAUAUCUUUUUCGAAAUAUCAUAAUUGCAUUUAAGACCUCAUGAUUAUCUUUUAUAAUUUCAGGCUUAUCAACUAUUUUGAAAACAACAAAACGUCUUACACCAAAACACAAAAAAAAAACGUCGACAUAUCACUUUAGCAUUGACUUACUUUUCUACUGUUAGUCUUCUCCAACAAGUUAAAUACUUCAAUUUUAACAACAUUGACAGGUCUUUGGGGUAGGGUCGAGCAAAACUCAAUAGAAACAGAUGAUAUAGGUUGAGUUGGCUCGGUCAAGCCCAUGUCCCUAGCUAUACGCCCCUCGUAAAAUCAAUUUUAAAAUUAAUUAUAAUAGUUUAAGCGAAUUGAUUAUUGAGUAAUGAAAUACUUAAUUCAACCAAUUGAUGUAAUCAAAUUAUAAUAAAUAUAUAUUUACUUUUAUGGUAUCCUUCAUCUCCUUUUUAGAGUUUGUGGGAAUAUUUUUUUUAAGCUUCGAAUUUAUUUUCUUAUUUAUGAGUACAAUGUGUCUUACAAUUACAUCUGCAGUUUAUAUUUUUUAUUUGAAAACAAAUAUUAUAAUAUAUGAAAACCCCAUAUAUAUAUAUAUAUAUAACCAAAUUUUGUCACACCCAUUUUAUGUUAAAAAUAUUUUCUUUUAAAUCGAGUAUAGGUUGGGUGGUAAAGUACUUAUAUUUUAAUACUAGUAAAUACAUGUUCAAUCUUUAGAUUUAUAAUUUAUAAUUCUUUUAACUGAAGAUGAUAUACAAGUAUGAAAAGACAAAAGUGACAUAGUAAUAAUAUUAAUUAUAAAUUUUAUAAUUUCAUGAUUGAGUUGAUGACGUAGUUGAAGGUAGCACUAACUCUAAAACACUUAAAUAUAGUAAUAGCUUAAAAAUGAGGGGCUUCUGGUAAAUACAUUACUGAGUUGGUAACCUGAUUGAGAGUAACACCAACUCAAUAAAACUCUUAAAUAUUGACUGCAAAUCCUAUCACACACUCAUGUGUAUGAAAACCACAAAUUUAGAAUGCAAAAAUGUGUUUAAAAAUAACAUACAAUAAAGAAUGAAAUUUAUGAUUUGAAACUAAUUAAUAAUAACACAUGAAAUAUGUACGAUAUCAAAAUGAAAAAAUAAAAGAUUAAAUUGUGCAUAAAACAAAAUUUUAUCCUAUUACAUCAAUAAAGUUAUAUUUAUUACCCUCGCCAAUUGUUUGUCAUUAAGAACAUUAAAGUAUCCUUGAAUGAUAUAACUUAUUCUAAUUAGAGUUGAUUGGUUGGCUUGGAUACCAACUCAGUCAGGGGCUUAAAAUUAUUAAAAUAUUAAUAUUUUAAAGAGAAAUUAAUAUUAUUAUAUGUGUAUUUUCACCUUUUCAUACUUUUAUAUAAUCUUCAAGUAAAACGAUUGAAAAAUAUUAUUUGAGAAUCAAACAAAAGACUAAAAAAUUCAUAUAGAAAAUGCUUGCAACUCCACUAAUAAUCAUUUGCCGAUGUAUUUUUGGUAAAAGACCUCUCCAAUCCCUCUUAAUUUCACAAUUGCACAAAUUACUCCCUCUCAAAAAAUUGGAGCAAUUUAAUCCCUAUCAAUUUUGAAAGUGAGUAAAUAAGGACAAUUAAUUAUGGUAUUAAAUUCUUCCAUCAAUCGUAGAUAAUUUUGAUUGGUAUAGUUAUAAAUUUAGCCUUCAAUGUUUAUAUAUUUUGUCAUUUUUGCCUUAAUUUUUAAAAAAUAUUCAAGAAAUUCAACCUCAACAUUUACAUAUUUACACAAACAUUGCAGGAAAUUUUUGUUAAACUAAGACCAAAUUGCAAAGUGUGCAAAUUUUGAAGGCUAAAUUUAUUAAUAUACCAACAAAAACCAUGUACAUUUUAUGGAAAAUUAACGUCCUGAUUAAUUAUUCUUAGUUGCUCACUUUCAAAAUUAAUAGGGACUAAAUUGCUCUGAAUUUUUUUAGGGUGACCAAUUUCCUCAAUUUGGAAAUUGAGAGAGACUAUUGAGAUCUUUCACAUAUUUUUUUUAUAAAUAUAUUUUUUAAUAUAAAAUAUACUUGUUCACCCACAUCAUGUGUAUGGUAAAAUAUUUUUAUUGUUGAUUGAGUUGGUGUCAAAAAUUAACUUGACACCAACUCAAGAUUAAUAAUAACAAUAUGAUAAAUAAUUUCUUUAUUUAAUAUUCUUAAUUUAACAUAUUGAUGUAAAUUUUAAGACAUGUAUGUCUUGUAGAAUUGUGCUUAUACUUUUUGAGUAUUGAGUCAGUUUUCCACAUUUGUGGGUCUCUAUUUGAGCAACACAAUUUCAACAUUUCUUCAUCUCGCUUAAUCCAAAUGCAUUUAGGAUUUUUUUAUAUCAUUGUUUCAAAAACGAUAAAAAAAUACGUCGACAUUGAAUUUGCUAUUUCACAUUCAAUUUCUGGAGAAGUAGAAUUUUCUAACUUAUUUUCCAUCAACUUCACUUCAAUUUUCAAUCACAAUCAAUUGCUUUCAAGAGCACCACAUCUUUUUGGAUGAAACAAACCUCUCAAUAUUAAGAUAAACGGGUCUUUAGGGCUAUUAAUUGAGGGCCUUUUCCACAAUUGCCAUCGUUAUUUGCGGGUGAUUCGGGGAUAAUAACAUCAACAUUUCUGUAUCACAUUUAAUUCAAUUCCACAUUGAACUUUUAAUUUUUAAAUAGAUGAUUGGGUUACAACAAUGGUUUGAAGUGAAGAUAUUUCAAAAGAAGGCAAAUAUAUCACUUUUUUGAGGGGUCUUUGGAGUUAUAUGUGACUUUAGCAUUGACUGACUUUUUUACAAUUAAUCUUUUAUAAUAAGGUAAAUAUAUCAAUUUUAAUAACAUCGACAUGUUUUUUAGUAGGGUCGAGCAAAAUCCAAUUAAAACCUUUCAUCACUGCAAAAAUGAAAUAAUAGAAAUGAAAGACUAGCCAUUGUAUGAGAUCUAUAAUUGAACUGUCAACGAAAUUGGGAGAAAUUUUAAAAUUUUAUGAAAUUUUAAAAUUAAACUGUCAAUAAUAUAAAAUUGCCUGAGUGACUUGGGAUAAGAGGUUGAACAUUGCUGGAUCACAUUACAUUUAAGAUGGGUCUUUAAGGUUAUACUUUAGUUAUUGAGAACAUUUUCCACAAUUUGCCAUCGUUAUUUGUGGGGUAUGUGGUUGAACACUUCUGGAACACAUUGCAUUUAGGACGGGUAUCAUUCAUAGACUGACUUUUCUAUAAUUAGUCCUUGCUUUACUUUAGGUGGAUUCUUCCAACUAGUCCAAGAAUUAUUGUACAGUUACAAUUAAUCUUUUUAAAUGAGACAAACAUUUCAAAUUUGUCGUUACUAUUUGUGAGUGAUUUUGGGGUAAGAAGUUUAACACUUCUGGAUGUCUUAUAGAAUUGUGAUUAUACUUUUUGAGUAUUGACUCAGUUUUCCACAAUUGUGGGUAUCUACUUGAGCAAAACAAUUUCAACAUUUCUUCAUCUCGUUUGAUCCAAAUGCAUUUAUGCAUUUCUUAUAUCAUUGAAUUUGCUGUUUCACAUUCAAAUUUUGGACAAGUAGAAUUUUCUAACCUAUUUUCCGUCAACUUCACUUGAAUUUUCAAUCACAAUCAAUUGCAUUCAAGAGCACCACAUCCUUUUGGAUAAAACAAAACUUUCAAUUUUAAGGUAAACGGGUCUUUAGGGUUAUACGAGGGCCUUUCCACAAUUGCCAUCAUUAUUUGCGGGUGAUUUGGGGAUAAUAACUUGAACAUUUCUGGAUCACAUUUAAUUCAAUUUUUAAAUUUUAGAGAGAUGUUUGGGUUACAACAAUUUCCAUCAUUAUGUUUAAUAUAACAUUUGGGAGGAAAAGGAGCAAAAAAAAUGAGUGAAAAUCAGAAAAUGGGGGCAAAGUAUAGGACCCACAUGAGCUGACCUAUUCCACUUGACUAUGGGACGACAUCAAUUUCGUAGAUUUGCACUUUGACCUGCUAAAAAAUACGAAUUUUAGGCUUUUCUGGCAUUCUAAGAUAUAUAUAUAUGACAAAAAUAAGAAGAUAUAAGAGAACCUUCCUAGAAUAUUCAAGAAAACAACUCCAAAGACACUACUAAAGCCGACUCUGAACCAGAUUUUCAUUAAGAUGGAAGAUUCCUAAUUGAUUUCUUAAGAGAUUAUCAUGAGUUUCUUUAUUCCUUUCAGUUAUACUACCCUUUGGAUGUUUUUAUUUUUAAUCAUGAACUAAUUUUCUAAAUACCUAAGAGAGAUGAACCCUAUGAUAGAUUGUGACACCCCAAAGCCGACCGAGACAGACCGACCCGAAUUCGAAACAUUACAUUAGCCACCUAAGUGACUUUCUAGCUAACAACCAGCCAAGACACACCCUAACCUUAUUGUACAAGCCUAAUUUUGACCAAGACUAAACCAAAUAAAUUAACAGUCCAUAAGAGUCCAAAUUACAACUAUCCUGAUACGACCCAAAUUAAAAACAACAACCCAAGCCCAAACCUAACCCUAGUAGCCCAAAGCCCACAAGCUAAAAAAUCUUAGCAGAAAAAACAAAGUUGCUAACCCUAGGCGCUGCGCCUGGGUCCUCUACCAUUGACCGUAUGCCUCUAUCAUCGCGUCUCACAGCCUCUGCCACGCCUCUGCUACCUGCAAGAAACCAACAAAGCACAAAACGACAACAGCAAUAGGGGCCAAAUCAAAAAAUAAUAAAAAAAUAGAUCAUGAAUCGCUUAGAUCGGCUAUAAAGGCCAAAAUAUUAACCUUGUAAUGCUUCUUCUUUUUUUUGACGAACAUUAGAAAAAUAAAAAAUAGAAAACAAGUAUCAAAGGUAGAUUUUUUUCAUUUUCAAAUUCACAUUUCUUUUCCCUGUGUAUUUUCUUUUCUUCUAUUUUUUUUACAUACAACUAGUAAGAACAAAGAAAGAGAAAGAAAAACCUCACCUAGAAUAGCCCCUCAAGUCCGGUCGUCGGAGGCCCUUUUCCCGUUGUCGGAAUUAGACCUAAAAGGGGGGCUAGGGGUGCCCUCUCCUGGUUUUUUAGGCCAAAGAAGGUUGGAUCUUUGAGCGCACUGGAAAUCGGGGUUGAAACGCCUCUUUUGCGCAACGUCGGCCAUCGGUCACGGUGGCGCUACGGCGGCACUUACGGCCGAAACCCUAGGCCGAGCGGGGUGGGGGUUUGAGAGAGGGAGAGAGCUCAAAAGCUCUCUGAAUUUUUUUAAAAAAAAUGGGAUGAAACUGAUUUUCUUUGGGUUUUUUAUUUUAUUUUAUCCUAAGUAUGAAACGCCUCCGUUUUGGACUUAAGUAGCCAUGGCCAAAACGACGCCGUUUUACAUCGUUUCCCCCAUACCCGCGCGCGCGACCCGACCCGCCAGGGGAUCCGCACGUUUUGACUCUAAGGGGAUAUUUGCGCAAUCUGCCCCUACGCUUUUUCGACGUAUUCAAUUCUGGUUUAUUAUUAUUUUUAUUUUAGCCAUGUAUUUUUGCUUCCGAUUCAAGUUGGUCCUUAGACCAUGUGUUGUUCCACGGUUAAAACGCCGCGCUUUAGGACUGGGGAAUAUUUCCCUGAAAGUCCCUCGCUCUUUGAGCGCGUUUCAUUUUGGUCCCGAGCCACCCCUUUUAUUUAUUUGCAAUUUAGACCGCGAGUUCUAAUCCGAUUUCAAUUUAAUCCUUAUUCCAUAUAAUUAUUUUAUUUUCUUUUUCUUUAAAAAUUAAUUUUUUUUAUUUUUAAAAAGGAGCUCUUCUAUUAUUAUUAUUUAUUUUAAGUUAUACAUAUAUUAUUUAUUCUAAAUGUUUUGCCUAAUAUUUACUUAAUUUUUUUAUUCUAUUAUUUGUUUAACAACUAUAUGUAUAUAUUGUCUCUUAGAAUUUAUAUAUAUAUAUAUAUUUAUAUAUAUAUAUUAUUUUAAUAAAAAUAAAGAAUACUGUUUUUAAUUAUUUUAAACUAUCUUAGUAUUUUUUUUUUCAUUUUAAAGCUUUAUAUUGCUUGUUUGAGACAUUUUGCCAUACAUUUCGAGUUAAUCUCAUAAGUUAUUCGUCUUAUACUAUUACCUACGUAAAAUUGUUCUUUAUUAUUUCGUUUCGUUUGCUUGGACUAUUAAUAUUGAUAUGUUAAAAUGUUGCACAUGGUGUGAUUAUUAUCAUUACGUACGUUGUAAUUAGUUUAUUUGUUUUCGCAUUAUUGCCAUUAUGUGUAUUAUUUCGUUUACUCGUAUUUCCAUGCUAUGGCAAUUCAUUCGUAUAUCAUGUUGUUCAAAAAUUAUUUCACCAUAUUAUAAAUUGUCACCCCAUCGACGCAACCUUUUUGUUCACGCAUUAUUUCAAACAUUACAUUUUUUACCCAAACAUGCAAAAAUGAAAAUUUCAAAUAAGGCAAUAUUUUGUGUAUUGGCGAUUCGAGAAAUUGUAUCCUAACUUAUGGGGUUUUGGCCUUUCUCGUUAAAACUAAUAGCAAAAUACCCUUUUUAAAAUAUCAAAAAAUGACGAAAGGAAUCUAAAUAAGGCAAUAUUUCGUGUUUAGAAAUUCAAGAAAACGUACCCUAAUGUGCUGGGUUUCGAUUCUUUCGUUUGACCAAAUAGCCAAAUAUUCUCUUAAAAUUUCAAAGUAUGGGUUUUGGAACCAUAAGGUGAUCUUGGGUUCGAGGGUUUAAAGUAUUGUAUCCUAACGUGCUGGAUGUGAUUUUUUUCUAAACAAGAGAAUCCUAAAUUCCAACCCAUGUUAUUCGAGUUUUUUUUUAUGAUAGUAUUUUUAAAAACUCUUCAAAGUUUUCAAUCUUCGACAUUAAGACACUAAUUAAUCAACUAGGUACCAAUUUUUUGGCGUUUCGAGGGUGCUAAUCCUUCCUCGUACGUAAUCGACUCCCGAACCUAUUUUUCUGAAUUUCGUAGACCAAAAGCAUUGUUUUAAUAAAUCCAAAUCAUUUAUUAAACACAAUCGUUUUACGAGGUGACCCGAUCACACCUCAUCAAAAAAGAUUGGUGGAGACUCCCGUGUUCGUUUUCGUUUUUCAAAAUUAAAGUCGACCCUCGUUUUACAAAAAAUGGUGUCAACACUUAUAACACCUCAAUCUUAUUUAAUUAUUAUUUAUUUAUUAAUGGCAAAGUAAAUUAUGAGCCAAUUUUGAACUUUUCCUAGGUAAUUUAACCUAAGGGCAUUUAUGUCAUUUUACUAAAAUAAUUUCUGUAAUUUUUAUUAUUCGGCUAUAUAAAGCCAUUGGUGAUACUAUAAAAAAGAAUUACGGAGAUACUAUAAAAAAGGAUUACGGAUUCGAAAGAAAAGAAAAAAAAUCAAAUAGCAUUAUAUUUUUAAGGUGGUUUCCGAUUUCUACUUCUUUUUUCUUUUUCCUUUGAUUUGUUUUUAUUUGCUGAUUAAAAGAUAAAAAAGGGGGAAGUUCUUACUUACAUAUUGCGCCGCCGGAGCCUUCAUCCCUUUUGUUUCAAGUUGGAAUGGGGUGGGCAAUGGUCGAAUCGAAAACAGCACAUAGAGGGUAGAUUUUAAGGUUUCUUUGGUUAGAUUUUUUUUUUAAAAAAUGGAGUGUCUACUAAUAUUUAGGGUUUAUGUUGACUUAUAUAUGGCGUAUGAAACGACGUCAUUUCAUGCCAUUUCAGUGGUUUCAAAACGGCGUCAUAUAGGACCGAGAUCUGUGCGGUGACCUGACCCGAGGGAAGGAUCCGCACGUUUUGUCGCGAUGGUCUAUUUUUACAUUAGGUCCCUUCGUUUUUUAUUAUUAUAAUGCAGUUUUUUUAUAUAUUUUUAAUUUGUACUCCUUGAUUUGUUUUAAUUUCAAUUAGGUCCAUAAUCGAACGACGUCGUUUUGGAGGGCAGGGAUUAAUUUCCCUUUUGGUCUCUCUUUGUUAUUCGCGCGUUCGAUAUGGUCCUUUUCUUUUUAUUUAUUUUAAAUUUGCCCCUAAAUUUCUGUUUUAAUUCCAAAUUAGUAACCUAUUUUGUUAUUUUUGCUAUUAAAUUAAUUACUUUAAUAUUAAUUUAUCAUUAUUACUAUUAUUACUAUCAUUAUUGUUAUUAUUAUUAGUAGUAGUAGUAGUAUUUAUAUAUAUAUAUAUAUAUCUAACUUUUUUUAUAUACAUAAUUUUAUUCUAUUAUAUACUAUUAUUUAGUUUUUUUUAUACUAUUAUCAUAUAUUAUUAUUUAAGUUUGUAAUGUAUUUUUUUUAUAUUAAUCCAAUAUAAUAUAUAUAUUUUCCAUUUUUUAUUUUAUAAUAUAUUUUUUAAAUUCACCUAUAUAUAUUUCUAUGCUUUAAAAGAUUUAUACGAUAAUGUCCUUAUAUAAUACUAUUUUAUAUAUAUGUAUACACAAUUUAUAUUAAAUUAUUUUCAUUAUAUGUACAUAUAUGACAUAUGAUAGAUUUCAUUUUUUUUCACUUAUUUUCAUAAAUAAUUUAUUUCUUUUAAAAAGCCUACUCUAUUAUGUUUUAUUUAUUUCUGCUUUUUACAUGUAUUAUUAUAUAUGUAUACUAUUAUUUAUAUCAAGUUUUUCACUCCAUGUGUAUUACAUAUUCUAAAUUAAUAUAUAUUAUUUUAUAUAUUUUAAUUUUCUUCUUAUAUAAUAUUUGCUUCAAAAUUCAUCUAAAUACUAUUAUUUUAUGUAGUGUUUAUUUUUUACUCUAUCUUGAUUACAUUUCAUACUUAUAUAUAUGUAUAUUGUUCAUUUUUAAACUUUUUGUACGUAUAGUUUAUUGAUUAUAAUUUCUUCUCUCUUUUUUUUAGUGUAUCUUUAAAAAUUGAUUAGUAAUUCACUUAAAUUUUGAAUGUUGAAUGAUUGAGAUUGUUGCCUUGCUUGUUAGUAUUUGUCUAUUGGUUAUUUGUUAUUCAUUAGUGUAUGUUAUUUACAAAUUAUCCUUUACGUUGUACGUUGUCAUUUAUUCGCAUUACAUUCGUUUAAAAGGUUGCAUUUGAUUAAAAUAAUAAAAUUGUUUACCCAUAAAAUUUUCAAGAUACUUGGUAUCCAAGAUUCUUGAGAAGAUUGUGCCCUAACUUACUCGGCUUCAAUUUUCCUCAUUGGAUUGAGGUAACCGGGUAUCUCUUUUUCGAUUAAAACAUAAAAAUUCAAAUCAAAACUUAUCUCGAGGAUUCAAAACGUUGUGUCCUAACUCAUUGGAUAUGACAUUUUGUUAUCUUGAGAUGAGGUUUUUUUUAAUAAAGGCAAACUCACAUGUUGUCGUCGGAACUUCAAAGAAUCGUACCCUAACUUACGGGGUUUUGAUUUCCUUAUUGAAGCAAGAUGACCAAAUUUUUUAGUUUUUGAAAUAAUAAAUUUCAAUAAAGAUUUUUUAAAAGGAGAAUCACUUUUUUAAUCUUUUUUUGACAUUCGACCUUAAGACAUUAAAUAAUCAAUUAGGUACCAAUUUUGGGCGUUACGAGGGUGCUAACCCUUCCUCGUACGCAAUCGACUCUCGAACUCAUUUUUUCUGAAACUCAUAGACCAAAAUCGUUUUCAAGGUGAUUCGAUCACACCUCAAUAAAAGAUCGGUGACAACUCCAAUUUUCAUUUUUAAGUCGACAACUAACUUUUGUUUUCAAAAAGUGGUUUCGACAGCUUGUCAACUCCACUGGGGAUUGAUUUUAAGAGUCGAGCCAUAAAUUGAUUAAUUUUUGUCUUAUGGUCGAAAAAUCAAAUUUUGUUUUUAAAUUCACGAUUCUCCUUUGCAUUUAUUGUUUUCAUCAUGGUAUUGUUGCUUGGUUGGUCUAAGUCUGUUAAUGUAUUUGCAUCGUGCAUUACACGAGUUGGACGAUUUUACCCUUCUAAGUGGGAGUGAGAAACUAUUCCUUUGUGAGGUUUUCACCUCCGCAUAGGAUAGUGGAUCUCUUUCGGGAUACAUCCGUACCUAUGUCUUCGUAAUAUUUUCAUCUCCAUGUAGCCAUAGGGAAAUGUAUUCCCUUAAACCGAACUCAGUUCGCAUGAGCCUAUAAUUGGUGAGGAUCGAGGAAUCUACUGGUUUGGGUACCUUUGCACUAGAAGCCAAACCGUACAUUGUGAACCUUAGGAACUUGCCCUAGGUAGAACUAUGUCAAACCCUAGUAGAUACCCAAAUAGGUGCUUUAUUAUUUCUUGUUUGAAUUGAAUUUUAUUUUUAUACAUGAUACUAACUUGUGUUUUGUUUUGAUUGCAUGGCAUUUUGACUACAUGGCAUUUCAUUAUAAAAGGCGUUGAUUCAUAUUCGGUUACUAGAUAGAAAGCUUAUCAUGGAAAAAGGGUUUCUUGAUAAGGUGAAGGAUAAUGCGGCUGUCCGAACUUGGUCUGAAACAACAUAGCGAGAAACAUUUCAUGGAAAAAGGGUUUCUUGAUAAGGUGGGUUUCUUGAACAUUUCUGGAUCACAUUUAAUUCAAUAUUUAAAUUUUAGAGAGAUGUUUGGGUUACAACAAUUGCAUCAUUAUGUUUAAUAGAACAUUUGAUAGGAAAAGGAGCAAAAAAAUGAGUGAAAACCGAAAAAUGAGGGCAAACUAUAGGACCCACACGGGCUGACCUAUUCCACUUGACUGUGUGACCCACACGGUCGUGUGGCAAACCACGUCAAUUUCAUUGAUUUGCACUUUUAACUGAGAAAAAUACGAAUUUUAGGUUUUUCGGGCAUUCUAAGAUGUAUAUAUGACAAAAUUAAGAAGAUAGGACCUUCCUAGAAUAUUCAAGAAAGCAACUCCAAAGACACCACUAAAGCCGACUCUGAAGCAGAUUUUCAUUAAGAUGGAAGAUUUCUAUUCGAUUUCUUAGGAGAUUAUCAUGAGUUUCUUUAUUUCUUUCAAUUAUAAUGCCCUUUUGAUGUUUUUAUUUUUAAUCAAGAUUAAUGAUAACAAUAUCAUAAAUAAUUUAUUUAUUUAAUAUUCUUAAUCUAACAUAUUGAUGUAAAUUUUAAAUUGACAUUAUUUGAUUCUUUUUAAUAUAUAUUGCUAAGCUUUACAUUAAUAUUUGUUGGUUAUUAUUAUUAUUAUUAUUAUUUAAACAUUAAUCAUGUUUAAAUGCGUUUCAUCCUCCAAUUUAAGAGUUGGAGAGAAUUUUCAAUAGUUAAAUUAUAUCAGUUUUUAUCUAUUUAAAAAUUAUUUAUAAAUAAUAUAAGUAGAAAUUAAAUUUAAAAAAAAUACAUAUUCAUAUUCUAUCGGCUUUUUCAUUAUUAGAGUUUUUCCUCACAGGUAAAAGUAUUUAUGGACAGGAUGGCGUAAUAUUAUGACUUGAAAAGUUUUAAACCCUUCAACACUGCAAAAAUGAAAUAAUAGAAAUGAAAGACUAGCCAUUGUAUGAAAUUUAUAAUUGAACUGUAAACAAAAUUAAACUGUCAAUAAUAGAAAAUUGCCUGAGUGACUUGGGAUAAGAGGUUGAACAUUUAUGGAUCACAUUGCAUUUAAGAGGGGUCUUUGGAGUUAUAUGAUACUUUAACAUAGACAUAGACUUUUCUAUAAUUAGUCACUGCUUUACUAUGGGUGAAUUCUUCCAACUAGCAUGAUAGUUGAUGUUACUCUCCAAGAAUUAUUGUAGCCUCCUCUUCCAACUAGCGUAGAGUUAUCUUUAUUCCUACCCCACGCUGGCAACAAACCACUGCUCAAAUUAAUUUGAAGAUAUCUCUUUUCGAAUCCAUGAGUUUUGUUUUCCUUUUUGUAAAAUAGAUAUCAAGAGAUACCAAAAAUUAUUUUACUAACAAAUUUUAAUUCACUCAAAAAGUAAGUGUUUUAUUUCAAGGGAUCACAAUUAAACAUUAGAUUUCUCAUUUUUUAAUUUUAAUUCAUUUAAGAAAGCUGAUGUAACACAUUAGUGACAUCAUUCCAAACAAAGUUUUAGGUCAAAAUUUUCAUCUAGUCCUUGUAAUUGUUUUUAGGUGAAUUUCAUUAUUAUUCUUUUAUUUUCUUUGGCUUAAAUACACAUUUACCCCUAAUUUUAUCACACUCUCCUUAAUUGGUAUUUAUGGUAUAGAAAAUUUUACAAAUAUAUAUAUAUAUUAAGCAAUUAUAAGAAGAUUACAAAAAUUCCAAAAUAAUAUAAAAAAGCUAAGAAAAACCUUGAAAUUCAAAAAAAAAAUCAUGUUUUUACAAAUUGGGAAGUACCUAAAUUUGUUUUCAUCAAUUAAGAAAUUAAAAAAAUUGUUGAGAAAUAUCUUUUUAGAAAUAUCAUAAUUGCAUUCAAGACCUCAUGAUUAUCUUUUAUAAUUUCAGGCUUAUCAACUAUUUUGAAAACAAAGAAAUGUCAUACACCAGAAAAAUAAACAAAAACAAAAACGUCGACAUAUCACUUUAGCAUUGACUUACGUUUCUACUGUUAGUCUUCUCCAACAAGUUAAAUAUUUCAAUUUUAACAACAUUGACAGGUCUUUGGGGUAGGGUCUAGCAAAACUCAAUAGAAACGGAUGAUACAGUUUGAGUUGGCUCGGUCAAGCCCAUGUCCCUAGCAAUACGGCCCUGGUAAAAUCAAUUUUAAAGUUAAUUAUAAUAGUUUAAGCGAACUGAUUAUUGAGUAAUGAAAUACUUAAUUCAAACAAUUGAUGUAAUCAAAUUAUAAUAAAUAUAUAUUUACUUUUAUGGGUUCCUUCAUCUCCUUUUUAGAGUUUGUGGCAAUAUUUUUUUUAAGCUUCAAAUUUAUAUUUUUUUUAUUUAUAAGUACAAUCUGUCUUACAAUUACAUCUGUAGUUUAUAUUUUUUAUUUGAAAACAUAUAUUAUAAUAUAUAUAUAUAAAACCAAAUUUGGUCACACCCAUUUUAUGUUAAAAAUAUUUUCUUUUAAAUUGAGUAUAGGUUGGGUGGUAAAGUACUUAUAUUUUAAUACUAGUAAAUACGUGUUCAAUCUUUAGAUUUAUAAUUUAUAAUUCUUUUAAUUAAAGAUGAUAUGCAAGUAUGAAAAGACAAAAGUGACACAGUAAUAAUAUUAAUUAUAAAUUUUAUAAUUUCAUAAUUAAGUUGAUGACGUGGUUGAAGGUGGCACUAACUCUAAAACACUUAAAUAUAAUAAUACCUUAAAAAUGAGGGGCAUUUGGUAAAUACAUUUCUGAGUUGGUGACCUGAUUGAGGGUCACACCAACUCAAUAAAACUCUUAAAUAUUGACUACAAAUCCUAUCACACACUUAUGUGUAUGAAAACCACAAAUUUAGAAUGCAAAGAUGUGUUUAAAAAUAACAUUUAAUAAAGAAUAAAAUUUAUGGUUUGAAACUAAUUAAUAAUAACACAUGAAAUAUAUACGAUAUCAAAAUGAAAAAAUAAAAGAUUAAAUUGUCCAUAAAACAAAUUUUUUUCCUAUUACAUCAAUAAAGUUAUAUUUAUUACCCUCGCCAAUUGUUUGUCAUUAAGAACAUUAAAGUAUCAUUGAAUGAUAUAACUUAUUCUAAAUAGAGUUGAUGUAUGCUUGGCUUGGGAUACCAACUCAGUCAGGGGCUUAAGAUUAUUAAAAUAUUCUUAUUUUAAAGGGAAAUUAAUAUUAUUAUAAGUGUAUUUUCACCUUUUCAUACUUUGAUAUAAUCUUCAAGUAAAACGAUUGAAAAAUAUUAUUUGAAAACAUAAGACUAAAAAAAUUCAUAUAGAAAACGCUUACCACUCCACUAAUAAUCAUUUGUCAAUGUAUUUUUGGUACCUCUCCAAUCCCUCUUAAUUUCACAAUUGCGCAAAUUAGUCCCUCUCAAAAAAAUUGGAGCAAUUUAAUCUCUAUCAAUUUUGAAAGUGAGUAACUAAGGAUAAUUAAUUAUGGUGUUAAAUUCUUCCAUCAAUUGUACAUAAUUUUGAUUGGUAUAGUAAUAAAUUUAGCCUUCAAUGUUUAUAUAUUUUUGUCAUUUUGGCCUUAAUUUUUAAAAAAAAUUCAAGAAAUUCAACCUCAACAUUUACAUAUUUACACAAACGUUGCGGGAAAAUUUUGUUAAAGUAAGACCAGCUAAAUUUAUUAUUAUAUCUGUAGGGCCCAAUUUUUGCCCGGCCCGUUAAACAAAUAAAACCCAAAAAUACAAGCCCAAUAACCCUAAACUUUGCCCAACUAGCAACCUCCAUACCCCAAACCCUAGUGGCAGCUUCCAGCAACUCCAGCCGCCGCACGAUGCGGGCCAGAAUCCUCCCUACGCGCGAUUUGCGCCUCCACGGGCGUGCGCACUCCCCAACAGUGCCUAUACCUGCGAGAAAAAACUGGAAAAUGGCAGAAAAUGCAGCAAUAACAGAAAAUAUUUCUUUGAUUUUGUAUUUUUUUUGUUAUUAUUUAUUUUUUAUUUUCGGUUAUAUAUAAACCGAUUUGUAAAGAGAAUGGGGGGAUUUUUUCAGUUUAAAGGAUACAAAAUAGAGAAAAAGAACAGAUCGAACUUGUUUUUUUUAAAGGUUUUUUUUUCGUUUUAUUUUGCAGUGUCUAUUGUUUUUAUUUCCAUUUUUUUAUUUUAUUUUAUUUUCAUUUUAUUUUAUUUAGAAUAACAAAGAAAAAGAAAAAGAAAACUUACCUAAGUUGAGGUCGAAAUCGGUGCCGGAAUUCGGACCGACUGAAUCGCCUGAGAGGCGGUGCGAGGAUGCUAGGGAUGAAACCCUAGCAGAGCAAAGGGAGCCUUUUUUUUAUUUUUUUCUUUUCAAUCUGAUUACAGUGGUUUUGAAAGGAAAAUUUUAUUUUAAAUAACGUUCAAAACGGCGCCGUUUUCCCAGGCUUGACCCGCACGGUGACCUGACCCGAAGGGGAGGAUCCGCGCGUUUGGCUUCAAAAGGGAAAUUGCGCAUUUAGCCCCUGCCUUUUGCAAUGCGCUUCAAUCAAGCCCCUUUUGUUUUUUUUUAAAUUUAGGCCGCAUAUUUCAUUUUUGUUUCAUUUGGGUCCCUCGCUGCGCAACGCAUUGGAAGGACGGGAUAAUUUCCCUUUUGGUCCUCCACUCUUGCGCGCGAAUUCAAUGUGGUCCUGUUUUAUUUUACUUCAAAUUUACCCCUUUUUUUCCUUUUUAGUUCAAUUUAAUCCUUUUAUUUUAAACUGUUGUAUUUUUUUUAUUUAUGUUAUACUAAUUUAUUAUUUUUAUUUUUAUUAUCAUUAUUAUAUCUACCUAUGUACACGCACAUGCGUUUCUUAUCAUAUCUAUGUAUAUACUGUAUAUAUAUUUAAAUGUUUUAUAUGCAUAUGUUAUAUUCAUUAUUAUUAUUAUUUUAUAACAAACAUGCAUUGUUUUUUUAUGAUACAUAUACAUACGCAUGGCUUUUAUAAUAUAUAUAUAUAUGCAUUCUUUUAUACAGUAUACAUAUACCUCUAUAUAUUUUAUACAUUUUUUUUAUUUUCUAACUUUUACAUAUAUAAAUAAACUUUUAUAUUUUAGUUUUUUAUAAAUACGUAUGUACAUAUGUUUUCUUUUACAUUUUCUUUACGACAUACUUAUACAUUUUCUGUAAAUAUAUAUACAUAUGCAUAUUUUGAUAUUUUUAUCUUCACAAUUUUCACGUAUACAUACACAUGUUUUGCAUGCAUAUUCUUAGAAAUUAUUGUAAGCUUGUUGUAUAUAUUUCUUUACCUUCCUUUUUAUAAGUACACUUGUAUUUACGUGUUAAAUGCAUGCUCAUACAUAUUUUCAAGCUUACUUGUAUAUUGUGCUCAUAUAUAUUUUGUAAAUAUGUAUUCAUAUACAUUCUAAAUUAAAGUUUUUGCUUCAUAUUAUACAUUAACUUUCGAUAUACCCUUUUUGAAAAUAUAUUUUGGUUUUAACCGUACGACAAACUUAUUUUCCUGAUUCGAAGGUGUUUUUUUUUUUUGAAUAAAAGUAUUAUUUAAAGUUUGGGAUUUUCGAGGGAAAUUGAGCCCUAACGUAUUGGGUUCUGGUUUUCUUUGUCAAUCUUAAAUGACCGAGAAUAUUCUUUAUUCAAAAUGCAUGAGCAUAAAAAUCAUUUUUGGGAACUUAACUUGUCGUGCCCUAACGUAUUGGGUGUAGCCUGUUACUUUCUUGAAAUGAAGAUUUUCGCAUAAAAUAAAAGUGAUAUUCAAAGUUUGGGGAUUAUGAGGAAUUGUACCCUAACGUAUUGGGACUCGAUUUCUUUACAUGACUUGAACAAUUGAUUAUCCUUUUUCAAAAUUCAUCAUUUGAGUUGAUUUUAAAAUCUUUUUAACCUUCGACACUAAGACAUUAAAUGAUCAAUUUGGUACCGAAUUUGGGCACUACGAGGGUGCUAACCCUUCCUCGUGCGUAACUGACUCCCGGACUCAUUUUCUCAAAAUUCGUAGACCAAAAUAGGGUGAGCCGAUCACACCUUAAUAAAUGAUCGGUGGCGACUCCAGUUUUAUUUUUAAACUCGACAACUAAAUUUUUGUUUUCAAAAAAUGGUUUCGACAAUAUCAACCAAAAUCAUGUACAUUUUAUGGAAAAUUAACAUCCUGUUGCUCGCUUUCAAAAUUAAUAGGGACUAAAUUGCUCUGAUUUUUUUAGGGUGACCAAUUUCCUCAAUUUGGAAAUUGAGAGAGACUAUUGAGAUCUUUUACUUUUUUUUUUAUAAAUAUAUUUUUUUAAUAUAAAAUAUAUUUGUUCACACACAUUGUGAGUAUGAUAAAAUAUUUUUAUUGUUGAUUGAGUUGGUGUCAAAAAUUGACUUGACACGAACUCAAGAUUAAUGAUAACAAUAUCAUAAAUAAUUUAUUUAUUUAAUAUUCUUAAUUUAAGAUAUUGAUGUAAAUUUUAAGACAUGCAUGUCUUGUAGAAUUGUAAUUAUACUUUUUGAGUAUUGAAUCUUUAGAUUUAUAAUUUAUAAUUCUUUUAAUUAAAGAUGAUAUACAAGUAUGAAAAGACAAAAGUGACUUAGUAAUAAUAUUAAUUAUUAAUUUUAUAAUUUCAUAAUUGAGUUGAUGAUGUAGAUGAAGGUGGCACUAACUCUAAAACACUUAAAUAUAGUAAUAGCUUAAAAAUGAGGGGUUUUUGUAAAUAUAUUACUAAGUUAGUAGCCUGAUUGAGGGUAACACAAACUCAAUAAAACUCUUAAAUAUUGACUACAAAUCCUAUCAUACACUUAUGUCUAUGAAAACCACAAAUUUAGAAUAUAAAGAUGUGUUUAAAAAUAACGUACAAUAAAGAAUGAAAUUUAUGGUUUGAAACUAAUUAAUAAUAACACAUGAAAUAUGUAUGAUAUCAAAAUGAAAAAAAAGAAAGAAUAAACUGUGCAUAAAACAAAAUUUUAUCCUAUUACAUCAAUAAAGAUAUAUUUAUUACCCUCGCCAAUAGUUUGCCAUUAAGAACAUUAAAGUAUCCUUGAAUGAUAUAAAUUAUUUUAAAUAAAGUUGAUUGGUUGGGAUACCAAUUCAGUUAGCGACUUAAAAUUAUUAAAAUAUUCUUAUUUUAAAGGGAAAUUAAUAUUAUUAUAAGUGUAUUUUCACAUUUUCAGACUUUUAUAUAAUCUUCAAGUAAAACAAUUGAAAAAUAUUAUUUGAGAAUCAAACACAAGACUAAAAAAUUCAUAUUGAAAACGCUUAUCACUCCACUAAUUCAUAUUGAAAACCUCUCCAAUCCCUAUUAAUUUCACAAUUGCGCAAAUUAGUCCCUCUCAGUUUUGAAAGUAAGUAACUAAGGAUAAUUAAUUAUGGUGUUAAAUUCUUCCAUCAAUUGUACAUAAUUUUGAUUGGUAUAGUUAUAAAUUUAGCCUUCAAUGUUUAUAUAUUUUGUCAUUUUGGCCUUAAUUUAAAAAAAAUUCAAGAAAUUCAACCUCAACAUUUACAUAUUUACACAAACGUUGCGGGAAAAUUUUGUUAAAUUAAGACCAAAUUGCAAAGUGUGUAAAUUUUGAGGGCUAAAUUUAUAAUAUACCAACCAAAAUCAUGUACAUUUUAUGGAAAGACAUGCAUAACCCAAAGAAAUGGGAUGAAACUGAUUUUCUUUGGGUUAUAAAUUUAUAAUAACAGUAAGUUAUUAACCAUACUAUUAUCAUUAAUUUUGAGUUAGUUAUAAAUUACUGUUAUACGCCCAGUAAGUUAGGGCUCAACUUUCUCGAGAAUCUUAGAUGUCAAGUGUUUUGAAAACUUACGGAUAAAAUGAUUUUAGUAUUUUAAUCAAAUGCACUCUUUCAAACAAAUGUAACGCAAUUGGAUAAUAACAUACAACACAAAAAGAUAAUUCGAAAAUAAAAUAUACAUUAAUGAGCAAUGAAUAAUCAAUAAAUAAAUACAAACAAACAUAACAACAAUAAUCUCAAUUGUACAUUAUGCCAAUAUCAAUAUCAACAUUCAAAAGCUAAUAAAAAAAACGAGCCAAUUAAUGCAAAUGUAAACUAAAUGUACAAGUAUUGGAAUAACUAAAAAAACAAAUGGCAUGAAAGAAAUGGAAGUUGUAAAUCAAUAAAGUAUAUGUACAAAAAUAUAAAAUAAAUAAUAUACAAGAAAUUGAAAUAACCAAAAAUUGAGUUAAAAAUAAAUACUAUGUGAGACAAUAAUAUUUAAACAAAUUUUAAAAUAAAUGUUGCAUAUGAGGAAAAUCAAAAUAAGUACUAUACAAAAUAAUAUACAUAUAUUAAUCUAAUAAGUGAUAUGUAUAAAGUGAAAACUCGAUAUAAAUAAUGAUAUAUGUAAUAAUAUGUAAAAGUUGAAAUAUACAAAAUAUAGAAGAGGGUAUUUUAAAGAAUGAAAUUAUAUACAUAUAAGUAGCUUUAAAAAAUAUAUUAAAAGGGGAACUAAAACAAAUCAUAGUUAUAAUAAUAUAAAAAUAAUAAUAUAUUCAUAGAAUAAAAAAUAUAUAGAUUAUAUAUAUAAAUAUAAUAAUAAUAUUGUAUGAGAAUACUAUCAUAUAAUUCUUUAAAAUGUAAAAAUAUAAAAGAAAAUUUUAAAAAUAAAUACAUUAUAAAAUAAGACUAAUAAAAUAAAAUACAUACCAAUUAUAUUAAGCCUAUAUAAAAAAAUAUACAUAAAAAUAAUAUUCGAUAGAUCUAAGUAAUGAUAUGAUAAGUUUAAAAUUAUAGUACAUGAUAAAUUUUACAUUAUGAUGUAUGAUAAAUUUAAAUAAUAUUAAUGAUAAUUUAAAAUAAUAGUAUAUGAUAUAUUAAAAUAAUACUAAUGAUAAAUUUAAAGCAAAGUUAAGCUUAAAUAUUAAAAUAAUACUAGAUUUAAAAAUAAAUAUAUCAAAAAUAAGAAUUAAUUAGAUUUAAAAUUAAACUAAUAAAAAAUAAAUUAGAAUUGAAACAUAAUUAAAAAGAGAGAAAAUAAAAUAAAAUAAUGGGUCAAAGAUUGAAUUGAAACUAAAACAAAAUUAAAGGGGCAACAAACAUAAUUAAAAAUAAAAGAAGGGCUAAAGUGCAGCGCGCGGAUAACAUGAGGGACCGAAAGGGAAAUAUUCCCAAUACCGAAAACGCAGCGCUUUAAUAUGGAUUAAAAUGAAACAAAAAUAAAUGAGGGAUUAUAUUUAAAAAGAAAUAAAAGGACUGGAUUGAAUUGCACUAGAAAUUCGGAAGGACCAAUUUCGAAAAUAACCCAUCUUCACGAAACACGCGGAUCCCCCGGGUCGGCUCAACAAGCGGAUCGACGGCUACUAAACGGCGUUUUUGGUACUAUCAAACCUCCCAAAACGGCGCCGUAUUAUGUUAUUACUUAAACAAGAUUUUUAACAAAAAAAAAGAACAUUUGCAGCAUAAGUUUUUUUGAAAAAAAGGUUGCAGCUCUUCUUCUCUGCUAGGGUUUCAACCCUAGUCCUAGCCGCCGCCAUUUCCGCCGCAUCAAACCCGAGCCCCAUCUAACUCCGAUUUGGACGGAGUAAACGGAGCCCUGACGGCGCUUUUAUGAAGGUACGAAACUGCCUUCUUCCUUCUCCUUUACCUUUUUCGCAUAUAUAUAUAUAAAAAGAAUAGCAAAUCAAAGAGAAAAGAAAUCAUAAAAAAAACUCAGAAUAUCACCUUUUAAAAAAAACUAAUGUAGUUUUUUAUUGCCCAUUUUUUGUAUUCAGUAUCCAACCCCCUACAUUGAAGCAAUCUGCUCUUUUUAUAGCCAGAUCUAAUGAAAUUACAAAGGUUUUUUAUUUUAUUUUAUUGCUAUUCCUCGUUUUCUUUGCCGUUAUUCCCUUAUGCUUCUAGUGUAUUCCUUUCUGUUUGUUGCUGUUGCAGGUACAGCUGGAGUGCACGUGGAAAACCUAAGAAGAUUACAAAAAUUCCAAAAUAAUAUAAAAAAGCUAAGGAAAACCUAGAAAUUCAAAAAAAACAAACGUCGACAUUCAAUUUGCUGUUUCACAUUCAAUUUUUGGAGAAGUAGAAUUAUUUAACUUAUUUUCCAUCAACUUCACUUCAAUUUUCAAUCACAAUCAAUUGCAUUCAAGAGCACCACAUCUUUUUGGAUGAAACAAAGCUCUCAAUUUUAAGAUAAACGGGUCUUUAGGGUUAUUAAUUGAGGGCCUUUUCCAUAAUUGCCAUCGCUAUUUACGGGUGAUUCGGGGAUAAUAACUUCAACAUUUGUGUAUCACAUUUAAUUCGAUUCCACAUUCAAUUUUUAGUUUUUAGAGAGAUGAUUGGAUUACAACAAUGGUUUGAAGUGAAGAUAUUUCAAAUGAAGAUGAAUAAUUUAAAAUUCAGGUUAUGUUUCAUUUUAACUAAGUUAAAUGUUAAGAUUGAGAUUAAACCUUUUAGAGGUUGCUCACAAAAGGAUAAGCCUUUAUAAAAGUGCUUAAAUGAAGGCCAAAUUUUUUAAAAUAGGCAAAUAAGGUCCUAACCUUUUAAAAGGUGUUUAAAUAAAGGCUUCUCAAAUGUUGUAUAUCAGGUUAUGUAUUUUACUCUAAACACAUCGACAUUUACCUAUUUUUUUCUAUAAACUGAGUUGAAGUGUGUGAAAAAUCCUUAUUUGAACACUUCUGUAAGGGUUAAACUCUUACUGAACCAUUUUGAAAGGUUUAGUCCUUAUGUAAGCAACCUCUAAAAGAAAUACCUAAAUAUGUUUUCAUGAAUCAAGAAAUUAAAAAAGAAAUGUUGAGAAAUAUUUUAGAGAUUCUUAGCUUUGACAAGUUCCCUCCACCAUCUCCCUGCCUCCAGUCCCACUCUUCUCUUAUGCUCCUCCCAGGUUCUUGCUUUUUGUGUGUUGAAAAUUCAAAUGAACUAAAUAUCAACCUACAUCAUAAGGCACGAAAAUAUCAACCUACAUCAUAAGGCACGAAGGCCAGAAAUUACUUGAGAUCUGACAACUUUAUUUCAUUUUCAUUUUCUGUUAUUUUCUAUGUUUCUUGUCAAAUACAAUGAAAGAAGAACAUAGAAAAAUGUUGCCUAUUUAUUUCCCAAUCAUCAUGAAAUUACUUGCCAUAGACUUAGAAUUUUCUCACCAAUUUUCAAGCAAUCUGACAUGAUUUCUCAAUCACAAUUAAUUGAAUUCAAGAUCUUUUUGGAUGACACAAACAUUUCAAUUUUAACACAAACCAAUAUUUAGGUUAUACUUCAGUGCUUGACAAGCACUGUCACAUUUAUGGGAUAAUAACUCUAACAUUUUAGGAUCACAGUUAUAUUUGACUUUAGCAUUGACAUGCUUUUUUAAUAAUUAAUCUUUUAUAACAAGGUAAAUAUAGCAUCGACAUGUUUUUGGUAGGGUCGAGCAAAACCCAAUUAAAACCGAUGAUAUUGUUAAAAUCAAUUUUAAAAUCAGUUAUAAUGGAUUAAGGUAAUUAAUUAUCGAGUAAUGAAAUGCAUAAUCAAAUCAACUGAUUUUGUUAGAAACUAAAAGAAAAAGGGUUCAGCUGAAAAAUUGAUUGCCCUAUAUUAAAAUUAACGAAUCCGAUUUUUACAUAUUAGAUAAUAUCAACAUCGCAUAUAUAAUAAGAAAAAUUACGUACAAUUAUUUAUUAUCAUAAAUGGUUAGUUUAAAUUUAAAGUAAUUUAAUAUGUUUAUUGAACAUCAACGUAUAAGCUAAAUAUGUGAAAAUAUUCUAGAAACCAUUUCUAAUUGAUGAUAGGCUAAUUCAGAAUUAAGAUUAAUAUAUAAAAACUAAAUAGUAGGGUUAUAAUCCUCAAAUUACACCUAAUUUAAUUUUUCCGACAUUCUAUUUUGGAAUAAUAGAAUCGCCUUCUUUAAAAAGAAUAUGUAUUUGUAAUAGGCCAAUUUUGGCCUGACUAAAAAUCAAAUAAAAUUAACAACCCAAUUGACCCAAUGCAACACCCAAUAACCAAGUUAGCCCAAAAUUAAAAAAACAAAAAACCCUAGAACCUUCAACCGCUGCUCUCCCACAUGCGCGCCUCCAGCCCCUUCCAUGUCACCCCACGAACGGCUUCUUCGGUAUGACGGUUUUACCUGCAAAAUAGGACCAUAAACAGCAAGAAAGAAGCACACUAUAGGCACGAUAGAAUAACAGAAAAGAAAUUGAAUAACGAGGGGGCAGAGAAAAAAAAGAUUUUUUUGAUUUGUUUAUUUUUUUUUCUUUUGGGUCGAUUCGGCGAUAUAUAAGGCCGAUCCCGAAUCUGUAAGGGGGAAUCUUGUGUUGAAAAGUAUUGAAGAAAACAGAAAACAGAGAAUAAAAAAAACAAUUUUGAAGGUAUUGAGUGGGUUUCGUUUUUCCUUUCUCUUUACCGUUUUGGUUCCUUUUUUAUUUUCUUCCUAAUUUCUUAAAACAAAUAAACGAAGUAACGAGGGAAAAAGAGAAGUUUCUUACCAGCAGAGGCGCGCCGUCGGCAUUCUUGCUGGUUUUCGGCGUGAGGAGCAAAGGAGAAGAUGAAGCAGCCCUUGCGGCUGCUGUUGCUGAAAAUGAAAUGGGGUUUUGAUUAGGGUCUGAAAUGGGUUUUAUCGGCAGCAAAUGAAAUGGGGUUUUAUUUAUGGGUUAUUUAUGUUUUUAAUCUUUUUUAUUUUUCUAUCAUUUCAAAACCAUUGUUCUUAAAUUUUUAUUUUUUUUCUUUCCUUUAAUGAAAUAUUUUACCUUUUCAUUUUACUCUAGUGCUGUGCAGAAUUUUGAAAGUGGGAUUAUUUUCCCUUUUGACCCUUCAUGCUUAUGAGCAAUUUACAAAUUAGCCCUUCUGUUUUUUUUACACUACUAUUAUUAUUAUUAUUAUUAUUAUUAUUAUUAUUAUUAUUAUUAUUAUUAUUAUUAUAGCCAUAUAUUUAUACGCAUAUACACUAUAUCAUAUAAAUGCAUAUAUAUUUUAUGAUACGUAUUCAUUUUCUAUAUAUUAUAUAUAUACAUACGUAUUUUUACACAUAUAUAUACAUGUUUUUGUAGUUUAUUUAUAUAUUGUACUUAUACAUUUUUAUAUAUUUUGUAAAUAUAUAUAUAUAUGUACAUAUCUUAAAGUACACAUACUUUUAUAUACUCCUAAAUAUCAUAAUUCUUGUAACCGUAUUUAUAAAUAUACUUCCUUACAUAUAUUUUUAUUUCAUAAUUUUAAAAUAUAUAUACAUACAUAUAUUCCUUAUAUUUUAUGUACAUACACAUACAUAUGUAUAUUAAAUUUUUCAUAUAUUUCAUGGUUUUGUUGUUUCACAACAUGUCUAUCUUCUUAUACCCAUUUAAUUACGAAAGUUUUAAUUCAACUCGUUUUUUUACUGUUUUUUUUUUUACAUUAGUUGACUCGUUUUUAUUUUAUGUUGCUUUAUUUUAUUUUAUUUUAUUUUAUCUUCUAUUGGUUUGUGCUCAUGCUUUUCUCUUUAGCAUUUUAAAAUAUGUUUGUAUUUGUUUUUUAAAAAAAUGUUUCAUUUUUUAUUGAAGCAUGAAAAUUAUUUUAUUUCUUAAAUUUUUAAAAUAUUUGGCAUUCACGUUUUUCGAGAAAGAUCGUGUCCUAACUUACUGGGCUUCAAUUCUUUCGAUGGAUUUAGAGAGCCAAGUAUUUAUUUUGCAAUAAAAUCACACAAAUAUCAAAUAAAAGCUUAUUCUCAGGAAUCCAAAAAUGUCGGGUCCUAACUUACUGGUCAUGACAUUUUAUUAUCUCGAAAUAAGAUUUUCUAAGACAAAAGGUCAUAUUCGGUAUUUGGAAUUUUGAGAAAUUGUGUCCUAACUUACUGGGUUUUGAUUUUCUUAAUUUGACCUAAAUAACCGAAUAUUCUUAGAUUUAACUGUAUGAGUUUUAAAAUCAAUAGACAAACUUAAUUUUGAAGAUUUAAAAAUAUGGUGCCCUAACUCACUGGGUGUGAUGUUUUAUUUCUCUGAAAUAAGAAUGUUUUAUUAUUUUAAUCCAUUCACGAGUUAAAAGUUUUCUCUUAAAAUCUUUUCAAAUUUUCGACACCAAGACAUUAAACAAUCAAUUCGGUAAUUUGGGCAUUACGAAGGUGCUAACCCUUCCUUGUGCGUAACUGACUCCCGAACCUGUUUCCUAAAAUUUCGUAGACCAAAUUUAUUUUUUUUAGGCGAGCUGAUCACACCUCAGUAAAGGACCGGUGGCGACUCCAAUUUUCGUUUUAAAAGUCGAUAACUAAUUUUAUUUUUCAAAAAAUGGUUUCGACAACUUGGCGACUCCACUGGGGACAUGUUAGAGAGUCGAGCCAUGAAUUGAUUAUUUUUGUCUUUUUUGUCGAAAAUCAAAAUGUUGUUUUAAAUCGUGAUUCCCCUUUGUAUUCAUUAGUUUUCAUCAUGAUAUGCUUGCUUAAUUGGUCUAAGUCUGUUAGUUUAUUUGCAUUAUGCAUUUCAUGGUCAAUUUUACCCCUCUAAGUGGGAGUGAGAAACUAGUCCUUCGUGAGGUUUUCACCUCCGUGCAGGAUAGUGGAUUGCUUUCGGGAUACAUCCGUACUUAUGUCUUUGUGAGAUUUUUAUCUUCGUGUAGCCAUAGGAAAAUGUAUCCCCCUGAACCGAACUCGAUCUAUAUGAGCCUAUAAUGGGUGAAGAUUGAUGAAUCUGCUGGUUCGGGUACCCUUGCUCUAGAAGCCAAACUUCAUAUAGUGAACCUUAGGAACUCACCCUAGGUAGAAUUACUUUGAACCUUAGUAGAUACCCGACUAGGAGUUUUUAUUAUUUUUUAAUUGUAUUGGAUUUGAUGUUUAUACCUGAUACUAACUUGUUGUGUUUUGUUUUGAAUGCAUGACAUUUUGAAUGCAUGGCAUUUCAUUAUAGAAAAAAGGUGUUGGUUCACGUUCAGUUGCUAAAUAGAGAGCUUGUUAUGGAAAACGAAUUUCUUGAUAAAGUGGAAAACAAUACGGCUACAUGAAUAUAUUCCGAGAAACACAAGAAAGGUGAUGGAGGAAUACAUGUUACUUUGUGGCUCGAGGAUUCAAGCUGAUUAUUUAAGAGUUUUUGACAUUCUAACUUCCUUAAAGAAGAUGAGGAGUAUUACGGGGAUGGGCAGACGAUGGAUCAUAACCAGGAUCAAGCAAAAGAAGAUAGAGGAGGCACCCUUUUGAAGAAUUCGCAAGGUUUAUCUUAGCAUUCGGAUGAAGAAAGAGAAGAUGUCCCUGCUUGGAGUAUGAGGGCAAAGCCGUAUAUAUACCGCUUUAUGUAAAGAAAUUUGUCUUUUAGUAAAGUUUUCUAAAUGCAAUUGAAUCAGAAUCAACGUCUCUUUAUGCAUUCAUUUCAUGCAUUUGCAUUACAUGACAUCAUAUGCAUUAAAAUCUAUUAAAAGGGCUUAAUUGAGUAAAAUUAUUUCAGUUAAUUUAGAAAACCGACACCCUUAUGGCACCCAAGCAAAGACUAGAGAAAUGGACCAAAGGUUGGAAAAAUUAGAGCGAAUGCAAAUAUAGAUGCAGGAGCAACUAACCAAAUUUCAACAGGAAAUGAGAGAUAUGAUGAUAAGAUUACAGAGAGCUAUGACGAAUCAGUUAACUCGGUUGCUAGCUGGAGAGUUAGAAAAAGGGAAAGACUCGAUGGUUUAUUGUGGGGUUGAUAAUGAGGAUCUUGCCUAUUCCCUAGGUAGUACUCCAAUAAGUGUCCAGGUCUAGCCAGAUGGGCGUCCGCAUGGGGCACUCUUUACUAUCAAAUCCUAAUAGUAUCAAACUGGUACAUCGACACCAGUGAGUUGCUUGACAGGCUCAGGAUCCAAUCUAAGGAACAAUUUAGCUAAUCCUGUUGCUCUUGAAAAUCCAGCCGAAAUAAAGCAGGCAAGGGUAGAGUACUCAGAUACUAUAAGAGCCCUAAGGAAGAAGGGGAAUAAUGGGGAUAAUGAAGGCAGAUAUAACAAGGGCCACUCAAAACCAAUCACUAUGGGCUGGACAAAGAUAGAAAUCACCAGCCAUCAGAGCCCUUUAAAGCGAGAAUCUUACACGAAGACAAAUAUAGAAAGGCUUCAGUUCACGCCUAUACCGAUGUCAUAUAGUGAGCUAUAUCAAAUCUUAUUUAAUGCACAUGUGGUGUCCCCCUUCUACUUGAAACCCAUGCAGCCCCCAUUUCCUAAAGGAUACGAUGCAAACAUCCAGUGCGAAUAUCAUGCAGGAAUCACGGGGCAUUCGAUAAAAAACUGCACCGCAUUCAAGAAGCUAGUUGAAAGGUUCAUCAAUAGGGGUAUUGUAAAGUUUGAUGACUCAUCUAAUCUGCUAUCCAAUCACAUUGAUAGUGGGGUAAGAGUGAGAGCAAGAAAGGGAUUAGCUAUUUCUGAAUUAAGAGGAAAUCAUAGAAAGACAAUGAACUAUCGUGAGUUCCAUCACGAGGAGGGAUACGAGACCCAAGAGAGUGUGGAACUCAAGGCCUUGGUUCCGGGCAUGAUAGAUGACAAAGAGAUGGAGUUUUCUAAGGAAAUUAAAGAAGUGAGAAAUAUACACACAAUGUUGGGAAGUGUUCACAUCAAUGCCAUAUAUGAAGACACACUUGAAAAUGGACCUUGUUAGAUAUCUACUCUUAUAAACUUAGGAGUGUUCUAAAUAAUCAGAUUGUAGAAGAAAUUUUUGUAGCAUCUAGAGUUUACUUAGAGUAAUGUUCAGAAAACACUUGUUACUUUUAGCCUAGAGGCAAUAAGAAUUCUUUUAUGAAAUAGGCUCAUGUUUGAACGUCGUUAUUCUAAUAAAAUACAUCUUUGCAUUUAUUUUUGAGCCAAUAUCCUUUCAUUCUUUUUGAAUAAUUUUUCUUUCAUUCUUUUGGAUUUUCUUCCAAAUCAUUCAUUCAUUCAUUCAUAAUCACUGUACAAAUAACUAUUCAUACUUCAUACAUUCUUUGUAUAUUCUUUUAUACUUAUAAUAGGUCCCUAGAUAUCAAUGUCAUGAGUGACACUGCUACAAUUUAGAAUCUCCUUUUGAGCAAGACAUGUGUUUAGAGGGAUCUCAUAACUUUGAAGAUGACAUAGACCGUGGCCUAUCUCCGGACUUGUUGAGGAUGGUAAAGCAGGAAAAGAAACAAAUUUACCUCAUGAGGAGACAAUGGAGAUUGCGACCUUGAGGGAACAUGCAUAACCAAAGAAAUAAAUGAGGACCUUAUUGAGUUACCUCAAGAGUUCAAAGAUAUCUUCACAUGGUCAUACCAGGAUAUGCCCGAGUUAAGCAUUGAUAUUGUAAUCUGAGCAACAGCAUGACGUCAAAAUUUGCAGUAUGUUUAAGAUUAACAUCAUGAACGAUGCAGUUAGAAUUCUUUACCAGGGCAAUGUCUUAUUUUUUAGCUCAUCAUAGUUUUGCCCGUUGAAGUUAAGUUUCCAUUUCUCUGUAUUUUUUGGAUUUCAUCCUAAUUGAAGAGGAAGAUCAAAAGUUUUUUCGUCAUAGUUAAAUUUCGCCCUAAAAGGCUCUAUGAGAGCAACCUGAUACCAAUGAAGAUCUUUCGCAUACAAAAUAAAAGUAGAAGAUUUUAUGUGAAAGACCUUAUCUAGAAUAACAUUGAUUCUGAUCGAAAGGGAUGACUAGGACUUGUCUAAUCUUAUGAGUGCAGUUCUUUCAAAAAAAUAAAAAAAAUAAAAAAAUAAAUAAAAAGAAAGGAAAGGAAAAAAGAAUAAAAAACAAAAACAAAAGAAACAAAAUCUCUAUCAGGGCAAUACUUUUCUCUUUAGCUUAUCGCGAUUUUUCCAUUGAAGUUGAAAUUCUUUCUCACCGGGUAUAGGCUGUGCUGAAGUAGAAUGGAGAUCCAAUCUCGAUGAUCAGUCGAACCUGAUAAAAAGAAAAGGGCUAAAAGCUGUUCAUCACGGUCAGAUGUACUAGAAACGGACGAUGCGAGCCAUUAACAAAAAGGUUCGUCCUAGAAAAUUUUGCGAGGGGGACCUAGUGUUGAAAAGAUUCUUCCUCUACAGAAGGAUUUUAGAGAAAAAUGACUGCCAAAUUGGGAAGGUCCUUAUGUUGUAAAGAAGACCUUUUCUAGAGGAGCACUGAUCUUGAGUGAGAUGGAUAGUACAAAACUUAUCGAAUCCUGCAAACUUAGAUUCAGUCAAGAAAUACUUCACUUAAAGAAGGAGAAAUGACCAAGGUGAAAACCCACAAAGGGCACUUUGAGUCUUAAAAAAAUGAAAAAAUGAAAAUGAAAUGGAGAGGUUAAGGUGAAAACCCGCAAAGGGUGCCUUAGACCAAAGGGGAUUUGAGUUGAAAACCCAAAAAGGGCAGCUCAAAUUUUGAUCAGAAUAAGCCAUGAGGUGAUCAGGGUUACUCGAGUGUUGAUCAAAGUGGGGCAUGCGGUGAUCUUGCUUUGCCUGAAUCAGCAGAAAAGGGUAUGCGACAUCUUGGAGCAUCGGAAAAGUAUUGUAGAUCUCCUAAGUACAUGUCAAACUUGGAAUGGUCUUCAGAAAGUUUGUACAGAGAGUUCAAGCUAUGAUAUCUGAGGCACCUAGCCUUCAUACUAUUUAUAUUGAAUUGUUUAUUCUUGGAAUACUUCAUUCUUUUUCAAGAGACAAGUCAAUUCCUCUUUUACUCGCAAUAUUAUUGAUAAUUUAUUCAUUUCAAGCUAUGCUCUCAAAUCAAUUCUAUUUUUUUCAUUGUUUUGUUCUUUUUUGCAAGUAUGUUGCAUUAGAAUAAUGAUUAAUGGACUAAUAAAACUUUCACAAGGGAAGUUUUACAUAUUACUCUAGCAGUCUAAAUAAUACAAGAUUUUAAAAAAAGGACUAUUGUUUAGAACGCACUAAGUUUAACGGUUGAAAUAUCUAGGAAGGAAUAGUCUAAAUUGAGACUAUCCCUUCAUAUUUUGUUGUCAAAGCAUUGAUUAAACAAAAUGACAAGAUGUCGUGUCGGUGAUAAGGCUUCAAUGAACAAGCAAGCAAUGAUCACCAAGCAAUAGGAUGAGGUUUCCUCGGAGAAGAAAGCCUUUAUUUGUGCAUGGGCAUUUGGUAUGACACCCUGGGAAUGGUGGAAAGGACCAAAGAGCUUCACAUUCUGUAUCCCUGAACUAUGAUAGGAGAGGAUUGAGAAAGGACCAGAUUUUUUUACCCUUGGGUUACAGCGGGAGAAUGAUGGUACAAAUGUUGCAUCCCAGUGGAUUGAAUUUUGAAGUUCACAGUGGGAAGCAAUUUGAUUAAGUGUUUUUUAGAGAUGCCAGCCGAGCAAGAAGGUGUUUUAGCACGUUAGUGAUAAAGCCUUAAUAAACUUCGAGUAAUGACAACCUAAGCGGGAUCAUUCUCAAAAGAAUAAUAUUCUAUAUUCAUGCAAAUGUCAUUCAUACACGUUUAGUUAGGAGCAUUUGAUUCAUUCUGAUCAUGACAUCCUAAUCACUAGGCAUAAUUAGGUUCAUAAUUGAAUUAUACAGGUCAUGCUCCCCAGAGAAUAAACCGAAGAUACCAGCCUUGUCUCCCUGGGCAGUAGUGGAGUAGGUUGAAAAUAGCAGAUAUUGUCUUCCUGUAUUGGCAGCGAAGUAGAUCGAAGAUACCAGCCUUGUCUCCUUGGGCAGUAGUGGAGUAGGCUGAAAAUAGAGAUCUUGUUUUCCUGUAUUGGCAGCGAAGUAGAUCGAAUAUCCCAACCUUGUCUCCCUGGGCAGUAGUGGAGUAGGUUGAAAAUAGCAUAUCUUGUCUUCCUGUAUUGGCAUCGAAGUAGAUCGAAGACUUCAGCCUUGUCUCUAUGGGCAGUAGUGGAGUAGGUUGAAAAUAGCAGAUCUUGUCUUCCUAUAUUAGCAUCGAAGUAGAUCGAAGACUUCAGCCUUGUCUCUAUGGGCAGUAGUGGAGUAGGUUGAAAAUAGCAGAUCUUGUCUUCUUGUAUUAGCAGUGAAGUAGAUUGAAGACCUCAGCCUUGUCUCCCUGAGCAGUAGUGGAGUAGGUUGAAAAUAGUAGAUAUUGUCUUCCUGUAUUAGCAGCGAAGUAGAUCGAAGACCUCAGCCUUGUCUCCCUGAGCAGCAAUGGAGUAGGUUGAAAAUAGCAGAUCUUGGCUUCCUGUAUUGGCAGCGAAGUAGAUCAAAGACCUCAGCCUUGUCUCCCUAAGCAGUAGUGGAGUAGGUUAAAAAUAGCAUAUCUUGUCUUCCUGUAUUGGCAGUGAAGUAGAUCGAAGAUACCAGCCUUAUCUCCCUAAGAAGCAUUGGAGUAGGUUGAAGACGGCAAAUCUUGUCUUCCUGUACUGGCAGAGAAGUAGAUCGAAGGUACCGGCCUUAUCUCCUUGAGAAGCAGUGGAGUAGGUUGAAGAUAGCAGAUUUUGUCUUCCUGUACUGGCAGAGAAGUAGAUCGAAGACGCCAGCCUUAUCUCCCUGAGAAGCAGUAGAGUAGGUUGAAGAUAGCAGAUCUUAUCUUCUUGCACUGGCAGUGAAGCAGAUCGAAGACACCGACUUUGCCUCCCUGGGUUUACAGCAGAGUAGGUUGAAAAUAGCAGAUCUUGCCUUCCUGUACUGGCAGCGAAGCAGAUCGAAGACACCAGUCUUAUCGCCUUGACGUUGCAAUGGAAUAGAUUGAAGCCACGACAACCAACAUUACUUCUCUAGCGUUGCAGCGGAGCAGAUUGAAGCCACGACGGCGAAUCUUAUCUCCCUGGCGUUAAGACUUGGAUUUGUUGAAGUGGAGUGGAUUAAACCUGUGGGCAGCGAAUCCUAUUUCUUUGGCAUUACAGUGGAAUAGAUUGAAGCCACAACGGUGGAUCUUAUUUCUCUGGUGGUGUAAUGGAAUAGGUUGAAGUCGAGACGGCGAAUCUUGUUUCCCCAACAUUGUAGUUAAACAAAUUGAAGUAAAUAAUCCUAUCUCAUUGAAGUUACAGUGGAGUGGAUUAACAUUAGAUCUUAUCUCUCUGAAGUUGUAGAAGAGCAGAUCGCAUCAAAUCUUAUCUCCCUGAAGUUGCAGUGGAACAGAUUGAAGAAAUCAAUCCUAUCUGCCUGAAGUUACAGUGGAGUGGAUUAAAAUCAGGUCUUAUCUCUCUGAAGUUACAGAAGAGCAGAUCGCAUCCAGUCUUAUCCCCCUAAAGUUGCAGUGGAGCAGACAGAAGAAAGUAAUCUUAUUUCCCUGAGGUUGCAGUGGAGUGGAUUAAAAUCACAGAUCUCACCUCUCUAGAGUUGCCGUAGAGUGGAUCGCAUCAGACUUAUCUCUAAAGUUGUAGUAAAACAAGUUGAAGCUAUGAGUCUUAUCUCUCUGAAGUUGUAGUGGAGCAGACUAGAGAUAGCAAAAUUUUCUCUUUUGAGAAACUACAAGGUACAAGUCCUAUCUCCUUGAUGUUGCAGUGGAGUGGAUUAAAGCACCGAUUCCUAUACCUCUGAAGACGCAGUAGGUUGGAAUGAAGCUACUUGAAGAGCACCAAAGUCCAGCACGACUAGGCAAAAUUGGUCAUUUCUAAAGUCUUUGCUCUGUUCUCGUUACACGAUAACGAGCAAAGAGGGGCAGCUGUAAUAGGCCAAUUUUGGCCUGGCUAAAAAUCAAAUAAAAUUAACAACCCAAUUGACCCAAUGCAACACCCAAUAACCAAGUUAGCCCAAAAUUAAAAAAACAAAAAACCCUAGAACCUUCAACAGCUGCUCUCCCACAUGUGUGCCUCCAGCCCCUUCCAUGUCACCCCACGAACGGCUUCUUCAGUAUGACGAUUUUACCUGCAAAAUAAGACCAUAAACAGCAAGAAAAAAGCACACUAUAGGCAUGAUAGAAUAACAUAAAAGAAAUUGAAUAACGAGGGGGCAGAGAAAAAAAGAUUUUUUUAUUUGUUUAUUUUUUUCUUUUGGGUCGAUUCGACGAUAUAUAAGGCCGAUUCCGAAUCUGUAAGGGGGAAUCUUGUGUUGAAAAGUAUUGAAGAAAACAAAAAACUGAGAAUAAAAAAAACAAUUUUGAAGGUAUUGAGUGGGUUCCAUUUUUCCUUUCUCUUUACCGUUUUGGUUCCUUUUUUAUUUUCUUCCUUCUUUUUUAAAACAAAUAAACAAAGUAACGAGGGAAAAAGAGAAGUUUCUUACUAGCAGAGGCGCGCCGUCGGCAUUCUAGCUGGUUUUCGGUGUAAGGAGCAAAGGAGAAGAUGAAGCAACCCUUGUGGCUGCUGUUGCUGAAAAUGAAAUGGGGUUUUGAUUAGGGUCUGAAAUGGGUUUUAUUUGCUGCAAAUGAAAUGGGGUUUUAUUUAUGGGUUAUUUAUGUUUUUAAUCCUUUUUAUUUUUCUAUCAUUUUAAAACCAUUGCUCUUAAAUUUUUAUUUUUUUUCUUUCCUUUAAUGAAAUAUUGAAACCGUUUCUACUCUAGUGCUGUGCACAAUUUUGAAAGUGGGAUUAUUUUCCCUUUUGACCCUUCAUGCUUAUGAGCAUUUUACAAAUUAGUCCUUCUGUUUUUUUUACACUACUAUUAUUAUUAUUUUUAUUAUUUUAAAUUAUUAUUAUUAUUAUUAUUAUUAUUAUUAUGGUAUUAUUAUAGCCAUAUAUUAUACGUAUAUAUUUAUACACUAUAUCAUAUAAAUGCAUAUAUAUUUUAUGAUACGUAUUCAUUUUCUAUAUAUUAUAUAUAUACCUACAUAUUUUUACACAUAUAUACAUGUUUUCGUAGUUUAUUUAUAUAUUAUACUUAUACAUUUUUAUAUAUUUUGUAAAUAUAUAUAUGUACAUAUCUUAAAGUACACAUACUUUUAUAUACUUCUAAAUAUCAUAAUUUUUGUAACCGUAUUUAUAAAUAUACUUCCUUACAUAUAUUUUUGUUUCAUAAUUUUAAAAUAUAUAUACAUACAUAUAUUCCUAAUAUUUUAUGUACAUACACAUACAUAUGUAUAUUAAAUUUUUCAUAUAUUUCAUGGUUUUGUUGUUUCACAAAAUGUCUAUCUUCUUAUACCCAUUUAAUUACAAAAGUUUUAAUUCAACUCGUUUUUUUACUGUAUUUUUUUUACAUUAGUUGACUCGUUUUUAUUUUAUGUUGCUUUAUUUUAUUUUAUUUUAUCUUCUAUUGGUUUGUGCUCAUGCUAUUCUCUUUAGCAUUUUAAAAUAUGUUUGUAUUUGUUUUUUAAAAAAAUGUUUCAUUUUUUAUUGAAGCAUGAAAAUUAUUUUAUUUCUUAAAAUUUUAAAAUAUUUGGUAUUCAUGUUUUUCGAGAAGGAUCGUGUCCUAACUUACUGGGCUUCGAUUCUUUCGAUGGAUUUAGAGAGCCAAGUAUUUAUUUUGCAAAAAAAUCACAAAAAUUUCAAAUAAAAGCUUAUUCUCGGGAAUCCAAAAAUGUCGGGUCCUAACUUACUGGUCAUGACAUUUUAUUAUCUCGAAAUAAGAUUUUCUAAAACAAAAGGUCAUAUUCGGUAUUUGGAAUUUUGAGAAAUUGUGUCCUAACUUACUGGGUUUUGAUUUUCUUCAUUUGACCUAAAUAACUGAAUAUUCUUAGAUUUAUCUGUGUGAGUUUUAAAAUCAAUAGACAAACUUAAUUUUGAAGAUUUAAAAAUAUGGUGCCUAACUCACUGGGUGCGAUGUUUUAUUUCUCUGAAAUAAGAAUGUUUUAUUAUUUUAAUUCAUUCACGAGUUAAAAGUUUUCUCUUAAAAUCUUUUCAAAAUUUCGACACCAAGACAUUAAACAAUCAAUUCGGUACCGAUUUUGGGCGUUACGAGGGUGCUAACCCUUCCUCGCGUGUAACUGACUCCCGAACCUGUUUUUUAAAAUUUCGUAGACCAAAUUUUUUUUUUAGGUGAGCCGAUCACACCUCAGUAAAGGACCGGUGGCGACUCCAAUUUUCGUUUUUAAAGUUGAUAACUAAUUUUUGUUUUUAAAAAAUGGUUUCGACAGUAUUAAUUUAAAAAUUUAAUACUAUCAAUAAAUUUAGAUGCAUUAUUAAGUACCAACUAAACAAUACUUAAAUAUAGAUGUGUUUUAUAGAAAAAAGUUAUCAACUUAAAGAAGUUGCAACAAAAAUUUAAAAAAUUCAUUUAUCAAACGAAUAUUUAAAACAUAUAAUCUAAACUGUGACAUAAUAAAACACAUGAGCAUAACUUGGAUUUACCAAAAAUCUAUGUAUUUUUCUAAAUUUUAAAUUUUAGUCCCUAUAUUUUAAUUUAGAGACAUUGAGUCACUAUACUUUUUUAUUUAAAAAUCUUGGUCCCUUCAUCAAUUUUAUAAUUAUAAUGGUUGAUUUAGUUGUUGUAAAAAAAGGUAGAAUAACUUUUUUAGCCUUAAACAUUUGCAGUUUUUGUUAAUUUGGUCCUUACUCUUUAAAAUUACAUAAAAAUUGAAAAAAUAUUUUAAAAAUUAAUUUAUUUCGUAUUUUUAAAAACAUUUAUAGUUUUUUUUUGUGGUUUGGUAACUUAUCAACUCGACUCUUAAUUGUAACCAACUCUUUUGACCUUUUUCGUACCCUUAACCUAAGCCCCGUUACAACUUUCUAAAGACCUCUUGACUGGUGUAUCAUCUCGAUUUGUUUUUAUAGUGGUGGAAAUUUGGUUUUCAAGCAAGCCUAUAAUAAUCACAUUUUUCGUUCGACUGUUGACCACACAGUACUUGAACCUUAAACACUUUGAGUGUUUUGAGUGAAUCUUAGUUAGGGUAUUGAUUAUUGUUGAGUUUGAAUUUCAGUUAAUUCUUGAGAUAGAGGAGACACCUGUGUUUUUUGUGCUUUACAAAUUUCUGCUUAGAUUGCUUUUAUUCUUUAGUCUCAUUCUAGUUUCAAUUUCUAGUGCAUGAUUAUCUGUAGAUUAUUCCUAAGGCAUUGUCAGUGAAAAUAAUAAAUUGAGGGAGAUUAACUUGAAUAAGGGUUGAGAAUUUUGCUUAAGGACAAAUGAAUGCUUAAAUGUAGGGAUAUUUGAUAAGUGCUAAAAUUAAUAUGUUUUAACAUCAUUCUUAAUGUGGUUUUGGUUGAUUAUUCGAUGUUAAUUUUGAAAUUUAUGCUCCUAGUCCUUUCAAUUCGUGUUUUUAUGUUAAUAGAACAUUUGGGAGGAAAAUGAGCAAAAAUCAGAAAAUGGGGACAAACUAUAGGACCCACACGAGCUGACCUAUUCCACAUGUGGCAGGCCGUGUCGAUUUCGUAGAUUUGCACUCUGAACUGCGAAAAAUGUGAAUUUUAAGUUCUUCGAGCAUUUUAAGACAUAUAUAUGAAAAAAAAUAAGAAGAUAGGAGAGAACCUUCCUAGAAUAUUUAAGAAAACAACUCCAAAGACACCAUUGAAGCCCACUCUGAAGUAAAUUUUCAUCAAGAUUAACGAUUUCCAGUUGAUUUCUUAUGAGAUUAUCAUGAGUUUCUUUAUUUCUUUCGGUUAUAUUGCCCUUUAGAUGUUUUAUUUUUAAGCAUGAACUAAUUUUCUAAAUACCUAAGAGAGAUGAACCCUAUGAUAGAUUGUGACUCCCCAAAUCUGACCGGGAUAGACCGGCCCAAAUUCGAAAUAUUACAUUAGCCACCUAAGUGACUCUCCAGCUAAUGACCACCCAAGACACACCCCGACCUUAUAAAACCUCAAUAUUAUCUAAUUAUUAGUUAUUUAUUAAUGCAAAAGUAAAUUAUGUGUCAAUUUUAAACUUUUCCUAGGUAAUUUAACCUAAGGGCAAUUUCAUCAUUUUACCACCUAAAACUAACCUGAUUUUAGAUCUAAGUGUUUACCAACCUUCUUUUAGUCAAAUCACGCAAGCCUAAAAUUUUCAACUUAAUUUGAUUUCGUUUACUAUGUCUAAUUCAAGUUUUAUUAUUAGGGACUAAAUUGUAACUUAAACAAAUUAGAAUACCAAUUUAAAGAGACAAAAUUUCAAAAUUCCAAAACCCACACGGGUAUGUGGGUAAGUGACAUGGGCGUCUGGAGACUAGAGCAAUCACACACGAGCAUGUGGGAUUGAAAAAAAUGAAAUAAAUUAUUCCACUCAAUUUUCCGACAACCAUGCUAUACUACCAAACCAAAUAAUGCUUCAAGCUUUGAAUAUGGUCGAAUCUAAAAUUUCUUUUAGAGGAAUCAGAAUUAAAUUAUAAAAUUUUGAGAAGUUAAAAUAUAAUUUUAUCAUGUAUUAAUUUAUUAUUUUUUAAAGGGACUUAAUAGAAUUUUUUUUCCCCAUUUUGGUUGGGCCAAUACCCCUGCCUACCUCUUUAAAUUUGCUCCAACCCUAAACCUAAUAUUCGAGUUCGAUUAACAACAAUAUAUAGUUUAGUAUUUGUGGAAGUUUGACGAAGAAAAUUUUUUUUAGAGGUUUAAAUUAUAAAUUUUUGAAACAUUAAAAUAAAUUUGUAUUUUUAAUUACCUUUGGGAUCAUACGGGUGAUUUUGAUGAUGUUAAUGGUUAUUUGGUGGAGAAGGUGAAAAAGAAACAAAUGAUUCAUUAUAUAUAAUAUAAUUAUGAAAUUCAAGCCAUAUAUUGUAUGUUUCAUACAUAAAAAUUUCAUGGGACGUCCAAAGGUAAUUAAAUGACUUGUAGGCUUGCUGAAUUUCUUUGAAAGGCCCAAAGGCUAUUUAACAUUCACAAAAUAAUCUCUAAAUACUGUAAAGACAAAUCAAAUUCACAAUUGCAUUAGAGUCGAUUAAGCUAAGCAUUGGCAAAUAUUACUUUGAUUUUGCAUGCAAUAUUGGCAAAACCCCCUCUUACAUUUGAAAAACAACAUAAUCCAUGAAACAUUGAUAGCCCAAUACAAAUUUCAUCGGGAAAAAGGUCUCUUUGUUUUGUAGAACAUGUUAGUAAAGAUGUGGAGUUUCGUUCUUCUUAUUGGCCUCCUUUAGCUUUCCUUGUUCAACAACCACUAGCCAAAAACACAGUUAGAUUAGAUUAUGAAUGAUACUUUUAACUAUGACAAUAUUAAAUACAAAACACUCUAAAUAACUCUAAAUAAAUGGAAAGCAGCAAAUUACUUGACGAGGCAAGCUAGCUCAAUUAAGACCAUUGUGUUAUUCUUGUCUCUGAAUUGAAAAAUUUAGAAGGAAAUAAAGAGAAAGACUUAGAAAAUACUUGAAAACAGAUAAAACUUAUAUGUCAUUUAAAAUAAAAAAAUUUCUAUUUAAGCCGUUUAAAAUUUUUAAGAUUUUUAAAAUUUUAAAAUGAUAAAGGUAAAAUUAUACUUUGGCAUCCCAAAAAUGAUAAAACUUUGAUUUAAUCCUUUAGAAAUUAUAAAAAUAUAGGCUAUUAAAAUGAUAAAAUUACAUUUUUACUAUAGUAAAAAUUACAAUUUAAUUUCACCCCUAAAAGGAUUUUCUGGGUUCGCCCCUAACAAAGAUUAAAAUAAAAUUAUACCGUAAAUGGAAAAAGAAACUAAGAAAAUCCAAUCUAACAAAGAAAAUAACUUGAUGUCCAAAAGCUACCAUAAACCGUAAUUCAUGGGAAGGCUUGUUGCUUAUUUUAUUGGUUUCCAUUUUGAUUUGCAAAAGAAGUUUGAAUUUUGAAGAGAGCCUACUACGUGAGAGCAAAAGCAAAAAAAAUAGUUUAUAUGAUUAAAAUUCCAGAAUAGAUUAAAAAUGUUGAAUUAAAGAUAAAAUUAAGUGUGAAUUAAUAACCACAAGUUUACUCAUUACUCACCAUCUCUGUUAAAAAUGUUGGAUGCUGUUUAGCAACCUUUGUUUGAUUUUCUUCAGCUCAACCACAACAUCUUUCAUAUCUUUUCUUUCUUCUGGCAACUCAGCUGAACAAUUCAAAGCCAACUCCAUGAUAGAUGAAAUACAAUUUGCUUUAACAGCAAUGUACUCAUCCUCUCUUCUUAAUAAAUCAACAUCUGCAAUUUCUAUGGCUCCUUUAGGCAAUGAACUUUCCAUCCAAUGCCUCAUAGUCUCUUCUUCAACAAAAACAUUAUCAGUGGGCUUUUUCUUUGUGAAAGUUUCUAUAAGGACGAUCCCAUAACUAUAGACGUCAGAUUUUAUAGAAACAAGUCCUGCUGAUCCAAAUUCUGCAUUUCAAGUAUAAUUAGAACAUCAUCAAUCCUCAAUUAUUUCUAAGAUGCUUAUUCAAAUAUAUAUCCACAUACACAAGAAACAAAAAUAUAAAAUGCAAAUUAGGAAAAUAAUCGUACAAAAAUAAAAAAGAAUUCACCUGGUGCCAUAUACCCGAUAGUUGCAAGAGUCAUGGUUUGCUUCAUUACUUCACCUUCUCCCAACAAUUUGGCAACGCCAAAAUCUCCAACAUGUGCAACCAUGUCUUCAUCUAGUAAAAUAUUGCUUGGUUUUAUGUCACAAUGAAUUAUAGGUGUUGGAUGUCCAUUGUGGAGGUGUUCUAUAGCUACCGCAACAUCUAUCAUUAUGUCGACCCUUUGUAUGAUAUCAAGGAAACAAUUUUCAGAAUGUAACCAUUUCUCAAGGUUUCCAUUAGACAUGUAAUCAAGCACCAAGGCUUUGAAGUCAACACUUGAGCAGCAAGUAAUGACCUUCACAAUAUUACGAUGAACUAUAUUAAGCAUAGCAUCACAUUCAAUGUCAAAACUCCUAAAUGCUCCCUCUGUUUGCAAAUUGAAAACUUUUAUUGCAACUUCCAUUCCAUCUGAAAGCCUCCCUUUAUAUACAUAUCUAAAACUCCCUGAACCAAGCAUAUUGCUUUCCCCAAAUCCAUUAGUUGCUCGGGAAAGCUCAGCAUGUGAAAUUCUUCUCCGUGUUUUCAAAGACAACAAAUCAUCUUUAAUUGGUAGAGUUGUACUCCUUUGGCAUCUUGUAUACAUAAUAGUUAAGACUAUUAGUACUACGACAAUACCAAUUGUUGGUAAACCAUACCUAAAAGCAUGCAAUAGAAUCAUUUGGGAGUUUUUGUGGAUGUCGUUUUUGCAAGGUGGGACUAGCAACCUAGGUGGACCACAAAGUGCAUAAUUCUUCAUAAAUGAUGUGCUAGAAAAGCUUGAAAAACAUCCUUUGCUUGGAAUUUCCCCUUCAAGUCUAUUGAAAGACACAUUAAAAUACUUAAGAUAUAAAAGCUUUUCCAAAGAUUUGGGAAUGACUCCAGAGAGAUUGUUAUUGCAUAAAUCCAAGAAUUUCAAACUAAUCAACCCAUCAAAUGAUUCAGGGAUAUGACCAUGUAGUAUAUUAUUUGAUAAAUCUAAUGAAACCAAAGUUUGAAGACCCCCAAAUGUGGAUAAGACAUCGCCCGUGAGAAGAUUCUUUGAUAAAUUUAGUUUCAGUAGACUCCUCAAAUUUCCAACAUCAAUAGCAUGAGAAUUGUGAAGAUGGUUUGAUGAUAAAUCUAUUUCUAAGAUAUCUUUAAGAUUCCACAAAGUUGAGGGUAUUGUGGAACUCAAUUUGUUGGAAUCUAAGUAAAGAUAUCUCAAAGAAGUAAUAUUACCCAAACAAGAGGGUAUGGAUCCAUGCAGCUUAUUCAACCCUAAAAACAAGUUGUAUAAUCUCUCCAAAUCACAAAGGCUUUCUGCGAUGGGCCCUCCUAAUUUAUUAGAGGAAAUACCUAGACCUUGGAGAUUUCGCAGUCCUCCUAUUGAUGUUGGAAUGAAUCCACUUAAUUUAUUAUAGCCAAGUUGUAAAAGCAAUAGGUUGGUUAAGUUACCUAUUUCCAUAGGAAUAAUGCCUUGAAGCUCACACUCAUCGGCAUAAAAGUAUUGAAGGGAUUUUGAAAGGUUCCCAAUAUAAGUAGGAAGAACGCCACUCAAUGGAUUUCCUGAAACAUCUAUUGUGCUCAAAUUCCUACAAUUCGUCAAAGAAGAAAGAAAGCUCCACUCAUGAUAAGUAGCAGAUCCUGUGAUCAAAUUAUUGUCAGAGAUUUGGAGCCAUUCAAGUUGUCUUAAGCUGCCAAGCGUUUUAGGGAUUGGGCCAGAGAAUAAGUUAUGUGCCAAGUCUAGUUCCUUAAGCAUGGAAGCAUUGGAGAUAGAGUAAGGAAUGUUUCCGCUAAGUUUAUUUCCCCACAAUAAAAGAAUCUCAAGCUUUGGAGCAUUGGUGAUGGGUGGUAAAUUACCUGUAAAAUAGCAUCUUUUAGAAUACAUAUUCAUUGAAUACAAAAUUCACAAAAUAUAUAAUACAUUAAAAUAAAUUAAGAAACUAGGAAAAUUCAAUACCUUCUAGGUUAUUCAACCCCAAAUAUAAUUCUUUGAGUUGUGUCAGAUUUCCAAUACUUUUUGGAAUGAUUCCCAUCAAUUGAUUAUAGGACAACGACAAAAUUUUAAGGUUGCUGCAUUUUCCCAUGCCAAAUGUAAUGUUACCAGAUAAUUCAUUCCAACUCAAGUAAAGCCCUUCAAGCUUGGGAAGAUGUUGACACAUAUCAUUAGGCAAACUACCUGGUAGGCUAUUGCUGGAGAGAUUAAUAAUCUUCAGAGAAGAAAUAUUGAAGAUGGAAGAUGGAACCUGACCAGAUAAUUGAUUGAAUCCCAAGUUCAAGAUCUCUAGAUUAGACAUGUUAAAAAGUGUUUCAGGGAUUGUGCCUGUAAAGUUAUUAUUUUUCAUUGCCAGCCUUCGAACUCUCUGUAAGUUCCCAAGCCAUGAUGGAAUUUCCCCAUUAAGACGGUUGUAGCUUAAUCGAAGGAUCCUCAAACGAUGCAAUUGGCCCAAUUCUUUAGGGAGAUGGCCAUAGAAAUGGUUGCUACUCAAGUCGAGAGAGAGUAGAAAUGAAAGAUUUCCAAGGUGUGGAGGGAUAGUACCCCUAAGAUUCAUGCUUGUAAGAUUCAAAGCUAUAACUCUUUUAUGGAGGAUGCCACAAGAAACACCAAUCCAAUUGCAAACAGAGGUUGAGGCCGUCCAAUUAUUUGCCAAGACAUUUUGAGGACCGGCAAUGCGAUCCUUAAACUCGAGAAGUGCAAACUGAUCGGAGUUGAGAUUCUUGACUGUCAUAGCCAAGCAAAGUACGAAACACGGUAUGAAUAAAGCUAAAAGAAGAUGAAAGCAAGUGUUGUAGUUCAUGAUUGCAAGACGGAUUAAGGCAAGAAAAUAAAAAAAGUAGGAAAAGGGAGGUUGAGUUGAUAAAAUAGUUUGGAUGAUGAAGAAAAGCCCGGAUAGCAUGCUUUAAUAUGUUUCAACCCUCGUACACUUGAUAAAUUUAAGACUACCCUAAAAAUUAAAAAGGAAAACAAAGUUUUGAAGAGAUUUCAAAAUAAAGGUCAAGUCUUCUUCUUUAAAAAAUACGUCCAAAGAAGUGAAUUUUCAAAAUUUCUCCUAAAUUUUCUUCACAUUACUCCACAUAAUCAAUUAAGAAAACUUAAAAAAUAUAUUUUAUUAAUUGCUAUAUAUUCUUUUAUUUUUAGAAAGCGAAUUUUCAAAAUUUCUCCUAAAUUUUCUGCACAUUACUCCACAUAAUCCAUUAAAAAAACUUAAAAAUAUAUAUUUUAUAAUUACUAUAUAUUCUUUUAUUUUUAGAAUAAUAGUUUAAAAUAUGCUAUUAGUCCCUAUAAUUCAAAAGUUUUUAAAAAAUCCAAUCCUCCUAUUUUUCCAAUUUAAAAAUUCUAGUCCAAUCAUUUUUAAUUCCAUUAAAAAAUUCAACUUAAUAGGUUUUUUAUUAUCAAUCAUAUAUGCAACAUUAUAUGAAGGCAGUCUACUCAGCAUAUAUCCAAGUUUACAGAUUUUAAUAGAAAAUAUACUUACAAUCCUAAUGGUAGGACUAAGUUUUUUAAACUAGAAAAGUAAGAAGAUUUAAUUUUUAACUUUUUAAGUACAAUGAUUAGCUUUUAAAUAAAAAAUGUUAUGUAAAAAUAUUAAAUCUGUUAAAAAAAAUUACUUUUUUAAAUAGUAAAUGUUAAUUUUAUUAAUACAAAUGGGUCUUUAGGGCUAAACUUCAGUAAUUGACGAGCUCUCCCACAAACUACGGAUGAUUUGGGGAUAAAAACUUCAAUAAUUAUACAGUUAUAGUGUAAAUUUGCCACUAUAUUAUAAGUGUAUUGAAAUUUAUCACUAUAUUUUAUUUGAUAUUUAUCAUUACACUUUGAAAAUAUAAGUAAAUUUACCAUUUAACUCAGAUUUAACUUUGCAAGUAAACUUAAAAUUUUAUUUAAUUUUGUCACUAUAUUUGAUUUGUUCAAUAUAGAUUUUGGUGACUUAAAACAAAAUUAUUUCACUAAAAAAUUUUAAUUCACUCGAAAAGUUAGUGCUUUAUUUCAAGGGGUCAUAAUUAAUCAUUGAUUUCGCAAUUUUAAAUUUUGAAUUUGUUGACAAUUGCGUAAUUAAUAAGUACCAAUUUUGAGUGUUGUAGGGCUAGUACAAUUUUCCUUGCACAUAAGCGACUCAUGAACCUACUCUUUUCUCUAGAAUUCAAUGCAGACCUCAAAUUUAUCUUUUGAAAAGAAUUUUAAAAUCUCUGUAUAAAAGGUGAGUUUUUUUUUUGGUGACCGAUCACACUUAACCAAAUUUAAAAAUUAUUAAAAAAUAAUUUCUUUUUGAAAUUUAAAGUGAUCUAAAAACAUAUUUUUAAGUGCUUUGGACCGUCUAUUGUUGAUUUCCUUAUUAUAUUAAGUGUUUGUAAAUCACUCCUAAUAUAUUGUGUUUGAGUUGUGACAAAGCCGAUCAUCAAUGUGCCAUAAUGAUCUAUUGAUACUGAAACUGAAGUUUUUGUUAUAUUGAUAGAGCUUAUUCUUCAACGCGUACAACGUGUUUGUGAUUUUUCUCCCUUCAAAUUGUAUGAUCUUAUUCAUUAAGUGAAUUAAUAAAUUUUCCCUUUAAAAAGAUAUAUUUUUAAAAAUUAAAUACUUUAUAAAAUAUUUAAAAAUUUGUAAGCUUUAAAACAAUCAACACAAUAUAUUUUUCUCUAAAAAAUCAAUAAAAAUAUGUUUGAAAUUUUAUAUGAAAUUUAAAUUUUUUUAACAAUAAUAUAUUUUAAAAUUAUAGUAAUGCAGUAACUCUACAAAAUAUAUAUAUUUACUAAUUAUAUACACCUUUUUUAUAUUUUUUUUCUUAACAUAUCAUUAUUUUCAACACUAUCGUAAUCCUGUUUUGAUAAUUCCCUUUCCAUACAUCCUUUUUCUACAUAGAAUUUCAAAAGAAAAUGUGAAUUAAUGUAGACCUGAGAAGACUUAAUUACAUUUAUUAGUUUAUCAAUCAAAACUUAAUUAGAAUCCAUCAGUAUUUCAUACAUCAAAAACCCAAGCAUAAAAUUCACUUUUAAAUUAUUUGAAGAUAUAUUUGUAUUAUAAGAAAUGGAUUAAAUUAGUCUUUUUAUUAGUAAAUGUAUUAUUUUAACCUUUGUAUUAGUUAUGAAUGAUAUCUCCUAGAUUGAAGCCAGAGCUAUUCUUAAAAGACUAAAGUUAGGAUUCAAAUGUGUUGAGAUGGAAAGUGACAACACAAUGUUGAUUGAAACUAUUUGUAUCGGGUUGGCCAUAAUAAGUAGUGCUACCGAAGUAAGACAGAUUCACAAUUGGUGUUCCAAAAAUUGGAAAGUCAAAUUUCGACAUAUUAAGCGGAAUGCCAAUAAAGUUGUUGAUUGCAUAUCUAAGCCAAAUGGAGGCGUAAUUGAGCAGUUGGUUAUCUUGGAAGAUCCUCCACAUUAUGUGAGAUGCUAGCUUGAAGAAGAUAUUAGACAGUCACUGGUGACUGAUUAUAAUUUUCAUUUGGACUGAUGAGCGCUUAAUUUUUUAAGCUUAUAUUCAACAAAAAAAUUUAAAUACGUCUCAAUUGUAAUAGAGUUAACAUUUAGUGUUUAAAAAAUAUCUUAAAAAUUAUUUUUUCCAAUUGCAGUUCAAUUCCACAAAUAUCAACGAUGAACCCGGACAUAAAAAUUACAAAAAAAAAAAAACACAUCUAUUAUCAAACCAGCAAUCCAUGUCUAAACUUAAAUUAACAAAAUUUGCCACGCAACCUGGUACACUAUUUUAUAUAUAUACUAGAUUAUUCUAGAUGCACAUGUUUUAUUAUAUUUAAAAAUUAAAAUAUAUGGUUGACUAAGUUUUAGUUGAGUUAGUAUUGGUAUUAUUGUCAGUGUAGGAAAAUGUGAGUUUAAUUGUGCUCAAAUGUGUUUUAUACUCCAAUUCAAGGGUUAGGAAAAGGUUAUUGAUAAUUAAAUUAUUCCAACUUUUAUGAUAUUUGUUAAGUAUGACUCCUAUUUUUAGUCAAAUUUGAGAAAUAAUCUUCAAGUUAAACUCUGUUUAUUUGUUUCAGUCAAACACUGAUUAGUUUAGAUAAUUUUAUUAUUAUUUGACAUAUGAAUUUAGCCUAUAAAUAGGCUCUUUUACAACAAUUAGAAAAUACACCCAUUGGAGAUUAGAACUCAUAACACAUUUAGAGAAUUUUGUGUUUACGUUUUGAGGGUUCUUUGUUUUCGGGUUUUCGGGGUUUAGUUUUUAUCUCCAUCUUUUGUACUCUUCGUUCUUUUGCCAUUAUAGUAAAAUUAUCUUUGCCCGUGGUUUUUUAUCCUCUUUGGAGGGGUUUUUCCACGUUAAAUUUGUGUGUUCAAUUUCUCAAUUUAUUCCGCUAUUUUUGUUACUUGUUGCUUAAAUUGAGUCGAUCCUAACAAGUGGUAUCAAGAGCUAGUUCAAUUCAGAUAUGGCAACAACAAGGUUUGAAAUUGAGAAGUUCAAUGGUGAGACAAAUUUCAAUCUAUGGCAAGUUCGGAUGAUGGCAAUUCUAGUUCAAUCUGGUUUGAAAAAGGUUGUUACGGAGAAAAAGCCUGAUAAUCUAAAUAAAAUAGAAUGGGAAGAGCUUGAUGAAAAUGCCCUCUCUGCAAUCCAGUUAUGCCUCGCGAAUACGGUAUUGCAGGAGGUAUUGAUGGAGAAGACCUCAUCCGCCUUGUGGAAAAGGUUAGAAACUCUUUAUGCGACUAAGUCUCUGGCUAACCGUUUAGUGUUGAAACAACGUCUAUUUACGUUUCGCAUGAACGAAGGUGAGCUUCUUAGGGAUCACAUCAGUCAAUUCAUUACUCUUUUAAAUGAUUUAAAGAACGUUGAGGUUCAUAUUGAUGAUGAAGAUCAAGUUAUGCUAUUAUUGUGCUCUUUACCCCCUUCAUACAAGUCUUUCAAGAAGACCCUGAUUUAUGGUAGAGACAAACUCUUGUUCGAAGAUGUGAAGGGUCAUUUGUUGAGUAGAGACAAACUCGACAAUGAGCUUCAUUUGGAUAGCAAGGCAGAUAGGCAAGCUUCCGUUUUGAUAGCAUCAAAGAAACGAGACAAAAGGUGUCGCUAUUGUAAAAAGUUAGGUCACGUCAAAGUAGAUUGUUAUAAACUACAAAAUAAAAAAGCUGCUGAGAGUAAUGAGGAAGAUGUAGCUGGUGCUAAUUAAGCCGAUGAGAGCGGUGAUGAUUUCUUGUUAAUGUCAACGAGUGAUAACUCCAAGCUCACGUCUGAGUGGAUCUUAGAUUUGGGAUGUUCUUUCCACAUGUGUCCCAAUAAAGAAUGGUUCUCCACAUACAGUUCGGUUGAAGGUGGAGUUGUGCGCAUGGGAAACGAUUCAUCUAGUAAGGUAAUUGGUAUUGCAACUGUUAAAAUUAGGAUACACGAUGGGACGAUUAGGACACUCUCAGAUGUCAGGUAUGUACCUGAUUUACGAAAGAAUCUCAUCUCCUUGAGUAUUUUAGACUUGAAAGGAUGCAGAAUCAACAUUGAGUCAAGCGGCAUUAAAGUAUCCCGUGGAGCUCUCGUUUUGUUAAAAGGUAAAAGAACUGGCAGUCUUUAUAUUCUGGAAGGUUCUACAGUGACCGGUGAAAUCGGACGUCCCUCAUCCGUUACAGAGUCGAAGUCAACUCGUUUGGAGCAGAGGCAACAUGGUUAUAGGAGGGAAAAAUAUAUGACCGUUUCGUUGAAAAGAGGUUCUCUUUUGGAUGCAGAUUUUGAAAAGUUAGGGCACUGUGUUCGUGAAAAUCAGACCCGGGUUAGUUUUGAUUUGGCAGUGUAUAAGUCGAAGGCUAGAAGUCUUCCAGUUUCUAAGCACAGAUUCGACUCAGUUAAUUCCCUGCAUAGCUCAAAAUAGGCUCGUGGCGGGCUUUGGCAAAAAUGGCAUUGUAGAAAUAUGAGUCAAGGUGGAGAUUUGUUAAGUAUGACUCCUAUUUUUAGUCAAAUUUCAGAAAUAAUCUUCUAGUUAAACUCUGUUUAUUUGUUUCAGUCAAACAUUGAUUAGUUUAGUUAAUUUUAUUAUUAUUUGACAUAUGAAUUUAGCCUAUAAAUAGGCUCUUUUACAACAUUAGAAAAUACACCCAUUGGAGAUUAGCACUCAUAACACAUUUAGAGAAUUUUGUGUUUACGUUUUGAGGGUUCUUUGUUUUCGGGUUUUUGGGGUUUAGUUUUUAUCUCCAUCUUUUGUACUCUUCGUUCUUUUGCCAUUAUAGUAAAAUUAUCUUUGCCUGUGGUUUUUUAUCCUCUUUAGAGGGGUUUUUCCACGUUAAAUUUGUGUGUUCAAUUUCUCAAUUUAUUCCGCUAUUUUUGUUACUUGUUGCUUAAAUUGAGUCUAUCCUAACAAUAUUAAAAAAAGGAUUUAUAAAGAAUAUAAGGAAAAGAAAAAAAGAGAGAAACAUAUUCAUAUUGAUGGGCUCUUUCAAUAUUAGACUUUUUUUUUCUAUCACAAGUAAAAAUAUCAAAGGUGAUAAUAAUUAAAUUAUAAAAUUUAAAGUGAGAAAAUAGGGGAUUGAAUUUAUAACUUUUAAAGUAUAAAGAAUGAAUUUAUAACUAACAACAUAUUUUAACCACAUAAUAAAAGUAGUUAUGGAGAGGAUCAUGUAAAAUAAUGACCUGAAUAAUUUUAAACGUUUCAUCCUUGCAAAAAUGAAAUAAUAGAAAAGAAAUAAGUGUUAGGUGUAGUGGCAAUGUACAUUAUACUUCUAAGGGGAGAUCAGGGUUUUAGACAAGGAAAGAAUUUUAAACCUGCUUUUUUCUCUAGAACUCAACGCAAACCUCAAAUUUACCUUUUUAAAAGAAUUUUAAUAUAACUAUAUAAAAGGUGAUUUUUUUUACUGAUCACACUUAACAAAAUUUAAAAAAAAAAAUUAAAUUUAAAGUGAUCUAAAAACAUAUUUUUAAGUGCUUUAGACCAUUCUAUGUUGAUUUCUUUAGUAAUUUGAUUUGUUCAAUAUAGAUUUUGGUGACUUAAAACAAAAUUAAUAAAAAAUUAUUCUUUCAGAUAUCUUUUUAAUGUUAAAUAAUAAGUUAAUUUAUAAAAUAUACUUUCAUUGGACACAGGCCUCCAAGGCGGUGAACCACUGAUCAAAUUAAUUUGGAGAUACCUAAAUUUGUUUUCAUCAAUUAAGAAAUUAAAAGAAAUUGUUGAGAUGAUGGAUCAAGUGUAUCUCGCCAGUGAUCAUUAAGGAGAAAAAAGAGUCAAUUAAGUGAAAAUUAUAUUCCAACAUCUCCCCAGAACCAAAUUUCAGAGUGAUGAAUGUCAUGAUCAAAUUGAACAUCUUAGUGGAAGUAACCAAACCUUUUCCAGCGAAACUCAACAUCCUCUUCACAAAGUUGUUGGAAUCAAAAUUGUUGAAGGACUUUAAAGUGUUUCUUUAGAUCAACUCAAGGAGCUUAUUAAAAAAACCAUCAAAGAUCAAGUCAAAAGUGUUACUUCGCCUUCAUAUACAUACUCAAAGUCAUACAUCUGGAGGAUUUAUCAUUUGAAUAUGCCUGAACAUUAUCCACCUUUAAAAUUGCAAUGGUUUGAUGGUAAAGGAAAUCCAUGUAAACAUGUCACUCACUUCGUGGAAACUUGUGAUCGCGUCGAUGUAACACUCCACUCACGACCCAAUCGCUGGAUUUAAGAAGAGAGAUACGAAAAUCAUGUUGGAAAAAAUCUUCGAUAAGUGUAGCAUGAGUGCUCACACUCUCCAAACACUCCAUACUAUCUUUGGUAUCGGAGUUAAGCUUGACACUCCCUUAUCUCUCCAAUGUUAUCUUCAGGCCAUAAUGCCCUAUCACAUAGUAAAAAAGGUGAGCACUCACAAUCCUAUGGCAUGCCAAUGAUAUCUAAUGGUUUCAAGUGUUCACAAUGCCAACAUAUGAUUUUUAUCACAUUCACUUUACACAAUUUAAAACGGCUUAUAAUACAGCAGAUCUCACAUAUCAUAGUUUUUAAUAACAUAAUUCACAUUUCUGUAGGGCUUGUAUUAUACAUAAGUUAGUAAUAACAUGGAUUCCCAUAAUAGUUAUGGCUUGCAUAUAUUUAAGGCUCGUAUGCAACAUUUGGGAUCCCAUAUAUUUAAACUCGCAUAAUACAGGGGCUCGCACGACAUAUUUUGGCUUGCAUGCAAUAUAGGGCUUGAUCACAUAUAUAGGUUUACAUGAUCUUAGGGCUCACAUCACAUAUAUAAGCACGCAUGAUACAUAGGUCCACUCAACAUGUAUAUAUAAACUCGCACAUCAAAGUAUAGGCUCGCAUGCAUUAAGGUGAUAGAGUUUGCAAACAAUUUAGAGCUCGCACACACCAUAGGCUUGCAUACAUACAUGUUAGCAAGGUCUGCAGGUCACAACUCGAGGCUCACAUAACUACAGAGGCUUGCAUGGAAAUAUAAUAGUGUUCAGAUAUCAUUUUAAUCGGCUUCACACAUUAAAUCAAACGGUUUGCAUGCCUUCCUUGGCUUUCAUUAGCAUGUGAACUCGUGUUUUUGACACAGUGUGCAAGGACACUCAUUAGUUGUUUGUUGAUACUGUCGAACCUAUACCACAUUUUGCUUGAAUUUUUCCUUGCUCAUGGAUGCAUCUUCACAUUAAGAAGCUUUGCAUAAAACAAGAAAAUAUACAGAUUACUACUUUCACAGACAUAAUAACCUUCUUAACAAACAUAGUAGCAAAUCUUCCAAUCUUCCUUAAUAAUUCCUUAAAUGAACCUAAACCAAAAUGUAGUAUAAAUUCAAUAAAUUUAUCAUCAAACCAUCCCGCAAACACCCACUUAUAAGUUCAAACUGAUCAUUGAAAUUAUAACUAUUUUAUGAAUCCAAACUAGUUAGAUUCCUUAAACUGUAUUGAUGUGAAUUGUACGUACAACCGUUCUUCACCUUUACGGGUGAUUUGGGGUGUUUAGGUCAGCACCUAAUUCAAUAAUAUACUAAAAAAUAAGUAGUUAAUCAAUGAUUAAAUUCCUUCAUUUUAAUCAAUGAUUAAAAUCAGUAGUCUGAUGUUAAACGUGUGUUGUCAAAAUUUUCAAAAUAUUUUGUUCAAAUUAAUUUUUAAUCGUGAUCCUUGAAUUUUAUUUUUUAAAAGUCAUGCAUUUGCAUUCAGUUUUUAAAUUAAUAUUUUUCAAACUUGUUUUACUUUUCUUUUUUUUUUGAGCUCUAAGUUUUACCCUUUUUUUAGUUUUUUUUUAGUAAACAAAUAAAAAACAAAAAGGUUUGUGAGUUUCUCCCCACACACUGUGCACUUGCAUUCUUGCAUAACAUGAGCUCUCUACUCGGGCUCUGUCUGUUUAAGUGGAAGUAAACGCUACGCCUUCGUGAGUUAACUCAUUCCUCCGUACAGGCUAGUGAAAUACUUCCGGAUUACAUAUGACUUAUGCUUUCGUGAGUUAACUUGUCCCUCCACAUAAGCAUAAGUAAAUGUAGUCCCUCGAAUUGAGCUCGCGAGCCCAUGACAGGCGAUAACCGAGGCUCCGUACUAACCUUAGUAAGUGACAGUAUGGACAAUUUGAGUACCUUUCUAGAACCAAAACCACAUAUAGCGAACUGUACGAGCCACCCAAUUAGAGUCAUGUCGAACCUCUAUCCGUUGAAUAGUCACCAAAAAAAGUACAUGGGAGGAACACCUCUUACCUUGUAUUUCUUUUACAUUCACAUCUUUUGCAAGGGAAUCGAGUCUGUUUAAUAAAUUGGAUCGGUAGAUUAUUUGAUGAGCAUGUGGGGUAAGUUUAUUUUGUAAAGCAUGAGGGGGUAAGGAAAAAAACGUAGGUCAAUUUGUUAGAUUUUCCAUAGUUUUUCUUUGUUUAUAUUUGUCGUGAUUGCUAAUUAAGUUUAUUUGUCUUAAUUUUAUUUUUCAUCAUGCAUCAUAGGUAUCUCAUUAGGAAGGUGUUGAUUAGAGAUUGGUUGCCAAAAACGGGUUUCUGAUGGAGAAGUCAAUUACACAAGUAACUGAGAAAAAAAUGACAUAGUCAGAGACUGGUCUUUGAGGACCCAGAAAGCAAACGAUACAGUUUAAAGGAAAGAUAUAUCUCUGGUCUUUUCGGGAAGGCGACUUUGAAUGCUCGUCAGAAUAACCCGAAGAUUUGACUAGGAUUUGGAAACAAUGAGACUUAGGCACUAGGGGCAUCUUCAUUGGCAAAAUAUUUUGUAAUGGACUCUUUUCAUAAAUUAAACGCCAAAAUAUGGGGCUAUCUUAAAAUCAACACUAUUUUUUUACAUAUUUACGCGUGACUAGCAUCCAUUGAUCAUUCAUCAUUCAUUCAUUCAUUACAUGUACAUAUCACCCGUACCAUUCACUGAGGCUAAAACAGUAUAAUCCACAGUUGCGGCACAAGUCUAGAAUCACGUCAUCCUUACAGGACACGUCUAAGAACUAGAGCUAUGGAUGUUGAACUUAAUGAAAAAAUCAAAAGGAUGGAAAAGAUCUAAAAAAAGUUACAAGAGCAAUUGGUCAAGUCACAAAAAGAGACCAGAUAUAUGAUGGUGAGAUCUCGAGAGGAAUCACUCGAGCAAAGAGAUCAAAUGACCAAAAUAAUGGAGAUGAUUACAGUUUUGGUUAAAGGAAAAGGACCCGUGCAAAGCCCUGACAUCAUGGAACCUCAAUCAAGAGCUAAUAAUGAUUGAGAUCCGCUCUAUCCCCCAGGAUUCACUCCACCUCACGCUCAUGCAAUGCAACUCAAGGGGAACCUAUAGUCCUAGAAUGUCGUCCUGUACCACCUGCUCAUCUAAGGCAAGGUAUAUUCAUAUUGAAUCCCGGAGCUAAUCCUACCGAUCUAAUUGUUCCAGAUCUGGAUGAUCCGGUGAAAUAUCAAAGUUGAAAACUGAUGAUUAUGGCACUCAAAAUAGGUAUAAGAUCCUAGAAGAAAGGCUUAAAGCAAUAAAAGGUACUGAAGUCUUCUCUGCAUUGAGUGCCAAAGAGCUCAGUUUGGUGCCCGAUUUGGUUCUACCCCCUAAAUUCAAGGCACCAGAGUUUGAAAAGUAUGAUGGGAUGAGAUGUCCAAAGGCACAUCUUAUCAUGUUUUUUCAGAAGAUGAUUGGUUACGUGAAUGAUGAUAAAUUGUUGAUACACUGCUUCCAAGUUAGCUUGGUCGGAUCAGCUCUUCGAUGGUACAAUCAGCUCAGUAAAAAAAAGAUCCGAUCAUAAAAAGACUUAGCAUCAGCAUUUUACGAGCAAUAUAAGCAUGUAUCAGAUAUGGUACCUGAUCGACUAACUCUGCAGAUGAUGGAAAAGAAGCUAACGGAGACUUUCAAAUAAUAUGCAGAAAGAUGGAGGGAUAUCUGAGCUCAAGUAGAACCCUCGUUAACUAAAACGGAGAUAACAGUCCUCUUCAUCAACACUCUGAAAGCGCCACAAAGGACUUUGCCGACAUUGUAAUAUCUGGGGAGCUUAUAGAAAAUGCCAUCAAAAGUGGAAGGAUGGAAGGUCCUGAGAGUUCGAAAAGGUAGUACCUAUAAGGAAAAAAGAGACAGAAACCCAUAUGGUCAGAAAUGAGAGCCACCAUACCUCCAGCCCUUACCCAGCCCAACAACGACCUCGUUAUCGCCCACCUUCAAACUUCUAUUUUCCUCCCCAAGGUCCUUACUGUCAAGCACCUCCUCCUUAUCUCGUCUAUGCCAUGAAUAACCAAAGAACGUUCACCAUGUUUCCACCACACACUAUGCCCAUACAAAUUUAACCCAAAAAUGAACAAAAACUAGCGAAACCCAAUCCUAGAAAACCUUAGUUCACCCGAAUUCCCGUGUCAUAUGGAGAAUUGUACCCGAAACUGUUGGAGAAGCAAUUAAUAUCCCUGUAUUACAUGGUACCCCCGAAGCCCCCAUACCUAAAAUGGUAUGAUCCUAAUGCUAGUUGCAUGUAUCACGUUGGAAAUCAGGGGCAUUCUACAGAAAACUGCCUUGCCUUUAAAAGGAGGGUUCAAGAUUUCAUCGAUGUUGGCAUUCUGUGAUUUGAUGGUAUUAGUAAUCCUCUUCCUACCUAUGCUGAUGGGAAUGUGAAUGCGGUAACAAAUGAUGACGAGGGGUAAAACAAUCCAAGAAGCGCUUUGAUUGAAAAGGGUCUUCAGAACAUCAGCAUAAAUGUUGUUGACAAUGAGAAUGAUGCAAUCGAGAUGAUACGCCCUUGUCCUCCAGGAUAUGUUUUGAACAACUGGACUGCUGUGGACCUCCUUGUAGUUUCUAAGUCCUCUCCAGAGUAAUGCCCAAUGAUAAUUCUCUAUUAUUUUGUGUGUCCCUAAGUAAUGGGAUUCCUUUUGUAAGAGCUUAUGUUUGCUCUUUAUCAUUUCAAUGAACAUCAAUGAAGAUGACCCAGAGCCUAGGUAUCGUAUACGCCCCCAAAAUAAAGAGCCUUGAAUACUAGAAGAAAAGCACCUAUACCUAGCAAAAUUAAGUGAAUACCCAAAAUUGUGGUCAUUUUAUUUCUAUCUUUCCAUACAUAACCGAAAAAUGGAAAAGAUUCUUCAUGAGUUUCAAGUGUCAUGGUAUUUUUUAUUUCCAUUAGCUUCAUAAUUAUCCCUUCUCUUCAUAUCAUUUCCCUACAUGUAUUUCAUAUCAUUCCAUAACAUUGUGUGUGUUGAUUCUUAUAUUUUUUAUGCUCCUCUAUAGAUUUCUUUCCCAUUCACUUUUCAGGUGCUCAGAUAUCCAUGGCAUGAACAAUCUCAUUACAAGUCUUGAAAUCGAUUUCGAGAAGGCUGUUUGUUUAAGAGAAUUUGAAGCUGAGGAGGAUGCUAAAGAUUUUGUCUCGUCUCCUGACUUACUGAGAAUGGUAGAACAAGAAGAGAAACAGAUUCUACCCCAUCAAGAAUCUGUUGAGACAGUAAACUUGGGAAGUGAGGAAAAGAAACAAGAAGUAAAGAUUGGGAUUUCCAUUUCAGAUAACACCAAACAGAAUUUGAUCGCCUUGCUCCGUGAAUACAAAGAUGUAUUUGUCUGGUCUUAUCAGGACAUGCCAGGGUUGAAUGAGGAUGUAGUGGUUCAUAGACUCCCAUUGAAACCAGAAUGUAAACCCAUUCAACAGAAGCUAAGACGGAUGAGACCUGAAAUGCUGUUAAAGAUAAAAGAAGAAGUCAAGAAACAAUAUGAUGAGGUUUCUUACAAGUCUCUAAAUAUCCAGAAUGGGUAGCUAACAUAGUCCCAGUAUCGAAGAAAGAUGGCAAGGUACGAAUAUGUGUGGAUUAUCGUGAUCUGAAUCGAACAAGCCCUAAGGAUAAUUUUCCUUUGCCACACAUCGAUACGUUGGUAGAUAACACAUCAAAACAUUCAUUAUUUUCUUUCAUAGAUGGUUUCUUGGGUUAUAAUCAGAUAAAGAUGGCUAUCAAAGAUAUGGAGAAAACUGCAUUCGUGACAAUGUGGGGAAUGUUCUGCUACAAAGUGAUGCCGUUCGGAUUAAAAAAUACUAGGGUAAUGUAUCAGAGAGCCAUGGUGAUGCUGUUCCAUGACAUGAUGUAUAAAGAAAUAGAAGUCUAUGUCGAUGAUAUGAUUGCUAAAUCCCAGGGAGAAGAAGAGCAUAUUGGGAACCUCAAGAAGCUAUUCGAAAGAUUAAGAAAGUUCCAGUUGAAGCUUAACCCAGCCAAGUGUACAUUUAGGGCUACCUCGGGAAAAUUUCUAGGUUUCAUUGUCAGCGAGAGAGGUAUUGAGGUUGAUCCAGACAAGAUAAAGGCUUCUUCCGUGUACAAAAAAAGAAGUCAGAGGAUUUCUAGGAGGGUUGAAUUACAUUGCUCAAUUCAUUUCUCAACUUACCAACCAGUGUGAUCCAAUUUUUUGACUCAUUCGAAAACAUAAUCCAGGAGAGUAGAAUGAGGCAUUAUGGGACGAAGGAAUUUGUGGAACGCAUGCCAAUGGGUUUACUAUAGCUAGGUAGAUUAUGAGACUUGGUUAUUUUUGGCUGACGAUGGAAAGAGAUUGCAUUAGCUACACACGAAAAUGCCACAAGUGUCAAAUUUACGGCGAUAAAAUUCAUGUAGCUCAUUCGCCCCUUCAUGUCAUAACUUCUCCGUGGCCUAAUCUAUGUGGGCCAUUGAUGUUAUAGGGUCAAUUUCCCUGAAGGCUUCCAAUAGACAUCGAUUCAUCUUUGUGGCUAUAGAUUACUUCACAAAAUGGGUAGAAGUCGCUUCUUUUGCUAAUGUGACAAAGACUGCCGUCUGCAGGUUCCUAAAAAAGGAAAUUAUAUGUCGAUAUGGUUUGCCUGAGAGAAUCAUUUCAGAUAAUGCUUUGAACCUGAACAACAAGAUGAUGAAGGAAGUAUGUGAGAAAUUUCAAAUAAAGCAUCAUAAUUCCUCACCUUAUCGCUCAAAAAUGAACAGAGCUGUUGAAGCAGCCAACAUUGGGAAGAUGACUGAGACAUAUAAAGAUUGGCACGAGAAGCUACCAUUUUCUUUGUACGCAUACUGCACCUCUGUACGGACAUCUACUAGAGCAACUCCUUUCUCUCUGGUGUACGGAAUGGAAGCUGUUUUGCCAAUCAAAGUAGAAAUCUCAUCCCUACGUGAAUUGAUGGAGAUGAAGUUAGAAGAAUCAGAGUAGGUUCGAACUCGAUAUGACCAGCUAAACCUUAUUGAAGGGAAACGCUUGAAGGCAAUUUGUCAUGGACAGAUGUACCAAAAGAGAAUGAUCACAGCCCAUGAUAAAAAGGUGCGGCCAAGAGAAUUUCACGAAGGGGAACUCGUACUAAGAAAGAUCCUCCCGAUACAAAAAGACUUUCGAGGAAAAUGGUCACCAAAUUGGGAAAGGCCAUACGUUGUAAAAAAGGCAUUCUCGGGAGGGGCUCUGAUUCUCACUGAGAUGGAUGGGAAAGAAUUACCUAAUCCAAUGAACUUAGAUGCUGUGAAGAAAUAUUAUACCUUAAAAAACAAAAAAAAAAAACAAAAAAUAUAAAAACAAAAAAAAUGAAAAAUCAAGAUGAAAACCCGAAAAGGGCGUCUUGAUAAAUAAAAAUGAUUAGGAUGAAAACCCGAAAGGGCGUCCUAAUGAAGUAGACUCAGACUUAAUGACCAAGAUGACUUGAACGGGGAGUCGAAUGGCGAGGUUACAAUAUUUGAAGCAUUCUCAGAAGCUUGAAAUCUUCUACACAGGAAGCCAUGCUAAAAAAGAUCUUUGACAAAGAAACGUGGAGAAGUUCAUACGUUGGAUAUCUAGAGCGUUCGUGGCCAUUGAAUUCACUUUCCUUUCUUUAUGAUGCUUUCUUUUUUUGAACUAUUCCUUGUCAAUUUUCUUUGCUUGUUUCUUUUAAAAAAAUAUGAAUGUGAGGUAUUUCUUUCAUGCCUACUUUGCCAUUAUUUUUUUAAUGCAUCUCAUGUUUGAUUCAUUUAAAUGAUAAAUGGUAAGAUGACAUACUCUAAACAAAAGGAAUGUUGAACAUUACCUGGAUGAGAAUUUGACAAGCACAAGGGUCCCAAAGCAAGAACAAAGUUCAACAAGGGGACAGGAAGGUGAUAUACGGAAAUGUGGGUUACUCACCAAAUUUGAGGAUGAGUACAAAACUUGGGAGAAAAGUCAAGAAUUGAGAAAAUGAAUACGGACCCUCACGAAAAUAAAAGAGGGGCACGUGACAAACAGCCCAUGGUGCAUGACACGAUCAUAUAAGCAUUUAGGACAAACACGUGUAUAUCAUGAUAACAUAAUACAUGACAUAUACAGGUAUCCCAGCGGAGCAAGGAAUUUUGGAAGAAAACUGCACAGAAUCAAUGAAAAAGACGGCUUUUAAUUUCACCUGGUGAUUUUUUUUCGAAACCCUGAUUCUUUCAAGAAUUAUUUUUCAAUUUCAUUUUUUUUUUCAAAAAUUAACUCAUAAUGCAAGAGGUGAGUUGAGCCUCAGGUAGCACGCCGAGAUAUUUUCAAUUUUUGUUUUUUCAAAAAAAUCAACUCAUAUUGCUAGAUGUAAGUUGAGCCUUGGGCCGCACGCCGAUGUAUUUUAAUUUUUAUUUUUUCAAAAAAUCAACUCAUAUUGCUAGAGGUGAGUUAAGCCUCGGGCCACACGCCGAGGUAUUUUCAAUUUUUGUUUUUUUUUUUAAAUCAACUCAUAACGCAAGAGGUGAGUUGAGCCUCGAGCCGUACGCCGAGAUAUUUUCAAUUUUCGUUUUUUUAAAAAAUCAACUCAUAUUGCUAGAUGUGAGUUGAACCUCGGGCCACACGUCGAGGUAUUUUCAAUUUUUGUUUUUUCAAAAAAUCAACUCAUAUUGCAAGAGGUGAGUUGAGCCUCGGGCCGCACGCCGAGGUAUUUUUAAUUUUUUUAAAAAAAAUCAGCUUAUAUUGCUAGAGGUGAGUUGAGCCUCGGGCCGCACACCGAGGUAUUUCCAAUUUUUUUUUUCAAAAAAUCAACUCAUAUUGCUAGAGGUGAGUUGAGCCUCGGGCCGCAUGCCUAGGUGUUUUCAAUUUUCUUUUUUUCAAAAAAUCAACUCAUAUUGCGAGAGGUGAGCUGAGCUUCGGGUCACACGCCGAGGUAUUUUUCAAUUUAUGUUUUUCAAAAAAUCAACUCAUAUUGUAGAGGUGAGUUGAGCAUCGGGUCACAUGUCGAGGUACAUUUAAGUUUUGUUUUUUUCCAAAAAUCAACUCAUAAUGCGAGAGGUGAGUUGAGCCUCGGGCUACACGGCGAGGCAUUUUCAAUUUCUAUUUUUUCAAAAAAUCAACACAUAAUACGGGAGGUGAGUUGAGCCUCGGGUCAUAUGCCGAGGUACUUUUAAUUUCUAUUUUUUUUCAAAAAUUAACUCAUAAUGCGAGAGGUGAGUUGAGCCUCAGGCUGCACGCCGAGGUAUUUUCAAUUUCUGUUUUUUCAAAAAAUCAACACAUAAUGUGAGAGGUGAGUUGAGCCUCAGGUCACAAGCCGAGGUACUUUUAAUUUCUAUUUUUUCAAAAAUCAACUCAUAAUGUGAGAAGUGAGUUGAGCCUCGGGUCACAUGCCGAGCGAUUUUUUAUUUCUAUUUUUCAACAAAAAAUAUAGAGAAUAAAAUUGGACAAUCGAACAAAAUUCAGUGCUUUUAAAGUUUUAGCUCUAUCCCUGUUUCACAGCGAUGAGCAAAGAAGGGCAGCUAUAAGCACUAAAUUUGUUCGGGUCAGUGUCGUGUUUAAUUUUAAAAAUUUUGGAAAAAUAAAAAAAUUUAAAAUUACAUUUCAACCCCUAAACCUUUUAAAAUUACAUUUUGACCCCUAAACUUUUCAAAAUUACAUUUUGACCCCUAACUUUCCUAAAAUUAUAUUUUGAUCCCUAAACUUUUCUAAAAUUACAUUUUGACCCCAGAAGUUUUACAUUUUUACAAUUUGAUCCUUCUAUCAGAAAAUCCCCAUUAAUCCAGUAGAUUUCGUCCACUUGCCCCACGAUUUUUGGCCGCUGACCUAAGGCAUGGCUUCCCCACCUGGUACCUGCAAAAAAGAAGAAAAAAAUCAAAUAUUUAUAAAUAAAAUAAGAAAAAAGAAAAAAAAUACAUAUACAUAUUGAUGGGUUUUUUCAUGAUUAGACUUUAUUUUUUCCCAGGUAAAAGUAUUUAUGGAGAGGAUCAUGUAAAAUUAUGACCAGAAUCAUUUUAAACGUUUCAUCAUUGCAAAAAUGAAAUAAUAGAAAAGAAUGACUAUAUGAAUUUGCAUUUGUGUUCUUUUUCUCAAUAUUUGCUUUCAAAAAUGUGGGAAAUUUUUAAAUUUUAUGAAAUUUUAAAAUUGCACUUCAGUAAAAAUAAAUUUUAUGAAUAUGGACAAGCCAUUUUAUUUAUAAUUUUCUGUGUUUUUCUUCUUUGCUGACUUUCUUAAUGUCAUUUUCUAUCAUGAAAGAAAAUUAAAGAUUCACUAUGUAUUUCUCAACCACUAUGAAAUUACUUGACAAUGGGUGUAGAAUUUUCUCACCAAUUUUCUAACAUGAGAUUUUUUGAAUGGGACAAAUAUUUCAAUUUUAACACAAACAUAUCUUUAGUUAUUGAGAGCGUUUCCCAUAAUUAGUCACCCCUAUUUGUGAGUGAUCUGGGGAUAAAAGCUUAAACAUUUCUGGAUCACAUUGCAUUUAAGACGGGUGUUUGGAGUUACAUGAUAUUUUAACAUAGACCGAAUUUUCUAUGAAGAGUCAUUGCUUUACUUUGGGUGGAUUCUUCCAAUUAGCGUGGUCGUUGGUACUACUCUCCAACAAUUGUUGUACUGUCAUCCUUAUUCCUACCCCACCUAGCAGAGAAGUUAAUGAUCAAAUUCAUUCGAAGAUGUCCUUUUUUUUUAAAUAUUUUUUAUAUUUUCAUGGAUGUGAGGAGAUACUGAAAAUUAUUAUACUAUGAAAUUUUAAUUCAUUCGAAAAAUAAGUGUUUUAUUUCAAGGGAUUAAUAUUAGCUCUCUCUUUUUCAAAUUUUGAAAUUCUUUUAACAACUACGUAAAUAAUCACUCAACUAUAAGUAAAUUUAUAUUUUAAUCAUUUAAAUUUAAAAUUUUAAUUACAAUAUACAAAUAAUUAUCUAACCAUUCGAUUUAUUCUAUUUUAAUCUAACUUUUCCACAAUUGUACAUCUCUGGGUGGGCACAAAAACUUGUACAUUUCCUGAUGACAUUUAAUUCAAUUACAUUAAUUAGGAUCACAUAAUUUUCUUUCGUGCUUUUCAUUAAUAAACUGUUUCAAAAACAAUACCACGUGGACAAUAAAUUUGCUAUUACACAUUCAAUUUUUAGACGGGUCGUUGAAAUAUUAAUUUCACUUAAGCUAUUAUUGACAGACUUUUCAGUUUUUAGUCUUUUUCCGUAAAUAAAUGUAUUUAUGAGCCGGGUUAAGUAAGAUUAUGACAUGAACAGAUUUGAAAAUUGUACUCAAAUUUAAUUUAAUUUAAUUCAAAAAUAAUAAAUAAUAAAUAUAUUUAUAUUGAAGUUUCUAUAUAUAUUUAUAAUAAAAUAUAUUAAUUUUGGGGUUACACUUCAGUCCUUCACUGACUUUUUCACAAUUGGUUUAAAAGUGUAUCCCACCAAUGCCAAAUUGGUACUUUAUCUCUUUUCUUAUUCAAUUUCUUUUAUAAUCAUAUUUAUUUUAGUAUAUUAACUAAUAAUAAAUCAAUUCAAUUAGUAUUUAAUCAUUUGUAUUACAUAUUUUUAAUAAAAAAGAAUUUUUUUUAUAUUUCUAUUUUCAAGUUUAAACACAUCAUUGUUAGGCUUCCUAAAUCCUUUGAGGAUGAUUUUAAAGUUUCUAAAGAUGAUUUUAAGUAGUCCCAAAAACCACUGGAUUUUUUAGUGACAUCCAAUUUUUCUUUUCCUGCAGUAUUGUUGAAAGUUAAUUUUCAGAACAAAAGUUUGCCUUACCAAAGAUGAUUUACCCUGACAUGUAGCAUGCAAAUAUGAAACAAUAAGAAAUAACUAAAAAAAAUGAUCCUUCAAAAUUAAAAAAGAAAGAAAGAAAGAAAGAGAGUGAGAUAAAUCUAAAAUUGCUUAAUAAGUCAUUUGAUAUUUGAAUUUGAUAUUUUUUAAAUAUUAUUUUCUUGUUUAGUGAGUUAUUUAUAUUUGAUAAAAGUUAUACAUCUUGGUAUCUAAAGUUAACAAUGUUAACAUUUUAGUGUUUAAUGUAGGUUUUAUGGUAGCGAUUUGAUGAAAAUUUCACUGUAAACUAAUAUUAUUAGCAAUUAACUUUCAACAAAUCUAUAACAAUCCCAAAUCCAGCCUAGACGCUAUGGUCAAACCUGGAAGGUUACAUCAGUACGUAGAAAAUUUUGUUCUUCCAAAUGUGUUUUGUUACUAAAUUAAGUCAUCCCAGGUUGCCCAAAAACGAUGACUCGCCACCAUGAGAUGCCCGACAACGAUGGCUUAUCAAUACGCAAUUAAACUGUUAGAUCAGAUAUUUGUGGUCAUGCCAUUGAAUUGCAACUCAGCUACCGAAACAAAAAUAUGUGGUGAAACCACUAUAUUGUAUCCAAGCUGCCAAAUAAAAAUAUGUGGAUAAACCAACAGAUAGUGCAGACCAUUAAACUGCCAAAAAUUCCUCCCUUUCAUAUUAUCCCAACCCCAUGCAAUGUGACAUGGCAUGCAUUUACAUAAUCAAAACGACAAGCAUGUAAGACAUGUAGUCGUACCAUAACAGAACUUAGAAAGCAUGGCAUUCUCACAAAUUCAACAAAAGCAAGUUGGUAUGCUAUAAAGUCACAUGCAUGAUCACAUAGCAGAAUCAGAAACAUAAAAAUAACGUAACCAAACCUCAUACCCAUAUACAAACAUAACAAUACAAAUCACGCUACCAGAUUCAUUAGAAAACAGUUCAUGCACACGAAUUUCACAUACCUUAUUCAUAUCACCUACAAUGUCAAAUUAUCAGACGUUACAUUUUCAAAGUCAGUUUUACACAGUACGAACCCUACAAAAUGGCUAAACAUGACUCACGAAUCAAAACGGGCCUAAACGAAAAUUUUUAGAAAAUGGGCCAACAUGGCCCAAUUAACCUAGGCCGUAUGGCGUCGACAGUCCAAUUUUCGACUUUCAGCAGUUCAUUAUUUUUUGAGUUUUUCGAUAUACAGCUUACUAUUUUCCGAAGCAAAAUCAUGGCAAGAAUUCCAAAACCUAAAAUCCAUAUUCAACCCACUCAAAUUAGUAAUGAAACCCAAAACUAAAUCGUUAAACAACCAAAACUGCUACCAAUAAACCUUAUCAAACCAGGAAUCAACCUUUUGGCAUCUGACUACUAACCCAGAAUAGUAGCAGCAGUACUAAAAAUCUCUCAAUUCACCGGAAGACUAUUUGUUACAGAAACGUCACCUAAACCAAAGAUUUCAGAGUAAUCAAAAUCGCGUCACACAAAGAAGGAAACAAAUUAACCCCAAAAUCGUGAAACUCAACAAAGUACGAAUCUUUUCACAUAUUCCUUACCACCAACCGUCAAGAUUGCUCAAAAACCACUAAUGACACCGACCUUCGCAAGGUUAAAUUGAAACCAAAAGGCAACUAAAGAUGGAACAAAGGUUGUUAUAAAAAAAAUAUUAACAAAGACUUAUUGGAGCAAAAAUGGCGAAAAAUCAAGAAUAGGGAGAUUGGAAAAAAAAACAAUGAAACGGCAAAGAGAAGGAGUGGGAAAGUGACGACAGUUUGUGGAGGGAUUUUGGGUAAAUAAAAAGUAACUCACCACUCAACCCAUUAAAUCUGAUUACCCUCUAAACAGAUUCCCUUAGAGUUUAAAUUCAACUCAAAUACCACUACAUGGGCGGCAUAGUGUAAGGAAAUAAAAAUACUUCUACUUUGCACACACGGGGUCUUGAACACGAAACCUUAGGGUAAUUUGAAGCCUUACAACUAAAUUAGUAGGCUCAUCUUUGAAAUUAAUUGAAUGAAAAUAUUAUUUAUGUCAGAUGAUCAGGGAUAGAGGUUAAGACCAAAGAUGACAAAAAUUCAAAGGAAAGAUUUAAACCUAGAACCUCACACACACAAGCAUAACACCUAUCCACUGAACCAGAUUUACUCCAUUGACAUAAUUUUCACAAUGUUAGGUACUACACUAUUACAAGAAUAGAUUUUAGAGAGAAAGAAUUUUUUCUGAGAAAUUGCUUAGUAUUAUUAUCUACUUUAAUCAAUACACUAUCAAUGUUUAUAUACUUCAAUAUGAGUAACUUCUCCUAACCAACUAUACCAGACUAAUCAACUGAAUGAUAACAAACUAACAAAUCUUAUGUUAACAAUCUCUAUUCUUCUAACAUUGUCUAUUUAUGCUUUUGAAAUGCUGACUUGUACUACUAUUUCCAACCCUCUUUUCCUUUAUUUUUUUCAAGCCUUAUACUACCCCUAAUCAGCCCUUAAAUUUCCCUCCUUGUGCCGCCCAAAGCAGCCCUCGUGUGUGCCAUUUUAAACACUACAUUGGGGUUACUGUUUUUCUCUCUUUAGCCGUAUCUUUCUAGAAAAAAAAAAUUGUUGUUCCACUCCUCUAAUCAAUAUUUAAUUGUGUCGUUUUCAGGUGUAUUCGAUUCCCUUCGUUCAAUGAUUUCGAAAUAGUUAACGGGUAGUGUAAGUGUGGAAGCUAGUGAGAUUUAGUGUCAUAUUAAUUUCGUUUAAAUAUGCUGAUUUGGCAGAUUAUUCUAAGGAGUUAUUGAUUGUUUUAGCUACUAAUUUUUUAUAUAAAAUUAUCGUAGGGGCUGAUUGUAACAUCCUGAUUCAACAGUAAGCCGAAACUUAUUCGCACUCUCGCUUGGCAUUAUUUCAGUAUCAACGUGAUUAAUUGUCCUUAAUUGCUCAUUUUUUAAAUUAUCAGAGAUAAUUUACUCCAUUUUUUUUAGAGGAACCAAUUUACCUAUAUCAAGAUUGAGAGGCACGUAGAAGUGUUUUUACUAAUAAAAUCGAAAUAUAAAAGUAUACAUUUCGAUAACACAAACACUUGCAUACUUAACCCUAUUUUCAUAAAACAUGGACAAAAAUCAUAUACCCAUAAAUAAUUUAAAGCAUUCAAGGUUGAUCUUUUAGGAAUUAAGACUAAAUUAACAAUAUAUAUAUUAAUUAUCUCUACAUUAUAUAUAUUUUAAAUAAUAUGUUAAAAUUUAUCAAUUUCAGUAAAUUUUAUAAUUUUUUUGAAUGUUUUAUAAUAUUUUUGAAAAUUUGAUAAAUUUUUAUUUAUAUAUUUUAAAAUUUUUAUUUAUUAUUUUUCUUUUAGAAUUAAAGUCAAAUUUACACCAUGUAUAAAUGUUGAAGGUUGAAUUUAAAAAAACAAAUAGAACUAAAUAAACAAAAUGGGUGAAUGUUGAAGACCAAAUUUGUUAUUAUUCCAAUAUUUCAUUUGGUGAUCAAAGGUAUUUUAAUAGUAGGAUGACUAUAAACUGCAAUUGAUCUAAUGGGAGUGACUAAUAUAAUAAUAAUUUUUUUUGUGACCAAUACAAAAAUACCUUAAAAUUUGGGUGACUAUAAGGAAAGUUUACCCAAAAUAAAACAUUGUAAGCUUUUACAAAUUCGGACGUCUUCUACAGGCGUGAUUGUUCCCUGACUUACAGGUCGGGAGUUGUCGAGCGAUUGAAGUUUUUCAACUACGAGACCACCUUAAGCAAAUAUGUCAAUAAAUAAAUAAUCUAACCCCAUCCAAUCAGAGACUUCAAACUCUUACUCCCCAUCUCUUAUUACAUCUCUUGCGUUCCUCCUGUAUAUGUUUUUUUUUUCUUUUUUAUUGCAGAAAUCUAGUUGAAUUCAGGAAUUGUUACUUUGUUUUGGCCCUUCAAAUCAAGGUUCUACAUCUGGGUAAACAUGGAGGGUUGUUCAUCAAAUGGAUCUACUUCAUUUUUUGGCUCAAACAUACCCAACGAGCUUCAACUUCCACACCAAACUGAUUCUUCGGCCGGAGUAGAUGAAAUGCUUCGCAGACAAGAUUCUGUGUUAGUACAGGACGAUCUCUACUUCUCUGCUGGAGACGAUGGACCAACGGAUCAGUCUCUGCCAGACCAAGACCAUCAAUUCAAUCAAGAAGAAACACCCGAAGCUUCAUAUCAAACGGUAUCAGAAGGUGGGACUCGAUCUAAACUCACUCCAGCUCAAAGAAAAGAAAACAAAAGACAAAGUGAUUACAAGUAUAGGCAAAAGCGCAAGGUAUAAGAUAAUCCAAUUAUUUUUCUCUCUCUAGAAUAUUGCCUCUAAUGGAAUUAGUUAUAAUCAAAAUGUUUACUUUAAAUGCCCUUUUUAACCCAUCAUAUUGAUAUGAUUGUAUUUUACCUAGAAUGGUCAAGUGGUGACCAAAUUAUGUAAAUUGAUUUCUUAGAUUUGUCUUGUUUGAUAUUAACAUUCUGCGGUGUAGGUAAAAGCAGAUGAACAGAAUGGGGAGAUUAAACGCUUGAAAGAGGAAAUUCAACGGCUCAACGUUGAGAAUGGACAGUUGACAGCACAACUUGGAUUGCCACUCUCUAUUGCGCAAUUCCAAGCAGCAGCUCAACAGAGACAGGAUGGUUACAUUACCCAGUCAACCGGCAAGCAGCUUCACCCUCAAACUCUUACUGUCCAUGGAACAAACUCUGAAGCUGUUGACAAGGUAUGGCAUAUUAAUUGUUCUUCAUGUUUGAAAAAUCUAAUGCUUGAACUGGAAUUUAUGUUUGGAUUUCGAUACCUUGGGUUAAACCAUAUUAAGUUUCUCAUAAAGAUUCAAAUUCUGGAAUCCUGAUUUGUUUUCCCUCACAAUUCAUUGUCUCGGCUCUGCAAUUUGGAGAUGAAUGAGAUACAAAAUAUACAGGGAACAGUUUCUGUAAUUGUAGUUGAUGGUAAUGACGGUAUAGCAAAAAAUCAGACGAGUUCUGAAGUUGAAACAUGCAUUAAUAAUGAAGCAGCCAUAACUGACAUUCUUAUGAAACUUGAAGCUGAUGACGAGAGCAGAGUGAAGUUCUCUGACUUCACUGGCUUACAUGGUGAGUGCAUACCAGUAGGAAAAUAUAGUUUCCCACCAGCCCUACAUCCGAUUGUGAACAGCAUUAUCGAAGUCUACGGUGAUGUUUCAGCAACAAGUAAGAUGAGCCCAAGUAUUGCCGAGACCGUUUAUAUCGUGUUCUGUGCUUCUGUCAAAGAGAUGAGCAAUCUACGGCUGGAGCACGUCACAGAGGAUCUGAUAUUGAAGUGGAGGGAUGCAAUCAAAGAUGCUUUACGCAUCAAUUUCAAGGUGGAUUUCGCCAUGGAACAUUUGAAGAAAAUUGCUUGUGCAUACAUCGGUUUAAUGGAACGUCAAAAGCUGGAUAGUGCGGGUUUGAGGAUAUCCAAGUUAGAGGCUGAGUUGAGUACUGCGAAAGAGGAGCAUGCAAAGAUAUGCGAGCAGUCCAAGGUGUUUAUAGAUGCUGCAGAAGAGUUCAACGAUAAGCCUGUCAGCUCUGGUAUGUUCAAAAGACCUGGCCAGAUCAACGUUGAGCUAGAGCUAACAAAUGAACCGGAUUCGAGUACCCUAAUACUUUGAUUUGAGUAGCUAUCAAGUCCAAUCGAGUUUUUCUUGUUAAUAUAUAUUUUUUUCAUUUUUGUUUGAAACUAAAAUUUGAGUUUAAAUAAUUGAAUGAGAAUUAUGCUCAUUUUAAUAAGGUAAAUUGACCUCAAACAUUUAAAGUGAAAGUUGAUAGAGCUAGACCGAGCUUGACCAAGCUUCUAAACUCUUCUACAGCAUCCAUAAACACCUUCGACAGUUCACACAUAUUUAGUAUGCUCUUCUUUCCCAGGAUUCCACUCAGACUCAAUUGGAUAUCCUCAAAGCCAUAUUAUCCAGCUUUCGACAAUCCAUUAAACCGAUGUAAGCGCAAGCAAUUUUCUUCAAAUGUUGUAUGGUGAAAUCCACCUUGAAAUUGAUGCCUACAUCAUCCUUUGUUGCAUCCCUCCACUUCAAUAUCCGACACUCAGUGAAGCAUAGAACGUGAUAUAGAUCGCCUCGAAAAUGCUUGGGCUCAUCUUACUUGUUGCUGAAACACCUCCAUAGAAAUCAAUGAUGUCGUUUACAUUGGAUGUAGAGACGGUGGGAAACUACCGUCAACUACCACAUCGGCCUUUUAUAGUAGAAAAUUUGUGAAUAAAAACAGAGGAAGAAAUUCAUAUGUUACGAAGAAUCAGAUUUUGGUUUUGCGAUAAUCGUUCGAAAACUUGCGAUAACACCCAAGUUGUACGUUUUGUAUCUUUUGGUUGUUUUGUGUUUUUCUUGUUCACAUUGUAAAAGUCAACAAUCCCGUGAGAAGAAGUUGCACGGAAAAGUGCAACCGCUUCUUUAGUUACAAUAACCAUAAAUAUAAAUAAAUGGGUAAAUUUUAUUAUGCUUCUUUAGUAUCUUAUAGAGGUGGUAAGGGGCUGGCUAGGUUCGGGUCAGGUCAAGUAAAAAUUUAUAUUCGUUUGUUAGGUCUAGGUCUGACAUGAAAAUGAGUUUAAAAAUUUGUCCAAAUUCAGCUCGGAUAAAAAUGUUAAAACUUGAACCCAAUCUUGCCCACCCAUAUUAAUUUUUUAUAUUAUUUUAUUUUUACAUAAAUUUUAAAUAUAUAUAAUAUAUCAAAAAUAUUAAAAAUAUUAAAAUAAAUAUUUCCAAACAAAUUGAAAAUAAAUUUUAAAAAAUAUAUAUACUUAAAUAAUACUAAGAUAGAUGCAACUUAACAAGAAAAUUCUUUAAAAUAAUAACAAAAUUAAUAAUAAAACAAGUGUUAUAAAUAUCCAAACAAUAACAACAAAAUAGUAGUAAUAUAAUAGUGAAAUGGUAACAAAAUAUGGAGAAAACAAAAAAAUAUCAUUAAAAUAACAAAAAGAAAAGAUUUUUUUGGCAUUUAGUGAAUUCGGGCCAGGCUCGGGCAAAAAAUGUCUUUACCCAAGGCCUGGCCCAUUUUUAAAAUGGACCUUAUUUUUUUUGUCCAAGCCCAUUUUUCGAGCCUAUAUUUUUGUCCAAACCCUUUCAUUUUUCAGGCAGGCCUUCGGGCUGGGAGACCCAGCCCAUGAGCAAGUCUAAUAUCUUAGGGCUUUUUUUUGUCAGUUUCAAAAUAGUCACCCAACUGGUUUGUUUUCUUUUAUCUAUUUCUGUUACAUAUUUAACAGAAAGGUGAGAUGACGGUUCAAAUAUUAAUAUAAUAACAAAUUUAGUGUACAAUAUUACAUAUUAUGUCAAUUUAGUCAUAAAUUAAAAUAAUUAACUCUUAACGUUUACAUAUUAUGUUAAUUUGAUCCUAAUUCUAAAAAGUUAAAAAAGAAAUUAUAAAUAUACAUAAAUAUUUAAAAUAUAUAAUAAAUUUAAAAAUAUAUAAAUAAUAAAGUCAAGAUCAAGAAAAAAAAACUUGGAGAAGAAGUAUGAACAAAGUCGAAUUCCAAGUUUUUAUAGAUUUCUUCAUCAAGUUCUCUUUUGUAGAUUUUAAAAUAAAGAGCAAAUCUUAUAAAAAUAUGAUAUUUGACUUUAUUCAUACUUUCUCUCCAAGUUUGCUUUUUUAGAUCUUGAUUUUAUUUGAUAUAUAUUUUUAAAUUUAUUAUAAUUUUUGAAAAUACAUAUGUGUGAUUAGAGUUAUGAUCAAAUUGAAAUAAUUUAUAAUGUUGAGGGUUGUUUUUUAAAAGUUGUGAUCAAAUUGGCAUAAAAUGAAAAAAUUUCAAGGUUAAUUUUAUUAUUAUAUUACCUUUUGAACUGUCAUCUCACCCUUCUAUCAAACACUUAAAUAAAAAAAAUAAAAAACUUGAUUAGUUGGGUCACCCUCAUAUCACCCUUCUAUCAAUUUUGGAAAAUUAGAGUAAAUUAAUUUUAGGAAAAUGAUUUCAAUGAUUUUCUAAAAUAUUGGUAUUUUCCAAUAUUUGGAUUAUUCAACCUAAAAUAUAUUUAGCUGUUUGGUAAAUUUUGUCAGAAUAGUGAAACAAAUACAAUAAUAAUAAUGCAUUUAAUUAACAUAUUUUUAUUAAUUAUUUUAAUUAAUUUGGAUAUAUAUUUUAAUUAAUUUCACACUUAGUUAAUUAUUUUCUUUGUCGAUACAGUUAUUAUCUAAUGUGUCAAUAAACAAGUGGAUAUGUGAUUUGCACAAUAAAUUUGACACAAGAAUUCGAAUUGACGCGCGAAACAAAUACUUUAAAAUUAUUUUAUUAUUAUCUCUUUUUAUUUUAGGAUUUUAUAUAAUGUAUAAUUACCGGGCAGCACAUGACAACCAACCCUUAUACUUACUAGCAGGGUCGGAGUCAAACAGGUUGAUAAAGUUCCCAUCCUCCUAAAAUUAAUAUAUGAUAAAAUUAUAUUUUAACUCUUAAAAAAAACUUUUUAAAAAUUAUAAAAAUAUAAAAUAUCAAAAUAUAAAAUUUUUAUUUAUAUCAUUAUAAAACCAUAUAAUUUAAUUCCAAUCUCCUUUAAAAAAAUUUUGACUUCGCACCUUCUUGUUAAGUUUUAUCUUAUUAUGAGUAUUAAAUAUAUAGUUAUAGUAAGCAGGGGAGGCAGGAGCACAACAACCCUUCCUUUAUAUUCACAUUCACUUGCGCAUGAACUAGAAACCACUGUUGCGCUAUUUUUAUUUCAUUUAAUUUGAAUACAAUUCAUCCCUUUCUUUUAUUAUCGUUCUUCAAUUUUUUGAUUUAGUUUUUAUUAAAUCUAUUCUUGAGUUGGGUCAAAUCAUGUUUGAGUCGAGUCAGGAUAAGAUUUUAAAUUCGACUAAUAAGACUAACCCGACACAAUCCAAAAAAUAGAUUUAGAUUUUCUUUCUCAAACUUGGCCCAAAAUAAAGUUAUUAAGCUUAGGCCUAACCCAUAUUAUUUUUUAAAAAUAUUUUAUUAUAUGAAACAAAUUUUAAAAUAUAUAAUAUAUCAAAUUUGAAUUUUUUUUUUCACCGGGACAUUUUCAACAAAUAUUAAACAUCAUUCUAAUAAAAAUAAAGGAUAAGCAUUUAAAAAAAAAAAGAAGAAAAGAAGAAAAGUAAAAAAACAUAUUAAUAUAAGAGCACAAGACAAAGAAGCAAAAUUGUCAGGUAAAUUAGACCUUUCAUUUCAUCAUAUAAAUGCAGCCUGGCAUAGACAAAAAUUCAUACUCAGAAACCAGAACCAACUUGAAAUCGCACAUGCAUGUAAGCAUAUUGGAUAUAAAGUUUGGUGUAAUAUCCUAAUUUUCCUCGGCCCAACACAAAUAAAUAAACUUAAAUAAAUAAAAAAAUUCAAAACAAAAAUAAACAAAAAUUCUAUUAGCAGUCCAAGUUACAAUCCCAAUAAUAAAGUCAAUUUACAAAACCCUAACCUAAUACCCAAUAAUCCAAAGCCCACAACUUAAAUUUUUUCAAAAAAUAAAAAAAAACCCUAGAUUUGUUGAAAGGCCGCGUCGGAGGAAGACCAAAAAUCGAAAGGUCCCUUUGGUAUUUUCGAAUCUUGACCAGAUUUUUAGGGAUUUCAACCCUAGAUCUUGGUUCUCUGUGAGACGGAGAUGAAAAAGGUUUUUUUGACAACUUCGGCCAUCGGAGGCGAUGGUCACUGUCACCGUUGUCGAUGGCCAGUGGCCACAGCGGGGCGACGAUAGCCUUAUGGCCGGACCCAGGGAGUUGUUUCUGUAACAGCCCAUUUUCAGUUAAAUCGGAACAGUGGUAACGUGACCAAAAAUUUGAAUUCAAAAAAAUUUAUUAUUAUUAUAUGGUCUACAGUAUGAUAGAAAUACUGUGUAAAAAUUUCAUUAAGAAAUUUUACCAUUUACAUACCUAAUUUAAUGUAAAGGACUAAAUUGCAUUAAGGGCAAAAGCUGAGUUCUAAUAGCUAAAGGUAUUAAAUAGCUAUAGAAUUUGAAAUUAGAGGUCCUUAUAUAGUAAACAGACCAUUAAAGUGCUUAGUGGUUAAGCAUGAGUAGUCAUCACUGGAAAUUGAAUAAAUUAUUAAGGGUAAUUUUAGAAAUUAUCAAUUAAAGUUAUAAUAAAUAAAAUAAAAUAAUCUAUUAUUAUCAUCUACCACCAAAAAAAACAGAAGAAGAGAAAACCUAACCAUAGAAGCUUGAGAUAUUAGCAAGCUUAUUUUGCUCAAUUAGGUAUGUAUUGUUGUCUCGUUUUUAAUGAUUUAUAUGUUUUCGAUAUCGUAGUAGCUUAAUUUAGCUAGCUCAGGAUUAAUUUGCAAGAUUGUUAAAGUAUUAUGAUAGAAAAUGAAAGGUUGUUGUUAGAUAAAUAACUUUUGUAAAGAGAAUUUUGAUGAAAUUAUCAAUGAGGGAUUAAAUUGAAAAAGAUGAUAAAUUUAUGGUUAAAUUGUGAAAUUGUGAAUUAUGUGGGCUGUUAUUAAUAUGUAAAAAAAUUGACUAGGCUUGAGUAAGGAUUAAAUUGCAUAAAAGUCAAUUUUCGAGCCUAGGGACUAAUUUGCAAUAAAUUAAAAGUAUAGGGGCAAAAUAGUAAUUUCCCAAAAAUAUGUGUUGGACUAAAUUGAAUAUGAAUUAUAUUGAAUUGAGUUAAACUCAUUUGUAUAGAUCCGGUUAGACCUAGUACGGAGUUAGAUCGAGGCAAAGGAAAAAUAUCAGAUUAGUCACCUUCGUAUCUACUUACAUUUAUCGAGGUAAGUUCGUAUAAUUAAAUUGAGUAUGUAUAUGUAUUAAUUGAAUUAUAUGUAUGUGAAUUGUAUAAUUACCAUGUAUAAAUACCGAUCACAUAUCCGAUGAUUAUCGAGUCCCGUUUGAACCGUAUGAAAUUCGUAGGAUAGAAAUGACAUGUCAUUAGGGUUACCGAUUUGGUUGGGGUCCUGCAUGUGUUGCAGACACACCAAAGCUCUUAUGAGCUUUGUGAUACCCAGCAUGCAUGAGCUUCCCAUUAUUCAACUCCCAUGAGCUUCCUAUUAUUCAACUCGGAGGAGCUUCCCAUUUACUGCUCUUAUGAGCAUACAUGUACAUGAAUUGACAGAUUACAGUUUAGUACACUUUGUGUGUACUACUCGUGUAUCCAACGAUAUUUUAAAUGGUUCAAUGGGCAUAGUUCUGUUACGAGAUUUUAUGAGUUUGAUAUGAACUAUUAUUGGUAUUAAUAUAAAAAACAUGAAAUGUGAUUAUUUGAUGAAUUCAACCAUGUGUGUUGGACCUUAUAAGUGAUUUUCAUGGCUAAUAUGUUGGUGAUCAUGUAUUUAGGCUUUUGGCCAAAUUGAUUGAGAUAUGCUAUGUUUACUUACCAUAUUUUAUGGAAAUAUGGUAAGUUAAAUUUUGUAUUAUAUGAACUUACCAAGCUUAAAUGCUUACUCUGUGUUAUUUUUCAUGUUUUAUAGUAAUUCAGCGUACGAGUUAGAAGCUGGUCAGAGCUAUUUCACACUAUCCAUCAGUCCUUUUAGUAUUUUCAGUAAAUUAAUUUUGGUUAUAAUGACAUGUAUAGGUUAUUUUGACCAAUGUUGGCAUAUAAAUGUUUUAUGGAAACUAGUUACUUGAAUGACUUGUGUUUGGUAUAUUUUGAUGCAUAUAUAUAUAUAUAUAAGUGACUUUAUCAUGUUUGAUGUGUGAGUGAUAUGGUAGAAUGAAAGAAAGUAAAAUGUGGUUUGAAUAUGCAUACAUGAAUUUGGUCAUUUAGGUAAAUUGAGAUACUUGUUGAAAUGUCUUUAAGUUUUCAAUUGAGGUGCCUAAGGGCAUAUUAGUUGUAUGUGGUAAUAUUUCAUGUUUAAGAAUUGAUUUUGGAUUAUGUUGAAUGCCUUGUUAUGGCUUGUUGAUAUGUAAAGUGUUGUGUUUAGGUUGAUGUCAAUUUGGGUGAGAAAUGUGGCUUGGAAAAUGACCUAUUUUCGUCCACACGGGUAGAGACACGAGCAUGUGUCUCAACUGUUUGUCCCCUGUAUCUUUUAAUUGAGCAAGUUAGUAUUCUCACACGGCCUAGCACACGGGCGUGUGGCUUGGCUGUGUGACCCAAGUCAGACAGUUACACGGGUACGGACACGGGCUGGACACGGCCGUGUAUCCCUAUUUCGAAUGCCUACAUGGCUUGAGACACGGGCGUGUCUCCUGAUUGUGUGAGUCAUAAGGCCGUGUGUCCCCUACAACUUUAAAAAUUUUUAAUGUUUUCGAAAAAUUCUUUGAGUAUCUGAUCUAGUCCCGACUUGUUAUUAACGUGUAUUUUGGGCCCCAAGGGCUCGUAUAAGGGACAAUAUGUAUGAUUUCGAUUGAUUUUUGACAUGAAUGUUAUACGAUAUGAAAUAUCUACUUAUUUGAUCUGUAAACUUUGGUAAUGCUCGGUAACCCUGUUCUGACGAUGAAUACAUGUUAGGGGUGUUACAUUUAUAGAGAAAAAAAACCGAAAGAAGAGGUUUUUUUUAAAACACAGGAGAAGUGAUAUUUUUUCAACAAAUUUUGGCUUAUGGGGGCCUUGGUGUGACUUCGUUUUGGAUUGGCAUUAGAAGCUCCAAAACGGCAUCGUUUUGAAGCCUGACUGCUGACCCGAUCUAGAUCCCCUAGGAGCCGCAUGUUUUCGUGACAAAGUUCUAAUUGCUGACCUAGUCCUUCCGCUUUUUAAACGUUUUUCAACACAGUCCUAUUUCUGGUCUUUUUUCUUUUUCUUUUUAAAUUAUACCACUCAAUUUUGGAUUUUUUUUAUUUUGGUCCUUUGGACCUUGGUCUCUCCGGAAAAUGGUGUGUGUAAUGAGGUUGGGAAUAAUUUCCCAUUUGGUCACUGUUCCUUUUCGCGUUUUACAUUUAGUCCUUUAUUUUGCUUUAUUUAUUCAUUUGUUUAUUUGAUAUAAUUCAUUAUUUAAAUUUCAUCUAAAUUUCAAUUUAAUCAAUCAUUUAUUUAACUUCACACUUUUAAUUACUAUUUUUUUUAAAUUUUGGCACUUAAAAUUUAUGUUGUUUGGAUCUUUUUUUAAUUUUUUAUUUAUAUAUUUUUUGGUGGUUAUUACAUAUUUUUAUUUAUUUAUUUAUUUUGGUAUUAUGAUAAUGAUAUGACUAUUGCUAUUAGUAUUAUGAAUUAAUAUCUUAUUUAUUAUUAUGGUUGCAUUAUUAUUAUGGUAUUUAUUUAUUUAUUAUUUAUCCUUUUAAUAUAGAUGUUUUACCCACAUGAUUGUUUUAUGUUAUUUAGCUAUCACUAUAUCAUGUGUCAUGUUAAAUAUAUUUGUCCAUUUUCAUACUAUGCGCAAAUAAAUUAACUGCACAUCACUUUAAAUGUUAUUUUCGUUUUUACUCGAUGCAUAAAAAAGGAAACUUAAAAAAAAUGAGGCAAUGUUCAUUGUUUAGGGAUUCAAGAAAUAGUGCCCUAACUUACGGGGUACGACUUUCUCCUUGAACCAAGAUAAAUGAGCAUCCUUUUUAAAUUCAAGACAUAUAAGAUUUGAGUAAUGAUCAAAUGGUGAUUAUUCUUGUUUUCGAAGAUUUGAAGCAUCGUGUUCUAACUUACGGGGCAUGAUAUUUUCUUCUCGAUUAAUUUGAAAUAAGACCUUUUUUGUGAAAAUUAAUUUAGUUAAUCGAUAUUUUAAUUAAAAAAAACAUCAUGCAAAGAUAAAUUCUAUUUUAAAUUUUCUUUUAAAUUUUAAAUUUUCGACAUCAAAACAUCAAGUAACCAACUAGGUACCAAUUUUGAGGGUUAUGAGGGUGCUAAUCCUUCCUCAUACGUAAUCGACUCCCGAAACCAUAUUCUUGGAUUUUGUAGGCUAAAAAUUAUCGUUUUAGUAAAAUCUAAUCUUUUAUUAAGAUGAUUAAAUUUUGAGGUGACCCGAUUACAACUAAUAAAAAGGAUAGGUGGCAACUCCAUUUUCGUUUUUAAAAUAAAAAUUGAUUUAAAAAAGGUUUCAAGUAACGUUAAAUUAGCCGCUGCAAACUGCUACUAAAACUACAAAAAAGAAAAAUAAAAAGAACACUCAUAAUUUCUAAAAAACACUCAGCAAAUCUUUAAAUUAAUUAGCAACUACCAUUUAAACCAUCUACCACUUAAUCAAGCAGAUCAACCACUAACCAAACAAACUGUAAUUUAUAAAGUCCAAUCUAACAACCAAAACUUUAAAUCCGGUUUUCUUUUAUUAUAAUUUCUGACAAAUCACUCAACAAAUCCGUAAAUUAAUUACCGUUACUCAUCUGCUUAAAUGUCAAUCUAAAGCUACAAUUAGUAUCAAAGACGAAGAGAAAAAUCAAAGAAAAUACAAAAAAGAAGUAUAGAAUAAAAGAAAAUAUAACCUAAAAAUAGUCGCUGAUGAAAUGAAGAAGCACUUGGACUUCGAUCAGUCCAAUAAAAGAGUGGAGCCAGCGAAUGAUGCGAAGAUUAUGAAAACUUGAAGGGUGCCUAGCGUAUGAUGAAAGUGAAAGUGAAAGUGAAAGUGAAAGUGAGAAAUUAGGGAUUUAGUUUUAGAAAUUGUUUUUGUUUGAAAGAAGGAACAUUGUUUGGAGUAUUGGACAGAGGGAAAAACAAAGAGGAAGCCUUAUUUUCAAACAAGUAACAUGGUUUUCCAAUUUCAAAGCCCAAUCCAAUAAAUUCUUAAUUUGCUAAAAAUAUGAUUUAUUAGUACCGUUGGGGUUAGAUUGGGCCCAGGUUGAAAAAAACUUACUCGAGGCUUGACUCGUUUAGAAAACAGGCCUCAAUUUUUUAUCCAAUCCCAUUUUUCAGGCUUAUAUUUUUGUCCAAAUCCUCCCACAUUUCAAGCGAGUUUGGUCGAGCAGCCCGACCCUUGGACAAGUCUGUUUUUUAUCUGCGCUAAUUUUUUAUCUAGUCUUUGAAACUAUGAGACUCGAAACCAUAUCUAAAAUUUUUCAUUCUUAUAUUUAUUAUUUUUUUGGGUUAAAGAAAUAGACACUAUCGUCUCAUAAAAUCAUACUGGCAUAAAAUCAAAAAAGAUUCGUUGAUUGGGUGUUGUGUGGUGUCUAGUUGGCAGAACCAAUACGGUUGAUUGCUAUAUUCAGUUUACUAAGAAAUACAUUGACGUGUUCAAUUUAGUGGUUGGUUGGACCCGUCAAAGAAAAUAACAAUCGGGUUUAAAUGACUUGCGCGGUUGAGGCCAUUUAUCUGAGUUGGGCCCUUCUGGUUCGCGAGGCUAUUGAAAAGUUAAAUCAUGGAUAUGUGUUUCAUGGUUUGUUUGGUAAGGGUUAAUCAUCGGACGUUCUCAUAUUUAUUUUAUACACGGAAGGGUUGGUGGCCUAAGGCGUCCUCGAUCACUAUAAUUGACUUAUCGAUUGGAGGAGAAAAUUCUUUGCCAAGAACUAGUUUGAAGUCAAAGUUUGAAGCUAGAGCGUCGUCACAUCGGUUUAUUUAAUUUUAAUUUUGUUUUAGUUUAUUUUACUCUAAUUUCAAUUUCAAUUUGUUUCUAUUACUUUUAUUUUUAAUCGGAUUUAAUCUUCCCUUUUAUUUUAGUAUAGGUUGACACACGUUGUGGACACGACAAUUGCUUGACUGCGUAACAUGGUUAAACCAAAAGUCAAAUUUCGAUACCUCAACACUAUGGGAUCAACCCUGCCACUUAUACUAUUUAGGUGUAGGAAUAUUAUUUUUGGUAGAUUCGACAUCCAUCAAAUUUUGGCAUCGUUCCAAAGGAUUGCUACUAACUAAUUUUGUGUUUUCCUUUUUACGGGCCUAGACGUACAGAUUGCUCAAGCACAAUCUAGAUGUAGAGCGUAAGAGGUAAAUGUAUCUUCAUGGAAAGUACACUUACAACAUGUUUGGUUGGGGGGACUAGGAAUGGUUUACAUCUUAAUUUGGUAGGCCCAUCACCAAACUAAUGUUUGGUUGACUGUAAUGGCCUAUUACGACUUGUGCUGAAUAGGGCUCUAUUCUGGGAAAAGGCUACAUAGUCAUUCCUUUCCCUUACCGUUAAAUAGGUAUUCAACUCGGUGGAUUAGGAAGAUUUUUCCCAUUUUCAAUUUUUUCCUCACCUUUACCCGGAGGAUAAAAACCAUGUAAUUGGAACCAUCAUCGUUCUCCCUCGGUCUCAUUGGUAACUUCCUUUCAUUUCCAUUUCUACUAAGGAUAUUGGUACUCUUUUUUAAAUGCUUCCCUUUUUUUUCCUUUGGUUGUAGAGGAAACCUACGUCAGUCAAUUGAAGCUAUCAUCCUUCGCUCUUUUUUCUUUUUCUUUUCCUAAGUUUAUAUUAUCUUGAAGCUAUCAGGUCCUCCUAAUUUUGAAAAAAGGGUAAGUUUUUUAAUGAUAUGUUUUCUAAACCCAAAAAUUAGGGCCUCGAGUUGCAUAUUCAACUAUGUUUCUUAUGUUUAGUGCAGGCAGUGAAAGAUCCUAAUUCUUCAAUUCUUUUGUUAUAAGAUUUUUAUGCAGAAUUUUAUAUUAUGAUUUGUAGCAUGUAAACUAUUGUAAUAUAACCCCUAGGCUUGAGAGUUAACUACAUUGGAUUGAGGGAGCAUAAGUUUGCUUUCUUUGUAUCUUAAUUGUAUUUUAUUUGUUAUUAGUCAAUUUUCAAAUAGGAACCUAGUUUCAGUUAACUUAUGAUUGUCAAAACCAUUUUUUUAUUUGAAAACAGAAAUCGACUUUUAAGAAUAAAAAUGGGAGUCAUGACCGAUCUUUUAUUGGGGUGUGAUCGGAUCACCUUGAAAACGAUUUUAGGUCUACAAAUUUUGAGAAAAUAGGUUCGGGAGUCGGUUACGCACGAGGAAGGGUUAACACCCUCGCCACGCCCAAAAAUUGAUACCGAAUUGAUUGCUUAAUGUCUUAGUGUUGAAAAUUUGAAAAGAUUUUAAAAUACGAUCCUUUGAAAAGAAAACUUGAAUAAUCGAAUUGGAUGAUAAGACAUACCCAUUUCAAAGAAAUAAAUUGUCAAGUUAGGGUGCAACAGUCCAAUCUUCGAAAUUAAGUUUGUCUUUUUAAAAUUUAAAAUUCAUGCUUUUUAUGAAGGAUAUUUGGUUAUUUGGGUCAAAUAAGAAAUUAGAAUCCAGUAAGUUAGGGUUCAAUUUCUCGAAAUUCCUAAACAUCGAAUAUUGCCUUUAUUUUAAAAUCCUUAACUCGAGAUAACAAAAUGUCAUAUCCAGUGAGUUAGGAUUCAACAUUUUGAAAUCCCAAAAAACUUUAUUUAGAAAUUUGUAUGGUUUUAUUGCAAAAGAAAUACUUGGCUAUCUAAAUUCAUCGAAAAAAAUUGAAGCUCGGUAAGUUAGGGCACAAUCCUCUCGAGAAUCGCAAAUACCGAGUAUUUUGACAAUUAACAAAAUAAGAUGAUUUUAAUGUUUUUAAUGAAACACGGUUUCUUUUAAAAAUGUAGUGUGAUUAAGCGGCAACAUACCACACAAAAUUUGAAUAUAAGAUGUACAUCAAUGAGUAAUGAACAAUAAAUAAAUAUAAACAAAUAGAAUAACAAUAAUUUCAAUCAUACAUUAUGCAAAUAUCAACAUCAACAUUAACCUAGAAGAAAAAUAAAAUGUAACUUAUAAAAACAAAAAAAAUGAGAGAAAGGAAAUUUGGAAUUAAUAAAGUAUGUACACAAAAUUAUACAUAAAAAAAUUAAAAAAAUAAGUAAUUAAUGUGAAGAUUUGAAACAAUUUAAUAAUAGAACUAAAAAUGAAAAAAAAAUGUUUAAAUGAAUUUUUAAGAAAGAAUUAUAAAACGAAAAUAAAAAUGAAUAAAUCUUAAAAUUAAUAUACAUAUUUUAAUCUAAAUGAGUAAAAACUUAAUGUAAACAAUAAUAUACAUUUAAUAAUAAUAUGUGUAAAAAUCGAAAUAAGUAAAACAUAAUAGAAAAUUUAAAAGAAAUAAAGUAUUUAUGUAUAGAAAAUAGGUAAAAAUUUAUAAUUUGAAAUUAAUAAUAUAUUUUUUAUAUAUACAUAUGUAUAUUAAUCACCGUGCUUAAGGGCUAAGAUAACCCUAAAAACCAAAAACCUUUCACUAAAAACCUAAACUAAACACUAUUUGCGCCGCUCUGUGAAUUAUCCAAUCAAGGAUUCUCCGAACCUCGCCCAAACUCCGAUGACGAAGGAGAGAGCAAGGAUUCGGCCACAAGGUCACUUCUCUGCUUUCUAAUAUUUAUUUUUAUAUUCUUUUAUUCAAAAAUGAAUCAAACAAACAUAGAAAAGAUAACCGAAAGAAAAAACAAAAAACAAAAAGAAAAAAGAAGAAGCAAAGGAAAGAUUUAAAAUCACCUUUAGAACUCUCUUUCUCUGAAUCUUUUGUUUUGAUUUCUUAAAUUGUGUAUGCAUAAAAAUUUACAGUAUUCCAGUGGCUCUUUUAUAGUCAGAUUUACAGAAAAAAUAAAACAAAAUAAAUAAAAUGAAAUUCCCUCAAAUUACAUCUGUUAUUCUGUUACUGCUGGCUUUCGUGUGUAUUUGCAGGUAUUCGGCCAGCCUCAAACAACAGACGGAGACACACCCAUGUGAGGAAGAUGCACGCGCCUGAUGGUGAUACACGCGCGAAGUCUGGGUCCAACCGCUGUGGCGCCGGUGAAACCCUAGAAGCUUCUGGGGUACUCCCCUGGUUCAGACUGAGUUCUGGGCCUGGGAGAUUCGGGUUUAGAAAAUUGGGUUUGGGGUCUAUUAGUAAUUUGGGCUAUUUUUAUAUUGGACUUUUAAUUUUAUUUUUCUGGUAUUUACUGGGCCAGUAAUGUAAUUGGACCUUAUUAUUAUUUUUUAUUUGGCUUGGUUUUUUUUGAAAUGUAUGUGGGCCGGGCAAAUUUGGGUUAUUACAAUGAUCAUCAUAACAAACCUUGUAUUUGACUUUUUGUUGAGGGAUAUCAACUCAUUUGGGAGAAGUCUUUUGAGUGUUGUCUACCAGACAACCGAUGUUGCCCUCAACAACUAAAGGUAUUGUCCCCAUGUCAAGAUUUUAACCCAGCCUCUGUAGAAUAAUUAUGGAGAAUAUGUGCAUAGGGAUUCAAACCACCAACCAAUGCAUAUGUAUCCUUUACUUGUAGAAUCAAGAUGUAAUAGCCCAUUUUUAGUAGUUUUAGAACUCCUUUUUUCGAUAAUCAAUUCAGUAAAUAAUAUUUAUUAAUAUUUACGAGUCUAUUAUAGUGUUAUAUUAAUUUUUGGUCUGGUAAUUUUGAUGAACGAUUAGUAAUUAAGGUACAAGGACUAAACCGUAAAAAACAUAAAAGUUGAUAGCUAUUGAAUUUUAUUAGUUAAAAGAAUUAAAUAGAAAUUGUUCAAGGGUUUAAGUGGUAAUUAGGCCAUUUUUUUAUAGUGGUGGACAAUUGAUGUUUUGUUUUAAGUAAUUAAUGUUAAAAAUUAUAAUGAAAUUGUGUUAUAUGUUAUAAGAAAAAUAAAACAACAGUGAUCAUCCGCUUUAGUUUCUUCCUUCUUCAACCAUGAGCACCAAAGAGAACUUCAGAAACCAUUUUUUUUACAUCAAUCUUGUUCGAUCCUCUUGCAUCAUAUGUUAACUAAGUCAUUUUCUUAUAAUUUUUAUGUUUUGAGAUCCCGGGGAGCUUGAUUUAAUUAACUCAAGUACUAAUUCACAAAGUUGUAAAGUUUUGAAAUGUUGUCAUUGAUGAUUAUUAAGCUUUUGGUAUUAAUUGGUUGAAUGUUAAGCUUAGAUGUUAAAUAUGACUAUUUUGUAAUGAGAAAAUUACUAGUUUUGAGUAUACGGACUAAAGUGUAAAUAUUUUGAAAUUGACAUGAAAUUUAUAUAAUUAUUGAUUCUAGAGGGUUAUAGAAUGAUGAAAUUGAAAUCCGAUUGAAAAAUGAAGCUUGAAUAUGAAAGUUAUGGUUAUUUUGGUUUUAGGGACUAAAAUGAAUAAAAUGUAAAAAAAUUAGUGAAUUUGUGAAAAUUAAAAUUUAAGUGUCAUAUGUAUAGAAUACGGUGUUGUAAGGUAAUUGGAACUGAUAAAUUGAAAUGAAUUACAAUAUAGUUUAAGAUUUGAAUUGACCAGAAGUUAGUCGAGGAAAAAGGAAAAUUGUAGAUUAGGCCCUGACACUUCGCUUACUAUCGUUUUUUCCAGGUAAGUUUAUAUGGUAUACUUAUAUUUAAUUGUUAUAGAUAAUUGAAUUAUAAAUUGUGUAUGUGUGUAUGUAAUUUGAGUUGCUUUUAUGUUGAUGUAUGAUUGCACUCUAAUGCCCCUGAUUGCACUCUGGUGCCCUUGAUUGCAUUUUUGUGCCUCUAUAUGCACUUUGGUGUCCCUGUUUGUAUUACAAUGAUCGUCAAGAAAUGAACAGAGUUUGAGCGAUGAGUUCAAAUGGGAUAAUAUGAACAUGUCCAUGGUUGAAUGUGGAAUUGAUUUUGGUGUGGUACUAAAGCGUUAAAUUAUAAUAGAGUUUCUUGUACACUGAAUUAGCAUAUGGAAGGAUUGUGUGAACUCAUCUUGAGGAAAUUGUACUACCAUGGUUAGGUUUAAUUGGCAACUUGGUUAAGUAAUUACUUAUAGGUUUUAAAUGAGGCAAGCUAAUCAUUCUAUGCUUAUGAACUUGCUAAGUAUUUUAAAAUGCUUACUUUGUCUUGUUUUCCUAUCUUUUAGUUGCCUUUUGCGGAACGCAACAAUGGAUAAACUUGGAGCUCACACAAUCUAGUCUUUAAUUUGUGGAAUAUUACAUAACCCAAAUGGCAUUACUCUCCAUUGAUAAUGUCCAUUAGGAGCACUAAAGGCUAUUAAGGGUUUAGAUUUAUUGGUUAGCAUGAUUUGCCAAAAACUCUAUUUACAAUCAAACUUACUAAAGUAUUUAGCUUAUUUAGCCUGAUUAAUCAAAACAUCUUUUCUUGGAAUAAAAUAUCCAUCAAAAAAUAAUAUUUUGAUUUAACCUUUUAUAAUUAAUUACCAUCCUAACUUUUCCUCUUUUUAUUUCGGCAUGGUUUCUUACCAUAAAAGCGGGACUAGAAUGUGGACUAUUAGUUUUUUCUAUUAAUCCCUUUUCUAAUAGUUCAUUUAUUUGAACUUCAAAUUCAUCUAUAUCUUGUUUAGUAUGGAUCAUAGGUUUAACUCUGAUAAUUUUAUUGGGAUUUUCUAAUUUAAUAUCACAGUGUCUAAGACUAUUAUUCCAUAAUUUUAAUGGUUCUUCACUAAAAUUAUCUUCAAGAAUUUUAAACAACCAAUGAUUUGUUUCUAGUUGUUUAAUUUGUUCCUUUCUAGUUGGUGUAAAGUUUUUAUCACACACAAACUUAUGAUUUUCUACAACUGGUAUUUCCACUGAAGACUUUUCUACAGAUAAAAUAAUUAAAUUUCUAUCUAUAGAAAAUGGUAGAUGCUGAUAUAUAAAAUUAUUUCCUAAUAAUAUAUCUCCAUGCAUCACAGGAAAACAUAAUAUUUUUGGAAUCACAAAUCUUACAUUGUUCAUGUAGAUUGAUAUAUUUCUAGCCUUAUAUUGAAUUAUGGUUUCGUUACCAUCUAUUCCUAUUGCAUUUAUAAGAUUUUUCAUUAAUUCACAUUUUUCUACAGGAAUGACAUUUUUUUGACAACUACUGGUUGUAGCUCCUAUAUCUAAUAAAGCAUGUAAAGAAUAUUUUUUAUAUUCUUUAAACUGAAAUGUAAUUUUAAUAUAUGUAUAAUAUUUCCUUGAUUGAAAAUUUGAAAAGGUAAUUACAUCAUCUUUUCUAACUUUAUUUGUUGAAUAAUUGUUUGUAGUUUUUUCAUUCUAGUGUUUCUAGAAUUUUCCAACACAAAUAUAUAAUCUUUAUUAUUAUCAAAAUUUUUUUCUGAUAGUAUUUUACUAGGAUUUGUUUCCUUUUUAUAACAUAUUUUUAAAUCUUGUUUUUCAAGACUUUUGAUCCUUUUUCUAGCUUCUUUUCUUUUGUUAGAAAAGUUUUUGACUAUAUGAUCUUUCUUAACACCUAAAAAGCAUUUAUAACUUAGUUUUUUAAGUUUUCUAGAAGUUUUUCCUCUAAAAAGACUUUUUGCUACCAGAAAACUUAUUAUUUCUUAAUUUCCCUUUAACUAAUUUAUAAUGUUUUUUCUUUUUAUGCCUAUGAUGUUCAAAGGCGUCCAGAGGCAGACAAAAAAGUUUUGCAAUGUGGAAGCAACCAUCAAAUCCAUGAUGGGAAAAGACGGUGAAACGUGGAAGCAACCAUGAUCACACAAGAAACAUGACAAAUGCGACGUGGAAGCAACCACAUCCAUUCAAGAAGGGAUCCUUAUCAGAAUCACUGUUCAAGAUUCAAAAUACAAUUGUAUAGAAUUUUUGAAAUUGGACUAUAAAUAAAGAUAGGCUAUCAAUUGUAGAGGCAUCUUGAAAAUAUCGUAUAGUUUUCCCUUUUAUAUUUUCUCUUCUGUAAACACUUUCCUUUUGUAAAUUAAAAGAGUAUAUAACCUUCCACACAUAGCAUGCACUCUACCACCCUUCCCCCUAUUGGUAUCAGAGGUGCCGGUGUAAAUAUUUUUUGGAGAAAUAAUAUCGUAGUAUUCAUUGUAAGUCUUUAUCUUUGAUUUACAGUUCUGUUUGUUUCAUGUUUAUUUGACUCAAAACCCAUAUAUCUAUUAUUCUGUCUUUCUAUUGCCGUUGAGUCUAGGGAGGACGUUUAGGCCUUUGAGAGAAGACGUUUAAGAUAAUAGACGGUUUUAGGUACCAGGGACAAAUAAAAUGGAGCCGAUAGAGUGUUUAUAUAAAGAUAAAACUUGUAAUCAUACUAUGAUCUGUUGAAAGGCAAAUCAUGAUCAUGUGUGCAAUUUGAAUUAUGGUAUCUUGGUUCAUGAAUGUGACUUGGAUUUUUAAUGUAUAUAUGUCAUAUACCUAUAUGUAUUUACUGGUUAGUAAUGCUUGAUGAAAGACACAUUUGUUUAACUAGAUUGGCAUUGUUAUGCUUGUAUACUUGGUGAAUGUAUUUAGGCCUUAUUAGAUACAUGAGAUUACUUGAAUAUGCGAACCUCAUUGCAUUGAAUAUGCCAGCUGUCAUUGUAUUGAAUGUGUGAAUUUUCAAUGUAUUACAUAUGUGAACUAUCACUGUAUUUUUCUGCGUGAACUGCAUUUGUAACGCGUGAGUUAAUUAUCCACUCAAAGUAUGAGUAACCAACCCAUAAUAUAGUUAUAAGCGAACUCUAUAUAAAUGGUUUUGAGGUGAACUGUGACAAUGUGUGAAUUGUGUUUAUAUGCGAACUGAGUUAUAUGUGAACUGUGUGUAUAUGCGAACUGGGUUACAUGCAAAUUGUGUUUAUAUGUGAAUUGUGUUUAUAUGCAAACUAUGUUUAUAUGUAAGUUGUGUUUUAUGCGAACUAAGUUAUAUGCGAACUGUGUUUAUAUGUGAAUUGAGUUAUAUGCAAAUAGUGUUUAUAUGCAAAUUGUGUUUAUAUGUUAUCUGUGUCAACGUGUGGACCGUGUAAAUGUGAGAUCUGUAAUUGUAACUUAAUAUGUGAACUGGUUCAUUAAAAUUAUGUGUGAACUGACUUUGUAUGGCUUGUAUCAUAUACAUGCUCUUUGUAAAGUAAUUACGUGCGAGCUCUUUGUAAAGUGACUAAGUGCGAGCUAGUCUAUAAAGUAGUAAAAUGUGUGUUAUGUAAUCUAUGACUUGUAUUGACAUGCGAACUAUGUUAAUACAUGAGCUGCGUCAACUUGUGUGCAGUAGCAAAAGUACAAGCUAUACUGUGAUAGUAGUUAUAGCUCAGGUUCAGUGAUUGGACCAGGCGAGGGGUGUUAAACAAUAGACAAAAUCUCAACACGAAAAUAAUACCAUUUUUUGAGAGUCCGUCAACACAAUAAAUGAAAUUUAAAUGCAUACUUUUUUCAAUGAAAGUAAAUAUCAUAUUAAUUAAAGAAAAGCAACUAAAAAUCCAAUAAUAAAAUCCUUAGCAAAAGAUUGAAACACAAUUAUAUUGUAAAUGAAGUAAGAAACUAAGAAAAUCCAAUCUAAUAAAGAAAAUAACUUGAUGCCCCAAAGCUACCAUAAAACUAAAUCAUGGUAAGGCCUGCUGCUCGUUUUAUUGGUUUCCAUCUUUAUUUUGCAAAGGAAGUUUGAAUUUCGAAUAGAGCCUAGUACAUGGGAGCAAAAGAAAGAAAAUUAGUAUAUUAAUUUCCACGAUUUUUAAAACAAACUUCAUGGAAACGAAUAUUGACAUAUUAGAUAUCUAUGAUUAUAAUGCUAAAAUAGAUUAAAAUUAUUAAAUUAAUGGUAAAAUUUAGAGUGAAUUAAUAACCACAAGCGUACUCGUUACUCACCAUAUUUGUUAAACAUGUUUGAUGUUGUUUAGCAACCUUUGUUUGAUUUUCUUUAGUUCAACCACAACAUCUUUCAUGUCUUUUCUUUCUUCUGGUAACUCAGCUGAACAAUUCAGAGCCAACUCCAUGAUGGCUGAAAUACAAUUUGUUUUAACAACGAAGUACUCAUCCUCUUUUCUUAAUAAAUCAGCAUCUGCAAUUUCUAUUGCUCCUUUAGGCAAUGAAUAUUCCAUCCAAUGCCUUAUAGUCACUUCUUCAGCAAAAAGAUUAUCAGUUGGCUUUUUCUUUGUGAAAGUUUCUAUAAGGAUGAUCCCGUAACUAUAUACAUCACAUUUUAUAGAAACAAUUCCAGUUGAUCCAAAUUCUGCAUUUCAAGUAUAAUUAGAGCAUCAUUAAUCCUUAAUUAUUUCUAAAAUGCUUAUUUGCAUGAAGCAAAAAUAUAAAUUGCAAAUCAAGAAAAUAAUCAUACAAAAAUAAAAAAAUUCACCUGGUGCCAUAUACCCGAUAGUUGCAAGAGUCAUGGUUUGCUUCAUUACAUCACCUUCUCCCAACAAUUUGGCCACAUGUUUAGACAAGCCAAGAGACCUUUGGGAUCAUACGGGUGAUUUUGAUGCUGUUAAUGGUUAUUUUGGUGGAGAGGGUGAAAAAGAAACAAAUGGUCCAUUAUAUAUAAUAUAAUUAUGAAAUUCAAGCCAUAUAUUGUAUGUUUCAUACAUAAAAAUUUCAUGGGAGGUCCAAAAGUAAUUAAAUGACUUGUAGGCUUGCUGAAUUUCAUCUUUUGAAUAGGUGGUAUUAGGUCCAAAAGUAAUUUAACAUUCACAUAAUAAUCUCUAAAUACUGUAAAGACAAAUCAAAUCCACAGCAACAUUAGAGUUGAUCAAGCUAAGCAUUGGCAAAUAUUACUUUGAUUUUGCAUGCAAUAUUGGCAAAAUCCCCUCUUACAUUAGAAAAACAACAUAAUCCAUGAAACAUUGAUAGCCCAAUACAAAUUUCAUCAAGAAAAAAGUUUCUUUGUUUUGUAGAACAUGAUGGUAAAGAUGUGGAGUUUCCUUUAGUUUUCCUUGAUCAACAACCACUUGCCAAAAACACAAUUAGAUUAGAUUAUGAAUGAUACUUUCAACUAUGACAAUAUUAAAUACUAAACACUCCAAAUAGCUCUAAAUAACUGGAAAGCAACAAAUUACCUGACGAGGCAAGCUAGCUCAAUUAAGACCAUUGUGUUAUACUUGUCUCUGAAUUGAAAAAUCUAGAAGACAAUAAAGAGAAAGAGUUAGCAAAUACUUGAAAACCGAUAAAACUUAUAUGUCAUUGAUUGGAUAAACUACGAUCACCCAUAAUAGCCUUUAUCUUGCAACCAUCUACAUGAACCUAUAGGGCUCUUAGCAGAAUCAAGAGACAAAACCUUAACAUGAGAAAAAUACCAUUUGUUGAGGGCUUUGUUAAUAGGGUCGUACCUAGGAGAGUUGGUAGGGGUCCCAACCCCCCUUAAAAUUAAAAAGUUUCCAUUUAGGCCCUUUAAAAUUUUUAAAAUUUUUAAUUAAUAAACGUAAAAUUGUACUUUGGCCCCCCCAAAAUGAUAAAACUUUGAUUUAAUCCUUUAAAAAAUAUAAAAAUAUAGGCUAUUAAAACGGUGAAAUUACGUUUUUACCAUCGUAAAAAUUACAAUUUAAUUUCAACUCCUAAAAAGAUUUUCUGGCUUCGCCCCUAAUAAAACCUUUGGCAAAAGAUGAAAAUAAAUUUAUAUCGUAAAUAAAAAAAGAAACUAUGAAAAUCCAAUCCAACAAAGAAAAUAACUUGAUGUCGAAAUUUAAUGCAUUUUAUUGGUUUCCAUUUUGAUUUUGAAGAGAGCCUAGUACGUGAGAGCAAAAGAAAAAAAAUGGUUUAUUAAUUUUUACGAAUACCGACAUAUUAUAUAUAUGAUUAAAAUUCCAGAAUAACCACAAGUGUGAAUUAAAGAUAAAAUUAAGUGUGAAUUAAUAAUUAGAAGUGUACUCAUUACUCACCAUCUCUGUUAAAAAUGUUGGAUGUUGUUGAGCAACCUUUGUUUGAUUUUCUUCAGCUCAACCACAACAUCUUUCAUAUCUUUUCUUUCUUCUGGUAACUCAGCUGAACAAUUCAAAGCCAACUCCAUGAUAGAUGAAAUACAAUUUGCUUUAACAACAAUGUACUCAUCCUCUCUUCUUAAUAAAUCAACAUCUGCAAUUUCUAUCGCUCCUUUAGGCAAUGAUCUUUCCAUCCAAUGCCUUAUAGUCUCUUCUUCAACAAAAACAUUAUCAGUUGGCUUUUUCUUUGUGAAAGUUUCUAUAAGUACGAUCCCAUAACUAUAGACGUCAGAUUUUAUAGAAACAAUUCCUACUGUUCCAAAUUCUGUAUUUCAAGUAUAAUUAGAACAUCAUUCAUCCUCAAUUAUUUCUAAAAUGCUUAUUCAAAUAUAAAUCCACAUACACAUGAAACAAAAAUAUAAAAUGCAAAUUAGGAAAAUAAUCAUACAAAAAUAAAAAAAGAAUUCACCUGGUGCCAUAUACCCGGUUGUUGCAAGAGUCAUGGUUUGUUUCAUUACUUCACCCUCUCCCAACAAUUUGGCAAUGCCAAAAUCUCCAACAUGUGCAACCAUGUCUUCAUCUAGUAAAAUAUUGCUUGGUUUUAUGUCACAAUGAAUUAUAGGUGUUGGAUGUCCAUUGUGGAGGUGUUCUAUAGCUACCGCAACAUCUAUCAUUAUGUCGACCCUUUGUAUGAUAUCAAGGAAACAAUUUUCAGAAUGUAACCAUUUCUCAAGGUUUCCAUUAGACAUGUAAUCAAGCACCAAGGCUUUGAAGUCAACACUUGAACAGCAAGUAAUGACCUUCACAAUAUUACGAUGAACUAUAUUACGCAUAGCAUCACAUUCAAUGUCAAAACUCCUAAAUGCUCCCUCUGUUUGCAAAUUGAAAACUUUUAUUGCAACUUCCAUUCCAUCUGAAAGCCUCCCUUUAUAUACACAUCCAAAACUCCCUGAACCAAGCAUAUUGCUUUCCUCAAAUCCAUUAGUUGCUCUUGAAAGUACAGCAUAUGAAAUUCUUCUCGGUGUUUUCAAAGACAGCAAAUCAUCUUUAAUUGGUAGAGUUGUACUCCUUCGCCGGCAUCUUCUAUACAUAAUAGUUAAGACUAAUAGUACUAUGACAAUACCAAUUGUUGGUAAACCAUACCUAAAAGCAUGCAAUAUAAUCAUUUGGGAGUUUUUGUGGAUGUCGUUUUUGCAAGGUGGGACUAGCAAUCUAGGUGGACCACAAAGUGCAUAAUUCCUCAUGAAUGAUGUGCUAGAAAAGUUUGAAAAACAUCCUUUGCUGGGAAUUUCCCCUUCAAGUCUAUUGAAUGACACAUUAAAAUACUUUAGAUAUAAAAGCUUUUCCAAAGAUUUGGGAAUGACUCCAGAGAGAUUGUUAUUGGAUAAAUCCAAGAAUUCCAAACUAAUCAACCCAUCAAAUGAUUCAGGGAUAUGACCAUGUAGUAUAUUAUUUGAUAAAUCUAAUGAAACCAAAGUUUGAAGACCCCCAAAUGUGGAUAAGACAUCGCCCGUGAGAAGAUUCCUUGAUAAAUUUAGUUUCAGUAGACUCCUCAAAUUUCCAACAUCAAUAGCAUGUGAAUUGUGAAGAUGGUUUGAUGAUAAAUCUAUUUCUAAGAUAUCUUUAAGAUUCCACAAAUUUGAGGGUAUUGCGGAACUCAAUCUGUUGGAAUUUAAGUAAAGAUAUCCCAAAGAAGUAAUAUUACCCAAACAAGAGGGUAUGGGUCCAUGCAGCUUAUUCAACCCUAAAUACAUCUUGUAUAGUCUCUCCAAACCACAGAGGCUUUCGGAGAUAGGCCCUCCUAAUUUAUUAGAGGAAAGAAAUAGACCUUGGAGAUUUCUCAUUCCUCCUAUUGAUGCUCGAAUCAAUCCACUUAAUUUAUUAUAGCCAAGUUGUAAAAGCAAUAGGUUGGUUAAGUUACCUAUUUCCAUAGGAAUAAUGCCUUGAAGCUCACAAUUAUGGGCAUAAAAGUAUUGAAAGGAUUUUGAAAGGUUCCCGAUAUAAGUAGGAAGAACGCCACUCAAUGGAUUUCCUGAAACCGCUAUUUUUCUCAAAUGCCUGCAAUUCGAUAAAGAAGAAAGAAAGCUCCACUCAUGAUCAGUAGCAGAUCCUGUGAUGAAAUUAUUGUUUACGAUUCGGAACCGUUCAAGGUGUCUUAAGUUGCCAAGUGUUUUAGGGAUUGGACCAGAGAAUAAGUUAUGUGACAACUCUAGUUUCUUAAGCAUGGAAGCAUUGGAGAUAGAGUUGGGAAUGUUUCCGCUAAGUUUAUUUCCCCACAAAAAAAGAAACUCAAGCUUUGGAGCAUUGGUGAUGGGUGGUAAAUUACCUGUAAAAUAGAAUCUUUUAGUAUACAAAUUCACAAAAUAUAUAAUACAUUAAAGUAAAAACUGUAAAACUUUAAAUCAAUUAAGAAUAAAAUUUUGGCAUGGAAAAAUGUGAUGAAAUCAAUUAGAAAGUUGAGACAUAAUAAGAAGUUUUGAGUAGUAAUUAGUCCUUGUGAUUUGUAUAGACAAAACAUAUAAUACACUAAUAAUUUUUUAAAAUAUUGUAAAACUUGAAAUAAAAUAAAAAUAAAAGUUUGGCAUGAGAACGUGGCAUCUAAUCAAUCUUAAAAAUGAGACUGAUACUGAAUAAUAAUUAGUUAUGAUUUGGGAAACAAAAAUGUUAAAGUCAUUGUUUUUAAUGUAAACUGGUAUGAUUUUGACCUAUUAGGUUAAUUAUUUAUUUUUAUUAAAUUAUAGUGUAAAAUUUAAAGAUUAUUAUUUGCUCAAAAUUUUUGUGUUUUUCGUAUAUUUGAAAUUUAAUCUUUAUAUUUUUUAUUUUCUGUGAUUUAGUCUCUCUACUUUUUGAAUUAAAAAUUUUAGGUUCAUUUAUUAACACUGUUAAAAAAGUUUUUCUGUUAGUAUGGCAUUUUGAAAAAUAAAAUAAACUUGAUAUCUAUGUUUUUAAUUAUUCCAAAUAUUGUUUCACUAUUUCAAGAUAAAUUAUUUGUGUUUAGACCAAUAUCUUAAGAACUAUUGUUGCAUGUUUAAUUAUUCUAAAGAAUUGUUGAUUGAGUCUUAGCUGAAGUGCACUAUUCUCCUAUUUAUGAAUUGGGGAGUUGGUAAAGUAUUAAAUUUUGAUAUAUUUUAAAAUAUUAAAAAUUUAUUAAAAUAUUUUUUAUAAAAAUUGAUUAUACCACAAUAUACAAUUUUAAUAUCAAAUUUUUAUUUUUUUUUAAAAUAUUAGCGAAUAUAUACUUUAUUUCAAGUUACACAAUUUUUACUAGUUUUUAAAUUUUUUUAAAAAUUUUUAUCGUCUUUUAUAAUUUCUAAUAAUUUUUUAUAAUUUUUUACAAUAUUUACAAUUUCUAACAAUUUUUAAUAAUUUUAUUAUUUAUUACAAAUUUAAAAAUUAACAAAUUUUUAUUUUUUAAAACAAUUAUAUAUUUAUAAUGUAGUUGUUUUUUUUAUAAUUUUAUUUGAAAUUUUAAAGAUUUUUUUUGGUUUUUUUUAGAUGAUGAUGCCAUCAUGAUGUCAUCAUAUGUCACAUGGCAAUUUAUAAUUAGUUGAAUAUCUCAAUCUAUUUUAUUAACGUCCAAUAGACUAAAACAAGAACACCUGAUAAUGUUAGAGACUACACUAGGAAUGUUUGAUAAUAUUAGGUACUAAAGUGGGCAAAAAAAAUUAAGGACUAUAUUAAAAAUAUAUCUAUAAUAUAUAUAAAUGCAUGGAUUUUGAGAAACUUUUGAAAUGAUAAUUAUAUAGUCUUUGUUUUUUUUUUCUAUAUUAUUGAAUUUUUUAUUUUAAAUAUUUUUUUAUUACUUUUAAGAUUUAUCAUAUGCAUGGAUAAGAAUUUUGGUUUUACUAAAAUAUUUGGUUAAAUAAAUUCACUUCAUAAGAAAAUUUAGGAUCCUUAUAAAUAACAAUUUUGAUUCUAUUAAAAAUAUUAUUUUAAAAAAUAUAUAAUAAAAAUUUAAAAUUUAUAUUGAAUUACUUUAUACUUAAAUUAUUAUUAGAAACUUUAUCAUACACAUACAUAUAUGAGAAGCACGUAUUUAGAACAUAAAUUUGUGUUUUAAAAUAACUUAUGAUAAAUAAUGAAAUGUAUAAUUUGAAACUAUUUAAUAAUAACACAUGGCAUAUCUACCAUAUUAAAAUAAAAAUAGAUUAAAUUGUAGGUAAAACAUAAUUUAAACAUAUGAAUACAUCAAAUUAAGAAUACUAAAUGAAUACAGUUAUUUAUGAUGAUGUUGUUGCCAAUUCUUAACUUGGUGUCGAGUUAAUUUGUGACAUCAUAAAUUUAAGUGGUAAAUUUAAGGUUUUAUGUAUUGAUGUGGAUUCAAAUAUCACCAUAAUUUUUUUUAAAAAUAAAAAACUAAAGUACCCUCAAACAAUAUAACUUAUAUUAAAUAUGAAAGGGUAUUUUUAUAAUUUCUUUAACCGAGUUGAUGCCCGGUUGACUCAUGACACCAACUCAAUCAAAAGCUUCAAUAAUAAUAUAGAUAUUCACGUUAAAAAAACCAAAAAAAGUACUUUAGUUCCAAAUAAUUAUAUAAUAAGUAAAUUUAUAAUUGAUGAAUAAAUUUAUAAAUAAUAUAUUUAUAUGAUCUAAUAUAUUAUAUAUAUUAAUUAUAUAUCAUCUACAAACUUUGAAGAUCAAUUUAUUAAGUAUCAAGAAAAGAAAAAAUGAAAUUGAAUUAACACUAAAUCGAUUUUUAGAUUUUGUCCAGAUGAUUUAAUGAUGAUAAAAAAAUUAUUAGCACUAUUUUUGAAUUAACAAAAAAUUAGUGAUAUAUUUUAAUUAUAUUUAUUAUUUAUUAGUUUUAAUAAUGUUUUUUUAAUUAUAUGAAGUAAAAUUAUAUCGUAUACUAAAUAUGGUACAUAUACUUUAAUUAUAACUUGAAAAAUUAUUAUAUAAAUUAAUAUAUUUUAAUUAUAUUCAACCAUUUGAAUAACAAAAUUAAAAAAAAACUAAUUAGAAUUAUUUACUUUUUAAAGUUUAAUGGAAAUUAAAAAAUUAAAAAUAAAUCAAUUCAUAUAAAUCUUAUUGUUUAUUAUCAGAUUAAUAUGAUAAAAGUAUAUGACAUAAAUAGAAGAAACAAAUUCAACACAAUGUUUUUGGAGUUUGGAAAAAAUUAAAGUGAAAAACAUACCUUCUAAUUUGUUGUUAAAUAGCUCUAUACCUUCGAGCGUAGUUGAAUUAAAAAUACUUGAUGGAAUCUGGCCUGCACACAUAGUCGAAAAUUGAAGUGAAAAAUAUACCUUCUAAACUGUUCAACUAAAAAUACUUUAAGCAUCUUUUUUUCCAUCAAAUUAGUUAUCUAUUACAAAUCAAACUCUUUUAUGAAAUGUUGAAGAUGGAAGAUGGAACCUGACCAGAUAAUUGAUUGAAUCCCAAGUUCAAGAUCUCUAGAUUAGACAUGUUAACAAGUGUUUCAGGGAUUGUGCCUGUAAAGUUAUUAUUCUUCAUUUCCAGCCUUCGAACUCUUUGUAAGUUCCCAAGCCAUGAUGGAAUUUCCCCAUUCAGACGGUUGUAGCUUAAUUGAAGGAUCCUCAAACGAUGCAAGUGGCCCAAUUCUUUAGGGAGAUGGCCAUAGAAAUGGUUGCUACUCAAGUCUAGAGAGAGUAGAAAUGAAAGAUUUCCAAGGUGUGGAGGGAUAGUACCCCUAAGAUUCAUGCUUGUAAGAUUCAAAGCUAUAACUCUUUUAUGGAGGAUGCCACAAGAAACACCAAUCCAAUUGCAAACAGAGGUUGAGGCCGUCCAAUUGUUUGCCAUGACAUUUUGAGGACCGGCAAUGCGAUCCUUGAACUCGAGAAGUGCAAAUUGAUCAGAGUUGAGAUUCCUGACUGUUAUAGCCAAGCAAAGUACGGAACAUGGUAUGAAUAAAGCUAAAAGAAGAUGAAAGCAAGUGUUGUAGUCCAUGAUUGCAAGACGGAAUAAGGCAAGAAAAUAAAAAAAAAAGUAGGAAAAGGGAAGUUGAGUUGAUAAAAUAGUUUGGAUGAUGAAGAAAAGCCCAGAGAGCAUGCUUUAAUAUGUUUCAACCCUCGCACACUUGAUAAACUUGAUAAAUUUAAGACUACUCUAAAAAUUAAAAAGGAAAACAAAGUUUUGAUGAAAUUUCAAAAUAAAUGUCAAGUAUUCUUCUUUUAGAAAUACGUAUAAAGAAGUGAAUUUUCAAAAUUUCUCCUAAAUUUUCUUCACAUUACUCCACAUAAUCCAUUAAAAAAAACUUAAAAAAUAUAUUUUAUUAAUUACUAUAUAUUCUUUUAUUUUCAGAAUAAUAAAUUGUUUAAAAUAUGCUACUAGUCCCUGUAAUUUAAAAGUUAAAAAAAAUCCAAUCCUCCUAUUUUUUUAAUUUAAAAAUUCUAGUCCAAUCAUUUUUAAUUCCAUUAAAAAAUUUCAACUUAAUAGAUUUUUUAUUAUCAAUCAUAUGCAACAUUAUAUGAAGGCAGUCUACUCAGUAUAUAUCCAAGUUUACAUAUUUUAAUAGAAAAUACUUACAAUCCUAAUGAUAGGACUAAGUUUUUUAAACUAGAAAAGUACAAAAACUUAAAUUUUAACUUUUUUAAGUACAAGGAUUAAAUUUUAAAUGUUGUCAAAGUACAAGCACUAACAAAAUAUUGUGAUCUAAUAAAUGUAAAAAGCAUUUUAAACAAAAGAUGGUUGAAAUAAUCUAUUUGUCCUUAUACUUUGAUAAAAUUUGAGAUACCAUAAAAUUUGUAUCUUUUUUCGAAUUAUUUAAUGCCAUUUCAACAUUUUCAUUAAAAAAAAAACAUAUCAUUUUGAAUUUGAUCUUUUUCAAGAUGAAAAUAUUGAAAUGAUGUUAAAUUAUCGGAAAGAGAUACAAGUUUCAUGGUAUCUCUCUAAGAAAGCUGAUGUAAGAUAUUAAUGACAUCAUUUGAACAAAGUUUUAGGUCAAAUUAUUCAUCUAGUCCUUGUAAUUAUUCUUUAAGGUGAAUUUCAUUAUUAUUCUUUUAUUUUCUUUGGCUUAAAUAAACAUUUACCCCUAAUUUUAUCACAUUCUCCUUAAUUGGUAUUUAUAGUUUAGAAAAUUUUACAAAUAUAUUAUUUUUUAAGAAAUUAUAAGAAGAUUACAAAAAUUCCAAAAUAAUAUAAAAAAGCUAAGAAAAACCUAGAAAUUCAAAAAACAAAAAAAUAAUGUUUUUACAAAUUGGGGUAUGCAAUCAAUUUUAAGAUGGUUUUUGGAGUUCAUCUCACUUUAGCAUUGACUUACUUUUCUACAGUUAGUCUUCUCCAACAAGUUAAAUAUUUCAAUUUUAACAACAUUGACAGGUCUUAGGGGUAGGGUCGAGCAAAACUCAAUAGAAAUAGAUGAUAUAGGUUGAGUUGGCUCGGCCAAGUCGAGUCGACUUGUUCAAAUUUGUUAAAUUAGUAAAUUUUGGGGUGCAGUUAGAAUUUUUUUGUUUUGAGAUGCUAAGAUUAAAAAAAUUUGAGUUUUGAAAACUUUGACUCCUUUUUGCUUUGAGAGUUGAUUUGAAGAGAAAAGAGCUUGAAGGUGCUUUUGUAGAAAUAGGACAAAUUUUAAAAUAAGGAGUAAAUUGGAAAAAAAAAUUUGGGUUGGGCUAAUUUGAAAAUUUGACACUUUUGUGGGAUAAAAAUAGAAAAAUAUUUUGGUUGAAUACACAUAAGGAGUUACGAACUUGAGACUUAUAGGUAGGCUAAGGCCUUACCACUUAACCAACAAGCUCAUUAUUAUUAUCUUUUAACACAAAUAAAUUUUAAGGCAUACUAAGGGCUUGUUUAGCAUUGCAGUGAAGAAGCAUUUUGGCUUAAAAAACACUUUUGAGAGAAAAGUGGUUCUAAGCUAGUAACUUUUGGCUAAGAUUUUGGCUUUUCAAAAGCAAUUUUGGCCAAAUGGAGAAGUUAAAAUUAUUAGCUUUUCUUACCCAAAAGCAGUUUUGAGUGCUUAAUUACUAAUUCAUCCCCCCAAAAACACAAUUUAAAAUAAAAUAAUACAAAUAUGUUAAUAUUUAAUUACAAAUAUUUAAUGGGUAUAUUUAAAUAUUUAAAAUAUAAUUUAUAUAUUCUAAUUAAAUUUUAUAAAUAAUUAAUAUUUGUUGCUUAAAAAUAUUUAAAAUUUAUAUUUUAUAUAUUAAAAUAUUAACAACAAAUUAUAAUAAAUUAUUUUUUAUAUUCUUACUAAAAUAUCAUAAUAUAAAUUAAUUUUAAUAUUAUUUAAAUACAUAUUUGUUACUUUAUAAUAUCAUGUCUAAGAUUGACGUUUUAUUUCUCAAAAGCACUUUUUGAAAUUAAUACUAAACACUUAAAUUUUAAACUAAACUUCUCAAAGAUACUUUUCUACAACACUUUUAAAAGCACUUUCCAAAAUCAAUGCUCAACUACCUCAAACUCUCUUACCUUAUACUUUAAAAGAGAAAAAAAAAAGAUUUUAAAUUUUAUCCCUAUUUCUUUUAACCCAAUUUUUAGGAUGUCAAACAUUUAUAAAUAAAAUAAGUAAAAGGAAAAAAAAGCAUAUACUUUAUUUUUAUCGCAGGUAAAAGUUUUAAUGGAGAGGAUCAUGUAAAAUUAUGAUCUGAAUAAUUUUAAACAUUUCAUCAUUGCAAAAAUGAAAUAAUAGAAAAGAAUGACUAUUCGAAUUUGCAUUUGUGUUCUUUCUUUCAAUAUUUGCUUUCAAAACUGUGGGAAAAUUUUAAAUUUGAUGAAAUUUUAAAAUUGCAGUUCAGUAAAAUAUAAAUUUUAUGAAUUUGGAGUAGCCAUUUUAUUUAUAAUUUUCUGUGUUUUCUUCUUUGCUGACUUUUUUAAUGUCAUUUUCUAUCAUGAAAGAAACUUAAAGAUUCACUAUGUAUUUCUCAACCACUAUGAAAUUACUUGACUACGGGGGUAGAAUUUUCUCACCAAUUUUCUAACAUUAGAUUUUUUGAAUGAGACAAAUAUUCAAUUUUAACACAUUUCCCAUAAUUAGUCACCCCUAUUUGUGAGUGAUUUGGGGAUAAAAGCUUAAACAUUUAUGGAUCACAUUGCAUUUAAGACGGGUGUUUGGAGUUAUAUGAAAUUUUAACAUAGACUGGCUUUUCUAUAAAGAGUACUCCUUGCUUUACUAUUGUCAUGAUACGAGGAGAUACUGAAAAUUAUUGUACUAUGAAAUUUUAAUUCACUCGAAAAAUAAGUGUUUUAUUUCAAGGGAUUAAUAUUAGCUUUCUCUUUUUUAAAUUUUGAAUUUUUUUUGACAACUGCGUAAUUAAGAAUAUAUCAAUUUUAGGUGUUAUAGGGGUGUUUUAACCUUCCCUAUGUGUAAUCGACUACUGAAACUUUUUUAUUCUUUAGAAUUCAACACAUACCUCAAAAUUUUCUUUUUAAAAGAUUUUUAAAAUCUCUUUAUAAAAGAUUAUCACACUUAACAAAGAUGAUCAGUGACUACUUUUCUUUAAUAAAAUAUUAUGUUUUUGCAGAGACCAAAAUUUUCAUAUUUUUCAAGAAUUCCUCAAUCUAAUUUUCUUUUUGAAUUUUUAUUUUCAAGAGGAAAAUGAUCCCUACAAUUAAUAUUUAUUUUCCUUAUUUUUAAUUUCUUUUUAAGGGAGAUGAAUAGUGGAAUGAUAAUUUUUAGUUAUGGUAAAGUAAAUUUAAUUAUCCACAACCUUCAACUAUUAAUUUUUUCGAUUUAAUUACACAAUUUUUUGAAAUUAACACUCUUUUAUUAGUUGUCGCUAGGUGAUGGACGAAAAGUUGAUUUGGACUUUUUGUUGACCUAAUAACAAAUUUAGAUAUUCAAAGUUUACUUAUUCUAUCAAUUUAAUGCUAAAUUUAAAAAAUUCAACAAAUCCUAUCAAAAAACAAUUGGACCUUGAGUACACAGGCUGUGAGAUUUUCACAUGGCUGUGUCUACACUGCACUCUAUUUUAUCAAAUUCGGACAAAGAGUUACACAGGCUGUUCACACGGGCAUGUGCCUCCUUCACAUGGGGCGUGUAGACCUCCACACAACUUAGGAACUUCCACAUGGCUGGGGCACACGGUCAUGUGGCCUUGUUUUGUAGAUUUUUGUUCUGUGUUAGAUUUUGACUCGUUUUGUGCCUGUGUGUAUUCUGACCUCAGUUAAGACUUAGUAAGAAUGUUUAGGACUCUGAUUAGUUCGAAUUUGUGCAUUUGUUUGUAACUAAUGUGUUAAUUUAUUAGUUUGAUUAAAUGUUAUGUGAUGUUAUUAGUAAAUAGUUACAAACCUAAUUGAUUCUAAAUCUGAUUGAUUGAACUUGUGUGUUUCGUUUUCUGUAUGGAUGUUUGUAUGUUGUGUGCAUUUUGCAAUAGCAUAAAAAUUUUACUAUUGAUUGACUGAAUAUGAACUUCUAUAUCUGUGACACUAUUAGUGUUUGAUGUGCAUUCAUACAUAUGCAUAAAAUUAGGGUUUUGGUUAUGAAGAGAAGGGAGCCUGUUUCGGUAGUUCAACUGUAAUAUUUCUGAACAGCAGUUUACCGCAUGAUUCUAUAUAUAUGUCAGCUUAGCUGCAUAUUAUGAUUUCGAGUGGCUUAUUUUCCUUAUUGUAGUGUGUAGGGUGGAUGAACCUUUUAUAGUUCUUGUAAUAGGCCCAAUUUGUAUGGGCCCAAAAAAAUAAGUUACAAACCCAAAAUAAACAUUACAAGCCCAAAAAUUAAAAAAAAAACUAACGGCCCAAGUGGCCCAAAACCUAACCCUCUUUAGUCGCCACUUCUCUCACGCGAGCCAACCUCCUCACGCGUGCCACCACGUCAGCACCUCCGUACCCUCCACGCUCUCUCUCUCUGCCACCAUAGCAUGCGUCCUUGCCCGGUACUUGCAGACCAAGCAAAAGAGAGCACAACAGUAAAGAGAAAAACAUUGUAUUUUUCGGCUAUAAAAGCCAUGAACAAAUCAAUGUAAAUUUUUUACGACAAAAAUAAAUACAAAAAAGGCAAUUGGAAACAAAAAAAAGGUGGUUCUUUUUUUGUUUUUAUUUCUUUUCUACUUAUAUUUCUACUAGUUUUUAAGAAAAAUAAAAAAGAAUGGAGUCGAAUCUUACCCUUUUCUCGCAUGUGCGCCGUCGUGGGGGGUCGAGGUUCGUCUUUUCCAAUGAAAAAUGACAUUUUUUGAGUUGAGGAAGUCGAAAAGUCAAAAAAUGGCCUUUUUUCGAUUUUUUGGCCACCGUGGAUGGCGGCGCCGUCACCGACGACCGACGGCCGCCACGACGGUCCGUCGGUUGGAGCCAUGGCCGGAGAGGGGAGUUGGGAGAAAGGGGGAGAGUGAUUUGAGUGUUUUUUUUUCAGAGAAUGGGGAGAAAUGAAAAAUUAAAAAAAAAGGUUUUUAUAGAGGAUUGAAAUGGCAUCGUUUUGGGCCUUAACCCCAGUGGCCAAAACGACGUCGUUUCACCCCUUUAAUCUGCGCGUGGACCCGACCCGCAAGAGGAUCCGUGUGUUUUUGUGGAAGGGUCUAUUUGCGUGUUAGACCCUUCCACAUUUUUCAAUUGUCUUAAUCCAGUCCUUUUUUAUUUUCUAAUUUGUACUUCAAAUUUUAUUUUAUUUUUGAUUUGGUCCUAGCAAAACGGCGCGUUUCAGAGGGCGGGGAUAUUUCCCCAAUUGGUCCCUCUUAGUUAUUCGCGCCUUUCAAAUGGGUCCUCUACCUUAUUUUCAUUCUCGAUUUUUACCCAGUUUUCUGAUUAAACUUCAAUUUAGUCCUUCUGCAUCUAUUUUAUUAUAAUUUUAGCCCCUCUUAUAUUCAUAAACUUAUUUUAUUAGGAUUUGGACUCUUAAUUUUAUUUCAAUGUCAAUUUAAUCCCCUUUUAUCUCAGUCUAGGUUUUAUUUUCUUUUUUUUUGUUGUGCUUUAUUUAUUUUAUUUAUUUGCUUACCAUUUCUUUUUUUAUUUUGAUUUUCGUAUUUAAUGAUGCUUUUACUUUAUUUAUUUUAUUCUUGACUUUCAUUGUUAUUGUUGUUGUUGUUGUUGUUAUUUUUAUGGUUUUUUAUUAUUUCAUUUAUUUACAUAUUUUAUUCCAAAUUGUUGCUUUAAAUUUUGUUUACAUUUUAAUUCGGUUCUUUACUUUCAAUAUUUUUUUAUAAACUAUUUUCCCUUACAUUAUUUAUGUAUUUAUUUUAUUUGUUUUUUUUAAAGUUGGUAUUGUCCUUUUAUGUGCAUACUUUGACAUUAUUACCAUUGUUAUUAUUUAUUUUAUUUAUCUUUUGAUUAUUCAUAUUAAUGUUAAAGUAGUGUAUAUUAUAUGAUUCUCGUAAAUUGUCUUUAUUAUAUUCAUUAUUGUUAUUUAUUAAUGCAACAUUUCAUUCAUGUAUUAUUUUAAAUAUUACACAUUUUUACCCAAAUUUGUAAAAAAAUAUAAAAAUUAGAAAAUAAGCAAUAUUUCGUAUUUUGGAAUUUGAAAAGUCGUUCCCUAACUUACGGGGUUUCAAUUUUUUUGAUAAAUCCAAAUAUACGAGCUAUUUUUCAAAAACACAUUUUUAAAAUUAUCUCGAGAAUUAAAAAGAUCGUUUUUCAACUUUUGGAAUAUGAUUUCUUUUCUAAAACUGAGAUAAUAAAAAUUUUCUAAAAAUAAAUAAAAUUUUUGGUGUUUAUUCUCGUUUUGAGAUUUAAGGUUAUGUCCUAACUCACAGGGUAUAAUUCUUUUUCUCGGUUGACAUAAAAUAUGCCCUUUUUAAAAUUCUUUUAGGUAAUUUUAAUAAAAGGAUCGUAUUUUAAGUCUCUUCAAAAUUUUCAACUUUCGACAUUAAGACAUUAAUUAAUCAAUUAGGUAUCAAUUUUGGGCGUGACGAGGGUGCUAAUCCUUCAUCGCACGUAACCGACUCCCGAUCCAUUUUUCUCGAAUUUCGUAGAUCAAAAUCAUUGUUUUAGUAAAAUCGAAACGUUUUGUUAAAAAGAUUGAAUUGCAAGGUGAUCCGAUCACACCAAAAAAAAAUAUCGGUGGCAACUACAGUUUUUUUCGUUUUUAUUUUUAUAAUAAAAGUCGACCCCUUUUUUAUUAAAAAAUGGCUUCGAUAGUUCUAUGUGGUGUGAGGGUAGACGGGCCUUCUAUAGCCCUAAUGUGGUGUGCAGGGUGGUCGAAGUGGUGUUCAAAUGGUUGGGUGGGUUUUUAACUUAUUGCAUACGGUUUGCAUUAGGCAUAUGUGUCUGAUUAUGAUUCUUUUUAAAAUUAUUUGCAAAUGUUUGUACUAAUUUGAUUAUUACAUGUGUUAGAGACAUUGCUUAUGCAGUUUGAUACUAUAUAUUGACUUAUUGAUGUAAGAUUUUCGUAAGUGACCAUCAUAUAGUGCUUGUCUGAAAUAUUUAUGGAGUUAUCCCCUCUUUUACCGACUGUUGUGUUUUGGACUCACACUGAGCUCGCGUAGCUUACCACCUUAGUUUUCUCCCUUUUAGAUACUCUCGUGUUCUGUAGCUAGACUCGACAUAUUAGAAGGCUCAGACGGAAGAGGUGAGAUUUGAUUUAAUAAAGUGUUUCAAUUCAAUUUUAGUUUUUCUAACUUCUUGGGACUAUAAGUGUUAAUAGGGACUGUAGUAUAAGUUUUACUUCUGGAUUUUCGUAAAUUUUUAUUUUGGGACUGAACUUUUGAAAUUGUGGAAUUAUACUUUCUAUUGUUUUUAACGUAAUUUAAAAUCUUUGUUUGAAUCCUGAAUGGUUAAACGACUUAGUUUGAUUUUAGCAAAAAUGAGUUAUAAAUGAGAUGUUAACAAUUCAUUUUGUAAAAUUAUUUUUAGAUCACUUCGGUGUUCAAAGUAACCUCUGAGAUUCGAUCCAUACUUCUAGGCCGAGUUUUGGGGUGUUACAUUAGUUUUCAAGAGGAGAUUGGUGAUCUACUUGAAGAUAGAUUGAUUUUGAAAACUUUGACUCCUUUUUGCUUUGAGAGUUGAUUUGAAGAGAAAAGAGCUUGAAGGUGCUUUUGUAGAAUCAGGACAAAUUUUAAAAUAAGGAGUAAAUUGGAAAAAAAGGGUUUUGGGUUGGGCUAAUUUUAAAAUUUGACACUUUCGUGGGAUAAAAAUAGAAAAAUAUUUUGGUUGAAUACACACAAGGAGUUACGAACUUGAGACCUAUCGAUAGACUAAGGCCUUAGUACUGAACCAACAAGCUCAUUCUUAUUAUCAUUUAACACAAAUAAAUUUUAAGGCAUACUAAGGGCUUGUUUAGCAUUGCUGUGAAGAAGCACUUUUGGCCUAAAAAACACUUUUGAGAGAAAAGUUGUUCUAAGCUAGUAACCUUUGGCUAAGAUUUUGGCUUUUCAAAAGCACUUUUCGCCUAAUGGAGAAGCUAAAAUUUUUAGCUUUUCUUACCCAAAAGCACUUUUGAGUGCUUAAUUACUAAUACAUCCCUCCAAGAACACAUUUUAAAAUAAAAUAAUACAAAUAUUUUAAUAUUUAAUUACAAAUAUUUAAUGGUUAUAUUUAAAUAUUUAAAAUAUAAUUUAUAUAUUCUAAUUAAAUUUUAUAAAUUAUUAAUAUUUGUUGCUUAAAAAUAUUUAAAAUUUAUAUUUUAUAUAUUAAAAUAUUAACAACAAAUUAUAAUAAAUUAUUUUUAUAUUCUUACUAAAAUAUCAUAAUAUUAAUUAAUUUUAAUAUUAUUUAAAUGCAUAUUUGUUACUUUAUAAUAUCAUGUCUAAAAUUGACGUUUUAUUUCUUAAAAGCACUUUUUGACAUUAAUACUAAACACUUAAAUCUUAAACUAAACUUCUCAAAGAUACUUUUCUACAACACUUUUUAAAAACACUUUCCAAAAUCAAUGCUCAACUAUCUCAAACUCUCUUACCUUAUACUUUAAAAGAGAAAAAAAAGAUUUUAAAUUUUAUCCCUAUUUCUUUUAAUCCAAUUUUUAUCCCAGGUAAAAGUUUUUAUGGAGAGGAUCAUGUAAAAUUAUGAUUUGAAUAAUUUUAAACAUUUCAUCAUUGCAAAAAUGAAAUAAUAGAAAAGAAUGACUAUUCGAAUUUGCAUUUGUGUUCUUUCUUUCAAUAUUUGCUUUCAAAACUGUGGGAAAAUAUUAAAUUUGAUGAAAUUUUAAAAUUGCACUUCAGUAAAAUAUAAAUUUUAUGAAUUUGGACUAGCCAUUUUAUUUAUAAUUUUCUGUGUUUUUCUUCUUUGCUGACUUUUUUAAUGUCAUUUUCUAUCAUGAAAGAAAGUUAAAGAUUCACUAUUUAUUUCUCAACCACUAUGAAAUUACUUGACUAUGGGGGUAGAAUUUUCUCACCAAUUUUCUAACAUGAGAUUUUUUGAAUGAGACAAAUAUUCAAUUUUAACACAAACAUAUCUUUAGUUAUUGAGUCACCCCUAUUUGUGAGUGAUUUGGGGAUAAAAGCUUAAACAUUUCUGGAUCACAUUGCAUUUAAGAUGGGUGUUAGGAGUCAUAUGAUAUUUUUUCAUAGACCGACAUUUCUAUAAAGAAUCCUUGCUUUACUUUGGGUAGAUUCUUCCAAUUAGCGUGGUCGUUGGUAUUACUCUCCAACAAUUAUUGUACUGUCAUCCUUAUUCCUACUCCUCCUAGCAGAGAAGUUUCAUAAGUGUUUUAUUUCAAGGGAGUCAGCACUUAGCAACCCCUUGGGGGAUUCAGCACUUAGCAACCCCUUUUAUAUUCAAUGUACUCCGGCUUAUUCCGAGUGUUCAACCGGAAAUCUUGUUUGCAAUAUUUUACCAUUUUUUCCAACUUAACCACAUUUUUAGGAUCUAUGGCAAGUAUUUAUUCUACGUUCAAUUAAAUCUCCUCAUAUAAUGAAUAAUAUCAAAAUAAUGCAUUAAUUCACAUGUUUACUUACCUUGGUGCAAAAUAUUGUAAUUUUGCAAUUUACUCCACAAUUUUCUCUUUUCCCCGAUUGAGGUUGUCUCCUCGUCUUUCUUGAUCUAUAAUAGCAAUUUUAGCUUAUUUAAUAUUCACAUUUAUUAAAACAAUCCUCGACUCACAUUUAUUAAACUUGCUAUUUAAUAUUCACAUUUAUUAAAACAAUCCUCGACUCAACUUUUUACAAAAUUAUGAUUUUGCCCCCAAACUUUUGCAUAUUUACACUUUUGUCCCCAAGCUCGAAAAUUAAAUUCCACUCCUUAUUCUUAUGUUUUACAACAUGCUGAAUACUUUUCCCUUCUAUGGCAACAUCAAAUUCUCACUCUAACAUACACUCAUGAACAUUAAAUAUUUUUACCGAUUAUGUCAAUUUACCCGUUUCUACUUAAAAUUGCUUAGUAAAAGUUGUUUAACAUAAUUCUAGCUCCAUAUUCUACCAUAAAACAGUAAAAUAAACACAUUUCACCUAUGACUAUUUUUCCAAAUAUGAACCCUAGGUUAAAUUAUGUGUUUUGUUCUUCCAAAUGUGUUUUGUUACGAAAUUGAAAACCAAAAUUUAUGUAAAUUUGUCAUGAUUCCUCAAUAGAAAAAUCUGUAAAUUAUCAAAACGUAAAUGUGAACAUAUUAAUUAUUAACUUAAAAAAAACCUAGUCUUGUACAAUCAAAAUUCAAAAAUCAUUUGCCUUGUAAAACUUGUAAUUUUCAUUAAAAUUUUUGCAGCGAAAACUUUUUAUUUAGCCUAUUGAGCAUAUUUUUAAAUUUACGUUUUUAACUUUCGUAAAAUCCCAAUUUGUAUUUUUGUGGUGGAAAAUUUUAUAAUUUUGAAAACCUAGCCUUGAUUGUUGGUUAACACAAAUCAUGCAGAAAAAAAAAACCUUUAACUAAGCCAAAGAAAUCCAAAGCCAAAUUAAAUCGGAGAAAUUCAACCAAAAGCCAAAAGUCCAGUAAAUCAAUUUAUUAACCAGAGCAAACAUUUAAUGAAAGAAUCAAUCCGAGACCCCGCAAAUUCUAACUUUCCGAUUACCUGAAACAUCAUAAAUAAAAUAAAGGGGAGAGCUAUAAAGCUCAGUGCAUAACUAAAACAGAAGCUGAGAUCACAUACAAUACAAUAUACAAAUCAUAAAAUCAUAGAAAAUUUCAUAACAAACAGUCAAACAGAAUUGAGUAUACAUGAUUAUGCCAAUGCGGUAUUUUUCAGAAAAUCUUAAUGCAAAUUUUUCAGAAAACGUCCUACCCAAAUCCUCUACACACUUGAAUAGAGUUCUCCAGAACUUAUCCAUAAAAAAAACACACCAAUUAAGUCAUCCCAGGUUGCCCAAAAACGAUGACUCACCACCAUGGGAUGCCCGACAACGAUGGCUUAUCAAUAUGUAAUUAAACUGUUAGAUCAGAUAUUUGUGGUCAAGCCAUUGAAUUGCAUCUCAGCUACUUAAACAAAAAUAUGUAGUGAAGCCACUAUAUUGUAUCCAAGUUGCCAAAUAAAAAUAUGUGGAUAAACCACCAGAUAGUGCAGACCAUUAAACUACCAAAACUUCCUCCCUGCCAUAUUAUCCCAACCCCAUGCAAUGUGACAUGACAUGCAUUUACAUAAUCAAAACGACAAGCAUGUAAGACAUGUAGUCGUACCAUAACACAAUUUAGCAAGCAUGGCAUUCCACUCUUUUACAGAACAGAUGUAUCAGAAAUUCAACAUAAGCAAGUUGGUAUGCUAUAAAGUCACAUGCAUGAUCACAUAGCAGAAUCAGAAACAUAAAAAUAACGUAACCAAACCUCAUAUACACAAAUACAAACAUAACAAUACAAAUCAUGCUACCAGAUUCAUUAGAAAACAGUUCAUGCACACUAAUUUCACAUACCUUAUUCAUAUCACCUACAAUAUCAAAUUAUCAGAUAUUACAUUUUCAAAGUCAAUUUUACACAGUACGAACCCUACAAAGUGGCUAAACAUGAUUCACGAAUCAAAAGGGGCCUAAACGAAAAUUUUUAAAAGAUGGGCCAAUAUGGCCCAAUUAGCCUAGGCCGUAUGGCGUCGACAGUCCAAUUUUUGACUUUCAGCUGUUCAUUAUUUUUUGACUUUUUUGAUAUACACCUUACUAUUUUCCGAAGCAAAAUCAUGGCAAGAAUUCCAAAACUUAAAAUCCAUAUUCAACCCACUCAAAUUAGUAAUGAAACCCAAAACUAAAUCAUUAAACAACCAAAACUGCUACCAAUAAACCUUAUCAAACCAGGAAUCAACCUUUUGGCAUCUGACUACUAACCCAAAAUAGUAGCAGUAGUACUAAAAAUCUCUCAAUUCAUCGGAAGACUAUUUGUUACAGAAACGUCACCUAAACCAAAGAUUUCAGAGUAAUCAAAAUCGCGUCACACAAAGAAGGAAACAAAUUAACCCUAAAAUCGUGAAACUCAACAAAAUACGAAUCUUUUCACAUAUUCCUUACCACCAACCGUCAAGAUUGGUCAAAAACCACUAAUGACACCGACCAUCGCAAGGUUAAAUUGAAACCAAAAGGCAACUAAAGAUGGAACAAAGGUUGUUAUAAAAAAAAUUAACAAAGACUUAUUGCAGCAAAAAUGGCAAAAAAUCAAGAAUAGGGAGAUUGGAAAAAAAUAAUGAAACGGCAAAGAGAAGGAGUGGGAAAGUGACGGCAGUUUGUGGAGAGAUUUUGGGUAAAUAAAAAGUAACUCACCACUCAACCCAUUAAAUCUGAUUACCCUCUAGACAGAUUCCCUUAGAGUUUAAAUUCAACCCAAAUACCGCUACAUGGGCGGCAUAGUGUAAGGAAAUAAAAAUAUUUCUACUUUGCACACACGCGGUCUUGAACACGAAGCCUUAGGGUAAUUUGAAGCCUUACCACUAAAUUAGUAGGCUCAUCCUUGAAAUUAAUUGAACGAAAAUAUUAUUUAUGUCAGAUGAUCAGGGAUAGAGGUUAAGACCAAAGAUGACAAAAAUUCAAAGGAAAGAUUUAAACCUAGAACCUCACACACACAAGCAUAACACCUAUCCACUGAACCAUAUUUACUCCACUGACAUAAUUUUCACAAUAUUAACUAAAAAUUCAGAAUAUGGUCACUCUUGGUUUCACUUACCUAAUUUCUUCUAACCUGAUUUUUGUGAUGUGACAACUCUCCCAUCCUUAAAAGAAUUUCAUCCUCGAAAUUCCUAUUAUGACACCAUACACUUAACUACAAAAUCUAAAAUUCCCUAGUCCAAACCAACCACCAGGCUAUCAUUGUACAACUCUAAUCUCCAUUCAAGUCUGAUCCAGACAAUAUUUCAGAGGAAUUUCCUAUUCACUACCUCGAAUUACCUCAAUAAGCUUUCCACAGAAACAUCACUAAUGAUCCUUUACCCCAGACUCUAAAAAAAUCACUUACCACAAAAUACAGGUACAAACAAUUCUUAUCAAUGCAUAGUACAUUUGGAACAUAUCAUAAAAGUACCUGUAUCAUUGUCAAAUGCAUCACGGCUCGCUUGAUACCUAGUUGCAUAUCCCCAUCUCAAAUUUUGUUUUUAUGUCGAAGCUUGUACCCGUAAAAUAGUGUCAUGAGCAAUCCCAAACUCGAUGCUCAACUGACCUACAUCUAAAACACGCUCUCAUUUUCCUCCAACAAUCGUCCGAAUGGUGCCUAUCACAGUAAGUAUAAAUCAGAAGCUCAACCGCAUUCACAAUUGCCUCACCCCGCUGAAGCCUGUCUAUUUUAGCCCGUUUCCUUGGUCAUGGAUUCAAGUCAAUAGAACCAUCACUCAUCUUAUUUUGCACUUUAUUCAUUACUUAUUCUCUCCCUUGGAGCAAUUACUCUCUACCGCUAACUUGACUUGAUACGCUUGAGGUCACUCAAUCACAGACUCUUGUCUCAUACAUCCAAAUUGGGUUCCAUCGAUCCUUUGCAAAUCUCUAAACACCUCUUGGAACACUGAAACGUCCCCUACUUCUAAACUGCCCUCAGAUUUGGGCGUCAUAGCAAACUUAUUUAUUUUCAAAUUGGGCUUACUGCCCCGAGAAGAGAACUCAACUCGAGUCACCCAGCUACGUCCACCACGCCCUCGCACAUCAUGACCUCGAGUACUCAUUAUACUAAUCUACAGUUUGCGAAAUUUUAUGAAUUAGCUUAGGUUUAUUAAAAAUUAUAAGUCUAGAGUUUUAUCAAAGUUUCUUACAUAAUUACCAUAGUCUUUAGCUAGAGUAGAGUAAUCCUAGCACUUAAGUUUUGUUAGUUUGUCUAGUAUAGCUAAAGUAAAGAUACUUACAGGAUCGACGAUGUAGUUUUGGAUUCUUUUUGAUAGAAUCAAAUAUAAAAAUAAUCAAAAUCUAAAUACCCAUUUUAGAAACCCAAAGUAUAAUAAUUAAUCAAAAAUUCAAUUUAUUUAAAGCAUAUUUAAUGGAGAUUUUCAAACCCAGAAAUCAUAGCCUGAGUUUUGUUACCUUGCUCUGAUACCACUAAAUGUAACACCCAAAACUUGGCUUAGACAUUAUGGCCAAAUCUGGAAGGUUACAUUAGUACGAAAAAAAUGAUUUUUCCAAAGUGUGGUUUGUUACGAAAUUGAAAACCAAAGUUUAUGUAAGUUUGUCAUGAUUCCCCGAUAGGAAAAUUUGUAAAUUAUCAAAACGUAAAUGUGAACAUAUUAAUUAUUAACUUAAAAAAAACCUAGCCUUAUACAAUCAAAAUGCUAAAAUCAUUUGCUUUAUAAAACUUGUAAUUUUGACUAAAAUUUUUGCAACGAAAAUUCCAAACUAAUAUUCGUAAAUUGUAAUUUUGUCAAGUAAAAACGUUUUAUUUAGCCGAUUAGGCAUAUUUUAAAUUUACGUUAUUAAAUUUUGUAAAAUCUCAAUUCGUAUUUUUGUGGCAAAAAAAUCUUGGCUCGUAUAAUUUUGAAAACCCAACAUUGAUUGUUCAGUAACACAAAACAUACAGAACAAAAGACUUUAACUAAGCCAAAGAAACCCAAAGAAAAAUUAAAUUUGAGAAAUUAAACCAAAAUCCAAAAGUCCAAUAAAUCCAUUUAUUAACCAGAGUAAACCAUUUAAUUAGAGAAUCAAUUCGAGCUUCCACACACUGCCCGAUUCUAAGUUAUCGAUUAUUUGAAACAUCAAAAAUAAAACAAAUGGGUGAGCUAUAAAGCUUGGUGCAUAACUAAAACUCAAGCCGAGAUCACACACAAUACAAUAUACAAAUCAUAAAAUCAUAGGAAAUUUCAUAACAAUCAGUCAAACAAAAUUGAGCAUACAUGAUUAUGCCAAUGCGGUAGUUUUCAGAAAAUCAUAAUGCAAAUUUUUUCAGAAAACAUCCUACCCAACACCACCACACACCCAAAUAUAGUUUCCCAAAACUCGUCCAUCUAAAAACACACCAAUUAAGUCAUCUCAGGUCGCCCGAAAGCGAUAACCUACAACCUCGAGUUAGUCGGCAAUGAUGACUUAUCAAUUUGCAGUUAAACUACUAGAUCAGAUAUUUGUGGUCAAGCGAUUGUACUGCAACUCAGCUGCCAGAUUAAAUGUUCCUAGUGUAGUCCCUAACAUUAUCAGGUGUUCUCGGCUCAGUCCUUUGGACAUUAAAAAAAAUAGAUUUGGAUAUGCAAUUAAUCAUAAAUUGCCAGGUGGUAUAUGUUAAAGUUACGAUAACAUCAUCAUCAAGAAAAAAACCAAAAAAAUCUUUAAAAAAUUUCAUAAAAUUCAAAUAAACUUAUAUAAAAUUAACUACAUUAUAAAUAUAUAAUUGUUAAAAAAUAAAAAUUCUUAAUUAUUUUAAAAUUUGUAAAAAAUAAUAAAAUUAUUAGAAAUUGUUAAAUAUUGUAGAAACAUUAUAAAAAUUAUUAGAAUCAUAAAAGACGGUAAAAAAUAAAAAGUUAAAAUACUAGUAAAAAUUGUCUAACUUGAAAUAAAGUAUACAUUUGGUAAUCAAAUUUAAAAUAUUGAAAAUUUAAUAUUAAAGUUGUAUAAUUUUUAUAAAAAAUAUUUUAAAAUAUUUUAAUAAAAAUUGAAUAAAUUUUAUAUCUAUUUUUUAAUAUUUUAAAAUACAUCAAUUUUCAGUACUUUACCAACGUUACUGGCAACAAGUUUUUUCGACUUGACUCCCUAUUUAUUGUCUUAAGUAGCUUCCUGCAUCCACCAUUUUGCACAUGGUUUUUCUAUUUUAUACCAAAGCUCUUUAGAAUAGUUAAACAUUCGACAAUAGUUCUUAAGAUAUUAGUUUAGAGACAAAUAAUUAUCUUGAGAUAGUAAAAAAAAAAGAAAUAAUUAAAUAUAUUAUUUACUUGAAAUAAUAUUAUUUUUCAUUAUUUAAAUUAUUUGAGAAAAAAACUUAUUCAAGUUUAUCACGUAAAAAGAUCUACCAAUUAUAAAUUUUGAUUAGUUGAACCAUAAGACAAUUGUUAUAGGUAGUAUCAUUCCAAGAGACAAUUAUCACAUGUUCAAACUCUAGUUAAUGUGAUUUAUAAAAUUUUAAAAAUAUUAAAAUAUCUAAUAUAUUUUUGAAAUUUAUGUAAAUUUUUAUAUUUUACACAGUUUUUUUUUCUAUUUUUAAAUAAUUUUGAUAAUUUUUCUUUUAUAAUUUUUGUCAUUUUUGAAGAUUCUUUAAGGGUUUUUGUUGAUGAUUUCAUUAUGAUAUCAUCAUACGACAUGUGGUAGUAUAUGAUUUGUUGAAUAUUCCAAAGAAUUUUUUAUUGACCAAUGAACUAAACUAAAAAUUUUUAAUAACAUUAGGGACUGAAGUGGAUAAAAAUAUUUUAAAAACUAAAGUUAAAAAAGUGAUAUACUUGCAUUAACAUUUUCUAAAAGAUGGAAGUGUUUUUCUGUUUUAAGGGAAUAGAAUUUUUUUGAGUGAAUAUAGUUUUGUGAGGGAGUAGUGAUAUUAUUAUUAGAGACAAGGCAUUUGAUUUUUAUAUAACUUUUUAAUUAAGUCAAUAUCACUCAUCGAGUAAAACCCAACAUAUUAAGCACAUUAUUAUACUAAUUUAGAUUAAUAGGAAUCAUCAAAUUUACAAUUAAGGAUUAUAAAUUUAUUUAAUUCCAAUCUUCUACCUUUUCUAAAUUAUAAGAAUGGUUUUGCCUUAUAUUUUCUUCAAAUUGAGAUUUAAUUUAUAAUUUUAAUUUUGAUAUAAUUUAGUUUAUCAAUUUUUAUAAUGCAAUUAAUUAGUUAAUACUUUAUUUUAAUCAAAAUAAUUAUAUUAAUUUUAAAGAAUUAUUAUCACCGUUAAAAUUCUUUACUAACAAUGAUUUAAAAUUAAGUUCUAUUGCUUUUGUUUUAGAUUACACAUAAAUGUUUACAAUAUGAAAUUCUUUAUAAUUUUCAAUACAUAUUACUUAAAUAAAUAGAAAAUAGAGUUUUAAUAAUGCACAACCAAAUAAAUUUUAGGGUAAACGACCAAAAUAGUCACUUUUGUUUGCCUUAGGUUACAUUUUAGUCACUUAUGUUUGAAAUGUUACGUUUUAGUCACUUACGUUAUCGUGUUGUAACAUUUUAGUCACUGAGUCAUUAAUUGUCGACAAUGGUGUAAUGGUAAGUUGAUGUGGCACGUUAAAUCAUCAUUUCAAACGAAAUUUUUAGGUUAAAUUCUACAAUUGGUCCCUAUAUUUUUCAUUUUCAACAAUUUAAAAAAUUUCUUUUAUGUUCUUCUAACUUUUUUUUUUCCAUUCUCUUAUGCUUCUCCCUCUAUUUUCCUCCCUUCUUCAUUUCUUUUAACAUAGUUUUUCUAUGAUUUCCAUUUGUAACUAGUCCACAAGCUCGCCUCACUCGAAAAAAUUAAAUUGUUCAAAAAAUAAAACAUAGAAUAACUACGUUGAAAGAAAUGGAGAAGGGAGGAAAACAAAGGGAGAAACAUAAGAGAAUGGAAAAGAAAGAAAGUUAAAAAAACAUAAAAGAAAAAAUUAAAUUGCUCCAAACGAAAAAAUAUGGGGACCGAUUGUAUAAAUUAACCUAGAAUUUUUGUUUGAAAUGAUGAUUUAACGUGCCACAUCAGUUUACUGUUACACCGUUAAUAGAAACUAACGGCUCAGUGACUAAAAUGUUACAACGUGAUAACAUAAGUGACUAAAACGUAACAUUUCAAACAUAAGUGACUAAAAUGUAACCUGUGCCAAACAAAAGUGACUAUUUUGGUAGUUUACCCUAAAUUUUAUUGAUGUUCUAUUAUUUUGAUUUCUUAGACUUGUAUAUAGGGAAAAUAAAGGACUAUUGCCAUUUAAUUGCUUUAAAACAAUUUUAAUGAGCUCUAGUCAUGCAAGAUUACCAUUAAAUAGAAUACUCAUAUAGAAGGAUUUACUAUUUUUGUUUCUCAAAUCACAACUAAUAAUUGUUCAUAAUUUCUUAUUUAGUGUCAUUUUUAAGAUUUAUUAGAUGACAAUUUUUCAUGCCAAAGUUUUAUUUUUAUUUCAUUUAAAGUUUUACAAUAUUUAAAAAAUUAUAUAUUUUGUAAAUUUGACAUUUAAUCAAUUUUAGAUCUAAAAAGUAAUAAUGAUUUCAACCCAAGGCCUGAGCUAGGAAUAGUUUUAGUUUGGAGUACUAUAUAUAUAUAUAUAUACUAAAAGAUGCAAUUUUUAUAAAUAACUUACAAAUCUAUCAUUAAAUCAAAUACUGGUAUGAAAUGGUUUAAUUAUUUGAUCACAUUUUUCCAUGACAAAAUUUUAUUUUUAUAUGAUUUAAAAUUUUACAAUUUUUAUAUUGUGAAUUUGGUGUACUAAAAGAUGUAAUUUUACAGGUAAUUUUAAUACCCAUCACCAGUGCUGCAAAGCUUGAGAUUCUUUUAUUGUGGGGAAAUAAACUUAGUGGAAACAUUCCCAACUCUAUCUCCAAUGCUUCCAUGCUUAAGAAACUAGACUUGGCAGAUAACUUAUUCUCUGGCCCAAUCCCUAAAACUUUUGACAACUUAAGACACGUUGAAUGGUUCCAAAUUUCAAACAAUAAUUUGAUCAAAAGACCUGCUACUGAUCAUGAGUGGACCUUUCUUUCUUCUUUGGCAAAUUGCAAGCAUUUGAGAAUAAUAGAUGUUUCAAGAAAUCCAUUGAGUGACGUUCUUCCAACUUAUAUUGGGAACCUUUCAAAAUCCCUUCAAUACUUUUAUGCAUCUAAUUGUGAGAUUACAGACAAUAUUCCUAUGUAAAUAGGUAGCUUAAGCAACCUAUUACUUUUACAACUUGGCUAUAAUAAAUUAAGCUUUAUUCCAACACCGAUAGGAGGACUGCAAAAUUUGCAAGGUUUACAACUUUCCUCUAAUAAAUUAGAGGGGCCUAUAUCAGAAAGCCUUUGUGGUUUGGAGAGAUUAUACUACUUGUAUUUAAGGCUGAUUAGGUUGCAUGGAUCCAUACCCUCUUGUUUGGGUAAUAUUUCUUCUUUGAGAUAUCUUUACUUAGAUUCCAACACAUUGAGUUCUACAAUACCCUCAACUUUGUGGAAUCUUAAAGAUAUCUUAGAAAUAGAUUUAUCAUCAAACCAUCUUUACAAUUCACAUGCUAUAUUGAUGUUGGAGAUUUGAGGAGUCUACUAAAACUAAAUUUAUCAAGGAAUCUUCUCAUGGGCAAUAUCUUCUCCACAUUUAGGGGUCUUCAAAUUUUGAUUUCAUUAGAUUUAUUAAAUAAUAUACAACAUGGCCAUAUCCCUGGAUCAUUAGGUGGUUUGAUUAGUUUGGAAUUCUUGAAUUUAUGAAAUAACAAUCUCUCUCGAGCCAUUCCCAAAUCUUUGGAAAAGCUUUUAGAUCCAAAGUAUUUUAUUGCGUCUUUCAAUAGACUUGAAGGGGAAAUUCCCGCCAAAGGAUGUUUUUCAAACUUCUCUAGCACAUCAUUCAUGAAGAAUUUUGCACUUUGUGGUCCACCUAGAUUGCUAGUCCCACCUUGCAAAAACAAUAUCCAAGAAAACUCCCAAAUGAAUAUAUUGCAUGCUUUAAGGUAUGGUUUACCAACAGUUGGUAUUGUUGUAGUACUAAUAGUCUUAACUAUUGUAAUCACUGAAUUUUGUCCGGCUCGAUUUGGUUUUUUUUAAAAUUUUUUUUUAAAUACAAAAAAUAAAAAAUUGUAUUUUGACCCCUAAACUUUUUUUAAAAUUACAUUUUACCCCUAAACUUUCUCAAAAUUACAUUUUGACCUCUAAACUUUCUCAAAAUUAUGUUUCGACCCUAAUACUUUUCCUGCAUUUGCAGUUUAGUCCUUCUGGCAGCAACUUGCACACCUACCCCCGUGAUUUCCGGCCACUGGCCUAGGGCAUGGCCUCCCUCUCCCCUAGCCACCUAAUCCCUGCAAAAAGGAAGAAAAAACAGCUAUAAAAUGGGUUAAAAAACCCCAAAAAUCGGACCCCCCACGAAAAAAUAAAAAAAAAACUUGCAAAAAAGAGAAAAAGAAGAGGAAAAAGGAGAGAAAGAGAGGAGAAAGGAGAAGAAGAGGCCGGCCAUCGGCGAACCACUGGCAGCAGCACGAGCAGCGACGUCGACGGCGGCGAAGGAGACCGAACGGAGAAGAAGAAGGAGAAAAGAGAAGAAAAAGAGAAAGAAGAAAGGAAAAAGAAGAAGGAAGAAAAAGAAAAAAAGAAAAAAUAUUUUUUUUAACAGUCGGGUCAAACCGACCCGACCCAACUCUGACCCGAACACCGCGACCCGACCCGGCACCUGCAUACCCAGGCCAAGCCCAGCAGCCUAAAGAAAAAACAAAAAAAGAGGCAAAAGCAAAAAAAGAAAGAAAGAAAAGGAAACAGGCCAAAAACAGCCCAAGCGCAGGCCCAAACCAACGCCAGGCCCAACAGCAGGCCUAGCAGGCCAACCAACCCAACGCUAGGCCCAACAGCAGGCCUAGCAGGCCAGCCAGCCCAACGCCAGCAGCAGGCCCAAUAGCACAGGCCCAAAAGGCAGCAGGCCAAAAAAAAAGAAGAGAAAGAGAAAAAAAAAGAAAAAAGAAAAAAAGAGAAAUAAAAGAAAAAAAGAAAAAAAAAAGAAGAAAAAAGGGGUUUCAAUUUGAACAACCCGUUCGGCGAAGCUCGUGUUUUAGAUUUUUCGGUAAUUUUAUUUAUUUCUCUUUUAAUUUAAUGCUCGUAUUUUUAUGUUAUUUCAUUUUAAUAUUAUUAGCAUUUUAUGCAUUUUUUAUAUUUUUAUAUUUUUGUAUUUAUAUUUUCAAUUUAAUUCAAUUUUAAUUUUAUUUUAUUUUAAAUAAUUUUAAUAAAUAAGGCAACGGAUCGAUUUAUCAUAAAAUUGUUGAUUUCAUCGCUAUGUUGGGUGAAUAUCACCGGUUUGUGUUAAACUCGAUACGCUCUUUUAAAAAUAAAAAAUAUUCAAAAAAAUUGUAUUUUCAAAAAAAAAUCCUCGGGUUUCGAAAUUUGCGUGUCUUCAAAAUAAUUUCUCGUGUUUUCAAAAAUAAGGUAACGAAUCUAUUUGACACUAAUUCGUUGAUUUCAUUGCUAUGUUGAGUGAAUAUCACUGACUAGUGUUAAAUAUGAUACGUGCUUAAUAAAAAAAUCAGAAAAUUUUUCGUGUUUUCAAAAAUUUCCGUGUUUCAAAAAUUUUCAUGUUUUCAAAAAUUCUCGUGUUUUCAAAAAAAUUCCAAUUUUCAAAAUUUUUCGUGUUUUCUAAAAACUUCUGUGUUUCAAAAAUUUUCGUAUUUUAAAAAUUUUUGUGUUUCUAAAAUUUUCGUAUUUCAAAAAUUUUCUUGUUUUCAAAUUUUUCGUAUUUCAAAUAUCCUCGUGUUUUCAAAAAAUUUCGGUGUUUUGAAAAUUUUCUUGUUUUUCAAAAAAAUCUCGUGUUUCAUAAAUUUUUGUUUUUUUUUAAAUUGUGUUUCCAAAAUUCUCGUGUCUAAAAAAAAUUCUCGUGUUUUAAUCGGAUCAGGAUUAAAUAUUAAAUUGAACUCGUAUUUUUGAAAGUGAAGACAACUCGCAUUUAACGAGAUACCAAUUUCGGGCGUCGCGAGGGUGCUAAUACCUUCCUCGCGCGUAACCGACUCCCGAACUCUAAUUUUCUCUGGAUUUUCACGUAGACCAAAAAUUACCUCUUUUUUAGAAAAAUUUAAAAAAUAAAUUUUCCUUCUAAAAAGAGAAUUUAUUAGGUGUCCAAUCACACCUAGGAAAAAAAAGAUCGGUGGCGACUCCUUUUUCAAAUAAAAUCGAAACACCGUUUUCAAAUUUUCAACAAUCAUUUCGAUUAGCGCCCGUGCACGAAAUUUUUAGGUCGCUACAACUAUUAUGUAUAGAAGAUGCCAAAGUAGGAGUACAACUCUACCAAUUCAGGAUGAUUUGUUUUCUUUGAAAACGCUGAGUGGAAUUUCACAUGCUGAACUUUCACAAGCAACUAAUGGAUUUGAGGAAAACAAUAUGCUUGGUUCAAGGAGUUUUGGAUAUGUAUAUAAAGAAAGGCUUUCAGAUGGAAUGGAAGUUGCAAUAAAAGUUUUCAAUUUGCAAACAGAAGAAGCAUUUGGGAGCUUUGACAUUGAAUGUGAUGCUAUGCGAAAUAUAGAUCAUCAUAAUAUUGUGAAGGUCACUACUUACUGCUCAAGUGUUGACUUCAAAGCCUUGGUGCUUGAUACAUGUCUAAUGGAACUACAGAGAAAUGGUUAUAUUAUUAAAACUAUUUCCUUGAUAUCAUACAAAGGGUUGACAUAAUGAUAGAUGUUGCAUCAGCUAUAGAACAUCUCCACAACGGGCAUCCAACACCUAUAAUUCAUUGUGACUUAAAACCAAGCAAUAUUUUACUAGAUGAAGACAUAGUUGCACAUGUGGGAGAUUUUGGCGUUGCCAAAUUGUUGGGAGAAUGUGAUGUAAUGAAGCAGACCAUGACUCUUGCAACAAUCGGGUAUAUGGCACCAGGUGAAUUUUUUAUUUUUGUAUUAUUAUUUGUCUAAUAUGCAUUUUAUAUUUUGUUUCAUCUGUAUGUGGAUAUAUAUUUGAAUAAUCAUUUUAGAAAUAAUUAAAGAUUAAUGAUGCUCUAAUUUUACUUGAAAUGCAAAAUUUGGAUCAACGGGAAUUGUUUCUAUAAAAUGUGACAUCUAUAGUUAUGAGAUUGUCCUUAUACAAACUUUCACAAAGAAAAAGUCAACUGAUAAUUUUUUUGCUGAAUAAGUGACUAUAAAGCAUUGGAUGGGAAGUUCAUUGCCAAAGGAGCAUGAAAAUCCCCAAAACCUAAAUUCUUUCCUUCUAGCAAUGAAGAGAUGGUGAGGGGAAGGGGAAAAAAUCACGUUAAAUGAAAAGAAAAAGAAAAAGAACAAAAUUAAAUUUGACGUGAAAAUUAUUUUAAUACUUUUAAUUUGAGUUGGAAAGGUUGAUGAUGUAGCAUAAAAUAAUUGGAUAGGACCAUAUUUGAGGUAGUGGGUGUAACACCCCUUACCUGAGACCGUCGCCGGAAUCGAGUACGAGAUGUUAUCCAAUUUAACUUACCAAUUUGGAGCAUAAAAAUUUGCUUUGUAAAUUACUUUCACAAUUUACAGCAAAGCUGUCCACCUGCGCGACUGUCACUAAUUUAAUUAUAACUCGAGUUACGAAACUCGAAAUUUAAAUCCGUAAAUUUUCCAUGAAACUAGACUCAUAUUUCUACGUACCAUAAAAUUUUUAGAAUUUUUGACUUAUCCAAUUAGUACAGUUUAUUCAUUAAAGUAUCCCCUGUUUCACAACUUGACAGAUCUGACCUCUUGGCACUAAAAAUCAAUUAUCUCACUGUACAAAAUUCAUAUAAGGUUAUCAUUUAUUUCUCUUGAAAAUAGACUCACUAAGGAAUCUAGAAAUAUAAAUUAUGACCCAUAAUUCUUUCUGUACAAUUUAUAAUGAUUUUCUAAAGUCAGAACAGGGGACUUUAAAAACCAUUCUGACCCUGUCUCACUAAAAUUCAAAUAUCUCAAAAUAUACAAUUCCUUUGCCUACACCGUUUCUUUCAUAUAAAAAUAGACUUGAUAAGCUUUAAUUCCAUCUAUAAUUCACUCUCUAAUUCCAUUUAUACUAUUUAUGGUGAUUUUUCACAUUCACGUCACUGCUGCUGUCAAAAAAACUGCUUCUUUAUAUUAGUUCCAUUUACACAUACAUACCACCAAAACAUAAUCUCUACUAACCACUUCAAUAGCUAAUCUUAGCCAUAUCAUAUGAACAUACUCAAAAUGAUUAAGACUCUAUACAUGCCAUAGUUUAAACAUUUUGGAAAGCACACAAUACCGAGAUGAUUAUGAUAGUGUGAUACGAGCUCCGACGAUCCCCAAUUCGAUCAAGUUCAAAUCACUAUAAAACAAAGGAAAUAAGAAAAUGUGUAAGCUACAAUUAGCUUAGUAAGUUACAUGUAAAUAAUAGAUACUCAUUUAAUAAUUAACACUUUUAACUUAUAACUAAUCAAAACAUUUCUUGGCAAUUUCAAUCACUUACACAUGCACAAUCUUACCAUUUCACUUACAUAUACAUUUUCACACUUAACCUUUACCACUUUUGAUCAUUAUUUCAAUUGUACCUGCAUACACACUUCAUUUCAUAUUCACUUUAACACAUUAUUAAUCCCGUUGAACACUUGGAAUAUACACGGAUACAUAGAGAUUUAGCACAUAAGUGCCACACUGAUAUGUAGCCGAAGCUACCACUGAUAUGUAACCGAAGUUACCACUGAAUGUAGCCGAAGCUACCACUGGGAUGUAACCGAAGCUACCACUGAUCAAUAACACUGGAAAUGUCCACGGGCCUGCUCACACAAGCUGUCAGGUGUCUGCAACACAUGCUAGAUCACCCAGCACCCGGGACUCACUGUAACACUGUAACACUGGUCUCUAGUGACAUGUCACUUGUAUCCAUUUCUAUUCCUAAGUUCAACUGGGAAUUUACACUUAACACUUUAUUUUCAACACUUUAUCACUUGAAUAAUUCAUGAAUAUUUUUCCUUCCACAUUCAAUAUUGAUUCACAUAUCAAUAAAAUUCACAAUUUAUAAAAAUGUAUUACUAUUAUUUACACAUAACUUACCUCGGAUGCAAAACGACUAUUUCUGUAAUUUAGUCGAUAACUUUCUCUUUUCCCCGAUCACUUGCACUAUUUCUUCUUUCUUGAUCUAUAUUAACACAAUUUAAUACAUUUUAUCAACAUUUCAUUCAAAUACAAUUCAUACACAACAUUUUGGCAAAUUUACAUUUUUCCCCAAAACUUUUCAAAAAUUUCACUUUUGUCCCUAAGCUCGUAAAAAUAAAAUUCACUAAAUUCUUAAAUUUCAAACUUCACUAAAUCAUAUUUCAUGCUCAUAACAGCCCUCAAUUUCACAAAAUCACAACUUUAUGCACACUUUACCAUCUUUCACAAUUUAGCCCUUUUUCAACAUUUUCAUUGAAAUUCAUCUAGUAAAACUUGAAAUUAACACUUCAAACAUUCAUUAUCUAACAUCACUAAUCACUUUACAAUUAUAUCAUGAAUGGGUCAAUUUUUAAACUUUAAUUUCACUUAAAUUAAAUGGUAGAAACAUGAAAUUCAAGCAUCAAUAAGCAUAAAAAUACGAAAAUAAUUAAAAACGGGGCAAGAAAUCACUUACAAUUGAGCUUAGAAAAAUCAAAACCCUUAGCUAUGGUAACAUGAAACUUUCGGCAGCAAGCUUCUGAUUUUUGAAGAAGAUGACACUUAUUUUCUCUUAUUUUGUCUUUUUGGACAAAAAUGCCCUUGACCCAUUACUUAGAUAUUUUUCUAGAAUUACCCUUUUGUGUCCAUAUCACUAAUUUAUGGUCUAAUUGCCACAUAAACACUUCCAAUUUCAUGCAAUAAUUCAAUUAAGUCAUUUAAUCACUAAUUAGACACACUUUGCAAUUUUCUCGAUUUAGUCCUAAAAAUUCAAUUAGGCACUAAAUCAUUAAAAUUUCCUAUCCAUAUUUUCACACAAUAUUUCAAUCAAUCAAUAACUAAUAAAAAUUUAUAAAAUUAAAAUAUUUCACUUCGGAUUUGUGGUUACGAAACCACUAUUCCAAUUAGGCCCUAUUUCGGGCUAUCACAGUGGGAAAGGUCCAUGAAAUAAUUUUUCUAUGUUAUCAAAUAGAUGAAUGAUGGUUAUUGGGAUCAAACUAAUGAUUUUGAGGAUGUUAAUGGUUAAUUUGGUGGAGAGGGUGGAAAAGAAACAAAUAAUUCAUUAUAUGUCAUAUAAUUAUGCAAUUCAAGUUGUAAUACCCAAAUUUUACCCGGCCUACAAAAACAGUCCAAAUUACAAUGGGCUUAUGUGGCCCAAAACCUGAAAUGAACAGAGGCCCAAAACAAUGGCCCAAAACAAUGUCAGAAACUCCUAGGGUUUCUAAGGAAACUUUCCCGCCGCAGCCACCAAGCACCACGAGCCGAAAUCUUCACCUGCGCAGAAACAACGGAAAUGGCAAGAAAAUCAAAGAUUGCGAAUCAAAUAUGAGCAAGAUUUGAUUCUUUAUAUUAUUAUUUUCAUUAUGGCUAUAAAAUAGCCAUUGAUAUGCUGUAAAAAAGGAGGGGAAGACCAAAAGAAAUACAAAGACCAAUAGGAAAUUUUCUUUUUUUUGAAAUACAAAGGUUUUCUUUUCUGUUUUACCUCAUUGUCGAUUAUUGUUCUUUUAUUUUUUCAUUUAUACAUAUACAUAUUUGAUUUUUUAUAGUUUCUCUAUUUUUUUUAUUUAUUUUUGCUUAAAAUAUAAAGAAAAGAGGAGGGAUUUUACCUUUUUUUCGUCGAAGUUGUCGAACGGUGGCCAUCUCCGUCGCGAUCGGAGUGUUGGCACAGGCGAACAGCGGCGCAAAAGGGGUUAAGAAAAAACCCUAGCAGAGCAUUUGUGUUUUUUUUGUUUUUUUUUAUGUGGGUUAUUGAUUUUUAUUUUUUUAAAGAAUUUUCGUUUAAAUAACAUUAGCAAAACGACGCCGUUUUAGGGGAGCAGGAUCCGCGCGUUGACCCGACCUGCAGGCAGGGUGCACGUUCUGGCCUUGAAUGGGGUAUUUGUGCAUUUAGUCCCUCCUCUUUGCGACGCACUUCAAUAAAACCCAUUUUUCUUUUUCUUUUUUUAAAUUUAGCGGCAUAUUUCAUUUUUGUUUCAAUCGAGUCCGUCACUGCGCAGCGUUUUGGAAGUCGGAAUUAAUUUCCCUUUUGGUCCUCUAUUGUUGCUUGCGCAUUCAAGUUGGUCCCUUCUUUAUAUUUAUUGCUAAUUUGCCCCAUUUUUUCGCUUUUAGUUCAGUUUAGUCCAUUUUUUUAGCUAUUUCAUUAUUUAGUUAUUUUUUUAUUUAUUAUUAUUAUUAUUAUUAUUAUUAUUAUUAUUUCUAAAUUUAUACACGCAUUUUUUUAUGGUAUAUAUAUAUAUGCAUUUUUUUUGUAUAAUAUAUAUUUUUUAACUUUUAUAAAUACAUGCAUAUACUUCAUACAUAUUUGUUUAUUAUUAUUUUGAUUUCAAAACUUUUAUAUACUUUAAAUUUUAUAUACAUACAUAUACAUUUUAUAACACAUAUACAUUUUCCACGUUUUAUAAUUUAAAAUACACAUACAUUUUCUAUAAUAUAUUUAUGUAUACGUUUUUAUUCUUUAUAUUUUUUUUGGUUUAUUUCCUUCGUCUAUUCAUUGAUUUAGGUUUUCAUUUACAUUUUAAAAGAAUGUCCUUUUUUUAUAUUGCUUAUUCAUUUUAUAUUUUUGCAUUGUCAUUGUUUAUUUUUUUAUUUUAUAUUAAUUUCGUUUAUUUACUAUUUAUAUUAUUUCUAUACAAUUGUCGUAUUUAUUAUUGCAACAUUUAUACAUACAUUCCAUAUAACAUUACAUCAUCUUUUACUCGAAUUUAAAAAUAGAAAAUUUUCAAAAUAGAGAUAAUACUCGUAUUUAGGAUUUUCAAGAAAAUUGAGCCCUAACGUAUUGGGUUCCGAUUUUCUUCGUUAAAUCUAACAAUCGAGAAUUGCUCUUUGAUAAAAAAUAAAAUAAAAACUUGUCAUCGGGAAUUCAAUAUGUUGUGUCCUAACAUAUUGGAUGUGAUGCGUUGAUUUCUCGAGAUAAAGAUUUUCUAAACAAUAAAAGAAAUAUUCAAUGUUUGGGAUUUUAAGAAAUUGUGCCUUAACGUAUUGGGCUGUGAUUUCUUCAUAAAUUUUAAACAAUUAAAUAUUUUCUUAAAUUUUAUUACACGAGUUUUUUGGACCAGCUCAUCUUAAAAAGAAUAAAAUAUUGUGCCCUAACGCAUUGGGUGUGAUAUUUUCUUUUUUCAAAAUGAGAAAGUCUUAACAAAAAAUUUAAUUUAACUAAGGAUCGUAUUUAUUAACUCUCGACAUUAAGACACUGAUUAAUCAACUCGGUACCAAUUUUUGGGUGUUACGAGGGUGCUAAUCCUUCCUUGCACGUAAUUUACUCCUAAACCCGUUUUUUAAAACUCGUAGGCCAAAGUCGUUUUUUGGUGAUCCAAUCACACCUUAAUAAAAGAUUGGUGACGACUCCAAUUUUCAUCGACAACUAAUUUUUGUUUUUUUUCAAAAUAAAAAUGGUUUCGACAGCUUGGCGACUCCGCUGGGGACACAUACGAGAGUCGAGCCACAAAGUUGAUUAAUUUCUGUCUUAUUGGCGAGAAAAUAAAUUUUUUUAAAAAAAUCAUGAAAUCAUUGUGCAUUCAUUCAUUUUCUUGCUUAAUUGAUCUUUGCAUUAUACAUUACAUGAGUUGAAUGAUUUUACCCUUCUAAGUGGGAGUGAGAAACUAUUCCUUCGUGAGGUUUUCACCUCCGUAUAGGAUAGUGGAUCGCUUUCGGGAUACAUCUGUACCUAUGCCUUCUUGAGAUUUUCAUCUUCGUAUAGUCAUAGGGAAAAUGUAUUCCCCUGAACCGAACUUGAUCUAUAUGAGCCUAUAAUGGGUGAAGAUUGAGGAAUCUGCUGGUUUGGGUACCUUUGCCCUAGAAGUCAAACCACAUAUAGUGAACCUUAGGAACUUGCCCUAGGUAGGGAUAUGCCAAACCCCUAGUGGUCACCCGAAUAGGUUUUCUAUUUAUUCUUGCUUUAGCUUUGUACCAACCUGUUUUCUUUUUGGUUGUGAUUGCAUUGCAUUUUCAUCAUAAAAAAAGAGAGAGGUGUUGAUUCACAUUCAGUUGCUAAAUAGAUAGCUUGUCAUAAGAAAAUGAGUUUCUUGAUAAAAUGGAUGAUAAUAUGGUUGUCCGAAUAUGGUCCAAGAAAUGUGAUAAGAGAAGGAUGAUAGUUUAAUGGAGGACUACACGACUAUGGCUCCAUUGCCCAAGGAUUCAAGAUAACAAAGAUUAUUCGAGAGCCGCUAAACUUUCUUAAAGAGAAACCAACAAGCAUCACAAGGAUGAGUGAGCAACAAAUUGCGGCCUGGAUCAAGCAAAAAGGAGAUAGAAGAGACUUCCUUUUUGAAAAGUUCGUGAGAUUUAUCUUAACGCUUGAAUGAAGAAGAGGAUCGAAUGUCUUCGCCUAUGAGGGCAAGGCUGUAUAAAUAUUCAUUUUAUGUAAAGAGAUUUGUUUUCUAGUAAAGUUCUCUAAAUGGAAUUGAAUCAGAAUCAACGUCCCUUUAUGCAUUCAUUUCCUGCAUUCGCAUUACAUGAUAUCAUAGCAUUAAAAUCCACUAAAAGAUUCUAAUUAAUAUAAAUCAUUCCUCAGUUAAUCUGGAAACCAACCAACCCAUCACACACCACUACGGUACUCGAUCAAAAACUAAAGACAUGGACCAAAGGAUGGAAAGGUUAGAACAGUUCCAAAAAGAAAUGCAGUAUCAACUUCAAUAACAAAUGAAUGAACAACUUGAGAAAAUUCAGCAAAAAAUGAUGGACAAAAUGAUGGAAUCUCAAGAGAGUAUGAUGGCUCAAUUAACUCAGUUGUUGACCAGAGGAACUAAUAAAGGAAAAGGCUCUGUGCUCAAUAUGGAAGAAGGAGACAGUGAGGGACUUCUUUAUCCUCCAGGCUUGACCCCUCAGCAUGGGCAGACCCAAGUAGAGGUAUAUCCGCACAAAUCCUCUAUCACCAUCAAGCCUCAGCAGUUUCAGGCCGGUGCUGUAACACCAAUGAAUUUUCCAGCUAGAUCAGGCCCUAACCCCAGAGACGACCUUGUUAAUCCUGAUAUCCCUGACUUCGAUGAAACAGCUGAAAAAGAGAAAAUGAAUGGUGAAUUGCCAAAACAGCUCGAAGAAAAGUAUAAAUGGCUGGAGGAAAAACUUAGAGUGAUGGAAAGUACUAAGAGCUACCAUGGAAUUGACACUAAAGAAUUGAGCUUGGUUCCGGAUUUAGUACUCCCUUAUAAAUUCAAAAUUCCUGAGUUUGAGAAGUACAAUGGAACUAAUAGCCCCGAAGCUCAUAUUACCAUGUUUUGUAGGCGGAUGACUGGGUAUGUUAAUAAUGACCAACUGCAUAUACAUUGUUUCCAGGAUAGCCUUGCAGGGGCAGCAUCCAAGUGGUACAACCAACUGAGCCGUACCAAGAUUAAUUUAUGGAGAGAUUUAGCAUAGGCAUUCAUAAAGCAGUACAAUCAUGUAACUGACAUGGUACCUGAUAGAAUCACUCUACAGAACAUGAAAAAGAAGCCUGGUGAAAGUUUUAGGCAGUACACACAGAGGUGGAGGAGGUCGCAGUCCAAGUUCAGCCACCGCUUCUGGAAAAGGAAAUGACAAUGCUAUUCAUAAAUACAUUGAAAGCUCCGUUCAUCACACAUAUGUUAGGGAGUGCUACAAAAAGCUUUUAUGGCAUAAUCAUGAAUGGUGAAAUGAUUGAAAGCGCCAUAAGGAGCAGAAAAAUUGAUGCUGGAGGGAAUAACAGAAGGCAAGCCUCAAAAGAAAAAGAAAAUGAGGUGAACAGCGUGAAUACGUACAGAAAAUCGAUUGCUAAUCAGUAGGGUUCAUCAAGACAAGAAUCAUGUGUGAAGCAAGGUACUGAAAAACUCUAGUUCACUCCAAUUCCAAUGUCGUACAAGGAGCUGUAUCAAAGCUUAUUCGAUGCGCAUAUUGUUUCUCCUUUACAUGUGAAGCCUCCACAGCCUCCGUAUCCCAAAUGGUACGACGCAAGUGCACAAUGCGAUUAUCAUGUGGGAAUUACGGGACACUUAAUAGAGAGUUGCAUUACCUUCAAAAAGCUAGUUGAAAAAUUCAUCAACAUGGGUAUCGUCAAGUUGAAUGGCUCAUUUAAUGCAGAAAAUUUACUACCCAAUCAUGAUUGACAAUGGGGUGAAUGCAAUAUAUGAAGAGAUGUUAGGAAGUGUUCACAUCAAUGACAUAUAGGAAUACACAAAUGAAAGGGGGACCUUGUUAGAUAUCCGCCCUUAUAAAUCUGGGAGUGUUUAAAAUAAUUGGAUUGCGGAAGAAAUAUCUAUAGUCUUUAGAGCGUAUUUAGAGUAAUGUUCAGAACAUUCUUGUUGUUUUUAGCCUAAAAAUGAUAGGAAUUCCUUUGUGAAAUAGACUCAUGUCUGAUGAUCAUUAUUAUAAUAAAAUACAUCUUUGUAUUUAUUUUUGAGCCAACAUUCUUUCAUUCUUUGCGAGUAAUUAUUUUGUCAUUCUUUUGGAUUUUCUUCCACAUCAUUCUUUCAUUCAUAAUUAUAUUAAAAAAAUAAUUAUUCGUAAAUUCACACAUUCUUUUGCGCUUACUAUGGGACCCCAAAUAUCAAUGACAUGAGUGACGCUGUACUGACUCAAAAUCUCCUUCUGAGCGAGACAUGUGUUUAAAGGGAUCUCAUGACUUUGAAGAUGACAUAGAUCGUAGCCUAUUUCUGGACCUAUUAAGGAUGGUAGAACAAGUCGAGAAACGAAUCUUACCCUACAAAGAAUCAUUGGGAUAUAUGACUUCUCCUUAUGUGGGGCAUGAAGGUCAUUUGGUCGAUCUCGCCAAAAGAGUCUGACGGUCAUUGAUUCAUCUUUGUGAUCGUCAAUUACUUUACUAAAUGAGGGGAAGCUGCUUUAUAUGUCAAUGUCACAAAGUUGACAGUUAGCAAAUUCUUGAAGAAUCAUAUGGAACGUCAAAAGGAUCAUAUCUGACAAUGUACUAAAUUUGAGCAACAGCACAAUAUCAAAAGUUUGCAGUCUAUUCACGAUUAAUGCCAUAUCACCAAAAAAGAUGGCGCAAAAAAAAGAGAGAAAAGAAGAAAGAAAAUGGAGAGGCCAAAGUGAAAACCCGCAAAGGGCACCUUGAGACCAAAGGGGAUUUGAGUUGAAAACCCGAAACAGGCGGCUCAAAUAUUGAUCAGAAUAGGGCAUGAGGUGAUUAGAGCAACUCGAAUUUUAACCAGAUUGGGGCAUGUGGUGAUCUUGUUAUACCUGAAUUAUCAGGAAAGGGUAGGCAACAUCUUGGGGCAUUGGCAGAGUACUGUGGAUCUCCUAAACACAUGUCAAACUCAGAAGGAUCUUCAAAAAGUUUGUACGGAGAAAUUCAAGCUGCGAUAUCUGGGGCACCCAAUUUUCAUACUAUUGAAUUUGUUAUUCUUAGAAUACUUCAUUCUUUUCAAAGAUACACAUUCCCAAUCAAUUUCUUUGUUAUCCUUUUUACUAUUUUUGAUAAUUUAUUCCUUUCGAGCUAUGCUCAGAACUAAUUUUAUUCUUAUCCAUUGUUAUGACCUUUUUGCAUGCAUAUUGCAUUGGAAUAAUGAUCAAUGGACUAAUAAAACUUUCACAAGGGAAGUUUUGCAUAUUACUCUAGAAGUUUCUAAAUAAUAUAGGAGCCUGAAACAGGACUAUUAUUUAGAACGCACUAGGUUUAAAGGUUGGAAAUCUAAAAAGGAAGAGUCUAAACUAGGACUUUCUCUUUGGAUUUUGUUGUCAAAAAUCAUUAGUUGAACAAAAUAAUAAGAUGUCGUGUUGAUGACAAAGCUUAAAUCAACAAGCAAGUAAUGAUCACCAGGCAAUAGAAAGAGGUUACCUCGGGGAAGAGAGCCCUCAUUUGCUCAUGAGCCUUUGGUACGACACCCUAGGAAUGGUGUAAGAGACAAGAAAGAUUUAGAUCCUGUAUCCUUGAAUUGUGAUAGGAGAGGAUUGAAGAAAAGCCAUAUACCCUUGGGUUACAGUGGGAGAACGAUGGUAUGAAUUUUUGCGCCCCAAUGGAUUAAACUUUGAGGUUUACAGUGGGGGCAACCUGACUAAAUGUUUCUUCAGAAAAGCCAGCCAAGCAAGAAGGCAUUGUAGCACGUUAGUGUUAAAGCCUUAAUAAUCUUCGAACAAUGACAACCUAGGUGGGAUCAUUCUCGAAAAAAAAACUAUGCAUUCAUGCAAACACCAUUCACAGAUGUCUAGUUAGGAGCAUUUGAUUCAUUUUAUGCCAUCCUAAUCAUUAGGCAUAAAUAGGUUCAUUAUACAGGUCAUGUUCCCCAGAGAGCAGAUCAGUAAAAAUAGCAGAUCUUGCCUUCCUACACCGACAGUGAAACAGAUCAAAGACACCAGCCAUGCCUCCCUGGGUUGCAGUGGAGUAGGUUAAAAAUAGCAGAUCUUGCCUUCAUGCACCGACAGCGAAGCAGAUCGAAGAGACCAGCCUUGCCUCCCUGGGUUGCAGCGGAGCAGGUUAAAAUAGCAGAUCUUCCCUUCCUGCACUGACAGCGAAGUAGAUUGAAAACACCAGCCUUGCCUCCUUGGGUUGCAGUGGAGCAGGUUAAAAAUAGUAGAUCUUGCCUUCCUGCACCGACAGCGAAGCAGAUCGAAGACACCAACCUUGCCCCCUAGGUUGCAGUGGAGCAGGUUAAAAAUAGCAGAUCUUGCCUUCCUGCACCGACAGCGAAAUCGAAGACACCAGCCUUGCCUCCCUGGGUUGCAGCGUAGCAGGUUAAAAAUAGCAUAUCUUACCUUCUUGCACCGACAGCGAAGCAGAUCGAUGACCCCAGCCCUAUUUCCCUGGUCAGCAGGGGAAUAAGUUGAAGAUUGAGAAUCUUAUCUCCCUGAAGUUGCAGUGGAGUAGAUUAAAGCCAAUAAUCCUAUCUCCUUAAAUUUGUAGUGGAGCGGAUUAAAACCACAGAUCUUAUCUCUCUAAAGUUGCAGAGAGCAGAUCGCAUCUGGUCUUAUCUCCCAAAAGUUGCAGUAGAGCAGACUGAGUAAGAAAGUCUUAUCCCCCUGAAAUUGCAGUGGGGCAGACUAAAUGAACAAAUCUUAUCUCCCUAAAGUUGUAGUGGAGUGGAUUAGAAUGAUGGGUCUUAUCUCUCUGAAGUUGCAACAGAGCAGAUCACAUCAAAUUCAUCUUUAAGUGACAGCAGAUCAAGUUGAAGCUAUAAGUCUUAUCUCCCUGAAGUUGCAGUGGAGUAGAUUGAAGCACUAGUUCCUAUACCUUUGAAGAUGCAGUAUGAAGGAAUGAGGCUACUUGAAGAAGAAGACUACCUAGGUCCAGCACGAUCGGGUAAAAUUGGGCAUUUUUAAAGUCUUUACUCCAUUCCUGUUACACGAUAACGAGUAAAGAGGGGCAGCUGUAAUACCCAAAUUUUACCGAGCCUACAAAAACAGUCCAAAUUACAAUGGGCUUAUGUGGCCCAAAACCCGAAUGAACAGAGGCCCAAAACAAUGGCCCAAAAUAAUGUCAGAAACUCCUAGGGUUUCUGAGGAAACUUUUGCGCCCAGCCACCAAGCACCACGAGCUGAAAUCUUCACCUGCACAAAAACAACAGAAAUGGCAAGAAAAUCAAAGAUUGCGAAUCAAAUAUGAGCAAGAUUUGAUUCUUUUUAUUAUUAUUUUCAUUAUGGCUAUAAAAUAGCCAUUGAUAUGCUGUAAAAAAGAGGGGGAAGACCGAAAGAAAUACAAAGACCAAUAGGAAAUUUUCUUUUUUUGAAAUACAAAGGUUUUCUUUUCUGUUUUACCUCAUUGUCGAUUAUUGUUCUUUUAUUUUUUCAUUUAUACAUAUACAUAUUUGAUUUUUUUAUAGUUUCUUUAUUUUUUAUUUAUUUUUGCUUAAAAUAUAAAGAAAAGAGGAGAGAUUUUACCUUUUUUUCGUCGAAGUCGUCGAAUGGUGGCCAUCUCCGUCGCGAUCGGAGUGUUGGCACAGGCGAACGAUGGCGCAAAAGGGGUUAAGAAAAAACCCUAGCAGAGCAUUUGUGUUUUUUUGUUUUUUUUAAUCUGGCUUAUUGAUUUUUAUUUUUUAAAAAAAGAAUUUUCGUUUAAAUAACAUUAACAAAACGGCGCCGUUUUAGGGGAGCAGGAUCUGCGCGUUGACCCAACCCGCAGGCAGGGUCCACACGUUCUGGCCUUGAAUUGGGUAUUUGUGCAUUUAGUCCCUCCUCUUUGCGACGUGCUUCAAUCAAACCCAUUUUUCUUUUUUUUUUUUAAAUUUAGCCGCAUAUUUCAUUUUUGUUUCAAUCUGGUCCGUCACUGCGCAGCGUUUUAGAAGGCGGGAUUAAUUUCCCUUUUGGUCCUCUAUUGUUGCUUGCGCAUUCAAGUUGGUCCCUUCUUUAUAUUUAUUGCUAAUCUGCCCCAUUUUUUCGCUUUUAGUUCAGUUUAGUCCAUUUUUUUAGCUAUUUCAUUAUUUAGUUAUUUUUUUAUUUUUUUGUUAUUGUUAUUAUUAUUAUUUCUAUACUUAUUAUUUCUAUAUUUAUACACGCAUUUUUUUAUAGUAUAUAUAUAUAUAUGCAUUUUUUAUAUAUAAUAUAUAUUUUUUAACUUUUAUAAAUACAUGCAUAUACUUCAUACAUAUUUGUUUAUUAUUAUUUUGAUUUCAAAACUUUUAUAUACUUUAUAUUUUAUAUAUAUACAUAUACAUUUUAUAACACAUAUACAUUUUCCACGUUUUAUAAUUUAAAAUACACAUACAUUUUCUAUAAUAUAUUUAUGUAUACGUUUUUAUUCUUUAUAUUUUUUUUUUGGUUUAUUUCCUUCGUCUAUUCAUUGAUUUAGGUUUUCAUUUACAUUUUAAAAGAAUGUCCUUUUUUUUAUUUUGCUUAUUCAUUUUAUAUUUUUGCAUUGUCAUUGUUUAUUUUUUUACUUUAUAUUAAUUUCGUUUAUUUACUAUUAUAUUAUUUCUAUACAAUUGUCGUAUUUAUUAUUGCGACAUUUAUACAUACAUUCCAUAUAACAUUACAUCAUCUUUUACUCGAAUUUAAAAAUAGAAAAUUUUCAAAAUAGAGAUAAUACUCGUAUUUAGGAUUUUUAAGAAAAUUGAGCCCUAACGUAUUGGGUUCCGAUUUUCUUCGUUAAAUCUAACAAUCGAGAAUUGCUCUUUGAUCAAAAAUAAAAUAAAAACUUGUCAUCGGGAAUUCAAUAUGUUGUGUCCUAACGUAUUGGAUAUGACGCGUUGAUUUCUCGAGAUAAAGAUUUUCUAAAAAAUAAAGGAAAUAUUCAAUGUUUGGGAUUUUAAGAAAUCGUGCCCUAACGUAUUGGGCUGCGAUUUCUUCAUAAAUUUUAAACAAUUAAAUAUUUUCUUAAAUUUUAUUACACGAGUUUUUUGGACCAACUCAUCUUAAAAAGAACAAAAUAUUGUGCCCUAACUCAUUGGGUGUGAUAUUUUCUUUUUUCAAAAUGAGAAAGUCUUAAUAAAUAAUUUAAUUUAACUAAGGAUCGUAUUUAUUAACUCUCGACAUUAAGACACUGAUUAAUCAACUCAGUACCAAUUUUUGGGUGUUACGAGGGUGCUAAUCCUUCCUCGCACGUAACUGACUCCCGAACCUGUUUUUUAAAACUCGUAGGCCAAAGUCAUUUUUAGGUGAUCCAAUCACACCUUAAUAAAAGAUUGGUGGCGACUCCAAUUUUCAUCGACAACUAAUUUUUGUUUUUUUCAAAAUAAAAAUGGUUUCGACACAAGUAAUAGUAAGUUUCAUACAAGGUUCAAAGGCAAUUAAAUGACUUGUAAGUUUGUUGAACUUCUUUGAAAGGCCCAAAGGCAAUUGAACAUUUACAAAAUAGUCUCUAUAUACUGUAGAGACAAAUCAAAUCCAUGGGAGCAUUACAGUUAGUUAAAUUGAGCAUUGGCAGAAAUUCCAUCAUAGGAAAUAUUGGCAAAAUCGUCUAUUUAAUUAGAAAAACAACAUAAUUCAUGAAACAUAGAUAGCCCAAUAUAAAUGUCAUCGAGAAAAAAAGUCUGUUUGUUUUAUAGCACAUGAUAGUAAAGCAUGCGAAGUUUCAUUCUUCUUAUUGGCCUCCUUUAGUUUUCCUUGAUCAUCAACCACUAGCCAAAAACACAAUUAGAUUAGAUUAUAAAUGAAACAUUCAAUUAUGAUAAAAUUAAAUAGAAAACACCCUAAAUAACUCUAGAUAAAUGAAUAGUAGCAAAUUACCUGGUGAGGCAAGCUAGCUCAAUUAAGAUCAUUGUGUUAGACUUGUGUAUGCAUUAAACAAUCUAAAAGAAAAUGAAGGAAAAGACUUAGAAAACACUUGAAAAUUGACAAAAUUUAUAUGCCAUUGACUGGUUAAACUAUGAUCACCCAUAACAGACCUUGUAUUGGAGUUUUUGUUGAGGGAGAUCAAGUCCUUCAAGAAAAGUCUUUUAAGUGUUGUUUGUUACGUAAUCGCUGCUACCCUCAACAAAAGGUAUUGUCCUCAUGUCAAGAUUUUAUCCUCAGCCUUUAUGGAAUAAUCAUGGAGAUUACAUGUGCAAGGAUUCAAACCACCAACCAAUGCAUAUGUAGUAUUUACUUUGGAACCAUCUCCGUGAACCCACGAGGUUCUUUGCAGAAUCAAGAGACAAAACCCCAACACAAGAAUAAUACCAUCUAUUGAGGGUCCUUUAACACAACAAAUGAAAUUCAUACAUUUAUUUAAUAAAAGUAAAUAUCAUAUUUAAUUGGGGAAAAGCAACAAAAAAUCCAACAAUAAAAUCCUUAGCAAAAGAUUAAAACACAGUUAUAUCGUAAAUGACAUAAGAAACUAAGAAAAUCCAAUCUGACAAAGAAAAUAACUUGAUGCUCCAAAGCUACCAUAUACCGUAAUUCAUGGGAAGGUCUGAUGCUCAUUUUAUUGGUUUCCAUCUUGAUUUUGCAAAAGAAGUUUGAAUUUUGAAGAGAGCAAAAGAUUGAGCGAAAGAAAAAAAAUUAGUUUAUUAAUUUUCACAAUUUAUAAGACAAACCUUAUGGAGACAAAUAAUGACAUAUUAGAUAUUUGUGAUUAAAAUUCUAGAAUAGAUUUAAAAUGUUGAAUUAAUGAUGAAAUUAAUAGUGAAUUAAUAACAACAAGCGUACUGAUUACUUAGCUUCUUUGUUAAACAUGUUCGAUGUUGUUUAACAGCCUUUGUUUGAUUUUCUUUAGCUCAACCACAACAUCUUUCAUAUCUUUUCUUUCUUCUGGUAACUCAGCUGAACAAUUCAAAGCCAACUCCAUGAUGGAUGAAAUACAAUUUGCUUUAACAACAAAGUACUCAUCCUUUCUUCUUAGUAAAUCAACAUCUGCAAUUUCUAUCGCUCCUUUAGGCAACGAACUUUCCAUCCAAUGCGUUAUAGUCAUUUCUUCAGCAAAAAAUUUAUCAGUUGGCUUUUUCUUUGUAAAAGUUUCUAUAAGGAUGAUCCCAUAACUAUAGACGUCACAUUUUAUACAAACAAUUCCUGUUGAUCCAAAUUCUGCAUUUCAAGUAUAAUUAGAACAUCAUCAAUCCUUAAUUAGUUCUAAAAUGCUUAUUCAAAUAUAUAUCCAUAUAUGCAUGAAACAAAAGUAUAAAAUGCAAAUUAGGAAAAUAAUGAUACAAAAAAAAAAUUCACCUGGUGCCAUAUACCCGAUAGAUGCAAGAGUCAUGGUUUGCUUUAUUACAUCACCUUCUCCCAACAAUUUGGCACAACAAAAUCUCCCACAUGUGCAACCAUGUCUUUAUCUAGUUGUAAUAGCCCAUUUUGCCCGGGGCCCAAUAAAACCCAAAACAAACCAAAAUAAUAAAACAUUCACAGUCCAUUUACAAUAAAUAAACACACUACCCAUAUCAAGCCCAAUUAAACCCAAAUCUCAAAGCCCAAAACAAAACAACACAACCCGAGCCCAUAAACUAAAAAUUUUCAGCACAAAAAACCCUAGCCCUAAGCCUCCAGUGCCGCAUGUGCUCCACCGCCGCCGCUCGCCUAUCACCGGCCAUCCACGCGUCUGGCACCACCUGCAAGAGCAAACAACACGCAAAAGAAGAGGCCAACCAGUAACAGACAAGAACAAAGAAAUGAAACAAAUUUUGUAAUUUUGGCUAUAAAAGCCCGAAUAUAUCUUUGUAAUUUCUUCUUCCGUUUUACGAACAUCUAGUAAAAAAAAGAAGAAAAGCAGAGAACAGAUUUUCGAGAGGUGAAACCUUUUUUUCGGUUCUUUUUUUUCAUUAUAUUUUAUUUUUUUAUUUUCAUUUUUUAUAUCAAACAAUGAAAUAAAAAAAAGGAGAAAGAAAUGUAGCAGAAUCGACCCUUAGCCCCGCCGUCGGUGGUCUUUUCCCCGGCAUCGAAAUUGGCGAGAAAUGAGGCAAAGGUCGAAUCUUUUUCAUUUUUCUUUACUUUUCAGUCAUUUUCCUUGUAGAUCUAAAAUCUACGCUUAAAACGGGCUAAAAAUAAAAAGUUUUGGGUUCUCCGGUCACCGUGGGCUGCGACACCGUCGCCGACGAUCGGCGGCCGCCACGGGGGUCAACGGCCGGCCCUUUGCCCGGAAUCGAAGAGAAAUUUUAAGAGAAAAGGGAGCUUUGGAAAUUUUUUAAAGCAAAUGGCUGAAAUGGGGUUUCAAAAAAAUGUUGGCUUUUAUAAUACUAUUAAACGGCGUUGUUUUGCAACUGAAGGUCAGGUGCCAAAACGACGUCGUUUUGGCCCUUACCCGCUCGCGCUCCCGACCCGCUCCUGGGGGAUCCGCGUGUUUUUGGCGUUUGGGCUAUUUGCACUGCGGAUCCUUCUGCAUUUCGCCCAGUUUAUGAUUUAGUCCCUUUCGUUAGAUUUCUUUUAUUUUUAAUUUCGCCUUGAAAUUUUGUUCUGAUUUUAUCGGAGUCCCGCAAAGUGCUGCGUUUUGGAGGGCAGGGAUAUUUUCCCCUUUGGUCCCUCCUUGUUAUUCACGCACUCGAUUUGGUCCCUUUCUUUUAUUCAUUUGCGAAUUUGCCCCCAUAUUUCUGUGUUAAGUUCAAAUUAGUCUCUUUUUUAUUUAUUUUUGCUAUUAAAUUAAUUAAUUUUGAUAAUAUUAUCAUUAUUAUUAUUAUUAUUAUUAUUAUUAUUAUUGCUAUUAUUAUCUUCGUAUUAUUAUUAUUGUUUGCUUUAUUAUUAGUAUUAUUAUUAUUUUCAUUAUUACUAAUAUUAUUAUUUUUAUUUUACUACUCUUAUUAUUAUAUAUUGUUAUUAUUUUUAAAUUGUUUUACCUAAUAUUCCCUCGUUUAUUAUUUAUAUUCACUCGUUCAAAUUUUCAAUCAUUUUCAAUUAGUUACUUCUUUUUUUAAAUCAGUUUGUUUUAUUUUUUAUUUUCAUUUUAUUAUUUCAUUAUUUUAUUGUUUUUAUUAUUUAUAUUAUUUUUGUUUUUACUCUUAUUAUUCCUUUUUAUUUUGGUUUAUUUCAUUUCAACUUUUGCGCUCAAAUUUUUUUUGUUAUUUCGUCAUCUAUUUAUUUUCGUAUUUAUAUUUUGUUAUACAUACAUUCAAAUCUCAACUAUUCAUUAUCAUUAUUAAUUUUAUUAUUAUUGUUAUUUAUAUUUAUUAUUGACAUCCUCAUCAUGUUGUUGCACACAUUAGCAUUGUAAUCCAUUUUACAUUUUACUAUAAAAUCGCGUUAUGUUAACCUUCAUCCAAUACAUUUUAUAUUAAGCAAUUUUGUAACUCAAAAUUCCAGAAAUCGUACCCUAACUUACUGGGUUUCGAUUUUCCUCGACGAGUCUAAAGAACCAAUCCUUUUUUUAAAAAAUCAAAGCAUAAGUUAAAUAAAAACUUAUCCUCAGGAGUUCAAAAUGUUGUGUCCUAACUCACUGGAUGUGACAUUUUGUUAUCUCAAGGUAAAGAUUUCUAGAAACACAAAGGCAAUAUUUUGAAUUUGGAAAUUCGAGAAAGUGUGCCCUAACGUGCUGGGUUUCAAUUUCUCGUUUGACCAAAUAGCCAAAUAUCCUCUUAAAACUUCAAAGUAUGGGUUUUUCAAACCAUAAGGUGAUCUUUGUUUCGAUGGUUUAAAGUAUCGUGUCCUAACGUGCUGGAUGUGAUAUUCCUUCGGAAUAAGAGAAUCUUAAAUUUCAAUCCAUGUUAUUCAAAUUUUUUUUAAGGAUUGUAUAUUUUUUUAAACUCUUCAAAGUUUUCAAUCUUCGACAUUAAGACACUAAUUAAUCAACUAGGUACCAAUUUUUGGGCAUUACGAGGGUGCUAAUCCUUUCUCGUACGUAACCGACUCCCGAACCUGUUUCUUUGAAUUUCGCAGACCAAAAGAAUUGUUUUAAUAAAUCUAAAUUGUUUAUUAAAAACAAUCGUUUUACGAGGUGACCCGAUCACACCUCAUCAAAAAAGAUUGGUGGCGACUCCCGUGUUUAUUAUCAUUUUCAAAACCCAAGUCGACCCCGUUUUCACAAAAAAAAUGGUGCCAACACUAGUAAAAUAUUGCUUGGUUUUAAGUCACAAUGAAUUACAGAUGUUGGAUGUCCAUUGUGGAGAUGUUCUAUAGCUACCGCAACAUCUAUCAUUAUGUCGACCCUUUGUAUGAUAUCAAGGAAGCAAAUUUCGGAAUGUAACCAUUUCUCAAGGUUUCCAUUAGACAUGUUAUCAAGCACCAAGGCUUUAAAGUCAACACUUGAGCAGCAAGUAAUGACCUUCACAAUAUUACGAUGAACUAUAUUACGCAUAGCAUCACAUUCAAUGUCAACACUCCUAAAUGCUCCCUCUGUUUGCAAAUUAAAAACUUUUAUUGCAACUUCCAUUCCAUCUGAAAGCCUCUCUUUAUAUACAUAUCCAAAACUCCUUGAACCAAGCAUAUUGUUUUCCUCAAAUCCAUUAGUUACUUGUGAAAGUUCAGCAUGUGAAAUUCUUCUCAGCGUUUUCAAAGACAACAAAUCAUCCUUACUUGGUAGAGUUGUACUCCUACUUUGGCAUCUUCUAUACAUAAUAGUUAAGACUAUUAGUAAUACGACAAUACCAAUUGUUGGUAAACCAUACCUUAAAACAUGCAAUAUAUUCAUUUGGGAGUUUUCUUGGAUGUCGUUUUUGCAAGGGGGGACUAGCAAUCUAGGUGGACCACAAAGUGCAAAAUUCUUCAUGAAUGAUCUACUAGAAAAGUUUGGAAAACAUCCUUCGGUGGGAAUUUCCCCUUCAAGUCUAUUGAAAGACACAAUAAAAUACUUUAGAUCUAAAAGAUUUUUCGAAGAUUUGGGAAUGGCUCCAGAGAGAUUGUUAUUGCAUAAAUUCAAGAAUUCCAAACUAAUCAAACCAUCUAAUGAUCCAGGGAUAUGACCAUGUAGUAUAUUAUUUAAUAAAUCUAAUGAAAUCAAAGUUUGAAGACCCCCAAAUGUGAAUAAGAUAUCGCCUGUGAGAAUAUUCCUUGAUAUAUUUAGUUUCAAUAAACUCCUCAAAUUUCCAACAUCAAUAGCAUGUGAAUUGUGAAGAUGGUUUGAUGAUAAAUCUCUUUCUAAGAUAUCUUUAAGAUUCCACAAAGUUGAGGGUAUUGCAGAACUCAAUUUGUUGGAAUUUAAGUAAAGAUAUCUUAAAGAAGUACUAUAACCCAAACAAGAGGGUAUGGAUCCAUGCAAGUUAUUCAACCCUAAAUACAUCUCGUAUAGUCUCUCCAAACCACAAAGGCUUUUUGAGAUUGGUCCUAAUUUAUUCGAGUGAAAAGUUAGACUUUGGAGAUUUCUCAUUCCUCCUAUUGAUGCUGGAAUAGAUCCACUUAAUUUAUUAUACCCAAGUUGUAAAAGCAAUAGGUUGUUUAAGUUACCUAUUUCCAUAGGACUAUUGCCUUUAAGCUCACAAUUAUUGGCAAAAAAGUAUUGAAGGGAUUUUGAAAGGUUCCCGAUAUAAGUAGGAAGAACAUCACUCAAUGGAUUUCCUGAAACAACUAUUCUUCUCAAAUGCCUGCAAUUUGCCAAAGAAGAAAGAAAGGUCCACUCAUGAUCAAUAGCAGAUCCUGUGAUCAAAUUAUUAUUUAUGAUUCGGAGCACUUCAAGGUGUCUUAAGUUGCCAAGCGUUUUAGGAAUUGGGCCAGAGAAUAAGUUAUCUUCCAAGGCUAGAUUCUUAAGCAUGGAAGCAUUGGAGAUAGAGCCGGUAAUGUUUCCGCUAAAUUUAUUUCCCCACAAUACAAGAUUCUCAAGUUUUGGAGCAUUGGUAAGGGUGGUAGAGUACCUGUAAGAUAGCAUCUUUUAAUAUACAUAGCCAUUGGAUACCAAAUUCACAAAACAUAUAAUACAUUAAAAUACAUUUUUAAAAUAAAAAUUGUAAACCUUUAAAUCAAAUAAAAAUAUAAUUUUGGCCUGGAAAAAUGUGAUCAAAUCAAUUAGUCCCUUGUGAUUUGUAUAAACAAAAAAAUAAAAUAAAACCAUUCCAUACCAGUAUUGUAUUUGAUUUAAUGAUAGAGUUGUAAGUUACUUGUAAAAGUUACAUGCUCUAGCAUAUAAAUUUUGUCCAAGCCUUGGGUUGAAAUCAUCGUUACUUUUUUAGAUCUAAAAUUGAUUGAAUAUCAAAUUUGUAAAAUACUGUAAAAUUUUGAAUCAAAUAAAAACAAAACUUUGACAUGAAAAUGUGGCAUCUAAUCAAUUUUAAAAAUGACAUUGACACUGAAUACGAAAUUAUGAAUAAAAAUUAGUUAUGGUUUGGGAAACAAAAAUAUUAAAUUAUUCUGUAUGAUUUGGUAUUAGUUAUUAUUUUGAAUAAUAUUGUUAAUUUUUAAUUACAUAAAACUAUUGUAUGUUAAAUAUGGUUUUAAUUAUGCCUUGAAAUUUUAUUAUUAUAUUUCAACUACCAUAUAAUAUUUUAAUUAUGUUUAGCCAUUUGAAUAACAAACCAAAAAACUAAUUAAAAACUAAUUACUUCUUUAAGUAUAAUGGAAAUUAAAAGUUUUCAAUUCAUAUAAAUUUUAUUGUUUAUUAUCAAAUUAAUACAUUUUAAUAGAUGAUAAAAUAUAUGAGCAAAAAAGAAGAAACAAUUAAAGAGAAUGUUUUUGGAGUUUGGAAAAAAUUAAAGUGAAAAACAUACCUUCUAAUUUGUUGUCACAUAGAUCUAUUUCUUCGAGCGUAGUUGAAUAAAAAACACUUUCCGGAAUCAGCUCACUGAAUUGAUUUGCUGCUACGAAUUCUAAAGCUUGUAACAUUCACUUAUACUAGAUGGAAUGUUACAGAUAAUUCAUUUGUAUCCAAGUAAAGCCCCUCAAACUUGGGAAGAUGUUGACACAUAUCAUUAAGUAAACUACCUGAUAGGCUAUUGCAGGAGAGAUUAAUAGUCUUCAGAGAAGAAAUAUUGAAGAUAGAAGACGGAAUCUGACCUGUAAGGUAUUUAAUUACUGUAAUACUAAGCAUUUUCAAACAUUACUAAUAUAAAUAGUUCAUGGAAGUAAGAAAGUGUGCAUAAUAAAACCAAAUUGUAUAAAAAAUUUAAAAAAUUUUGAUUAAUCAAUAAAUUUAAGAUUUUAUAUAUUGAAGUGGGUUCAAAUCUCACUAUUAUUUUUUGUUUUGUUUUUUUUUUAAAAACCAAAGUACCUCAAAUAAUGUAACUAAUUUUAAAUACGAAAAGUUAUUUUUGAAAUUUCUCUAAUCGAGUUGGUGCUCAUUGACUCGUAACACAAUCCUAAUCAGAUACUUAAAUAACAAUAUAGAUAUUCACAUUCACCAAAAAAGUUCAAAAAAAUUGUUACUUUAGUUUCAAAUAACAAAUUUUAAUUAUUUAUAUAACAAGUAACUUUAUAAUUCAUGUAUAAAUUUGACUAUUAAGAAAAGAAAAAAUGAAAUUAAAUAAUGAAUAAUUUAAUUGAAAAUAUAUCAAUUUUUAUAUUUUCUACAUAUGCUUUAAUGAUGAUGGAUUUUUUUUAUUAUCACUAUUUUUGAAUUAAAAGAAUUUAUUAAUAUAAUUUAAUUAUAUUUUGAAUAAUGUUACUCUUUUUUAAUGACAUGAAGUAAAAUCAUAUUAUAUAUUAAAGAGGGUACAUAUGCUUUAAUUAUAGCUUGAAAUUUUAUUAUUACAUUUGAGUUAUUAAAUAAAUUAAUAUAUUUUAAUUAUAUUCAGCCAUUUGAAUAACUAAUUAGAAUAAUUUUAAAAAACAUUAUUUAAAAGCUAUGUAUAUAAAUGUAUAUGUAUAUAUAUGGUUGUUUCAUAUUUUUAAAAUAAAUAUAUUUUCAAUGUUGGUUUCUUUUCUUCCACACACAAAGUAUUUCUAAUGUUUUUUUUUUAUAACUUUUACUUAUAUAAAAUAGAUUAGUUAAUGCAAUAACAAAUUAAUUACUUUUUUUAAACUUAAUGGAAAUUAAAAUAAAUAAAUUCAUAUAAAUCUUAUUGUUUAUUAUCAAAUUAAUAGAUGAUAAAGUAUAUGACAAAAAGAAAAGGACAAAUUAAAUUCAAUAGAAUGUUUUUGGACUUGUGGAAAAUUUUAAAGUGAAAAACAUACCUUCUAAUUUGUUGUCAAAUAGAUAUAUUUCUUCGAGAAUAGUUGAAUUAAAAAUACUUUUUGGAAUCAGCCCACUGAAUUGAGUUGUUGCUAAAUUCAAAACCUGAAGCUUGUUACAUUCACCUAUACUUGAUGGAAUCUGACCUGCACACAUACUUGACAUAAGUCAAAGAGGUUUUCUUUUCUAUAAUUUGGAGAUGUUAUAUUUUAAUAUAUUUAAUCAUAUUUUUUCUUCAAAUUAACUAUUUUGAUUUUAAUGAAAUAAAAAGCUCUUACUUUUUCUUUUAUAAAAAAAAAAUACUUUAAACUAAAGAAACCAAAGAAAUUUAGUACCUUCUAGAUUAUUAAACACCAAAUAUAAAUGUCUAAGUCGUGUCAAGUUUCCAAUACUUCUUGGAAUGAUACCUGUGAAUUGAUUAAUGGACAGUGACAAAAUUUGAAGGUUGCAUUUGUCUAUACUUAAUGGAAUGUUACCAGAUAAUUCAUUCAAACUCAAGUGAAGCCCUUCAAGCUUAGGAAGAUGUUGACACAUAUUAUCAGGUAAUCUACCUGAUAGGAUCAAUAGCCUUCAGAGAAGAAAUGUUGAAGAUAGAAGAUGGAACCUAGACAGAUAAUUGAUUGAAUUCCAAGUUCAAGAUCUCUAGAUUGGACAUGUUAACAAGUGUUUGAUGGAUUGUGCCUGUAAAGUUAUUAUUUUUCAUUUCCAGCCUUUGGACUCUGUGUAAGUUCCCAAGCCAUGAUGGAAUUUCCCCAUUAAGACCAUUGUAGCUUAAUUGGAUGAUCCUCAAACGGUGCAACUGGCCCAAUUCUUUAGGCAGAUGGCCAUAGAAAUUGUUGCUACUCAAGUCGAGAGAGAGUAGGAAUGAAAGUUUUCCAAGUUGUGAAGGGAUAGUACCUCGAAGAUUCAUGUUUGUAAGAUUCAAAGCUACAACUCUUUCAUGGAUGAUGCCACAAGAAACACCAAUCCACCUGCAAACAGAGCUAGAGGCUAUCCAAUUGUUUUCCAAGACAUUGUGAGGAUCGACUCGAUCCUUAUACUCGAGGAGUGCAAACUAAUCGGUGGUGAGAUUCCUGGCUGUCAUAGCCAAACAAAGUACGGAACAUGGUACGAAUAGAGCUAAAAGAAGAUGAAAGCAAGUGGUGUAGUUUAUGAUUGCAAGACGGAAUAAGGCAAGAAAAUAAAAGAGUAGGAAAAGGGAAAUUGAAAUGAUAAAAUAGUUGGAUGAUGAAGAAAAGCCCAGAGAGCCUGCUUUAAUAUGUUUCAACCCUCCCACACUUCUCCUAAUUAAAUUCACUCGGCUGGGGUUACAACAUUAAUUUUCAAAAUAAAUGUCAAGUCUUCUUUUAAAACACAUCCAAAGAAGCGAAUUUUCUCCAAAAUUUCUUCACAUUACUCCACAUAAUCCAUAACAAAAUUAAUAAAAUAUAAUUUUUUAAUUACUAUAUAUUCUUUUAUUUUCUUCACAAUAAUAAGUUGGUUAAAUAUGCUAUUAAUCCCUGUACUUUUUAGAAUUUGAGAUUUAGUCCUUAUACUUUAAAAGUUAAAAAUUAAUUCAAAGAUAUUCUUUUUUCUAAACUGAGUGAAUUCACAAGCUUUGUUUUCCUUUAACAAAUAUUUUUGGUAUUUUCGUGGAUAUGAGGAGAUACUGAAAAUUAUUUUACUAUGAACUUUUAAUUCACUCAAAAAAAUAAGUGUUUUAUUUCAAGGGAACACAAUUAAACAUUAGAUUUCCCAUUUUUAUGUUUUGAAUAUUUUUGACAACUGCAUAAUCAACAAAGUAUCAAUUUUGGGCGUUGUGAGAGUUUUAUAACCUUCCAUAUGUGUAAUCGAUUUUUGAACCCACUUUUUAUUUUAGAAUUCAGGACAUACCUUAAAUUUUUCUUUUUAUAAGUUAUUUAAAAUCUAUUUGUAAAAAGCGAAUUUUUAAGUGACCGAUCACGCUUAACAAAAAUGAUUGGUGGCGACAAGUCCUUUUUGAUAAAAUCUUGUUCUUGGAAAGACCAAAGUUUUCAUUUUUUUAAGAAGUUUUCAAUUUAAUUUUCUUUUUGAAUUUUUAUUUUUAACCAGAAAAUGGUCCUUACAGUUAUUAUUUAUUUCCCAAUUUUUAAUGGUUUUUUUCAAGGAGAUGAAUAGUGGGAUGAAAAUUUUUGGUUAAGGUAAACUCAUUAUGUAUAGUUGAUUCUUUUUUGAUCCUUCAAUUAUUAAUUUUUUUGAUUUAAUUACAUAUUUUUUUAAAAAAAAAUUAACACUCUCUUAGUUGCCUCUUAAUUGAGGGACAAAAAACUUAGACAUUUUUUAAUCACAAUUAAUUUAAUUGCGUUUAGGAUCACAUAAUUUUCUUUUAUUCUUUUUAAAUUAUAAACUGUUUCAAAAAUUCCGUCAAUAGCUUAAGUGAAAUUAUCCUUUUUUGAAAUAUCAAUUUCACUUAAGCUAUUGACUUAAUUUUCAGCUAUUAGUCUUUUUUCCAAUCAAAUUGACUCUUAGCAGAAAUGCAAACUGCGCAAAAGAGUGUAAACAAAGAAGUUGAAUUUAAUUAUUUUCUGAGUCUAGUUUCAAAAGACAUAAUUAAUAAUAAACUUAUAACUAGCCUUAUUUAUUUAACAUGUUAAGAAACCUUUGCUUCAUUUUCUUGAACUCAACCACAACAUUCUUCCUAGCUUUUCUUUUUUGACGUAAUUCAGUUCAACAUUUCAAAAGAAAUUCCAUAAUCGAUGAAAUACAAUUUGCUUUAACAAUAAAUCUGCAUCCUCAAAGUCUAGUAGUCCUUCCAACAAUGAGCUUUGUAGGGCCCAACUUCUGCCCCGGGCCCAAAUAAUAAAAACCAAAAAUAAUCCAAAGUUAAACAGUCCAGUUACAUUAAACCCAAAUACAAGCCCAACUACCCAAACCCUAAGCCCAAACCUAAUAGCCCACAACAAACUUUCAAUAGCAGCAAAACGUGCAACACGCAACAAAAAGAAGCAACCAAAUCGCAAAACAACAAAAAACAGGCAUCAAAGAGUUGUUUAGAUCGGCUAUAAAGCCAAAAAUCAGAGACUUGUAGUUUUUCGGCUUCCUUUUUUAACACACAUCAGAAAUAAAAGAUCAUAUAAACUUCUAAAAGGUUGCUGUUCUUUCUUUGUUUUUCUUUUUAUUUCACUUAUUUUAUUUAUUUUUUUUACUGAUCCUUUUUUACAAAUAAAAAACGAUUAAUAAAAGAAAAACAAGAAAGGAAGAGAAGGGGAAUAGCUAGAAUCACCCGCAAGUCCCAUUGCCGGAGCCCUUUUGCGGCCACCGGAGUCGUGCUGGGAGGGUGCGGGGUCUCCUUUUCCUCUGGUCUUUGGGCCAAGAAAGGCACCGUCACCAAAAGGCCUUUUAAAUCGGUUUAAAAUAGACCUUCGGGUCGCAGGCCACCGCCCGCGGCGGAUCUAUGGCGGCGCGAGUGACGGCCAUGUUGGCCGAAUUUGGGGGGACCGAGAGAGAAACCUUACUCUCUCUGUUUUUUCUAGAAAAUUGAAGGAAAUGAUUUCUUUUUUAUUUUUUUUGUAUUUAUAUAUGCUAUAAUACGGCGUCGUUUUGGCCUUAGCAUCAGUGGCCAAAAACGGCGCCAUUUUGAUGUUUGACCCGCGACCCGACCCAGUAACGCUAAAGAUCCGCGCGUUUUCGUUUAAGGGUCUAUUUGUGCAAUAGGUCCCUCCACCUUUGUUGCGUGUUUCAAUGUGCUUUUUUUAUUUUUUUGAUUUUGGCCACCAGAUUUUUAUUCUGUUUUAAUUUGGUUCUGGGAUGCGCAGGCCCCAGUAUUGCGAACGGCCCCGUUCAGGUGGCAUGGGAUUAUUUCCCUUUCGACCCUACGUCUAUGUGCGCAUUUCGCUCAGGUCCUGAAUGUUCUUUUGUUUUUCAAAUUUUACCCUUUAAUUUUAUUUUAACUUCAAUUCGGUCCUUUAUCCUAUAUUUUAUUAUUUUGAAUGCUUACCUUGAAAUAUCAUUUAGUUUCCAAUUUAAUACAUAUAUCCCACAUGUUUUAUGAUCCAUAUAUAUUCAUACGUCUUUUAUAUUUUAUAAUUUUAAAAUUUGUACAUGCAUACGUAUAUUUUAUAAUUUCUAUAUGCGUAUAUAUAUAUCUACAUAUGUAUUUUUUAAAUUUUUUUUUACAAAUAUACACAUACUUAUACAUACUCUUUAUAUUUUAAAAUCUAUAUUUUUCUUAUGUAUUUUCCAUAGUUUAUAAUUCAUGUAUACAUAUUUUUAGAAAUUUUACAAUGCAUACAUGCACAUAAUAUAUAUAUAUGCGUUUUAUUUUUAUAAAUACAUAUACAUUACCUACCUUUAUAUUUUAUAUCUUCCAUGACUUUAUAUAUAUAUAUACAUGAAUGUACACAUACAUACUUACAUAUUUUUUACGUACAUAGAUUUUUCAUAUUUUCAUAAUUUUAUGCACACACAUAUAUAUCUUUUUACUUUUUCAUAAUUUUAUUUAUUAUUUAUUUAUUUCAUUUUUAUUAUUGAUUUGAGGAAAUGUUUUAAUUUUAUUUGCUUGUAUACAUUGUUAUUUCGGACGUUAUUGAUUUGUACUUUUUAUUUAUCUUAUAUUCGUUGCUAUUACUCGUAUUAUUUUUACAUCAUCGUAUUCAAUAUUGUUUUGUUACGAACAUUAACAUCGUGUUUUAUUUUUACUAUUUGGUGUUAGAUUAUUUUUAUUCAACACAUAAAUUAUGAUUUUUUGAAUAAGCAAAAUCUCGUGUUUAGAUUGGAGAAGGUUGUACCCUAACUUACUGGGUUUCGAUUUUCGCAAUGACUUUAAAUACGUGAAUCUUUUCAAACUCAAGUUUUAAAUGAUCUUGGGAUUUAAAAAAGAUCGUGUCCUAACUUACUGGGCAUGAAUCCUUUUUAAAAAAAAAUCUGAGAUAGCUAAAUAUCUUUUAAACAAGCAAAUUUUUAGCAUCCAUUCGCGUAUCGGGAAUUCGAGAUAUUGUGUCCUAACUUACUGGAUAUGAUUCUCUUUCUCGAUUAACGUGAAAUAUGCCCAUUUUCCCAAAAAUUUUCAACAUUUUAAUACAAGGAUCGUAUUUUUUAAAAUUCUUUAAAGUUUUCAAAUUUCGACCUCAAGACAUUAGCUAAUCAACUAGGUACCAAUUUUUGGGCGUUACGAGGGUGCUAAUCCUUCCUCGUACGUAACCGACUCCCGAACCCGUUUUUUGAAUUUUGUGGACCAAAAUUAUUGUUUUAAUAAAAUCUAAAUCGUUUAUUAAAAACAAUCAUUUUAUGAGGUGACCCGAUCACACCUCAUCAAAAAAAGGAUUGGUGGCGACUCCCAUUUUUGUUUUAUUUUUGAAAUUUAAGUCGACCCCGUUUUACCAAAAAAUGGUGUCAACAGCUUGGCGACUCCGCUGGGGAAGAGAUAUGUGAGUCAAGCCACGUGUUGAUUACUUUUUGUCUUUUUGUCGAAAAUCGAGAAUUUAAUUUAAAUUUACGAUCCGUUCAUUGCAUUUCAUUCGUCUUUAUUACGAUCUUCAUCAUUGUGGUUUUAUAGUUGUGUUGGUUUAAGUCUUGAUAUAUUUUUGCACAUUGCAUUGCAUGACCGUUGGUCACACCUUUUAAGUGGGAGUGAGAAGCUAUUUCCUUCGUGAGGUAUUCACCUCCGUGCAGGAUAGCUGAUCACUUUCGGGAUACAUCCGUACCUAUGUCUUUGUAAGAUUUUCAUCUCCGUGCAGCCAUAGGGAAAUGUAUUCCCCUGAACCGAACUCGGUCCGUAUGAGCCUAUAAUGGGUGAGGAUCGAGGAACCUACUGGUUUGGGUACCUUCGCUUUAGAGCCGAACCACAUGUAGUGAACCUAAGAGCCUACCUUAGGAAGAACCACUUCAAACCCCUAGUGGUCACCCGAGUAGGUGUUCUAUUUAUUCUUGCUUGCUUUUGCUUUGUACUAACCUGUUUUCUUUUGUUUUGAUUAUGAUUGCAUUGCAUUAUCAUCAUUAAAAAGAGGUGUUGAUUCACGUUCAGUUGCUAAAUAGAGAGCUUGUGAUAAAGUGGAUGACGAUACGAUUGUCCGAAUAUGGUCCAAGAAAACGUGAUAAGAAAAGGAUGAUAGUUUAAUGGAGGACUACAAGACUAUUGCUCCGUUGCCCAAGGAUUCAAGAUGACAAAGAUUAUUCGAGAGUCGCUGAACCUUCUUAAAAAGAAGCCAAUGAGCAUUACGAGGAUGAGUGAGCAACGAGUCGCGGCCUAGAUCAAGCAAAAAGGAGAUAGAAGAGACAUCUUUUUGAAGAGUUCGUGAAAUUUAUCUUAACGCUCAAAUGAAGAAAAGGAUCAAUUGUCUCCGCAUAUGAGGGCAAAGCCGUAUAUAUCCGUUACAGAGAUUUAUUUUCUAGUAAAGCUGUUCUAAUAGAGUUGAAUCAGAAUCAACAUCUCUUUUUGCAUUCAUUCCAUGCAUCUGUUUUACAUUUCAUUGCAUCAUUUGCAUUAAAUUUCACAAAAGAGCCCUACUUAAACGAGAUUAUUUCAGUUAAUCUGGAAACCAACAAGAAUCUACCAACCAAAUAUCACUAUGGUACCCGUCGCAAAACAAAAGUAAUGGAUUAGAGGUUAGAAAGAUUGGAACAAUUGCAAAAAAAGAUGCAAGAUCAGAUGCAGGAACGACUAGAUAAAAUCCAGCAAGACAUGCAAGAAUCCUAGAACACUAUGAUGAACAAAUUGGAGCAGUUAUUGGCUGGAAGGAAUGAUAAAGGAAAAAGCCCUUUAGUUGAUUCUGGAGUUGAUCAUGAGGACCCUAUUUAUCCUCCAGGUUUUACCCCAAUAGGCAUCCAGGCACAACCGGAUAUAUGCCCGCAAAGAGUACCUGUCAUUAUCAGACCUCAAUAUACGGUUGGUGCCUCAGUGCCAAUGCAUUUUCAAACGGGCUUGGGUUCUAAUCCCGGAGACAACCCUACCAAUCCUGUGGUCCCUAAUCUCGAUGACGUGGAAGAAAUAGAAAAAGCAAGAAUGGACCUGCCAAAACAACUUGACGACCGAUGUAGAUGGCUAGAGGAAAAAUUUAGAGCCAUGGAAAACACCGACUACCAUUGUGGAGUUGACGCCAAGGAUCUGAGUUUGGUCCCUGAUUUAGUGCUCCCGCCUAAGUUUAAGAUGCUGGAGUUCAAAAAAUACAACGGGACUAGUUGUCCUGAAGCUCAUAUCACUAUGUUCUGUUGAAGGAUAAUAGGAUACGUCAAUAAUGAUCAACUAUUAAUCCACUGUUUCCAGGAUAGUUUGAUCGUGUCUGCAGCCAAGUGGUACAACCAAUUGAGUCGUGCUAAAGUUAGUUCAUGAAGAGACUUGGCACAAGCUUUUAUGAAGCAAUACAGUCAUGUAACAGAUAUGACACCUGAUAGAAUUACGUUACAGAAUGUGGAAAAGAAGCAAAAUGAGAGCUUUAGGCAAUAUGCCCAAAGAUGGAGAGAGGUAGCGACACAAGUCCAGCCACCUCUUCUGGAGAAAGAAACCACAGUGCUUUUCAUUAACACUCUGAAAGCCCCAUUCAUUAACCACAUGUUGGGAAGCACUACUAUGAGCUUCUCAGAUAUGGUAAUGUCUGGCGAGAUGAUUGAAAACGCCAUAAGAAGUGGGAAGAUAGAUGCAAGGGAAGGUGCCAAAAGAUCAACCCCAAAGCACAAAGAAAAUGAAGUGAGCAACCUGAGCUUGUAUAAUAAAGGGUAUUCAAAAUUAGUCACUGUAGGCCAGCCAAGGACGGUAGCAGCUAGCUAUCAAGGCCCCUCAAAGUAAGAAUCCAACUCGAGGCCAAACACAGAAAGACUCGAGUUCACACCUAUCCCGGUGAUGUAUAAGGAGUUAUAUCAAAAUCUGUUUGAUGCGCAUGUAGUAGCUCCGUUCUACUCAAAACCCAUGCAACCUCCAUACCCCAAAUGGUACGACGUAAAUGCUCAAUACGAGUAUCACGUAUGAACUACGGGGCACUCGAUUAAAAACUACACUACAUUUAAAAAGUUAGUCGAAUGGUUCAUUAAUAUGGGCAUCGUGAAGUUUGACGAUCCAUCUGGACCUAAUGUGGCAGGAAGUCCGUUACCCAGUCAUCCAGACCCAGGAGUAAAUGCGAUAGCUGAGAAUGGAGGAAAAAAAACCAAAACAAAUGUUGCAGAAGUAAAACCCCCACUAAAAUGGGUUUUGAAACAAAUGAUGGACAUGGGAUUAAUCAUUCAGAAUUUGGAGAAGAGACCAAAAUGGAUGAGGAGCUACUGUGAGUUUCACGCUAAAGAAGGCCAUGAAAUCCAGGAGUGCACUGAAUUCAAAGCUUUGGUGCAAAGUAUAAUGGAUAAUAAAGAGUUGGAAUUCUUUGAAAAAGUCAAAGGCCUAGAAGAAAUGUUGGGAAAUUUAAAUGUUAACGAUGUAUCCGAAGAGGGAACUGAGGAAGAUAAUUUAUGAGGCAUCGGCCCUUAACGCAUUUGGGAGUGUUUUGAACAAUGAGAUUGUGGAAGAGAUCCCUAUAUUUUUUUAGAUCUAUUUCAAAGUAAUGUCCAAAACACGCUUAUUGCUCUAAGCCUAGGAGCAAUAAGAAUCCUUUUGUGAGAUAGACUUAUGUUCAAUAUCUUUAUUUUAAUAAAAUGCAUCUUUGUUUCUCACUUCGAGCAAAUAUUCCUUUAUUAUUUCCAUUUCAUUCAUAAUCAUACUGUACAGAUAAAUAUUCUUAGAUUCUUUUUAUUCUUUGGAUUUGCUUUCGUCCCUACAAUAGGUCUCCAGAUAUCAAAGAUAUGAGUGACACUACUACUGACUCAGAAUCUCCUUUGAGCAAGAUAUGUGUCCAGAUGAGCCUCAGGACUUUGAAGAUAACUGAGACUGUAACUUAUCCCCUGAUUUGUUAAUGAUGGUAGAACAAGAUCCUACCUUACAAAUAAUCAAUGGAAGUCUUGACCUUUCUCUAUGUGGGGUACGGAUGUCAUUGAACCAAUCUCGUCUAAGGUUUUGGCGAUCAUCAAUUCAUCUUUAUGGUCGUUAAUUACCUCACUAAGUGGGUAGAAGCUGCUUCAUAUGCCAAUGUCACAAAAAUGACGGUCAGUAAAUUCGUAAAAAAAGAAAUCAUAUGUUGGUAUGGGAUGCCGAAAAGGAUCAUAUCUGAUGAUGCACCAAAUUUGAAUGAUAGCACGAUAUCAGAAGUUUGCAGUCUGUUCAAGAUUAACACCAUGUCGCCCAAAAUGAAUGAUUCAGUGGAGGAAAAAAAAAGGAAACCAAACAAAAAACAAAACAAAAAAAACAAAAAACAAAAAUAAAAAAACAAAAAAUAAAAAACCUCUACCGGGGUAACUUAUUUCUCAUUGGUAUAUAGAAUAGAGGCAAUUUUACCCAUCGAAGUUGAUAUUCCUUCCCUUCAAGUCUUGUUAGAGCUGAAGUUGGAUGAAGCAGAAUAGAUCUAGGCCUGAUAUCAUCAGUUAGAUUUGAUUGAUAAGAAAAGGUUAAAAGUUAUCUGUCAUGGUCAAUUGUACCAAAAGCGAAUGAUGCGAGUUCACUAAAAGGUUCGCCCAGAGAAUUCCAUGAGGAGGACUUGAUAUCGAAGAAGAUCCUUCUCAAACAAAAGGACUUAAGAAGAAAGUGAAUGCCAAAAUGGAAAGGACCUUAUGUGGAAGGCCUUAUUUGAAAAAGCGUUGAUAUUGACCAAGAUAGAUGGUAAGAACCUGCCCAAUCUUGAGAAUUCUGAUUCCAGCAAUAAAUACUUCACUUGAAAAAAGAAACGAAAAGAAAAAAGAAAAGAAGAAGAAUGAAAAAAGAAAAAGGAAAGGCCAAGGUGAAAACCCGCAAAGGGCGCCUUGAGACCAAAGAGGUUUUGAAUUGAAAACCCAGGAAUGGGCAGUUCAAAUUUUGAUCAAAGGUGGGGCAUGCAGUAGUCUUGUCGUCUCUGAAUUAAUAAGAAGGAGAGAUGCUACAUCUUGGGGGCAUCAAUGAAGUCUUCUAGGACUUCUAAACACAUAUCAAGUUCAAAAGGGUCCUCAAGAAGUUUGGGGCAGAGAAGCUCAUGCCACGAUAUCUGGGGCACCUCUUUUCAUUUAUUCUUUUUGUAUUUGUGACAAAAUACGCCAUCUUGAUUAAUUUAUUCUCAUUUUGUAUUCUAGCAAAAUUUGCUAUCUUGAUUAAUUUAUUCAUUCAGAGCUUUGCUCUCAAUAAUUUUUCAUCUUAUCCAUUGUGAUAAUCCUUUCAUCUUAUUCAUCUCAUAUCUUAGCAAAAUUUGCUAUCUUGAUUGAUUCAUUCAUUUCAAGCUUUGCUCUCGACAAAAUUUUAUCUGGUCCAUUUUGAUAAUCUUUUUCAAGCAUUUUUCUUUGAAAUAACGAUUAUUGGACUGAUAAUGUUCAAGCAAAAGAAGUUUUGCAUAUUACUCUGAAAGCUUCUAAAUAGUACGAGGACCUAAAGCAGGGCUAUUGUUUAGAACUAACCAACUUAAGGGUUAGAAGCAUUGGAGAAAGAAUAAUCUAAAUUGCGACUAUUUCUUUGGUUUUUCUAUCAAAGAUACCACUGAAUAAGAAAGCAUCGGUGAUAAAACCUUGAUGAACAAUAAAGAAUGACAAUCUAAGCAUUAAAAAUGGAUCAUUCUCAUGACAUUCUACAAAUAUCAUACAUACACAUCUAGUUAGGAGCAUUUUAUUCAUUCUAAUCAUGACAUCCUAAAUGCUAGGCAUAAAUAGGUAUAUAAAAUGGAUUUUACAGGUCAUGUUCCCCAAGGAACAGAUCAAUGAAGUUACCCAUACCCCUGAAGUUGCAGUGGGAUGGAUUGAAGUCAUCAUAUCCAACAUUAUCUCCCUGAGCAACAGUGGAGAAGGUUGAAGAAAGCAAGUCUUGUCUUCCUGUAUUGGCAGCGAAGUAGACUGAAGAUAGCAGAUCUUGUCUUAUUGUAUUGGCAGCGAAGUAGACUGAAGAUAGCAGAUCUUAUCUUCCUGUAUUAGCAGCAAAAUGGAUCAAAGAUAGCAGAUCUUGUCUUUCUGUAUUGGCAGUAAAGUGGAUCAAAGAUAGUAGAUCUUGUCUUCCUGUAUUGGCAGCGAAGUAGAUCGAAGAUAGCAGAUAUUAUCUCCUUGAGCAGCAGUGGAGUAGAUCGAAGAUAGCAAGUCUUGUCUUCCUAUAUUGGCAGCGAAGUAGACUGAAGAUAGCAGAUCUUGUCUUCCUGUAUUGGCAGCGAAGUAGACUGAAGAUAGUAGAUCUUGUCUUCCUGUAUUGGUAGCGAAGUAGAUCGAAAAAAGUAGAUCUUGUCUCCCUGAGUAGCAGUGGAGUAGAUCGAGGAUAGCAAGUCUUGUCUUCCUGUAUUGGCAGCAAAGUAGAUUGAGGAUAGCAGAUCUUGUCUUCCUGUAUUGGCAGCAAAGUAGACUGAAGAUAGUAGAUCUUGUCUUCCUGUAUUGGCAGCGAAGUAGAUCAAAGAUAGCAGAUCUUGUCUCCCUAAGCAGCAGUGAAGUAGAUCGAAGAUAGCAAGUCUUGUCUUCCUAUAUUGACAACGAAGUAGACUGAAGAUAGCAAGUCUUGUCUUCCUGUAGUGGCAGUAAAGUAGACUGAAGAUAGGAAGUCUUGUCUUCCUGUAUUGGCAGCGAAGUAGACUAAGGAUAGCAGAUCUUAUCUUCCUGUAUUUGGCAGCAAAGUAGAUCGAAGAUAGCAAGUCUUAUCUUCCUGUAUUGACAGUGAAAUAGACUGAGGAUAGUAGAUCUUAUCUUCCUGUAUUGGCAGCGAAGUAGAUCGGAGAUAGCAAGUCUUAUCUCCCUAAGCAGUAGCAGAGCAGACAGAUGAAACCAAUCCUAUCUCUCUGAAGUUGCAGUGGAGCAGAUUAAAAUGAUGAAUCAUAUGCCUCUGAAAUUACAGUAGGUCGAAUUAGAUCAUAUCACAUCAAACCUUAUCUCCCUGAAGUUACAGUGGAGCAGACUAAAACCACGAAUCUCAUCCCCACGGAUUUACAACAGAGUAGAUUGAAGUCAUAUCUCUCUGAGGAUGCCGUGAAGAGGAUCAAAGUCAUAAGGCGCAGUGGGCUAGAAAGAGACUACUUGAAGAAGAGGAGUAUCAAGAGAUCAAGAUUCGUGCGACCAUUGAACGUAAAAUCAAAAUGCUUAAAGUGUAUGGAGAUUCCGCGUUGGUGAUAUACCAACUCAAAGGAGAGUGGGAAACCAAAGACCCUAAAUUGAUCAAUUAUAAAGAACUGGUUCUUGAAUUGAUUUACGAGUUUGAUGACAUCACCUUCAGUUAUCUCCCAUGAAAGGAAAACCAAAUGACUGAUGCAUUGGCUACUCUAGCUUCGAUGAUUCAGGUGAACAGGCUUGAAGUAAUGAAGCCUAUUCAGAUGAGUAUCUACAAAACCCCAGCUCAUUGCUACAAUAUUAAGGGGAAGGGAAAAGACAAUCACCCUUGGUAUCGGAGUAUCCUACAGUAUGUGAAGAAUCGGGAGUACCCUAGCCAGGCAACAGAGAACGACAAGAGAACUCUGAAAAGAAUAGCCAUCGAAUAUAUCUUAGAUGGGGAAGUGUUAUACAAAAGAAGGAAAGAUCAGGUAUUGUUAAGAUGUGUAGAUGCCGUAGAAGCUAAGAAAAUUUUGGAGGAAGUCCAUGAGGGUAUCUGUGAGACGCACGUCAAUGGCUUCACCAUGGCCAGAUAGAUCAUGAGAUUUGGGUACUAUUGGUCCACUAUGGAAGGGGAUUGCAUUAAUUACGCCAAGAAAUGCCAUAAAUGUCAAAUUUAUGGAGACAAGAUGCAUCCCCCCUUCGCUACUUCAUGUUAUGACCUCUCCAUGGCCAUUUUCCAUAUGGGGUAUGGAUGUCAUUGGGCCGAUAUCGCCAAAGGCUUCUAACGGGCAUCGUUUCAUCUUCAUAGUCAUUGAUUACUUCACUAAGUGGGUAGAAGUUGCUUCUUAUGCAAAUGUCACGAAGUCAGCAGUUAGUAAAUUCUUGAAAAAUGAGAUUAUUUGUCGAUAUGGAAUGCCUGAGAGAAUCAUAUCCAACAAUGCGCUGAAUUUGAACAAUAGCACAAUAGCAGAGGUUUGCAGCCAAUUUAAGAUCAAGCAUCAUAACUCAUCGCCGUAUCGUCCAAAAAUGAAUGGUGCAGUAGAGGCGACCAAUAAGAAUAUUAAAAGAAUUGUGGGGAAAAUGACUGAGACUUACAAAGAUUGGCAUGAGAAGUUAUCAUUUGCUCUCCUUGCCUAUCGAACAUCUGUUAGAACUUCUACUAGGGCAACACCUUUUUCUCUAGUUUACGGAAUGGAGGCAAUAUUACCCAUCGAAGUUGAAAUCCUCUCUCUACGGGUAUUAUCCGAACUCUAGUUGGACGAGGCUGAAUGGGUCCAAUCUCGUUAUGAUCAGUUGAACCUAAUAGAGGAGAAGAGAUUAAAAGCUAUUUAUCAUAGGCAAAUGUACCAGAAACGAAUGAUGUGAGCCUAUGAUAAAAAGGUUCACCCCAGAGAAUUUAGUGAAGGAGAUUUGGUGCUAAAAAAGAUUCUUCCUAUGCAAAAGGACUUUAGAGGAAAAUGGAUGCCAAAUUGGGAGGGUCUUUAUGUCGUAAAGAAGGCCUUUGAUGGUGGAGCUUUGAUUCUAAGUGAGAUAACUGGAAAAGACUUGCCCAAUCCCGUAAAUUCAGACUCAGUCAAGAAAUACUUCACUUGAAGAAAAGGGACCAAAGUGAAAACCCGCAAAGGGCGCUUUGAUCCCUAAAAAAAAAGAAAUGAUGAUGAUAAAAAUGGAGAGGCUAAGGGGAAAACCCGCAAAGGGCACCUUAGGCCAAAGGGGAUUUGAGUUGAAAACCCGAAAAGGGCGGCUCAAAUGUUUGAUCAGAAUGGGACAUGAAAUGCUUAGAGCAGCUGGUAUCUUGAUCAGAUCGGGAUGUGUGGCAAUCUUGCUAUGCCUGAAUUAACAAGAAGGGAUAGGCGAUAUCUUGGGGCAUUGACAAAGCAUUGAAGAUCUCCUAAACACAUGUCAAACUCAGGAUGGCCUUUAGAAAGUUUGUACAGAGAAAUUCAAGCUGCGAUAUCUGGGGGAUUUAAUUCCCCUAUUAUUUUGUAUAUAUUGAAUUUUGUUGAUUCUUGGAAUAUUUUCUUUCUCUUUUCCAAGAUAUAUAUUCCCAAUCAAUUUCUCUACUAUUUGUGAUGACUUAUUUAUUUUUAGCUAUGUUCAGAACCAAAUUUAUUCUUAUAUAUUGUUAUGACCUUUUCUGCAAACAUGUUACAUUAGAAUAAUGAUUAAUGGACUAAUAAAACUUUCACAAAAGAAGUUUUGCAUAUUACUCUGAAAAGUUCCUAAAUAAUACAGGAGCCUAAAACAAGACUAUUGUUUAGAACACACCCAAUUUUAAAGAUUGGAAAUUUGAGAAGGAGUUUAAAUUUGGACUUUCUCUUUGGAUUUUGUUGUCAAAUGCAUUGAUUGGCAAGAUGCCAUGUUGAUGACGAAGCUUAAGUAAACAAGCAAACAAUGAUCACCAGGCAAGAGGAAGAGGUUACUUUGAAAAAGCCUUCAUCUACACAUAAGUUUCUAGUAUGACACCUUCAAAAUUGUGUGAGAAACCAGAACGAUUCAGAUCCUAUAUCCUUGAAUUGUGGGGAUUGAGGAAAAGCCACAUAUUUCUACCCUUGGAUUACAAUGGGAAAGUGGUGGUACAAUUUUUUUGCGCCCCAAUGGUUUAAACUUUAAGGUUCACAGUGGGGGCAAUCUGACUAAGUGAUUCUUUGAAGAAGCCGGUCAAGCGAGGAGGCGUUACAGCACAUCAGUGUUAAAGCCUUAAUAAAUUUCGAGUAAUAAUAACCUAAGCGGGAUCAUUCUCAAAAAAUAAAAUUCUGCAUUCAUGCAAACACUAUCCACACAUGUCUAUUUAGGAGCAUUCGAUUCAUUUUGAUCAUGCCAUCCUAAUCAUUAGGCAUAAUUAGGUUCAUUAUACAGGUCAUGUUCCCCAGAGAAUAGAUCAAUAAAGAUCGAAAACAAAGCCUUGCCUCCAUCGGUUGCAGUGGAGCGGAUUAAAAUAAAGGAUCUUAUCUCUCUGAAGUUACAGUAGAGUAGAUCGCAUCAGAUUGAAGCCAAAAAUCUUAUCUCCCUAAGAUUACAGCGGAGCAGAUUGAAGCUAGAAAUUCUAUCUCCCUGAGAUUACAGUGGAGCGGAUUAAAAUAAAGGAUCUUAUCUCUCUGAAGUUAUAGUAGAGUAGAUCGCAUCAGAUUGAAGCCAGAAAUCUUAUCUCCCUGAGAUUACAGUGGAGCAGAUUGAAGCUAGAAAUCCUAUCUCCCUGAGAUUACAGUGGAGCAGAUUAAAAUAAAGGAUCUUAUCUCUCUGAAGUUAUAGUAGAGUAGAUCGCAUUAGAUUGAAGCCAGAAAUCUUAUCUCCCUGAGAUUACAGUGGAGCAGAUUGAAGCUAGUAAUCCUAUCUCCAUGAGAUUACAGUGGAGCGGAUUAAAACAAAGGAUCUUAUCUCUUUGAAGUUACAGCGGAGUAGAUCGCAUCAGAAUGAAGCUACAACAGCAAAUCUCACUACCCCGACCUCACAAUUAAGCAGAUUAAGGUUACGAGUUACAAAUCCUAUCUCCCUGAUGUUACAGUGGAGUGGAUCGAAGCACCAAUUCCUAUACCUCUGAAGAUGUAGUAGGUUGAAAUGAGUCAACUCGAAGAAGAAGAGCACCAAGGUCCAAACACGACUGGGCAAAAAGGGGCUUUAGUCUUUGCACCGUUCCCGUUACACGACAACAAGCAAAGAGGGGUAGCUGUAAUAGCCCAUUUUUGCCCGGGCCCGUAAUAAGUAAACCAAAAUUAAAAAUUAAAAAUUAAAGUCCAAAAAAUAAUAAUAGAGUCCAUUUUUUACAAUAGGCCUAAUAGCCCAAAUCCACUACCCAAACCUAAUUAGCCCAAAUCCACUACUUAAACCCAACUAGCCCAAAUGCCCAUGACCGAACACUAAAUCUGAUUAGCCCAAUUACAGUGGCCCGACACCUAACCCAAAACCCGAUUCAGCCCAAUUAGCCCAUUUUGAAAAAGCAUUCCAGAAAUCACUAGGGUUUCUAGAACCCUUCAGCCGCCAUUGCCACGCACGGGCUCCCCUUCGAGCCACUCCUCACGCGCGUGAUGCCUUCGUACGCCACGCAUGCCUCCGUACGGCCACCUCUGUACCUCUAGGCUGGCCGAGUACCUGCAAAUACAAGCGAACACACGGAAGCAGCAACAAAUAGAAAAACAACAGCAUUUUUAUUUUAUUUUUUUAUUUUCUGUAAAUGGGGCUAUAAAGAAGCCAUUCGAACACUGUAAACGAUUUACACGCAUUUUCAGAAUACAGAAAUCAAAAAAAGUUCCAAAAGGUGAUUUUCGGUUCUCUUUUCUUUUUCGCAGAUCGUUUUCCUUCUUUCCUUUUGUUUUUACAUACAUUAGUCAUCUGUUAAAGGAGAAAAGGGGAACCAAAAGGGAAGAGGGGCAUACCUGAGGGCCGGAUUUUUGCUCACUCCGCAGCCAUCGGAGUUGGGGCGAAUAUUGGGAGUCUUUGGAGGCAAUGAAUCCCCAGAGCGGCGACGAGCCUUUCUUUUUGUUUAGGUUUUGCUAAUGUAAACCCUAGGUUUUAGGAUUUAUUUAGUUUUUAAGUGCAUGAAUUAAAACGACGCCGUUCAGAGUCAAUGCAAUGGCACUGAAAUGACAUUGUUUUGGAGACUCAACCCAAACGAUGACCCGAUCCGGGAAGGAUCCGCACAAUAUGGGUCGAAUGGUUUAUUUGCUAAAUAGGUCCCUGUGUGUUUAUUGAGAUUACGUUUUGUUUUUUUAUUUAAUUGUAAUUUGUACGGCACAUUUAAUUUUGUUUCCAUUCAGAUCCGACUUGAUACGGUACCGUUCUGCGGUUGAUUGUUAUUGUUUAUAAUGCUUGCGUUUAAUUGUUGGUUUAGUCCUCCAAGGUUAAAAAGGAUUUCGAUUUGAUACAAAUUUAGAUUUUUUUACUCAAAAUGCCUUUAAUUAUAAUUAAUCCUACUUUUAUAAACGGAUUUCAUUAUUGUUUUAAUUUUAUCUAAGCUUCGAUUUUUAAAAGAAUUUGUUGAUUAUUAUUUUCAAUGUCAAAAAAUGCCUUUUAUGUUAAUUUUGAUUUAAAAAGUUUUUUUUAAAUAAAUCAAUUUUUAAUAUUACUUUAAUAGAUAUUUUUUUCAAAUUUAUUAUUAGCACAAAUUCUAUUUUUUAAAAAAAAUAUAAUAAUAAUAAUAUAUUUUUUAAUUGUUAUCAAUAUGUUUUAAAUGUAUCAAUAUUAUUUAAAAAUACAUAUAAUUUAAAUUAGACUAUUUUAGUAUAUAUGUACAUAGGGUAUAUCGUUAACUUCAAAUUAACCUUUUAUUCACAUAAUUUUUUAUACAUAAUUGUUUUAUUUCUUAAACCUUAUUUAUUUUAUUCGUUUUGGUGGGUUGUCAAAUUAUUAAUAUGGAUGUUUGUAUAAUAUGAUUAAGGUCAAUGUUAGUAUUUGCCUAUUAUUUGUUUAAUUGUUUCUAGUUUAAGUUUAAAUUGUUAUUUAUAUUUUGCAUUACAAGUUGUUAUUCAAUUAUGUUGGUUGUAAAAAUUUCAUUUCGUUAAAAUAUUAUAAUCGUUUCAUUUCAAAAGUUCAAAAAAGAGGCUUGGUGUUAAAUAAUUCUCGAGAGAAUUGUGCCCUAACUUACUGGGCCUCAAUUCUUCUCGAUGAAUUUAUAUCAUCAAGUAUCCCUUUCUUUAAGACAUUUAAAAAAAAAUUCUUUAGAUUUCAAAAUGUUGGAUCCUAACUUACUGGAUGUGACAUUUUGUUAUCUCGUUUUUAAAUAAAGGAAAUAUUUGGUGUUUAAGGAUUUUAAGAAAAUUGAACUCUAACUUACUGGGUUUUGAUUUUCUCGAUCGAUUUAAAUAACCAAAUAUCCUUCUCAAAAUGUAUGAAUUUGUUUUAAAUUUUAAAAAGGGACGAAUCUAACUUCGAAGAUUGAAUCGUUGCACUCUAACUUACUGAAUAUAACGAUUUAUUUCUUUAAAGUAGGUAAGUCUUAUUUCCCAAUCCGAUUACUCAAAUUUUCUUUUCAAAGGAUUGUAUUUUAAAAUCCUUUCAAAGUUUCGACAUUAAGACAUUAAAUAAUCGAUUCGGUACCAAUUUUGGGCAUUACGAGGGUGCUAACCCUUCCUCGUGCGUAACCGACUCUCGAACCUUAUUUUUUUCAAAAUUCGCAGACCUAAAAUUAUUUUCAAGGUGAUCUGAUUACACCACAAUAAAAUAUCAGUGGCGACUCCCAUUUCCGUUUUCAUUUUAAAAGUCGAUCCCCGUUUUUUUAAAUUUCAAAAAAAAUGGUUUCGACAAGAAACAAAUGAUUCAUUAUAUAUAUAAUAUAAUUAUGAAAUUCAAGCCAUAUAUUUUAUGUUUCAUACAUAAAAAUUUCAUGGGAGGCCCAAAGGUAAUUAAAUGACUUGUAGGCUUGCUGAAUUUCUUUGAAAGGCCCAAAGGCAAUUUAACAUUCACAAAAUAAUCUCUAAAUACUGUAAAGACAAAUCAAAUCCACAGUAGCAUAAGAGUUGAUUAAGCUAAGCAUUGGCAAAUAUUACUAUGAUUUUGCAUGCAAUAUUGGCAAAACCUCCUCUUACAUUAGAAAAACAACAUAAUCCAUGAAACAUUGAUAGCCCAAUACAAAUUUCAUCGACAUGAAAGUCUCUUUGUUUUGUAGAACAUGAUAGUAAAGAUGUGGAGUUUCAUUCUUCUUAUUGGCCUCCUUUAGUUUUCCUUGAUCAACAACCACUAGCCAAAAACACAAUUAGAUUACAUUAUCAAUGAUACUCUCAACUAUGACAAUAUUAAAUACAAAACACUCUAAAUAACUCUAAAUAAAUGGAAAGCAGCAAAAUUACCUGACGAGACAAGCUAGCUCAAUUAAGACCAUUGUGUUAUACUUGUCUCUGAAUUGAAAAUUUUAGAAGGAAAUAAAGAGAAAGACUUAGAAAAUACUUGAAAACAGGUAAAACUUAUAUGUCAUUUAAAAUAAAAAAUUUCUAUAUAAGCCAUUUAAAAUUUUUAAGAUUUUUAAAAUUUUAAAAUGAUAAAGGUAAAAUUGUACUUUGGCAUCCCAAAAAUGACAAAACUUUGAUUUAAUUCUUUAGAAAUUAUAAAAAUAUAGGCUAUUAAAAUGGUGAAAUUAUAUUUUUACUAUAGUAAAAAAUUACAAUUUAAUUUCACCCCUAAAAGGACUUUCUCACUUCGCCCCUAAUAAAAUCUUUUGCAAAAGAUUAAAAUAAAAUUAUACAUAAGAAAAUCCAAUCUAACAAAGAAAAUAACUUCUUGUCCAAAAGCUACCAUAAACCGUAAUUCAUGGGAAGGCUUGUUGCUUAUUUUAUUGGUUUCCAUUUCGAUUUUGCAAAAGAAGUUUGAAUUUUGAAGAGAGCCUACUACGUGAGAGCAAAAGAAAAAAAAAGUUUAUAUGAUUAAAUUCCAGAAUAGAUUAAAAAUGUUGAAUUAAAGAUAAAAUUAAGUGUGAAUUAAAAAAAUUUCUAUUUAGGCCCUUUAAAAUUUUAAAAUGAUAAAGAUAAAACUGUACUUUGGCACCCAAAAAAAAUAAAAUUUUAAUUUAAUCCUUUAAAAUUUAUAAAAAUAUAGGUUAUUAAGUGUGAAUUAAUAACCACAAGUGUAUUCAUUACUCACCAUCUCUGUUAAAAAUGUUGGAUGUUGUUUAGCAACCUUUGUUUGAUUUUCUUCAGCUCAACCACAACAUCUUUCAUAUCUUUUCUUUCUUCUGGUAACUCAGCUGAACAAUUCAAAGCCAACUCCAUGAUAGAUGAAAUACAAUUUGCUUUAACAACAAUGUACUCAUCCUCUCUUCUUAAUAAAUCAACAUCUGCAAUUUCUAUCGCUCCUUUAGGCAAUGAUCUUUCCAUCCAAUGCCUUAUACUCUCUUCUUCAACAAAAACAUUAUCAGUUGGCUUUUUCUUUGUGAAAGUUUCUAUAAGGACGAUCCCAUAACUAUAGAUGUCAGAUUUUAUAGAAACAAUUCCUACUGAUCCAAAUUCUGCAUUUCAAGUAUAAUUAGAACAUCAUCAAUCCUCAAUUAUUUCUAAAAUGCUUAUUCAAAUAUAUAUCCACAUCCACAUGAAACAAAAAUAUAAAAUGCAUAUUAGGAAAAUAAUCAUACAAAAAUAAAAAAGAAUUCACCUGGUGCUAUAUACCCGAUAGUUGCAAGAGUCAUGGUUUGCUUCAUUACUUCACCUUCCCCCAACAAUUUGGCAACGCCACAAUCUCCAACAUGUGCAACCAUGUCUUCAUCUAGUAAAAUAUUGCUUGGUUUUAUGUCACAGUGAAUUAUAGGUGUUGGAUGUCCAUUGUGGAGGUGUUCUAUGGCUACCGCAACAUCUAUCAUUAUGUCGACCCUUUGUAUGAUAUCAAGGAAACAAUUUUCAGAAUGUAACCAUUUCUCAAGGUUUCCAUUAGACAUGUAAGCAAGCACCAAGGCUUUGAAGUCAACACUUGAGCAGCAAGUAAUGACCUUCACAAUAUUACGAUGAACUAUAUUACGCAUAGCAUCACAUUCAAUGUCAAAACUGCUAAAUGCUCCCUCUGUUUGCAAAUUAAAAACUUUUAUUGCAACUUCCAUUCCAUCUGAAAGCCUCCCUUUAUAUACAUAUCCAAAACUCCCUGAACCAAGCAUAUUGCUUUCCUCAAAUCCAUUAGUUGCUCGUGAAAGCUCAGCAUGUGAAAUUCUUCUCGGUGUUAUCAAAGACAACAAAUCAUCUUUAAUUGGUAGACUUGUACUCCUUCUUCGGCAUCUUCUAUACAUAAUAGUUAAGACUAUUAGUACUACGACAAUACCAAUUGUUGGUAAACCAUACCUAAAAGCAUGCAAUAUAAUCAUUUGGGAGUUUUUGUGGAUGUCAUUUUUGCAAGGGGGGACUAGCAAUCUAGGUGGACCACAAAGUGCAUAAUUCUUCAUGAAUGAUGUGCUAGAAAAGUUUGAAAAACAUCCUUUGCUUGGAAUUUCCCCUUCAAGUCUAUUGAAAGACACAUUAAAAUACUUUAGAUAUAAAAGCUUUUCCAAAGAUUUGGGAAUGACUCCAGAGAGAUUGUUAUUGCAUAAAUCCAAGAAUUCCAAACUAAUCAACCCAUCAAAUGAUUUAGGGAUAUAACCAUGUAGUAUAUUAUUUGAUAAAUCUAAUGAAACCAAAGUUUGAAGACCCCCAAAUGAGGAUAGGAUAUCGCCCGAGAGAAGAUUCCUUGAUAAAUUUAGUUUCAGUAGACUCCUCAAAUUUCCAACAUCAAUAGCAUGUGAAUUCUGAAGAUGGUUUGAUGAUAAAUCUAUUUCUAAGAUAUCUUUAAGAUUCCACAAAGUUGAGGGUAUUGUAGAACUCAAUUUGUUGGAAUUUAAGUAAAGAUAUCCCAAAGAAGUAAUAUUACCCAAACAAGAGGGUAUGGAUCCAUGCAGCUUAUUCAACCCUAAAUACAUCUCGUAUAGUCUCUCCAAAUCACAAAGGCUUUCUAAGAUGUGCCCUCCUAAUUUAUUAGAGGAAAGAUCUAGAGCUUGGAGAUUUCGCAGUCCUCCUAUUGAUGCUGGAAUGAAUCCACUUAAUUUAUUAUGGCGAAGUUGUAAAAGCAAUAGGUUGGUUAUGUUACCUAUUUCCAUAGGAAUAAUGCCUUGAAGCUCACAAUUAGAGGCAUAAAAGUAUUGAAGGGAUUUUGAAAGGUUCCCGAUAUAAGUAGGAAGAACGCCACUCAAUGGAUUUCCUGAAACUCCUAUGGUUUUCAAAUUCUUACAAUUCGUCAAAGAAGAAAGAAAGCUCCACUCAUGAUCAGUAGCAGACCCUGUGAUCAAAUUAUUGUUCAUGAUUUGGAACCAUUCAAGGUGUCUUAAGUUGCCAAGCGUUUUAGGGAUUGGGCCAGAGAAUAAGUUAUCUUCCAAGUCUAGUAUCUUAAGCAUGGAAGCAUUGGAGAUAGAGUUGGGAAUGUUUCCUCUAAGUUUAUUUCCCCACAAUGCAAGAAUCUCAAGCUUUGGAGCAUUGGUGAUGGGUGGUAAAUUACCUGUAAAAUAGCAUCUUUUAGUAUACAUAUUCAUUGAAUACCAAAUUCACAAAAUAUAUAAUACAUUAAUAAUAUGAAGUUUCGAGUACUAAUUAGUCCUUGUGAUUUGUAUAGAAAAACAUAUAAUACGCUAAUAAAUUUUUAAAAUAUUGUAAAACUUGAAAUAAAAUAAAAAUAAAAUGUUGGUAUGAGAAUGUGGCAUCUAAUCAAUUUUAAAAAUGAGACUGACACUGAAUAAUAAAUAGUUAUGAUUUGGGAAACAAAAAUAUUAAAGCCAUUGUUUAUCUUUAUUAAAUUAUAGUGUAAAAUUUAAAGAUUACUAUUUGCUCAAAAUUUUUGUAUUUUUCGUAUAUUUGAAAUUUAAUCUUUAUAUUUUUAUUUUCUGUGAUUUAGUCUCUCUACUUUUUGAAUUGAAAAUUUUAAGUUUAUUUAUUAAAACUGUUAAGAAGUUUUUGGGUUAGUAUGGCAUUUUGAAAAAUAAAAUAAACUUGAUAUCUAUGUUUUUAAUUAUUUCAAAUAAUGUUUUACUAUUCCAAGAUAAAUUAUUUGUGUCUAGACCAAUAUCUUAAGAACUAUUGUUGCAUGUUUAAUUAUUCAAAAGAAUUGUUGAUUGAGUCUUAGCUUGAUUGACAUGUGUAUUGUUACCAAUGUAAGAGAAUGUGGGUUCAAGUAUGCUAAAGUGCAUUAUCUUCUUAUUUAUAAAUUGGGGAGUUGGUAAGGUAUUAAAUUUUGAUAUAUUUUAAAAUAUUAAAAUUUUAUUAAAAUAUUUUUUAUAAAAAUUGAUUGCACCACAAUAUACAAUUUUAAUAUCAAAUUUUUAAUUUUUUUAAAAAAUAUUAGCGACUAUAUACUUUAUUUCAAGUUACACAAAUUUUACUAGUUUUUAACUUUUUUUUAAAUAUUUACCGUCUUUUAUAAUUUUUUACAAUAUUUAAAAAUUUCUGCCAAUUUUUAAUAAUUUUAUUAUUUAUUACAAAUUUAAAAAUUAACAAAUUUAAAAAUUAACAAAUUUUUAUUUUUUAAACAAUUAUAUAUUUAUAAUGUAGUUAUUUUUUAUAUAAUUUCACUUUAAAUUUUAAAGAUUUUUUGGGUUUUUUUUUAGAUGAUGAUGCCGUUAUGAUGUCAUCAUAUACCACAUGGCAAUUUAUGAUUAGUUGGAUAUCUCAAUCUAUUUUUUAAUUUCCAAUGGACUAAACCAAGAACACCUGAUAAUGUUAGAGACUACACUAGCAAUGUUUGAUAAUAUUAGGUACUAAAGUGGGCAAAAAAAUAUUAAGAACCAAAGUAAAAAAAAAAAAAAGAAGAAGAAGCAAUAUGCUGUAGAGAAUAAACUAUGCAUUAAGCCAUUAAAAAUAUAUCUAUAAUAUAUAUAAAUGCAUGGAUUUUGAGAAACUUUUGAAGUGAUAAUUAUAUAGUCUUUGUUGUUUACUAUAUUAUUGAAUUUGUUAUUUUAAAUAUUUUUUUAUUACUUUUAAGAUUUAUUGGAUAAGAAUUUUGGUUUUUACUAAAAUAUUUGGUUAAAUAAAUUAACUUCAUAAGAAAAUUUAGCAUCCUUAUAAAUAACAAUUUUGAUUCUAUUAAAAAAUUAUUUUAAAAAGCAUAUAAUAAAAAUUUAAAAUUUAUAUUGAAUUACUUUAUACUUAAAUUAUUAUUAGAAAUUUUAUACUUAAAUUUAUGAGAACCACAAAUUUAGAACUUAAAUUUGUGUUUUAAAAUAACUUAUGAUAAAUAAUGAAAUGUAUAAUUUGAAACUAUUUAAUAAUAACACAUGGCAUAUCUACCAUAUUGAAAUAAAAAUAGAUUAAAUUGUAAGUAAAACAUAAUUUAAGCAUAGGUAUACAUCAAAUUAAGAAUACUAAAUGAAUACAGUUAUUUAUGAUGAUGUUGUUGUCAAUUCCUAAGUUGGUGUCGAGUUAAUUUGUGACAUCAUAAAUUUAAGUGAUAAAUUUAAGGUUUUACGUAUUGAUGUGGAUUGAAAUAUCACCAUACUUUUUUUAAAAUAAAAAACUAAAAUACCCUCAAAUAAUAUAACUUAUAUUAAAUAUGAAAGGGUAAUUUUGUAAUUUCUCUGACUGAGUUGGUGCCAGGUUGACUCAUGACACCAACUAAAUCGAAAGCUUCAAUAAUAAUAUAGAUAUUCACAUUAAAAAAAAGUACUUUAGUUCCAAAUAAUUAUAUAACAAGUAAAUUUAUAAUUGACGAAUAAAUUUAUAGAUAAUAUAUUUAUAUGAUCUAAUAUAUUAUAUUUAUAUUAAUUAUAUAUCAUCUACAAACUUUGAAAAUCAAUUUAUUAAGUAUCAGGAAAAGAAAAAAAUGAAAUUGAAUUAACACUAAAUCAAUUUUUGAAUUAACAAAAAAUUAGUGAUAUAUUUUAAUUAUAUUUAUUAUUUAUUUUUUUAAUAAUAUUUUUUUAAUUAUAUGAAGUAAAAUUAUAUUGUAUGAAGUAAAAAAAAUAUAUUUUCCGCAUUGGUUUCUUUUAUUCUACAGACAAAGGAUUUCUAAUGAUUUUUUAAAAAAAAAUUACUUAUAUAGAAUAGAUUAGUUUAUGCAAUAAAAAAUAAUUUCUUUUUUUAAAGUUUAAUGGAAAUUAAAAAAUUAAAAAUAAAUCAAUUCAUAUAAAUCUUAUUGUUUAUUAUCAUAUUAAAAUGAUAAAAAGUAUAUGACCAAAAUAGAAGAAACAAAUUCAACACAAUGUUUUUGGAGUUUAUUAUCAUAUUUCUAAUUUGUUGUUAAAUAGAUCUAUUUCUUCCAGCGUAGUUGAAUUAAAAAUAUUUGAUGGAAUCUGACCUGCACACAUAGUCGAAAAUUGAAGUGAAAAUUAUAUCUUCUAAACUGUUCAACUAAAAAUACUUUAAGCAUAUUUUUUAAGGUUAUUGCAUUUACCCAUGCCAAAUGGAAUGCUACCAAAUAACUCAUUGCUAUGCAAGUAAAGCCCUUCAAGCUUGGGAAGAUGUUGACACAUAUCAUUAGGAAAUUACCUGAUAGGCUAUUUUUGGAGAGAUCAAUGGUCUUCAGAGAAGAAAUGUUGAAGAUCAAAGUUGGAAUCUGACCUGUAAGGCCUUUAAUUGCUUGAAUAUUAAGCAAUUCCAAACCAUGAAGAUUACCAAUUUCCUCAGGAAUUUGACCUGCACACAUAGUCGAAAAAUCAAGGUGUCAAACUACCUAUUUUGUUAGCAUAAGUCAAAGAGGUUUUCUUUUCUGUUCUAUGGUAAUUUGGAGAUGUUAGAUUUUCAUAUAUUUCAGCAUAUGUUUUUCAUCAAAUGAAAUAAAAACUUUUUCCUUUUGUUAUCUAUUACAAAUCAAACUCUUUUAUAAAAAAAAUACUUAAAAUUCAAGAAAUCAAGGAAAUUGAUUACCUUCUAGAUUAUUAAAUCCCAAAUAUAAUUCUCUGAGUUGUGUCAGAUUUCCAAUACUUCUUGGAAUGAUCCCCGUCAAUUGAUUCAAGGACAAGGACAAAUUAUUAAGGUUGCUGCACUUGCCCAUACUUGACGAAAUGUUACCAGAUAACUCAUUGCUCUGCAAGUAAAGCCCUUCAAGCUUGGGAAGAUGUUGACACAUAUCAUUAGGUAAACUACCUGGUAGGCUAUUGCUGGAGAGAUCAAUGGUCUUCGAAGAAGAAAUGUUGGAGACCGAAGUUGGAAUCUGACCUGUAACGCCUUUAAUUGCUUCAAUAUUAAGCAAUUCCAAACCAAGAAGAUUACCGAUUUCCUCAGGAAUUUGGCCUGCACACAUAGUCGAAAAAUCAAGGUGUCAAACUACCUAUUUUGUUAGCAUAAGUCAAAGAGGUUUUCUUUUCUGUUCUAUAGUAAGUUGGAGAUGUUAGAUUUUCAUAUAUUUCAGCAUAUGUUUUUCAUCAAAUGAAAUAAAAACUUUUUUCUUUUGUUAUCUAUUACAAAUCAAACUCUUUUAUAAAAAAAUACUUAAAAUUCAAGAAAUCAAGGAAAUUGAUUACCUUCUAGAUUAUUAAAUCCCAAAUAUAAUUCUCUGAGUUGUGUCAGAUUUCCAAUACUUCUUGGAAUGAUCCCCGUCAAUUGAUUCAAGGACAAGGACAAAUUUUUAAGGUUGCUGCACUUGCCCAUACUUGACGGAAUGUUACCAGAUAACUCAUUGCUAUGCAAGUAAAGCACUUCAAGCUUGGGAAGAUGUUGACACAUAUCAUUAGGCAAACUACCUAAUAGGCUAUUGUUGGAGAGAACAAUGGUCUUCAGAGAAGAAAUGUUGAAGAUCGAAUUUGGAAUCUGACCUGUAACGCCUUUAAUUGCUUGAAUAUUAAGCAAUUCCAAACCAUGAAGAUUACCGAUUUCCUCAGGAAUUUGACCUGCACACAUAGUCGAAAAAUCAAGGUGUCAAACUACCUAUUUUGUUAGCAGAAGUCAAAGAGGUUUUCUUUUCUGUUCUAUAGUAAUUUGGAGAUGUUAGAUUUUCAUAUAUUUCAGCAUAUGUUUUUCAUCAAAUGAAAUAAAAACUUUUUCCUUUUGUUAUCUAUUACAAAUCAAACUCUUUUAUAAAAAAAAUACUUAAAAUUCAAGAAAUCAAGGAAAUUGAUUACCUUCUAGAUUAUUAAAUCCCAAAUAUAAUUCUCUGAGUUGUGUCAGAUUUCCAAUACUUCUUGGAAUGAUCCCCGUCAAUUGAUUCAAGGACAAGGACAAAUUAUUAAGGUUGCUGCACUUGCCCAUACUUGACGGAAUGUUACCAGAUAACUCAUUGCUAUGCAAGUAAAGCACUUCAAGCUUGGGAAGAUGUUGACACAUAUCAUUAGGCAAACUACCUAAUAGGCUAUUGUUGGAGAGAACAAUGGUCUUCAGAGAAGAAAUGUUGAAGAUCGAAUUUGGAAUCUGACCUGUAACGCCUUUAAUUGCUUGAAUAUUAAGCAAUUCCAAACCAUGAAGAUUACCGAUUUCCUCAGGAAUUUGACCUGCACACAUAGUCGAAAAAUCAAGGUGUCAAACUACCUAUUUUGUUAGCAUAAGUCAAAGAGGUUUUCUUUUCUGUUCUAUAGUAAUUUGGAGAUGUUAGAUUUUCAUAUAUUUCAGCAUAUGUUUUUCAUCAAAUGAAAUAAAAACUUUUUCCUUUUGUUAUCUAUUACAAAUCAAACUCUUUUAUAAAAAAAUACAUAAAAUUCAAGAAAUCAAAGGAAAUUGAUUACCUUCUAGAUUAUUAAAUCCCAAAUAUAAUUCUCUGAGUUGUGUCAGAUUUCCAAUACUUCUUGGAAUGAUCCCCGUCAAUUGAUUCAAGGACAAGGACAAAUUUUUAAGGUUGCUGCAUUUGCCCAUACUUGACGGAAUGUUACCAGAUAACUCAUUGCUAUGCAAGUAAAGCACUUCAAGCUUGGGAAGAUGUUGACACAUAUCAUUAGGCAAACUACCUGAUAGGCUAUUGCUGGAGAGAAUAAUAAUCUUUAGAGAAGAUAUGUUGAAGAUGGAAGAUGGAACCUGACCAGAUAAUUGAUUGAGUCCCAAGUUCAAAAUCUCUAGAUUAGAUAUGCUAACAAGUGUUUCAGGGAUUGUGCCUGUAAAGUAAUUAUUUUUCAUUUGUAGCCUUCGAACUCUCUGUAAGUUCCCAAGCCAUGAUGGAAUUUCCCCAUUCAGACGGUUGUAGCUUAAUUGAAGGAUCCUCAAACGAUGCAAUUGGCCCAAUUCUUUAGGGAGAUGGCCAUAGAAAUGGUUGCUACUCAAGUCGAGAGAGAGUAGAAAUGAAAGAUUUCCAAGGUGUGGAGGGAUAGUACCCCUAAGAUUCAUGCUUGUAAGAUUCAAAGCUAUAACUCUUUUAUGGAGGAUGCCACAAGAGACACCAAUCCAAUUGCAAACAGAGGUUGAGGCCGUCCAAUUGUCUGCCAAGACAAUUUGAGGACCGCCAAUACGAUCCUUAAACUCAAGAAGUGCAAACUGAUCGGAGUUGAGAUUCCUGACUGUCAUAGCCAUGCAAAGUACGAAACAUGGUAUGAAUAAAGCUAAGAGAAGAUGAAAGCAAGUUUUGUAGUUCAUGAUUGCAAGACAGAAUAAGGCAAGAAAAUAAAAAAAGUAGGAAAAGGGCAGUUGAGUUGAUAAAAUAGUUUGGAUGAUGAAGAAAAGCCCAGAGAGCAUGCUUUAAUAUGUUUCAACCCUCGCACACUUGAUAAACUUGAUAAAAAUAUUUUGAUCUAAUAAAUGUAAAAAAAAAUUAAACAAAAUAAGGUUGAAAUAAUCUAUUUGUCCUUAUAUUUUGAUAAAGGUUGAGAUUAGUCCUUAUACUUAAAAGGUUAAAAAUAAAGUUUUCUUGUUUUUAUUUAAAAAUCUUAGUCCUAUCGUUAAUUUUUUUUGGGCAAAAUUUGUCAACUGGACAUAUUAAUUUGGUUUCCCUUAUAUGUCGUUGUAUAUGACUAACACAAAAUAAGCAAGUUGACAAAUUAUGACAAAAAAAUAUCAAAGAUGAUAAUAAUUUGAUUAAAAUUUUUAAAUUGAAUUAAUAACCUUUAACAUAUAAGGAAUGGAUAUCAAAUAUUUAUAGGAAUAAAGGGACAAACAACAUAUUUUAACCACAAAAUAAUAUGAGUGAUUAGAAUGAAUCUAAAAGAGACUAACAACAUAUUGAUAACUUUGAAAUCUCCUACGAUCAUCCUUUUUCUACGUAGAAAAAGAAAAUUAAUUAGCAUCUAAAGUGUCAAUUAAUGAAACCUUCAAAAGAAAAUGUGAAAGUGAUUUACCAAACAAUAAUAUUCUAACUUAUAAUAUAUUUAAUUACAUUUAGUACUUUAUCAAUCAAAACUUAAUUAACAUCCAUCAAUACUUCAUACAUAAGUAAAUUUACCAUUUAACUCAGAUUUAACUUUGCAAGUAAACUUGAAAUUUUAUUUAAUUUUGUCACUAAAUUUAAUUUGCUCAAUAUAGAUUUUGGUGACUUAAAACAAAAUUAAUAAAAAAUUAUUCUUUCAGACAUCUUUUUAAUGUUUAAUAAUAAGUUAAUUUAUAAAAUAUACUUUCAUUGGACACAAGCCUCCAAGGCAGUGAACCACUAAUCAAAUUAAUUUGGAGAUAUCUUUUUUUUCCAAAUAAAAUGGAUAUCAAGAGAUACCAAAAAUUAUUUCACUAAGAAAUUUUAAUUCACUCGAAAAGUUAGUGUUUUAUUUCAAGGGGUCAUAAUUAUAAAUUUUGAACUUUUUGACAAUUGCGUAAAUAAUAAAUACCAAUUUUGAGUGCUGUAGGGCUAGGACAAUCUCCCUUACACAUAACCGACUCUUGAACCUACUCUUUUCUCUAGAAUUCAACUCAGACCUCAAAUUUAUCUUUUGAAAAGAAUUUUAAAAUCUUUGUAUAAAAGGUGUAAAAAUAUAUAUUUUAUUAAUUACUAUAUAUUCUUUUAUUUUCAGAAUAAUAAAUUGUUUAAAAUAUGCUACUAGUCCCUAUAAUUUAAAAGUUAAAAGUAAUUGGGAUCUUGAGUGCAUCAAAUUCCUCCUUUUAUUAUUAAAUGUUUUAUUUUAGUUACUCUAAUUAAAUAUAUCCAAAUUGUAAUAAACAUUUAUUAUAUAAAAAAUAUUUUAAAUUUAUUUCAAUUGCAAUUUAAUUUUAGUAGAAAUAUUUCAUUUAUAAAAUCAUAAAAUUUUAAAAUAUUAACUUUAUUAAAUAAAAAAUAAUUUUUUUUAAACAGUAAAUGUUGACUUUAUUAACACAAAUGGGUCUUUAGGGUUAAACUUCAGUAACUGACGAGCUCUUCCACAAACUGUGGAUGAUUUGGGGAUAAGAACUUCAAUAAUUCUAGAGUUAAAGUGUAAAUUUACUACUAUAUUAUAAGUAAAUAUUGAAAUUUAUCACUAAAUUUUAAUUGAUACUUGUCAUUACACUUUGAAAAUAUAAGUAAAUUUACCAUUUAACUCAUAUGUGAUUGAGCUUUGCAAAUAAACUUAAAAUUUUAUUUAAUUUUGUCACUAAAUUUGAUUUAUUUAAUUAAAUUUACAACUCAAUAUAGAUUUUGGUGACUUGAAUUAAAGUUAAAAAAAAAACUAUUCUUUCAAAUAACUUUUAAUGUUUACUAAUAAGUAGAUUUAUAAAAUAUACUUUCAUUGGACACAAGCAUCCAAGGCUGUGAACAAACCACUGGUCAAAUUAAUUUGGAGAUAUCCUUUUUGCGUUUUUCUUUUUUUUUAAAUAUUUUUAAUAUUUUUGUGGGUAUCAACAGACACCAAAAAUUAUUUCACUAAGGAAUUAAUUUGUAUUUUAUUUUAAGGGUUCACAAUUGAACAUUAGAUUUUUUAUUUUUAAAUUUUGAAUUUUUUGACAGUUGCGUAAUUAACAAGUACUAAUUUAGGGUGUUGUAGGGUUAUUACAACCUUCCCUACACGUAACAGACUCUUGAACCUACUUUUUUUUCUCUAGAACUCAACACAAACCUUAAAUUUAUCUUUUUAAAACAAUUUUAAAAUAUCUUUAUAAAAGGUUAUUUUUUUACCCAUCACACUUAACAAAAUUUUAAAAAUUAUUAAUUUCUUUUUGAAAUUUAAAGUGAUCUAAAAAUAUAUUUUUAAGUGCUUUAGACCCUGCGGUGCUGAUUUCUUUAUUGUAUUAAAUGCUUGCAAUCACUCCUGAUAUCUUAUACUUGAGUUGUAACAAAACCAAUUAUCAUGUUCCAUAAUGUUCUAUUGAUGCUGAAACUGAAGUUUUUGUUAUAUUAAUAGAGCUUGUCCUUCAACACGUAUAACGGGUGUUUGUUAUUUUUUUCUUCAAAUUGUAUGAUCUCAUUCAUUAAAUGAAUUAAUGAAUUUCCCUUUAAAAAAUAUAAUUUUAAAAAUUAAAUACUUUAUAAGAUAUUUAAAACUAUUUAAAAAUUGUAAGCGUUAAAACAAUCAACAAGAUAUAUUUUUCUUUAAAAAAUCAAUAAAAAUAUGUUUAAAAUUUUAUAUGAAAUUUACAAUUUUUUAACAAUAAUAUAUUUUAAAAUUAUUUACACCUUUUUUAUAUAUUUUUCCUAACAUAUAUUUUCAACACUAUCGUAAUCCUGUUUUGAUAACUCCCUUUCCAUACAUCCUUUUUCUACAUAGAAUUUCGAAAGAAAAUGUGAAUUAAUGCAGACGUGAGAAGACUUAGAGGUAAGUCACCCAAUGAAAGUGACCUACUUAUGGAAAAAUCAAACAAUAAUUUUGUAUCUUAUAAUAUAUUAAAUUACAUUUAUGAGGUUAUCAAUCAAAACUUAAUUAAAAUCCAUCAAUAAAGUUGUUGAUUGUAUAGCUAAGGCAGAUGGAGGCAUAAUUGAGCAGUUAGUUAUCUUGGAAAAUCCUCCGCAUUAUGUGAGAUGUUGGCUUGAAGAAAAUAUUAGACAGUCGUUGGUCACUGAUGAUAAUUUUUAUUUGGAUUGAAGCUGGCUUAAUUUUCUAAGUUUAUGUUCAACUAGAAAAAAAAUGUCUAAAUUGUAAUUGAAUUAACAUUUAGUGUAUAAAAAAUAUCUUAAAUUUUUUUUUUCAAUUGCAAUUCAAUUCCACAAAUACCGACGAUGAACCCUAAAACGGACAUGAAAAUUACAAAAAGAAAAAAAGCACAUCUAUUAUCAAACCAGCAAUACAUGCCUAAACUAAUAGAGAUGAACCCUAUGAUAGAUUGUGACCCCCCAAAGUCGACCGGGAUAGACCAGCCUGAAUUCAAAGCAUUACAUUAGCCACCUAAAUGACUCUCCAGCUAACGACCACCCAAGGCACACCCCAACCUUAUAACACCUCAAUUUUAUCUAAUUAUUAGUUAUUUAUUAAUGCCAAAGUAAAUUAUGAGCCAAUUUUAAACUUUUCCUAAGUAAUUUAAUCUAUGGGCAUUUACGUUAUUUUACCACCUAUGGUAAAACUAACUUGAUUUUAGAUCUAAGUGUUUACUCACCUUCUUUUAGUCAAAUUAUGCAAGUCUAAAAUUUCCAGGUGAAUUUGAGUUUGUUUACUAUGUCUAAUUCAAGUUUUAUUAUUUAGGAUUAAAUUGUAACUUAAACAAAUUCGAAUACCAAUUUAAAGAGGCAAAAAUUCAAAACCCAAAACAGACACAAGCAUGUGCGUAAAUGACACGGGCGUGUGAAAACUGGAACUAUCACAUACGGACGUGUGGGAUUGAAAAAUAUAAAAUAAAUUAAUCCACUCAAUUUUCCAAUAGCCAUGCUAUACUACCAAACCAAAAAAUGCUUGAAGCUUUGAAUAGGGGUGAAUCUAAAAAAAAAAUUAGAAGAAUUAGAAUUAAAUUAUAAUCUAAAAAAAAUUAGAAGAAUUAGAAUUAAAUUAUAAAACUUUGAGAAGUUAAAAUAUAAUUUUAUCAUGUAUUAAUUUAUUAUUUUUAAAAUGGUCUUAAUUGAAUUUUUUUUUCCAUUUUUGUUGGGCCAAUACCCCUGCUUGCCUCUUUGAAUUUGCUCCAACCCUAAACCCAAUAAUCAAUUUGGAUUAACAACAAUAUAUAGGUUAGUAUUUGUGGGAGUUUGACAAUAAAAUUUUUUUUAAAAGGUUUAAAUUAUAAAUUUUUGAAAGAUUAAAAUAAAUUUGUAUUUUUUAUUAACAAAAUAUAAAAGAAAAAAACAUGUUUAGACAAGCCAAGAGACCUUUGGGAUCAUACGGGUGAUUUUGAUGAUGUUAAUAGUUAUUUUGGUGGAGAGGCUGAGAAAGAAACAAAUGAUUCAUUAUAUAUAAUAUAAUUAUGAAAUUCAAGCCAUAUAUUGUAUGUUUCAUACAUAAAAAAAAUUGGAGCAAUUUAAUCCCUAUCAAUUUUGAAAGUGAGCAACUAAGAACAAUGAAUUAUGGUGUUUCCUUCUUAAUUUCACAAUUGCGCAAAUUAGUCCCUCUCAAAAAAAAUUGGAGCAAUUUAAUCCCUAUCGAUUUUGAAAGUGAGCAACUAAGAACAAUUAAUUAUGGUGUUAAAUUCUUCCAUCAAUUGUACAUAAUUUUGAUUGGUAUAGUAAUAAAUUUAGCCUUCAAUGUUUAAAUAUUUUGUCAUUUUGGCCUUAAUUUUUUUUUAAAAAAAAUUCAAGCAUUUCAACCUCAACAUUUAGAUAUUUACACAAACGUUGCGGGAAAUUUUUGUUAAAUUUAGACCAAAUUGCAAGUAUAAAUUUUGAAGGCUAAAUUUAUUAUUAUACCAACCAAAAUCAUGUACAUUUUAUGGAAAAUUAACAUCCUGAUUAAUUAUUCUUAGUUACUCACUUUCAAAAUUAAUAGGGACUAAAUUGCUCUGAUUUUUUAAGGGUGACCAAUUUCCUCAAUUUGGAAAUUGAGAGAGACUAUUCAGAUAUUUUACAUAUUUUUUUAUAAAUAUAUUUUUUUAAUAUAAAAUAUAUUUGUUCACACAUAUUGUGAGUAUGAUAAAAUAUUUUUAUUAUUGAUUGAGUUGGUGUCAAAAAUUAACUCGACACCAACUCAAGAUUAAUAAUAACAAUAUGAUAAAUAAUUUAUUUAUUUAAUAUUCUUAAUUUAACAUAUUGAUGUAAAUUUUAAGACAUGCAUGUCUUGUAGAAUUGAGAUUAUACUAUUUGAGUAUUGAGUCAGUUUUCCACAAUGGUGGGUCUCGAGCAACAGCACAAUUUCAACAUUUCUUCAUCUCGCUUAAUCCAAAUGCAUUUAGGAUUUUUUUUUUAUAUCAUUGUUUCAAAAACGAUAAAAAAAAACGUGGACAUUGAAUUUUCUGUUUCACAUUCAAUUUUUGGAGAAGUAGAAUUUUCUAACUUAUUUUCCAUCAACUUCACUUCAAUUUUCAAUCACAAUCUAUUGUAUUCAAGAGUACCACAUCUUUUUGGAUGAAACAAACCUCUCAAUCUUAAGAUAAACGGAAUCUAUUGCAUUCAAGAGCACCACAUCUUUUUGGAUGAAACAAAGCACUCAAUAUUAAGAUAAACGGGUCUUUAGGGUUAUUAACUGAGGGCAUUUUCCACAAAUGGCAUCGUUAUUUGAAGGUGAUUCGGGGAUAAUAACAUCAACAUUUCUGUAUCACAUUUAAUUCAAUUCCACAUUUAACUUUUAAUUUUUGGAGAGAUGAUUGGGCUACAACAAUGGUUUGAAGUGAAGAUAUUUCAAAAGAAGGCAAAUAUAUCAAUUUUUUUAAGGGGUCUUUGGAGUUAUAUGUGACUUUAGCAUUAUUGACCGAUUUUUUUAUGGUUAAUCUUUUAUAAUAAGGUAAAUAUAUCAAUUUUAAUAACAUCGGCAUGUUUUUUAGUAGGGUCGAGCAAAACCCAAUUAAAACCUUUCAUCACUGCAAAAAUGAAAAUAAUAGAAAUGAAAGACUAGCCAUUGUAUGAGAUUUAUAAUUGUAACUGUCAACGAAAUUGGGAGAAAUUUUUAAAUUUUAUGAAAUUUUAAAAUUUAACUGUCAAUAAUAGAAAAUUGCCUGAGUAACUUGAGAUAAGAGGUUGAACAUUUCUGGAUCACAUUACAUUUAAGAUGGGUCUUUAAGGUUAUACUUUAGUUAUUGAGAACAUUUUCCACAAGUUACCGUCGUUAUUUGUGGGGUAAGUGGUUGAACACUUCUGGAACACAUUGCAUUUAGGACGGGUAUCAUUCAUAGACUGACUUUUCUAUAAUUAGUCCUUGCUUUACUUUAGGUGGAUUCUUCCAACUAGUCCAAGAAUUAUUGUACAGUUACAAUUAAUCUUUUUAAAUGAGACAAACAUUUCAAAUUUGUCGUUACUAUUUGUGAGUGAUUUGGGGGUAAGAAGUUUAACACUUCUGGAUGUCUUAUAGAAUUGUGAUUAUACUUUUUGAGUAUUGACUCAGUUUUCCACAAUUGUGGGUCUCUAUUUGAGCAAAACAAUUUCAACAUUUCUUCAUCUCGUUUAAUCCAAAUGCAUUUAUGCAUUUCUUAUAUCAUUGAAUUUGCUGUUUCCCAUUCAAAUUUUGGACAAGUAGAAUUUUCUAACCUAUUUUCCAUCAAGAAUUUUCUAACCUAUUUUCCAUCAACUUCACUUGAAUUUUCAAUCACAAUCAAUUGCAUUCAAGAGCACCACAUCUUUUUCGAUGAAACAAAACUUUCAAUUUUAAGAUAAACGGGUCUUUAGGGUUAUUAUUCAUUUAUUGAGGGCCUUUUCAACAAUUGCCAUCAUUAUUUGUUGGUGAUUUGGGGAUAAUAACUUGAACAUUUCUGGAUCACAUUGAAUUCAAUAUUCUUAUACAAUAGUAUUUUAUAUAUAUACGUACAUAAUUUAUAUUAAACUAUUUUUAUUUUAUAUAUUAUUGAUUUCGUAUUAUUAUAACUAUUGACCUUAUGUUUAUAUGUUUUUUUAAAACCUAUUUUUUACAUAUACAAUUUACUUCUUUUAAAAAAACCCUACUUCAUAUACUUGGUUUAUUUCAAAUUUCUACAUAUAUUAUUAUGCAUAUAUAUAUAUAUUAUCAUUUGUAUUGUUAUUAAGCUUUUCAUUUCAUAUAUAUUAAUUAUUUAGGUUAAUACAUACAUUAUUUUGUACAUUACCUAUUUUGAUUUUAUUCUUAUGCAAAAUUUACUUUAAAAUUUGUUUACAUAUUAUUGUUUCACAUAGUAUUUAUUUUUAACUCUAUUUUUGGUCUAUUUCGAAUUUUCAUGUACAUUAUUUAUUUUUAUACUUUUUGGAUUUACAAUUUCCUUUCUUUCAUGCCAUUUUUUAAUUAUUUCAAAACUUAUACAUUGGAUUUGCAUUUGUGUUAAUUUGUUUGCUUUUUAGGUUUUACUAGCUUUUAAAUAUGGAUGUUAGUAGUUGCAUAAUGUGUAAUAUAAGAUUGUUGCCCUUAUGUAUGUUGUAUUGUUUAUUUGUAUUUUAUUGAUCCUUUGUUGCUCAUUAGCUUACAUUUAGCUUACAAAUUGUAAGUGUAACUUUUGAGGGCUAAAUUUAUUAUUAUACCAACCAAAAUCAUGUACAUUUUAUGAAAAAUUAACAUCUUGAUUAAUUAUUCUUAGUUGCUCACUUUCAAAAUUUCUCUGAUUUUUUUUGGGUGACCAAUUUCCUGAAAUUGGAAAGUGAGAGAGACUAUUGAGAUCUUUUACGUAUAUUUUUUUAUAAAUAUAUUUUUUAAAUAUAAAACAUAUUUGUUCACACACAUCAUGAGUGUCGAAACCAUUUUUUUAAUAAAUGGGGGUCGACUUUUAUUUUGAAAAUGAAAAUAAACAAAUGGGACUCGCCACUGAUCUUUUGUUUAGUGUGAUCAGAUCACCUUGAAAGCGAUUUUGGUCUACGAAAUUUGAGAAAACAGGUUGGGGAGUCGAUUACGCACGAGGAAGGGUUAGCACCCUCGUAACACCCAAAAUUGGUACCUAAUUGAUUAAUUAAUGUCUUAAUGUCGAAAUUUUAAAAAAAAAAUUUAAAAUACAAUCCUUCUAUUCAAAUGAACACUUGUAUGAAUCAGAUUGCGUACUAAGACCCUCUUGUUUUGGAGAAAUAGAAUGCCACACACAGUGAGUUAGGAUAUGACAUUUUCACAUCUUCCAAAAAUGAGCUGGCCUUUUGAUUUUUUUUUUUAAAAAAAAAACUCUUGCAGUGAAGUUUAAAAAAAGGAUACUCUAUUGUUUUGGUUAGAUGAAAAUAAAUGAAUAAAUGAAUAGCAUACAAGAAAGGAAAUUUAAAAUUAUCAAUACAUAAACAAUAAAUUAUAUGCAUUAACUUUUAAAAUAAACAAUAUAUAUACGAGUUUGAAAUAGAUCAAAAAUGAAGAUAAAAAAUAGAUACUAUAUGAAAUGAUAAUAUCAAAAUGAAUUUUAAAGUAAAUAUUGAAUAAAAAAAAUCAAAAUAUGUAAUAUACAAAAUAAUAUAUAUUAAUCUAAAUAAAUAAUAAAUAUGGAAUGAAAAAUUCGAAAUAGAUAAUACUAUAUAUAUAUAUAUAUAAAUAUAUGUGAAAAGUCGAAAUAGGUAGAAUAUAAUAAAAUAGGUUUUUUAAAGAAAUAAAUUAUAUAUAUAUGGAAAUAGGUAACAAAGAUAUAUAUAACAGCAUGAAAUCAAUAAUAUAUUAUAUAUGCAUAUAUGUAUAAUAAAAAUAGUUUAAUAACACUUGUAUAUAUAUGUAUAAAAUAGUAAUAUGAAAGAGCAUUAUCGUAUAAAUCUUUAAAACAAAGAAGUAUAUAUAAGUGCAUUUUAAAAAUGUAUUUAAAAUAAAACCAUUAAAAACGUAUAAAUUAUAUUGAAAUUGCAUAAAAAGUAUAUAAAAUAAUAGAUGGAAAUUAAAAUAAUAAUAUAUGAUAAAUUUUAAAAAAAAAGUAAUUAUACAUGAAAAACUUAGAAUAAUAAUACAUAAAAAACUUAAAAUAAUAAUACAUGAUGAAUUUAAAUAACAAAUACAUGAUAAAUUUAAAUAAUGUUAAUGAUAAAUUUAAAAUAAUAAUAUAUUACAAAUUGAAAUAAUAUUGAUGAUAAAUUUAAAAAUAAUGUUAAGCUUAAACAUAAAAAUAAUAUUAGAUUUAAAAUUAAAUAUAUAUUUUUUUAAAAAUAACAGGAUAAUAAAUAUUUAAAAAAAUUGAACACGUUAAAUUAAACAAAUACGGGUUAAAUUGUAUUUAAUACAAAAUUAAAAGAAAAAAUGAAAAUAAAAUAAAAUAGAGGGCCAAAAUGCAGCACACGAAUAACAUGGGGGACUAAAUGGGGAAUAUUCCCUGCCCACCAAAACGCUGUGUUGCAAUAUGGAUCAAAAUGAACAGUAUUCAAAUUAAACGAGGUAAAUUUAAAAAUAAAAAAUGAAAUUAAAAUAGUGAAAGAAAAUAAAAGGGUCAAUGGUGCAAAUAUCCCCUUUUAGACCCAAAACACGUGGAUCUGACCUUGCUCGAGUCGGGUCAUUAGAUCUCUUAAACCUAAACCAUUGAAGCAAGGCCCAAACGGUACCAUUUCAUGGUCUUCUUAAAACAAAAACCUAAACCACUAUUUGGUUGUUCUUAAAUCAGAUUAGCCAAAACCCUAGCCGCUCGAAUGCUUUGCCGAUAUUCAACCUUACAGUCCUCGCUUGAGCUCCGAUUACGACAAAGUGAAUGGGGAUACAAUGGCGCUAUCUUAUAGGUAAAUCCCUCUCCUCUCAUUCAUUUCUCUUUCACAAACAAGUAUAACAAACAAAGAUUGAGGAAACAGAAAAGAAAAAAGAAAUCUAAAGAUAAAGAAAUGGGAUUUUUUUUCAUAACGGCUAAAUCAUUCAACUCAUAGUUUUUGUUAAAUGAAGAGGUCAAUUGAUUUUUUUGGAAUCAUUGAGUACUCAAUUGGUGCACUUUUUUCAUAAAGGCUAAAUUAAUUUUUUAAUUUGUUACUGUUGAGGGCUAUAGCAAUAAAAAAAAUUGAGGUAAAAUGGAAAAAAUGUUAGAGCUAAAUUUAUCACUAUGCCUAAAACCAAAAUUUUUUGAAAAUAAAAAAAAAUGGAAAAUCACAAAUUUUGUCACUUAUGUUAGCUUAAAAUUAUAGUUUUGGUCACCAAUCUUUUGAAGUAAAUAUCUGGUCAACAAUAUUAUCCAUUUGUUACUUUGUAAUAACUCACCUUAAAGUUAUAUCCCUGCGCAAGAAAGGAUUAAAUGACAAACUUGUAUCUUUUUUUAUUCAUCCAAUGUCAUUUCAACAUUUUCAUUUAAAAAAAUUGACAUAUCAUUUUGAAUUCCAUCUUUUUCAUGAUGAAACUAUUGAAAUGAUGUUAAAUUACUGGAAAGAGAUACAAGUUUAAUCUUAUCUAUCUAAGAAAGCUGAUGUAACACAUUAAUGACAUCAUUCCAAACAAAGUUUUAGGUCCAAUUGUUCAUCUAGCCCUUGUAAUUGUUUUUAGGUGAAUUUCAUUAUUAAUCUUUUAUUUUCUUUGGCUUAAAUACACAUUUACCCUUAAUUUUAUCACAUUCUCCUUCACUGGUAUUUAUGGUUUAGAAAAUUUUACAAAUAUAUUAUUUUUUAAGAAAUUAUAAGAAGAUUACAAAAAUUCCAAAAUAAUAUAAAAAAGCUAAGGAAAACCUAGAAAUUCAAAAAAAAAAUCAUGUUUUUACAAAUUGGGAAAUACCUAAAUUUGUUUUCAUCAAUUAAGAAAUUAAAAAAAUUGUUGAGAAAUAUCUUUUUAGAAAUAUCAUAAUUGCAUUUAAGACCUCAUGAUUAUCUUUUAUAAUUUCAAGGUUAUCAACUAUUUUGAAAACAAAGACAAAAACAAAAACAAAAACGUCGACAUAUCACUUUAGCAUUGACUUACUUUUCUACAGUUAGUCUUCUCCAACAAGAUAAAUAUUUCAAUUUUAACAACAUUGACAGGUCUUUGGGGUAGGGUCGAGCAAAAGUCAAUAGAAACAGAUGAUAUAAGUUUAAAUCGGCCCGGUCAAGCCGAUGUCCUGGUAAAAUCAAUUUUAAAAUUAAUUAUAAUAGUUUAAGCGAAUUGAUUAUUAAGUAAUGAAAUACUUAAUUCAAACAAUUGAUGUAAUCAAAUUAUAAUAAAUAUAUAUUUACUUUUAUGGGAUCCUUCAUCUCCUUUUUAGAGUUUGUGGCAAUAUUUAUUUUAAGCUUCAAAUUUAUAUUUUUUAUUUAUGAGUACAAUGUGUUUUACAAUUACAUCUACAGUGUAUAUUUUUUAUUUUAAAACAUAUAUUAUAAUAUAUGAAAAACAUAUAUGUCGAAACCAUUUUUAAUAAUUUUGAAAAACGGGGAUCGACUUCGAAAAUAAAAUGGGAGUCACCAUCGAUCUUUUAUUGAGAUAUGAUCGGUUCACCAUUAGACGUAAUUUUGGUCUGCAAAUUUUGAGAAAACAAGUUCAGGAAUCUGUUAAGCACGAGGAAGGGUUAGCACCCUCGUAACGCCCAAAAUUGGUACCAAAUUGAUUGUUUAAUGUCUUAAGGUCGAAAUUUUGAAAAGAUUUUAAAAUACGAUCCUUUGAAGUUUAAAUUUGAAUAAACCAAAUUGAAUAAUAAGACACACUCAUUUCGAAUAAAUAAAUUGUCACACUCAGUGAGUUAGGAUGCAACAAUUCAAUCAUCAAAAUUAAGUAUGUCUUUUUUAAUUUUAAAAUUUUAAAAUUCAUGCAUUUUGAGAAUGUUGUUCGGUUAUUUAAGUCAAACGAGAAAUCAGAAUUCAGUAAGUUAGGUUUCGAUUUCUUGAAGUUCUUAAACAUCAAAUAUUGUCUUUAUUUUAAAAUCAGGAUAUCAGAAUGUCACAUCCGGUAAGUUAGGAUCCGACAUUUUGAAAUCCUAAAUGCUUAGUUUUAAAAUGGUAUGGUUUUAAUAAAAUAAGCAUAUAGCUAUUUAAAUUCAUCGAGAAAAAUUGGAACCCAAUAAGUUAGGGCACAAUUCUCUCGAAAAUUAUAAAUGCUAGACCUUUUUUAAUAUGAAAUAGAAUAAAAAAUUUAAAAGAAGUAUGAAAUGUAAAAGAUGAUUGAUAAUUCAAACUUAAACUAAGAAGUAGCAAAUAAGUGAUAAAUAAAUACAAAUAAGGAAUAGCAAUAAUAGUUUUAAUAAUAUUAUAUUAACGCUAACAUUGACAAUCAAACAUCAAAUUCUAAAGUAUAUCCAAGAUGAUAAAAGGGGAAUUUCACCUCACGAAACUUAUGCACACAAGUUCUAAAAGAUUUAUUCACAAAAUCAAAAUAGAUUCGAAAUAAAAUAAUAAUAACAUUGUAUAAUAGCAUUUCGAAAUGAGCUUGAAACAAAUAAAAUAUAUUUAUUAAUCCACCUUAAAUAAUACACAUAAAAUAACUAUGAAAGGGUCUCAAUGCAUGUAUGAUUUAAAAGAAAUAAGUAAUUACCCAAAUAGGUUUUCAAAGAAAUAAAUUAUAUAAAUGAAAUCGACUUAAAAUUCAUAUAUGCAUAUAAAAAUACUUUGAAAAUUUAUAAUCAUGAUGAUAUUAAACAUCAAAACAAUAAUAUAUAUAUUUUUUGAAAUAAUUUAAUAUCACAUAUAGUAGCAUUUAAAAACAUUAUAUUAAAAGAAAAUUAAGUUAUAACACAAAAUGAAUUACUAAAAUAUGUUCAAAGUAUGUCAAAUUGCUAUAAAACAUUUUUACAUAUAUAGAUGAUGAAACAUAUAAUGAUAUAGAGUUUUAAAAUAAAAAGGAUAAAUUUUAAAAAAAUGUUAAUAAACUCAAAACAUGUUAAUAAUAAUUUUAAAUAACAAUAUGUUGUACCUUAAAAUUAUAAUAAAAAUGUUUGAAAACAGUGUUAAUCCUAAUAUUUAAAACUUAUUAAAAAUAAACAUAUUAAAAAUACUAAGCUAACUUUACAUUAUGUUAUAUAUAUAAAAAAAAACUAAAUUUGAAUGAAAUUUGUAGAAGCCCAAAUUUGCCGGGCCCAUACCAACAAAAUAACCCAAACAAUAAACCCGAAGCCCAACUACCCCAGCCCAUUAACCUAAGCUCAGCAUUCAGAAACCCUAAUCCCACUAACCCUAGCCACCUACCCCCACUUGCCCACUUGCCCACUUGCGCCGAACACCACCAUGCCACUAUCGGCCAUGGCCACCUGCAAGAAGCCAAGUAGAAAUAAACAAAUAGAAAAUAAACAUUUGUAAUUGGUUAUAAAAACCGAAAAUCUCACCAUUGAUAAAGGGGAUUUUUUAUUUUUUGCUAUGAAAACAAAAGAUUUUCUUUCAAUAUUAACAGAUUCAAUACAAGAACCAUUCGAAAAUAUAUAUACUAUCAGGGGCUCUAACACCAAAUCGGAGAAUCAAAUCUAAAACCUAAGGUGAACCUAAGGUGACUCUUUCUUUUUUUUUUCUUUACUGUUUUGAGUUUAUUUUCUACAUAAAAAUACUAAAAAAUAUUAAAACAUAAAAAUAUAUGCAUUAUUAAGCAAAAAAAAAAAGAAAAAAAGAAAAAAAAUAUUUUUUUUACCUUUUCCGGCCACCGCCGGCGAGCCUCCGGUGGCCGUCCGGUGACCGGCCCCCUGGCCGGAUUCCCCUUUCCCCCUCCCUUCUCUCUCCCUUCUCUCUUCCCUCUCUCUCUUCUUUUUUUUCUUUCCCUCUCCCCAAAGGAUUUUUUUGGCUAUUUUAGGCCUUUAUAUAGCCCUCCAAAACGAUGUCGUUUUGGGGGCUACACUUAAGCCUCAAAACGACGUCGUUUUGACCAUUGCCCGACCCAUCCGACCCGACCCGCUAGAGGAUCCGCGUGUUUUCGUUUGAAUGGGAUAUUUAUGCGCGCAGUCCUUCCGCUUUUUCAAGGUUUUGCAGUUAAGUCAUUUUUCUUGUUUCCAAUUUGGCCCCAUAAUUUCUCGCGCUUUUCGAUUUAGUCCCCGCUAAUGUGCUGUGUUUUAAUGGAAUGGAAUAAUUGUUGUUUCGGUCCUCCUAUGUUUUGUGCGCGCUCAAAUAAGCCCAUUUCUCUUUAUUUCCUUUCACAUUUGCCCCACAACUUUGUUUUUAAUUCAAUUUUAGUCCUUUUUCGUUUAUUUUUAUAUCUUUAUUAAAUAUCAUUGUUAUUUUAUAUUAUUAGUAUUAUUAGUAUUACUAUUAUUAUUAUUAUGUAUUAGUAUAUAUUUUUAUUAUGUACGCGUAUACAUGUAUAUAUAUUUUCAUAUUUAAUAUUUUUAUUUCAUUUUUUUCUAAUAUUUUAUUAUAAUUUAUAUAUAUAUACAUAUACAUAUUCUUUAUUUAUUUUAAGUAUAUAUUUUUUAUAUUUCAUAUUUUCUACAGGCAUAUAUAUACUUAUAUAUUUACAUAUUUUAAUUCAUAUACUUAUAAAUGUAUGUACAUACUUACGUUAUUUUAUUUUUAUAAUAUACAUAUUUAUAUUUUUUUGUCUUUAUGUAAUAUAUAUACAUACAUGCGCAUGUUAUUUAUAUAUAUGUAAUUAUGUUUUCAUAUUUUAUAAUUCUUGUACAUACAUAUAUAUAUAUAUAUGUAUAGACAUACAUAUUUUCAUUAUAUAUAUAUACCUACAUAGUUUUUUUUUUGUAUUUUAAAUCUUUUAAAAUUCAUACAUGCAUUUUUAAAACUUUUAUAAUUUUAUUCAUUUCUUUAUUAUUAUUAUUGUUUUACUUUAUGUUUAUCUAUUUAUUUAUGUGUCCAUUAUUAUUUUUUUUAAAAAAUGUUUUAGUUUUUUUUAUUUUGUUUAUUUACUUGUUAUUGUAUAUAAUUGAUUUUUUAUAUAUUUAUUUUUGUUAUCUUCGCUCGUAUUAUUUUUACUCGCAUUAUCGUAAUUGUUAUUCCGUCACAUCAAUUUUUACCCAAAUUCGUAAAAAAGGGAAAAUUUUGGAAAUAAAGGCAAUACUCGAUACUUGGGAUCUUCGAGAGAAUUGGGCCCUAACGUGCUGGGUUCUAAUUUUCUGUUGAAUCUAAAUGCUCGAGAAUGCUCUUUAAUAUAAAACAUAAAUAAAAACUCAUUAUCGGGAUUUCAAUAUGUUGUGUCCUAACGCAUUGGAUAUGACACGUGGUUUUCUCGAUAUGAGGAUUUUUUUUUUCGAAAGUAAAGACAAUAUUCCGUAUUUAGAAAAUUCGAGAAAAUCAUGCCCUAACUUACUGAGCUUCGAUUUUUCUCGUUGAUUCUAAGUAAUCGGAUAUCCUUUUAAAAUUAAAAUAAAUGAGGUUUAAAUAAAAAAAUGAAAGGCAAGUUUACUCUCGAAAAUACGAGGUGUCGUGUCCUAACUUACUGGAUGUAACAUCUUGUUACUUCGAGAUAAAGAGGCAUUUUCCAUUUUGAUUUAUUCGAGUAUUUUUAAAAUAACACGAUAUAAGGAGGGAUCAUAUUUUUAAGAUUCUUUUCGAGUUUUUAAUUUUCGACACUAAGACACUAAUUAAUCAACUAGGUACCAAUUUUGGGUGUAUCGAGGGUGCUAAUCCUUCCUCGUGCAUAACCGACUCCCGAACUCAUUUUUCUGAAUUUCGUAGACCAAAAUCGUUGUUUUAAUAAAAUUAAAUCAUUUAUUAAAAACAACCACUUUUUGAGGUGACCCGAUCACACCUCAUCAAAAAAGGAUUGGUGGCGACUCCCAAUUUCGUUUCAUUUUCAAAAUCCAAGUCGACCCCGUUUUCAUCCAAAAAAUGGUGUCAACAGCUUGGCGACUCCACUGGGGACAAUAAGAGAGUCAAGCCACGUGUUGAUUAUUUCUUGUCUUUCUGUUGAAAGUGGAAAAUUCGAUUUAAAUUUACGAUCCUCUCAUUACAUCUCUUUUGUUUUGAGUUAUAUUUUUAUUGUGUUCUGUAUUUUAUUUUAUACCUCUGCACAUUGCAUUGCAUGACCGCUGGUCAUACCCUUUUUAAGUGGGAGUGAGAAGCUACGCCUUCGUGAGGUUUUCACCUCCGCAUGGGAUAGUGAAUCGCUUUCGGGAUAUAUCCGUACCUAUGUCUUCGUGAGAUUUUCAUCUCCGCAUGGCCAUAGGGAAAUGUAUCCCCCUGAAUCGAACUCGGUCCAUAUGAGCCUAUAAUGGGUGAGGAUCGAGGAAUCUGCUGGUUCAGGUACCCUUACUUUAGAACCAAACCUCAUGUAGUGAACCUUAGGAGCCCACCCUAGGUAGAACCACCUCCAAACCCCUAGUGGUCACCCGAAUUGCUUUAUUUGUUAUUUAUUCUGCACUAACGUGUUUUGUUUUUUUUUUGUUUAUAAUUGCAUUGUAUUACAUCAUCCUAGGAAGGAGGUGUUGAUUUAUAUUUGAUUGCUAAAUAGAACAGUUUGUCAUAAGAAAACAAAUUUUUUGAUAAAGUGGAUUAUAACACGGUUGUCUAAAUAUGGUCCAAGUGAAUACAUGAAAGAAGGCUGAUAGUCCGUGAAGAAAUACAAGACUUUGCUUCAUUGCCUGAAGACAGAAACUAACAAAGAUUAUUCGAGAGCUGUCAUGUCUUGACUUUCUUAAAGGAGCUGAAAAGUAUCAUAGAAAUAAGUGAGCAACGAGUCGCUGCCUGGAUCCAGCAAAAAAGCAGUUAAUAUAGACAUCUCUUGGAGAAUUCGUCAGACUCGACCAUAAGAUCCAGAUAUGAAGAGGAAGAAAGGUGUCUUCACUUGGAAUAUGAGAGAAAGACCGUGUAUGUAGUCCGUUUUAUGUAAAGGAAUUUGUUUUCUAGAAAAGUUGUUCCAAUGAAAUUAAAUUUAGAAUCAAUGUCUUCCUUUCUUUUUGCAUUCAUGCAUUUGCAUUACAUUACAUCAAAGAAAAGAAUGUGUUGAUUCGAAAUUCGAUUCCUAAAUAGAAUAGUUUGUCAUAAGGAAACGAAUUUCUUGAUAAAGUGGAUUAUAGUGCGGUCACCUGAAUAUAGUCUGAGUAAACACGAUGAGAGAAAGCUGGUAGUUCACGGAGGAAUACAUGAUGUAAUUUCUAGAGAUUCAAGCCAACGAAGGCAUGACGAGAGAAAGCCGGAAGUCCACGAAGGAAUACAUGACUUGAUUUAAUUGCCAACGAAGAUUAUCCAAGAGCCGGCACUUUUUGAUGAAUAUCAUGGAGAUAAGCGAGCAAGAGAUCGAGGCUCAGGUUAAGCAGUAAGGAGCUAGCAAAGGCAUCUUUUGGAGAAUUUACAGGGUUUAACCAUGAAGAAAAUAUCAGCGUUUACUUGGACUAUGAAGGGCAAUACCACAUAUGUAAACUAUUUUCAUGUAAAAAAAUUUGUCUUCUAGAAAAAUUAUUCUAAUAGAAUUAAAUUUAGAAUCAACGCAUUCUUUUUCUUUGCAUUCUUUUCAUGCAUUGCAUCACAUCAUAUGCAUUAAUGACCAUUUAAAAAGAACUUAAUCGAAUAAAAUCAUUUCAGUUAACCUGGAAAACCAACAAAGUUACGGCACCCGAGCUAAGGCAAAAGUUAUGGACCAAAGGUUGGAGAAGCUAGAGCGACUUCAAAAAGAAAUGCAAGACCAGUUGCAGGCGCAAAUGAAAGAGCAAAUGGAAAAGAUUCAGCGUGACAUGGUGCAAAAGAUGGAGGAGUCCCAAAAUGAUCUGGUGGCUAAGAUGACGCAAUUAUUGAAGGGAGUAGAUAAGGGUAAAGGUCCUGUGAUUGUUAGUGAAGAAGAAAACAAUGGUGAACCACUUUAUCCUCCAGGUUUCACGCCUCCGCAUGAGCAAGUACAGACUGAGCUGCAUCUGCGGAGACCCUCUGUGUCGGUUAGGCCCCAGCAGUUCCAAGGCGAUGCUUCAAUCCCAAUGAAUUUUCAACCCGGAGCGGGCUUUAAUCCCAGUGAUAGCCCGAAUAAUAUUGUUGUCCCAGAUCUUGAUGAGAUGGUUGAAAAGGACAAGGCGAAGGAGGAAUUUCCAAAACAAUUUGAGGAGAAAUGGAAAUGGAUAGAAGAAAAGUUUAGGGCAAUAGAAAGCAUCGAAAGCUACGGAAUAGAUGCAAAGGAUCUGAGCUUGGUUCCGGACUUGGUGCUCCCUUACAAAUUUAAGAUGCCGAAAUUCGAGAAAUACAACGGGACUAGUUGCCCAGGAUCCCAUAUUACUAUGUUUUGUAGAAGAAUGACGGGGCAUAUUAAUAAUGAUCAAUUAUUAAUACAUUGCUUUCAGGAAAGUCUUACGGGAGCGGCGUCAAAGUGGUACAAUCAGCUGAGCCGAGCUAAAAUUGCUACUUGGAGGGAUUUAGCACAGGCUUUCCUGAGACAAUACAAUCAUGUCUCAGAAAUAAUGCCUGACAGGAUAACUCUGCAAAAUUUAGAGAAGAAAUCAAACGAAAGCUUCAGACAAUAUGCGCAGAGGUGGCGAGAGGUGGCAGUUCAGGUGCAACCACCGCUUUUGGAAAAAGAGAUGACAACGCUUUUUAUUAAUACUUUGAAAGCCCCGUUCAUCACUCACAUGUUGGGAAGCGCUUCAAAAAAUUUCUCGGAUAUAAUCAUGAAUGGUGAAAUGAUUGAGCAUGCCAUUAAAAGUGGAAAAAUAGAUGGAGGAGAAAAUAAUAGGAGGGCACCCCUGAAGAAAAGAGAAAAUGAAGUGAAUAAUGUGAAUGCUUAUGGUAGGUCAAUUACCGUGAAUCAACCAAAGAAAGUGGUUGCUAAUCAACAGGGAUCAUCAAGACAAGAGUCGGGAGCUAGGCAAACUACUGAAAAGCCCUAAUUCACGCCAAUCCCGAUGUCAUACAAGGAGUUGUAUCAGACUUUAUUCGAUGCACAUGUUGUUGCUCCUCGUUACUUGAGUCCUCUACAACCCCCGUAUCCAAAAUGGUAUGAUAUGAACGCGCAAUGUGAUUAUCAUGCGGGAAUUUCUGGGCACUCGAUAGAAAAUUGUACUGCCUUCAAGAAGGUAGUAGAAGGACUUAUCAAUUUAGGUGUCGUCAAACUUGACGACUCACCUAACGCAAAGAAUCCGUUACCUAAUCACGCAGAUAAAGGGGUGAAUAUGGUUAGCGAAGAUACGGGAGAAGAAGCCAAGACUGACAUUGCUGAAGUAAAAACUCCAUUGAAACGGGUCUGGAAAGAAAUGGCGAAAAGAGGUUUGGUUAUUUCAGAUUCUGAGGAAGGGCAUGAGAUGGGAAAUUAUUGUGAAUUUCACCAUAAAACAGGGCACGAAAUCCAAGAAUGUGAAGGAUUUAAGGCUUUGGUUCAAAGCAUGAUGGAUAACAAGGAGAUGAGGUUUUACGAAGAUGCGAAAGAAAUGAGGAGCAUAUGCGCGACAGAGUUGGGAACAAAGGCUCCAAAUCAUCCUGUGGUCAUUAUCUCACGCCCUAAGGGUAAGGAGGUUAGGGCUCAGGUAACACCGAAAAUUGUAAUCCAGAAACCAUCAAAUUUCUCUUAUAGGGAUAACAAAAUGGUACCGUGGAAUUACGGGUGUAAUGUGACCAUUUUGGGAAAAGAAGCAGAAAGAAAUCAGGAAAUAGGUUCUUACACGCGCAAUAGAAAAAGAUAUGACGCUCAAGCAGAGUCGUCCAGGGAAGAGAAUUGGAAGAAAGAACAGAGGAAAGGGAAAGCAGUAGAAGUUGAGCCAUUGGUAAAUGAACCAAAAAAAGAAGAGGAGGCAAAGGAGUUUUUGAAGUUUUUGAAACACAGUGAAUACAGUGUUGUGGAGCAACUACACAAACAGCCAGCCCGCAUUUCUGUAUUAGCUUUACUCUUAAACUCGGAAGUACAUCGGAAUGCACUAUUAAAGGUGCUAAACGAAACAUAUGUGGCUGACGAUAUUUCGGUAAACAAGCUGGAUCGGCUGAUCAACAAUAUUGGUGCUGACAAUUUUAUCUUCUUCAGUGAUGAUGAAAUACCAUCCGGAGGAAGAGGUUCUACUAAAGCCCUGCAUGUUACUGUCCGAUGCAAAGGGUACACACUCCCGGGGGCCUUGGUUGAUAAUGGAUCUGCACUAAAUGUAUUGCCUUUGUCCACUCUUAGUCGAUUACCAAUAGACAGUUCGCACAUGAAAGCAUGCCAGAACAUAGUAAGGGCAUUUGAUGGAACAAAAAAGGAGGUUAUGGGGAGAAUUGAGGUACCAUUAAGGAUUGGCCCAGUCACUUAUGAGGUGGAUUUCUUGGUAAUGGAUAUUAAACCCUCCUACAACUGUCUAUUGGGGAGACCGUGGAUACACUCAGCAGGGGCAGUACCUUCAUCAUUACAUCAGAAGGUGAAGUUGGUAUCGGAGGAUCGGUUGGUAACAAUAGAUGCAGAGGAGGAUAUUAUCGCAAUGAUGACUAGCGAUGCACCUUAUGUGGACAUCAACGAUGAGGCACUAGAAUGUUCUUUUCGGUCGUUAGAAUUUGUGAACGCGAUGUUUAUUGCGGAGGGAAAUAGAAUUCCAGUACCAAAAAUAUCCAGGACCACUGAGAUGGGAUUGCGAUUGAUGGUAGGAAGAGGAGCCUUACCCGGGAAAGGAUUGGGAAAAUAUCUUCAGGGAAGGAUUGAGGCACCAAUGCCGAAGGAAAAGUUUGAUAGAUUUGGUUUAGGGUACAAGCCAGACAUGAAGCAGAAGAAGAAAGAAGUAGAGAAGAGACAAGAGAGAAGAAGGGCGCGUUUGAAUGGACAUGAAGCUAAGUGUGAGCCUUUAACCUUUCCCCACAUAUCUACAUCUUUUGUGUCGGGAGGAUUUAUUCAUUCUGAAUGUGGAGUGUCCGGUAGCGGCAUGGGAGGAAUGUUGGAAAACGUUUAUACCAACGCCAUAGAAGCAACGGAAAGGAGGGCCUUGUUGGAGAUCUGCCCUUAUGAGCCUGGAAGCGAGCUAAACAAUUGGACUGCUGAAGAAAUCCCUGUAGUCUUUAGGGCUUAUUCAGAGUAAUGCUCAAAACAUUCCUGUUGUUUGUUGGCCUAGAAACGAUAUGAAAUCUUUUGUGAAAUAGGCAUUGGGCCUAAAUAUCAUUAUUUUAAUGAAAUACGUGUCUACGUUCAUCUCGAUCAGUCACUUUUUUUUCCUUUCAUAUUUUUCAUUUGGUUGAUUGUCUUACAAAUAAUUCUUUCAUUUGUAAUUCUUUUGCACAAACAUAUUCAUAAAUUUAUAUUCUUGGUAUAUUCUUUGAUGCGCCCUCAUAGGUCUUCAGAUAUCAAUGACAUGAGUGACGCUGCCUCAAACACGGAGCCUAUUUUUGAGCAAAAAGUGUGUUCAGAGGGAUCCCACGACUUUGACGAAGAUUAUGAUGCAUCUCCGGACUUGUUAAGAAUGAUGGAACAAGAGGAUAAGCAUAUCCUACCUCAUAGGGAAUCGUUAGAAAUAGUGAGCCUAGAGGAUGGAAAGGAGGUGAAAAUUGGAUCUGAAAUCACCGCAAAGACAAGGCAAGACCUCAUUAAUUUGCUCCGAGAGUUCAAGGAUGUUUUCGCGUGGUCGUACCAAGAUAUGCCUGGGCUAAGUACUAACAUUGUGGUGUAUCGUCUGCCCAUAAAGGAGGAUUGUAAACCCGUUCAACAGAAGCUUAGGAGAAUGAGACCUGACAUUGUGUUGAAAAUAAGAGAAGAAGUCAAAAGACAAUUCGACGCUGGAUUCUUACAAGAAGUCAAGUAUUCGGAUUGGGUAGCCAACAUCGUCCCAGUUCCCAAAAAAGAUGGAAAGGUACGAAUGUGUGUGGAUUAUAGGGAUUUAAACAAGGCUAGUCCAAAGGACAACUUUCCACUGCCUCAUAUUGAUACUUUGGUAGAUAACACGGCGGGCUAUUCAUUGUUUUCUUUCAUGGACGGUUUUUCUGGAUACAAUCAAAUAAAGAUGCAUCCUGGAGACAUGAGGAAAACCACAUUCAUUACCUUAUGGGGAACAUUCUGUUACAAGGUAAUGCCCUUCGGAUUGAAGAAUGCGGGAGCAACAUAUCAAAGAGCUAUGGUGACUUUGUUUCACGACAUGAUGCACAAAGAGAUCGAAGUCUAUGUUGACGAUAUGAUCGCGAAGUCUAGAACGGAAGAAGAGCAUGUUCAGGUCUUGAAAAAGUUAUUUUUGAGAUUAAAGAAAUUUCAGCUCAAGCUUAACCCGGCCAAAUGCACGUUUGGAGCCAGAUCAGGGAAGUUAUUAGGCUUCAUAGUUAGCAAAAAGGGGAUCGAGGUUGACCCAGACAAAGUAAAGGCAAUACGAGAUUUACCUCCCCCGCGCACUCAGAAGGAGGUUCGAGGUUUCCUAGGGAGGCUGAAUUACCUUGCUCGGUUCAUCUCAUAACUGACAGAGAAAUGUGAUCCAGUAUUCCGGCUCUUAAAGAAACAUAAUCCGGGUGAAUGGGAUGAAGAGUGUCAGAGGGCUUUCGAUAAGAUAAAGCAGUACUUGGCUAAUACCCCAGUCUUAUCACCUCCAAGUCCAGAUAGGCCAUUGAUAUUGUAUCUAACAGUGUUGGAGAAUUCCAUGGGAUGCGUAUUGGGCCAACAUGAUGAGAUAGGAAAGAAAGAAAGGGCAAUAUACUACCUCAGUAAGAAAUUUACCGAUUGCGAAAUGAGGUACUCAUCAAUUGAGAAGUUGUGUUGCGCUCUAAUCUGUGCAACCCGAAGACUGAGGCAGUAUAUGUUGUAUCACACGACUUGGCUGAUUUCAAAGUUAGAUCCUUUAAAGUAUAUGAUGGAAUCGACUGCUUUGAACGGGAGAAUGGCUAGAUGGCAGAUCUUGCUCUCAGAAUUUGAUAUAGUAUAUGUCAGUCAGAAGGCCAUAAAGGGAAGUGCAAUAGCCGAUUUCCUAGCUAGUAGAGCCUUGGAGGACUAUGAAUCUUUGAAUUUCGAUUUUCCAAACGAGGACUUGAUGUAUGUGGCGAAUACUGAAGAAAAUCCUUAAAUGGAUCGCGUAUGGAAGUUAAAUUUUGAUGGAGCUUCAAAUGCUACGGGUAAUGGAGUUGGGGCAGUUUUGGUAUCCCCAAGUGGAGAUCAUUAUCCUGUUGCUAGCAAGUUGGACUUCGAUUGUACAAAUAACAUGGCAGAAUAUGAAGCAUGUAUUAUGGGCAUUCGUGCAGCCAUUGAACGGAACAUCAAAGUACUGAGAGUAUACGGGGAUUCAGCGUUGGUGAUAUACCAACUCAAAGGGGAGUGGGAGACUAGGGAUCCUAAGCUAAUCGGUUAUAGAAAACUAGUUCUUGAAUUGGCUGAGGAGUUUGACGAUAUCACCUUCUAUUACCUCCCACGGGAGGAAAACCAAAUGGCUGAUGCUUUAGCUACUCUAGCUUCGAUAAUUCAGGUGAAUAGACUUGAGGCAAUGAGGCCUGUUCAGAUGAGUAUCUCUGAGACCCCGGCUAAUUGCUGCAAUAUUGAGGAGGAGGGAAAAGAUGAUUGUCCUUGGUAUCAGAGUAUCCUACAAUAUGUGAAGAAUCGGGAAUACCCUGAUCAAGCGACAGAGAAUGACAAAAGAACUCUGAGAAAGAUAGCCAUUGAAUAUGUCUUAGAUGGAGAAGUGUUAUAUAAAAGAAGGAAGGAUCAAGUACUGUUAAGGUGUGUGGAUGCUGUGGAAGCCAAGAAAAUUUUGGAAGAAGUCCAUGAGGGUAUUUGUGGGACGCACGCCAGUGGUUUCACGAUGGCCAGACAGAUCAUGAGAUUUGGGUACUAUUGGCCCACCAUGGAAGGAGAUUGUAUUGAUUAUGCCAGGAAGUGCCACAAAUGCCAAAUUUACGGAGACAAAAUGCACGCGCCCCCUUCACCUCUUCACGUCAUGACCUCUCCUUGGCCGUUUUCCAUGUGGGGUAUGGAUGUUAUUGGGCCAAUAUCACCAAAGGCUUCUAAUGGGCAUCGCUUCAUCUUCGUAGUAAUUGAUUACUUUACUAAGUGGGUGGAGGCUGCUUCAUAUGCAAAUGUCACGAAAGCAGUAGUCAGCAAAUUCUUGAAGAAGGAGAUCAUUUGUCGAUAUGGAAUGCCUGAGAGGAUCAUAUCCGACAAUGCGAUGAACUUGAAUAAUAGCACAAUAGCUGAAGUUUGUAGCAAAUUUAAAAUUAAGCAUCAUAACUCAUCGCCGUAUCGUCCCAAAAUGAAUGGUGCAGUGGAGGCGGCCAAUAAGAACAUUAAAAGGAUUGUGGGGAAAAUGACUGAAACCUACAAGGAUUGGCAUGAGAAAUUAUCAUUUGCUCUCCUUGCCUAUCGAACAUCUGUUAGAACUUUUACUGGGGCAACGCCUUUUUCUCUGGUUUAUGGAAUGGAGGCAGUAUUACCUAUUGAAGUUGAAAUCCCUUCUCUACGGGUGUUAUCUGAGCUACAGUUGGAUGAAGCCGAUUGGAUCCAAUCUCGGUACGAUCAGUUGAACCUAAUAGAAGAAAAGAGGCUAAGAGCUAUUCACCAUGGGAAAAUGUACCAGAAACGAAUGAUGCGAGCCUAUAAUAAAAAGGUUCGCCCCCGAGAAUUUCGUGAAGGGGACUUGGUACUAAAAAAGAUUCUUUCUAUGCAAAAAGAUUUUAGAGGAAAAUGGAUGCCAAAUUGGGAAGGCCCUUAUGUUGUAAAGAAGGCCUUUUCUGGUGGAGCUUUGAUCCUAUGCGAGAUGGAUGGCAAAAGUUUACCAAAUCCUGUAAACGCAGACUCCGUCAAGAAAUACUUCACUUGAAAGAAAGGGGAACCAAAGUGAAAACCCGUGAAGGGCGCUUUGCUUCCUAAAAAAAAAAGAAAAAAAAAAACUUUGGGGAGGCUAAGGUGAAAACCCGUAAAAGGCACUUUGAGACCAAAGAGGGCUGGAGUCGAAAACCUGAAAAAGGUGACUCAAGUACUGGGCAGGAUUGGAACAUCAGGAUUUGAGCGGAUCAAAUUUUGAUCGGGGGCAUAUGAUUAUCUUGCUUUACUUGAACCAAUAAGAAAGGAUAUGCAACGUCUUGGAACAUGGACAGAGUAUUCCAGAUCUCCUGAACACAUGUCAAACUCAGAAGGGUCUUCGGAAAGUUUGUACAGAGAAACUCAAGCUGCGAUAACUGGGGCACCUAGUUCUUAUGUGUAUUCUUGAAAAUACAUUUUUUUAUUUUCUUUCUUUCUUCCUUUCUUUUGGUGAAAACGCACAUUCUCAAUCCAUUUCUUUGUUACCUUGCUUUCGCCAUCUUUGAUGUUUUAUUCGAGUUAUGAUCAGAACUAGCUUUAUUCUUAUCCAUUGUUAUGAUCUUUUUGCAAACAUGUUGCAUAGGAAUAAUGAUUAACGAACUAAUAAAACUUUCAGGAAAGAAGUUUUGCACAUUACUCUGGAAAAUUUCUAAAUAAUAUAGGGACCUGAAUCAUGACUAUUGUUUAGAAAAUACCAAGUUUAAAGGGUGAAAUAUCUAAGAAGGAAGAGUCUAAUUUAAAGACUAUCCUUUCAGAUUUUGUUGUCUAAACAUUGAUUGAACAAAAUGACAAGCUGUCGUGUUACAAAGCUUAAAUGAACAAGCAAGCAAUGAUCAUCAGGCAAUAGGAAGAGGUUACCUCGGAGAAGAGAGCCUUCACUUGCGCAUAAGACUUUGGUACGACACCUUGAGAAUGGUGUAGGAAACCAGAACGGUUCAGAUCCUAUAUCCCCGAAUUGUGAUAAAAGAGGACAGAGGAAAAGCCACAUAUUUCUACCCUUAGAUUACUGUGAGAGAAUGAUGGUACAAAUUUUGGCGUCCCAGUGGAUAUAACUUUGAGGUUUACAAUGGGGACAGUCUGGCUAAAUGUUUCUUCAGAAAAAAAAAUCAGUCAAGCGAGAAGGCGUUGCAGCACGUCAGUCACAAAGCCUUAGUAAACUUCGAGUAAUGACAACCUAAGCGAGAUCAUUCUCGGAAAAAUAAAAUUCUGCAUUCAUGCGAACACCAUUCACAUAUGUCUAGUUAGGAGCAUUUGUUUCAUUUUGAUCAUGUCAUCCUAAUCAUUAGGCAUAAUUAGGUUUAUUAUACAGGUCUUAUCUCCCUGAGAUUACAGUGGAACAGACCAAAGAAUUUCAGAUCCUAUCUCCCUGAGAUUACAGUGGAGCGGAUUAAAAUAAAGGAUCUUAUCUCUCUGAAGUUACAGCAGAGUAGAUCGCAUCAAGUCUUAUCACCCUGAGGUUACAGGGGAGUAGACCGAAGAAUUUCAGAUCUUAUCUCCCUGAGGUUACAGUGGAGCAGAUUGAAGCCAGAGAUCUUAUCUCUCUGAGAUUACAGCGGAGUAGAUUGAAGCUAGUAAUCCUAUCUCUCUGAAGUUACAGUGGAGCGGAUUAAAAUAAAGGAUCUUAUCUCUCUGAAGUUACAGUAGAGUAGAUCACAUCAGAUUGAAGCCAGAGAUCUUAUCUCCCUGAGAUUACAGUGGAACAGACCGAAAAAUUUCAGAUCUUAUCUCCCUGAGAUUACAGUGGAACAGACCGAAAAAUUUCAGAUCUUAUCUCCCUGAGAUUACAGCGGAGUAGAUUGAAGAUAGUAAUCCUAUCUGCCUGAGAUUACAGUGGAGUGGAUUAAAAUAAAGGAUCUUAUCUCUCUGAAGUUACAGUAGAGUAGAUCACAGCAGACAAAACCACAGAUCUUAUCUCCCUAAGCAGUUAGUGGAACAGAUCACAUCAAGUCUUAUCUCCCUAAGUAGUAGUGGAGCAGACUAAAAACACAAAUCUCAUCCCCAUGGAGUCGUAGCAAAGUAUAUUGAAGCUACAAGGCGUAUCUGAACUUGAAGUAGAGUGGAUCGAAGCAACAAGAUGUAGCAGGCUGGAAUAAGGCUACUUGAAGAAGAGAAGCACCCAAAGAAGUCAAGCCUCGGUGAGACCAGGCAAAUUUGGUCUUUUUUAGUCUUUGCUCUGUUCUUGUUACACAAAAACGAGCAAAGAGGGGCAGCUGUAGAAGCCCAAAUUUGCCGGGCCCAUACCAACAAAAUAACCCAAACAAUAAACCCGAAGCCCAACUACCCCAGCCCAUUAACCUAAGCUCAGCAUUCAGAAACCCUAAUCCCACUAACCCUAGCCACCUACCCCCCACUUGCCCACUUGCCCACUUGCGCCGAACACCACCAUGCCACUGUCGGCCAUGGCCACCUGCAAGAAGCCAAGUAGAAAUAAACAAAUAGAAAAUAAACAUUUGUAAUCGGUUAUAAAAACCGAAAAUCUCACCAUUGAUAAAGGGGAUUUUUUAUUUUUUGCUAUGAAAACAAAAGAUUUUCUUUCAAUAUUAACAGAUUCAAUACAAGAACCAUUCGAAAAUAUAUAUACUAUCAGGGGCUCUAACACCAAAUCGGAGAAUCAAAUCUAAAACCUAAGGUGACUCUUUCUUUUUUUUUUCUUUACUGUUUUGAGUUUAUUUUCUACAUAAAAAUACUAAAAAAUAUUAAAACAUAAAAAUAUAUGCAUUAUUAAGCAAAAAAAAAGAAAAAAAGAAAAAAAAUAUUUUUUUUACCUUUUCCGGCCACCGCGUGCGGUGGCCGGCGCCGGCGCCGGCGAGCCUCCGGUGGCCGUCCGGUGACCGGCCCCCUGGCCGGAUUCCCCUUUCCCCCUCCCUUCUCUCUCCCUUCUCUCUUCCCUCUCUCUCUUCUUUUUUUUUCUUUCCCUCUCCCCAAAUGAUUUUUUUUGGCUAUUUUAGGCCUUUAUAUAGCCCUCCAAAACGACGUCGUUUUGGGGGCUACACUUAAGCCUCAAAACGACGUCGUUUUGACCAUUGCCCGACCCAUCCGACCCGACCCGCUAGAGGAUCCGCGUGUUUUCGUUUGAAUGGGAUAUUUAUGCGCCCAGUCCUUCCGCUUUUUCAAGGUUUUGCAGUUAAGUCAUUUUUCUUGUUUCCAAUUUGGCCCCAUAAUUUCUCAUGCUUUUCGAUUUAGUCCCCGCUAAUGUGCUGUGUUUUAAUGGAAUGGAAUAAUUGUUGUUUCGGUCCCCCUAUGUUUUGUGCGCGCUCAAAUAAGCCCAUUUCUCUUUAUUUCCUUUCACAUUUGCCCCACAACUUUGUUUUUAAUUCAAUUUUAGUCCUUUUUCGUUUAUUUUUAUAUCUUUAUUAAAUAUCAUUGUUAUUUUAUAUUAUUAGUAUUAUUAGUAUUACUAUUAUUAUUAUUAUGUAUUAGUAUAUAUUUUUAUUAUGUACGCGUAUACAUGUAUAUAUAUUUUCAUAUUUAAUAUUUUUAUUUCAUUUUUUUCUAAUAUUUUAUUAUAAUUUAUAUAUAUAUACAUAUACAUAUUCUUUAUUAUUUAAGUAUAUAUUUUUUAUAUUUCAUAUUUUCUACAGGCAUAUAUAUACUUAUAUAUUUACAUAUUUUAAUUCAUAUACUUAUAAAUGUAUGUACAUACUUACGUUAUUUUAUUUUUAUAAUAUACAUAUUUAUAUUUUUUUGUCUUUAUGUAAUAUAUAUACAUACAUGCGCAUGUUAUUUUUAUAUAUGUAAUUAUGUUUUCAUAUUUUAUACUUCUUGUACAUACACAUAUAUAUAUGUAUAGACAUACAUAUUUUCAUUAUAUAUAUAUACCUACAUAGUUUUUUUUUUGUAUUUUAAAUCUUUUAAAAUUCAUACAUGCAUUUUUAAAACUUUUAUAAUUUUAUUCAUUUCUUUAUUAUUAUUAUUGUUUUACUUUAUGUUUAUCUAUUUAUUUAUGUGUCCAUUAUUAUUUUUUUUAAAAAAUGUUUUAGUUUUUUUUAUUUUGUUUAUUUACUUGUUAUUGUAUAUAAUUGAUUUUUUAUAUAUUUAUUUUUGUUAUCUUCGCUCGUAUUAUUUUUACUCGCAUUAUCGUAAUUGUUAUUCCGUCACAUCAAUUUUUACCCAAAUUCGUAAAAAAGGGAAAAUUUUGGAAAUAAAGGCAAUACUCGAUACUUGGGAUCUUCGAGAGAAUUGGGCCCUAACGUGCUGGGUUCUAAUUUUCUGUUGAAUCUAAAUGCUCGAGAAUGCUCUUUAAUAUAAAACAUAAAUAAAAACUCAUUAUCGGGAUUUCAAUAUGUUGUGUCCUAACGCAUUGGAUAUGACAUGUGGUUUUCUCGAUAUGAGGAUUUUUUUUUUUCGAAAGUAAAGACAAUAUUCCGUAUUUAGAAAAUUCGAGAAAAUCAUGCCCUAACUUACUGAGCUUCGAUUUUUCUCGUUGAUUCUAAGUAAUCGAAUAUCCUUUUAAAAUUAAAAUAAAUGAGGUUUAAAUAAAAAAAUGAAAGGCAAGUUUACUCUCGAAAAUACGAGGUGUCGUGUCCUAACUUACUGGAUGUAACAUCUUGUUACUUCGAGAUAAAGAGGCAUUUUCCAUUUUGAUUUAUUCGAGUAUUUUUAAAAUAACACGAUAUAAGGAGGGAUCAUAUUUUUAAGAUUCUUUUCGAGUUUUUAAUUUUCGACACUAAGACACUAAUUAAUCAACUAGGUACCAAUUUUGGGCGUAUCGAGGGUGCUAAUCCUUCCUCGUGCGUAACCGACUCCCGAACUCAUUUUUCUGAAUUUCGUAGACCAAAAUCGUUGUUUUAAUAAAAUUAAAUCAUUUAUUAAAAACAACCACUUUUUGAGGUGACCCGAUCACACCUCAUCAAAAAAGGAUUGGUGGCGACUCCCAAUUUCGUUUCAUUUUCAAAAUCCAAGUUGACCCCGUUUUCAUCCAAAAAAUGGUGUCAACAAAAUUUUCUUUAAUAUAUUCACUAUAAGAGCCAAUAAUAUUUAUGAAACUUAACAAAACAUUAUGACUAAUGAGAAAUAAAGAUAAAAUUAAAAAAAGAAGAAGCAAUAAUUGAAUCGAAAUUACAGCACUUGGAAGACUAAAUUUGCAAUCAAUCGAAAACAUGAGGACUAAAACCAUAAUUAAACACAAUGGUUCAAACAUUCAAAUUCAGAUAAUGGAAACGUCGCCGUUUAACUAUGAACCAAAUUGAAACCAGAUUAAAUCAUACGGUAUAAAUCGAAAAAUUGCAGAAAAUCGAAUUAGAACAAUACAAGAUAAAAGAGGACUGAUUGCGGAAAUAGUCCAAUGAACCAGAAUGCGCGGAUCCUGCCCCGGGUCGGGUCACCGCGUGGGUCCAAGGACGCUAAACGGCGUCGUUUCUUUCACACUAUAUAAGCUAAAAUAAACCUAAAACCUAAAGCUCUCAGUCAUUUUUUAAGAAAAAAAACCUAAAAGAAAACUAAACUCCUGGCGCCGCUUCAGCGUCGAAAACCCCCCUCGCCUAUUCAAUCUUGGCCUGAACGGGGGAGGGAUUCGGCGACUCACCGAUCCAGGUAAGGUUUCUGAACUGUCCUCCCUUUUUAUUUUAUAUAUAUGCUUAUAUAUGUGAUUACUAGCAAACAGAAAAAAAGAAAAAGCAAUCGGAAAAGGAACAGAACCGAAAAGAGGAAAAAAGAAAACCUUUUUUGUAUUGAUUUCGUUUUUUUUUUAUACAGUCUCCCCUUCCGGAGUACAUGAGAAAAUAAGGCUCUCAUAGCCCGAAAAAUAAAAAAUAAACCCUCUUUUCUCCUUUUUUCUUUUGUUGUUAUCGUUUUUUGCUUUUUUUCUUCUUCUUUUGCUGUUGUCUUGUUAUUUGCUGCAGGUACGGGUACGCGUGACGUGGCUCAACGCGUAUGGAGGCAGAGGCUGGCGUGGAGCGGCUCGGAGGCGUGGCUGCAGCGCUGGAGGCUGAAUGUUGCUAGGGUUUGCUGCUGUGCAUUCUGGUGUUGGGCCAUUUGGGCUGAGUUGGUUUGCUGGGCUUAGAAUCAGGUUUAGGUUUGGGCUAGGGUCUAGGCAAAUUGGGUUUGGUGAAUUUUUUUGUAAUUUGGACUGUUAUUUUAUUUGUUUUUUUAUUAUUUAUUUUAAUAGCGGGCUGGGCAAAUUGGGCCUAUUACAAUAUAUAUAACCAAAUUUUGUAACACCCAUUUUAUGUUAAAAAUAUUUUCUUUAAAAUUAAGUAUAGGUUGGGUGGUAAAGUACUUAUAUUUUAAUACUAGUAAAUACAUGUUCAAUCUUUAGAUUUAUAAUUUAUAAUUCUUUUAAUUAAAGAUGAUAUACAAGUAUGAAAAGACAAAAGUGACAUAGUAAUAAUAUUAAUUAUAAAUUUUAUAAUUUCAUAAUUGAGUUGAUGACGUGGUUGAAGGUGGCACUAACUCUAAAACACUUAAAUAUAAUAAUAGCUUAAAAAUAAGGGGCUUUUGGAAAAUACAUUUCUGAGUUGGUGACCUGAGGGUCACACCAACUCAAUAAAACUCUUAAAUAUUGAUUACAAAUCCUAUCACACACUUAUGUGUAUCAAUAUCACAAAUUUAGAAUAUAAAGAUGUGUUUAAAAUUAACAUACAAUAAAGAAUGAAAUUUAUGGUUUGAAACUAAUUAGUAAUAACACAUGAAAUAUGUAUGAUAUUAAAAUGAAAAAAGAGAGAUUAAAUUGUGCAUAAAACAAAAUUUUAUCCUAUUACAUCAAUAAAGUUAUAUUUAUUACCCUCGCCAAUUAUUUGUCAUUAAGAACAUUAAAGUAUCCUUGAAUGAUAUAACUUAUUCUAAAUAGAGUUGAUGUAUGGUUGGCUUGGGAUACCAACUCAGUCAGGAGCUUAAGAUUAUUAAAAUAUUCUUAUUUUAAAGAGAAAUUAAUAUUAUUAUAAGAGCACGUUUGGUUCGUUGUAUUGGAUUAGAGGCGUAAUGGAAUAGAGGUGUAAUGGAUUAGAGGUGUAAUGGAAUAGAGGUGUAAUAGCAAAUCAACUGUUUGGUUAAAUGUAAUGGAAUAGAGGCGUAAUAGUAAUCUUGUAUUUGGUUGAAUGAAAUAGAGGUGUAAUAGCAUAAUGGGAAAAACUAAAAUGACUAGAAUACCCUUAGCAUAAAUUUGUUAAUGAUUAUUGUUAUUGUUAUUUAAAUUUUAAUAAGAUUAUUAUUAUCAAUAAUAAAUAAUUUAAUCAUAUUUAAACAUAAUUAUUAUUAAAUAUAUUAUAAUUAAAAUAUAUAAUUUAAUAAAAUUCUUAAUAAUCAAUAUUCUUAUAUGAAUUUACUCAAAUCAUAAUAUAUGAUACUAUAAAAUUUAAAUUAACAUAAUUAUUAUUAAAUAUAUUAUAAUUAAAAUAUAUAAUUUAAUAAAAUUCUUAAUAAUCAAUAUUCUUAUAUGAAUUUACUCAAAUAAUAAUAUAUGCUACUAUAAAAUUUAAAUUAACAUAAUUAUUAUUAAAUAUAUUAUAAUUAAAAUAUAUAAUUUAAUAAAAUUCUUAAUAAUUAAUAUUCUUAUAUGAAUUUACUCAAAUCAUAAUAUAUGAUACUGUAAAAUAUAAAUUAAAAUAAUAAUUAUUACAUAUAAUUUAAUAAUAAUAUAUAAUUUAAUAAAAUUCUUAAUAAUUAAUAUUCUUAUAUGAAUUUACUCAAAUCAUAAUAUAUGAUACUAUAAAAGAUAAUUUGAAAUAAUUAUAACUAAUAAAUUAUAUUUUAUGAAUUUGUAUAAUUUAAAAUAAUAAUUAUUACAUAUAAUUUAAUAAUAAUAUAUAAUUUCAUAAAAUUCUUGAUAAUAAAUUUUCUUAUAUGAAUUUAUACAAUUUAAAAUAAUUAAUAUUAAAUAUAAUUUAAUAGUGAUAUAUAAUUUCAUAAAAUUCUUAAUAAUAAAAUGUUCUUAUAUGAAUUUACUAAAAUCAAUAUAUAACUUGAGAAUUAUAUUCUGCAUAAACAUAAUUAACUUAUAUUAAGAAAAGGUUAGAUGAAAAUGAAAUUCUACAUCAUAAUCCAUAUGUUAUAUAGUUUUACAACAUCAAAAAGUUUGAACAUUGAUAUUUAAUGGUGAGAAAGAAAUCUUCUGACCCAUUCCAAUCGGGCAACAGAAGGUAAACUAAAGAAAACGAUCAUUUGAGUUGGAUGAUCUGGAAUUUUACUCAAAGCAUCAUACCGCUGAUCGUCAGUUAAACCUUCAAUUGACCAUAGGGCUGAAUAUAAAUUUGAAGCUUUCUCUUCCAUCUUUUGAUAUUCUUCUGACUUCUGCUGAACUACCACCUCGAAGGCAAUACUCCUACUGAUUUGAUCGCCAACGGCCUGGAUUUUUUCCCCCAACAAAGUGGCAGCCUCAUCAAAUGAAGAAUACACAUUAUCACGAGCAUCAGAUUUCUUCUUUCUCUUGUUUGAAGAUGAGGAACCCCCUUGGUCUCUAUCUCCUCACGGAUCUGUACCAGAAACAUCCAUGUCGUCUAAAGAGACGUCAGCUUCGCAGUCAUAGAAUGUGUUUCUCUCUUCAUUCAUAUCUGUAGUACGUACAUCCUCAGCAUGUAUUUCUUCAAGAACAUCAGCAGCUGUUUGAGCGUCUUUCCCAGUUGCUCGAUCUCUUGCUUAUAUGGUAGUAAGCUGGUCAUAGUAAGAGAAAGUACGAUAUUUGAAUUGAGUGGCUUCUCUGUGACUCUAAAAAAAAUGAGGAAAUCAUAUUAGUCAUAAGUUUGGUAUAAAUAAGAUAAUAAAGACUUGAAAUAAUCUUACCUUUAAAUAGGACUCCCAAACCGUAUCUUCAGCAACAACGAGCUGCCUAUGCUCGUCCCAACCAAAACCGCUAUUGUUUUGGCCAUUAAGCAUGUCAUAAACGAUUGACCACUCCCUUUUUAGUAACCUAACCCUUGAUUCAAUAUUAGGUUUCGCCUUCAACAUUGCAUUUAGUAAAACCGUUUGUAGCAUUCUUUCCAACUCGUUCAAAUAACCGGCUUUGAACCCGGUAUCAGCAUUAAAUGUUCCAACAUUGUGCAGGUCCACCAUGCAGGAAACUAAUGCUGCAUCUUCUUCUGGAACCCAUUUUCUUUUGCUUCCUCGAGAAGCUUGAGAAGAAGCAUUUGAUUCUGGAACACCUGACAUAAUGAUCUUAAGAACAAAAAAAAAACAAAUUAUAUUAAUUACUAUUUUAAUAUCAUGAUUCAAAAGGUCAACACUAUAUAAAAUCUAAGGAAUUAAGUUGAAUAUCAUGAAUCAAAAGCUCCAUACCACAAAAAAUUUAAAAUUAUAACACAUGCUGAAUUAGAAGAAAUUAUAUUAUAAUUCAACAAGUUUAGUACAAUACAAAAAUCAAUACAAAAGUUUCACAAACUAAUUUCUAGAUGCUUGCCAUUCAUCGAACAUUUGGUUGGCUAGUUCCAUCCUCCAAGUAGCCCAAGCAUCUGAUGGAUGAAUAUUUGUGAUAUUCGGUUCAUCGUCAUCCACCACAUUAAUUGUAGGUAAUCCUUCUCCCACCUCCGCUUCAAUGGGAUCAAUACUCAUAUGGGUUCGAAUAAAAUUAUGGAGCAAACAACAUGCAAUAAUAAUUCUAUUGUGCACCCUUACAGGAUAGAACGAUGGACUCCUAAGUAUUCCCCAUCUAAGUUUUAAUAAGCCAAAGCAUCUUUCAAUAACAUUACGUGCUGAGGCAUGUUUCAUAUUAAAAAACUCUUGCGGAGAACUUGGCUGAUAACCCUGACGCCACUCGUUCAAAUGAUAUCGCUGUUCUCUAAAUGGUGCAAGAAAUCCCUCACAAUUUGUGUAUCCAGCAUCAACUAGAUAAUAACAACCUAUAAAAUAAAUUUUUUUUUAAAAUGAUUAAUUCAGCACACAAAGUUUACUAAAAAAAUAAUUCAAAGUCCUCUAACUAUACACUUUACCAUGAGGAACUUUUAAUCCAUGUCUUCUACUAAUGGCAUCUCGAAGAACCCGUCCAUCAGCAACUAAACCUUCCCAACCAGGAAGAACAUAAACAAAUUGCAUCUCAGGUGUACAAACACCUAGCAUAUUUGUUGCUAUGUCACCUUUUCACGUUCGAUAUCUAGGUUUAUCAACUGUUGGAACCCUAAUCUUGAUGUGGGUUCCAUCAAGAGCACCUAAGCAAUUCUAUAUCACAUGAUAUAAAACCUUGAGUUAGAAUACUAAUUUAAAUCUAAAUCAAGUAAAUGUUGUUGAAGAUAUAUAUAAAACUUAGUCCAAUACCUUAAACCAUUUCCACCUUGUGUCAGAAGAAUCAGCUGUAAUUAGCUCUGGCUUUUUAAAUAACACAUCUUGUAAGCGUAUGACAGCAUUUAAAACACUAUGAAAUGCUCUGCUAACAGUUUCCCCGGACCUUCUAAAGUGAUGCUUGAUAACUCGAUUUUUCAGGUGAUGGGAGAUGAUAAGUAAAAACAUUGCUACUUGCUCGUCAACAAGCAUGAACCUUGUCGACUUCAAUCCCCUAUCGAUUCUAACAUCUCACAUUGUUUAAAAAAGGCAGCUCUAUUCAUCCUAACUUGUUCAAUACAGGUCUCGUCACUAGCAUAUACAAGCCUCUUCACAUAAUCCCGUUUUGCAUAAAAAUCUACGGUAUAGGACCUAAUCCUUGGUCUAUGUAGCCUAAGGCUGGCACCCAUUCUAAAUAAGAACCAAAUCGCGAUUCUACAGAUUUCCAACCAUAUUGUCACAGCAAUACCAAUUCUUUUACGCCUCACACUUUGUGCAAUUAAAGGCAGACGAGCCAUUACUGCAACAUUUAGAACACACAUAGUUUAAACUCACGAAUUUAGAACACACGAUAGUUUGAACAUUAAUUAGUUUGAACAUUUCAUUUCGUAUAAAUAUAUUGAUUAGUUAAUUAAAGCAUGUUCAAUGUUUGAACAUUGAUAGUUUGGACAUUUAAAUUUAAAUUUAAAUAUAAUUUCGUAUAAUGAAAUUUAAGAUUUAAUAAAGGUGAGUAUCAAAGUUUGAUCAUUGAAUAAUCUUUUUUAUUGAUGAUUAGUUUAAUUAAGGUUUUCUAAUUUCAAAAUAAAUAAAAUGAAGAAUGAAGAUUUGGUUUAAUAAUGAAGAUUUGGUUUAAUAAAUAAAAUGAAGAAUGAAGAUUUGGUUUUCUAAUUUCAAAAUAAAUAAAAUGAAGAAUGAAGAUUUGGUUUAAUAAUGAAAAUGAAGUUUUAAAAUUUUUAUAACAUUUUAAAUGGUAAUUUUAUUUUGUAAAAAUAUAUAUAACUUUUAUCUCAUUUACAUGUACAAAUUAAUAUUAACAGUAUUGUAUUUGCAAUUAUGAUUGGAAAGAUUGAAAUCUAGUAUUGUAUUUACAUGUACAAAUUAAUAUUAUUUAAGCCCAUUAUUUGUAGGCAUAAUGCUCUUUAAGAUUGAACAUAAUUAAAGGUUGAACAUAAUUAUUAUUAUUUGAAUAAUAUCAAUUAAAGGUUGAACAUAAUUAUAUAUUAGUAUCAAAUUUGUAUGUACUCUUUAUAUGUACUCUUUCACUAAUAAAUUAUAUAUCAAAUUUGUAUCACAUUGAUUUUAUGUACGCUUUCAGUAAUAAGUUAUAUAUUAGUAAAAAGUUGGUGCAUUGGUACACCAAAUAAUUUGAAUACAUACUACUUUCUUUAAAAAAAAUGUUACCUAUUAGUAAAAACAUAUAACCUAUUUGGGAAACAACAAAAGCUGUAAUGACCAUAAUUAUGCAAAUUGGUGAUAAAAAAGAACAAUAAUUAUGCAGCAAUAACCAUAACCAUACAAACAAAAGCUGUAAUGAGCAAUACAAACAUACAAACAAAACCAUAUUCAUUUGGGAAACAACAGAAGCAGCUACAGCAAUACAAACAUAACCAUACAAGGAAAACAUACUAAUAAACCAUGAAUACCAAUGGAAAACUAACCUGUAAUGAGCAAAUCGGGGACGACUGCGAUGUAGAAGUGUUGGAACAAAGAACCUGUAACCAGUAAAGGGAAAUCAAUGUUACAAAAAUAAUCAGUUUAUAAAAUUGAUCAUACACUUUACCAAAGCAGCCUCUCAUUUAGUAACCAGUCCUUUAGAUUAUUAAAUAUACCAACUUGGCAGCUUUGAAUAUAUAUGCAAAGCCAUUUUACUUUAAAAUACAUCCCUCCAUUUAUCCUCUUUAAUGUGGUUCACUAGCACCAAGGAAGGCUUAGCAAUGAGGACUUUACAUUCCCUUUCGAAUUUUAAAAUCCCAGGGUUUACCAUCACAAGAAGAUACAUCCUUAUUCAAUCACACUCACCAACUAUUAUGUAAUUACUAAAAAAUGCAACCAAAAUGGGGUUGGCCUAACAUAAAUCAUACACCACACCAUCAAUUGAAGGUUAAUUCAUGGUAACAUUAGUAUUGAAAGGUUGCGUUGUGGGCAGCCUAAGAGGACUCGCAACACUAGGCUUAAUUGCUGUAACAUAUCACAUUCGGAGGCUGGUUCGGACAGCAUCAAUAAUACAAUAUUUAGACAUCAUUAACAACGCAAUAUUCGAACAACAUCAAUACCACAAUCGGACAGCAUAAACAGGGCAGCAAUUAACAAUACCAACAAGGUAAAAUUCGGACGGCAAUUUAACAGUUUCAACAAUUAUCAAACACAAGAAAAUAGAAGUUCAAGGAAAACUCGCCAAGGUUCCCAACACCAAUUUUACCUAUUUAAUUUACUUCUUCCCUUUUCCGCUACAGCCUUCUCCCACCUUGUUAGCUAAAUACAAUGAACCCAAAAGUUACAAAAAUGGUGUAUAACAACUCAAGCAUUCACUAAAUUCUUUUAACACAAGUGAGAAACUCCUCAUCUUCUAGACAUGCAACGUUUACAACUAGAAAAGAAACUCUUCUCUUCUCCCACACAUUCGGUCAAGCUCAAUUCAACAAUGCAACCAGAAUUUGUCAACGAAAAGCUAUGGGCAAGGGAGAGCUUAGAAGAGUUACAGUUCUACUUGAAAAUUUUAACUUCUAAGCAAGCAAAUUUCAUGGUUUUCCAGUACAUGUAGCCGGCCUCUCCUCUCUAGCUUCAUUUGAAAGAGACAAGGAAGCAAGAUAGAAAAAUAAAAAGUCGAAGUCUUUCUUUCUUACUUACCGUCCAUUUCUCCACCCUUUACCCAUCAUAAAAUGAAAUUUAGCCAAUCAACAAAUCUUAGCCGGCCACCAACCAAAAACCAAAAACCAAAAACCAUAAAAUGAAAAGAAUCAUGUAAAAGUUUAUUCAUACCUCAAAAACCAAACGCCGAGACCGAGAGAAGAAACGAUGAGGACUGAAUCAUCAACGAAAGCAGUGGGAAAUGGGAGGAGAAAUUAUGAGGACAGAAGAUGAGAGGGUCGGGUAGGGAGGGAGGGUAAAACAGAGAGUUGGGGAGGGAAGCCGGACGUAAUACCUAUUACUCGAUUUGGGAAGGGAUUAGAAAAGCAGGGAAUUUGGGGAUUAGGUCGGGAUUGUAUUACGCGCGUAAUACCUAUUACAGCGAACCAAACGCCAGAUUAGGGGCGUAAUGUAAUAGCCGCAUAAUCAGUCAGUAAUGGAUUACCUAAUACACUGAACCAAACAUAGUGUAAGUGUAUUUUCACCUUUUCAUACUUUGAUAUAAUCUUCAAGUAAAACGAUUGAAAAAUAUUAUUUGACGACACAAGACUAAAAAAAUUCAUAUAGAAAAUGCUUACCACUCCACUAGUAAUCAUUUGUCAAUGUAUUUUUGGUAAAAAGACCUCUCCAAUCCCUCUUAAUUUCACAAUUGCGCAAAUUAGUCCCUCUCAAAAAAUUAAAGCAAUUUAAUCCUUAUCAAUUUUGAAAGUGAGUAACUAAGGAUAAUUAAUUAUGGUGUUAAAUUCUUCCAUCAAUUGUACAUAAUUUUGAUUGGUAUAGUAAUAAAUUUAGCCUUCAAUGUUUAUAUAUUUUGUCAUUUUGGCCUUAAUUUUUAAAAAAAUUUUAAGAAAUUCAACCUCAACAUUUACAAUUUACACAAACGUUGCGGGAAAAUUUUGUUAAAGUAAGACCAGCUAAAUUUAUUAUUAUACCAACCAAAAUCAUGUACAUUUUAUGAAAAAUUAACAUCCUGAUUAAUUAUUCUUAAUUGCUCACUUUCAAAAUUAAUAGGGACUAAAUUGCUCUGAUUGUUUUAGGGUGACCAAUUUCCUCAAUUUGGAAAUUGAGAGAGACUAUUGAGAUCUUUUACAUUUUUUUUUAUAAAUAUAUUUUUUAAUAUAAAAUAUAUUUGUUCACACACAUCGUGUGUAUGAUAAAAUAUUUUUAUUGUUGAUUGAGUUGGUGUCAAAAAUUAACUUGACACCAACUCAAGAUUAAUGAUAACAAUAUGAUAAAUAAUUUAUUUAUUUAAUAUUUUUAAUUUAAGAUAUUGAUGUAAAUUUUAAGACAUGUAUGUCUUGUAGAAUUGUAAUUAUACUUUUUCAGUAUUGACUCAGUUUUCCACAAUUGUGGGUCUCUAUUUGAGCAAAACAAUUUCAACAUUUCUUCAUCUCGCUUAAUCCAAAUGCAUUUAGGAUUUUCUUAUAUCAUUGCUUCAAAAAGGGUAAAAAAAAACGUCGACAUUGAAUUUUCUGUUUCACAUUCAAUUUUUGGAUACGUAGAAUUUUCUAAUUUAUUUUCCAUCAACUUCACUUCAAUUUUCAGUCACAAUCAAUUGCAAUCAAGAGCACCACAUCUUUUUGGAUGAAACGAAGCUCUCAAUUUUAAGAUAAACGGGUCUUUAGGGUUAUUAAUUGAGGGCCUUUUCCACAAUUGCCAUCGUUAUUUGCGGGUGAUUGGGUUACGACAAUGGUUUGAAGUGAAGCUGUUUCAAAUGAAUAUGAAUACUCUACCAGUAAGUCAUAAUUUAAAAUUCAGGUUAUGUUUCAUUUCAACUAAGUUAAAUGUUAAGAUUGAAGUUAAACCUUUUAGAGGUUGCUCACAAAAGGAUCAAACCUUUAUAAAAGUGCUUAAAUGAAUGCCAAAUUUUUUAAAAUAGACAAAUAAGGCCCUAACCUUUUAAAAGGUGUUCAAAUAAGGGCUUCUCAAAUGUUGUAUAUCAGGUUAUGUGUUUUACUCUAAACAUAUCAGUAUUUACUAUUUUUUCUACAAAUUGGGUUGAAGUGCAUGAAAAAUUUUAUUUUAGCACUUUUGUAAAGGUUAAACUCUUAUUUGACAAUUUUGAAAGGUUUGAUCCUUAUGUGAGCAACCUUUAAAAGAUUGAGCACUAAUUUAACAAGUUGAGAAAUACCUAAAUUUGUUUUCAUGAACCAAGAAAUUAAAAAAAAAAAAAAAACAUGUUGAGAAAUAUUUUAGAGAUUCUUAGCCUUGACAAGUUCCCUCCACCAUCUCCCUGCCUCCAGUCCCACCUCUUCUCUUAUGCUCCUUCCAGGUUCUUGUUUUUUGUGUAUUGAAAAUUCGACGGAACAAAAUAUCAACCUACAUCAUAAGGCACGAAGGCCAGAACUUUACUUUCUAGCCCGUCCGAUCCAAUGAAAGAAGAACAAAGAGUAUUGAGAUCUGACAACUUUAUUUCAUUUUCAUUUUCUUUGUUAUUUUCUAUGUUUCAUGUCAAAUACAAUGGAAGAAGAACAUAGAAAAAUGUUGCCUAUUUAUUUCCCAAUCAUCAUGAAAUUACUUGCCAUAGUCUUAGAAUUUUCUCACCAAUUUUCAAGCAAUCUCACAUGAUUUCUCAAUCACAAUUAAUUGAAUUCAAGAUCUUUUUGGAUGACACAAACAUUUCAAUUUUAACACAAACCAAUAUUUAGGUUAUACUUCAGUGCUUGACAAGCACUUUCACAUUUGUGGGAUAAUAACUCUAGCAUUUUAGGAUCACAUUUAAUUCAAUUGCAUUUAAGACCUCAUGAUUUUAUUCUAUAAUUUGAGUCUUAUCAACCUUUUGGGAAAUAAUAAAACAUCGACAUUAAACUUGUUGUUGAUGCAUUCAAUUUGAUUUUUUGAGGGGUCGUUGGAGUUAUAUAUGACUUUAGCAUUGAUUGAUUUUUUUAGAAUUAAUCUUUUAUACCAAUUUAAUAACAUCGACAUGUUUUUGGGUAGGGUAGAACAAAACCCAAUUUAAACCGAUUAUAGUGGUUUAGUUGACUCGGUCAAGUCCAUUAGAUGGAUAAAAUCAAUUUUAAAAUCAGUUAUAAUGGAUUAAGGUAAUUAAUUAUCUAGUAAUGAAAUACAUAAUCAAAUCAGUUACGGAAUCCGCCAUGUUAGAUAAUAUGAACAUCCCAUAUAUAAUAAGAAAAAAUUACGUACGAUUAUUUAUUAUCAUAAAUGGUUAGCUUAAAUUUAAAGUAAUCUAAUAUUUUUAUUGAUCUUCAACUAUUAACUAAAGUAUAAGCUAAAUAUGUGUAAAUAUUCUAGAAAUCAUUUCUAAUUGAUGAUAGGCUAAUUCGGAAUUAAGAUUAAUAUAUAAAAACUAGAUAGUAGGGUUAUAGUCCUCAAACUACACCUAAUUUAGUUUUUCCGACAUAUUUUUGAAAAAAUAUCACCUUCUUUAAAAAAAAUUGGUACAAAUUUCAAAAAUUAAAACUAUCAAUAAAUUCAGAUAUAUUAAUAAGUACCAACUAAACAAUACUUAAAUAUAGAUGUGUUUUAUAAAAAAAAAUUAUCAGCUUAAAGAAGUUGCAACAAAAAUUUAAAAUUCAUUUAUCAAAUGAAUAUUUAAAACUUAUAAUCUAAACUCUGACAUAAUAAAAUACAUAAGCAUAACUUGGAUUUACCAAAAAUCUAUGAACUUUUCUAAAACUUAAAUUUUAGUCCCUAUACUUUAAUUUAGAGACAUUGAGUCACUAUACUUUUUUAUUUAAAAAUCUUGGUCCCUUCAUCAAUUUUAUCAUUAUAAUUGUUGAUUUACUUGUUAUAAAAAAGGUAGAAUAACUUUUUUAGCCUUAAACAUUUAUAGUUUUUAUUAAUUUGGUCCUUACUCUUUAAAAUUACAUAAAAAUUCAAAAAUAUUUUAAAAAUUAAAUUUUUUCGUAUUUUUAAAAACAUUUAUAGUUUUUUUUUGUGGUUUGGUAACUUAUCAACUCGACUCUUAAUUGUGACAAACUUUUUUGACCUUUUUCGUACCCUUAACCUAAGUCCCGCUACAACUUUCUAAAGACCUCUUGAUUGGUGUAUCAUCUCGAUUUGUUUUUAUAGUGGUGGAGAUUUGGUUUUGAAGCAAGCCUAUGAUAAUCACAUUUUUCAUUCAACUGUUGAGCACACAAUACUUGAACCUUAAACACUUAGAGUGCUUUGAGUGAAUCUUAGAUAGGGUAUUGAUUAUGGUUGAGUUUGAAUUUCAGGUAAUUAUUGAGAUAGAGGAGACGCCUAUGUUUUUUGUGCUUUACAAAUUUUUGCUUAGAUUGCUUUUAUUCUUUAGUGUUAUGCUAGUUUCAAUUUCUAGUGCGUGAUUAUCUGUAGAUUAUUCCUAAGGAAUUGUCGGUGAAAACAAUAAAUUGAGGGAGAUUAACUUGAAUAAGGGUUGAGAAUUUUGCUUAAGGACAAACAAAUGCUUAAGUGUGGGGAUAUUUGAUAAGUGCUAAAAUUAAUAUGUUUUAACAUCAUUCUUAAUGUGUUUUUGGUUGAUUAUUUGAUGUUAAUUAUGAAUUUUAUGCUCCUAAUUCGUGUUUUUAUGCUUAAUAGAACAUUUGGGAGGAAAAUGAGCUAAAAUGGGGGCAACUAUAGGACCCACACAGGCUGACCUAUUCCAUAUGACCAUGUGGGUCAUGUGGCAGGCCAUUCGAUUUCGUAAAUUUUCACUCUGAACUGCGAAAAAAAAACGAAUUUUAGGUUUUUCAAGCAUUUUAAGGCGUAUAUAUGAAAAACAUAAGAAUAUAGGAGAGAACCUACCUAGAAUAUUUAAGAAAACAACUCCAAAAACACCAUUGAAGUCGGCUCUGAAGUAGAUUUUCAUCAAGAUUGAAGAUUCCCAGUUGAUUUCUUAGGAGAUUAUCAUGAGUUUCUUUAUUUCUUUCGGUUAUACUGCCCUUUGGAUGUUUUUAUUUUUAAGCAUGAACUAAUUUUCUAAAUACCUAAGAGAGAUGAACCCUAUGAUAGAUUGUGGCACCCCAAACCCGAUCGGGAUAGACCGGCCCGAAUUCGAAACAUUACAUUAGCCACCUAAGUGACUCUCCAGCUAACGACCACCCAAGACACAACCCAACCUUAUAACACCUCAAUCUUGUUUAAUUAUUAGUUAUUUAUUAAUGUAGAAGUAAAUUAUGAACCAAUUUUAAACUUUUCCUAGGUAAUUUAACCUAAGGGCAAUUUCAUCAUUUUACCACCUAUUGUAAAACUAACCCGAUUUUAGAUCUAAUUGCUUAUCAACCUUUUAAUCAAAUUAUGGAAGCCUAAAAUUUUUAGAUUCAUUUGAGUUUGUUUACUAUGUCUAAUUCAAAUUUUAUUACUAGGGACUAAAUUGUAACUUAAACAAAUUAGAAUAUCAAUUUAAAGAGACAAAAAUUCAAAACCCCAAAACCUACACGGGCAUGUGGAGACUGGAGCUAUCACAUACGGGCAAGUGAGAUUGAAAAAUAUGAAAUAAAUUAAUCGACUUAUUUUUCCAACAACCAUGCUAUGCUACCAAACCAAAUAAUGCUUGAAGCUUUGAAUAGGGGCGAAUCUAAAAAAAAAAAAAAUAGAAGAAUUAUAAUUAAAGUAUACAAUUUUGAGAAGUUAUCAUGUAUUAAUUUAUUAUUUUUUAAAGGGUCUUAAUAGAAAUUUUUUCCCAUUUUGGUUGGGCCAAUACCCUUGUCUGCCUCUUUAAAUUUGCUUCAACCCUAAACCCAAUAUUCGAUUUGGAUUAACAAAAAUAUAUAGGUUAGUAUUUGUGGGAGUUUGACGAAUAAAAAUUUCUUUUCUAGAGGUUUAAAUUAUAAAUUUUUGAAAGAUUAAAAUAAAUUUGUAUUUUUUUAUUAACAAAAUAUAAAAGAAAAAAAACAUGUUUAGACAAGCCAAGAGACCUUUGGGAUCAUACGGGUGAUUUUGAGAUGUUAAUGGUUAUUUUGGUGGAGAGGGUGAAAAAGAAACAAAUGAUUCAUUAUAUAUAAUAUAAUUAUCAAAAUUCAAGCCAUAUAUUGUAUGUUUCAUCCAUAAAAAUUUGAUGGGAGGUCCAAAGGUAAUUAAAUGACUUGUGGGCUUGCUGAAUUUCUUUGAAAGGCCCAAAGGCAAUUUAACAUUCACAAAAUAAUCUCUAAACACUGUAAAGACAAAUCAAAUCCACAGUAGCAUAAGAGUUGAUUAAGCUAAGCAUUGGUAAAUAUUACUUUGAUUUUGCAUGCAAUAUUGACAAAACCCCCUCCUACAUUAGAAAAACAACAUAAUCCAUGGAACAUUGAUAGCCCAAUACAAAUUUAUUCGAGAAAAAAGUCUCUUUGUUUUGUAGAACAUGAUAGUAAAGAUGUGGAGUUUCGUUCUUCUUAUUGGCCUCCUUUAGUUUUCCUUGAUCAACAACCACUAGCCAAAAACACAAUUAGAUUAGAUUAUGAAUGAUACUUUCAACUAUGACAAUAUUAAAUACAAACCCACUCUAAAUAACUUUAAAUAAAUGGAAAGCAGCAAAUUACCUGACCAGGCAAGCUAGUUUAAUUAAGACCAUUGUGUUAUACUUGUCUCUGAAUUGAAAAAUUUAGAAGGAAAUAAAGAGAAAGACUUAGAAAAUACUUGAAAACAGAUAAAACUUAUAUGUCAUUUAAAAUAAAAUAAAAAAUUCUAUUUAAGCCAUUUAAAAGUUUUAAGAUUUUUAAAAUUUUAAAAUGAUAAAAGUAAAAUAAUACUUUGGCACCCAAAAAUGAUAAAACUUUGAUUUAAUUCUUUAGUAAUUAUAAAAAUAUAGGAUAUUAAAAUGGUGAAAUUACAUUUUUACUAUAGUAAAAAUUACAAUUUAAUUUCACCCCCUAAAAGGAUUUUUUGGCUUCGCCACUAAUAAAAUCUUUGGCAAAAGAUUAAAAUAAAAUUAUACCGUAAAUGGAAAAAGAAACUAAGAAAAUCCAAUCUAACAAAGAAAAUAACUUGUUGUAACCAAAAGCUACCAUAAACCGUAAUUCAUGGGAAGGCUUGUUGCUUAUUUUAUUGGUUUCCAUUUUGAUUUUGCAAAAGAAGUCAGAAUUUUGAAGAGAGCAAAAGAAAAAAAAGUUUAUAUGAUUAAAAUUCUAGAAUAGAUUAAAAAUGUUGAAUUAAAGAUAAAAUUAAGUGUACUCAUUACUCACCAUCUCUGUUAAAAAUGUUGGAUGUUGUUUAGCAACCUUUGUUUGAUUUUCUUCAGCUCAACCACAACAUCUUUCAUAUCUUUUCUUUCUUCUGGUAACUCAGCUGAACAAUUCAAAGCCAACUCCAUGAUAGAUGAAAUACAAUUUGCUUUAACAACCAUGUACUCAUCCUCUCUUCUUAAUAAAUCAACAUCUGCAAUUUCUAUCGCUCCUUUAGGCAAUGAUCUUUCCAUCCAAUGCCUUAUACUCUCUUCUUCAACAAAAACAUUAUCAGUUGGCUUUUACUUUGUGAAAGUUUCUAUAAGGACGAUCCCAUAACUAUAGACGUCAGAUUUUAUAGAAACAAUUCCUGCUGAUCCAAAUUCUGCAUUUCAAGUAUAAUUAGAACAUCAUUCACCCUCAGUUAUUUCUAAAAUGCUUAUUCAAAUAUAUAUCCACAUCCACAUGAAACAAAAAUAUAAAAUGAAAAUUAGGAAAAUAAUCAUACAAAAAUAAAAAAGAAUUCACCUUGUGCCAUAUACCCGAUAGUUGCAAGAGUCAUGGUUUGCUUCAUUACUUCACCUUCUCCCAACAAUUUGGCAACGCCAAAAUCUCCAACAUGUGCAACCAUGUCUUCAUCUAGUAAAAUAUUUCUUGGUUUUAUGUCACAAUGAAUUAUAGGUGUUGGAUGUCCAUUGUGGAGGUGUUCUAUAGCUCCCGCAACAUCUAUCAUUAUGUCGACCCUUUGUAUGAUAUCAAGGAAACAAAUUUCAGAGUGUAACCAUUUCUCAAGGUUUCCAUUAGACAUGUAAUCAAGCACCAAGGCUUUGAAGUCAACACUUGAGCAGCAAGUAAUGACCUUCACAAUAUUACGAUGAACUAUAUUACGCAUAGCAUCACAUUCAAUGUCAAAACUCCUAAAUGCUCCCUCUGUUUGCAAAUUGAAAACUUUUAUUGCAACUUCCAUUCCAUCUGAAAGCCUCCCUUUAUAUACAUAUCCAAAACUCCCUGAACCAAGCAUAUUGCUUUCCUCAAAUCCAUUAGUUGCUCGUGAAAGUUCAGCAUGUGAAAUUCUUCUCGGUGUCUUCAAAGACAACAAAUCAUCUUUAAUUGGUAGAGUUGUACUUCUCCUUUGGCAACUUCUAUACAUAAUAGUUAAGACUGUUAGUACUACGACAAUACCAAUUGUUGUAAACCAUACCUAAAAGCAUGCAAUAUAAUCAUUUGGGAGUUUUUGUGGAUGUCGUUUUUGCAAGGUGGGACUAGCAAUCUAGGUGGGCCACAAAGUGCAUAAUUCUUCAUGAAUGAUGUGCUAGAAAAGUUUGAAAAACAUCCUUUGCUGGGAAUUUCCCCUUCAAGUCUAUUGAAAGACACAUUAAAAUACUUUAGAUAUAAAAGCUUUUCCAAAGAUUUGGGAAUGACUCCAGAGAGAUUGUUAUUGCAUAAAUCCAAGAAUUCCAAACUAAUCAAUCCAUCAAAUGAUUCAGGGAUAUGACCAUGUAGUAUAUUAUUUGAUAAAUCUAAUGAAACCAAAGUUUGAAGACCCCCAAAUGUGGAUAAGAUAUCGCCCGUGAGAAGAUUCCUUGAUAAAUUUAGUUUCAGUAGACUCCUAAGAUUUCCAACAUCAAUAGCAUGUGAAUUGUGAAGAUGGUUUGAUGAUAAAUCUAUUUUUAAGAUAUCUUUAAGAUUCCACAAAGUUGAGGGUAUUGCAGAACUCAAUUUGUUGGAAUGUAACCAAAGAUAUCCCAAAGAAGUAAUAUUACCCAAACAAGAGGGUAUAGAUCCAUGCAGCUUAUUCAACCCUAAAAACAAGUUGUAUAAUCUCUCCAAAUCACAAAGGCUUUCUGAGAUGGGCCCUCCUAAUUUAUUAGAGGAAAGACCUAGACUUUGGAGAUUCCGCAGUCCUCCUAUUGAUGUUGGAAUGAAUCCACUUAAUUUAUUAUAGCCAAGUUCUAAAAGCAACAUGUUGCUUAAGUUACCUAUUUCCAUAGGAAUAGUGCCUUGAAGCUCACAAUCUUCGGCAUAAAAGUAUUGAAGGGAUUUUGAAAGGUUCCCAAUAUAAGUAGGAAGAACGCCACUCAAUGGAUUUUCUGAAACUCCUAUGGUUUUCAAAUUCUUACAAUUCGUCAAAGAAGAAAGAAAGCUCCACUCAUGAUCAGUAGCAGAUCCUGUGAUCAAAUUAUUGUUUACGAUUCGGAACCAUUCAAGCUGUCUUAAGUUGCCAAGCGUUUUAGGGAUUGGGCCAGAGAAUAAGUUAUCUCCCAAGUCUAGUUUCGUAAGCAUGGAAGCAUUGGAGAUAGAGUAGGGAAUGUUUCCGCUAAGUUUAUUUCCCCCCAAAAAAAGAAACUCAAGCUUUGGAGCAUUGGUAAUGGGUGGUAAAUUACCUGUAAAAUAGCAUCUUUUAGUAUACAUAUUAAUUGAAUACCAAAUUCAUAAAAUAUAUAAUACAUUAAAAUAAAAACUGUAAAACUUCAAAUCAAUUAAGAAUAAAAUUUUGGCAUGGAAAAAUGUGAUGAAAUCAAUUAGAAAGUUGAGACAUAAUAAGAAGUUUUGAGUAGUAAUUACUCAUGAUUUCUAUAGACAAAACAUAUAAUACACUGAUAAUUUUUUAUAAUUUUUACAAUAUUUACAAUUUCUAACAAUUUUUAAUAAUUUUAUUAUUUAAUACAAAUUUAAAAUUUAACAAUUUUUUAUUUUUUUAAAACAAUUAUAUAUUUAUAAUGUAGUUAUUUUUUUUAUAAUUUUUUUUGAAAUUUUAAAGAUUUUUUUGGUUUUUUUUCUAGAUGAUGAUGCCAUCAUGAUGACAUCAUAUGCCACAUGGCAAUUUAUAAUUAGUUAAAUAUCUCAAUCCAUUUUUCUAACGUCAAAUGGACUAAAACAAGAACACCUGAUAAUGUUAGAGACUACACUUGGAAUGUUUGAUAAUAUCAGGUACUAAAGUGGGCAAAAAAAUUAAGGACUAUAUUAAAAAUAUAUCUAUAAUAUAUAUAAAUGCAUGGAUUUUGAGAAACUUUUGAAAUGAUAAUUAUAUAGUCUUUGUUUUUUUUACUAUAUUAUUGAAUUUUUUAUUUUAAAUAUUUUUUAUUACUUUUAAGAUUUAUCAUAUGUAUGUAUAAGAAUUUUGGUUUUACUAAAAUAUUUGGUCAAAUAAAUUCACUUUAUCAAAAAAUCUAGCAUCCUUAUAAAUAAAAAUUUUGAUUCUAUUAAAAAAAUUAUUUUAAAAAAUAUAUAAUAAAAAUUUAAAAUUUAUAUUGAAUUACUUUAUACUUAAAUUAUUAUUAGAAACUUUAUCAUACACAUACGUGCAUUAGAACCAUGUAUUUAGAACUUAAAUUUGUGUUUUAAAAUAACUUAUGAUAAAUAAUGAAAUGUAUAAUUUGAAACUAUUUAAUAAUAACACAUGACAUAUCUACCAUAUUAAAAUAAAAAUAGAUUAAAUUGUAAGUAAAACAUAAUUUAAACAUAUGAAUACAUCAAAUUACGAAUACUAAAUGAAUACAGUUAUUUAUGAUGAUGUUGUUGUCAAUUCCUAAGUUGGUGUCGAGUUAAUUUGUGACAUCAUAAAUUUAAGUGAUAAAUUUAAGGUUUUAUGUAUUGAUGCGGAUUCAAAUAUCACCAUAAUUUUUUUUAAAUAAAAAACUAAAGUACCCUCAAAUAAUAUAACUUAUAUUAAAUAUGAAAGGGUAGUUUUGUAAUUUCUCUAACGAGUUGGUGCCCGGUUGACUCAUGACACCAACUCAAUCAAAAGCUUCAAUAAUAAUAUAGAUAUUCACGUUAAAAAAAAAGUACUUUAGUUCCAAAUAAUUAUAUAACAAGUAAAUUUAUAAUUGAUGAAUAAAUUUAUAAAAAUAUAUUUAUAUGAUCUAAUAUAUUAUAUUUAUAUUAAUUAUAUAUCAUCUACAAACUUUGAAGAUCAAUUCAUUAAGUAUCAAGAAAGGAAAAAAAUGAAAUUGAAUUAACACUAAAUCAAUUUUUAGAUUUUGUACAGAUGAUUUAAUGAUGAUAAAAAAAUUAUUAGCACUAUUUUUGAAUUAACAAAAAAUUAGUGAUAUAUUUUAAUUAUAUUUAUUAUUUAUUAUUUUUAAUAAUGUUUUUUUAAUUAUAUGAAGUAAAAUUACAGUGUAUACUAAAUAUGGUACAUAUACUUUAAUUAUAACUAGAAAAUUUAUUAUAUAAAUUAAUAUAUUUUAAUUAUAUUCAACCAUUUGAACAACAAAAUAAAAAAAAUAAUUAGAAUAAUUUAUUUUUUAAAGUUUAAUGGAAAUUAAAAAAUUAAAAAUAAAUCAAUUCAUAUAAAUUUUGUUGUUUAUUUCAGAUGAAAAUGAUAAAAGUAUAUGACAUAAAUAGAAGAAACAAAUUCAACACCAUGUUUUUGGAGUUUGGAAAAAAUUAAAGUGAAAAACAUACCUUCUAAUUUGUUGUCAUGGAGACCUAUUUUUUCGAGCAUAGUUGAAUUAAAAAUACUUGAUGGAAUCUGACCUGCACACAUAGUCGAAAAUUGAAGUGAAAAACAUACCUUCUAAAUUGUUCAACUAAAAAUACUUUAAGCAUAUUUUUUAGUAAAGCCCUUCAAGCUUGGGAAGAUGUUGACACGUUGACACAUAUCAUUAGGCAAAGACUAAUAGCUUUCAAAGAAGAAAUCUUGAAGAUGGAAGAUGGAACCUGACCAGAUAAUUGAUUGAGUCCCAAGUUCAAGAUCUCUAGAUUAGACAUGUUAGCAAGUGUUUCAGGGAUUGUGCCUAUAAAGUUAUUAUUUUUCAUUUCCAGCCUUCGAACUCUGUGUAUGUUCCAAAGCCAUGAUGGAAUUUCCCCAUUAAGACGGUUGUAGCUUAAUCGAAGGAUCCGCAAACGAUGCAAUUGGCCCAAUUCUUUAGGGAGAUGGCCAUAGAAAUGGUUGCUACUCAAGUCGAGAGAGAGUAGAAAUGAAAGAUUUCCAAGGUGUGGAGGGAUAGUACCCCUAAGAUUCAUGCUUGUAAGAUUCAAAGCUGUAACUCUUUUAUGGAGGAUGCCACAAGAAACACCAAUCCAAUUGCAAACAGAGGUUGAGACAGUCCAAUUGUUUGGCAAGACAUUUUGAGGACCGGCGAUGCGAUCCUUAAACUCGAGAAGUGCAAACUGAUCGGAGUUGAGAUUUCUGACUGUCAUAGCCAAGCAAAGUACGGAACAUGGUAUGAAUAAAGCUAAAAGAAGAUGAAAGCAAGUGUUGUAGUUCAUGAUUGCAAGACAGAAUAAGAAAAGAAAAUAAAAUAAAAAAAAGUAGGAAAAGGGAAGUUGAGUUGAUAAAAUAGUUUGGAUGAUGAAGAAAAGCCCAGACAGCAUGCUUUAAUAUGUUUGGAUGAUAAAUUUAAACUUGAUAAAUUUAAGACUACCCUAAAAAUACGUACAAAGAAAUUUCAAAAUUUCAAAAUAAAUACGUACAAAGAAGCGAAUUUUCAAAAUUUCUCCUAAAUUUUCUUCACAUUACUCUACAUAAUCCAUUAAAAAAAACUUAAAAAAUAUAUUUUAUUAAUUACUAUAUAUUCUUUUAUUUUCAGAAUCAUAAAUUGUUUAAAAUAUGCUAUUAGUCCCUGUAAUUUAAAAGUUAAAAAAAUUCAAUCCUCCUAUUUUUCUAAUUUAAAAAUUCUAGUCCAAUCAAUUUUAAUUCCAUUAAAAAAUUUCAACUUAAUAGAUUUUUUAUUAUCAAUCAUAUGCAACAUUAUAUGAAGACAGUCUACUCAGCAUAUAUCCAAGUUUACAGAUUUUAAUAGAAAAUACUUACAAUCCUAAUGGUAGGACUAAGUUUUUUAAACUAGAAAAGUAAGAAGACUUAAUUUUUAACUUUUUAAGUACAAGGAUUAAAUUUUAAAUGUUGUCAAAGUACAAGCACUAACAAAAUAUUUUGAUCUAAUAAAUGUAAAAAACUUUUUAAACAAAAUAAGGUUUGAAAUAAUCUAUUUGUCCUUGUAAUUUUAUAAAUUUGAGAUUUAAUCUUUAUACUUAAAAGGUUAAAAAUUAAGUCUUCUUGUUUUUAUUUAAAAAUCUUAGUCCUAUUGUUAAUAUUAUUUUUUUUUUGCCAAAAUUUGUCAACUUUACAUAUUAAUUAGGUUUCCCUUAUAUGUCGUGGUAUAUGACUAACACAAAAUAAGCAAGUUGACAAAUUCUGACAAAAAAUAUCAAAGAUGAUAAUAAUUGGAUUAAAAUUUUUAAAUUGAAUUAAUAACCUUUAAUGUAUAAGGAAUGGAUAUCAAAUAUUUAUAGGAAUAAAGGGACUAACAACAUAUUUUAACCAGAAAAUAAUAUGAGUGAUUAGAAUGAAUCUAAAAUUUUAUAGAAAUAAAAGAGACUAACAACAUAUUGAUAACUUUCAAAUCUCCUUCGAUCAUCCUUUUUCUACGUAGAAAAAGAAAAUUAAUUAGCAUCUAAAGUGUCAAUUAAUGAAACCUUCAAAAGAAAAUGUGAAAGUGAUUUAUCAAACAAUAAUAUUCUAACUUAUAAUAUAUUUAAUUACAUUUAGUAAUUUAUCAAUCAAAACUUAUUUAACAUCCAUCAAUACUUCAUACAUAAAAAACGCAAGCAUAAAUUACCAUUUAACUCAGAUUUAACUUUGCAAGUAAACUUAAAAUUUUAUUUAAUUUUGUUACUAAAUUUGAUUUGUUCACUAUAGAGUUUGGUGACUUAAAAUAAAAGUAAUAAAAAGUUAUUCUUUCAGAUAUCUUUUUAAUGUUUAAUAAUAAAUUAAUUUAUAAAAUAUACUUUCAUUGGACACAGGCCUCCAAAGCGGUGAACCACUAAUCAAAUUAAUUUGGGGAUACCUAAAUUUGUUUUCAUCAAUUAAGAAAUUUAAAAAAUUGUUGAGACCUCAUGAUUAUCUUUUAUAAUUUCAGUCUUAUCACCAAAAACUAAAAAAUAAAAACGUCGACAUUAAAUUUGUUGGUAUGCAAUCAAUUUUAAGAUGGUUUUUGGGGUUAUAUAUCACUUUAGCAUUGACUUACUUUUCUACUCUUAGUCUUCUCCAACAAGUUAAAUAUUUGAAUUUUAACAACAUUGGCAGGUCUUUGGGGUAGGGUCGACCAAAACUUAAUAGAAACAGAUGAUAUAGGUUGAGUUGGCUCGGCCAAGUCGAGUCGACUUGUUCAAAUUAUUUAAAUUAGUAAAUUUUAGGGUGCAGUUAGAAUUUUUUGUUUUGAGAUGCUAAGAUUAAAAAAUUUCAGUUGCUAAAACAAAAAAUUUGUAUUUAAAAAGGCAUAAAUUAAAUAAUUAAGUUUUUCAAGUUUCCAUUUAAUCAAAGGUUAAAAGGACUAAAUUGAAGCUUUUUAUUUUUAAGAAAGGCUGAAUGCCAAAUUGCCCAAAGCCCAUGCCCCUAGCUAUACAACUAACUUUUCUAUGAUUAGUCCUUGGUUUGCUUUGGGUGGAAUCUUCCAACUAGCCUCAUCCUUCGUUUUACUUUCCAACAAUUAGUUUAUCAUGAGUUUUGUUUUCUUUAAAAAAAUAUUUUUGUGGAUAUUAGGAGAUAAUGAAAAUUAAUUUAGUAUGAAAUUUUAAUAAAACUGGAAAAUAAGUAAUUUAUUUAAGAGAUCACAAUUAAACGUUAGAUUUCCAAUUUUUAAAUUUUAAAUUAUUUUGACAAUUGCAUAAUAUUUUGAGCAUUGUAGGAAUGCCAUAAUCUUCCCUACGCAUAAUCGACUCUUGAGCAUGAUGGAUCCUAGGCCUUCUCCUCUAUUCUCGUACCACAAACUGCUUCGAGUGUGGAUUCGAACAAUCACAAAUUAAACACAAAACCAGAAAUGAUUUAUUACUUUCAAUAGCAAAGUAAUUCUCUCUCAAUAGAAACCAAUAGAAUUGUAAUUCCUAAAAAAUAAAAUUUAUUUUUGGAAAAUAUAUUCCCACUACUUUCUAGCAGAAUAAUAAUAUGUGAAACUUAUGUCUUGUGUUAAUAGCUCUACCAGCACUAUCUAUUUAUAGGGAGAGACGAGAAUCCUGGUUGACUUAGUAAAACACGAAUAAUAUUUAUUUCAUUGAAAACAAUAUUCCACCCUAAGUAGAUCAAGUUUGUAUGACGCAUGGAUCGAAGCUCAAUCUAGGAGAAAAAAAAAAGGAAUUUUCUUUGUAAAGAAAAUCUGAGAUUGUACUAUUUUCAAAGUUAUAAAUAAAAUUAUAAGCUAAAUUUUCAAGUCAAUUUUCAACUCCAAUUUUGUAUGCACAAAUUUCUAAUACACUUGGUGGGACAUUCUUUGACUUUUAUCUAUUCUCUCAAAAAGUUAAAGUUCAAAGUUGCAUUAAACUCAAAGAAGAUAAUCAUUAGUAAACCAGCUCACAAGCCUGCUCAAGCUAAUCCUACAACUUGUUCCACUUCAUCAUCAAACACCAAUGUUCUUGCUUAUCCUUAUGGAAUUAAACAGUCUCAUUUUCUGCAUUUUGGAUACACACCUAGUUUUGUUUGAUGCUAAAACAGUCCCUGAGCACUCCAAAGCCUAUAAUUGAACAAAUAACACUAAUUUAAUCUUACAUAACGUGAUCCCAAAUUGAACUUGUAUCGAGGUUUUAACCCAUAAGUGACUAAACUUUACCUUCAACCGAUGAACAGUAAUUCCCACAUAAACUAAGACUCCGAUUGGCGAUUACGAGCCCUUGAAUCCUCCCCUAAUUGGCAUAAACAAAACACUUCAGAAGAAAGUUAACAAACAGAGACAAAUCACUUAUCUAAAACUUACUGAAUGAUCACAGACAAACGUGGAGCGACACAAGGCAGAGUGGGAAAAGAAAAAUCAAGAGGAUGAAGGGUGAAAGAGAGCAGAAAUUCGGUAGCAAUAAAGAGAAAACGGUAAGAGGGUGGAGGGAUUUUGGGGAAAGUAAAAAAAAAAGAUGAACAGAAUAUUUGAUAACUACCCCAAUCCCUUAUUUCUCUCCAUCAAACUCUCCACUAAAUCCACUACUCGAAUUUUUAGUCCAUCUCAAACUCUCCUGGACGCAUGAGCAAAAAAUAAUGCCCAUGCCAAAAUUUGAACACAUGACCUCCUUCACACCAACACUCCACUUAUCCACUAGACCAACAGGCUCAUUCUUUUAAUUAUUUGUCAACUUUUACUUAAAAGCCUACUGACCAAAAAAUACCAAAAUUUGCCCAAGUCCUAGAUUGAACUUGGGACCUCCCAAACACACCCAGAACACAUAGCCAAUUUUCAAGCAAUCUGACAUGAAUUCUCAAUCACAAUUAAUUGAAUUCAAGAUAUAUUUGGAUGAGAAGACAAAUAUUUCAAUUUUAACACAAACCAAUGCUUGGGAUGAUUUGGGAUAAGAACUCCAACAUUUUAAGAUCACAUUUUCUUUUAUAAUUUCAGGCUUAUCAACUAUUUUGAAAACAACAAAACGUCUUACACCAAAAACUAAAAAAUAAAAACUUCGACAUUAAAUUUGUUGGUAUGCAAUCAAUUUUAAGAUGGUUUUUGGAGUUAUAUCUCACUUUAGCAUUGACUUACUUUUCUACUCUUAGUCUUCUCCAACAAGUUAAAUAUUUCAAUUUUAACAACAUUGACAGGUCUUUGGCCGAAUAAUUUUAAACGUCUCAUCAUUGCAAAAAUGAAAUAAUAGAAAAGAAAGAGUAGCCAUUUUAUGAAAUCUAUAAUUCCAACUGUGAAUAAAAUAUAAAUUUUAUGAAUGUGGACAAGCCAUUUUAUUUAUAAUUUUCUGUGUUUUUCUGACUUUUUUUAAGUCAUUUUCUUUGUUUCCUAACCAAAAAAUUUGCCCAUCACUUUAAAUAUAAAUUUAAAUAUAAAUUUUCUUUUUAAAAUAUAAAUUACUUGUCACAAUUCAUAUUUCUAAGUCAAUUUGCCAUCACUUUAACAUACACUAACUGUUCUAUGAUUAGUCCUUGGUUUGCUUUGGGUGCAAUCUUCCAACUAGCCUCAUCCUUGGUUUUACUUUCCAACAAUUAGUGUAUUACGGGUUUUGUUUUCCUUAAUAAAUAUUUUUGUGGAUAUUAGGAGAUACUGAAAAUUAUUUCACUAUGAAAUUUUAAUAAAACUGGAAAAUAAGUAAUUUCUUUUAAGAGAUCACAAUUAAACAUUAGAUUUCCAAUUUUUAAUUUUAAAGUUUUUUGACAAUUGCAUAAUUAAUAAGGUACCAAUUUUGAGAGUUGUAGGAAUGCUAUAAUCUUCCCUACGCAUAAUUGACUCUUGAGCAUGAUGGAUCCUAGACCUUAUCCUCUAUUCUCGUACCAGAAAUUGUUUCGAGUGUGGUUCGAACAAUCACAAAUUAAACACAAAACCAGAAAUGAUUUAUUACUUUCAAUAGCAAAGUAAUUCUCUCUCAAUAGAAACCAAUAGAAUUGUAAUUCCAAGAAAAUAAAAUUUAUUUUUUGAAAAUAUAUUCUCACUACUUCCUAACAGAAUAACAAUAUGUAAUACUUAUGUCUUGUGUUAAUAGCUCUACCAGUACUAUCUAUUUAUAGGGAGACACACGAGAAUCCUGGUUGAAUUAGUAAAACACGAGUAAUAUUUAUUUCAUAGAAAACAAUAUUCUACCUUAAGUAGAUCAAGUUUGGAUGACGCAUGGAUCGAAGCUCAAUCUAGGAGAAAAAAAUAAAGUAAUUUUCUUUGUAAAGAAAACCUGAGAUUGUACUAUUUUCGAAGUUAUAAAUAAAAUUAUACGCCAAAUUUACAAGUCAAUUUUCAACUCGAAUUUUUUAUGUACAAAUUUCUAAUAGACUUGGUGGCACAUUUUUUGAAUUUUAUCUAUUCUCUCGAAAAGCUAAAGUUCAAAGCUGCAUUAAACUCAAAGAAGAUAAUCAUUAGUAAACCAGCUCACAAGCCUGCUCAAGCUAAUCCUACAACUCGUUCCACUUCAUCAUCAAGCACCAAUGUUCCUGCUUAUCCUUAUGGAAUUAAACAAAAGACAAAAGCUCUCUAAGAGUUAUUUGAACAGACAAAAUAUUCAGAUGUGUUGAGAUGGAAAGUGACAACGCAAAGUUGAUUGAAACUAUUUGUAACGGGUUGGCUACAAUAAGUAGUGUUGUGAAGUAAGAUAGAUUCACGAUUGGUGUUCCAAAAUUGAGUAGCUAGUUAUCUUGGAAGAUCCUCCACAUUAUGUGAGAUGCUGGCUUGAAGAAGAUAUUAGACAAUUGCUAGUGACUGAUGAUAAUUUUCAUUUGGACUGAUGCUUGCUUAAUUUUCUAAGCUUAUGUUCAACCAAAAAAAAAAAAAUUAAAUAUGUCUAAAUGAUCAUAGAGUUAACAUUUAGUGUAUAAAAAAUUAAUAUAUAAUUUGUUUUCAAUUGUAGUUUAGUUCUAGAAAUACCAACGAUGAACCUUAAAACGGAAAUGAAAAUUACAAAAAAAAAAACAAACCACAUCUAUUAUCAAACCAACAAUCCAUGUCUAAACUUAAAUUAACAAAAUUCGUUACGCAACUCGGUACACUAUUUUAUAUAAUCAAUAUAUUAGAUUUAUUCUUGAUGCACAUGUUUUAUUAUAGUUAAAAAUUAAAAUAUAUGAUUUACUAAGUUUUAAUUGAAUUAGUAUUGGUAUUAUAUCAGUGUAGGAAAAUGUGAGUUUAAUCGUACUUAAAUAUGUAUCCUCCAACUCAACAGUUGGGAAAAGGUUAUUGAUAAUUAAAUUAUACCAAUUUUUACAAUAUCUAAAAAGCAUUCAUAAACAUAUUCAUAUUGAUGGGCUCUUUCAUUAUUAAACUUUUUUUCUCUCACAAGUAAAAGUACUUGUGGUGAGGAUCAUGUAAAAUAAUAAACUGAAUAAUUUUAAACGUCUCAUCAUUGCGAAAAUGAAAUAAUAGAAAAGAAGCCAUUUUAUGAAAUUUACAAUUCCAACUGUGAAUAAAAUAUAAAUUUUAUGAAUGUGGACAAGCAAUUUUAUUUAACUUUUUUUAAAGUAAUUUUCUUUGUUUCCUAACCAACAUGAAAUUACUUGUCACAAUUCAUCUUUUUAAAUGAGAAACAUUUUCAACAAUUUGCCAUCACAUCAACAUACACUAACUUUUCUAUGAUUAGUCCUUGGUUUGCUUUGGGUGCAAUCUUCCAACUAGCCUUAUCCUUGGUUUUACUUUCCAACAAUUAUUGUAUCCUCCUCAUUACUUUUACUUACCGACGGAUGAAAAAUUCACUGAUCAAAUUAAUUCAAAGAUUUUUUUUUUCUAAAUCAAGUGAAUUCACGAGUUUUAUUUUCUUUAAAAAAUAUUUUUGUGGAUAUUAGGAGAUACUGAAAAUUAUUUUACUAUGAAAUUUUAAUAAAAUUGGAAAAUAAGUGAUUUAUUUAAAGGGAUCACAAUUAAACAUUAGAUUUUUAAUUUUUUAAUUUUAAAUUUUUUUGACAAUUGCGUAAUUAAUAAGGUACUAAUUUUGAGCAUUGUUGGAGUGCUAUAACCUUCCCUAUGCAUAAUCGACUCUUAAAUUCACUUUUUUCUCUAGAAUUUUAACAAACUUACAAAAUGAUUUAAUGAUAUUUAAUUAUUGAUGGGUAAAAAAAUUAUAUCAUAUAAAUUCCGAAUAAUUAAUUAUAUAUCUACAUAUUAUAACCAAUUCAUCUUUCAAAAUUAUUUCCUUAUAAUUAAAGCAAAAAUUAUAUUUAUAAAAUUCUAAAUAUAUUAUAAUUCUUGUAAAUAUAUAUAUUUACAUAUAUAAGUCCAAAUUGUAAUAGAGUUAACAUUUAUUGUAUAAAAAAUGUCUUGAAAUUUUUUUUUUCAAUUUCAAAAGAACUAUUCCAUUUAUAAAACCAUAAAACUUUAAAAAUAUAAACUCUAUUAAAUAAAAAUAAUAAUAUUUUUAAACAAUAAAUAUUGACUUUAUUUUAAAUUGACAUUAUCUAAUUCUUUUUAAUAUGUAUCGCUAAGCUUUACAUUAAUAUACAUGAUUUAUUUGUUCGUUAUUAUUAUUAUUAUUAUUAUUAUUAUUAUUAUUAUUAUUAUUUCUAUGAUUAUUAUAUUAUACUUAUCGGACUACAAUCAUAACCAUGUCUAUUAUCAUUCGAUAAAAAAAAAUUAAGUGUUGAGUAUAAUGACAAGGCACAUUACACUCUGAAGGGGAGAUUAAGGUUUGGACAAAGGAAGAAUAUGAUUCAAAUUUUGGAGACAACAUUCUUGAAAUGAGCAACCAUAAACCCCGAUUAUGAACCAUAAAACGAUCAUGAAAAGUACCCAAAAAAACACAUUUAUUACCAAAUAGUAAUCCAUCUAAGGAUUAAAUUAACAAAAUUCACCAUCCAACCGUGUAGACUAUUAUAAAUAUAUAUACUAUAUUUAUUCUUCAUGCAAAUGUUUAUUAUAUUUAAAAAUUAAAAUAUAUGGUUGAUUGAGUUUUAGUUGUGUUAAUAUUGAAAUUAUUGUCAGUGCAAAAGAACAUGAGUUCAAUCAUGUUUAAAUACGUUUUAUACUCCAAUUUAGGAGUUGGAGAGGAUUCUCAAUAGUUAAAUUAUAUUAGUUUUUGUCUAUUUAAAAAUGAUUUAUAAAUAAUAUAAGUAGAAAAUUUUAAAAAAAAUACAUAUUCAUAUUGAUCGGCUUUUUCAUUAUUAGACUUUUUUCCCCACAGUUAAAAGUAUUUAUCGAAUUCAAAUUUUGGGUUUUAAAUAAGGGUUUCGGAUUUUUUUUAAACAUUUGUGUGAGUUUUUGCCAAAUUUUAUAUUUUCGGAACGAAUAACUAAGUUGAUUUUUAAUUACUUUUUCAAACAAGUCGAUGUAAUUCCUCAAAAAUCUAGUCAAAGCGUCUAGGCUGGGUUUGGAGGUGUUACACUAACGUUACUAAAGUUAAUCUUAAUCUAUUUAGUCUAGAUCUAAACAUCAAUAUUCUCUUCCAAGAAAAAUCAAGAUUAUCAAAUUAUUACAACUGUGUAGCCAGACAAUCAUAUUAAAUAUGCAUAAAACAUAAUAAAUAAUUAGCGAAGAUUGAAACAAUCAAAGAAAAAAAUAAAUAAAUAAACUAAGAAAUAAGGAUCCAUUAUUGUUUCAAGAAAACAGAGUUUAGUUCAUAUUGAGUUGAGAAAACCAGAAAGGAGAUUCAAAACAAACUUGUGAUAAGGGGAACAAUGUCAAUAGAUCAUAUUCAAGUUGUUCGACUUCAGAUUUGACCUGAAAAGAAGAAACCAAACAUAUUUAGGAAAACAAGAAAAAACAAAGAAAAAAAACUAAAAUGAGAAAUUUAAGAAUAAAUAAUAAAUAUUAAAAAUAAAUAAAGAAAUUAUAGAAUAAAAAGUGGCAGAUGGAAUGAAGAAAUGAUGGAUAUAAAUAAAAGAUGGAUAUGACAUAUAGAUGAAUAAGUGUCUGAUAACUCUUGAAAAAAAGUUAUAUUUCAUGCCUUUAGACCUAGCUAAUUGCUUGUACUUAAGUAUAUUUUGUUGCUUUUUAAGACAUUUUAGUGAGCAUUUUUAAUAUUGUAUUAGGACUUAGACUGAGUUGGAAUUAGGUGCUUUUAAUCGCUUGUGGUGGAGUUUUUUGUGUGUUGGUAUGGCAGGAACAGGUUUUAGAUCGAGGAAAUAAAUGAGUGAAGUUUUGUUUGGGCAAAAGUGCAUAUAGUUUUCCAACAAGGAUGCCGUGGCAAUGCCGAGAAGACCAAGUUCAUAUUUUUUGUGCAACAGUCCUAGUUCAAAUUCAAACUUGUAUGAGAUAAAUCCCCCUAAAAGAGGAGAAGAUAAUUACAUUGAUGUUAGUUGACCCUAGCCUAAUCUAUCUAUUAAAUCCAAUGAAAGGGAUCUCACAAAUGGUAGAAAAAAGUGAGAGAGAUCUUUAGGGGUGAAUAAGGGUUUGGCUGUGCAAAGGAAAAGAAGUCAAGGGCAAUCAUUCUUAGCCUUCACAGGACGUUUUGUUGCCAAAGUGUGGACUGGGCAAGUGAAAGCUGUUUCCCAAAGUUCUUCUGUUAUUUCCAUCAGUGUUCCUUCGAAAGAUUGAAUUGAAGUAGUUGAACACAAUGUCAGAUAAUAUUUUGGUUUGAAAUUCUAUUUCCCAGUUUAUGAGCUAAAUCUCAUAAGGUUGGGAUUACUUUCGAUGAAACCUUUAAUUUUUUUUAUGGAUGCAAUAUAUAUCUAAUUUACAUUACAGUUUCAUUUGAUUGUUCUUAUUUCUUAAUUAAAAUGCAAAUGAUCUCUAGACAUAGAAGACUAUUCACAUACUUAUAAACUGAUUAUAAUUCUAAAAGGGUUGGAUUAAAAUUAAAUGAAAUGAGCAAGUAUUUGAUAGACACUUGUAGCCGACUCCAGACAUAGAGUCACGAUCAUACAGAAGGAACCCAUGCAAGAUAUCUGAAAAGCCUUUAGACACAGGCAAGGCAACUUGAGGUUAUUCUCUCACACGAGGCAGACCAUUUUAGAACUCUUCUGUGUUGUAAAGUAGAUACGAUUUUGCCAAGGCAUUAUUGACAAUAAGGGUUGAUUCUGGGUAAUCCCGACCUUCCAAAUCCACAUCGUAUAUCCUUCAUUAUUUUCCAUAGUAUCUUUUCCACAUCAUUAUUAAUUAUUUAUUUGUUCAUUUACAUAAUAUUCCCAUAGUAAUUCUCAUAAUUGCCAUUACAUUUCUACUCUCGAUUUGCCAUAGCAUUACCAAAUAUUCAUUAAUUCCACAUAUUGAUUACAUCAUUACUCUACUCAUUGCCAUUGCAUAUUUAUCAUUGACUUUGUCACAACAUUAAUUGUAUUUUAUGAUAAUAACUUGAUCGAUUUUGUGCCUCAAUCUGAUCAUCGUGGGAAUGAUACUCACUCAUCAUUUAUUACUUGAUUCAACGUGUAUACUUGCACAAAUCGCAUAUCAUUUCACAUGCGACAAUGUCCAAUUGAACCCUUUAAGAUAUAAACUCAAACAAACUCAAUUAAUGGCUUUAAUCAACCCACCAAGAAAUAAUCCUUGGCAAAUUGAAGGAUGAAUAAUGAAUUCCCAUGACUCCUUAAAGAAAAUUGAGAAGAAAACUGCUUCUAAAAAUUACAAGAAACAAUCUUGCACAAAGAAACUAACCUUGAGAGUUGGAAAUUUUAGUAACGAACAAAGACAAUUGUGUCUCUAAUGACCAUGAAAGAGCUUUACAUAGGCUAGAUAAGUACAUCCAAAUAAAAUUUCGAAGUAUCUUAAAACUUUAAUUAAUGUAAGCAAAAAGUAAUUUUCAACUAAAAUAGUCAUAAUUUCCGUAAUAAUCCCGUCUAGAAAUUCUACUCACAUAGUCAUCACUAAAAUAGUCAUCAUUUGAGCUCUUGAACUAGAAAUUGAGUGAAUAAAAGUGUGUUUGAUAGACCUUAGAACUCCAUCAAGACAUAUCAAUCGAAAAAUAUUUGGAUCCCAUCCAAAAAGUCAUUGCAAGUUAACUGAUUUUCCAAACUUGAAAAUUGGCAGCUUCAGUGAAUGAAAUUUAAUAAAGUUCACCCCAUCUGCUCAUGUAUAAACUUGCAGUGGUAAAAAGUAAAAAGAAAUAAUCUAUAGAGAAAAUAGUUGAAGAAUUUAUGACAAUUUAUUCAGACCUUUUUUUCUUCUAGCCUUUGCAAGCUUGAAGUUUCCGUUGGUGUGUGAGAGUUGUUCCUUACCCUUUAAGUUAUUUCUUUUCUUUUCCUUCUUUUUCUUUCUCUUCGAUCUCAUCACCUAAGGGUGCUCAAACAACUGAUUCAGUUAAUACCCGAACAAAGCUAUCAUUAAAUGAAAUUUUGAAACCCUUAAUCAUUAAUGAAACCAAUUUUUUGUUGAAACCUAUUAACCGGCCGGAUUGAUUUCGGUUAAUUUGUGCAGUUAACCAGAAUUUAUACAUUGUUUGUUUUUUAUCAAACAAUUUUAAAACAAAGAACAAUCCAUGACAACUUUUUCCUUGUUUUUUAUUCAAAAAUUAUUAAAAGAACUAAAAAAAAUAACAUAAUAACAACACUAAAUUAAAAACAUAAUAGCAUUCAUUACAGUACAAAUCUUUUUUCUUUUUUUUCUUUUUGUUGACUUUUUAGUUUAAUUUUAGUUUUUUUUCAAAUAUUUUAGUUUUCAUAUUCUUGUUAAGCUUAUUAUAAGAAAACUUAUAAAUCCAUUAGUUUUUAUAUAUUAGGUUUGUAUAAUGUAUUGGAGCUAUCUCUAUAAUAUAUUUUUAUUGAUUUCGGUUAAUCAAUUAAUUCGGUUAAUUAGUCGAUUUCAAACGAAACUAAUUGAUAAACAAAAUCUUCAAAAACAUUUAACCAACUCCCAACCAAAUUAGAUUCGUUGAUCGCCUGCUUAAUCAAGUUAAUCAUAUGGUAAAAUGGCAUAGUUUUGGAAUGGUUUUUUGGAAUUAUUGGUAUAGGUUUAAGUUAUGAUCUUGAGAUGUUGAGUUGAAUUAAGUUUGAUAUGUAUAUUGUGAUGCCUUCAUUGGCAUAUUGGUUAGAUAUUAAAGGAUGGUUGAUUUGGUAUGUUUUUAAAAUGGUUGUUGGUAUGUGUGAUCUAAAUUGAUUAAAUGAACUUGUAAUGUUGAAUGGUAUAAUAUUUGUUGGUACAUUAGUUAGUCUUAUAGGUUGAUGGAAUUGGUAUGUUUUAAAUGUGUUUAAAAUGUGUUUUGAUUGUUUAAAUGUUUGUGGAAAUGGUGUGUCUUGGUGUACAAGAUUUGAAAUUGAAAUGGCUUGAUUUAGAAGCAACUUAUGUUGUACACCACCUGGGACACUGGUUGUCACAUGGUUGUGUGUCAUUAUUGUUUUAGGUACAGGUUUCACACAAUCUGAGACUCGGCUCACGACAUAGCUGUGUAUCACAAGUCAGUAUGUAACACGGUUUGGUACAUGGCCUGCGACAUGACCGUGUGUCCAAACUUCGAAUGUCCACACGGUCUGGGCUAUGUCACACGGGUUGGCCACAUGGCCGUGUGACCCUUGUUUUCAAGUUUUCUAAAAUUUUCUAUUUUAUUUCAAAUUGAUCCUAGAAUAUUCUCAAACUGUUUUUAGGGCCCGUAGGUUCGAAUUAAGGCCCAUAAGUGUAUGUUUGCUAUAAUUAAGUUGUGUUAAUUAAUGUUAUUAAUUAAAUGGCAUGAAUAUUUUAUUGUAAGUUAAAUGUUUUAAUUUGAACUAUAAUGCUCCGUAACUCUAAUCUGGCGACGGAGACAGGUUUGGGGUGUUACAAUUUUGGACUUGAAAUUUGUUUUGGGGCUUUGUUCGAUGUUUGUUGGAUUUUAGUGUUUUAACAUUAAACUACAAAAUUGUAUGAUUUAACAAACUAAAAAUUAGGUUUUCAAAAUUAAAACUCUGGAAGUUUCUGUUUCAAAGAUUAAGUAAUCACUUAAGUGUUUUCCCAUAAAUAAUUAAAUGGUUUUUAACAAAUGUUUUCCUUAGUUUUGGAAAUGAUAUGCCAACAUUAGUACUUUUAAAACACAUGAUUUCAAAUUCAAAUUCUUGGUUUUAAGUAAGGGUUUUCAAACUUUGAUUUUUUUUAACAUUUGUGAGAGGUUUUUGCCAAAUUUUAUGUUUUCAGAACGUGUAACUAAGUUGAUUUUUAAUUAGUUUUUCAAACAAGUCAAUGUAAUUCCUCAAAAAUCCAAUCAUAGCGUCUAGGUCGGGUUUGGGUUGUUACACUGACGUUACUAAAGUUAAUCUUAAUCUAUUUAGUCUAGAUCUAAACAUUAAUAUUCUCUUCCAAGAAAAAUCAAGAUUAUCAAAUUAUUACAACUUGGUAGGCAGACAAUCAUAUUAAAUAUGCAUAAAAGUUAAUAAAUAAUUAGCGAAGAUUGAAACAAUCAAAUAAAAAAUAAAUUAAUUAACUAAGAAAUAAGUUCCAUUAUUGUUUCAUGAAAAUAGAGUUUAGUUCAUAUUGAGUUGAGAAAACCAAAAGCGAGAUUCAAAACAAACCUGUGAUAAGGGGAACAAUGUCAAUAGAUUAUAUUCAUGUUGUUUGACUCAAGAAAGAAAUAUUCGAAUCUAACUUGAAAAGAAGAAACCAAAUAGAUUUAGAAAAAUAAGAAAAAAAAACAAAGAAAAUAACUAAAAUGAGAAAUUUAAGAAUAAAUAAUAAAUAUUAAAAAUAAUAAAGAAAUAAAGAAAUUAUAGAAUAAAUAAUGGAAGAUGGAAAUGAAACGACGGAUAUGACAUAUAGAUGGAUAAGUGUCUGAUAAUUCUUGAAAAGAGUUAUAUUUCAUACCUUUAGACCUCACUAAUUGCUUGUACUUAAGUACAUUUUGUUGCAUAUUGAGACAUUUUUGUUCGUAUUUGUAAUAUUGCAUUAGGACUUAGAUUGUGUUAGAAUUAGGUGUUUUUGAUCACUUGUGGUGGAGUUUUUAGUGUGUUGGUAUGGUAGGAACAAUAUUUAGAACGAGGAAAUAAAUGAGUGAAGUUUAGUCAGCGCAAAAGUGCAGAUAGUUUGCCAACACGUAUGCCGUGGCAAUGUCGGGAAGACCAAGUCAACAAAUUUUUGCGCAACAGUCCUAGUUCAAAUUCAAACUUGUACUAGAUAAAUCUCCUUAAAAGAGGAAAAGAUAAUCACAAGUUGUUAACCGACCCUAGCCUAAUCUAUCUAUAAAAGCCAAUGAAGGGGAUCUCACAAAUGGCAGAAAAAAGUGGAAGAGAUCCUUAGGUGCGAAUAAUGGUUCAGCUGCGCAAAGGAAAGGAAGUUGAAGGCAAUCUUUUUUAGCCAUCACAAGACGUUGUGCUGUCGAAGUGUGGACUAGACAAGUGAAAGUUGUUUCCCAAAGUUCUUUCGUUAUUUCCGUCAGUGUUCCUUCAAAAUAUUAAAGUAGUUGAACAUAAUGUUGGAUAAUAUUUUGGUUUGGAAUUUUAAUUCCUAGCCCAUGAGCUAAAUCUCGUAGGGUUGGAAUUACUUUUGAUAAAACCUUAAACUAUUUUUAUGGAUGCAGUAUAUAUGUAAUUUACUUUACUGUUUCAUUUUAUUAUUCUUAUUUCUUAAUUAAAAUGCAAAUGAUCUCUAGACAUUGAAGCCUUUCACAUACUUAUAAACUGAUUUUAAUUCUGAAAGGGUUGGAUUGGUUGGAUUAAAAUUAAAUGAAAUGAGCAAGCAUUCGGUGGACACCUGUAGUAGACUUUAGACAUAGAGUCACGCUCAUACAGAAGGAACCCAUGCAAGAUAUCUAAAAAGCCUUUAGACAUAGGCAAGGUAACUUAAGGUUUUGCUCUCACGAGAGGCAGGCCAUUUUAGUACUCUUUUGUGCUUUAAAGUAGAUACGAUUUUGCCAAGGCAUUAUUGACAGUAAAGGUCGAUUAUGGGUAGUCCCAACCCUCCAAAUCCACAUCGUAUAUCCUUUACUCUUUGCCAUAGUAUAUUUGCCACAUCAUUAUAAGUUAUUUAUUUGUUCAUUUACAUAAUAUUUCCGUUGUAAUUCUCAUAAUUAUCAUUACUUUCUACUCUCGAUUUGCCACAACAUUACUAGUUAUUUAUUAAUUCCACGUAUGGCUUACAUCAUUGCUCUACUAAUUGCCACUGUAUAUUUACCAUUGACUUCGCCAUAGCAUUAAUCAUAUUUUAUUAUAAUAACUUGACCAAUUUUGUGCCUCAAUUCGAUCCUCAUGGAAAUGAUACUCACUCAUCACUUUAUUUGUAACACCCCAAACUCGGCCUAGACGUUAUGGCCGAAUCUGGUGAUGUCACAUGGAGAGGGAUUUGAAGACAAGAUUGUUGAGUUUAAAAACCGUUACAGUAAGUUAGCUUUUAUUUAGGGAAAAUCGUGUUUUGUAGAGUUGUAGUUUUUAGGAAAAAAAUCGUGUUUUGUAGAGUUGUAGUUUUUUUAAAAAACCCAAUAAAAAAUAGUAUAAAGUCCCAAAUUUAAAACCAAUCAGUCCAUAGUCCAGAAGAUACAUCAAAAACUCAAAAUAAGUAAUAAAUUCUAGGCAUUAACGGAAAACAAUCUAAAAUUUACGUGUGGCCACCAUUGAGUCCUCUGCUGCACCGAUUCGUCAAGUCUGAGGAUUACCUAUACAAAUUAAAUAGAGAAAGGGUGAGUUGUCGCAAACUUAGUGUGUAAUCCCCACAGAAAACAUGCAUAGAGAUAAUUAACAAAAUUUAGUUAGAUACAGUCUAGGGCCUGUGCCCAUCAUAGAAUCAGUUUGGGCCUUAGCCCAUUCAGAUAUAGUCUUAGAAAUACAUUAGGGCAUUGACCAGCCUCUACAAACCACCUCCAUCCAACCAUACACACCAUGUGGGGAUUAAAUCAACCAACCCAUCCCUACACACCAUGCUGUACCGAAAUGCGGCACAUAAUUAGAAGGUUGCAGCUGGGCUGCCAGAUAACAUAAGUCAUGCUCGGUAUAGAAAUCAGACAGACAGAUCACACAUAUAGGUGUCUAAGUAAAGCUUACUGACCCUACAGUAGGUCCACAGUUAACUUGGGCGACCCGUGCAAAAUUACAGAACUUUUUAGAAAAAUGGGCUUACACGCCUAUGUGGCCCACUCGGCCCAAAUUGGCCUUGACCACGUGAUCCAUUUUUAAUGUAACCAGUGCUAGUUAAUUAUUCAUAUAUGUUUUCACUAUUUACUUAUAUGUUAAUUUAAAGCUGUCUACUUGAGUCACUGUUACUAAAUUAUUUAUAUCUUGAGCUACAGAAUUUCAAAUUAAGAUCCGCUUAAUGUCUUUGAAACUAGACUCAAAUAUCUUUCUACUAUAAAAUUUUUAUAAUUUUUGGUUGAGCCAACAAGUACAGUAAAAUCUUCAAACCUUCCCCUAUUCUGCUGUCUGACAACUUCAACCCUUCUUUGCUAAGAAUUAAUUAUCUCUUAGUACAAGAUUUGGAUGAUGUUUACAUUUGUUUCUAUUGAAAAUAAACUCAUUAAUAAUUUAAAAAUGUAAAUUUUAAACCCCUAAUUAUUUUUCUCCAAUUUUUGAUGAUUUUCCAAAUUUAGAACAGGGGAACCUUAAUUCUUUCUGACCUUGUCUCACGAAGUUUAUUAUACCUCACAAUUUACAAUUCCAUUACUUACAUCGUUUAAGAUUUAAUUCCAUAUUUUUUUCAUCCUCUAAUUCAAUUUCCACAAUUUAUGGCAAUUUUUCAAAGUUAACCUACUGUUGUUGUCCAAACAGCAAGCAAUUUUGGCUUUUCGCCGAAUCCUUUUUUUUGCAUUUCGGGUACACACCUGGUUUUGUUUGAUGCUAAAACAAUCCCCGAACACUCUAAAGUCACCAAUGAUAACCAUCCAUUUAAAUAUUGUUAACACGAGAACACUGAAUUCACUAGUCCGAGUCUCCCCCUACGCCCAAAUCGCAGAGAAAAUACGUUACCACUUUAGUCGCUAAAAGAUUCAUGAUAGAAAAGAAGAGAAACACUUACCGAACUAAGCGAGCACUAACCGUGUGUGAAAAUGAAGGAAAAUAAAUGGAUUAGGGAAAAAUCAAGAACAAGAAAAAGAAGAAAAAGAAAAACUCAGAGAAUUUCAACAAGAGGAGAGGGAGAAGAAUAGACGGCGAAUAAAAUUCUGAUAACCCCCAAAAUCCCUUAAUCUUCUCCCCUAAUUCCCACUACACAUCCACUAUUCAUAACCCCCUAUUACAUAACUCUAUCCGAAAUCUGAUAAAAAAAAACAUAAUACCCUUGCCUGCAUAGGGGUUCAAACACAAAACCUCUACUAUAAUAACACAUCAUUUAACCACCAGACCAGCAGGCCCAUUCUGAUGUAAUUUACCCAAAAAUCAAAUAAAAGCCUACUCAACAAGAGUAAAGCCUAAUUCAUUCAAAAUACCAAAAUUUGCCCAAGCAAAAGCUUGAACUUGGGACCUCCCAAACACUCCCAGAACACAUAACUACUAAAGCUGACAAAUAUUUGUGUCAUAUUUUCACAAUAAUGAAAUUAGAAAUUUUGGGACAUUACAUUAUUACUUGAUUCAACUCUUGCACAAAUCGCAUAUCAUUUCACACACAACAGUGCUCAAUUGAACCCUUUAAGAUAUGAAAUCUAACAAACUCAAUUAAUGGCUUUAAUCAAUCCACCAAGAAAUAAUCAUUGGCAAAUUGAAGGAUGAAGAAUGAAUUCCCAUGACUCCUUAAAAAAAUUGAUAAGAAAACUACUUUUAAAAAUCACAAGAAACAAAUCUUGCAUAAAGAAACUAACUCUCAGAGUUGGUAAUUUUAGUAAUAAACAAAAACAAUUGCGUCUCUAAUGAACAUGAAGGGGCCUUUACAUAGGCUAGAUAAGUACAUCCAAAUAAAAUUGUCAAAUAUCUUGAAACUUUAAUUAAUGUAAGCAAGAAGUAAUUUUAAACUAAAAUAGUCAUAAUUUUCGUAAUAAUCCCGUCUAAAAAUUCUGCUCACAUAGUCAUCAUUAAAACAAUCAUAAUUUGAGCUCUUGAACUCAAAAUUGAGUGAAUAAAAGUGCGUUUCGAAGUUAAGUGAUAGAUCCUAGAACUCUAUGAAGACAUAUCAAUCAAAAAAAUAUCUGGAUCCCAUCCAAAAAGUCACCGCAAGUUAACUAAUUUUUCAAACUUAAAAUUUGGCAGCUUCGGUGAAUGGAAUUUAAUAAAGUUCACUCCAUCCAUUCAUGUAUCAACUUGCAUUGGUAACAAGUAAAAGAAAAAAAUCUAUAGAGAAAAUAGUUGAAGAAUUUAUGACAAUUUAUUCAAAUCUCUUUUUCUUCUAGUCUUUGCAAGCUUGAAGUUUCCCUUGGUGUGAGAGAGUUGUUCCUUACCCUCUAAGUGAUUUUUUUCUUUUUCUUUCUCUUCGAUCUCGUCACCUAUUGGUGUUCAAACAAUUGAUUCAGUUAAUACCCGAACAAAACUAUCAUUAACUGAAAUUUUGAAACCCUUAAUCGUUAAUCAAACCAAUUUUUUUAAAAAAAACCUAUUAACUAGCUGGAUUGAUUUCGAUUAAUUUUAGCGGUUAACCAGAAUUUAUACAUGGUUUUUUUUUGUUCAAAAAAUUUUAAAACAAAGAACAAUCCAUGACAAUUUUUUCCUUGUUUUUUAUUGAAAAAAUUAAAAGAACUAAAAAAAUAACAUAAUAACAACAAUAAAUUAAAAACAUAAUAGCAUUCAUUACAUUACAAGGCAUAUAUAUAUAUUUUUACUUUUUCUUCACUUUUUAGUUUAAUUUUAUAUUUUUUAAAAUAUUUUUAGUUUUCAUAUUUUUGUUAAGCUUAUUAUAAGAAAACUUAUAAAUCCAUUAAUUUUUCUAUAUUGGUUUUGUAUAAUGUAUUGGACUUAUCUCUAAUAUAUUUGGCCUAUAAUAUAUUUUUAUUGAUUUCGGUUAAUCAAUUAAUUCGGUUAAUUAGUCGAUUUCAAACUAAACUAAUUGGUAAACAAAAUCUUCAAAAACCUUUAACCAACUCCCAACCAAAUUAGAUUUGAUUGCUUAAUCAAAUUAAUUAGGUUUGAUAAAUUAAUUCGUUAAAACCAAAAAAUCCACACCCCUAUCAUCACCUUUAUUUUUAGGGAUUUUAAUCAUGUUGCUGCACCUGAUGCAGAAGUUGAGGUGGAACGAACUGCUUGCUACCACAAUUUAUGAAUUAUAGAGCAUGCUCCACCGUAGUGAAUCAAAUUCGGUGGAGUAGAAGACUUUUCUUCACUACUUUAUGCUCUAUGCUCCAAGUCUUCUAUUCUUCUUCUGAGACCUACAAUGGGAAAAUAAAAACUAAGAAACAAGUCUAAACUAACUUUGAAAAUUAGAAAUUUUCAACAAAAUUGAAAUAAAAUAUAAUUAAUCCAUAAAAAACUAUAAAAUGCAAUAAAAACAAACCUAAAUACUAAAAUUACCUCCUAAAAUGCUGUGGAAACUAUACUAAAAUAACUCUAAAUAUGAUAGUUAUCAGAAGCGACUUGAAUAAGCCAAUCGAGUAGAUGAUUUCAACUAUUGCAAAUAGCAUCAGUCGAUUAACCAUCCUCUUGAGAAGAUCAUAGAGUUGAAAGAAAAAAUCAUACAACUCCAUGAAGAAGAAAAAAUCAUGUUUGAAAAAGAAGUGGCAUUAUCAAACUUGACAUCAAUGCUUUGGUUUCUCAAUACAAUAUUAAGGAGAAAUUCAUCAAAUUUGGCUCUUUCACUCCUAUUACACUAGCUCUAAGUAGAAGUAAGAUGGUGAAUUUCGAAGGGAUUGGGGACAAUCAUCUAUUUUUGGAAUAUCAGAAUGGUCAUGAUUGGACUCAAAGAAGCCAAUGAAAUGCAUCUCUCCUAGGUAUAAGCUUAUAUUGUCACAUUGCUCCUAAGCACGAGCAUAAAUUGUUCAUCCAAAAUGAUGAUGCUCCUAAGCAUGAGCUUAAACUGUUCAUCUAAUGCUCCUAAGAAGGAGCCUAAACUAUUCAUAAAAAAUAAAUGAUGAUCCAGUGAAGCACGAGAUUAAACUAUUCAUACGAAAUAAAUGAUUACCUCCUAAGCAUGAAUUUAAAUUGUUCAUACAUAAUAAAUGAUGAUACUCCUAAGCAUGAGCUUAAAUAGCAGUCCAAAAAAAAUUGAACAACAUUAUAACUUUAUCUUUUAAAAAUGAAGGUACGUAGAUAGCCUGGUUUCAUUGCCAAGUUCAGUCAGUGAAACAAAUUCUUGAAAGUAGGAAGCAAAUAAAAUUUCAAGACUUGUACCCUUUCUACGCCCAACAAAAUUCAGAAUUCAGCAUUUGUUAUUACUGUUUAUCUCUAACUAAAUUAAUGAAAAGAUAAAUCAAGAAAUUAAAUCCUUUUAGAACUGUCUUAUAAAGAAACCAUAUUCUUUAAGGAUUACUUUAUCUAUAAUUAAUUAAAUUAAUAAGAUAUGAAUAAUAAUAAUAGAGUUUAAAUUCUUAUAGAACACUCAAAUGAAAAAGCUAAAUUCUACAACAACUCUCUUAUAUCAAAGUGAUUGGGCACUAUAAAAAUGGGUCACCUCCAAGUCAUUCUACACAUUCACAAGUUCAAGAAGUUCAAAAAUUCUUUACGAAAAUAUGAAGAAACUAAAGAAGUAGAAGAAAUUCUGAUGAACAUCAUAUCAGUUCUAAAGAAAAACUGCCUCCUAUCCAAUUCAAUUGAGAGGAGGAUGUCAACAGAAGAGAAGAAUCGAAGAAGUUUUGUUUGUAAAUAAAUUCAAAACUAUACACUCUUCGAAAUAAUAAAUAAAAUUUGACGCAAAAUUUUCAAGUCAAUUCUCAACUUAAAAUUUGCGUGUACAAUAUAUAUAGGAAAGAAUCCAUUUACAUUAUAUAAAACUAGUGUAUGUAUAAUACAGAAAUAUUUAGUACAUUAUCAAUAAAGUUUUUAAACUAUGCACUGUGAUUAAAACCAAAAUAAUAAUAAUAAUAACAACCAAUCACUUUAUUUGACUAACUUUUCCCUACAAGUCUUUAGUAUGGAGACAAAUCAGUUUAAUCAGCCUUUGGAGCUAUUAACUGACAUUUCCACCAUUGAUUUGAAAAUCCUAACCCAUCAAUUCACUUUAAAUGAAACGAGAUCCACUAGUGUUUGGUGUUAUAUUUUUAAAAUGUAUUUAGAUUAUUGUUUAUUAAUUUUAUUUGUUUAUAUUUAAAUCAAAUGUAAUAAAUUGUUGAAUUUAUAUACUUCAUAUUAUAACAAUAUAUUUUAACUUGCUACUUCUCUUUUUAAUUUAAUUUUUUGUAACUCUUCACAAUUUAUUUUGAAAAAAAUUGAAAAAACUAAAUGAUUAAAUUAAGGCUCAACUUUUCACUAACCUUAGUUUAUUUAGUCUAACUUUUCACAAAUUAAUAUACUCAUUUCAUGUUUCAUACCAACAACUUUUCUUUUUGGUAAAAAGAAAAAACAACUAUACGUUUUUUUUAAUCCCAAAAUUAAGGCUUUAUGAAUGAAAAUAAUAUUAUAUUAACUAUGAUAAUUAAGUCUUUAUUUUUAAUAUGAUUAAUAUUAUAUAUAAUAACUUUAAAUAUGCUUCCACUAAUCAGAUAUACUAAAGGAAAGAGUAACUUUCUUUUUAUGGUAACUAAUUUUCAAUUAUGUAUUUUAAUCUAUCACUAAAUAAUUAAUUAUAAUCAAGAUGUUAAUUUUCCAUAAAAUGUACAUAAUUUUGGUUGGUAUAUUAAUAAAUUUAGCCCUAAAAAUUUACACAUGCAAUUUGGUCUUAAUUUAACAAAAUUUUCCCGCAACAUUUGUGUAAAUAUGUAAAUGUUGAGGUUAAAUUUCUUGAAUUUUUUUUAAAAAAUUAAGGUCAAAAUGACAAAAAUAUAAAUAUUGAAAACUAAAUUUAUUACUGUACCAAUCAAAAUGACAAAAUAUAGCUAGGGACAUGGGCUUGACCGAGCCAACUCAACCUAUUUCAUCUGUUUCUAUUGACUUUUGCUCGACCCUACCCCAAAGACCUGUCAAUUUUGUUAAAAUUGAAAUAUUUAACUUGUUGGAGAAGACUAACUGUAGAAAAGUAAGUCAAUGCUAAAGUGAUAUGUCGACGUUUUGUUGUUUUCAAAAUAGUUGAUAAGCCUGAAAUUAUAAAAGAUAAUCAUGAGGUCUUAAAUGCAAUUAUGAUAUUUCUAAAAAGAUAUUUCUCAACAAUUUUUUUAAUUUCUUGAUUGAUGAAAACAAAUUUAGGUAUUUCCCAAUUUGUAAAAACAUGAUUUUUCUUUGAAUUUCUAGGUUUUUCUUAGCUUUUUUUUAUAUUAUUUUGGAAUUUUUGUAAUCUUCUUAUAAUUUCUUAAAAAAUAAUAUAUUUGUAAAAAUUUUUAAACCAUAAAUACCAAUUAAGAAGAAUGUGAUAAAAUUAGGGGUAAAUGUGUAUUUAAGCCAAAGAAAAUAAAAGAAUAAUAAUGAAAUUCACCUAAAAACAAUUACAAGGACUAGAUGAACAAUUUGACCUAAAACUUUGUUUGAAAUGAUGUCAUUAAUGUGUUACAUCAGCUUUCUUAGAGAGAUAAAAAUUAAAUGAAUAUGAGAUACAUGAAACUUGUAUCUCUUUCCAAUAAUUUAACAUUAUUUCAAUAUUUUCAUCUUGAAUUCACGAGUGAAGCGUACAUCAUAUACCAACUCAAUUGGAAAAAAGUCUUUAAAUUAUUUUUAAAUUGUAACAAAUAUUAUUAUUAAGAUGUUUUUCUUUUUAUAUUUUUUAUAAAAUAUAUUAAAAAACAAUUAAAAUAAUUUUAAGAGAAAAAAACUCAUACAAGGUAGAAUUUAAUCUAAAGAUGUCAAAGUUUUAAAGCCUCAACUUUAACAUUUCAACCGAAAUUCCAUUAGUAUAUAAAUAUUUAUAAAUAUAGAUUUUAUAUAAAAAAUUUUAUGUAAACUUUUUUUUAACCCGCAUCACAAGUACACCAUAUUUAGAGAUAUUCAUAGUUAGGCAGUCCACUUUGAGUCAAGCUUGAGCUUAGGUUUUCAAUCUCAAGUUGGCCCAAUUCAACUUAUUUUACUACUUAAAAAUAUAAAUAUAUGUUAUAUUGAUAUUUAUAUAUGUCUAUAGUUAAAAAAUUAUUAAAAAUAAAUUCAACUUAUUUAUUAAUUAAAAAUAUAAAUAUAUGUCUAUAAUUAAAUUUUAAAGAAAUUUAUUGUUAUUUUCUAAACAUAAAACAAAGAAAACUUUCACCCAAAUUAUAAGUUUGUGGUCAGGCAGCCCACUUUGGGACUGGAAUCAGCUUACUUUUUUAAUCUUGGGCUUUAAAAAUAAUAAAAAUAUAAAAAUAAUGUUCUAUUAAUAUUUAUAAAUUUUAUAAAUUUAAAUUUAAUUAUAUUUUUUAAACAGUAAAAUCAACCAUUUAUAUGGGCUAAAUUGAGUUAAGUUCGGUUUGCAUCAAGCCUUAACUUUGACCAAAUCCAACUAAAAACACCUCUAACCAUAAUCUAGUAUUGUUUUUAUGAAUUCAAUUUUAACUUGUAAUUUUCAAUUCUAUUACAAAAUUUCUUUGCCUACGAUAAGAAAAUAACAUAUUUGUAACUAAGUAAUUAAUUAAGUUAAUGUCACGAGUGAAUCAUACAUUAUAUGCCAACUCAAUUGGAAAAAGUUUUUAAAUUAUUUUUAAAUUGUAACAAAUAUUAUUAUUAAGAUGUUUUUCUUUUUAUAUUUUUUAUAAAAUAUAUUAAAAAACAAUUAGAAUAAUUUUAAGAGAAAAAAACUCAUACACGGUAGAAUUUAAUCUAAAGAUAUCAAAGUUUUAAAGCCUCAACUUUAACAUUUCAACUAAAAUUCCAUUAGUACAUAAAUAUUUUAUAAAUAUAGAUUUUAUAUUAAAAAAAUUAUGUAAACUUACAUAUAUGGUUCGUCAUGCAAAUGUUUAUUAUAUUUAAAAAUUAACAUAUAUGGUUAUUGAAUUUUAAUACUGGCUUGAGGAGUCGACUCUAUUGUAGAUUCUAGAUUAAUCUAAUAUUUCACCCUCUUUUAAUUUUCUUUAUUGGAAGAGUCUUUAAGAGAUAAGUUAAGUAGUAUAGCAGUUUCAUCUAAAACAACAUCUCUGCUAAUCACAACUUUUCUAUUUUUAGGACACCAUAACUUAUACCCUUUUACAUCAGCUUUAUAACCAAUAAAAACACAUUUAAUGAAUCUCGGUUCCAAUUUUUCAUUAUCAACAUGAGCUUACGAAGGACACCCAAAGAAUUUAAUCUAAAGAUAUCAAAGUUUUAAAGCCUCAACUUUAACAUUUCAACCGAAAUUCCAUUAGUAUAUAAAUAUUUUAUAAAUAUAGAUUUUAUAUAAAAAAAUUUUAUGUAAACUUUUUUUUAACCCGCAUCUCAAGUGUACCAUAUUUAAAGAUAUUCAUAGUUAGACGUCCACUUUGGGUCAAGCUUGAGCUUAUGUUUCCAAUCUCAAGUUGGCCCAAUUCAACUUCUUUUACUUUUUAAAAAUAUAAAUAUAUGUCUAUAAUUAAAUUUUAAAGAAAUUUAUUGUUAUUUUCUAAACAUAAAACAAAGAAAACUUUCAUCCAAAUUAUAAGUUUGUGGUUAGGCAGCCCACUUUGGGACAGGAUUCAGCUUACGUUUUUAAUCUUGGGCUUUAAAAAUAAUGUUCUAUUAAUAUUUACAAAUUUUAUAAAUUUAAAUUUAAUUAUAUUUUUUAAACAGUAAAAUCAACCAUUUAUAUGGGCUAAAUUGAGUUAAGUUCGGUUUGCAUCAAGCCUUAACUUUGACCAAAUCCAACUAAAAACACCUCUAACCAUAAUCUAGUAUUGUUUUUAUGAAUUGAAUUUUAACAUGUAAUUUUCAAUUUUAUUACAAAAUUUCUUUACCUACAAUAAGAAAAUAACAUAUUUGUAACUUCUCCAAUUCGACGUAAAUGUUCAGUCUGAAUUCAGAAGAUUACAUCAGCCAUAAAGAUGGCCUAGCAAGGUUAUUAGAGUUUUCAAAAACAGGCAUCUUUAAAAUGCUUGUUUAAUUUAUACAAAAACUUAUUUAAUUUCCAAAUUAUUUAUUACUUGAAAUCUUAAUUAUACUUUGAAAGCAAGAAGUGGUAACUAUUUAUUUUUAAUAAAAAUCAGGGUUCAUGUAUAAUUGAUUAAUAACUGUUAGAAUUAAGCGACCCGAAUCUUUAUUUAAAUGAAAUACAGUGGUAAAAUAAAAUAAAAUUAAAAUCCCUAUAGAACUACACUUAUUUUAUUUUAUUUUAGAAUAAGGAUUUUUAAACCUUAUUAAACUCCAUCCAUUUGAUAUUGAUUAGAAUAAGGUGUUUCAAUCUUACUACACUCCUAUUAGAAUAUGGUUUUACAAGCCUAUAAAUAGACAUAGUCUACUCCUCUUGUAAUUAUUCGAAUUCGACAUAGGGAUUUAUCUUCUCCUCUACCAAUAGCUUUUUCCCUGAAAGGGUUUCCACGUAAAAUCUGUGUGUUUUUUUUAUUUUUCUCCCUUUUAUUCUUUGCAAUACAUUGUCAUUACCAACAUUCUAUUUUUAGCAAAUUGGUAUCCAAGCUUCCAAUUUGUUCAUCUCAAUCAUGGUAAUGGCGUCUUUGAAGUAUGAAAUUCUGCUAUUGGAUCGCAACACCAGAUCCGCAUUGUGGCAGAUAAAGAUGCAGGCAGUUCUUACACAGAUAGACUUAGAGGAAGCCUUGCUAGGGGUAGAUAAAAUGUAUUCAACAUUAACAGAGGAAGAGAAGAAGCACAAGGAUCGAUAGGCGUUAACACAAUUACAUCUUCAUUUGUCCAACGAAAUUUCACAGUAUGGAGAAGACCGUCGCUGGAUUAUGGAAGAGGUUGGAACAAAUAUGUACGUCGAAUACUCUAACUAGCAAGUUGCAUAUGAAGCAGCUUCUUUAUGCUCAUCGUUUGGAGGAAGGUGUCUCUAUGCACGAACACUUAAUAGUGUUUAAAGGAAUUCUCUCGAACUUAGAGGUCAUGAAGGUUCAGUAUGAUAAUGAAGAUCUACGAUUGAUUCUACUUUGUUCGUUGCCUCUAUCUUAUUCAACCAUUAGAGAUGGGAUUUUAUAUAGCCGCGAGUCUCUCACAGUUGAUGAGGUUUAUGAUUCUUUAACCUCGUAUGAUAAGAUGAAGCAUCUUUUUCGUAAAACUGACUCUUAGGGAAUGGGUCUCAUUGUUCAUAGUAGAUAAGAUCAGAAUGCUGAUGAUGAUCGUGAAAGGACACAGGAAUAGAAUUCUCGCGAUAAAUCUAAGGAUAGAUCAAAGAUUUCAAGCAGAGGUAAAACUUGUAACUUCUGCAAGAAGAAAGGGCACAUUAAAUCUGACUGUUAUAAGCUACAAAUCAAUAUCAAAAGGGAGGUUGUGAAACAAAAUGGAAAACAACUAGAAUAUGUUGGUAAAGCUGAUGUUGUAGAAGACUAUAGCGAUGGUGAACUUCUAGUCACUUCUAUCAACAAUUCUAAAAUAAGCGAGGAGUGGAUCCUUGAUUUGGGCUGCACCUUUCACAUGAGUCCCAAUGGAUAUUGGUUUAUAACUUACGAAAUAGUGUUUGAAGGUGUUGUUUUGAUGGGAAAUAAUGCUUUAUGUAGAAUUGCAGGUGUUGGGACAAUAAAAGUUAAGAUGUUUGAUGGAGUUCUCAGAACACUUAAUGACGUACGACAUGUUCUAGAAUUGAAGAGAAAUUUAAUUUCAUUGAGUACUCUUAUUCAAAAGGUUAAAAAUACAUAGCUAAAAGUGGGGUUUUUAAUAUUUCCAAAGGUUCUCUCGUUGUGAUGAAAGGGCAGAGAAAGACUGCCAAGUUAUAUGUUUUGUAGGGUUUAGGAGUUCUUUGGCAUAUACGCCUAGGGCAUAUAAGUGAGAAUGACAUGGCAGAAUUGAGCAAAAGAGGACUUCUUGAUGGGCAAGGAAUUUGCAAACUGAAGUUCUGUGAUCACUGUAUUUUUGAGAAGUAAAAGAGAGUUCGAUUCAUCAGAGGAAUCUAUAACACGAAGGGAACAUUGGAGUAUAUUCAUUCUGAUCUGUCGGGGACACCCAGAGUGCAUUCAAGAGGUGGAGCUAAUUAUAUGCUAACUUUUAUUGAUGAUUUUUCUAGAAAAGUUUGGGCGUUCUUCCUAAAGCAGAAAAUCGAUGUGUUUUUCGCAUAUAAGUCUUGGAAAACUAUGAUUGAAAAACAUAUGGAAAAACAAAUAAAAUAUCUCCACAUAGAUAAUGGCUCAAAGUUCUGUUCUAAUCACUUUAAUAAACUGUGCAAGUCAGAAGGGAUCGUGAGACACUUGACAGUUUGCCACACUCCACAACAAAACGGUGUUGCAGAACGAAUGAACAGAAUGAUCGUGGAGAAGGUUUAAUGUAUGUUUUCAAAUGCCAACUUAACAAAGUUGUUUUGGGCCGAAGUAGCCUCUACUAUAUAUUUUUUGAUCAACCGAUCUCUAUCUAUUGCCAUUGAGAAAAAGACUCCACAAGAGGUAUGGUCUGGUAAUCCUGCUAACUGUUCUGAUUUAAAGAUCUUUGGGUGUCCUGUGAAUGCUCAUGUUGAUAAUGGAAAAUUGGAACUGAGAUCCAUUAAGUGUGUUUUUCUUGGUUAUAAAGCUGGUGCAAAAGGGUAUAAGUUAUGGUGCCCUAAAAAUAGAAAAGUUGUGAUUAGCAGAGAUGUUGUUUUUGAUGAAACUGCUAUGCUACCUAACUCAUCUCUUAAAUACUAUUCCAAUAAAGAAAAUAAAAAGCAGGUGGAGUAUCAGAGUAAUCCAAAAUCUACAACAGAGUCGACUCCUCAAGCCAAUACAAAAAUUCAAAAUAGAGUUGCUUCUUUACCACAAUACUCUAUCGUAAAAAAUAAAACUAGAAGAGAUAUUAAACCCUCAAAGAAAUAUGCCGAGGCUGAUCUAGUUGCUUAUGCUUUAAAUAUUGCUAAAGAUAUAGAUGCAAACCAAGAGCCAUCUAAUUAUUUUGAUCCGGUUAGCUAUAAAGACUCAGAAAAAUGGAUGUUUGCUAUGUAAGAGAAGAUGGAAUCACUCUACAAAAACAAAACAUGGGAUCUUGUAAAACUUCCUAAAGGUAAAAAGGUUGUUCGUUGUAAAUGGGUGUUUAAAAAGAAAAAGGGGACUCUGGGAGUUGAAGAACCCAGAUUUAAAGCAAGGCUUGUUGUAAAGGGUUACAGUCAAAUUCCAAGAGUGGACUUCACAGAUGUGUUCUCCCCAGUUGUGAAGCAUAGUUCGAUUUGAGCUUUGCUUGGUAUUGUGGCCAUGCAUGAUUUGGAGCUAACUGUAAAAACUACAUUUUUGCAUGAAGAACUUGAGGAUGAUACUUACACGCAACAACCAUAGGGUUUUAUAGUCUCAGAAAAAGAGGACUAUGUUUGCCUGUUGAAAAAGUCCUUUUACGGUUUGAAACAGUCACUAAGAAAGUGGUACAAGAGGUUUGUUUCCUUUAUGACUUCUUAUGAUUUUAAAAAAAGUAGCUUUGACAGUUGUGUUUACUUUAAGAAAAAUAGUGAUGAUUCUUUUGUGUAUCUACUUCUUUAUGUUGAUGACAUGUUGAUAGCAACAAAAGAUAAAUGAGAGAUAAGAAAGGUUAAAGCCCGACUAAGUGAAGAUUUUGAGAUGAAAGAUUUGGGACCAGUAAAGAAGAUACUUGAUAUAGAGAUUCUCAGAGAUAGAAAAGUAAGUAAAUUGUACCUAAGUCAGAAGGGGUACAUUGAGAAAGUUCUUUGCAAAUUCAAUAUGCAGAAUGCUAAGCCUGUUAGUACUCCUUUAGCAGCCUAUUUCAGACUUUCAUUGGCUUUGUCUCUACAAUCAAAUGAUGAGAUUGAGUACAUGUCAUAUUUUUCAUACUCUAGUACAAUGGGAUCUCUCAUGUAUGCUAUAUUUUGUUCACGUCCAAAUUUAUUAUAUGCAGUCAAUACAGUUAGUAGAUAUGUGGCAAAUCCUGGUAAAGAACAUUGGAAAAUACUGUUUCCAAAAAUUUAUGGAUUUCUGGUGAGUGAACUUCUAGUGAAAUUAUUGUGCUAAGUCCAUUGGGGCAGUCUGUUUGAGUAAGUACACUUUAUAGGAAUGUACCUUUGGAAGUACAAGGGAUUGUGUUUUCGGCAGAUCUGGUGAGGUUACUUCUAGUGAAAUUAUUGUACUAAGUCUGUUGGGGUAGUCUAUUCGAGUAAGUAGACUUUAUAGGAAUGUACCUUUGGAAGUACAAGGGAUUGUGUUUUCGGCGUUUUAUUCACAUAAAAGCAGCAAAAUUUAGCGACAUUGUCUACAGCGGCAUUUUUUACGGCGCUUGUGAAAGCGCCGCUAUAGGCCUAAAAAACACCGCUAAAAGCCUAUUUUGCUGCAGUGAAUUAAUAUUAUUAUAAGUAUAUUUUCACCUUUUCAUUCUUUUAUAUAAUCUUCAAGUAAAAUGAUUGAAAAAUAUUAUUUGAGAAUCAAACACAAGACUAACAAUAUUCAUAUAGAAAACGCUUAUCACUCCACUAAUAAUCAUUUGUUGAUGUAUUUUUGGUAAAAAGAGCCCUCCAAUCCCUCUUAAUUUCACAACUUCUCAAAUUAGUCCCUCUCAAAAAAAUUGGAGCAAUUUAAUCCCUAUCAAUUUUGAAAGUGAGUAACUAAGGACAAUUAAUUAUGGUGUUAAAUUCUUCAAUCAAUUGUACAUAAUUUUGAUUGGUAUAAUAAUAAAUUUAGCCUUUAAUGUUUAUGUAUUUUGUCAUUUUGGCCUUAAUUUUUUUAAAAAAAAUUCAAGAAAUUGAACCUCAACGUUUACAUAUUUGCACAAAUGUUGCAGGAAAAUUUUGUUAAAUUAAGACCAAAAUGCAAGUGUAAAUUUUGUUAAAUUAAGACCAUAUUUUCCCCCUUUAUUUUUUCAGUGCCGACCGGAAAAAAAAAUUUCAGUCUCAUCUAAAUAAGACAUACUUCAGCAGACCAAUAGACUGCAGAUCAGACCCAAUUCAAGGGUAAUGCAGUCCAAAGUUCCUUGAACUCCCUCCUCCAAAGUGAAAAACAAAUCUAUAUAUUUCUGCAUGAUUCAAACAGAAAGGACUGUUGGACAUGUAACUCAGAAAGAAUGCAAAUACAUUGAAAGUACCAUAGACUUUAUAAAUUAGUUUCAUGUUGUUAAAUUUCAACACUAUAAACCUAAAAAUUCCCAGAACGAAAUGCGGGAAUCAUGCCUUAAACUCCAAUACUCAAAUAAGAGACAGAUAAAUUGCACAUUUUUUAAUAUAAUAUUUACAGACUAGAGAUAAAAAUAUAGAAAAAUAUAAACAUGGACAUCGACAAAAAGACUAAUUGACUGUGCAUGUGUGCUAGAGAGUGGCAAUUAAACAUUAUCCAAACACAAUCAUUUCUCAACAUUUGUAAAACAAAAAGAAGAUUAAGAUUAGCAGUAAACUAAAUAAAACCAAAGAAGUGAGAACCACAAGUAAAUGAGAAAGAAAACAAAAUAGAGAUCCUAGUAGCUUUCCCAUUGAACUUCGUAUAAGAGAAAUAACAACAUUUGAACUUUAAGCAAAUAAAAAUGUAAAAUAUUCAGAAUCAAAACAAUCUUUUAUCAAAAUUCAAGCCAAAAACAAUGAGCUUCACUCUAUACAAGAAGCAUGUUAAAGUCAUAGGCUUUCUCGUUUCUGGAAACCAAAUCCAGAAACGUCUCCCACCAAAAAUCAAGAAAAUAACUUCUGUUUUUGAAAAUCACAUUCAAAUCGUGAAAUAGGAGCAAGGUCCUUCAAAUUCAAGCAAAGUUGGUAGUAAAAGCUUAACUUUCAAAGGUCAAACAACACAGCAUUAAGUAUAAAACUAACCCAAUCUCCACCAAUUCAAAAACAAGAAACCAAACACGAACCCGAAGAUCCAAACACGAUUUCGAAAAAAAAAAAUAGAUAUUCCUGAAAAUCGGAUAAAAAACUAGCAUAUACUUAAUGAAAAGAGAAAUUGACGAAAAAUCACAAGAGAUCUGCAUGCAAAUAUAGGCACACUUUUGCUUGAUUAUUCGCUUAAAAAAGUAACAAUGGAAAACAAGAUGCAAGUGUCACGGGCCGCAGUUCAAAGCCCGUGACCAGCGCACCAAAUGCAUCCAAUAGAGAUCUAUUGCUCAGAUAGGGAUCAUUUGGCCCACAAGAACUGGCUCGAUUCAAGGAGCUAUUGGACAAGCCUGUCAGAUUGAAGCCUGGUUGGCCCGAAAACGAAGAGAUGGCAACUUAGGCUAAUAUGGUAACUAAUCUUAGAAGAUAGAGGGAAUCUUAUCUUGUAAAGAUUAGAUUAGAUUAGAUAAGGCUUAUCUUGUAAAUCCCUAAAAUUAAGGGAUAUGGGUUAAUCUCAUCCGUCGAUGUAAAUGUAUAUUGACCGUCGAUUUUGGGGGAGAUCAACUAUAAAUAGAGAGCCUCCCCCUCAUUUGUACUCACUCUUGUAAUUAUUUCAUUAUUCUUUGUGAAUAAGAGAAUUGAGAGCAUUUACUCAAACACUUUACGAGCGUCCUUUCUGUUGUUCUUUUGUUUAGCUUCUUUUGGCACAAUCGCUUCCGCUAUACAAAUUGGUGCCUUGGAGGAGUUCUAAAAGAAUCCUCACUUGAGUUAAGCCUGACUUGGGCGAGUUUGGAUGAACAAAUUGUCUAAGGCUGCACGAAUUACGAGACGAAAGGUCUAGCCCUGUGACAAGUGGUAUCAGAGCCAAGUUUUGAACCAAGUGACAUUCGAGUUGGUUUGAAGGCACCGUUGGGAUGUCAAGAGAAGAGUUCGAACAAAGGUGGGAGAAGAAGUAUUUGAGGGAGACAUUAUCGGUAGUAGAGAAACGUGUGGGUAAACUCGAGGGAUCCAUGGAGGAUGUAAAGGAGGCACUCGAUGGGGUCGAGGAUCACAUUGCAAACUGGAAGGAGCAGUCUAGAGACUAUGUAAAGAUGUCUCUUAGUUCCAUCAUGGAUAUGGUAAACGAGUUGUUUAAUUCACACAGGGAUAAGCUGUCGGAAAGGAAUGAUGCUCUCGAGGCCAAAAUGAUGGCUUUGAAAGAGGAAACAAUGGCCACGACGAGGGCUUUGAGCACAAGAAUAGAGGAGCUCGAGGGAGAGCUGGCCUUGUGUUGAGCAGCCGUGAGGAAAGGAGUGGCAAAUGUAGCACUCAGUAACGAGGAUGUCCCAAAGCUGAAAGAGUUUGUGGGGACAAGGUCUGCGUGCGAUGUGGAUAAUUUCUUAUGGAGGAUGGAAAACUACUUCCGUGCCAAAGGCGUCAUGGAUGAUACGGUUAAGGUAAACACUACUUCAAUGUUUCUUACUGCCAUUGCACUUUUAUGGUGGAGAGGUAGGACCACAAAUAAAAGGCAAGGUGAGAUUGGGACGUAGCAAGAGUUCCAAUGCGAAUUGAAGGGACAGUUUUACCCAGAGUUUACCGAGGAAGAAGCUCGGGCAAAGUUGCAAGGGAUAACGUAACAGGGCACAGUGGGGGAGUAUGUUCGAGAGUUCAAGGAACUCAUGCUCCAAGUUUUAAAGGUGACCGAAAGAGAGGCAUUGCUUGCUUUUCAAAAUGGAUUGAAGCCGUGGGUCAGACAGGAGGUGGAACAAAGAGGUGUCCAAAAGCUAUCGGAAGCCAUGACGGUAGUUGAGUCUGUGGUUAAGCUUAGUCUAGGGAAAGACAAGCUUGGAUCUUCCAAGUCCGAUGGAAGGGGUAUAUGUGAAAUGGAUCAAAAGGAAGAUAGUGUUGAUGGCAAUGGCAACGGCAACAAUGGUGGUAAUGGGAAACCAUGAGUUGGGAAGAAGAAACCCAAGAGGAAAAGGGACAAGCUAAAAUGCUUUCUCUGCGACGGUCCACACAUGCUGAAGAAAUGUCUGAAAAAUUUGAGCUCAAGGAGAAGCCGGUGGGUAAGGCCUUGGUACUUGGUUCGAGCGCAAGGGGUGUCGAAGCCAAGAAGGCCAAAAGUAAGAAGAAGCCAGUGGAGUGGUUCUUGUGUCAUGGUCCGCAUAGGUUACGAAAGUGUCCGAGGAAGUCUAUCAUCGAGGGGAAUGAUGGAGCAGACAAGGAGCCCAAGAAGCUUGGUUCGAGCAAGGGAAAAGCCGAAGCCAAAGGGGCAAAAGGGAGCAAAAAGAAGCGAGUAAAGUGCUUCUUGUGCCGUGGUCCGCAUGAGUUACGGAACUGUCCAAAGCAAGCCGGAGUCAUAAGAAAGGCAACGUCUGAGCUUGGUGAGUCAUCGGAGGGGCUUCCACCCAAGGAAGAGGUGAGUUUGUCAUCGAACUUAAAGGAAAUAGUUGCGAUGAAAACAGUGAAGCUGGGACCAAUGAGGCUCAAGUUGAGUGAAGCGUCGGAGUUGGCCGAGUCAUCGAUAAGGCUUCCACCUAUGGGAGAGGUGGGUGGUGCAUCAGACUUCAAGGGAAAAGAAGGGAUGCAUGUGGGACAGUUGACCAGAGUAAAUGCGACGAGUAGGACGGUUUGAGUUAAGAAGCGACGUAAGCCGAGGCAAAAAUCCCGAAGGAAGGGAAAGGCUAAGGCAUUGAGACAAGACCGAGGUGAAUCGAGUCAGUGCCAUUCAAAAGUCACAACGAGGACGGUGCAAGAAUGUGUGGGGGAGAAUGUCACGGGCCGCAGUUCAAAGCCCAUGACCAGCGCACCAAAUGCAUCCAAUGGAGGUUUGUUGCUCAGAUGUGGAUCAUUUGGCCCACAAGAACUGGCUCGAUUUAAGGAGCUAUUGGACAAGCCUGUCAGAUUGAAGCUUGGUUGGCCCGAUAACGGAGAGAUGGAAACUUAGGCUAAUAUGGUAACUAAUCUUAGAAGAUAGAGGGAAUCUUAUAUUGUAAAGAUUAGAUUAGAUUAGAUAAGGCUUAUCUUGUAAAUCCUAAAAUUAAAGGAUAUGGGUUAAUCUCAUCCGUCGAUGUAAAUGUAUCUUGACCGUCGGUUUUGGGGGAGCUCAACUAUAAAUAGAGAGCCUCCCCCUCAUUUGUACUCACUCCUGUAAUUGUUUCAUUAUUCUUUGUGAAUAAGAGAAUUGAGAUCAUUUACUCAAACACUUUGUGAGCGUCCUUUCUAAUGUUCUUUUGUUUAGCUUCUUUUGGCACAAUCGCUUCCGCUAUACAAAUUGGUACCUUGGAGGAGUUCUAAAAGAAUCCUCACUUGAGUUAAGGCUAACUUGGGUGAGUUUGAACGAACGGAUCGCCUAAGGCCUCACAGAUUGUGAGACGAAAGGUCUAGCCCCGUGACACAAGUGCUAGGUAAAACCAUCAUGUCUGCUUACUCACCACAAACAAAGGCCCUCUAGGACCUUCAUGAAUUUUUGUCUUAUAAGUGCUUCCAUUGUGAGCCUGAACAGCUUGAUAGCCCACAAGAUAAGGAUAUCGAUCUUUACCCUACAGAUUAACAAGGUUAAAUCCACUUAAAUGAAGCACCAUUAGUCUAUAACAAUUUACUUCAAUUUUCUGCUGUUAGUUCAAAUAUUUAUUUUUUUAAUUUGCCAAAACUUGCUAGGAUCGAAGAUUUGGAAUUCCUAAAUUUCAAUUACAAAUUUACACCGUACUUGCAGAAAAAUAUAUUACUAUUAGAGACACCAGCAAUCAACCAGAGUUCUUUAGUUUUCAAUCAAGUUAUUCGACAGGUAUCUAUAUUGAUUACACAAAAAAAAUCAUACACCGUGAGAAUGUCGAGUAAAUUACAAAUACAAAAGCAAACGAACCCUAAAGGAGCUCCAAUACUUCUUCUCCCAGGGGCCUUUGUAUAGAGAUCCAAUGGAAACGAUCUCUAGAUCCUCUAAUUUCGUUGUUUGUUCUCCUUUUUUUGUUUUCGCCAUUCAAAGAAAUGAGAAGAAAGCAAGAUUUCCAAACAACUAACAAUAAGAGAGUAGAGAGGAUUUUCAAGAUAGACGAAGACAUGGCAUUUUAAAAUAGGGGAACUAAAAUCUUAAAAUGCAUGAUUUCCCUUGAAAUUCUAAAUAAAAACUUUAUUUGAUUAGGAAAAAUGUGAAUUGAUUUUGGGAAAAAGAAGGGAAAAAAAAGAAAAGAUUUCAUUUGAAAUAUUGGGAUAAAAAAAUAUAAUUACAAAACGACGCCGUUUUGAAAAAAACAUAUUCGUGGCGUUUGGAAAAAAAAGUCACUAUUGCUCGACUUUUAGCGACAUUUGGACCAAAAACGCUACUAUUGUUCAACUUUUUUCUGCAUUUACAACAAAAAAGCCGCUAUUGCUUACCUUUUGCGGCGUUUUUUUUAUAAAUGCCGCUAACACUUGACUUUUUUACAAUUUUUAUAUUGAAUUAUUGUAUCUUUCAUAUAAAUUUUAAAUGAAUAAUUUUUAGUUUUUGUAUUUCAUUUUUAUUUUUGUAUUUCAUUUUUAUUUGUUAUAAUUUUGUCCUAUCCAAAAUAGAUAGUUACCUAUCCAUAUCAAUCUGUUACUUUUUUUUAUUUAUUUAUCAAUAUUUUUUUAAAUUUAAUAGUUAAAUAUAUUAAAUGGUUUAGAUUUAAUAUUUUUAAAUAUAAAAGCAUUAAUUGAUUGUAUAAAAUUUUAUCAUUUAACAAAUCUCAAGUAAACCUUAAAUCCUAAACCAUUUAAUAUAUAUAAAGUUUAUCUAUUAUCUCUUAAAUAAUUUAAACUAUAAUCAUAAUUUUAAUAUAUUAAAAUUAAAAUUAAAAUGAUCUCUUUUACAAUUAUAUAAGAAAUUAUUUAAUAUAUAAAUUAAAAAACACUAAUUAACCUAAACCCUAAACCCUAAACCCCUAUCCCCUAAACCUUGAAUUAUAAAACAUAAAACAUAAACCCUAAAUCCCUGAAUCCCUAACCCUUAACCCCUAACCCCUAACCCCUAAACCUUAAACCCCAACCCUUAAACCAUAAUCCCUAAACCCAUAAUCCAUAAUCCAUAAACCUUAAAAUAGUAACUCUUAAACCUUAAACCCUAAACCAUAAACCCUAAACUAUAAUGAUAAUUAAUUCAAUAUUUUAAAAUUAAUACUAUCUCUUUUACGAUUAUAUAAGAAAUUAUUUAAUAUAUAAAUUAAAAACAAUCAGUCAUGUACCCAAGAAACUUUAAAAUUAUUUUAAAUAAUAUAUUUUAAUUUUUUCAUUUUUAACAAAUAUUUUCUAUGUUUUUACUUUCAAAAUUUCUCUACGUGUCAUUAUUUUUUUCUGAAGAAUUUAAAUAUUCAAUUAAAAAUAAAUUUAUUUUAAUUAAUAUAAAUAAAGCGGUUAAAUAAUAAAUAGACAGAUAAAAUACUUUUUGCGGUGAUUUUCAUAAAGUGCCGCUAAAGCUCGAUCUACAGCGGCGUUUUACGAAAAAGAGUCUUACUGAAUUUUUUGGGGCAUUUUUCAAAAAGCGCCACUAAUUCUCGAUCUAUAGUGGCGUUUUUCAAGAAGCGCCGCUAAUGCCACUAAAGCUCAACAUAAAACACCAGCAUUGAGCUUAAUUUUUUUGCGGCGUUUUUCAAAAAGAGCCGCUAAUGGUAGACCUAUAGCGGCGUUUUUCAAAAAGCGCCACUAAAGCUCAACAUAAAACACCGGCGUUGUGCUUAAUUUUUUUACGGCAUUUUUCAAAAAGCGCCGCUAAUGGUCGACUUAUAGCAGUGGUUUUAAAAAAGACCCACUAAUGCUCGAUCUAUAGCGGCAUUUUUCAAAAAGCGCCGCUAAUGCUCGAUCUAUAGUAGCGUUUUUUAUCCAAACGCCGCUAAAAAUGCCACUAAAAACCUAUUUUGCUGUAGUGAUUUGUGGGGUAAGUGGUUGAACAUUUUAAUAUAGACUGACUUUUCUAUAAUUAGUCCUUGCUUUAAUUACUUUGGGUGGAUUCUUCCAACUAGUCCAAGCAUUAUUGUACAAUUACAAUUAAUCUUUUUAAAUGAGACAAACAUUUCAAAUUUGUCAUUACUAUUUGUGAGUGAUUUGGGGGUAAGAAGUUUAACUCUUCUGGAUGUCUUAUAGAAUUGUGAUUAUACUUUUUGAGUAUUGACUCAGUUUUCCACAAUUGUGGGUCUCUAUUUGAGCAAAACAAUUUCAACAUUUCUUCAUCUCGUUUAAUCCAAAUGCAUUUAUGCAUUUCUUAUAUCAUUGAAUUUGCUGCUUCAUAUUCAAUUUUUGGACAAGUAGAAUUUUCUAACCUAUUUUCCAUCAACUUCACUUGAAUUUUCAAUCACAAUCAAUUGCAUUCAAGAGCACCACAUCUUUUUGGAUGAAACAAAAAUUUCAAUUUUAAGAUAAACGGGUCUUUAGGGUUAUAAUUUCAAUUUUUAAAAGUUUAAAAUAAAUUUGUAUUUUUAUUAACAAAAUGUAUAUAAAAAAAAACUUGUUUAGACAAGCCAAGAGACCUUUGGGAUCAUACGGGUGAUUUUGAUGAUGUUAAUGGUUAUUUUGGUGGAGAGAGUGAAAAAGAAACAAAUGAUUCAUUAUAUAUAUUAUAAUUAUGAAAUUCAAGCCAUAUAUUGUAUGUUUCAUACAUAAAAAAAAUUGGAGCAAUUUAAUCCCUAUCAAUUUUGAAAGUGAGUAACUAAGGACAAUUAAUUAUGGUGUUAAAUUCUUCCAUCAAUUGUACAUAAUUUUGAUUGGUAUAGUAAUAAAUUUAGCCUUCAAUAUUUAUAUAUUUUUUCAUUUUGGCCUUAAUUUUUUUUAAAAAAUUCAAGAAAUUCAACCUCAACAUUUACAUAUUUACACAAACAUUGCGGGAAAAUUUUGUUAAAUUAAGACCAAAUUGCAAGUGUAAAUUUUGAGGGCUAAAUUUAUUAUUAUACCAACCAAAAUCAUGUACAUUUUAUGGAAAAUUAACAUCUUGAUUAAUUAUUCUUAGUUGUUCACUUUCAAAAUUAAUAGGGACUAAAUUACUUUGAUUUUUUUAGGGUGACCAAUUUCCUCAAAGUGGAAAUUGAGAGAGACUAUUGAGAUCUUUUGCAUAUUUCUUUUAUAAAUAUAUUUUUUAAAUAUAAAAUAUAUUUGUUCACACACAUCGUGAGUAUGAUCUCAAUAGUCCACAUAAUCCAUUAAAAAAACUUAAAAAAUAUAUUUUAUUUUUUAACACCUAAGUGAUUCUCCAGCUAACGACCACCCAAGACACACCCCGACUUUAUAACACCCCAAUCUUAUUUAAUUAUUAGUUAUUUAUUAAUGCAGAAGUAAAUUAUGAGCCAAUUUUAAUCUUUUCCUCGGUAAUUUAACCUAAGGCCAAUUUCAUCAUUUUACCACCUAUUGUAAAACUAACCCGAUUUUAGAUAUAACAACAUGUUUGGUUUGGUGUAAUAGAUUAGCCAUUACACCCCUAUUUCGUGGGCCCCACUAAUCCCCACUUAUUCUUGUGUUUGGUUUGAUGUAUUGCCUAUUACAGGCCUAUUACAACACGAAUGUAUUCCUCAUUUUCUCUGCUUCAACAAUGAUUAGCCAUUCCGUUCCAAAAGUAAGGAUUAGCUAAUCGUCUCUGUUUUACCCUCCUCAGCCAAAAUCUACUGCUCCACCCCACCCUCUCCCUCCCAACAUCAACAGCAGUUUUCUUCGAACCAAAUCUCCACCGUCUCAGAUCGCCUGUGAGUAAUCUCAACAGCAGUUGCCAGUGAAAAUUGCCCUUUCUUCAAAAACCCAGCCCUAAACCCUUCUUCUCUUUCAAUACUCCAUUCGAACAGGUUGCGGUGUCUCCCUCCUCUGAGGUAUGGCUCUGUUUCUUUAACUUUAGCAUUGAGCGACUCUUUUCAAUUCCAAAAUUAGUCUACUCUGCUAAGGGUUCUUGCUUUUCAAACCAUUUUUUCACCAUUUUUCUUGUAAUUCUUUUUCUUGUUAGAGUUCAGAUUUUAGAUUUUUUUUAAAAAAAAACGAUUAGAUUGUGAGGUUCAGUUAAUUAUUAGGGUUUUCUGUUUUGGGUUUCCCUGUUGCGUGGUAAUUUUGAAGUGCAUAUAAAAUGGAUGCUUUUGAGGAUCUUAAGCAAUUCGGCGAUACUGAUAAAGGUUGAUAUUCGAUUCAUUUUGCUUUAAUUUACUUGGUUUAUGCAUUUUGGGGAUAAAAUUAGCUUUGUUUUCUUCUCUUUUGGUUGGCUUUAAGCUGAGAGUAAAAUUUGAAACCUUUGUGGUGGAGGAGUUACCGUUCUUCUGAGAUCAAAUGUAUAACAGGUUAGAAGGAAAUGAAAUUAGAUCCUUAAAUAUUGUGUUUUCAAUGUUAAGGGCAGGCUUUUGUUGCUAAAACAAUUGUGGUAACACUGUUUGAUUCAGUUAGAAGUCAAAUGUCGUUUCCAUGUGUGAACAAUUUCUGGUUUUUAAGUAGCGACUUUGUUUCAUGUUGGCCUGGACAUUUUCCAAAUUAGUAAUUAUAAGUUUGAAUUUGGCUACUAAAUCACGCCAAUUAAUGAUUUCAGUGUGCUGGUGUUUCAGACUUUCAGUUGAAUUGACUUUGGUUUCGAAUAUUUUUAGUGAUGGAAAUAAGCACGAUUUAUUUAAAUUAUGAUUGAAUUGGAGAAACUGCUUUUUGUACAUUUUGAGAAAUAUCAGGCCCUUGGAUACACAAAGGGUGUUAACUUGCGCCUAUCUCAAUUACCCCAUUCCUGCCCAUUGAAUUGGAGAAAGUUCUUUUUUUUAAUGAUUCUGCGUUGCUACUGAUUUUUAGUGAAAUGGUAUUUUUCUUAUGAUGUGUUUUCUUCUUUAUGAAGAGCUCAUUUCAGUAAAGUUAACCUUUCUAUUAUGCAGAAGGUGCAGUAUUUGAUGCAUCACAAUAUGCAUUUUUUGGAAACAAUGUUCUCGAGGAAGUUGAAUUGGGGGGGCUAGAUGAUGAGGAUGAGGAUUUACCUGCAGCUGGACUUGAUGAAGAGGAGUUUUUGUUUGAUCAAGAGGAGGUUAAUAUUCUUGUUUCUUUCAGUUUUAUUUUUCCUGUUUCGAUUGUUCUUGCAAGUUUCUGCAGCAUAGCACAACCAGUGACUAUUCGAUCGAAAAAUAAAUGUAUCCCUUCCAGGCGUCAUGCUAAAAAAUAGCCUUUUGGAUUAGUGUUGGAUUUUUUCUCCAUGUUCUUUAACAGAUAGAUUCCACUGCAUUCAAUUAGUGGUUGGCAUGCGAGUUUUAUUUGUGGAAUAAAGCUCUGUGGGAGUUCAUAUUAUAUAUUGUUCUAUUUGUCUGUGCAAAACAUUGUGAACCUUGUUCUCUGUAUUUAUAAGUUGACAAUGUAGCCAUCUUGGUUGGCUGCUUUCCGAAGUCAAUUUAUUUGAUUCGUUCUCUUUGCUCUUCACAAUGAGAGGUAGCUCUUUUGUACUUUUUUAAUAAGAUCAUAUUAUACAUGCUCUUUUGCAGUGGUCUAGUGGUUUAGUAUCUUGUUAAUAAAACCAUAUUGUAUAUUUGAAUAGUUUGGAGAUUGUGUUAACUGUAUUUGGUGCAUCUUGAAGUAAUGUUUGUUGUAUCUUAUAUGCUUCCUGAAUCAAAUAUGGAGAGAAGGUAGUAUAUGGAGUUUAUAUUUUCAAGUAUUUUUCACACAAUUGAUUUAUCUGUUCCCUUCAUUGAGGGGAAAACAUGGAAUGAAUUGACUUACACCUCACUUCUUCCUCAAACAUCUUUUGUACCACUUAUUUUCAUAAAAUGAUAAGAAUCUUUUUAGAUUACAACUUCCAGAGGUCUAUGUCACCUUCUUGACAAUCAGGUUUUUAGGAAUAUUUUUACCCAUCAUGCAGAAGUUUUAGACAAAAUCUUGUUCGUGGUUGCUGCUAGAUGCAUGAUACUGCCUCAUUUCCUUUGUGGUGGUUCUUCGCUCUCCCCCUUCUUAGUAUUUUUGGUUGUUGAGUCUUGGAGGCAGUUGUAUUCAGUAAUGGCUGGCUUGCUUUGAUGCAUUGCUUCUGUAUAUCUUUGUAGAAAACGAAUCUGUAUCUAUUAUUAACACAAAUUUGAUUAGUUCAUGCCAAUGGAUUUGUAAAGUUAAAUUAGUUAUUGGCGUUAGAAAUUUACUCUUAUGCCUGGAAGGAGAUCUGGCUUACAGAUCAACUACUGGAGUUAAUUGUGGAAAUUUGUUUGAUUUGGUUUCUUAUAAAAUUGUUACCCUGUUCUAUUUAUGUUGGAGUAGCUGAAAUCUGAGGUUGCAUUUGUCAUUAACAAAUAGAAAUCCAAAAAGAGAGGAAAGUGAUAUCAUCCCCUCCACUUUUUCCUUGGAAUUGCGUACUUCAAACUUUUUUAAUUGUAUAAAUUCAUAUAAGAAAAUUUAUUAUGAUGUUGUAAAACUAUAAAACAUAUGGAUUAUGAUGUAGAAUUUCAUUUUCAUCUAACCUUUUCUUAAUAUAAGUUAAUUAUGUUUAUGCAGAAUAUAAUCUCAAGUUAUAAUUUGAUUUUAGUAAAUUCAUAUAAGAACAUUUUAUUAUUAAAUUAUAUUUAAUAUUAAUUAUUUUAAAUUGUAUAAAUUCAUAUAAGAAAAUUUAUUAUCAAGAAUUUUAUGAAAUUAUAUAUCAUUAUUAAAUUAUAUUUAAUAUUAAUUAUUUUAAAUUAUAUAAAUUCAUAUAAGAAAAUUUAUUAUCACGAAUUUUAUGAAAUUAUAUAUUAUUAUUAAUUAUAUUUAAUAAUAAUUAUUUUAAAUUAUACAAAUUCAUAUAAGAAAAUUUAUUAGUUAUAAUUAUUUUAAAUUUUAUUAAAUCAUAUAUUUUAAUUAAAAUAUUUUUAAUAUUAAUUACUUCAAAUUAUAUUUUAUAGUAUCAUAUAUUAUGAUUUUAGUAAAUUCAUAUAAGAAUUUUGAUUAUUAAGAAUUUUAUUAAAUUAUAUAUUUUAAUUAAAAUAUAUUUAAUAAUAAUAAUGUUAAAUUAUCUUUUAUCGUAUCAUAUAUUAUGAUUUGAGUAAAUUCAUAUAAGAAUAUUAAUUUUUAAGAAUUUUACUAAAUUAUAUAUUUUAAUUAUAAUAUAUUUAAUAAUAAUUAUGUUAAAUUAUAUUUUAUAGUAUCAUAUAUUAUGAUUUGAGUAAAUUCAUAUAAGAUAUUGAUUAUUAAGAAUUUUAUUAAAUUAUAUAUUUUAAUUUAAUAUAUUUAAUAAUUAUUAUGUUAAAUUAUCUUUUAUAGUAUCAUAUAUUAUGAUUUGAGCAAAUUCAUAUAAGAAUAUUAAUUAUUAAUAAUUUUAUUAAAUUAUAUAUUUUAAUUAUAAUAUAUUUAAUAAUAAUUAUGUUUAAAUAUGAUUAAAUUAUUUAUUAUUGAUAUUAUUAAUCUUAUUAAAAUUUAAAUAACAAUAACAAUAAUCAUUUACCCAAACAAAUUUAUGCUAAUGGUAUUCUAGUCAUUUUAGUUUUUUUCCAUUAUGCUAUUACACCUCUAUUCCAUUCAACCAAACACAAGAAUACUAUUACGCCUCUAUUCCAUUACGCCUCUAUUCCAUUCAACCAAACAAUUGAUUUGCUAUUACGCCUCUAUUCCAUUACACCUCUAUUCCAUUACGCCUCUAUUCCAAUACAGCGAACCAAACGUGCUGUAAGUGUUUACCAACCUUCUUUUAGUUAAAUUAUGCAAGCCUAAAAUUUUCAGCUUUAUUUGAGUACGUUUUCUAUGUCUAAUUCAAGUUUUAUUAUUAAGGACUAAAUUGUAACUUAAACAAAUUAGAAUACCAAUUUAAAGAGACAAAAUUCAAAACCCCAAAACCCACACGGGCAUGUGGGUAAGUGGCACGGGCCAGUGGAGACUGGAGCUAUCACAUAAGGCGAGUGAGAUUGAAACAUAUGAAAUAAAUUAAUCCACUUAAUUUUCCAACAACCAUGCUAUACUACCAAACCAAAUAACGAGUGAAGCUUUGAAUAGGGGCGAAUCUAAAAAAAAAAUUAGAAGAAUUAGAAUUAAAUUAUAAAAUUUUGAGAAGUUAUCAUGUAUUAAUUUAUUAUUUUUUUAAAGGGUCCUAAUAGAAUUUUUUUCCCAUUCUGGUUGGGCCAAUACCUUUGACUGCCUCUUUAAAUUUGCUUCAACCCUAAACCCAAUAUUCGAUUUGGAUUAACAACAAUAUAUAGGUUUGUAUUUGUGGGAGUUUGACGAAUAAAAAUUUCUAUUUAAAAGGUUUAAAUUAUAAAUUUUUGAAAGUUUAAAAUAAAUUUGUAUUUUUUAUUAACAAAAUAUAAAAGAAAAAAAACAUGUUUAGACAAGACAAGAAACCUUGGGAUCAUACGGGUGAUUUUGAUGAUGUUAAUGGUUAUUUUGGUGGAGAGGGUAAACACGAAACAAAUGAUUCAUUAUAUAUAAUAUAAUUAUGAAAUUCAAGCCAUAUAUUGUACUUUUGGUUUUUCUGCAAUAUGAUACAUGUAUUUGGUAAAAAGUUAUAUAUUUUGAUACUUAAAAGUAACAUUGUUAAUUUUUUUAGUGCUUAAUCUGAAUUUUAGAGUUUAUUUAAUGAACAUUAAUUGUUAAUAUUGUUAUGUUUAUUUUUUUAUGAUUUUGUUAAUAAAAUAAAUUUUAUGUUUAUCUUGUUAUCUUUUUUAUUUUAGAAUUGAUUACAUGAAAGUUAAUUGCUAAUAUUAUUAGUUAACUAUUAGUUUUCUUCAAAUCAAAUUAAAACCCGAAAGAUCCCACUUUUUUUUUAUAUUAGUUUUAGUUAUCCAUUAAAUUUGUUUCUUUGUAAUAAAAUUAAAUUAUAGAAAUAACAUUAAAAUUUUAAAUAAAAUUAAUUCACAAUAAUUAUACAGAAUUUAAUUUUCUUUCAAAUACUGCAGUUAAUAAGGAAAGUGAAUAUAGUAAAAAGAAAUAUUGUUUAAUUAGUUAAUUUAAAAAUCAAUAGCGUCUAAAAACUGUCAGAAUGGAAUAUUAGAUUUUAUAAGAUUUCAUUAUUCUAAAAAAUAAAAUAUGACAAUGCUUAAAAAUUUUAUCAAAAAAGUUUUAAAUUUUAUAUAAAAUUUUAAAAAAUAAAAAAACAGUAUUAAAAAUUUUUAUAAGCAAAUUAAAUAUUAAUUAGUAAAUUAUUUUUGUAAUAUUUAUAUGUAUUUUCAUUUUUAUAAAUACUAUUAAAACUUUUUUUAAAAAAAUUGAAUGCUAUGUAAAAACAUUAUUAAAAAUAAAAUAUUAUAUGAAAGUUAAAAUGAUGUAAAAACAUAUUUUCAGUGUUGGCGUUGCUCGUUCGUAAAUGGGUUAGUUUCCGUUUUGAUGUGUUUUUACGUGGAUAGUAAAAGAAAUGUGUUAAUUUUUGGAUUAUGGAGUUGAUCGUUUUUAAUCAAUUCUCCAGUAAGUUGACUCGUUUGUUGUUGUUAUGUGCUAGGAUAAGAGAUUAAUUCUGAUUUGGGCCUGUGUGGUUGUGUAGAUUUUCCAUGUGAAAUCGUUUGGUAUUUUUAGGAUAAAUCAUUCUUUAAAUCGUAUUGCUACCAUCGCGAAUGUGAUGUUUUAAUUUAUGCAUUUAGGAUCUGGUAGUCUUAUAGGUGUUUUCGCAUAAAAAAUUGAACCAUGUGUGUAACGAAAGCUAAAAAAUUGCACUGUUGACGCCACACGGCCAUGUGACAAGUCGUGUGCUGGAUCAUGUGUAACACACGAUUUGAGCUAGUUGAGCCAUGUGGAAAACAAAGGUGUGUGUGAAGGCGUGUGCCACACCAUGUGGGCCACACAGGCUGGCCAUUUAGGCCGUAUGGGACCAAAAUUCUAAUUUUUUUCCUAGGGUUAUACACAGUGUGUAUACUUGUCUUUGAAUUGAAAAAUUCUAAACAACUCUAAAUAAAUGGAAAGCAGCAAAUUACCUGACGAGGCAAGCUAGGUCAAUUACGACCAUUGUGUUAUUCUUGUCUCUGAAUUGAAAAUUUUAGAAGAAACUAAAGAGAAAGUGUUAGAAAAUAAUUGAAAACAGAUAAAACUUAUGUCUCAUUGAUUGGAUAAACUACGAUCACCCAUAAUAGACCUUGUACUUGACUUUUUGUUUAGGGAGAUUGACUCUUUUAGGAGAAGUCUUUUGAGUGUUGUUUGCUAGGCAAUCGGUGCUGCCCUCAACAACUAAUGGUAGUGUCCCCAUGUUGGGAUUUUAUCCCCAGCCUCUGCGGAAUAAUCAUUGAGGAUAUGUGCGUAGGGAUUCAAACUACCAAUCAAUGCAUGUGUAGCCUUUACCUUGCAACCAUCUCCAUGAACCCAUAGGGUUCUUAGCGGGAUCAAGAGACGAAACCCUAAUGUGGGAACAAUACCAUUUGUUGAAGGCUUUGUUAAUAGGGUCACACCUAGGGGAGUUGGCAGGGGUCCCAACCCCCCUUAAAAUGAAAAAUUUUCCAUUUAGGCCCUUUAAAAUUUUUAAAAUUUUAAAUUAAUAAAAGUAAAAUUGUACUUUGGCCCCCCAAAAAGUGAUAAAACUUCGAUUUAGUCCUCUAAAAAUUAUAAAAUAUAGGCUAUUAAAAUGGUGAAAUUGCAUUUUUACUAUCAUAAAAAUUAUAAUUUAAUUUCACCCCCUAAAAAGAUUUUCUGGCUUCGCCCCAAAUAAAAUCUUUGCCAAAAGAUUAAAAUAAAAUUAUACCGUAAAUGAAAAAAUAAACUAAGAAAAUCCAAUCUAACAAAGAAAAUAACUUGAUGUCCAAAAGCUACCAUGAACCGUAAUUCAUGGGAAGUCUUGUUGCUCAUUUUAUUGGUUUCCAUUUUGAUUUUGCAAAAUAAGUUUGAAUUUUGAAGAGAGCCUACUACGUGAGAGCAAAAGAAAAAAAUUCUAUAAAGAUUUUGAAUUUUGAAUUUUGAAUUUUGAAUUUUGAAUUUUGAAUUUUGAAGCAGAUUUUCAUUAAGAUUGAAGAUUCCUAAUUGAUUUCUUAGGAGAUUAUCAUGAGUUCCUUAUUUCUUUCAGUUAUAUUGCCCUUUGGAUUUUUUAUUUUUAAUCAUGAACUACUUUUCUAAAUACGUAAGAGAGAUGAACCCUAUGAUAGAUUGUGACACCCCAAAGCUGACCGGGAUAGACCGGCCUGAAUUCAAAGCAUUACAUUAGCCACCUAAGGACCACUCAAGACACACCCCGACCUUAUAACACCUCAAUCUUAUCUAAUUACUAGUUAUUUAUUAAUGCCGAAGUAAAUUAUGAGCCAAUUUUAAAGUUUUCCUAGGUAAUUUAACCUAAGGGCAUUUACAUCAUUUUAUGACCUAUGGUAAAACUAACCUAGAAAUACCGAAAACAUUCCAAAAUAAUAUAAAAAAAAAGCUAAGAAAAACCUAGAAAUACAAAAAAAAAUUCAUGUUUUUACAAAUUGGGAAAUACCUAAAUUUGUUUUUAUCAAUUAAGAAAUUAAAAAAAUUGUUGAGAAAUAUCUUUUUAGUGAUUGUUAGCUUUGACAAGUUCUCUCCACCACUUCUCUUACGCUCCUUCCAGGAUCUUGCUUUUUGUGUGUUGAAAACUCAAAUGAACAAAAUAAAGUGAAUUUACGAGUUUUGUUUUCUUUUAAAAAUAUUUUUAAUAUUUUUGUGGAUACCAAGAGAUACCAAAAAUUAUUUCACUAAGAAGUUUUAAUUCACUCGAAAAGUUAGUGUUUUAUUUCAAGGGGUCAUAAUUAAUCAUUAGAUUUCUCAAUUUUAAAUUUUGAAUUUUUGACAAUUGUGUAAUUAAUAAGUACCAAUUUUGAGUGGUGUAGGGCUAGUACAAUCUCCCUUACACAUAACCGACUCUUGAUCUAAUAAAUAUUUAUCCUUAUACUUUGAUCUAAAUAUUUUGAUGUAAUCAAUGUAAAAAACCUUUUAAACAAAAUAAGGUUGAAAUAAUCUAUUUGUCUUUAUACUUUGAUAAAAUUUGGGAUUUAGUCCUCAUACCUAAUGUUGACACCAUUUUUUUGUGAAAACGGGGUUGACUUGGAUUUUGUAAACGAAAACGAAAACGGGGGUCGCCACCAAUUCUUUUUGAUAAGGUGUGAUCGGGCCACCUUGAAAAGUGGUUGUUUUUAAUAAACAAUUUAAUUUUAUGAAAACAACGAUUUUGGUCCACGAAAUUCAGAAAAACAGGUUCGGGAGUCGGUUACGUACGAGGAAGGAUUAGCACCCUCAUAACGCCCAAAAUUGGUACCUAGUUGAUUAAUUAAUGUCUUAGUGUAGAAGAUUGAAAACUCUAAAGAGAUUUAAAACACGAUCCUUUACUGAAAUGAUAAAAAUUUUCGGCAAAAAGGGCAUAUUUCACAUUAAUCGAGAAAGAGAAUUAUAUCCAAUAAGUUAGAACACAAUGUCUUGAAUUCCGAUGCGCGAAUGAAUACCAAAAAUUUACUUAUUUAAAAGAUAUUUAACUAUCUCGGAUUUAAAAAAGGGAUCAUGCCCAGUAAGUUAGGACACGAUCUUUUCUUAAUUCCCGAGAUCGUUUAAAACUUGAGAAAAAAGGGAUCAUGCCCAGUAAGUUAGGACAUGAUCUCUUCUUAAUUCCCGAGAUCGUUUUAAACUUGAGUUUGAAAAGAUUCGUGUAUUUAAAUUUAUUGUGAAAAUUGAAACCCCGUAAGUUAGGGUACGACCUUCUCGAAUCUAAACAUGAGAUUUUGCUUAUUCAAAAAAUCAUAAUUUAUGCAUUGAAUAAAAUUAAUCUAACACGAAAUAGUAGAAAUGCAACACGGUGUCAAUAUGUGUAACAAGACAAAAAUGAAUAUGAUAAUGUAAGCAUAAAUAGUACGAACGACAUCGUAAAUGAGAUAAAUAAUAGGAGAGACAAAUCCAUCAUAUCACAACAAAUAAAUAAAUGCAAUAUUAAGACAUUCUUUUCAAAUGAUAAUGAACAUAUACGCAAAUAAACAAAUUAACAUCGAGUGAAACAAAAAUGCAAUAACGAAAUUAAUAAAACUAUAAAAAGUAUAAAAAUAUGUGUGUAUGUACGUGUAGGUAUGCAUUAUAAAAAUAUAUGUGCAUAUAUAUAUAUAUAUAUUUGAAAUUACAAAAUAUAAAAGAUAUAUAUAGGUAUGUAUAUGUAUGAGUUAUAAAAUAUAUGUAUGUAUAUGUGUACAUAACUAAAUUUGAAAUAAAUAGAUAUAGAUAAACAUAAUAAUAAUAUAGUAAGACAGAUAUAUUUAAUAUUUAAAUAAGUGAACAUAAUAAAUGGGAGUAUAAUAAAUAAUAAUAAUAAUGCAAAGCUAGUAAUAUGAUAUAAUGAUAUAAUAUUAAUGACUAAGUAAAUAUAAGAAGAAAAUAUUAAUAGAUAAUGUAACAACCCGGUUUUGACCCUAAUCGGAAUAGUGGUUUCGGGACCACAAAUCCGAACUAGAAAAAUAUUAUUAAUAUUAUUUAGUGUGUUUAUAUUGUGUGCAUUUGAAUGUGUGAAAUUUUCGUGUUUUAAUUUCAUCGUUUAAGUGUCCGAUUUAAUAAAAGGGUUUAAUCGCGUAAAAUGAAAAAUUAGGGGUUAAUUAUAAAAGCACCUAAUUGUUGUUGGCUUUAUAAUUUAGAGGUUUUACUAUGAAAUUAGUCCACUAUAUAAGUUAGUGGGUGGCAAAAGACUAAUGUAACCUUAUUAUAUAUGUUUUAUAUAUAUAUUAGUAAAGGUUAAAAUAGUAAAUUAAUUAUAAAGUUAAUAUAUGUUUAAUAUAACAAAUUAAAUGGCUAUGUUCUUCAUCUUUUGGCCGAAUGGGUGAGAAAAUAAAAGGGGUUUAAAGCUUUUUGUAUUUCGGCAGAUUCAAGCUUUGAUUUAGGUAUGUUUUUGCUUCGGUUUUUGAUGAUUUUUACGUUUUUGAGAUCGUUGCUUUGAAUACUUCAAAACCCAUGUCUUAAUUUUGUGAAUUGAUGAAUAUUUUGAAUUAUGUCAUUGAUGAAUAUUUGUGUUUUGGGAUGUUUGAUGAUGAAUAAUGGAAGAUAUGUCUUAGAUUAACAUGUUUUGUAUUGGUAUUUUUGAUGAAUUUGAGUAUUUAGGGCUAAAUUGUGAAAAUAAAUUUUUGAGGGAUUAAAAUGUGAAAUAAAUGCAAUGUGUGGACUUGUAUGAGAACCAUGAAUAUUCGGCCCUUGUGUGGUAUGGGCAAAUUUUGUGUAUUUUGUGUUUUGUGCAAAAAGGACUAAAUUGCAAAAAGUGCAAAAUGUUAGGGGCAAAAUGGUAAUUUUCACAUUUAUGUAUUGAUGGACUCAAAUGAAUGUUUUGAUGAAUAAGAAGGUUAAAUUUGACUAUGUUUAGAUCAAGGAACGAAGAAAACGAAUUUGGAUCGGGGGAAGUCGAAAGUAAUCGAAUAGUCGAUCGUGUUUGCUGAUAUCCGAGGUAAGUCUAUUAGCAACUAAAAGUUAUUAAGUUAAUAUUUAUACAUGCAUACUAAUUUUAUCUUAUGAUUGAGCUAUAAUUUAAAGUAUAAAAGUUGAAUAAACUUUGGACUAUAGAUAUUGUAUAUAACAUGUUCGAAUAUACAAGUAUGAUCUUGUAUAAAUUAUUGGAUUAAUCAAAGAUAUGUAUAAGAUAUAUGUAUAUACAUAUAAGGUUUGAAUGAUUAUAUGAGUAUGUAUAUAUAUGUAUAAACUCUUGGAUUUGAUUUGUGAUAUGUAAUUUAUAAUUGUAUAUAUAUAUAUAUAAAGUCGAAUAAGCAUGCAAUUAUACAUGUAUGUGUUGUGUAUUGAAUUUAGAUAUGUCAUUAUAUAAGUAUAUGAGGAUUGAUUGUGAAUUUAUAUAUGUAUAAGUUUUUGUUUUGAAAUUAAGUAUGAAAUUAUACAUUCAUAUGGUAGAUUCGAAUAUGUAUAAAUGCACAUGUAUAAUUUCUUGAAUUGAAAUUAGGUAUGGAAUUAUAUAUGUAUGUGAAAGUUUCGAUUUGUAUGUAUAUUCACGUAAAAUUUUUUGAAUGGAAGUGAAGAUAUGAAAUUAUUAGUUUGGAUCAUUAUAAAGUGAUUGAAUGUAAUACAGACGUUACGUCUAGCAGGCUUGAUGCCGGUGAAGUAAUUCAGACUUUAAGUCUAGCAGGCUUAAUGCCGGUGAUACAUUUCAGACUAUAUGUCCAGCAGGCUAAGUGCCGGUGUACUGAAUCAGGCUUUAAGCCUAGCAGGCAAAAUGCUAGUGAAUCUUUUUAAAUUAUGUGAGAAUAUGCAAUUGAUAUAUCUAUGAUUUUGAUUAUACGAAAUAGAUGAAUACAUGAACAUUCGGUUUUUUUUUAUAUGCCUGGUGAGCUUACACCUACAUUCGGGUUUUAUAUUGGUUAAACAUAAUUGUAUGGAUUCGGUAUAUACAAUUAAUAAAGGCAUAUGUACAUUAGGUAUAUGCGAUUGCUGAAAUUAUAAAUGCAUAUGGUGAUAUGUGAUUGUUAAAUAUACACGUUGAGCCUAUGUGUUCGAUAAUUAAUUAUGUAUGCAAUUGAGAUAUGUAUAUAUAUACAUGUACUCAUUUAUAGGUAUAUAUAUUCGAAUGUAUAUACUAGCUAUGUAUUCAGGUAUAAAUCCAUAAUGAGUAUAUAUAUAUACAAACGAAUAUAAAAUGUGAUUGAUACAUAUGUGUUAGAUUCGAAUUGAUUUAAAGUUUACCAUGAGUAUACAUACACAUUCGGUUAAGAUAUGUGUAUAAUAUAUAUAUAUGCUCGAUUGUAUACAUUGGGUUGUAAUGUUGUUUUGUAUAAUAUAUAUUCAAUUGAUUUCAUUCGACAGGUAUACAUAUCUGACUAUAAAUAAAAUGGUCUGAGUACAAUAAUGUAUGAAUGUUAGUUGGUCGUGUUAGUUGAAAUUUCAGUAAAAUAGAUUAAAAGGUUAUAUUAAUUAUGUGUUUAUAUAUACAUUUAGUUAUGCUGUAGACUUACUAAGCUAUAAAAGCUUACUUCAUUUGUUUUCGUUCAUUUGUUUUUAUAGAUUUUGGAGACGCGUUACGAGCUCGGGGAUCAUCAGCAUAGUCCAUCACACUAUCGACUUCUUUUGGUAUUUUGUUAAAUAUUUGAACUCGAUCUUAUGGCAUGUAUAGGCUUGAUAAUGUUUUGGUUAGUUUUGGAUCCUAAUAUGUAAAUAGUCAUGCGAAAAGGGUUUAAUUUCCAUGCUUGAAUUUGACUACAUAUGAUCAUGAUUUGGGCUUGCAUUUGAAUGAGAUAUUCAAGUUACAUGUAUGUUAUAAAUUUUGGAUUAUGUUAGGUAUUAAAGUCAUGUUUAUGUGUGCUUUGUUUCGUAAUGCCUCGUAACCCUAAUUCGGCGACGGAGACGGGUUAGGGGUGUUACAGAUAAUAGCUAGGUUAAUAAAAAAAACAAAAUGGACUAAUUCAUGAUAAAAAUUAAAUUUAAAGGUUCAAUCUAUAAUAAAAUAAAUAAAGUGGGUCCAAAAUGAAAAGGCACGAAAGGGCGGAGGGCCAAAUGAGCAAUAAACCCAAAUUCCAGGCCACGCCCAGGGGUCCAACGAAUUGAGGAACGAAUUGAAAACCGCAACAAACCUACGGUCCAAAUUACAAAACGAGGGAAAAAAGAAAAGGAACUAAAUCAAAACAAAUCGAUAAUGCGGAGGGGCCAAAGGAGCAAAUAACCCAACACUUAACAAUGCACGGAUCCUCUGGUCGGGUCGAGUCGACGAGUGGAUCUGGGGGGCAAAACGACGCCGUUUUGGUACCUGGGAGGCCUGCCCAAAACGACGUCGUUUUAGGGCCUAUAUAAGUAAAAAAACAUAAACAAAAAAAUCAUUUUAAAUCCAUUUCAGAAAAAAAAAACUUUCCCUUUUUUAUUUUCUCUCUAGCCCCACUCCCUUCGAUCCAGACUCCGACCGAUGGCCGUCGCACCGCCCACCGACCACCGGCGACGGUGCCGCCCACUGACCACCGAUGACGGCGCCGUCGUGCACAGUUGUCGGAAAGUUCAAAACCCCUUUUUCUCUUCUCUUUUCGAGUAAAGUACCUAUUUGGGUUUAAGACAUCCCAAAAGUCCUUCAAAAUAAAAAAAGAAAGAGAGAAAAAUCUAGAGACCUUUCGGUUUCUCAUCACCGCCGAUGGAGUUUUUGGCGAACCCGUUGGUUUGACCACCCCAAGACCGGAGGUACCUCCGUCCGCGGCAAUAAAGGUAAUAGAUUUCUCUUUUUAUUUACUAUUAUAUUUAUUUUCGAAAUAAAUAAAUAAAUAAAAAUAUAAAAGAGGCACCUUUGUUUUUUCCAAAUCUGUUUCAAACUUUUUUAUUUUCGAAAAAAUCCCAAAAAUCCCCAUGAUUACAUUGAAUUUGUGGCUUUUAUAGCCCAAUGCAUAUUUUCUUUUUUCUUUUUGUUUAUCACUGCUUCUCUGCUAUUUGUGCUGUUGUUGCGUGUUUUUUUCAUGUUUUGCAGGUCUUGACGGAGCAGGUGGGCAGGUGGCAGAGCAAGUGGCGGUGGGUGGUGUCAGAGGUGGCAGAGGCAGAAGGUGACGCCAGAAGAUAGGAACCCCUAGGUGUGGCGCACCUAGGGUUUGACAUUGUUGUUUUUUAUUUGAUUUUUUGGGCUAGGUUUAGACAGUUGGGCCUGUGCAUUUUGCUUCGGGUUUGGGUUUAAUCUCGUUGGGCCGGGUGUAAUUGUGUUAGUUAGGCCGGGGCAUAAAUUGGUUAUUACACCUAAAAGGUUAAAAAUUAAGUCUUCUUAUUUUUUUUUAAAUCUUAGUCCUACCGUUAAUUUUUUUUUGUCAAAAUUUGUUAACUUGACAUAUUAAUUAGGUUUUCCUUAUAUGUCGUGGUAUAUGACCAACACAAAAUUAAACAAGUUGACAAGUUCUGACAAAAAAUAUCAAAGAUGAUAAUAAUUUAAUUAAAAUUUUUAAAUUGAAAAAGUAAGGGAUUAAAUUUAUAACUUUUGAAGUGUAAAGAAUGAACUUAUUGAAAUACAAGAACUAACAACACAUUUUAAAAUAUUACUAGUAAAUUAUAUAUCUACAACGUAAGCUCUUAUAUUAUAUUCUUGUAUCUAUUUUGUAUCUUUCAUUAUAAUAUGAUUUAUUAAUUUUAAUAUUUUUAUAGAAUAAUAUGCUUUAAACUAUUUUUUGUAUAAUUUAUAAAAAUUAUAAUAAACUUGCAAAAUGAUUUAAUGAUAUUUAAUUAUUAAUGGAAAAAAAAAUGAUAACAUAUAUAUUCUGUAUAUAUUAAGAUUUUGAGUCAUUAAUUAUAUAUCUACACAUUAUAAUAAAUUCAUCUUUCAAAAUGUUCCUUAUAAUUAAAGCAUAAAUUAUAUUUAUAAUAUUAUAAAUAUAUUAUAUCAUAAAUAUUCUUUCAAAUAUUUUUUAAUGUUUAAUAAUAAGUUAAUUUAUAAAAUAUUCUUUCAAUAAAUUAACGUGAUGCGAUCGUUAGGUGCUUGGAUUUGGUGAUGGGGGAUGAAGAGAAAAGGGAUGGAAGUGAAGAAAAAUGUUGAGAAAUGGAAAGGGUUAGCAAGGGAAGCUGCCAUGAAAGUUGGUUCUAUGGAUAUGAACCUUCAAGCUUUUGUGGAUGAUGUUACUCAAGGUUGUUGGAAGUAAAUUUUAAAAAAAUUGAGGUAAAAUUAAAAAAAUGUUAGAGCUAAAUUUGUCAUUAUGACUAAAAUGUAAAACCAAAAUUUUUUGAAAAUAAAAAAAAAUGGAAAAUAACAAAUUCUGUCACUCAUGUUUGCUUAAAAUAUAGUUUUGGUCACCAAUCUUUUGAAGUAAAUAUAUGGUCACCAAUAUUAUCCAUUUGUUACUCUGCAAUAACUCACCUCUAUGAAAUUUGGCAGGCCGUGUCAAUUUUGUAGAUUUGCGCUCUGAACUGUGAAAAAAAUGCAAAUUUUAGGUUAUUCAAGCAUUUUAAUACGUAUAUAUGAAAAAAAGAAGAAGAUAGGAGAGAACCUUCCUAGAAUAUUUAAGAAAAUAGCUCCAAAGACACUAUUGAAGUCAACUUUGAAGCAAAUUUUCAUCAAGAUUGAAGAUUCCCAGUUGAUUUCUAAAGAGAUUAUCAUGAGUUUCUUUAUUUCUUUCGGUUAUACUGCCCUUUGGAUGUUUUUAUUUUUAAGCAUGAACUAAUUUUCUAAAUACCUAAGAGAGAUGAAUCCUAUGGUAGAUUGUGGCACCCCAAACCCAAUCGGGAUAGACCGGCCCGAAUUCGAAGCAUUACACUAGCCACCUAAGUGACUCUCCAGCUAACGACCACCCAAGACACACCCUGACCUUAUAACACCUCAAUCUUGUUUAAUUAUUAGUUAUUUAUUAUUGCAUAAAUAAAUUAUGAGCCAAUUUUAAACUUUUCCUAUGUAAUUUAACCUAAGGGCAAUUUUGUCAUUUUACCACCUAUUGUAAAACUAACUCGAUUUUAGAAGUUUUUACCAACCUUAUUUUAGUCAAAUUAUACAAGCCUAAAUUUUUUAGCUUAAUUUGAGUUUGUUUACUAUGUCUAAUUCAAGUUUUAUUAUUAAGGACUAAAUUGUAACUUAAACAAAUUAGAAUAUCAAUUUAAAGAGAAAAAAUUCAAAACCCAAAAACCCACACGGGCAUGUGGGUAAGUGACACGGGCGUGUGGAGACUGGAGCUAUCACACACGGGUGAGUGGGAUUGAAAAAUAUGAAAUAAAUUAAUCCACUUAAUUUUCCAACAACCAUGCUAUACUACCAAACCAAAUAACGCUUGAAGCUUUGAAUAGGGGUGAAUCUUAAAAAAAUUAAAAGAAUUAGAAUUAAAUUAUAAAAUUUGAGAAGUUAUCAUGUAUUAAUUUAUAAUUUUCUAAAGGGUCUUAAUAGAAUUUUUUUUUUCCCAUUUUGGUUGGGCCAAUACCCCUACCUCUUUAAAUUUGCUUCAAUCCUAAACCCAAUAUUCGAUUUGUUGUGGAAGUUUGAUGCAUAAAAUUUCUUUUUUUAGAGGUUUAAAUUAUAUAUUAUUGAAAGUUUAAAAUAAAUUUGUAUUUUUUAUUAACAAAAUAUAAAACAAAAAAACAUUUUUAGACAAACCAAGGAACCUUUGGGAUCAUACGGAUGAUUUGGUGAUGUUAAUGGUUAUUUUGGUGGAGACAAGCCAAGAAAAGAAACAAAUGAUUCAUUAUAUACAAUAUAAUUAUCAAAAUUCAAGCCAUAUAUUGUCUGUUUCAUCCAUAAAAAUUUCAUGGGAGGUCCAAAGGUAAUUAAAUGACUUGUAGGCUUGCUGAAUUUCUUUGAAAGGCCCAAAGGCAAUUUAACACUCACAAAAUAAUCUCUAAAUACUGUAAAGACAAAUCAAAUCCACAGCAGCAUUAGAGUUGAUUAAGCUAAGCAUUGGCAAAUAUUACUUUGAUUUUGCAUGCAAUAUCGGCAAAACCCCCCUCUUACAUUAGAAAAAACAACAUAAUCCAUGUAACAUUGAUAGCCCAAUACAAAUUUCAUCAAGAAAAAAGUCUCUUUGUUUUGUAGAACAUGAUAGUAAAGAUGUGGAGUUUCAUUCUUCUUAUUGGCCUCCUUUAGUUUUCCUUGAUCAACAACCACUAGCCAAAAACACAAUUAGAUUAGAUUAUGAAUGAUACUUUCAACUAUGACAAUAUUAAAUACAAAACACUCCAAAUAACUCUAAAUAAAUGGAAAGCAGCAAAUUACCUGACGAGGCAAGCUAGCUUAAUUAAGACCAUUGUAUUAUACUUGUCUCUGAAUUGAAAAAUUUAGAAGAAAAUAGAGAAAAAGACUUAGAAAAUACUUGAAAACAGAUAAAACUUAUAUGUCAUUUAAAAUAAAAAAAAAUUAUUUAAGCUGUUUAAAAUUUUUAAGAUUUUUAAAAUUUUAAAAUGAUAAAGGUAAAUUGUACUUUGGCACCCCUAGAAAUGAUAAAACUUUGAUUUAAUCCUUUAAAAAUUAUAAAAAUAUAGGCUAUUAAAAUGAUGAAAUUAUAUUUUUACUAUAGUAAAAAUUACAAUUUAAUUUCACCCCCUAAAAAGAUUUUCUGGCUUCGCCCCUAAUAAAAUAUUUGGCAAAAGAUUAAAAUAAAAUUAUACCGUAAUUGAAAAAAGAAACUAAAAAAAUCCAAUCUAACAAAGAAAAUAACUUGAUGUCCAAAAGCUACCAUAAAUCGUAAUUCAUGGGAAGGCUUGUUGCUCAUUUUAUUGGUUUCCAUUUUGAUUUUGCAAAAGAAGUUUGAAUUUUGACGAAUACCGACAUAUUAUAUAUAUGACUAAAAUUCCAGAAUAGGUUAAAAAUGUUGAAUUAAAGAUGAAAUUAAGUGUGAAUUAAUAACCACAAGUGUACUCAUUACUCACCAUCUCUGUUAAAAAUGUUGGAUGUUGUUUAGCAACCUUUGUUUGAUUUUCUUCAGCUCAACCACAACAUCUUUCAUAUCUUUUCUUUCUUCUGGUAACUCAGCUGAACAAUUCAAAGCCAACUCCAUGAUAGAUGAAAUACAAUUUGCUUUAACAACAAUGUACUCAUCCUCUCUUCUUAGUAAAUCAACAUCUGCAAUUUCUAUCGCUCCUUUAGGCAAUGAACUUUCCAUCCAAUGCCUUAUAGUCUCUUCUUCAACAAAAACAUUAUCAGAUGGCUUUUUCUUUGUGAAAGUUUCUAUAAGGACGAUCCCAUAACUAUAGACGUCAGAUUUUAUAGAAACAAUUCCUGCUGAUCCAAAUUCUGCAUUUCAAGUAUAAUUAGAACAUCAUUCAUCCUCAAUUAUUUCUAAAAUGCUUAUUCUAAUAUCUAUCCAUAUACACAUGAAACAAAAAUAUAAAAUUCAAAUUAGGAAAAUAAUCAUACAAAAAUAAAAAAGAAUUCACCUGGUGCCAUAUACCCGAUAGUUGCAAGAGUCAUGGUUUGCUUCAUUACUUCACCUUCUCCCAACAAUUUGGCAACGCCAAAAUCUCCAACAUGUGCAACCAUGUCUUCAUCUAGUAAAAUAUUGCUUGGCUUUAUGUCACAAUGAAUUAUAGGUGUUGGAUGUCCAUUGUGGAGGUGUUCUAUAGCUAACGCAACAUCUAUCAUUAUGUCGACCCUUUGUAUGAUAUCAAGGAAACAAUUUUCAGAAUGUAACCAUUUCUCAAGGUUUCCAUUAGACAUGUAAUCAAGCACCAAGGCUUUGAAGUCAACACUUGAGCAGCAAGUAAUGACCUUCACAAUAUUACGAUGAACUAUAUUAAGCAUAGCAUCACAUUCAAUGUCAAAACUCCUAAAUGCUCCCUCUGUUUGCAAAUUGAAAACUUUUAUUGCAACUUCCAUUCCAUCUGAAAGCCUCCCUUUAUAUACAUAUCCAAAACUCCCUGAACCAAGCAUAUUGCUUUCCUCAAAUCCAUUAGUUGCUCGUGAAAGUUCAGCAUGUGAAAUUCUUCUCGGUGUUUUCAAAGACAACAAAUCAUCUUUAAUUGAUAGAGUUGUACUCCUUCUUUGGCAUCUUCUAUACAUAAUAGUUAAGACUAUUAGUACUACGACAAUGCCAAUUGUUGGUAAACCAUACCUAAAAGCAUGCAAUAUAAUCAUUUGGGAGUUUUUGUGGAUGUCGUUUUUGCAAGGUGGGACUUGCAAUCUAGGUGGACCACAAAGUGCAUAAUUCUUCAUGAAUGAUGUGCUAGAAAAGUUUGAAAAACAUCCUUUGCUGGGAAUUUCCCCUUCAAGUCUAUUGAAAGACACAUUAAAAUACCUUAGAUAUAUAAGUUUUUCCAAAGAUUUGGGAAUGACUCCAGAGAGAUUGUUAUUGCAUAAAUCCAAGAAUUCCAAACUAAUCAAUCCAGCAAAUGAUUCAGGGAUAUGACCAUGUAGUAUAUUAUUUGAUAAAUCUAAUGAAACCAAAGUUAUAAGACCCCCAAAUGUGGAUAAGAUAUCGCCCGUGAGAAGAUUCUUUGAUAAAUUUAGUUUCAGUAGACUCC
rnacentral:lncRNA from 1 species